CCAACUUGUACUUGAAGGGAAUCCACCACUUGGGAGCAAGAGCAUUCUCUUCUGUUCUGUUCUCUUGUCUGUCGAGUUCAAGCAAGUAGACUGCUUGUAUGAAGCAGGCAAUUACUGUCCUUUUGUAGUUCCCGUCUUUCCUAUACCCCAUUGACACAUAAAUUCGAGACUGUUAUUAAUCAAAACACAAGGGAUUACCAAAGAAAGUCCAGGCAAUUCUUUAGCUGGGCAAACAAAGCUACAAUUUUAAAGCAUUGGAAAAAUAGCCCCUCUCUGCAAAUUCUUACAAAAAUUCCAGUUCUUUUUCCUAUAAUUAGGAAACCUCAAACAACACAUUUUUUUUCUUCAUAAAACAUGGUGAUCUCUAGAAUAAAGGGAGAACUAUCCUUGAGAUGUUAACAAGAAAAAAAAAAAAAAAUCAUUGUUUGACUGCCAAUAAAAUGGAAAAGAAAAUUUUCAAGCAUUGUAGCGACCUCUAUUUGAAUCCAAAAUAGUUUAUAAGUACCUAUAUUUUUUUUUUCUAUUAGUCCUAUGCUCAUAGAAAAUAAGCAAGCCAUCAGAUUGGAGAAAUAUAACACACCAAGAUUGAGUUUACUGUCUAAGAAUCAAUAAGAAGUGGAACAUUGAAACAAAUGUACAUUGAAGAAAGAACCAUUUUCAAACCCAAAAUUUAUGAGACAUGGCAUUAUCUUGAAAAUAUAUCCAAGAGGAACUGGACCCUCUUAUCACAAAACUCAUAGGAACCAAACCCUCCUAUCACAAAAUUCAUAGAUACCCUAGUUAGCAAUCCCAAAACCUCCUUGGAUAACUCAGUUAACAAACCCAAAUGACCAACAGCCAGCAGGAACUCUUAUUCCUACUAUGAAACAACAAAAUCAAAAGGCAUUGAGGUCUUUUGUGAUUUCUUGUGAGAAAACCACACCACAGUAUCAUCAGUCAGGAAAAGAUAACAUACCAUCUACCUGAACAUUUAAGACUCUUUACUAUAUCACUUGUCCAAAUUACAUUUGGCUUUGAAAGCAGUAUUUUGUCCAAAUACAUUUUACUAUACCCUUGCCUAAGUCUAUCGAAAGUAUCCAUGAAUCAUCCCUUGGUUAACUGAGUAAUGGGUCUCUAUUAAUCACAUGUUAAACAAUUAUGCCCAACACAGUGACCCAUCGACUUCAAUCAAUGCUACUCCAUUUGGUUGCUGAGAAGAGGAAGGGGGUAAGCAAAAUUGGAACCUUUACAGCACCACCAAACCAGAACAAGAUUCUCUGUUCAAUCCCUUCCAUAUUCUCAUACACCAAAAGACAGCAUUUCCUUAAAAAUAAAUAUGACAUAUACUGUUGUUUUAAGAAGUGAUGAAUAAUGAGAACCACGAAGGAAAUAUAAGCACAGAAAAAACUAGUCAAACCAUGAAAUAUAUGCAAAUUGUCAAAUAAUUGAUACAUUCAUAGGCUAAGAAAACUUUAAACCCAAAAGCACGAGAAUGGAAAACCCAAACAUUCUUUACCAGUUUGUUAUCAGAAUUCCCUAAGAAGAUAAUCAGAAUCAUUAAUCUGUGACCGAGUAGGAAACAGACCUAUAAAUAUCUCCUAUUCUCAUAAAAGGAAGAAAGAUAAUAUACUUUCACAAAAGACAUCUAACAUGAGUUCCCAUCCGAAAAACUAAAAAGAUACCCAAAUCCAAUCAAAUGGAUCUUAAAAAUUCAAAACCCCUUUUCUGAUUUACCAAUUGUUGUGAUAAAUUUUGGGUUCCAUCAACUGUUUUCAUCGUCAUCCCAACAAUGAAUCAAUCAAACCCCAGAAACCCAAAACCCAAAAACUCAAAAACCCAAAAAACCCAAAAACCCAAAACCGGCUUCCAAUCCCAGACACAUUCUCCAUUUCCACCUCAACCCAGAAAACCCCAUCCACCAAAAUGCUCAAAAAUUGGUAGAUCGCAAUUAUUCCAGAGACUACACAUCACCACCCAUCAGAUUACGCCAUAACACCCAGAAUUCCACUAGAGAAAGAUAGAAAAACAAACCAACUAGAAUUGAUGAGGUCUCUCCAGUUGGGUGAAGACACGUUGCGAGGUCCAGACACAUGGAAUGCGUAGGGAUGAGCCGCCUCCACCUCCACCACCGCCUCCUCUGCCGCUGUUUCAUCCUCUGCGCUGCACUUUGCCAUGAACCCACCGCUAUAACCACCUCCUCCACCACUAUAUUCUUCUUCCUCUUCUUCUGUCCUUGCCCUCUUGUUAUUUGGUUUCUUUGCAUGCAAGGGCCAGGGCGAAAGGGAGAGAGACCUGUGAAUCAAUCUUUUUGAAUGCCUUUACUGAAAGCGUUUGCCUUACGGCUUGUGUGUGAAAGCAGCAUCUGAUUCCAGACAUUUGUAGAUUGCAUUGGGUGACAACGUUUAUUAUUUUUUUAUUUUGAAAAUGUUUCCCUUCCUCAACGGUCAUAUUUCUCUCAGGCCCCACGGUAUGUUCUUUAAUUUCAACCUGAGCGCUGCUCUCUUUUCUAGAAGGAAACUUCGCCUAUCUUCCUCAUAGUUUUCUCACUCACUUUCUCCCUCUUCAUUUUUCAGAAGUUUCACUCUUAGAUUUUCUUACCAUCACACUUUUUUUUUUCCUUUUUUAAAUUUGAAAUUCCCCCUUAUAACUAUUUAUGAAAAAAUCUCUUGUAGAAGCCACAUUUUUCUUUAGUUUCAUUUAUUUAUUUUUAUUUUUUCAAAAAUUUUGAAAUUUCCACCAACCUCAAACACAACUUUACACCUAGAACUUGGUUAAAAAAAAAUCCCAUGAUGGAAAGAAGGAUAAAAGAAACGAUCCCAUGACCAUGAGUUGCAUUUGCUAUCCAAGACCAGACGAUUAUGACUUCUUGGGUGUAAGACAGCAAUGAAUGACAAUCAUAUGUCCAUGGCUAUUUACGGUUUCUUUUUUUAUUCUUUGCUUAUAAUUUUAUUUGUAUUUAAGUUUGAGAAAGAAAGAAAAAGCCAUUGUAUACUUUAGUGGUCUAAUUAUGGCCCUUGAGAUUAAAAUAAAAUUAGGGUUUUAAGGGAAGAAGGAAUAGUAGUCAAAAUGAUGAUCUUUUGGAUGUGAUGUUUUUCUUAUUUUCGUCAUUAUUAAUGAUAUUUAUGUUGGAUUAUGAAAGCUUAAAUGAGUUUUGUUACGCUUUGUUUUACAUGUCGAGGUUGAAUUUCCUCGCUCAACUUGUAGGGAUUAAGUUUUUCAAUUAGCUUGCGGGGGUUGUUGGAGAAUUUUUUCAGAAAUUUUUUUUAUAUAAUGAAUGAAAAGUCUCCCCAUAUAUAUAUGUUUUAGAAUUUUGUUUUUUUAGAAAGUAUGAUCGCAAUUGAGAGGUGUUUUUUAAGAGCGUCAUCAUUGUAACAUUUUUCAUUCCUUUUGAUUAGUAGAUUUGUAAGUGUUGAUACAUUUUGUAGAUGUAGGAAUCACAUUAAUCGUCAAAUUACGUUAAAAAACGUAUAUUUUAUAUAUGCACGAUUUGAUUGACAAUUAAAGAGAUAAUGAGCAUUGCGAGGUGUUACUUGUUUACUAGAACUUGAAAAUAAAAAAUCAUUUUAAACUCAUCAAGGCAACCUAUCUAAGUAAGAAUUGUUUCCAUUAAUUUUUUAAAAGAUUGCAUUAUAUCAAUAAUUAAAUCAUAUUUCAAUUAGAAAAGAAUUUAUUAAAACUUUAAUUGAACUUGUUAAUUUCCUUUUUAUUUUUCUUUCUUAGUAUCAUUAUUAUAAUUAUAGUUAUUGUGAUCAUCAAAUAAAAGAUAAAAAGACAUUAUUAUUAUUUUUGCAGUCAUACAUUAUGAAAUACAAGAUCAAGCCAAGGAUGGAUUUAUUAAAUCUUGUAUGUGAAACCCAUGUUAACACUCUUAGGUAUAAAAUAAUAAUGAGAUAGAUGACAUUUUGUACAUGAUGAUUAUAUUUUAUUCCACCACCAUUAUAAUUUGAAACAAUCACUCAUUUUCUUAUGUGGCUUGUUAUAAUUUAGAUUUUAUUUAUUUAUUUAUUUAUUUAUUUUAUACCAUAUAAAUGAGCGAGUUAGUGCCUAGGGGCACAUGCCCACCCAAAAAAUAUUAAAACAAAAAUACUAUACUUCUUGCAAUAGUGUGGACUCAAACUCGGCCGAUUCCAUAACAAUGACAACUUUGGACCAUUGUGCUUAAACCAUGUUUGUUUCAAGGGUAUUGAUUACCUCCUUGAGCUAAAUUGGUGGCUCUACCACUAUAUAUAAUGGUUUUGAAACUAUAUCAUAAUGAAACACUAUGAUUUAAAUCAUUUAAAAAAAUAAAAAUUACAUAAUUUUAUAAGAAAAAUAUAUCCAGGUCAUUUUCUCAUCUUUGGCUCAUACGUGUAAACCAUAAGUUCAUACUUGCUUUCCAAAAAAUUUGAGUAAAAGAAAAUGGAUUGGAAAAGUAACAGAAAAAGAAAAUAAAUUAAUAAAUUAUGGUUAUAGGCUACUUCAACCCCAUAUAAUUUAUUUUAAAUUUUUUAUAUAAAGAUUAAAUAUUUUAAAAAUAUAUAACUUUUUACAUAGUUUUAAUUGUGUUUGGUUUUCUUUCAUAUUUUUCAUAACAAAACCAAACAUGAAAAAAAAAUAUGUUUCUUAGUUUUUUUUUUCUCUUAAUAUUUCCUGGGGAUUAACAUAACACCUAAAUUUAUCAAUAGCACAAUAAAAAAAUAAUAACAAUUGAAUAUAUGAAAUAAACUCGAAGAACAUCAUAACUAAGGUAAACAUCAUAAUCAAAUAAGAUAAAUAAACAAAAUCAAUCUAAUAUUAGGUAAAUGAAGGAUUCCAAUCAUGCAAUAGCCAAAUGUUUAGAUUAUGUUUGCUUCUAGAAAUUUUGAGAGAAAAUAUAAAGAAAAGAAAUAAAAAGAAAAAAUAAAGGAAAGAAACCUAACAGAAAAUGAAAAAUAAAUUUAAAUUCAAUAAAUAAUUUUUAUAUAUUUAUUCAACCUCAUUUCCCUUUAUUUGAACUUUUCUAUAUAAAAAAUUAAAUAAUUUUAAAAUAUAGGUUUCUAAUGAAUUUUAAUUAUAUUUUAUUUUUUUUUCACAUUAAACAUGAUAAUUUUUUUUUAGUAUUUUUUAUUUUUUCAAUAUUUUCAUGAAUUCAAAUAUAAAAUUAAUAAAAUUUAAUUAUUUUAAUUUUAGAGGCAGACAUUACGUGUAUAUUCUCAUUUACAUCAUGGGUUUGGGCUUAGGCUUAAAAAAUUAGCCCAAGCUCAGUCCUAGAGAGAAGUCGACCUAGAUGUGUGCUGUGAUGGGCCUUGGCCCACAAAUUCUUGAGUGGGCCUGAUCCGGCUUUUAGCCUUAUGGGCCAAAUUUCCCCAAAAAAAAAGAAGGAAAAAUAGAAAAAAGAAGGAAAAAAACAGGAUAUGUGUGGAGGAGGUAUUUUCCAAUUUCCCACCUUUCCCCCCAUAUAAAUUGAGGUGUCUAAGACUCAACAACAUGCCCCUAUGAAAACAACUCUGAAUUAUGGCCUCAAAAUCCAAGGCAAAUCUUCACAACUGUGACAACUUGGAGGGGUAACAGCUUUAUAGUUUAUACUCCUAUGGCCUUGAGUCUGAUCAGUACUAGUAUUUCUCUUCAUCCAGGCCCUUCUCCUCCUCCCCCUUCUCCUUUUCUCAUCCCAAAGCACAGGCUCUUCAAGCUCUGCUCCUCUUCAUCUUGUUUUAGAACCAGUGCUCAGUCCGGUGGAACUGAAGGCCGUGGUGUCACACAGGAGGAUCCCCCUCUUCCUGCUGCCUUGUCUGGUAUGUAUAUGCAUGUAUCAACUGUUUUCUUUGUUCAACAUGUGUUUGAUCUGCUUAUUUUUGUUGAAAUCGAUCAUUUAAUGCAUGGUGGUUUCACAGUCUGGUGUGGGGAAUAUGAUUAACAUAGAGCUUCUUGAUUCUGUAGUCUCAUGUCAUCCUGAGAAAUUUGGAAGUUGGGUUGAUAGGGAUAUGGCCAGUAUUUGAUGGAUGGGGUUGAAGUUGAAUCUUUACUCUACUCUUCUUCACUCCUUUGUCUGUGAGGAAUAAACACAAACAGCUAACAUGGGAAAGAGUGAAAUAAUUGUAAUAGGAAUAGUUAUCAUCUGUGAAGACACUUGGAUUCGUUGGAAUGAGUUGAUGUCAAUAGUGCCUAGCUAGAGAAACCAAGUUAAAAUUUAAAUAGCUUGAAUAAAUAUUAGACCCCACUAUUUUGAUAUACUAUGAUUUGGAGCAUUGAAAGAAAAAGGGAUGAUGGGUUACCACAUGUAGCAUAUGUUCUUUAUUUGCAAUUCACAAAUUUUUAAGUUUGUUUUGUUGGAUAGGAUGAAAUAGGAAACAAACAUUUUGGGCUGUUUAAGAUGAGAACAAAAGUGAAUAUUGUAGUAUUGUGUAAAAGAGAGGAAUCAAAAUCUUGGUGAGAAUUAAAUUUUGUUUCCAUGAUAAUGAAUUUUUUAUUCUUAUUUCCGUUUUGAAAAUCAAUCCAAAUGCAUUUAUGGGAUUUAAAUAUCUUAUUUUCAUUCUUUGUUCGAAGUUUUAGAUGUGGGCUUAGAUUGCGUUUGGUAUGUGGGAAUAAGAAUUGAAAUAUGAUGCAAAUAAGAAGAAUUUUUAUUCUCAUUCCUAUUCUAAAAAUAAUCAAAAUACAUUAAUAAAUAAGAAUGUAAAUGAUUUCUCAUUCUCAUUCUUUAUUUCAAAUGUGAAAGAUAUCGUUUUCAAUAUGAUAUGAUAUUCUUGAAUAUUAUACCUAAUAAAAAUGAUAUUAUUGAAUGAGAUAUGUUAUAUUAUCUUUAUGUUAAGAAAAAAAAUGGAAUGAAAAGCAUACUACAUGUCAAUAUUUGAUUUUAAAAAAAUAAAAAAAUAUAGUUCAUCCGAAUAUUUGUUCUUAAAAAAACAUGUGAAAUUUCUUUCUCUCUCUCUUGCAUUGUUUGAAAAUCAUUUUACAAUUUAUAAUUUAGUGGGUAUUUAUUUAUUUCUUUGUUAAUAAAAAAUCACCCUAUACUGUUAAAUAUAUAAAAGAAUUAUUUAUAUGUUAAAUAAUAUUAUAUAUUAAUAUUAUUUUAGGUCAUGUUAUAUAUAAUUUUUUAGUUCUUUUUUUUUGAACUAAAAGUUUAAUUUUUAUAGUCAAAUUUUCUGGUUAUUCAAAAUAAAAAUAUAAAAAAAAGUUGAAAUAUGGGGGGAGAAGUUAUUUGUAGAAAAAUAUUUUAGGUUUGAUAAGUUAUUUAAUUGCUUCCUCUAUUUCGUGUUAAGCAAGGGGAUAUCUCAUCUUAUCCCUUUGCUAACCAAAUAUGGUCAUAUUUCAAAUAAUUGUUCAAUAUGAUAUGUAUCAGCGAUCAUGACCAUGAUGAAUCCAAUACCCAAGUUGGUAUCUGCCAUUUACUAAUAAGCCAAUUUUAACUCAAAUAUUCACUUCAUCAACUCAAGAUACAACUUACAGUUACAACACAAAAAAUUCAAACCGAUAUGUCUUGGGACUUGUCGAGUCAACACCCAAUACCAUGACUAUGAAUCAUGAAUAUGAGAUAUAUAUAUCAUAUCUUAUCCCUUUUCUUAUUUUAUUUCAUGCAAUAUCCGGUCCAACCAACUAAAUACGAUCUAAAAGCAGUUGAGACUGAUAAAUCUUUAUUUAUCCAAAUUGGAUCUUGAAAUCCUUGCUCAUUGUUAAUGAUACAAAAUGCUUAAGUGAAGUUGACUCUUGGAGUUUUAAUUUAUUGAUAUAAUUAGAAAAUUUGAUUGUCACUUAGGAGUGAGUUUUAGCUUAUUUAUUAAUUUAUUGUUCAUUUCUUUCUUUGUUCUUUGUCGAAAGAAUCUCCAUCUUCAGCUCGGUCACAACUGGAUCUUUUGGAACAACUCACUUCCACUACACCAUCUCUUGAAGGUAUGUAGUAAACCUUGCUCCAACUCCUAUGUGGUUUACAUAUAUAUCAGCCACCUUGAUUAAUAUGUAAUGAAUCUCAACUAUCUAUACAUUUAUUUGUGGAUCAGGAGGUUAUGAAAGUGAUGGUAUGUCCCGCAAUCUCACCAUCCGUGAUCAGCUUGCGCAGUUGGUUGGGGAGAGAGAUGAUGAUUUCAUCAUUCCAUUGGGGAAGAAUCUAAAGAAAGUGAGUCCCAAGUUCUUAACCAUCUCACAGAAGAGAAACAUCAAGAGACAGGCUUACCUGAAUGAAGUAUCUCAAAGGAAUGAUUCAGUUUUCUUUGCCACCAUAGGAGCUUUUGUGAUUCUUCCACCAAUUAUCAUACUAGGGAUUGCUAUAAUUACUGGUUAUGUGCAGCUUUUUCCUUGACAUAUAUCAUAUAUGUUUAUUAAAUUAAUAUUAUAAAGAAAUUAUAUAGUUUCUUCUUCCAAUUUAUAGAUUUUAUGAUUUUUGUACCUAGCUAUUGAACUAUGAUCUCACAUUCUCAUAAUUAUUUUUUUAAUGUUGGCAUUGGAGAAGGUUAUGAUCAUGAAAGCACAUGGGUGUUAGGAUUUCCUAUUCAAAAAAGAAUAGUCUUCGAUCGGGUUUUGACCAUAUUAUCUAAAAAUUAAUUGGUAUAUAAGGAGGGUUGGUUAAACUUUUUAUGACAUUUGAUAUCACAUUUUACCAAUUGUCUUAAGAGCUACUAUUUAGGUGAUCCAUCAUCGGGUUAAAGAGUUGCAUUAUUGCACCCCAACAUAUUAUUUUUGUUUGUGUUUCAUCAAACAUGAAUGCACACAAAUUGAGUCGAUUUAAAAUGUUCAAGUGAGAUGCUCUGGGUUGCUAAGGCUAUAGUCAGACACUACAGGGGAAGCUUUGGCUUUAUACUUCAUCAUCCGCUCCAUGUACUUUUUAAGUUUCUUAACAAUCUAAAACCCUCAAAGAUGAGCCAUCAAUAGAAUUAGAAUAUAUAUCAAAAUAUAAUGGUUGAAAGCAAAGGCUUAAUGGUAGAAAGCAAAGGCUAAUGGAAAACACUUAAAACUUGGGUACAUGAUAGUACGACUAACAUUCAGAUUGGAGGGCCUUUAGACGUAGCUAAAAUGAUAAAUCAUUACUUUGAAGGUGAAUCUAAGACCUAUGAAUAUGCAUGAAGGUUGCUCUACACAAACUCUCGAGACAAUGAGCUAAAAAUUCAUAGACCGAUUGAGUUCCUUAGAAACUCAAAUCUUAAACGUUCAAAGGUUUGCUAAAGAUAUGUUGUAGUUACAUUUUAUAAAGAAAUAAUUUUGUCUUCUACUAUGUCUUGAAUAAAGUGAUAUAAAAUAUCAAUACGUUUGAUUCUUGAAUGAAGAAAAUAAUUCUUUAUAAUAUCAAUGACAUUGGUAUUAUUGCAUUUUCUCCUCUUAUCACCCCUAAUUUUUAAAAUGAGAUGCCUUUUUAAUUUUAAAAUCAAUCUAUAUAUGGGGUCAAAAUUCAAUGGAUGAAGGAGAUUUUUGACUAAUAGCAUUGUGGUUGUGAUAAGUUCUCAACCUAAUAAUUAUAUCCUUAUUUUUAUUUUCUUUUUUGCCAUUGAGAUAAUGUUGUACCCUUUUGAGGAUCUAAACUUGAAAUUUGAGGAUUGGAAAUUACUUUUGUGGUAAAACCUUCUACGAUGCCGAUUGAAGAGGUCGAAGUGAAUAAGUGUCAAAAUAUUUUACAAAGACUAGUCCAUAGAUUUAAGAUCACCCGAGUUUUUCUCUUCUUUAUUUUUCAACAAUCAAGUUUAGCUGUAUUGCUAUAUACACCAAUACUCUCUCAAUAAUGUAAAUAAUUUAAGUCACAUGAAAAUGAAAUAAAACGAAAUAGCACUUUCCCAAUCAAGAGUUUGAUAACAAUUAAUUUAUCUCAUUAAACUUAUAGCUAGCUACCAUAUUAAAAUAUUAACAUUUCAUCUAAAUAAGUACAGUAAAAUAAACAACAUGCUACCUUUGAAAUGCCAACACUCUCCCAACAUAGUAUAUUAGUCUAUAAAAUGAAAAUGAGAGGGCAUAAAGAUACGUAGACACAUAAAGAUUUAAUGUGGAAGAUCUCUGAAGAGACAAAAAAUAAAUAAAUUAUGGGCCUCCAACCAUUGUAAAAUCCACUAUGAAGAAAAAGAAAAUGUGUACAAGGUUCUACCUUGCCCAAUAACCCUAAUCCUCUAUUGCCUACUAGUCUAGUACUUUCCAAAUUUCAGCUUUGCACCAUCUUCCAGUGAAGCACACUGAGAAUCACUGUCAAGCAUGAUCUCUACCUCCUCUUAAUAUCCAAUCAAGAACAAUAUUGGUUUUAUUUCAACAGAGAAAAAGAUGGAAAUUGAACUGAAUAAGCCUAUUUUCAUUGGAAAAAGUAGUGCUCUCUCUCUCAAUUUUCUGCUCCUGUUAUAGUAUUUUUCCACAACCAAACAUUCUCAAUUUGGAAAAUGAAGUUGAAGUUCAAGGGGUGUCUCUCCAUGGCUGCUCUCCCCAUCUAACCUUAAUCUAGAAAUUUUUCUUUAAAUACUUGUGUAACAUGAUUAAUCCAACAACUUGGAUUUGAUAAAAAAAAUGUAAGAGAAAAAAUAAUUUUGCAUGUUGAUAUAUCAAACUUCGAUUAGGACAAAUAGAUUCAUUAUCAAAUUGCCCUCAAUUUUUAAUAGGAUUGAUUGGACUUAACGUUGGAUCAAUCACACUUUAGCUAUUUGAGACGACUUUUGAAGCUAGGGCAAACCCUUGAGCUUUCAACUAGAUUUUAACCUCAAACUGCUUACCAUUUGCCUCUAGCUUCAAGGCCUACAUGAUGAAUAUUUAAUAUGCAAAAUAGCAAGCAACCAGGGGGAGGAUUUGAAAAUACCAACUUGGGAGUAUAGAACUGAAAAUUUUGACUUGGAAUUGCCAACACACAAAUGACAUUCUCACAUUUUGCUUUCUCAUGCAUUACUUUUGACAUAGGACCAGUUAUGGGAAUCUUGCUUUACCAUUAAACUUUAUAUGGGGCCAUAUUUCCCCUCAUUAGAGGCUAUCAUGUCUCAUUACUUUAUCCUUGUUUAACUUUGACACUUUUGACUGGAAUCCAUUAUUUUAGGUUUGAUUUAUCAUCAAUCCAUGAGCAUAUUUACUAGAUUUUCAAAUGUAUUGCAUUGAAGUUGAGAAGAAAUUUACUUUAUCUGCCCAUAAAUCUACUUCUUAGAGUUCAUAAAUUAUAUUCUGAUGGAUCAAGAUAAUGUUUCUCUGAUGAAUGGCGAAAAAAAAAAAUUAGAAAUUCUUCUUUCCCUCUUGUUUGUCUUGCAUUUGAUUCUCAUCAUCCCUAGUGAAUAGGGUUUAUUUCAAUUUGUGAUAAUCCAGGAAAAAAAAUGCAAAUAUGUUCCUUUAAAUUUCAGAGGCAAGGAAGUGAAUACAUAUCAUAUAACAAGAUAGAAAUUUAGGAUAAGUGGAGAAGACAAGACUGUACCAUAUGAUUAUGCUGCUGUGAUGCCCUAUUUGUUUACAAGAAGACCAAGGAAAAGAAAAGAUGAUAAGGAACUAGCAAACAUUUGUCCUAAAUUAUUGUUGUAAGAUUUCCUUAUAUACAUUAUUUUCUUUUCCUUCACCUUCUUGGGAACCAAACAGGAAGAAGUGCAUUCAAGAAGUGAGUACAUGUCUGGAAACACAUUAAGGUACUAAGAAUAUUCAACUCCAUGUAUGGAGAAUCCUGGAUGCCUCUUAUACACUACCAAGCUUUCAUAUGUAGGCUAGAAAAAUCCCAUAGAGAAAAAUGACAAGAAGGGUGAAAGAAUUUGAUGUUAGAAGAAAAAAGUUGUUAGUUUAGUCGGCUUCUCAACCUUCUUAUUAACAAGGCUCCAUCGCCAAUUCCUUUUUCUUGUCUUUUGGAGAAAUCUGUUGAUUGGUGGGUCCUGUUGGUUCAUUGCCCAGUAUCACUCCUUGCUUUUGUAUGUAUUCCCAUUUUUCUUGGAACAGAUAGAAGGAGGCAAUGAAGGAGAUCUGGAUGGUAAAAAGUAUGGUCCAAACCCUGACACUUUUCCUUGUCUUUCUAUGAUAGGCUUCUAAUCCCGUAUAUAUGUUUAUGAUUCCAAGUAGAGAUAGUGCAGUUCCAAGGAUCCAAUGCGUGAAAAACCAUACACUUCUUCCAUUCGUUCCCCUGUAGAAAUAGAGAAAAAGACAGUUAACUCAAAACAUAGUUCCACUCACUGUCUCCCAACACACAUACAUCGUUUGUCCAAGAUGCUGAAAGUAAACCCGAAAUUAUGUUUGAAUUCAUCAUCAUAUUGACUUAAAAAAACAUUUACGAAAUUGAAUUAAAUCUUGGUGAGAACUGGUGGAGUCAAGUGAAUUACGAAGACUGAUCAAGUUGAGAAAAAGUUCACUAACUUGAGAUGAAGUCUUACCUCUGUGGACGAAAAAAACCGAUCAAGGCUGGUAACCAUAUGAUGCCAUACAGGGCUAAUCCUAAUCUCUGAUGAUGAUUGUUGAAGGCGUUCUCGAAGUUCUUUAUGGACAUAAUUGCUCCUGCUGUUACAAGAAGUACUGAAACAAUCUGGUUUAACACACAAAUAUAAGCUUGAUCAGUAGAAAAUCACAUACCUACACUCAAUGGUUUAAUAAUGAACUUCACUUGUUGUGAUUUGUGAAUGAAUCAAUGCAACACCUAAUCUCAUUAUUACAAUCUUGGUAUAGGCUUGUUCCCCAUAGCAGAAGAAGAAAAUAUAGAUCUGUUGUGAACUAGAGAUUUUUAAUAGCUGCUUUUUCUUUCUCUCCAAGCAUUCAUGAUAAUCUUUGGUGGAUUAAAGCUAAAUUUGUGUUGAUUAGCUGGCAAGAAACUGUGGGCUGGUUAAAAUAUUUGCAAAUCCAGACUAGUUUUUGCUUUUAUUUCUCUUUUGGCAUACCAUUAAAGGUCAAAAGUGGGGUAUCUUCAUCUAAUAAACAAAGUUGAAAGGUUUGAUGAUAGCUUUGUUAACUCUUGAGAGACUUGUAUGAUCAUUUGAAAGGAGAAAUGAAAAUAAUAUUUAGAGAACUUCUGCUGUUAAUUUUGGGGGUUGUUUGGAGCCAUAAAAAAUGAGAUGAACUUGCCUGUAAUGCAGCAUGGACAUAGACAAGAAUUUUGAGCCUCCUUCUACAUUCCUCUGUCUUUGACAUUCUGAUGAUAAGUAUCCCAACAGGCAUCAGAAACCCCAUUGAAGCCCAGAGGAGGAACCCAUGAACCGUGGCUUCAAAUGUCAGUUGAGGACUCAACUGUGAUUAUAAUUAAGCAAGAACCGUUUAGCUUUUUCCCGGAAGAUUUACAGAGACAAGCAUUUAAGAACUGGAAGAUUAGCAGGGUUUCUUCAUGAGUUACAAAGAUAUUAGAAAGCAAAGCUUAAAGGUAAAAGAGAAUCCCAUUGUUUGAAACAGAAGACUCAAAAAGAGAGGAGGUGCAGAGAAUAUUGAAUCGGUACCUUUGGAUUGUUAUCGUUGCCUGUACAAUUUCCAACCUGAUUGGCUUGUUCCUGAGAUGAGACAAGGGAAGGUAGAAGAACAAGAAGAAACGUUAAGGACACCACCUUCAGUAAAAUUUCCAUAACGCUCUUGAAAGCCAAGAAUUCCCAGCUACAAACUAAAUGAUUCUAGUGUAUCUGCAGAGCAAGAAUCAAAAUACAAGAGCAAUAAGGUGUUCUCUAUAGAUUCAAGCAAGGAAGCGGGCUCAGCUACAUGAUUUCUGGGGAAGCAAACAUCCUUUUUGUUCUCCAAAAAAGCUGUCAGUCAGCACUGAACCCUUUCUCCGAGGAAUGAAAAACAGUCCCAUUCAUACUAAACUAAAGUUGAUGAAGAUUUAGCCUAGAGAAACUGCAUUCUCUCUGAGUGUUAAAUAAGCUAACAUUGCAUUGCAUUAAGUUGGAUGGUUAGGUGAGAAGUUUUGGGGAGAAAGGGUGAAUGGGCAUAGAUUGCAGUUUUCAACCAUGUGGGGUUCACAUGCAGAGACUUUUUUUCUUUUUUCUUUUUGGUUGAAUGGGAGGAGAUUGUGGGAUUUCAGAGCAGAAGGAUAGUCGGAUUUCAAUGGAGGGAGAUAUUUGAAAAGAAGGGUUCUAAGUGGAGUAUCACGUGGUAGGAUACACUAGUCUGCCAUACAGCGUCUUGUGUUCUUCUAGUAGUACUAGUGGGUGGUUAUGCACUAUAAUACUAUGCUUGAAUAUAUUCACAUAAAAUAAGGAGUACGUUCUGGCUACAUUUCCAACACAUUUCUAGGGAUAAUGACAUAUUUGAAUAAAAGCCCCAUAUGUUUGAAUGGAUAGAUGCGAUAUAUCAUCAAUUCAUGUAAAGUUGAGAUUGAUUGUAAAAAUUCCAAGCUUUUGAAAACUUCGGUUUCUUUCGUAUCAUCAACACAAUAAUUAGGUUGUGUUAAAUUCAAUAAGAUGGUUUAAAAGAAAGAAAAAAGUCAUUAGCUUAUCUAUCAAGUUGUGAAAAAGAUUCAACAAAAGAUAGAAACAAAUCAACUAUUUGUUUUACGUCAAGUAAUACGUGGAAUAACUCCCAAUAUAGUAUUAAAAGUAAGAUGUAUAGGCGAAUUGACUCAUCAAGUUUCCAUUGAAAUAGGAUCUACAUAAGGAAAAGUACUUGUCAUUUGUUGAUUAAUAGGAGCAUAACGAAAAACGUCGAAAUCGAAAUAUGUCUUUCAAAUUAAGUUUUGAAUUAGUGGAUGUUGCUUAAGGGAGUGGGAUGUCAUAUGUAAAAAGGAAUAGACUUAUAGAAUGAUGUAGACAAAUAGAGCUUUUGCACAUUUUUGUUAACCCAUGAGCAAUAUCUAUCAUCUAUAUAGACAUAUAGAGCCAUCACUAGUGAUUUUGGAAGAGUCAAAACUAUUUUUUAAAUUAUGUUUAACUCCUCAAAAGUGUUAAAAAAAACAACAACAACAACAAUAAAAUAAUAAUAAUAACUUUAUUAGGAGAAAAAAUAUUUUAAAAAAAGUGAAAGAAAAUUCUAAAUGAUUUUCCUAUAACGAAAAGAUUAAAACAUUUGAGAAAAAUACAUUCUUGAUGAAUUUAAUUUAUUUUUUCUUUAAUAUUUUAUCUACAAUAAAAGAAUAAUUUUAUAGUUACUCCUCCUAUCUUUUGCUUUUUAUUUUAUUUUUAUUUUUUUUCUUUGAAACUUUUCAAGAAUCAAACAACCUUACAAUUUGAAAGCAUUUCCUAGAAAAUUAAAAACUUGUUUGGUAAUGAUUUUCGAAUUAAACAUUUUGAAAAAUAGCUUUUAAAAAUUAUUCUCUGAUUUAUAGAGCAAAAUAAUUUGUGAAACUUAAAAUAUUUUAAAUCUAUUUUUAAUAUUUUUAAAAAUAAUUUUUAUGUCUUGUAUUUUAUAUUUAAUUAUUUUAUAUAUUUGUAUAAUUAUUUUUUAAAACAGUCCUUGGUGAAAAUAAUAAAAAACAACUAAAAAAAUAUUUUAUGGAAACACCGUGUUUUUUAUUCUUAAGAAAAAAAUAAAAAAUAGUUUUUAGAUGUGAAAUGUGUUUUCUGUAUUUUUUAUUUUAGAAAAUAAAAAACUAUUUUUAAAAAACAGUUUCCAAAAUAUUUUAGAACCACUUUUAAAAUUUAAAUAAUUAGUUAAUAUAAUUAGCUAACCAGGUUCCUUUCCAAGUUGAUAUUUCUUAUUCCAUAUAUAUUAUCAUGAAAUUAAUGUCUACUGAUUCAUGCUGGAAGCCAUUUUGAAAAACACCAGUGAGAAAAGCAUUAAAGGAUGAAAACAAUUUCUCCAAAGCAAUUCCGGACCGCCUGAGAAUCCCAUCACACAACAAACGCAAUCUAGAAGAGCAGGGCAAGAGAUUCUGAGGGAGGAGUAAAAGACAGGUGGACCAAACACGACUUUAUCUCAAACCGACUUUUUCGUGUCUGGGAAAUCCAACAGUGCUUGCCACAAAAGCUGCUUGUGGCCACCCCAUUAUAAAAAAUUGAAAAAAAAAUAUUGCAAUUGAUUUUCCUGCAACUCAUGAUGAUGAUUUGGACCUACGUUGUUAUCAUAUAUUCUUGUAUACACUUUUCGUGUGUGGACAAUCCAAAAGACUUGGCAAUAUAAUAUGUAUGAGGUCCAGCCAUGCAUCCAGUGGAUGUGGAUCUUAAGUUCUUAACCCACUAAAAAGUGUGAAAAGAAUAAUAUCAUCCCAUGACCAUGGCUGCCUACAUGGAUUGAAAAGAUUUGAUUUCACAAACUCCCAUAUAAUUACUUAGGAUUACUCUCUACUCUUCCGAUUGUUUGGGUGUAAGGAAAAAUGGAAAGUGUUUUUUCAUUUUUCAUCUAUUAUUACAUGCAUUUCAAUGAAUUAUUAACAUUAUAAUAAAAAUAAAAAUUAAGGUCAUUGGUAAUUGUUUUAAAAAAUAGUUUUUUUAUUGUAGAAAAAAAAAACAUGUUUCAAAACUAGAAAACGGUUUUCUCUUUUUAAAAAUAGAAAAUAUGGUAUUUUCCAAAGAUCAUCUUUCAAUUAUUUUCUGAAAGCUAUUUAAAAAAAUAAUUAUAUAACUAUGUAAAAUAACUAAAAAUAUAACAUUACAUAUAGAAGUUAUUUUUAAAAAUAUAGAAGAUAUGUUAAAAAUAUAUCAUGUUCCCAAACAUAUAGACCCUAUUUGGUAAUUGUUUUUAAAAAUAAAAAACAAUUUUUGAAAAUUGUUCUUUGAUGUUUUAUAGAAUAAAAGUCUAUUUGAAAACUUGAAAUAUUUUUAAUAUAUUUUUAAUAUUUUUAAAUAUGUUUUAAAAAUAAUUUGUAUAUCUAAUGCUUUAUUUUUAAUCACUCCACAUAUUUGUAUAAUUAUUUUUUAAAACAUCCUUUAAAAAACAAAUGAAAAUAACUUUAAAAAAACUAAAAAAUGUUAUAUAAAAAUACCAUAUUUUCAAAUUUAAAAACAAAAAAUAGAAAACAGUUUUUUUUAUUGUCAAACAUACUUUUCUGUAUUUUGUUUUAGAGAAUAGAAAAUUGUUCUAAAAAAUAGUUGGCAAAUAAAGUUAUAUUUAUUUUAUAAAACAUUAGAAGACAGCUUUUAAAAACUAUUUUUAAGAAUUGUUUUAGAAAAUAAUUAUCAUAUAGACCCUUAUUCCUUAUUCCCGUUAAAAAACAAAACUCACUCAUGAAUUAGGAUUUUUUUGUCGUUUCGUUCUUAUUCUCAUUCAUAUUCCUAAUCCUAUCUACUCUCAAAAUUCAUUAACAGCCUAGAAUUGGAUUAGUUCAAAAUGUGACAUGUUAUUAUAAUCACAAUUGUCCACCAUAUAAUCAUGAUUUAAGAGCUUGACAAAAUUUUGGAUAUAACAUUUCAACUAAAAUGGGGACAUUUAGUUGAAAACAAGUGUCAAAAGAUGAUGAUAAAGUGAAGUCCUCAAGCACUCAGCUGAAUUUGAGAAAGUAGUAGGUCUUUCAGGCCACAAAGAAAACCAAUCACCUCUCAGUGAAAACGUUUGUUUGACAAACUGUCUUUGGAGGAUGAUCAAAAGGUGUCUUAAGAAAAGGCUUCAUUGAUGAAUCUAACAACCCCUAUUUUGAAGUAAAAAUGGAGAAAUUUUGAUUAAAAUUUGUUGGGGUUUCAUCCAUUUGUGCAAAGAAGAUGCGACAAUGUGAUAAUCAAUGAGUGUGGGAUUUUCAACCAACUGGGGUCGAUUAUUGACAAAAGUAGCAAGAGCAAUGGUCAAUAAAGCAGUCAUUACUUGUUUUUUUAUUUGACUCCUUUUCCUUUUCUCUAAACAGAAAGCACAUUUCCUUUUCUUCUCUUGUUAGGUGAGGAACAGUGCAUGAUGAUUUUCAUAGCCAUCAACUUCCAUAUUCAUUGCAUGGCCACAUAGAUGGAAUAGCCCAAACGUUGAGUAUAGGUAGAGAUGAUCAACCUACUAGUUGAUAUAGUUUAACUUAGAAUGAAAAUGAUAAAAAGAACUAAAUAUGUAGAAGAUGAUCAUUAUGGGAACUGCAAAUGACUUUCAUUAAGAGUCUGUUUGGUAAUACUUUUAAGUAUUUUGAAUAAAUGUAUUGUCAAAUGCAUUUUAAUUACAAUGUAAUUCUGAUUCCAAAACUAAUACCCGAUUGUCUUAAUAUUAUUAGAUAACAAAGACAAACCUCGUACCACCUUUUGAUCAACUUGUUAUCUAACACCUUAUAGCCUUGGGUAAUGGAUGUAUAAAGUCUCAAUAAGGCUUUUACGGGUUACAUUCUUGUAUGCUUUUUCCCUGUCUAGGGGGUGCCUUUUCUAUCGGUAAUCAUUUUGGUCAUGUACACGAUCAUAAAGGAUAUACUAAUUAUCAAGAAGCGUAUGGGCACUUGAGGCCUACCCAAUAUUUGGAAACACAAAAGGGGACACCUCUCAUACUGCUGAACUUUAACCACAUGAAUGAAGUAUGCCAUAUAUGAAUGUAGAUGACCAUCAAGGCAACAACUGAUGAUCAUUUUAUCAUCAAUCUUGGCCCCCAACUCUUUCUUUAAUUCUCCAUUCCAAUAGCAAUAAUGAUACACAACAACAUCCACAUAUUUCAUCAUUGAGUCAUGUAGGUUUCUGAUAAUUAAUUUACUAUGGUUUUUUUCAUUAUUGUUAGGUGUUUAUCGUCUUAAUGAACUCGCAAAAGUAUCCGGUUGGCUCGUUGCGGUUGGGAUGAACAUUGAGGGGGGUUAAUUAACUUUGACGGUGGCAUAAUUUAGGGACUUGAGAGGGCUUUUGAAUUCUUGAAAGUUGGAAUUAUUUCUCAUCAUUUGCUUAAGUUAAGAUGUGAUUAUCGUUUUGUAAAGCCGAUAUUAUUUUAUCAACCCAAUGGCAGAUGAAUGAAUCUUCUUUGGCUGCAAAUCUCUAUCAGUUUUAGGAUUCCUUGAAAUGAUGUGCUUUAAGUUUGUAUUUUCCCUCCCCUUGGUGCUCUAUCUAUAUCAAAUGGAUCUAUCAAAUUUUAAUAGCUAGGGUCUCACAUGUAUUUAAUUGGAAUAAUUACCAUAUCAAGUAUUGAUCUGCUUCAACUUACCAUGCAUGGAGAACAUUAAUUUUUCUAUAUACUUGCAUAAUCAUUAUUGACUUGAGAGGCUUUUGAAUUCCUUAAAGUUGAAAUUAUAUCUCAUCAAUGGCUUCGGGUAAGAUGUGAUCAUUGUAUCAUGAAGUUGACAUUUCAUUUAACCUAAUGGAAAAUUGGACAUGGCUUCUAGAUCAAUUCCAUUGCACCUGACUGGUCAUCUAUGCCAUCCUCUAGGUUUUCUCUAUUUUAAAUUGAGUUUGCUUAGUUGUGCAAUGACAUCAUUUUUUGGAUUUUAUGGAAUGAUGUGCUUAAGCUUGCUUAUUUUCCAUACACCACCUGGCUAGUUGGCCAGCUAUAUUACAUAUAUGGAUUGACCCGUUGGAAAAUCUCCAAAAUUCAUAUAUAUAUAUAUAUAUAUAUAUAUAUAUAUAUAUAUAUUAAAAGAAUAUUAUAUAUAAUAUUUCCUAUAUUCAUAUGUCAUCGUAAUAUUAGACUUUUAAUAAAAUAAAGAAAAUUAUUUAAAAUAUAUUUAUAAAUAUUUUAAGUCAUGAGGAGAAAAUAUUAUAAGAUAUUAAUAGUCUUGCAUAAACCAUACUUUAUUAAUAAAGAUGUGAGGAAGAAUAUAAGAUACUCGAUGGAAUGAAGGAGCUCGUAGUUUAGGGUGUAAAUACAAGAAGUGGGGAAAUAUAAAAUGUUUCAAGCCAAUUUAGACUAAAACUUAAUGCUCUACUUUAUGGGUAAUUAUUUAGAUUUGUAUGUGGACUUUAUAUAUAAUUGUUAAAUUAAUAUGAGAUGAGGUUUGAACUCAUGACUUUUAAGGAGGACAAUCAUCUCAAAGCUUAUAUAUAGGCUUAAUAAAUUGGAGGAUCAUAUAUUGAGGUUUGAAUUCAUGAAUUUUUGAAAUUUUAAUACAUGUCAAAUUAAGUUUGUAAUUAAAUUAAAAGCUUUAGUCUUUAGUUACUAGGUUAUGGUCAAGGUUUUAAAAACCAAAUCGAACUGAUUAGUCCGACCAUCGAUCGAUCGUAGUUCUAAUUCGGUUCGACCCUUUGAACCAACCACCCUUUGAAUCGACAUCAAACUGUCGGAACCUACGGUCAAACCGGUGAACUAGCCCAUUCUCCCCUAACCAAAUGGUUCAAAAGCUGUUAUUUUUCCCCAUCAAAACGACAUUGUUUUGGGUCAAAGCCCUUACCCCCGUAACAAAACCCUAUGUUGUUGCUACCCCCUUACUUCUUAAUUCUCCCUUUCCAUGCUCCAGUUGCAGGCUGCUGCUUUAGGUCCACCACGGAUGCCGAUGCUGCUGGCCAACGGGGACGUUGUCGACAGCCUGACGACUACACCGCUGACAGCCCUCAGACAAUGAUAAGCAUUUCUCCAUUUUCUUUAUAUCUUAUAUUUCUAUUUACUUUAUUCUCAUUUUAUUUAUUUUAGUUUUACAUUUGUAAUUCGUUUAACUUUUUUAUUUUUAAAAUUUGUUAUUUGAAUUUAAAUUAAUGAAAUCAUUCAAAACAUUAGGAAUUAAAAUAAAUUUCUAGAAACAAUCAAAUGUGUCCCCGUUUUUAAAUAAUUUUAAAUAAAUAUAAAAUUUUCAAUUUUAAAAUAAUUUUAUAAUUUAAAAAUAACAUUUAAAAUUUCUAAUUUUAAAUUAAAAACCUAUUUUUAAUCCAAAUUUCUUAUUUGAAAGUAAUUUAUAAACUAAUAUAUAUAAAAUCCUUAUUUUUUAAAAUUAUUUUUAAUUUUAAUAAUAUACAACAUGAUGUCACCAAUUCGACCAUAGUUCAAUAGUCGAUCCAAUCAAUGAACCGUGAAUCGAUAACUUUUUUUAUUCAAUAACCGGUCUGAUUUUAAAGCAUUGAUUAAUAAACAUGUAAUGAUAAUUAAAAUCCAUUGAUGGCCUGAUCGAUUAUGAAAUGCUUUGUCACAGUCACAAAGAAUAUUAACUUGAGACCUAGUAAUUAGUAAAAGACAAGAAUUAAAAAACACAGAUAAUCCCAAUCCAAACUAGCAAAAGGAGACAUCUCAUUUUUCUAAUCCCACCAAUCCACCAACUCAACUGAUUAUUCUGUCAUCAGUCCUGGCACCAACCCUUUCUUCCAGGACUCCAUUUCACUAGCAAUGAUGAUGGGGGACACUUGGUGACUGAGUAUCUGCUUUUGUUAAGAAAUGACCAUUACUUUACUACAUACUUUUACAUUGUUAUUGGUUAGUUAUCACCAUUAAUCAUGCAACUUUCCCUUAAUCAACCUAGUUGCAGUCGAGAUGAUCAGUCUUUUCUUUUUGCUAGUAGAGGAAAAAGGGCCUUGGCACCCAAAGUUUCCGGAAAUCAAGGGGCAAUGGUAAUCAUGAUUUUAUCAGAUCUAAGGUUUUUAAGGAUCUGAUAAGCUUUUGAAAUCUUCAAAGUUGGAUUUAUUUUUAAUCAAUGGCUUUCUUGAAGACAUGUUUUUUGUUUUGUAAAGUUGAUAUCCAUGUAAAAGAAAAGGUAAUGAGAAAUAACUCAUAAAUACAAGGUUUUGGCUAUAAUAUCGAAGACUUGACUAUAAAAAAAGUGUAACCAAUUAGGUUGGAUUAUGGGUAUACUUAGGUCUCAUUACUUUGUACUUUAGUAUCAUUUUUUAUACCUAGUCUUAUCUUUUGUACUUUAAUCUCAUUGUUUGUAUAUUCGUCUAAAUAUCGGAUUAAAUUUUUCAUUCAUUUUUCAAUGAAGAUUAAGAGCUUGGUGGGUGCCUCUUUAAUGCCUUAGUUUUUUUUCCUAAGUACAAUUGGACAGUCAUAGAAAAUGACUUAUGAACAAUGCCUCUCAACAAAACAUAAAAUUUGUCAUUUGGCUGUGAAAUUAAUUUUUUGAAAUAAAAUUAUUCAUGACAAAACAUUACUUUUUCAUGUCAAAUCAUUAAUUUCCUUUUACAAUAAACUUUGCCAAAAAAGAAUAAAAGUGUUAGCAAAAGGAAACAAUUUAUCUUGAGUGUAUUCAUGAUAAAAACUAUAUUACAUUCAAAAACCCAUUUUAAAACUCUCACUAAAGCAUUAUUUUAUACUCAAUAAUUUAUACAAAAUAAACUAUAUAUAUGUUAUUGAAAUUAGAUAUUAGAAAAUAUAAUAUAAUUUAUUGUUUAUUUUAAUACCAAAUAAUUUUGAUGUUAAUAAUUAUAAAACAAUUUAUCAUUCAAUCCGAAAAAUAUUUUUAUUCAUUAAAUUAAAAUACUUUAAUAUUAAAGAGACAAUAUUUCAAAAUUUAUUUAUUUAUUUAUUAAAAAAAUUACUAUCUUCAUUAAAAAGACCAAGUCAUGGGAAAUGUUACCCUAAUAUUAGAAAAUAAAUGUCAUCUAAAAAGCAAGGAUUGUUUUUAUGCACUUGAGUUUAGAAAUAAUUUCAUUUUAGUUUCUAGUUUAAAUAGUUGUAAUUAUUUAGUUUAUUUCAAUAAAAAAAUGUUUAUAAGAAAAAACAAUUCAUUUAUUUGCUCAAGCCCAUUGGUUGAUAAUCUUUAUCACAUUACUCUUUCCUAUAUUUUACCCAAUGUUGAGCAUAAUCAAAUUUCAUUGAAGAGGAAAGUACUGAACACUAAUCAAAUUUUCAUUUGGCAUCUUCACAUAAGUCAUAUUAAUCUAAAUAGGAUCUAAAGAUUAGUUGAAUUUGGAUCGUUGCACUUUUUGAUUCUAGUUCUAGUAUGUGAAUCCUAUAUAAAAAGUAAAAUUACCAAAAACUCAUCUACAACUAAAGGACAUAAAACCAAAGAAUAUUUAGAGUUAGUGUAUACUUAUGUAUGUGAUCCUUUUAAUAUUCAUGCAUGUGAAGAGUAUGAGUAUUUUAUCAUCUUUAUUGAUUAUUACUCUAAGUAUUGUUAUGUUGACCUUAUGCAUAGAAAAUCCAAUGUCUUGGAGAAAUUCAAGAAAUUUAAAUUGGAAUCGAAAAAGCAAUUAGGUAAACACCUCAAGGCACAUUGACUAGAUUGAAGUGGUGAGUACAUGUUUGAUGUGUUUGAUUCUUGCCUUAAAAAGCAUCUAAUUAUAUCUUAAUUGAGUAUUGUUAGAACCCUAUAGAAGAAUAGAGUGGUAGAAAGAUAAAAUCAAACUCUAAUGGACAUGGUGAGAUUGAUGAUGAGUUUCCUAACUCUCACUACAUCCUUUUAGGGACAUGCCUUGGAAACUGUAGGAUACCUUCUUAAUUUAAUUCCUUCUAAAUCUAUACCUUUGAAUCCUAUGAAAAUAUGGAUGGGUUGUAAACUUAGGUUACAUCAUGUUUGCAUAUGGGGAUGUCUAGUACAUGUGCUAAAGUCAAAAGUAGAUAAGUUGGAAUUAAGGUCAGAAGUUUAUCAAUUUAUAAGAUAUCCAAAAGGAACAAAUUAAGGGUUAUUAUUUUAUUAGUAGGACCGACCAGAAGGCAUUGCUAGCACAAAUGUUAUAUUUCUAGAAGAAGAUCAUAAGGUAAGUAAUAAGUCUAAGAGUAAUGUCAAUUGGAAAGCCCUAGAGGCCAAACCCAUGAUAACACAUAAUACCAUGGAGUUGAUGGUACCUACACCUAUCAUUCUUGACAAUUCUUAUACACGAAUGCCUUGUCGUAGUGGAAGGAUUGUUUCACAACCAAAUCGAUCAUGUAUUUGGGAGGCAAUUCCAAUGGAAUAUGAUAUUGAUCCCAUAGAUUACAAUGAAUCCAUGAGUGAUAUGGAUGCUCAUUUAUGGCAAGAAGCUUUGGAGAUAGAGUUAGAAUCUAUGUAUUUUAACAAAGUCUAGGAACUUGUAGAAACACCUCAAGGAAUAAUACCCAUUGGGCGCAAGAGGGUCUACAAGGAAAAAAAGAAGAGUAAAUGGAAGGGUUGAGACAUAUAAGGUUACAAUUGUAGUAAAAGGUUAUAGAGAGAAUUUUACUAUUCUCAUGUGCCAAUGUUUAUGAGAUGGCCAUUGAAAGGAAAACCUUUAAGAUUUGUACCAUCCUCUUUGUCAAUUGGAAUUGAUCUGAGAACAUCCAAAUUAUAUGUAACGUUUUUUGAGCACCUAGAUCUAAAGUUUUUAUUUUAUUUUAUUUUUACUCCUUUUAUUGUUGAGAUCUAAUCUGCCUAGCUAGUAUUAUAGAUGCAUGAACCCUAAUGAUAUAGGGCUUGGAAUGGAGUAAUUUAGAUAUUCUAACAUAUACAACAUUAGACUCAUCCAAAUACAAAUCAUGUUGGAAAAACCUAUUUAAUUGGAAUGCACAUGAUGUCAUGAAAUUGUUAUAUUGGAGUCUAGUAUCAACCAUCUUAUAAUUAAAGAACUUUGAACCCUAGAAUUUCAUAAUUGCAAGAUUUUCCAUAAAACAUGUAGCUUCUAGACAGUCCCAAGUCUUCUUCACAUUUUCUUUGUUGUUAUAUUGAUCUUAUAGAUUAAUAGUAUAUAGGGGCCCUCUUGAUGCAAAAUAAAAUGGAAUGCUACAGCAUAUGUUGAUAAGAACUAGUAAUAAGGAAGGUGAGAAGUGAGAACUUUUUUUUCUCUAAAUUAAGUUCUAUAUAUUUUGAAUGGCUAGGGCAUUGACCUUAUUUGUAGACAUCAAUGCACCCUUUUAAUUUAGUGCAUAUUUCAUUAUACACCUUUGUGUAUAAUCAUGUGUAGUUAUUGAUAAUAGGUACAAACAGAAAAUGAUACUAUUUAAAGCUAUAAAUCAAGUUGCAAAUUGAACAUAAAACAAUUAGGAGUCUUCAUACUGCCUCGCCUAGUAGUUUUUUCCAUUCAAGAACAGAACUAUAUGCUUUUUCUUUUUUUUGGUUUAUAGCUACCAACUUCUUCUGUAAAGAACCUACAUCCUUUUCUAUGACAUUCAUCUCUUUCUCAACAUGCUUAAUUUUAGCCUUGAUUGGCAGAUGUUCCUUCCUUAUUUGAUCCAAAUCAUUACUGAUAAUCUACAGAAGGAGCAAAAUCAACAAAACAUUAGGUAACAAUCAGCCCAGAAAACCAUUCAUACCCUAACCAAAAGCAUAGGCUAUAGUAAUAUAGUUGAUCAACUGAAUUAUUCAGACCCAUCAAUCUUACUUUGAUAUGGUUUUGUAUAUCUUCUUUUGAACCCAACAAAUGGGAAUUAGCAUUAGAGAGAGCUUUGUCCCUGUCCACUUCAAGCUCUUUGAUGUUUCUAAGGAGCUGCUUUUUCUCAGAGCUGUUUCUCUCCCAUUCCAUCUUGUUGUACAACAUCUUGAUCUGUUUCAACAGGAUCAAAAUAACCCUUGUAAAGGAGGGAGAAAGAAGCCAAUUGAUCACAACCCCAAGCAGCCAACCAUAACCAAAAAAUGAAUUCAAAGUUGUGUCUUACUCUAUAGUUAAGCUCUCUACUGAGAUGCAUGAAUCAACAUCCCUCCUUUGGCUUGCAUCUAUCUUCCUGAGGAGCUGUUUCUCCUCUCCUAAGUUUUUGGCCUUAUGCAGCAUUUUAUAAUGAAAACUCUGAAUUCCAACAGUUCCCAGGAACCAAAAAGAAAGUGCAGACAAAUAGUCAAUAGGGCAGAAAGAAAGAAACUAAACUGAAGUGUGCUUCAUUGUGUAGAGUUUAAUCUUACAAAGGGAUUAAGCCCUUCUGCAGAUGAACAUGAACCGAUAUUCGUCCUGCCUCGGCAUGCUUUGUUUGCAAAACAAAAUCUGUCUAGAGCUAGUUGCAGAGGUUCCAGAUCCUUUCUCUUCAAAACCUGCCUGAUCUUCAACCACUGAUCUGGACAUUUUACAGCCUCCAAUCGGAAAGUGGUCGAGUUCCUAUCUAACUGUUUUAAAAAAUUCAGCAACAUAAAAGUUUUUAUUCACUUCAGUUAAAACAGAUAGAAUCAAAUGGCUUAUGGAUGGAUGAAUAAACCCCACAUGAUCAAAGGCUCUACUACCAUUUUCGAUCUUAGUUUUUCAGCAAUCUGUUGCCCAUCUUGAUUCCAUUUCUGGAUCAUCUUCUCAGCUUCUUCAAUUCUGGCUUUCACGUUAAGGUCUUCAUAUGAUUGAGGGAUUUGCUCCGAGUCAGGCAAUUCAUCCAAAGAAGUAUCCAUGAAGUUGACUUGUGCCACCAUAUCCUCUUCUAUAUGAGAUUUGCUUCCUAGAUUUCCAUAUUCAGAGGUUUAAUCAUAGUUUCUGAUGCAUAAAGAUGUAAUAAAAGUCUAAGUUGGGUUAUAUAAAAAUUCAUGAUCAAACAAUUCUAAAUAGCCGUAGGUUUCAAUCUGAUAAUUGAAGGUAUGGCAAUUCAUACAGAAUUGAAAUAAUGUAAAUGAACUUACUCAACAUUUAUUCCUAGACGAAUUGAGGUAGCUAAGUACCCAAGCCACAAGAUCUUUGGGAGGAGAGAGAUUCUCAUCUUCAAUGGUUUCAAUUGUCUAAUUAUUUAAAGGGUGAGACCCAACUUGGCCAACAAGGGACUUGCACUCCAAGCGAGCCAAAAGUCAAUUCCCUUCAAAACCAUUUUUAAAUUAACCUUUUCUUCCCCAACAUGGACUCUAUCCAAAUGGGCAAAUCAUUAUUUCAAGGUAAAAAAGAUUUAAGUUAAAUUUAAGAAAAAAUGAAAUUAGAAAUGAUAUGAAUUAAUUAAUAUAAUAAUUUUUUAAAUUUUAAAAUAAUAAAAUACAUAGAUAAAUAAAAUUAAAUAUUAUAAUUUUCUUUUCAUAUUUAAAUAUUAUACAUAUUCUAUUUAAUAAAAUUUGAUAUAUUAAUAUAUUUAUAUUUAUCAUUUAAUUGACAUAUCAAAUAUAAAAAAAUGAAAUGUUGUUAAAAAUUUUAAUUAUGUAUAUUUUUUAAUUUCUUAAAAUUAUUUUUAAUUUUAAUAAAAUAUAAAUUAUAUAUUUAUGACAUCACUGGUUCGAUCGCAAUUCGAUCACUGAUCUGACCAAUGAAUUGUGAAUUAGUAACUUUUCCAGCUCAAUAACUAGUCCACUUCUAAAAACAUUACUAAAAACCCUUUCAGAUGUAAAAAUCUAAAGUCUGUGACGAAAAUUCAAUAAUAUGGAAUAAAAGUAUAUAGAUUUAUCUAAUCCAAAUAUUGCCUACUCCAAGAGUGUUAUAUUAAUCAACAUCUAUACUUUUUCAUCAUAUUUAUGAUGCAACAAUCCCCUAUGCCCAUUAGGAUCACCCCAUGAAAUAAUAUUGAGGCCUAAAGCCUCAAAUCUAUGACCUUUUGCUUUUCCUCCCCAAAAAGACCUUGAAGAUUUCCUAUAACAAUUCUUGAGUAGGAGUUUUAGAACUAAGAAUAAAAAUGGACACUAAGAUUUUUUUUCAAGGGCUCUAACAAAAUAUUUUUCACUUGGUGUUGGUCUAGGAAAACCAAUUUUUUUUUUUUUAUAAAAAUACAAUUUUUUUUUCAUGAUUUAAAAAAAAAAAAAAUCAAGGCAAAAAAAUAAAAAAUAAAAGAUGCAGGGUGCUUGAGUGUCCUACUAGAGUGCAACAAUGUGACUCUCAAGCCAAGGGAUGGGUCACUCAAAACGUUGGCUUUUGAAACCAACCUAUGGGAAAAUGAAAAUAUUGUCAAAUGUUAUAAAUAAUUUAACUUAUUAACCCCAAGAUCUAAAAUCAUGGUUUAGCAUAACAUUCAAGAUACUAAGUAUGGAAAUUGUCAUUUUUAAAUUUCUUAGUUUAAAAAUAAAAGUAGGAGAAAUUAUUAUUUUUAUCACAUUAGUAUAACUCAUGAAAAUAUUAUUUUAAGAAAUUUUCCCAAGCCUAACCUUACUUUUCACAACCCAUUUAAGCAAUUUUGUCAAAAUUUGUUACUUCAUAAUUAAAUUGGAAAAAUUACAUUUUGAUUUACUUGAAAUUAAUUUUUAGGACAAUUUUUUAUUAAAUUCAAAUGAGAUUAUUCCAUAAUUUAAAUUGUAAACUUAAAGUAAAUGGAGAAAUAAAUAAAAUUAAAUGCAAAAUGAGAACACUUACUUUAAAUAUAAUUAUGAUAUUAUUGCUUAAGAAAGUUGGAGGGAACCUGGCAUCGAUACUAGUAUCGGUUUGCUCAGGCGUUUACCUAAGCAAGGUCGAGAUGGCUCAAGGGUGCUUGAAUUGCUCAAUCCUUGUAUGAGCAAAGACAUGAGCAAAAGCAAGAUUGGCUGAGCAAGGCUGGCUAAGUGAGCUAAUUGAGACUAGGGAAGAUCAUGGAUAAACGUGAGGUUGGCUGAGUAAGCUAAGUGAGGCUAGUUUGCUUAAAGCUUUUAAAGCUUGCUCAGGCUGUUUGUUUAGAGAUGUUUGAGUAAAGUCACGGGAAAAUUUUGUGAUUUUAUAUUUUCCAAGAUUUUCCUUGGGCAAUUUUUUAUCCUUCCACAAGCAUUUCUUGAGCAACAUUGUUUUAAGUUUACUUGCAGUUUGCUUAAGUCCUCAAAAUUCUAGGCUCCAAUACACAAUAAGUAACACUUGCUUUCGUUUCAACUUUCUUAUCCUCACAAAAUCAUAGUAGCAAAACACCUUAAUACAACCAAAAAGUUACAACAUCAUCUCAGAUUUUCAAUCUAAUUAAAUAAAGUUCUUCAAGCUCUAGAGAUCUCAUCCUCAUUUCCAUCACCUUGUGCCCCUUCAACCAAAUCUGAAAAUUGGGUUCACAAAAAGGAUGAGCUUACGGCCCAGCAAGGAAAACUUCUAUGUAGAAAUUUAAGCUAUCGUAAACUCCUCUAAACAUUAAACAAAUUUAUACAAUCAAAUAUAACAUUUUCAACACAGCAAGCCAUCAUCAACACCAACUUCAUGUAAGAACCAAUUCAUACUUCCUAAAGUGAUCACCAUAUACCUAUUGGUUGAGCAAACAAAUUUCCUUGAUUUCUCAAAACUAUAACUUGUGAUUCCGGUCUCUUAUCUAGUGAAAUACAUCUAUGCACCAACUUAAUCCCAAUAAAGAUCCUCACAAGGUAUGUUUUGGCUCUUUCACCUUUGGGUACUUUACUUUUCUUCCUUCAGGAGCUCCUACUAGGAGAUUGUUCCCCCAACUUAAUAUCAUUAGGCCACCCUUCUUGAUGUCUUUCCUCAAUUUCCAUCACAUUAAGUGCCAAUUGACAUGUUUUUCUUGCUACACUUCAAUGUUAGUCACUAGUACAAUAAUACACGUGUUUUAAUAAUUAGAACAUCAUAGCUAUUUUAAUCAUCUUUCAUCAAGCCAGGAGUAACAAACUUCAUCACAAUAUGCAUACUUCAACACCAAUGCUUGACAUUAACAUAUAAGAUGAGAAAUGAAUUCUUGUAAGAAGUUUUCCAUAUUAUAUAAACCUUCACAACUAAGCACACAUCAAAUUUUCAAUUUCUCUAUCCUAAAAAUCUAAUAAAAUUUAGAUUUCAAAAUAGAAUAUCCCUUAUCUAAUGUACAAGUUCACCAAAAUUUUAGCUAUCCAAGCCUCCAUUUACUGUUCAUUUAAAUGACAACUUAAAGGAGUUUCAUAUAGGGGAAAAACAUAACAAACUUUCACUUUUAGGUUUUAUGGUGUUCUAAGUUUUUGUUGAAGGCUGCCAACAACCGUAAGUUUAAGCUAGUUGCUAGUUAACUUUAAGCAGCAUUGCUCAUGUUCUUCCUAAAGCCCUUUUUAUUAAACAGGGUUAACCCCAUAUUAGACACCUUUUAGCAGCUUCUUUUUAACUGAAUUUCUUGCAAACAAGUGGCCAACAUAGCUAGUCCAAGUGGCCUUCAUCCAUUGCUCAUUCUCAAUCAAAACAUCUGAGCAUUCUUAGCCACAUAUUCAAAUAAGUAGCUUACUCAGGUGCUAUUCAUUUUCAUAGCUAAAGCAAACAACUCUUACUAAAGAAAGUCUAACCUCAUAAGUCCAUUCAUAAAGCCAUCUUUCAGCGGAGUCUAUGCACUAAUUACAUUGCUAUUUCAUAUGAAGUUGUCCUAAAAUUUUUAACUAUGGAUGCCUUUAAAAUUUUCUUAAAGUAAUACACUUUAAAAACUAAAUAAAUCUUCAUCAAGUUUUUAAGAAAUUCAUAUUAUUACAUGGUCUACACUUACAAAAUACCAAUUGGUUGACAAAUGAGAUGGUCAAAACCUAAUCUAAAAUUGGUGUCAAAGUUAAGGAUCAUGGAUUCUAGUCAUAGUUUGAUUGGGUGAAAAUGGCUUUAUAAGAACAUAACCUCAAUGGCAUGGUUGAUUGAUACAAAGACCAAUUCGUGGUGAAAGGCUUCACUCAAUGCGAAAGGAUUAACGAUAAGGAGACAUUUGCUCUUGUGGCCAAGUUAACUACAGUUUGAUGUUUACUUGUUGUAGUUCUUGUCUGAUAUUGGUCACUUCACCAAAUGGAUGUUCAAAAUGCUAUUCUCCAUGGUGAUUGGCUUGAGGAAGUCUAUAUAUAGUUACCUCUCGACUUUCGUCAAUAGGGGGAUACGCCUAUGGUCUGUCGACUCAACAAAUCACUAUAUGGGCUUAAAUAAGCCUCCCAUAGCUAGUUUUAAAAUUUUCAUAAUACCAUUCAAUAAGAUGGCUUUCAUCAAUCAAGGGAUGACUAUUCACUCACAAAGAUCUUUAGUAAUUUUUUCAUAGCUAUGCUCAUCUAUGUAGAUGACAUGAUCAUAACCGACAAUGAUGAAAAUGCAAUUAUUGUUCUUAAGGAGUCUUUCCACACCAAAUAUUGCAUCAAGGACCUCGACCAAUUAUAAUAUUUCCUUGGUGUUGAAGUUGCUCGUUUUAUUGACAAUAUUUCAAUAUCCCAACGAAAAUACACUCUUAAUAUCUUAGAUGAAGUUUGCUUGCUGAGGGCCAAACCAUUGUCAACACCUAUGGAAGAAAAUAUUAAACUCCUACCCACAAUAGGAGAUCUAUUGAAGAAUCCAUCCAUUUAUAGAAGAUUGGUCGGACGACUCAUUUAUCUUACUAUUACAAGGCUAGCUAGAGAUAAGUUAUUCAAUCCAUAUUUUAAGCCAGUUUAUGCAACAACCAAGAAAGUCUCAUUUAGAUGUUUUUCAUCAUCUUUUAGGAUAUCUCAAAGGUGCACCUGGACAAGGAUUAUAUUUUCUAGCCAAAGGAAAUUUGCUACUAAGGGGAUUUUGAGACGCAAAUUGGGCUUAAUGUUCGAUCAUGAGAUGAGUUGUCACUAGUUAUUGCAUUUUCCUUGGAGGGGCUCUUAUUUCAUGGAGAACCAAGAAACAAACAACAAUGUCAAGCCUUCAGCAAAAUCAUAAUAUCAAGCCAUGGCUUCCAUUACGUGUGAGCUUAUGUGGCUAAAGUAUUUGUUGGAUGACUUGCAAUUAGCUAGAGCACUCAUAACUUGCCAAACUAGUCUAUGACACUGAACUAGCACUUCAUAUUGUUGCUAAUCCAAUUUAUUGUGAACAUACCCAAGCAUAUAGAAAUUAAUCAAUUGUCAUAUUGUUCGAGAACAAAUUCACUCAAGUACCAUAGUAACUGCUCAUGUUUAGGGAUGACAAUAGGACGAGUUUUUUUGGGUAUCCAUCCACCCCUAAUGGGACAGAUCUGAAAUUUAAAUAAACGGGUUUGAGACAAAUUCGAGAUUUUUUUUAAAACUUGGGACGAAUUUGAGUAUUGCCUUGUCCCACCCCAAUUUAUACAUAAAAUUAAUUUUAAAAAUUAGUUUAAUUUAAUUUUUAUUUUUAAUACAUAGAUAAUAAUAAUAAUAAUAAUAAUAAUAAUAAUAAUAAGUUAUAAUAUUACUCCAUGGCUGGCCUUUCAUCCACAAAAUCCUUCAUGAUGAACUUGUCUUCUUCCAUAUCCAUCAAUUCAACCUGAUAUUUUGCUGCAGAAAAAUGAAACUACUAAAAAAAUUAUUUGAUGCUGCAAGCCUGCAAAUAUGCAAUCAAAGCUUAGAAAAUGAGAAAGAUGACCCAAACAUAUGAAGUCAUAAUACGUUUAAUGUUCGAGGCUCUUUCACCCCACGCCAAGCAAGUCAACUCUUUCCAAAACCCCAUGUUUUCCCCUUGUCUACCCCAACUCAUCUUGGCCCAUUUAUCCAGCAAGGCACUUGCAGACUAUUUUCUAUCAAGCAAGGUAGCUAAGCAUGCCUGCUCUAAAUUAAUAUUAGAUGUGCAUUGUGUUAUUAUAUAGGUGAAUUAAUUAAAUUGAGACAAGGAAAAUGUUAUAUAUAUAUAUAUAUAUAUCUUUUGGCUUAAGAUCCCGUGUGUUGCAACCUUUUCCCUUGCCUAGGAGUUUAUGGAAAUUUAAUUCAUGUCCUACUAUAUGUUAAUUAAGGUUAUGUUUGGUCUCUUGUGACCCUUCUUAUUAGCAUCUCUCAGAGCUCCAGAGGCCACAGCUUUCUUUGCAACUGAACAACAAUGAAAUUUAAGGGGAUGCUGAUCAAGAGUUGUUUUCUAAAAAAAUUGUUAAGAUAUUCCAUCUUUCUAUGUUUGCCUUCUUAUUCUGUUGAUGGUUUCAACCAUUCUGAAAAACUAUGCAGAACUAAGGAUACAACUAUGACAAAUGAAUUCAGGUCGGUAAGAAUAAAUCAAGUUGGAAAUGAUUUCAGUUGCUGCUAAGAAGGUGAUAAAUCAAGUUCUUGAAGAGAAGAGGAAAUGGUAAAAAUAAUCUGCAGUCAUCAAUGUAUCUACUUCAGAUAGAAUACUGAUAACUUUCAUAUUUACCAAGUCAACUCUGUCCCAAACAUUUCAUCAUUCAAGGAAUUUUUUUGCAUUGCACAUGCUAUUGUGAAUCAGAAGGAAGCCAUCAUACCCCUUCAUCUUCUUGUUUUCUCAGUUCAAGGAGGUGUUUGUAUGUUACAUCCUUUUCCCGGUAUACAGCUACCAAUUUCUUCUGUAAAGGAAUCAUACACUUAUCUAUGGCCCUCAUCUCUUUCUUAACAUGCCUAAUUUCAGCCUUAACUGACAGGUGCUUCUCCUUUGUUCCAUCCAAAUCAAUGCUGAUAUCCUACAGCAAGAGAAAAUCAAUACAUAGACCUUAGGAGCAUUUCAAAAUAAUUAACAAGUUAAAGAAAAUUCAAGUAAUAUUCACUCAGGAAGACCAUAUUUCUACAGAAUCAGUAAUAUAUAUAGGUUUAAAAAACCAUAUUUGGGGACUGUGGAUCUUACUUUGAUCUUGUUUAGUAUAGCUUCUUUUGAACCCAAAGAAUCCCAAGCCUUUCCCUUCAAGUUAGCAGUAGAGAUCAUGUUGUCUCUUUCCACCUCAAGCUCUUUGAUCUCUCCCAACAGCUGCUUUCUCUCAGCUGAACUUCUUCUUACCCAUAGCAUCCCGGAGUACAAUCCCAUGAUCUGUUGCAAACUCCCAAAUAAAUUAAAAAGAAAAAAAAAAUCUGCAGAAAAAGGGGGAAAAGGUGAAAAGAUCACAAACAAUUUCAAAGGUUAAUCUUACUCUAGAAUUGAGCUUUUUCAUAGACAAGCAUGGAUCAACCGCCCCCGUUUGGCUUACUUUUAUUUCCCUAAGGAGCUUCUUCUCCUCGGCUAUACUUUUGGUCUUAUGCAGCAUUUGGUGAUGAAGACUCUAUAUUCCAAUAGUUCCCAAAAAAAAUGAGAAGGAAAGGGAAAAGGAAGAUUCAAUAGGAAAGAAAAGAAGAAACUGAACUUCUAGCUGCAUUCAUUGUCUAAGUUUAAUCUUACUAAGGUAUUUAGCUCUCCCCCGGAGCAAAUGGUUCCCACUUCGUAUGCUUUGUUCACAGAACACAGUUUGUCUCGAGCUACUUGCAGAGGGUGCAACUCCCCUCUCUUCCAAACAAUACUUCUUUCAAAAUCCUCUUCCCGAUACCUUAGAGUCUUCAACAAUGAAUUCAGCUCGUCUCGAUCUAACUGUUCAAAAUUCAGCAAGACAGAAUUCAAUUCUAUAAUAUACAACAUUAAUUGAUGGUGUAUGCAUGAUUUGAUUAUUUGAUGAAGUGAAAAUGACUUGCAUGGAGCCAACACAAUUUCAGCUUCAUACUAGCUCAAUUAUUACUGUAAAUAUGUGAUGUGCAGAUGCUGUAAGGUAGAAGCCAUUUUGGGGGUACCAAUUUUUUCUUAAGCUUUUCAAUGAUCUGAUCUUCAUCUUGAUCCAAUUUCUCAAUCAUCUUCUCAGUCUCUUCAAUUCCGGUUUUCACAUUCUGGUGUUCACAUGAUUGAAACUUGACUAAAUAAGACUGAUGGAUUUGCCCCAAUACCGGCCAUUCAUCCCUCAAAUUCUUCAUGAUGAAGUUGGCUUCUUCCAUAUUCACCAAUUCAACCUGAUAUUUUAAUGCAAAAAAAUUGAAGUAUGACCAAAAUUAUUUUCUACAAAUAUGCAAUCAAAACUUGAAAUGAACAAUUCAAUAACGACAAAUUAAUAAACAAAGGAAAAGAAAACGCCAAACAACUAAAACUCUAUCAUUAGCACUUUAAUGCAAGGGAUAAAUGAACUUACCGUGAGGCCACAAAAUCUAUGGGGGAAUGAGGAGGGACUCCUAUUUUCAGUGGCUUCAAUGGUAUGGUUGUUAAAGGAGAAGACCCACUUAGACUCCAAGCCAACUUGCACUCCACGCCAAGUAAGUCAACUCAUCCUAGCCUGUUUACCUCGCAAGGCACUUGCAUAUUAUUUUCAGGAAGCAAUGAAAGCGUGCAUGUUGUCAAUUAAUAAUUAGAUGUGCAUUGUACAGUUAGGGUCGGUUACCAAAUAGUAGCUUUUUGCUACACAUAGAAAAUUAAAAUAAAAAUUCAUUGUUUUGUAUCUUUAUAAUGGUCACAUUGUCCUUUUUUUUUUUUAAAUUUCAUUAGUCUUAUUUAUUUUUUGAUUUCGUUUCUUUGCAUUCAAUCUCAUUUCUUUGUACUUUCAUUUAACGAUCUAAAUUUAAUCAUACACUUCAAGGUUUAGAAUUAAACUUUAGUAUAAUAUUAAUUCAGUAUGAUAGAAUUUAAUUUUCUCUAUAUUAUUCAUGAUCAAAGCUAGGACAAUAAGGGUAAAAGAAUUUUUGUAAUCUUGAUAUGAUAAAACUACCUAGAGGCCAUUGAAUAGGUAGUCUAGAAUCGUUCCUAAUAUUAACCUUAAUUUAUUCUCAACUUCUAGUUUGUCUUUCUAAGUUAAUUAUUUAUCAAUGGCUCAAUAAUUCUAUGCAUAUAUAAAUAAAAUCAAUUGUACAAAAGCAUACAAGAUAUAGUAAGGAAAAACACUCAUAACCCUUAAGUGUAAAAAAACCAUAAAUUAUAUCUUGAUCGCUAAAUAAUUGACAAAAUAUGAGAAAAAGAUGCAUAAUUUUUAUCUAAGAUGAUGCAUCUACUCUCUAGAGUCUUAUACCAUCAGCACCUACACCCCUCUCUACUCCCAAAGUAGCACUUUCUUGUGCUCUCUGUCUAAAACCAUAUUUUAGCUCCAUCCAAUUGGAAAUUCAUCUAAAUCAUUUAGAAUUCAUGAUUUUUCGUUCUUUUAGGACAUGUUGAUAUACUUUUUUGGAAGAAGUUGCCAUUUAGAAGAUGCCACAUAUAUGUCUCCUUUUAGGUUAGAGCGCAUAUAUAUUUAUUUUGUCUUAGGGUUUAAAGAGGAAGAAAGAGAGAUAGACCAUGUUUUUUAGCUCUAUAAUUUUGCUUUAGUUUAAUUAAGUUUUAGGUUUUAUUUUCUUUUUAAUCCAAACAUAGGUUGUGAGAAGAAAUCUUCCAAUUUGUUUGGCUAAUUUCAAGUAAUCCAACGAUGCUAACAUGAAGGUGAACAAGAUAAAUGCAAGUUUUUGAUUAGACAAACUAAAAACUAAAUUAACCAAUAUAUCUAAAUUGGUUUAAGAGAUCCAUUUUCCAAACUUAAAAACUUAGUUUUGGAUGUGAAUUUGUCUCAAGACUCAAAUUCAAUCUUAGGUAGACUUUGAUCUUAAAACCUUAGAUUAUAUAGUGCUCUCUCUCAUGAUGGAUUCAACACCAAAUUGUGAAACUUUCAAGAUGCUUUCAUUUUUUUUAAUAUGUUUUAGAAAAUAUUUAUUCAUUCUUUUUGUUCUCUCAUUUAUUUCAAAUUAGAGUUUUAUUUGUUUUAGUAAAUAAUUUCUAUAUAUAUUUCAAUUUUCUUCUUGCUCUAAGCAUCCAUUCAUGGCUUGUGAGAAGACAUUCUUCACUAUGAUUUAGUGAGCUCUUUUGAUCCUAUUGAAAGGCCGAUUGCUUCCUAAGAGAGGAUUCUCAACAAAAAGAGUGCAUAUUCAAGUAAGUAAUGUCAUCCCUAUUCAUAGAUUGAAAUCUCUCAACCAUUUCAAAUAUAAAAUUAAUUCUCUACAAAUCCUUAGAAUAAGGCAUAUAUGAUACUUAUUGGGAUCAUUGAAUGGUUACACUAAGAGGGUUUGAUUCGUUAAUGAUGGAUUUGGUCAGUUACAUGUUAAACCCUUAAGCGAAAAUGUGUGAUCGUAUUAGGAAACUAAGAUCCUACUCUAGUUAAGAUUUGAACUUAGGGUCGUAACUAUCUUUGAACAUUUUAUUCGCUUUAGUUCAUUCUAUCUCACCAUCAUUAAAUUGGGUUAGGUUUUUUUUUCCUUUUUUCUUUUUUAAAUCUAGUUUUAUUAGGUUGCAACAAUAUUUUACCAAUUUAGCAUAAUUAAUUGAAUUAUCAAACCCCGAUAGACCAAACCGCUAUAAUUAUAGCUCUUUAUUUUAUUUUUUAUUUUUUAUUAUUUUUGGGAACAAAAGCCAACAACUUCAAUUUACCAAAAUCAAGUUUUUAUUAUAAUCCCCAAGUCAAACCAACUAGCUAGGAGAUUGACAAUAUCAAACCACCAGUCCCUGGAGGAACCAAAUACAAUUUUCAGCACAACAUAUUGUGUUUUACACUGGAGUUCCAUGUUCAUUCCUGAGACAGGCUUCAAUUAAUUAAUACAGAAACAAGCUUGGAUUCCUCUAGUUUUGAAACUAGAGUCUGAUGAUUUAGUGAAUGAUUUUCCAUUGAAGGCUUGCUUUCCUCACUGGUUUGUUGUGUACUUUGUUGCUUCAAAACAAGUGGUUUGUCUUGGCUUCCUGAUCAUUAAUCCAUCCUUUGAUAAUCUUCUGUUGACAUUCCUCAAGUCUGGCGUGGGCAGCAACAUCCUUCUUUGUAGCAAGUCAUCUGCCAUUAUGCAAAAGUGAAAGAUAUGUAAUGGAAGACAUUAUGAAAGAAUGAAGAAGCAAACAAAAGGCAGCCUGGAAAAAUAGAUACUUCAAGGACAAACAGUUUGCAAUCUCUUCUGAAUUGUGAGUCUAACUAUGCAAUACUUCAAGGUAAUAUAUGGUUUUGCAUAUAAGGUCAGCUGAAGAUGGAUGAACUUUAAGAGGAUGGUCAAGGUCUUUUUGCUAAAAUGAUCAAGUUCAUAGGAGGUUUCCAUGAUUCCUAUUGUGUUACCUGUUCAAACCAUUCUGAAAUUAAACUUAUUCAGAACUACUAGUGAGACAAAGUGAAUUCGGGCUUGUUAGAUGUUCAUCAUGGUUAAUUCAUAUAAAAGAAAUCACAUCAAAUCUUGGCAACGAUUCUAGUUACUGUCUAACAGGAAAGAUGAAUAAAAUUCUUGAACAAAAGGCUAAAGCAUAGUAAAAUUAAUCUCCUGAGAUUCAUCUAAUGUUGUUAACUCUAGAGAACAUACCAAGAACUCGAUGACAAAAGAGGAUGUCAUGUCUUUGUUCUGCAUUGAAUAGUUAGAGAUAGGAUAUUGACUCCAUAUAUAAAACAAGUUACAAAUGAUCAGACCAUAUAAUCAGAUUGGGUCAGCAUACCGCUUUAUCGCAUUGCUUUCGCAGUUCAUUAAGGUGUUUGACUGUUCCUUUCCUUUCUUGGUUUAUAGCUACCAAUCUCUCCUGUAAAGAACCUAUAUACAUCUCCAUGGCCUCCAUCUCUUUCUCAGCCUGUUCAAUUUCAGCCUUAACUGACUGUUGUUUCUUCUUCAUUCCAUCCAAUUCAGUUCUGAUAAGCUACAAUGAGGAAAUUAAAAAUAAAUUAGAGAUCAUGUUGUUCCUUUUCACUAUAAUUGGAACUAAAAAUUUAGGUACUAUUGAUCUUACCUUGAUCUGGGUUUUUAUAGCUUCUUUUGAACCCAAUGAAUCCAAAAUCUUUCCCUUCAAAUUAGCAUUAGAGAUCAUGUUGUCCCUUUUCACUUCAAGUUCUCUGAUCUCUCUGAGGAAGUGCUUUUUCUCAGCUGAACUUCUUCUCUCGCAUUCCAAUGAUUCCAUCCUUUGGUAUGAAGAGUGGAUCUGCUCCAAGAAGACCCCAAAGAGGGGGGAAAAGAAGUCAAAAGCUUACAAAACCAAAAUGGCCAAGUCUUUACUUGUUCACGAAUUCGGAGUUCAAUCUUACACUAUAGUUAAGCUCUUCCAACGAAAGACAUGAACUAACAGCCGUCCUUUGGCUUGCAUUUAUUUCUCUAAGUAGCUGCUUCUCCUCAGCUCAAUUUUUGGUCUUAUGCAGCAUCCUGUGAUGCAAGCUCUGAAUUCCAAAGAAAAACCGAAAAGAUCAAAGGGAAGAAGCAUAGCCAAUAGAGCAGAAAAAAUGAAACUGAGCUCCAACAUAAAUCAUAGAACAAAGUGAAAUUUAAUCUUACAAAAGGAUUAAGUUCUCCCCCAGAAAAGAUAGGUCCAACUUGGUAUGCUUUCUUUCCACAACACAAUUUGUCUAGAGCUACUUGCAGAGGGUCGAGCUGCCUCCUCUUGUAAGCAAUGCUUGCUUUCAGACCCUGAUCCUUGUAGCUUAAACGACUCAAGGACCAACUCAAACAGUUUUGAUGUACCUGUUCAAAAAAUCAGCAAGAUGGAGUACUCUAUAGAUAAAAUAUGAAGCCGACAAAAUUCAAGGUCUGUAGCAAUAUGAUAUAGAAAUGCAGUCAUUUCUGUACCAAUUUUUUCCUCAGUUCUUCGUUGAUCCGAUUACGAUCUUGAUUCCAUUUUUCAACCAGCUUCUGAGCCUCUUUAAAUCUAGCUUUCAAUUUCAGGUGCUGAUCAUGUGAUUGAAAUUUGAGGAAAUGACACUGAUGGAUUUGCUCCUUGGCAGGCAUUUCAUUGGGAGAAUUCUCCAUGAAGUUGGCUUCUUCCAUAUUCAGAAAAAUGGAACUGUGAACAGAAGUAUACAUAUUUUCCGCGAAAAUGAAAUCAAGCUUAGAAAAUGUGAAAGAUGACCCAAAUACAGGUCAGUAUACACAAAAAAUAUGGCCUCAGAUGAAUCUGAAUAGUAUAGUUAACGUUAAAAGGGAGAAGACCCGCUUAGCCAACAAGGCACUUGCACCCCACGCCAACUAAGUCCACUCCUUCCUAACCUUUUAUUUAUUCCUAGCCCAACUCUUGUUCUCCCAACACCAACUUUACUUUCAAAUUUUUUAAUAUAUACCUUGUUAAAGAUUAUUUUUGUCAAAGAGGGCAGCCACAUGUAGCUAUGUUAAAGUUUAUCCAUGGUUUAAGGAAUCGGAUAUUUCGAAAAAAAUAUCGAUGAAAUAUUGAAUAUCCAAGGUGGUCAAAAUGAAAUCGGUUAUCAAUUAUCAAUUAGAAGAAAUUUCGUCAAAAAAUCAAAACUUUCGACAAAAUAUCCUAACAUAUCAAUAAUUUCGAUGAAAAAUUGGGCAUGAGAUGCAUAUGUGAGUGAAGAGGAAUUUAGUGAAAAAAUCGCCCAUAAAUCAACAAAUAAUAGGCAAUUUAUUCAAAAAUCGUCAAUAAAUGAGCAAAUUUUUUAACAUUGCCAUUUUUUUUAAAUCCAUGUUUUUUGUUUUUUAAAUUAUUUUUAAAAUUCAUGUUUUAUUUUAAAUUUAUAUUAACCUCUUAUUUUAUAUUAUUUUGUUCCCUUUAAUUAUUUUUCAUAUUUAUCUCAUUUAUCCUAUUUUUAAAAAUUACUAUCACUUCACUUUUAUUUUUUUUUAUAUUUAUCCUUUUAAUUUUAUUUAAUUUUAAAUGUUUUAUUUUAAAAUAUGAAAAAUAUAAUUUUUUUCAAAAAUUGCCAAAAUGUAAAAAAAAAAAAAUUAAUGAAGUUCUAAUAUUCUAUAAAUUAAAAUUAAUUUGAUAAGAUAAAUUAUUAAUAUAAUUUUUAAUAAUUUUAAUUAUUUAAAUAAAUUAAUGUUAAUAGUAAAAAAUUAUCACCACAAAUUUACAAUAAAAUUUUAAAAGUUAAAUCUUAAAUAAAAUAUUUUAUAUAAAUCAAUUUAAUUUUUAUGUAGAAUAUAAUAAAACAUGUUUUAAUAAAAAUAGUUUUUAAUUUUUAAAAUAAACUAAUAUAAAUAUAUUAAAGAAAUUUAGACUAAUUUUUCUUUGAAAAUUGAUGAAUAUUAUCUUUGAUCAUAUUAUUAAUUACAUUUACAAAAUAAUUAUAAUAUAUGUAUAAUUGCUUAUUUUAUCAUGUUUGAAAGGUUUUUCUAAAGUAUUUUUAUGAAUUUUUAACGAUUCUCGUAAAAUCCAAUUACCGAUAUUGACAUCCGCGGUUAUUUAAGAUUUUAUUUUCAUAGCUAAGUAGCAAUGAACCUGCAGCAAUAAAUCAUAUUGAAUAAUUUUAAAAUCAGCUCUUAAUAAGAGCAUAGCUUCCAUGGGCUGUCACGAGGGUUGUUUUAGCCCACUUUGCUUCAGCUUUCAUGCUUGGUGUUUUUUCGACUUGAUCCAUGUGGAAGACAAUUUAUAGUUGCGAUCAAAUUCAUAAGAAAAGCAGUUUUGACUCACUAAUUUAAAAAAUUAUAUAAAAAAAAUAACCUAAAUUUUUAGAAAUCAAAUUUAUAUUCAUCAGUUUAAAUAUAUUUUAAAAUAUAUACACCUUUUUAUAAUUCAAAUCAUUAUUUAAUCAUUUUAUAUGUCAAUAAUAUUAAUUAAUAAUUUUUUUAAUAUGAGAACUUAUUUGAAAUUAAUAAAAUAAGAAAUUUAAAAAAUUAAAAAUAUAAUUAAAAUUUAAAAAAAUUCAACACUAAAAAUAUAAAAAUAAAAUAUUAACUUUAACUCAAUUAAAAUACUCUAAUAGAAAAUAUAAAUAUAGAGAAAAAUAUAGAAAUACAAUGAGAAUAAAUAUUUUUAAAAAAAAAAAUUAAUUUUAAUUAUAUUUUUAAUUUUUAAAAAUUUUUAUUUUAUUGUUGAUGUCAAUUAACAAAAAUUUUAUUCAAUUUUAUUAAAUAAAACAAGAAGAUGAGGGGAUUUAUAUAAUAUACGAUAUAAAAUCAUUAUUAAUUAGAGGAUAAAAAAGAUUUUAUUUAUCACUUGACAAUCUUGAAGAAUUUUUUUUCACAAUAAUUUGUAUCUCAUAUUAUAUUUAUUUGUAAAACAUUUUUAUCAAAUUAAAAUAACAAAUUAAUUUCAAAAAAAUUUAUUUAAUAUUAUCAUGUAAAAUGGUAUUUCAAUAAAUAAUUAUUUGAGUCAUGAAAAAGCUCAUGUAUAUUUUAAAAUAUUUUUAAAUAAAAAAAUAUAAAACUAAUUAAUAAAAGUUAGGGUUUUUUUUAUAAAUUUUUUCAAUUAUAUUUACGUACACGUAUAAAGUUUGGAUUUUAUAUAUUUAGAUUCUUAGUGUUUUUUUUUUUUUUUUCAAUUUUUGGAUUUUAAAUGAAAAGUAUUUUUUACUUGAAAUAUUUUAAAAUAAGAUAUAUGGUAGGCAUAAUUUAAUGUCACCUUAUAGGAAAUUUCCUAAUCUUGUACUUCUUAUGGUUUGUGGGCCUGACCCGGGCCCAAACCCGUUACUGAUCAUCCGGGCGAUGUGAUGGACGAAUGAUUGACAUUAGCUUUUGGAAGAAUGAAGUCAUUUAAUUUUUGUGUCACUUUGUAUUGAAUUAUUACCGGACUUGAAACUGCUUCGUUUCAUUCCACAUCGAUUCCCUCUGCGAAGUUCUGAUUUUGCCCUGCAAUUCUAGGGUUUGGUUUUAGGAUCAAAAUCUGCGGUUUGUUUCGAAAGCCCUAAAAUCAAUAUUCAAAACGCUAACGUUUCAGAGACCGUACAAUAGCUUUUCCAUGACAACUUAGAGUUUGUUUGGGUUUGAAGAUCAGAAUCUAGCGUUUCAGGAACCCUAGAGUCGAUAUCCGACUUGGUAUGGCGAACGUCUCGGUGGCUGCAGAAUGGCAGCUACUCUACAACAGGUACUACCGGAAGCCGGAAAUCUACCCAAUGCAGUGGAAGCACAUCGACCUCAGUCGAAACAAGGUUGCCGGUGCCCCCUUCGGCGGCCCAAUUGCCGUCAUCCGUGACGACUCCAAGAUCGUCCAGCUCUACGCCGAAUCCGCCCUCCGAAAACUCCGAAUCUUCAACUCCGCCGGCGUCCAAAUCUCCGAAACCGUCUGGAAACACCCUGGCGGCCGCCUCGUCGGCAUGGCGUGGACUGACGAUCAAACUCUCAUCUGCGUAGUUCAAGACGGCACCGUUUUUAGGUACAAUGUUCAUGCUGAGCUCCAAGAGCCGAACAUUUCAAUGGGCAAGGAGUGUUUUGAGCAAAAUGUGGUUGAGUGUGUGUUUUGGGGCAAUGGAAUGGUCUGUAUAACUGAGGCCAAUCAAAUUUUCUGUAUAUCGGAUUUCAAGAAUCCAAAUCCGUGUAAGCUUGCUGACCCAAAUUUGGAUGAGUAUCCGCUUUGUGUAGCGGUGAUCGAGCCGCAGUACACAAUGUCGGGCAAUGUGGAAGUGCUUCUUGCGGUGGAUGAUCUUGUCUUGCUUGUUGAGGAGGAUGGUGUUCAGCAGUUGGGAGCUGGAAUUGGGCCGCUGCAGAAAAUGGUGGUGUCGCGGAAUGGGAAGUUGCUGGCAUCAUUUACACAUGAUGGACGGCUUUUAGUUAUAUCCACAGAUUUUUCGAAGAUCAUUUUUGAGUACAGUUGUGAGGUUGGUUUAUGAUUUUUUGGUUGAAAUGGCUUCGAUAUAAUAUGACCAUAUAUAUAUAUAUAUGCAUGCUUAAAUAGUCUCAUGAAAUGGGAUGCUUUCUUUACUCAUUGAAAAAAAAAAGGUUUCAUGAAAUGGGAUCAUGAAUUAGGGAUAAACUGCCCAACAUAAUAUAUCUUCAUAUGUGAAAUUGUUUGGGUUGGAUCAAUAGAAUGCAAAUUUUAGCACCAUGUUGCCAAGUAUGAAUGUUUUUAUUAAUUUCAAAGCUUGUUACAGAUAUUAUGGAUGAACUGUCUUCAUCUGGGCCUGAUGGGAUCAGUUCUGUAAUUUGUUUGUUUGUUCUAAUUUUUUUCAACUUUCAACAUCCUUGAAAAUCAGCUUAUUCAGUAUAUUGUCAAGCAUCGUCUCUCUUUCUAAUUUUUGGUUUUUAAUGUAUGUAUUAAGUCAUAUAUAUGUGUGUGUCUUUGUAUGUCAACUUAUUUUUAAGGUAAAUUUUUGUCCCCAUUGGGACUUGAACCUGAACGUCCCACAAACCCUCCCCAACCUUUUACCACUUGAGCCAGGCGCUUCAAGGGCCCAACUUAUGUUAGUUCAGUUCAUUUGUUUUCUGUUACGUUCAAAGGAAAAUUAGUUGGAAGGAAUACCAUUACAGAUGAAACAAUACCAUCACAGAAAAAUGAUUCACUAAGGCUGCUAGGGAAAGGAAAAGAAGUUGGAAGGAAUCGAAAAUCUCCAAUUUGGUUUAGCACGGAGAAUACAAAGGAAAAUAAAAUAUAACGAAAAUUAGUUAGAAACUUAUAUAUCUCCAAAUUCUCCAUUCUUUACAAAGGAAAAACAAGAAGAAAUAAAUUUGGGGAGCAUGUGAGGAAAACUUACUAAAAAUUAACGCUAUAUUUGAUUUUUGGAAAAUUUGAGGAAAAAUGAAAAAAUGCUAGGAAAAAAAAAAAGUGUAGAGGAAAAAUAGAAGAAAAGAAAAAGGGAAAGAAAAUAAAAAAUAGAUUUGAAGUUAAUGAAUUAUUUUUGUCUACUUCUUUAAACUCACUUCACUUUUUUUCCCCUCUUUCUGUAUAUAUAUUUGAAAAUAUUUAAGUUUCUGACUAAUUGUAAUUAUAUUUUAUUUUCUUUUAUAUUUUUCAUGAUAAACCAAACAUAAGAAAAUAAUUUUCUUUAACAUUUUUUUCAUUUUCUUAGUGCUUUCUGAGAAUCAAACAUAGCUUAAAUCCAUAUUUUAUUUUUCUUCACUUUUACUUCCCUUCCCUUUUUCUUCUCUAUUUUCUUUCCCUUGUACUUUCCUUCAAAUUUUCCAAGAACUAGAUAGAGGAAAAAGAUUUGAUAGGCGAGGAAAAAGAUUUAAUAGGUCACUUUUUAAAACACCUCUUUUUAGAUAGUUGCUAAGAGAAAUUAAUAGAAUCGCUUAAAUUUUACCAGAAGUGCAAUCAAUCUAUUUCAAAUGCUAUGUGAAACAAAACAGAGUGGUUCCAGCUUUAUUGCACAUUAAACUUUUCUUUACUAUUUCUCUCCAUUUUGAAUCCUCUCUGCUCUUAUUUUUCAUUUUGGCAUUUUAUUUUCAUGUAUACAGUCAGCUCUUCCUCCUGACCAGCUAUCUUGGUGUGGAAUGGAUAGUGUGCUACUUUAUUGGGAUGAUAUGCUUUUGAUGGUGGGUCCUUAUGGGGAUCCAGUGCGCUAUCUUUAUGAUGAACCGAUAAUUCUUAUCCCAGAGUGUGAUGGAGUGAGAAUACUUUCAAAUACAAGCAUGGAAUUUCUGCAACGAGUUCCUGAUUCCACCGUGUCCAUCUUUAAGAUUGGAAGCACGCUACCUGCAGCCUUAUUGUAUGAUGCCUUGGAUCAUUUUGAUCGGCGUAGUGCCAAGGUAAGCCAUUCUUGUAUGCAAAACAGAAUAAGUUAUUUAUUCUUAUGUUAUUUGUACACAUCAUCAAUCAUCAUAAACUCAGUAAGAGCUUCAUAUUUUCUUUCUCAAAAUAUGUCUGUAUCACAAUAUCUUUGAUAUUAACUAGUAUGUGUUAUCUACCUUUUGUUCAUUAAUUUGUAGUAGUAGUUGUUGUAAUUGUGUGUGUGUUUCUCUCUUUUGUGCAUGUCCUUGUACACUCGCAACUUUCAAUAUGGCUUUGUAAAAAACUUGCUUAUUGACCUCUGCUUAUAAGGUUUGAUGGAAAUAUGUCUAGCAGUAUACCUUUAUUAGGUAGUGAUGCAGGAAUUGGGAUUUUAAUUGGAUGAUUUCUAUCUGUGAAGUGAUAUGUAUUAUUAAAUGAUCUGUUAUUUUCCUAGAUUUUGUCUGAGUUCUUUGUUAUUUAAGGAAUUUAUAAGAAGCAACCUUGUGAUUUAAUUUUAAAAAAAUCUCUCAAUUGUUUUUUAUUUUGAUGCCACUAAUUAAAUAUAUUGUUUUUCUUCAUUCUUUUGUUGUAAAUGCAUGCUACUGUAUUUAUUCAAGAAAGAUGUCCAUGUAUAGGAUCUGGGAAAACAUAACAACCGGCAGGCCUUUCAUCAUUGGUUUAUCAGAUAUGUAUUGUUUCUUAUGAUAAAAUCCUAAUAUCAUAAUAUUCAUUAGGCGGAUGAAAAUUUGAGAUUGAUUCGCUCAUCCUUGCCUGAGGCUGUUGAAGCAUGUAUUGAUGCUGCUGGUCAUGAAUUUGAUGUUUCACGGCAACGUACACUACUAAGAGCUGCGAGCUAUGGCCAAGCCUUUUGCAGGUUAGUCUGGCUCCAUUUUGCAGUUGAAUUGGUGUUAUUUAGAGUUGUUGGUUCAGAAAUUGAGAUUAGGAUUCACUUUUCUUUUUCAUGGAUUUUACAUCAUAAAUUAAUCUUAAUAUGCUCACUAUACGGGAAUGUGAAUUUAAUCCAAAUUGAGCAUUGGAGCUCUGCUCUGGUAUGGAGUUUUCUGCUUUUUGAUGGUUGGUCCUACCACCAUGACUGACAUCAAUCUUUGGUUCAUAUUUGCAUUUUAGUUAGUACUAAAUAAAACAAAUAACAAAAAGGAGUCGAAAAACUUGGAGAGGCACAAGCGUCCAAAAGGCCACAAAGUUGAAGGCCUGAUGUACAUUAUAUUUAUGUAUAGAAAAGCUUGCAUUGCAUUCAUUUGUAGAGGUAAGGUGCAUAAUGAUAAUCAUAUUAAUCAGAAUCAUUAUUUAGUAGUAGUAGUAGUAGUAGAAGUAGUUGAUUUGACUAUUUAUCUGUCUACCUUUUUACGUCACUCAAAAUUGGUUAACAGUUUAACCUUAGUAUUGGUAUAUCAUUUUAUGUUUUUCAGAAUUGGUUAACACCUAAUCUAAUUUUAGAAGGGACAGUGUAAAACAAUGGACUCAUGUUUAUUUUCUUGGUUUCCUUUAUCAUUCACCUAGAGACUCCUAUGUGGAUAGGCACGUUACUCUUUUAAUUGAGUUAAGGGCACAGAUGAGAUUUCCCUUACCUUUGUGUCAGGUCUGACAGGCUUUGGUCAACCAACCUACUCUGGUUUCUCUGUAUAUUGCAUAUAUAUAAGAAUAUUGUUAAAAUUAAUAUUGACUCUGUUGGGCCUUGCAUAAAUCAUUUUCAUAGGAAGAGUGUUUGGGGAACUAUUGAUUUCCAUUGUUCCAAGAACUGUUGCAAAGAGCAUUUCAAAGCCACUUCUGAAAUGCAUGAGAAAAAUGCUAUGAUGCCUAUGCAACUUAGGGCUCAUUUGAGAGUGAUUCUUGUAGAAAUGCUUUUAGCCUGUAACACUUUUGUUAGUAGCACUUCUAUUAGGAAUUUUUUUUGGAGAAUUAAUUAGUAUUUAGAUAUGAACAACAGAAGUGUUUCCCAUAAUGUUUUUAGUUACAUAACAAAGAAGUGUUUUUUAAAAGAAACACUUACCAAUCGCUUGCCCAAUAAUCACUUUAAGUGAUUCUCUAGAUUUUCAAUAGUAAUUUUAGAAUAAACAUCUAAUUUUUCUAAGGAUAAUAUUUCCAAGCAUUAGGAAACACUUCUUUCCUUCCAAAAUCACUCUCAAAGAGGCUGUUAUUAUGUUUCUUUCCUUGAAUGUUACAAGAAGAUGUAGGACAGUACCACAUUGAUUAGUGAGAAGAAAUUUGAGUUUCAACACUCCUGUAUAAGUAGGCUUCUUCGACACAGCCUAACCAUCAUUCAUCUGUUGAUGGCACAUGAAGUUACUCAUUUCAAGUCAUAUAAAUAGGAAAUUAAAUAGUUUGGACUGUUUCUGUCCGAGCUCCUCCCUCACAUGCUCUUAGUCCUGUGCUGCAUCAGAUAUGGAACAAAUAUCCCAAAACCCCUCCAUGAUGUCAUCCAAGCAUUCCAUUCUACUUUGGAGCAAUCUUACCGAUGUAUGUGGGAUGAACAUGAGAAACCUAGGUCUUCCAAUUAAUAUAAGGUAAUUGGCAGGUGAAAUGCAACUGCUCUUUGGGUUAGACAAAUGUGACAAAGUUAAUAUUGUAUUACCAAAACUAAGCAAAUUGAAACAGAUCUCCUGCAAAACAAGGUACUCAAUGUCAACUCAUCAUAGCAUAGGGAGUAAUAUAUUCUGGUUAUGCUGUAAAAUGAAAAUAAAACAAAUGAAUUUACUAUUAAAAGAACAUUUAAAGCUUUCGAGUCGUCUGUAAUUCUUCAAAUUCCCAUCAAAAUUCGUCGAAGUUUUAUGUUUUUUGCCUAGACUUAUCCCCAAACUAAGUUUCAGGAAUUUAUAGUAUUUCACUCUUUCAUGCUUAUAGACUGAAGUAAAUGCAUUUCUGCACACACUGUUGGCCUUUAUUUACCCUUAAGUUUUUAUUAUUCAAUGGAUGUUUCCAUUUGGUAUUUGUUGUUACAUUUUGUUAACAUUGCAUGACUUGUAUAUAUCUAUCUCUGUAUCUUUACUAUAUAUAAAAAUCUGGAGAAUCUUCAACGGUUUGUAGACUUUUCCUUGCCUAAAAUACCCUCUCUCAUUUUUACUCAUAUCUCAUGUUUUUAUUACUGGAUUUUAACAGCUCUAAUAAAUACUUCCAUUAUUUAAUUGUAAUGGUCCUAAUAAAUGCAUCUUUCAUUGUUCAUUAUAAUGGAUAAUACGAAAUUGAUUUUUAAAUUUGGUCCUUUAUUCAAAUGUAUGGGUUUUGGAUUUCAUUAUUUUUCUAUUUUUGAAGGGGUCUCUACAUUUCUUCAACAAAAUCAAAUAUUUGUUUAUUUUUUGGUUAUAAAUAGGAAAGAGAAAAUUUAAUUCCUUGAGAAAACUGAAUUCCUUUUCAAAAAAAAUUUUAAUAAAUUGCUUUACUUAUUCAUUACUCCAAAGCUUUAAUUGUCUUUUCUGGUGAUUCAAAUAGCUUUUCCUUAUUCAUAAUUUUAAAUAAUUUAUUUUCUUGUUAAUUAGUCUAAAGCUUUUGUAAAGAAUUUUAAAUAAUUUAUUUGCCUAUUACUUUAAAGAUUCUGUUUCCAAUGUUUCUUUAAUAUUAUUCCUUUUUAUAAAUAAUUUAUGAUUAUUGGAUAUAUUAUAGUUUGGUGGUUUGAAAGGCCACUGUACAUUUCACAUUUAGAUACAAAAACUUAAUAGAGAUGAUGAAAGGAAAAAUGUUUUGAAUGCAAUAAAUUAGUGAAAAAAGUGAAUUCUUAUGUUUGAAUUAAACAUUAUUUUUGUUUCAAAAUUUACACUAUAUAUAUAUAUAUAUAUAUAUAUAUAUCAGUGUGUGUGCGUGUUUCAUUUUUAUUUAAAAUCUUCUAUAAAAAAAUAAAAUUAUAUUUAUUAAGUAUAAAUAUUUAUUUAUUUUUUAAUCAGCUGCAUAACAUGUGUCAUUUUACUAGUGGUUAUAAAUUUAUUAAAGGAAUAAACAUAUUUUUUCCUGAUUUCUGCUCUCGGUAAUGAUAUCCAGUUGGCUUUGGCAGCCAUGUUCAACGUGAUCGUUUUCAAGUGAUGUGUAAGACUCUACGGGUCUUGAAUGCUGUCCACAACAGUGAGAUUGGGAUCCCUCUUAGUAUUCAGCAAUACAAGGUACAAGGUCUUCAAAGCUUGCAAGUUAAUCUCCCCAGUUUUUUUUUCUUUUUUUUUGAUAGGCAAAAGAAUAAAAUAAAUUAAAAGAGCUAACAAUGGGCACUCCAAAUCUUCCCAGUUUCAUUUCUGAACUUGUGUGCUACUCUCUUGAGUUCAUACUGACUUUGCUCUUCCUUCCCAGUUGCUUACAGCACCAGUUCUGAUUGGUCGAUUGAUUAAUAUGCAUCAACACCUUCUUGCAUUACGGAUAUCAGAAUAUCUUGGCAUGAACCAAGUACGUUAUUUGUUAAAUAUUACAAGUUUUUACUUCAUCUACGUUAUGCAUUGUGACUUCCAUCUUUACUUAUAUAUAUAUAUAUAUAUAUAUAUAUAUAUAUAGAUAUAUAUAUUAUUUAUGUAAUUUCUUUAAAUUUCUUUUUUGGGAAUUCAACCCAGAACCUCCCACAUUCCAAUUUAUGAAAUUAUUUGUAAAGAUAUGGUAUAGACUACUUAAAAGAUAUACAUUUUGUCAUAUAUAAGUAUGUAACAAAUUUUAUCUGUGUCAAAUAUCCAACUGUUUUCAGGAUUUGAUUUGUUGGUGUGUCUGUUCUGAUUUUAUCUGUCCUAUCUUCCACACAGGUUUCAAUUUUUGGUGUUGAGUUCCACUUACCCAGUGGGGAACUGAACAUCAAACUUUUACCAUUCCCCAGGUCCUAUUUUACAUGGUUAAGCCCAAUGUCUGGAGAACCUCAUGGCAGUUGAGAAAGUCACAUUGGUUUCCCCCACCCACACACAAGUGCUUCAACAACACUGAUGGUCACAGCAUGACUCCUCACUUUAAUUGAACUUAUGGAAGUAUCAUCCAAAAGGCGAAAUUGAGAUAGCAACCUCUAACAUAUUAUAAACACACCCUUAGAAAAAUCCCUCUCCUUGCCCUGCAAAGUGUCUCCAACUUCCCUGAUCAUCUCAGCAUGACUGACUGACUCUAAUUGAACUUACUAAAGUGUCAUGUAGAAAGCAGCAGAGGCAGUGUGGCCUCACAAGUGGCAUCAUAUCAACAAUGUUUUUUUUUUCGUAGGCAAAUAAGAAUAUUAUAGAAAUUGCCUAAAUCCAUAUUUGGAAGACCUUUUGAUUAUGGUGUUCACGUACUUAAAUAUUUGGGUUGCCAGCAACUUCUAAGAACACUACCUGUGACCCAUGCUCUGCUAGAUAUGAUUGAAAAAUGAUAACAUACUCUUUUCAAUAUUGUUGUAUAUUGUUUACUUUUUCUAGGAGCAAUCUGUAAUUUUUAGAAAUUUGUCCAACUUCUGAAUGUUUUUGUAAUUGUUUAUAUCCUCUUCCCUGACACUGAAAUCUGAAUGUUAAGAAAUAUUUGCUUGGUUGUUUAUAUACAAAAAUAUAUAUUUAUCUAGUUUCAUAAUCUGGUAGUGGAGACCAUCAUAAAAAGAUGUACAUACAUACAUAUAUAUGUGUGCGUAUGCAUAUAUAUGUAGGUAUGUAUGUAUGUAUCUAUGUAUGUAUAAAAACACACACAUAUGAACAGAUGUAUUUAUCUAGUUCAUAAUCUAGUAUUGGAGACCAGUAAUUUUGUAGCUUUGAGUUGAUUGCUACCUUCUGUUUUAGAACUUGAAAUUGAGACCUCAUGUUCAGUGUAUUCAUGAUUCCUUUGAUUGGCUUUGUGUAGGAGGUGGUGAUAAUGCAUUGGGCAUGUUCAAAGAUAACGGCGUCAUUAGCAAUUCCUGAUGCCACUCUCCUUGAAAUCUUACUUGAUAAGGUCCAUCUCUUGCAUAGUUGUUAGGAUUGGCCUGAAAAUUAUGUUGACUGCUAAAUUUGUUUUAUGCAAGUGCAACAUCUGAAAUGAUGUUAUUGGAGUUUCAGCUCAGAUUAUGCAAAGGCAUAUCUUUUGCAGCUGUUGCUGCUCAUGCAGAUAAAAAUGGCCGUCGGAAACUAGCUGCUAUGCUUGUUGAACAUGAAUCACGUUCUUCCAAGCAGGUUCUUUCUUUUUCUUUUUCCUUUCUUUUUUUUAAAUUGAAAUUUGAUUGUUAUAAAGGGUUCUUCCUUGGCUCUCAUGCAUUCUUUUCAUUGGUGAAAGUUUGCUACAUGAUGACAACAAACUCCUGCAAUUCUUUUCUUAAGAAGUCUACUUUUUAUGUUAUAAUUCUGAUCCUUUUUCCUCAGGUUCCUCUCUUGUUAAGCAUAGGGGAGGAAGAUACAGCUCUGACUAAGGCAACUGAAAGUGGUGAUACUGACCUUGUUUAUCUAGUUCUCUUUCAUAUUUGGCAGAAGGUAUUAUUACCUUCAUGAAAACAUUUUGUUUUUUAUCUAUCACUUCAGGACAGAUUGAACCAAAUUUAGGAUGUGACCCAUGAACACAUGUUGCUUAAUUAUGUUAUGAUUUCUGUUGUACUCACAUUUUCCUUUUCUCUAAUUUAGAGGCCUGCACUGGAGUAUUUUGGAAUGAUACAGGCCAGACCCCUGGCACGCGAUUUGUUCAUAACUUAUGCAAGGUAUACUGAAUUGUGUGAUUUUGUUAAUAUUUUGAUUUGUUUUCCUUAGCAUCCUAGUUCAGAAAUGAGCAUCAACUACUCAUUUUCCUAUCAAGGGGUAGUCUUGGAUGAUCACUCAUUAAAAAUUCUGUUCCAGGUGUUAUAAGCAUGAAUUCCUAAAGGACUUCUUUCUAUCUACUGGGCAGCUUCAAGUAAGUUUGAUUUGUUUGACAUGGACCAAACUAAAUAUUUUAAUCUUUCCCUGGCUUGUAAAUUGUUUUUGGAGAAAGGAAAGAAAUCAUUAUAGGUUGCAGCACGGUGUUACACUUGGGUAUGGAUAAGACAUAUGGUUAACUGUCCAAGGAUCUUACUUGAGCGAUUCACUCACCUAUCAUGGUAUAGGUAUGCCAUAUGGUUAACUAUCCAAGCAGUAGAUUCACGUGAUUCCUUUGCCUGGUCUUUCCAAGGAUCUCCUGAUCCUAUAAAUGUUCAUAUUACAAAUAUAUUGGUCUAUUCAAUUACUUGAUACCCUGGAAUUUUCAAAUUCUCCGGAAAAUCCAAUGACAAUAAGACUGCAAAAUGAACUUCCCUUGCUCGCUUUUUAGGGAAUGUUUAAAUCUCUAAUUUCUCCUUGAACAGAAGAUGCUAUCCCUUGCUUGCUAUGUUUUUUUCUCUUCCCUCAUUCGUUCAGUAUUUUCUUAAAGUCCCUACCUCUUUCUUUUUCAGCCUGCUAAACACAAUUGGAAGGUCAAAUUUUCUCCUGAAGUCAAAGCUCUAGAGUGAUGCAAAAGGGAGCUUUGGGAGGGUUUGGUAGGGGGUAGUUCAUUCUUGCAGGAGAUUUGAAUUGAAAUAGAAGCUAGAAAUUUUGAAAAAUAAGAAUGCCUCCUAGGAAAUUGGGGAUUGGAUGCUUCUUAUUGUGUCCCUAUGGGAACUGGAUCUGAGGAAUUACCCGGUGUUCCUUUGUCUACUAAUGUGCUUAAAUGGGUAGCUGCAUGCUCUUGGGGGCAAAGAAGGGUGAUUGUUUUCUACUCAGUGCCUCCUCCAGGGGCCCUAAGUUUCACAACUUUAAUGGGUUUCUUUGUAGGAGCUCUAGGCAUGAUGGCUAUUGACUUGCUGUUGGGGCUGAUAUUUUUGCCUUAUUGCAUUGUCUAGAUGGUCCUUUUACAUCUUCUAUUCAGGGGACUACAUAGCAUUGGGAGAUGGGAGUUGUAGCCCCUGGAGUUGGACCUUUAUUUGAUGCAGAGUUUAGAUCAUUCUCAGAUGAUAGCUAAAAGAGAGGAUUAGACUUUUUUUUCACUUUAGAGGCCCUUGAGGCCUAGCUCAAGUGGUAAAGGGAUGGGGUUUGUGGGAGGUUCCAGGUUCAAGUCCCAAUGUGGCAAAAAUUUACCUAUCAAAAGAAGAAAAAAAAAAAAAAAAAAACCUUUUUUCACUUUGGAGAAUCCAUCUAUAUGUUGAUGCAUGAUGGGAUUUAGCUUUGUUGAAAACAGUUAUAGUUUUGAUACUCUGUUUUUCCUUUUUGGCUUUCUUAAAGUUUCUUUGUCCGUUUUGUGGUAUUCUUUUCUUUGCCUGAGAAUAAAAAUUGUUGUUUCUAUAUAAAAUAUAUAUUUAUGUCAUAUCCACAGCAUAGGAUACUUGAAAAAAAUCUGUGGAUAAAAUAUCAAACUUUAAGCAUGUAAUAUUAUUUUUGGUAUAAUAUUUAUAAUUCCUGUGCUUUCAUGAAUUAUACUUUAUUAGAAGUUUUCAGAUAGGCCUCAGUCAUGUUCGUUUCAGAUACUAUAUCAUGUCAUCCCAACACGGAUCUCAGAUCUUAUGGGAUUUCUUGGUCCAACAUCUGUAGGGUGUAUCAUGUAUUCAUAAACAUGAAAUAGUUCAGAAUUGCCACAGUUAAAUGGGAUUGGUACUAGCAUUCUCUUGUGAAUGGGUGUUUAACUAUAACAGUGUCAUGUCAUCCUGACACACAGGUCAUAGACAUUCUGGCUUUUAAUGUCCAAAUACUGCAGGGUGUUUCAUGUAUUACAUAAACCUAAACAGUUUGGAAUUGCUAUUGUUCACUGGUACUUUAGUGUUGUCUUGCCAAUUGAUGUUUAACUGUAACAACAUUUUAUAUUAGAAAGGCAAGUGUUAUCUGUGUAUGUGACAGAGCAAACCUGGGUCUAAUUCUUCUAUACUCCAUGGUACCUUACAAUAUCAAUUUAUAGUUGAAACGUAAAAUUUUGAACAGGACAUCUCAAUUGAAUAUCGUUGCCAUUACACAACCUAUGUUAAUCUUUUCUUUCUUAUAGAUAAUCAAUUAUAAAACAAAAUUCAAUGUGAUCCAAUGUCUAUAUCUACAGGAUUCCAAUUUCCAAGUGUCGGGAUCAAUAGGAAGUUUAAUUCAAUUUGAACUACUCAUUUUCAAACAGUAUCUGCAUUGUUCCCAAUUAUUUUUUUUUCUCUUAAAUUUUUGUUAUAAUCUUGUACCCUAAUAAUUAUUGCAUUAAAUUCACAAAUGCCUAAUUAAGGGUUUGUCUUACUAAACCCUAAAGGGUUCUCUGUCAAUAGUUCUGCUCUAUUUUUUCUCUUUAACUGAAGAUUGUUUGGUUUGUAGGAUGUUGCUUUUCUGUUAUGGAAAGAGUCGUGGGAACUAGGAAAGAAUCCAAUGGCAAGCAAAGGAUCUCCACUUCAUGGUCCACGGAUCAAGAUAAUUGAAAAGGCCCAAAGUCUUUUCUCAGAAACCAAAGAACAUACCUUUGAGUCAAAGGCUGCUGAAGAGCAUGCUAAAUUGAUAAGGUAAGAAUUUCAGUUUAUUUAAGUUCUGCACACCCUAAUUUCAUGGAAAAACUUGUCAUGUUUAUAACAGCACAAUCUGGUGUAUUGCACCCUAUGACACUGUUUGACAUAAUGGUCUUAUACUGGACAUUUUAUACAAUCACACUGGUAACUAAGUUCAAGGGUUUAGAGUUGUUGAAAGGUGUAAAGACUAACAGUCAGUUCCAUUCCCUUUGAACUGGAAUAGAUAGUAGGUAUUUACAUGCAUAUAUAAAUGCAUGGUGUCAGAGGGUUGUCAGGAGUUCAAUGUGGCUCUUUUUUUAUUAAUUCAUGCUUAACAUCUUUUUCUUCCUAUAAUUGUAUUCUUUUUCCCCCUUUUGGUGGCUCCAUACUUGGAAACUUCAUGAUCCCUUCUGACCACUUACUCCACAAAUGAUGCAGAAUUCAACAUGAGUUAGAAGUGACUACUAAGCAGGCCAUUUUUGUUGAUUCAAGUAUCAGUGAUACGAUUCGCACAUGUAUUGUACUGGGAAAUCAUCGUGCUGCAAUGAAGGUUAAAACAGAAUUCAAGGUUUGUAAUGUUCCUGUAUGUACUUAAGCAAAAUGCAUCCCACUAUGAAUCUCCUGCUGACUAACUACACCUCUUUGAAAAAGCAUGUGCAUAUAGGUGAAAAGAAAACUUUCUUCAGUAUUUUUGCUUGUUAUGAGUCUAGAUUUUGUUUUAUCACCAGAAGCUGCUACAAUUUUGUUUUAUUAUGUUUGUUAUUAACUUGUCUCAGGUUUCUGAAAAGAGAUGGUACUGGCUUAAAGUUUUUGCUUUGGCUACAAUCAGAGAUUGGGAUGCCCUAGAAAAGUUCUCAAAGGAGAAGAGACCACCAAUUGGUAAGUGCAAGUUCUAGUUUAAUUUUGGCAAGCAAGUAGCUGAUAUGAGUAUGGCCUCACCUGGUUUAAAUAUAUUUGACUAUUAUAAGUCUGUAGAGUUGGUCUUUAAAAAGAUUAAAUUUGGAGGUAAAACCCAAACUCAGGCUUGGUAGGUGGUUCUUCGAAAGAUUAAAAUGGAAGUAAAUCCAAAAUUUGGCAUGAAAUUUUUUGGACCUGAUCUGAUAGGAUGAUCUAUCAAAUUCUAACCCCAAAAUCAAAUUAUUUGUUACUGGAUGUCUGAUCCCUACCAACCCCUGAAAGAAAAAGAAAAAGAAAAUGGAAAAAUGAGAAAAGAAAGAGAGAGAGGGAAAGAUUGUAAUUUUGUGUACAAAAAAGAUGCACAGAGAUUGCAAUUCUGUGCUGUUCUUUGUGACUUUGUUUUACCCCUCUCUCACACAUCAAAUAGGUUAUAUUGGUAUCAAUGAUAAAAUCUGGUUUCUUUACGUUGUUUAUGGCCCUUGCUUUCUCUCUCUCUCUCUCUCACACACACACACACACCAAAUGGGUUGUUGGUAUAAUGAUAAAUCUGGUUUCUUUAUUCUUUGCAACCUUAUCUGUAAACCACUUAAUAAUGACCUUUUGAAUUAGAUUUACCGUUUUCUCUGCCUCUCUCCUGCAGUACUGAUAAACUGAAUACCUCUGUAUUUAUCAAAUAGGUUAUCGGCCUUUUGUGGAGGCUUGCAUUGAUGCAGAUGAGAAAGGUGAAGCACUAAAAUAUAUUCCCAAACUUACAGAUCCACGGGAAAGAGCUGAGGUAAUUUUUACUGUCCUAACACAUCUUUGGGUAUUUUACUCAGAAGACAGGAAAAGAAAAGUAUCACUAUGGAAUCUUGCUAUUAUAUGGGCUUGGAAAUAGUCUGUAUUUGCUUACCAUGCUUCUCGUAGAAAAAUGAUGCAUUUUGGAGUCUAUAUUUGCUUUUCAGUUGACUGCAAUGUUGUGUUAUAUGGGUUUGUAUUUGCUUUCUGUUGACUGCAUUCAUCACUGUUAGCAGAAGCAGCAAUGUGAUCGCAAGUUCUUAUCAAACUGAUUCUUUUUCUCCCAUUGUGCUGAUUAUUUGAUUCUAUAUGUUACCCUCUACAGUCUUAUGCUCGGAUUGGCAUGGCCAAGGAAGCUGCAGAUGCUGCUUCUCAGGCAAAGGAUGGUGAAUUGCUUGGUCGAUUGAAGUUGACUUUUGCACAAAAUGCUGCAGCUUCAUCAAUAUUUGAUACUCUUCGGGACAGAUUAGGAGUCGCUUAAUCUAUUCUUCCCCCAUUUGUUUUUCUCUUACCUUUCCCCUUUAUUUGCAUUUUGGUUUCAGUUUUGUAUGCGUGUUGUGUGCAUAUCUUUUUAACUUAAGUCUUGGGCUGACACAAGGUCAGAUGCUCUGUGACUAUGUGGUUGAAACCACUGAAUCUACAGCUUGUAAUCUUUUAGAAGUUGGUUUUUUAAGGGAAUCGGAUUUUAAGUUGCCACUGAGGAACCUGCUUGGGCAUGGUGAAUCAUCUUUUUUAUUUUCUUUGUAUAUUAAAUCUUUGUAUGAAUACAGUUAACUUCCUUUGCCGGUUGUCUAAAAGAAGCCAAUCCUUCCAUGAUUCCUUUGAUUAAUUUUUUUGUAGUUUGUAUUGGGAGAAUAUUAGUCCUAGCCAUCUGUUUGGUUGGGGAGAAAACGUAAGAGAAGGAAAUUGGAUGAUUUGGUUGGGAAGUUAUAAGAAGACAUUAUGCCUCUCAUGGCUGCAAAAUGUGCUUCUUAGGUGGUUUGAAGUGUUGGGAGACAUUUAAUUACGGAACCAAGUAUACAUUUCUAGCAGUGCCAUUUCUCCUCCCCCACCAAAUGGUCAACACUAAUUGAAUUUUCACUGUACUUCUCUGGCCAUGCUUGAUUCUUCUCCUUUAAGAUAUAUUAUGAUUCAAUUUCAUUCUGACUCUCACUGACCAAACACACCCAAAUGUAUGAAACUAAAUAUUAUAAUAACUAAAAUACACAAAUAAAUCAGGUAUCCUACUAAAGAGAUCUGGAUUGCAUACUUGCUAUACUAUAAAACAUCCAUCUAACCUUUUUCUUGAAAGAGCAUGCUGGGCGAUCAAAAAGCACUUCGAAAUCAAACACAUUAUAAAGCACUUCGACCAUCACAAUCAACUUUUGGGCGAUCAAAAAGCUGUAUCAAAUCCAAUUGAACAUCCAUCACCAUUUUUUCAACCACUGAAACCAUUUACUAGGACACCUAAGAAAAUCUAAGGAAAAAAAAAUACCCAUGGUUUAUUAUCUUUUUCCCUUAUCAAGGAUAGUCAGUAGUAAACACUUUCCAAUCUUCCAUCUUCUCAAAGUAUACAAUUAGUGCAAUACAUUUCUGACAAAGAUAGGCAUAACCUUGGCCUUUUUAUUUUUAUUUUUAAUAUUUAGAAUGUGUGAUUAAGGGGGUGGACAUGUUAGAAAAUUCUUAAGAGUUGAUUGGAUGACUGCAGAAAGCAACUUUGAAACAUACAACAUUUGCAGAGAGGUCUUCAUUUCUAUUAUUUCUAUUUUUCUCUAUUGAGAGUGAAGACCUCAAGCACACUAAAACACAAAUAACCAGUCCAGGAAAAUGCAGGAAGAUAGUAAAUCAACAUCAUGGAAAUUGUACAGAAUCAGCAGCUGCUGACCGAAAAUUAUUUUGCUUCCUCAGUCACCUGCGCAUAGGCUGAAUGUUCAUAUUUUCCGUCCCAUCUGUGAGUUAUAUGGAUGAAAAAAAGAAUUCAUCAGCAAUCAAUUCAUUAACAGUAAAAUCAUAUCAGUAAUUUGAACCUUUACAGUCAAACUGACCUGCAUUCCUCCUUUUCUGGAAUCUGGAGCUCCAAUUCUUCUUUGAAUGGCUGAAAUACUAUAUCUACUUUCUCACCGUUCACUUUGUCAAGAGUUGGUGGAUCCCACUGCGUUAAGUUGUGAAUCGAGAAUCAUUUGAUUUUGUUCAUAUGGUUAGCAGAAAUUUAAGAACACAAGAGUGCAUGGGCAAACUCAGAGAGGACAUACCUUUGGAGCAUUAUCCUUGUCAAUGGUCAGAGCUCGAAUACCCUUUUAAGAAGAAAAAGGGAAUGGAAAAGUUCAUUCAGUAGUUGGAAAGCAUUUUUAAACAUGAAAUAGUUAUUGACAUAAAUUCAAACAAGUGAAAGCUCAAUAAAUUCAGUAAUACUACCUCAUAGACAUCGUUAGAUAUUGUAGUUCGCAGGAUGUUCAUUGUGAGUCUAAAUUCCUUCUUCAAGGAUUCUGCAAGUGUUUGAUUUCUUCCUUCUCGAAUCUAGACAUGUUUAAAAAGCAUAGUUAGAGGCAAUUAUACAUGAAAUCCAAGAAACAGCACUAACAUUUACUUGUUAUGCUGUUGUUCCAUCAAUGUCUAAUUGACUGAACAACUGAUGAUGGACACAUGAACAGAAUGCAAAUUUUAAAGCAAAGGGCUAAUUUUCAUCAGUAUCUUGAAGAGAUAAAGUCCAACAGAGUGGAGGCUUCCAAAUUUAAGCACUGGACUACUGUUCCUACAAGAUUUCCCAUAUAUAUUGUGAUUUUAUCAUUUUAUGUCAUAAAUGCUCCUGAAAGAAAUCAUUACCGAUCUUAAUGUUAUCUUCAAUCCUGUAGGGGAUGAUCUUUUCAGACUCUUAAGCAUUGGACCAAUCCAAGCAUUUCCUUCUUUUCUUGCCUCGGUUUCCUGAAUAGCAUAUUACAUAUUAAUUCAUGUAGACUAUGUGGUUUGGAGAAGAUAGAUAUGGAAUUGAUGAACCUCUCCUGUGGAAACUGUAAAAUUAAAAAGAAAAGGAAGGAAUUACAAAUGAUUUUAUGAUCUCCUCCACAGAAUCCUUGGAAAAGCACUCAUUGAUUGUUGACUGCCUGAAAGGAAAAUGAAACAUAUUGGUUUAAUUGUCAAAGAUACCAUAAUCAGCAAACAUGCUAAAUAUGCUCAUCUAGUUCAGAUUUAUUACUUGUUUAACACACUAUCUUCAUCAACCUUAACAUCUAAGGAGAACUCUUCGAUUGCAGAUUUGAUAGCAUUGCGAUCACCAGAGUUCAAACACAUCAGGCGCUUCUCUAGCUCGGGCAUUUUCUGACAUAAGAAACAGUACAGCAUGUAAUUAAUUCAAAUAUAUAUUUUGAAAAAUAAUACAAUGUUCAGCAGAAGGAACGUUAUACAAUAAUUCACAACUAAGAAGAAUGUUCGUAUCCCCAGAUCUUGGAUGUACUCAUUUCCACUGUUAUUUACUCAUUGACGCUGCAUUUUUUUGCUUCAUCGAACCUCCCUCUUGGGUGUGUCUAAAAAAGGACAUCUAGUAAUAUCAUGUUGUUUCGUGUCCAAAAAGGGCACCAAUACAUAUUUAUGUGUCAGAGUAAUACAGUUAACAUCAAAUUUCAAGUUAUGAGGGGUGUCCAUGCUAAAAUCUUAAGUUUUGGGAGGUUUCCAUGCUAGACGCCAUAUAUCCAUGACUGAUGUUGAUCGGUUGAUCCCAUGUCAGGGUUCUUAUUUACAUGAACAAUAAAAUAUAGAACCAUGUCUGAAUAUCAUGAACCUGGAAUUCAGAGAGAGUUUGAACUCACCUCAGAAGGGACAUAAUGGGUUGCCAGUCCAACCGUAACCAGUUCCUUGCCAUUUAGCCUUGCCCCUGUUAAGGCUAUAAAUUCCCCUGCACACAUAUCCACACAGAUUUAGAGAAGCAAAGAGAUUAUUUCUUUUGUUUCUUUUUUUUUUUUCACAACAAAAUCAGAACACUUUUCCAUGUUACAACAUGUCAAACACUUCCCUCCUUGACUAGCAUGCUUACCCAGAUGUCCGGGAAGAUGGGAAAGCAUGUAUGAGAAACCACAGUCAGUGUGAAAUCCAAUAGUCGCUUCUGGAGUGGCAAAAACCUAUAUCAAAACAUUCAUUUAGCAGACCCACAAGAAAUUUAGUGUAACACGGAAUUGGAAAUUGAGCCUUUUAGGCCCAACAAAUCAAAACCACAAAAUUUGUGCAUGGAAGAUCCCCAACAACUAAGAGAUACUCACAGUCUUUUCUGUGACAACUGAGAACUUCAUUGGAACCAUCAAAGACGCACCUCCACCCAUGGAAAUUCCAUGAACAAGAGCAACCUGGCAAUGGCAUUAACAGUUAACAAGCAUAGUCUACUACAACAUCAAAUAAGUAAAUUAUAACAAACAUUUCCUCAACAACAUAGAGGGCCUUAGCAUGAGAUUGCUUUUAAAAAACAGCACCUGGGUUUUCUUAUAGGAAUGGAUGUGAUAACAAAGCCAAUACAUUCUAUAGACCACUUCAAGGCAAGAAUCCCCUGCCAAAAUCAAAUUUCAAAAGUGUAUAUAAGUCAAAUGUAAUAGAACUAAUCCCAGGCCCCAAAUCCCAAGGCGUUUGUUUUUGCAAACAAGAAUGUAUCUCAUGUGAAAAUUAUUGAGGACAAUGCAUUUACUUGGUUCCCUGCCAUCAUAGAACAUUUUCAAAUCUCCUCCAGCAGAAAAAGCCCUGCCAACUCCCUAAAAUAAGAUACAUGACUAACAUUAGAAAAUUACCAAAUGAAAGCAAUUUACAGACAUUAUUCUUAUUCUAUCAAAAUCAAUUUUUUUUAAUAAAAUAAACAAAAGGUAGACAUGAAAAUCCAGAAAUUUGAACUUCUGGGUUCUACUAAUACUUGCCUUGAUUAUCACAAGCUCUGCCUUGUCAUCUUUCUCCCAUUUUUCUAGGUAUUCUGCUAGCAGAGAAACCUAAUGGCAGUGAAAGGGAACAACCACUUAAACACACACACAAGAAUAAGAUUAGAAAAAACAAUAAAUCUGACAUGGUUUUGGUUUCUCCAACCUACCACUUUUGAUGAAAUGACAUUCAAUUGUCGAGGGCGAUUCAAGGUGAUCACUCUGAUAUUCCCUAUUUCUUCCCCUAAAACAACCUAAAAGAGUGAAUACAGCAAUACCCAUUUAGUAAUCAGCGAAGCACUUUGUUUUUAGGCACCAUUCCAAACAAGACCCAAAUACUUAUGAAGAUAAAGAAAAACCCAAACUAAAUACCCACUUCAUGAGUCACUGAGAGAGAGAGAGAGAGAGAGAGAGAGAGAGUACCUGCUCAUCUCGUUUUACCCCUUCUUGUCCCAUUUAAAUUAUUGAUGUGAAUCCAACGAACUGCAGAAACACCAUUUGAAAGCCAUGAGAAUCCCAACAAGGCAAUCAAGAUGUAAUUGAAGCAGAAAAUAAGAAAAAUUUAAAUCAAAUUUGCAAAUUGGGGUUUUAAAUAAAAAGCACAUUAGGUGAAACUAUGAACUUGAACUCGAAAGAUACAAAACCCAAGUGCCAAAACUUGGAAUUGAAACAAAAUACUGAGACAGAAGAAAUUAUGCAAAUAAGCAGACAUACCAGUGAGGGAAGAACAGUGAAGGUGUGGGUUAUAGUCUAUGGAGAGAUCAAAAAAAACAAAAAAGGUGAGGUUUUGUGGUGUGGGUACUUUGGUAGCUCCACCUGCAACUGAAACUGCAACUAAAUAAAGAGGCUCUUUGAGAAGGAUCACAUUGUUGACAUCGUGGUUCCCCAUUUUCCACAUGGUUUCUUCUACCAAACUCCAAUUUCACCCACCCACCACCACCAACUACCGCCUUCACCUUCCAUCCCCAUCAUUACCAAAUUAUUCAAAAAAGAAAAAAAAAAAAAAAAAGCAAAGAAAGAAUUAAUAGAUUAGAAGGAAUGAAAUGAUAUAUAAACUUGAACACAAAUAUCUUUUAAUAUUUUAAUUAUUUAUACUUAAAUUUUAAAAUAAAUAUUUUUUGGAUUGAAAAAAAAAAGUUAAGGAUUAUAUUUAAAUUUGAUAAAAAAUCCUUAAAACUAUUUGCUUACAUUCCUUUUUUUUUUUUCUUUUUUUCUUUUUUUUUUGUAAUUUAUAAAUAGGAUGAUAGAUUGAUUUUUCAGUCAAUGAAGAUCCCAGGAAAUCCAACAUAGUUCUUAAUUUCCUCAAGAGAUUUCAUGUCACAUCACAGCAAAAUGAAGCAAUUGAAAAAAGCUGUAAAAUUACCUUUUUUUCUUUUCAUGAAAUCAGGCUUUUGAACGAGAUUAUGAGAUGGUAGGUGAAGACCACUUUAUGAAGAAUGAUAUCAUUUUGGUUGACCCAUAGUUCUACAUUCUGACUGAUGGAUGAUGAAUCACUUCUAAUUGGGUUUGUUCACCAUCACCAGUAUCCAGCAGAGGAAAAAAAAUCCAAGAAGCUCUGAAGAAGGAAACAAGAUAUCAUUCAUGUUUUUGCCACCUACCAUCACUUGAGACGUAGGUGGUCAAGAUACGUUAUUGGAAUAUAUGUACAGAUAGUAGCCAAAUGAUGGAAGAAGGGGUUGGCUUGGGCGGCUGGGCCUGACGACUGAGGACUGAGGAGGUUGUUGGGCCUGCCAUUAGAAUUUUAUCUUCCAUCCUAUGAGGCUAUGACCAACAACUCGGGUUGUUUGUGGGGGGGUUGUUGUCACCUCGCGUAUGAGGUGGGUCACGUUGAUGCUAGAUGGAUGGACACGCGAUUCUCAACACACAAGGGGUUCUUGAUUCAGUGGUUGUACCUGCAAAAAGGAAUCCGGACAGGGUGUCCGGAUGCACCCUCCGAUGAUGUUGUUAGCCAUAGUAAGAAAGUAAGAUAUAUGAGGCAGUUGGCCUUUUACUAGGUAUCAAGAGGUUACCAGGAGAUCAUCCCUUUCUUCUUCGUGCGAAGUCAUAUAUAUACAGCUUCAGGGGUACUGUUCCUUUCAUUAAUGGUGAGGAGAUAUUUUCUGUUGUGAUGAUGACAAUAGGUGUUAGUAGGAGCACUAUCAUCCUACGAAUGGCUGUCAGAGACCAUGGUAGGUGAUGCGGCUGUCAGAGAUCGUGGGAAGUGAUUAUGUAGAAUGAUCGUGGGAAGUGACUUGCUGUCACUUCCUCUUGUCUUCUCAUUCUGCAGGUGAUGGGAUGUGGGCCAUGGCUGCUUGCUGUGAUUGCGUGUAAGACUCGCUUUACUUUAAUUGACCAUCCAGACGAUUUAUAUCCGGAUGGAUCAUGCUGAUUAUCCGGAUGUGUUGUGGAGACUAUCCGGGUGUCUACGCUCUGCCAGCGUCGUUUGCUCUUCCUUGGAUAGGAGAAGCUGAAACGUCGUUUGCCUUUCCUUGAGGGGUUCCGGAUAGGAUAGCCGCACCAUGCAUAUCUUUAGGAGAAUCCGGAUGAUGAUGGUCCGGCUGAUAGCACGUGCCACGCGUCACCAUGAGCUGCGUGCCACGUGUUUCCCAAGGGGAGGGGUCCCUACAGGGGUGGGUUUGUGUUUUCAUGGUGACCACGAGUUCCAACACCAACAUGAAGCAGACAAAAGCUCCCUCCUCUGCUUUGCCGAUUGAAGAACAUGUAGGCCAUAUUCGUUGGCAAUGAGAAUGGAUGCUUUGCUUUGAGAUAAAUUUUUAGAAACUGUUUUUUAAUAUUUUGUAGUCUUCUUGAACUUGAAAUAUUUUUCAUACUUUAAAAAUAAUUUUUAUGUUUUAUUUUUUAAUUAUUUUUUAUAAUUAUGUAAUUAUUUUUUAAAAUAACUCCAAAAAAAAUAUGAGAAAAUAAUUAAACAUAUUCUCUAAAAUCAUCUUAUUUUCUGUUCUUAAUAAUAGAAAUCGAUUUAUUUUUUUUAUUAUCAAAUAUGUUUUUCUAGUUUUUUAGAAUAAAAAAUUGUUUUAAAAACAAUUACCUAACAAAAUCCUUGUUUAUUUUUAAAUGGGAAAUGAAUUUAGUGAUUCAAAUUUUUGUAUAUCGAUGAACCUAAAUGUAUGUAAGGUUAGAAUGAUUAUUAAUUUUUUAUUUCAAUAUUUGAUAACAAUAAGAAUGAGAAUGGAAUGGAAAAUAAAUUGAGAGUAAUACUCUUACACAUGUUUAAAAUAAUUUUUUAUUUUCAUUUUAAAAGAACAUCUUUUGAGAUAUUUUUUUAUUUUUGUUAAAUAAUAAGACUAAGAAAAAUAAUAUAUAUAGUCAAUAAAUAAAAAUUAAUCAUAAAAAGUCAUACAAUCCAAAUAUGCAAAAUACUCAAUUAUUCUUUUUAUCAAAAUUUUGAAUAAUUUCCCAUGCACAAGAAAUUAUAAAAUUAUAUUUUACCAAAAAAAGAAAAAACAAUAUAUUUAUUAGAAUAUUCAAGCUCUUUUUAGGAAGUGUUUUCGAAUAUAUAUGAUUUUGAAAAAUAGUUUUUAAAAAUUGUUCUUUGAUGGUUUGUGAAAUAUAAGCUUUAUUUGUAAGCUUUAAAUGUUUUAACUUAUUUUCUAUUUUUUAAAUAUGUUUUAAAAAUAACUUUUAUAUGUAAUACUAUCUUUAAUCAUUCUUCAUAUUUGUAUAGUUAUUUUUUUUUAAACAAUCAUAAAAAAAAGUAAAAAUAAUUGAAAAUAACUAAAAGAUGGAAGGGAGGAAUCUUAGUCUCUCUCUAGAGAUGGAAGAUGGUUCUCACACCAAAAGAUGAUUGAAACCUUAACCUCUAAAGGGUAUUUAUAGUUCUCUUUUUAGGCUUAAGUGACUUGAGUCUAUUAAGAUUUUGGUCACUUAAUUUAGUCAAAAAUGGGUCAUGAUUGAUUAAUUAACUACAUAGGGUCAUCUAAUUAAUCAAUUAACUCAAUCUAGGAAACUUAUUCACCAUCCCUUAUGUAAUAUUAUGUAAUUAUCAAAAUACCUUUAUGCACAAUAGUGAACUUAAAGGCAAUCAAACUUUUAUAAACUGUGUUAUCAUAGUAUAUGAGCUUAAAACGGGGACCAUUGAGACCCAUAAUAGUAAUAGUACUAAUUUCCUCAUAAUCCAAUUCCGAAAUUGAUUCAAUAUUUCACUAAAGAGAAUCAACUCCACUUUAGUAUCCUAUAUAAAUAACAAUAAGAUGAAACUUAGGUCUGUGACUUACUACUUACUGCAUACAAACUCCUCAUAAACUAAUAUCGAUUAUCUAACAAGGUAAUGUUAUCACCUUUUAUUAAUGAUAAUAAAAGGCAUUAGAAUAAUAAAUAAAUUUAUAAAUAAAAUUACAUUUUGGUACAUCAUAUCAUGCUUUCAAGGGUUUUAUCCUAACAAUUAUUCUAUCAAAAAUAAAUAAAUCGAUCAAUUUAAAAAUAAAGAAAAAAAGCCCUAUAGAUGCAAAAGAACCCUCCACCCUUAUAAGGUAGUUGUGGUAUGAGCCGAUUGGAAGUCCUAGGCUAGGUGCCUAAAAUAGAUAUUCUACUAAUCAUACUUAAAAGGUUUUUAGUAAAUCAACUUAAUAACUUAAUAUGAUUUAAUAAUUUAAUUUAAAUCAUUAAGUUGAUUAAACAUGUUUAGUUAAAUAACUUUAUUUUACAAAUUAAAGUUAUUUUUAACUUUAAAUAUUAAACUAAAAUAGUUAACUUAUUAUUAAUGUAAAAUCCAUUUUACUUCAUUUGUCACACUUAGAAGAAUAUAUUUUAGAAUUAUGAUUUCAUAUGCAUGACUUACUUUUUAUAAUAAAUAUUUUAUGGUUAUCUUAUGCAUUUACAAUACUUGAAAUAUAAAUGUCUUUUAAAAAUAAAAUUAUUACUUAAAAUUAUUGAAAUUAACUAUGAGUUAAAAUCAAUGAGGAUAAAUAUGAGUUAAAAUUUAAAAAGGUAAAUAUGUCAAAGAGUAAAUUUUAAAUUAACUUUACUAAACAACAUUAACACGUAAAGUAAAAAAUAAGUAAUAAGUUUUAAAUUAAUAAUUUAAUUUAAAUUCAACUUAUUAAAUAAAAGUAUGAAGUUUUGCCAAACUAACACUCAGUUUUGUCUCACCUCAAAAGAGGUAAAGAGUAAGAUUUAGAGAGAUUUAGAGGUUGAGGUUGAUAUAUUAAUUUAUCAACUUAAUAUGACUUAAUUUAAAUUAUUAAAUAUAUGUGAUAAAAUAAAUUAAGUAUUAUAACUUAAAGUUUGGUAAAUCGAUUUAAUGAUUUAAUAUGACUUACUAACUUAAUCAUAACUUAGAAUCCUUUCAAAUUAUUAAGUUUUAACAAAUGCUCCUUUUAAUCCCGGAAAAACAAAAGUCAAUAGAAGUGUAGAGUUUAGCUCCGUUGUAAGCAUCUUUAACCUUAUAGAAGAAGCAUUGCAUGGCUUCGCCCUGUUUGUAUGCACUAGAGACACCUGAAAUCAAAUCACAACCCUAUGAAGUUUGGACCUCCCCCCACCCUUUCCCUGAAACGAUAUCUAAAUCCCACAAAGAAAAGGCAACAAACUAUACAAAAAAACAUUAGUAUGAUCCAACAACAUGAACAAAUAACCCAAAAAGAAGAAAAAGAGAGAGAUGGGCAAUAGAUGAAAGCCAUCUCAGCACCUCAGUGAAGGAUAUGAUCCUACAACAAAGACUCCAAACAACUUGUUCCUCUCAGCAAACCAUAUCCAGAAACAUCUAAAUGAUCCAUAGAGAUGAAUGAAUGCAAGUCCCUACAUUUGCACUCCUGCAAAGGUUUGAUGGAGGGCUGUGCAGCCCUUGCAGAGGACACCUUCCAAACAAGCAAGCCAAAUAUAGCCUCAUAGACUCAAACAUAGUGAAAACAAAGCAGCAUGUGAAGUGCCAACGAGAAUAAUAGAAGAAUAACACAAAUGUAUGUCAAUGAAUGUAUUCCUUUUUGGGGAUAUGAUUUUUGCCAUAGACUUAAUACGCAAGGUGUUAGGUGAUUGAAAUUAUAAGGGAUAUGGCUUGGCAGGGACCUGUGGCUACUUGCUGAAUGCUGACCCUUCUUGAAUAGGGUUCGUAUGGUGUUUAGCAGACAGGCACAAACUAAAGCGGACCAUGCUUGGCACACAAACUGCCAUUUACAGACUACUACACCAGAAAUCGAGCCAAGCCAGUCCUAACUACAAUAUAAUUACAGUGUACACACCAAGAUGAGCAUCAUAAAGCAAGAAAAAAACAUUUAACAUGUGUGACUAUGGGCAGAAUCUAUGACACAGAAAUGCUCAAACAUUAGAUGUCCAUGAGAAAAUGAUGCAUCCAUACACCACUGCUUCCAAAAGACAGAAGUUUGAUUUGCAGGUAGGUCAUGAUGCAAAGUCCAACAGUAAGAAUCACACGAGUCAAGCAAAGAAUGAAGCAGUGGGUUACCAUAACAGGACAAGCAGACAAAAAUAGGGGAAAACCUGUUGGGAAUGCAGUGGAAGCUCUAAGAAAGACAUGUUUCUCUUUCGUUUGGCUGCAAGCCUUUUUAGGGCUAGUCUUCAACAAGCUGAUUAUCAGCAAACAGACGGCACUAUACAAUAAAAUGUCUAGUUUUCCCAGAAAAAGAAAAAGGGUCUGAAACUUUUAAACCCACAUAGAGCUAUAAUUACCACAGAAUAUAAGGAAAAGCAUGCACAAAGAUUUAAAAGGAGGCAACAAAUAACAGAUCCCUCUAACUAGGUUAAUGGGAAAAGUCACUCAUCUACAUACAUAUCAACAUCAACAAAUGGUUUUCAACAUUAUUACAAAGAUCUCAUUUUGGGCCUUUUUGAGUGAAAGCUUUCUGAUAAAAUUAGGAUCACUGAUUUGGGAAAAAAUCAGUGAACAAUGGGAAUCAAUGCUGGUAGAGAAAAUAUUCAAAAGAAACGAAACUAAGGCCUAAGAGCAAUCAUAUGACCAAACUCUUGCAUUUAAGAGUUUGAUUUUGGAUGUGUACAAAAAGGAAAUGUAAAUUGAACUUGUACAUAAACUUACAUGUCAUUUACUGAUAGUAUUCACCGUCAAACAACAAUUUCAAGCCAAAAAGGGAUCCAAAGUGGAGCGGUUAAAAUGAUAAAUACAUUAAAAUUUCUCUUGAUGGAACCGUUAUGCACCAGUGAUCCCUGCUUAUAAGUAUGCAGUCACCUGAACUUCAACAGAAGGAAAAAAAAAUGAAUUCAAUUUCAUUUGUGUUACCACUUUAAACAAGAACCAGACAAUCGCCCUCCUGCACCUGUUAUGUUAAGAGUUUUUUCUCCUACCACCCAAAUGCUUAGCAAUGUCAGACAUCAGCACACUUUGUCGGUGCAAAGCCCAGCCUAGACUUCUUUGUAUCAUACAAGAUAUGGAAAUUCUGCUGCUGGUAGUUUCCAAUUAUUGAAAGGGCCGAAGGCGGGGUUCCCAAAAUCGCUAGACACACAACUUCCCUUGGUUCAAUCUCAAUAAAGUAGUUCUCAACUGGGAAAUUCCAGACAGCUCCAUCACUAAAGACAAUUCCAAAGUCAGGCAGGUCCGGUUGCUCCACCCCAGUAACAUUGUAACAAGGCUCCAAAACAGGAAAAUCCUUUACUACUGGGUAUCCUUUCACCUUGGCCAUAAAUGCCUCCUUGAUAACCUGAUAUGCAGGCUCAGCAAAGUAGCUAAGUGUAGUGCCUGAAUCGAUGAUUGUACCACCAGAGCCAUCAGUGGCAAUCUGCCACUUCUCCUCUGGAAUAUUGACCACCUCUCCGCCAACCACAAUGGAUUUAAUCUGGACAUAAUAAAAUGUAUCCACUGGGUUUUCUUUCCCAGCAACCAAAGUAGUGAAGUUCAACUCCGGAUGGCUCAAGAGGUCCUUGUCCUCACCAAAAAUCAACUUACUGCUGACAUUAGCAUCACUAUUCCGAUCGACUAGACAAUAAGAGAAAGAGUGGCCAUACAGAGAUUGGAGCUGGGACGAGAAGGAGAGUGGCCCCCUCCCCAAUCCCAACAAUCCAGCAGCCCCAUGAAAGAGGCCUCUAUUCCAAUGACCACAACCAAACAUGACAUUCUCCACCCUCCUCAAUUCGGGCUUUCCAGAGGACAUGGUGAGGUUAACAGUGAAAGUUUCUAGAGCAAAAUCACCGGUGGUGUUAGAACUAUCACCGUACCAGUAGUAGUAGGGACAGGUCUGGUUCUCAGCCUUGCAGGGCUGAGGAGGGUCAGGAGAGGAAACGAGGUGGCACCGGGAAUCAUGGCAACCGAUAUUGCGAUAAGAAGAGGACUGCCCAGGAUCAUAAUGAGGUCCAUUUUGCUCAAAACAUUCGUAACAAGGCACACAUUGAAUCCAAUUAAGAUCACUACCAGUAUCAAGUAUAAGAGAGAAAUGCUUAGGAGGUGUACCCACAAACACAUCAAUGAAGUACUCGCCUGACCCAAGGCUCACACCGGACUCCAACGUUGCAAUGAGCUGGCCGGAGAACACGCUUGCGGAGGACUCCGGGGCCGCCGCUGGCGGUGCUACUUGGGGCUUCGAUUGCUGUUUCUUCAGCCUUGACACCGUGUUUUGGUUCUUUUUCUCAGUCAUUCUUUUGUAGAGAGUCUGAAUUCUUGCCAAGUCCUUCAUUUUUGACACACCCACCGAUUCCUUCUUCUCUGUGCCCGCCGACCGGCGCUUCAGGUUUAGCUUCACCGUCUGUUUCACAUCGCCGUCGCCGUCUUCCGCCUCGUCGUCAUCGACAUCGUCAUCACAAUUGUCGAACCCUUCAUCUUGCGAUGGAUUCGAUUUCUUCGAAUUUGGGAUGCUACACCCAGUAGUAGCUGAAGCUGUGACCGCAUUGAAGCUGGGGUGCUCGGGAAAUUCGAUUCCGGCGAGGUGAGAACCAUUCUUUGAUUUGUGAUCGUGGGUUCCGGCGGCGCCGCAGACUAACAGAAGAACGAGGAGGAGGAAAACCUUGAGCACCAUGGUGGUGAUGCUGAUCCCCUCCUGUUUGGUCACUGAGAAAAUAAGAAAGACACCAAAAAGGUAGACCCAGAAAAGGGUAGAAAUGUUUUCACCUUUUAGCAAAUGCCAGAAAAGGUGUUCCGAAAUCAAAAGAGUAAAUGAAUUCAGAAAACAGAAGCCCAGAAAAUAAAGACAGAAGAAACACAAGAAAAGAGUAAAUGGGGUGUGUUUGAGAGGAGAGAAAUUAUAUAAUGGAAAAGAGGAGGAUUCAAAGUUGAUGAAGAAGAAGGCGAAGCAGAAGAAGAGAAAAAGAAGGGUAUAUGUGCUAUCAGCAAUGGAAUGUAAUUCAACGAUUUGAACACUGUUGGAAACGCGGUUUCAAGGGGUCAAAAAAAUAAAAAUAAAAAUCCAAAAAAUCUAAAAAAAAUUCAAAAAAAAUCAAAAAAAUCAAAAAUCAAAAAGGAAAAAAAUAAGUUUGAAAGACAAAAAUAUAAAAAUAUAUAUAUAAGUAAAUUUAAUUAUGGAAAUGAGUAUGAAUGAAAGAUUUUUGCUUGGUCUUUGAGGAGAGGGCAGAGGGUGGUGUUCCUCACACUUUCCUCUUCUUCCAAAUUCCAAUAUGCCUCCCACUACUAAUUAAAAGUCUGCAACUACAACAUUUGGCCUUGGUUUUACCUGGUCAAACUCCAUAACUCUCUCUUUUCCCUCAAAAUUCAAAUGCAUGUGUUCUUAUUUUGCACAUUUAAAAUUACUUGAUUGGGUUUUGACUCUUUGGGCUUCCCGUUCAGCUGGGCAUAUACACAAUGGUAUUUUUGUCUUUUUAUUUUAUCGAAAACAGCACAUUUUUAAUUUAGGUAUAAUAUCACCUCAAGUGGAUUUAUAUAUAUCAUAUUUUAGCAUGGAAGAUUUUCUAGGCAAGUCCACAAGGGUAUUUUUGUCUUUUUAUUUUAAUAUCUCAAUGAGAAAAUAUCACAUUUUUAAUUUAGGUAUAAUAUAGAGAAGAUAUGUAUUUGAAUUUUCUACCUUAUAUACCAUGUUUUAGCAUAAAAAUUAUAUAUUUGGAUUUAAUUUUCUACCUUACAUACUUACCAAUUUGAUUUUUAAAAUUAUGAUUGUAAUAAAUAAAUACAAUUUAUAAAUAAAUAAAUUUUAUAAUUUAUUUUUAUAAAAAAAUUUCUAAAUUUUAAACGUGUUAAAAAUAAAAAAUAAUUAAUCUAUUAAUUAUAUAUGAGAAAUGGAAAAAAAAAGUCUUAUUGUGGAUGUUUGAUAAACUAACUUGUAACUUAAUAAUUUAAUUUAAAUUUUUAAAUAAAUUAAGUAUGUUUGAUAAAAUAACUUAAUUAUAUGACUUAAAAGUCAAAAAUAAUUUUAAUAAAUAAAUAAACUAAUUAAUUUAUUAUUAAGUCCAUAUUUUUAUUUUAUCUUUUUAUCCUUAUUUAUCAUAGUUACCUUCAUGAUUUUUUUUUUACUAUUCCACGACUUCUUAUAUUACCCAAUCUUUUUUACCCUAAUUAUAAUUUAUGGUAAUAAAUAUAUCAAUUUGAUAAUUUAAAAUAAAUUUUAUUAGACAACCUUAAUACUUAUAAUAAGGAUCAAAUUAAUAACUUAAAUAUAAUUUAACUUAAUAUCAAAUUAUAUCAUUAAAUAAUAAAUUUUAAAUUUUAUCAAACACUUAUUUAUUUAAUGACUUAAAUUAAGUUAUUAAGUUACUUUAAAUUAUCAAAUUGGUUUAUCAUACUCCUAUUUAAUCUAUAUAUUUUUAUGUUAAAUUUAACCUAAGGAGGUUAAAAGGGAAUUUUCAUGAUUAAUUAUUAAAUAAUAAAAUUCACGCAAUAUAAAAAUGAAAAAUAAAAAAUAUUUUCCAUGGCCAACUAAAUAAAUGAGAUGUGAACGAACCAAACGUAGAGUCCAAAAUGCAAUUGGUCCUUUGCUUUGACUUUUUUUUAAUAAAAAAGUGGUCCAUAGUGGACUACAUGACACGCGCCAAUGAGCGCGUCGCAGUUUGGGCCCACCACGGGUGCCCUCUGCUACAAGAAAGAGAUUAAUUCAAUGAAAUAGAAAGGCUUGUCAAUCAAAAUCAAAUUAGUUUUAGACUUCUAAGUAAAAAAUUAAAAAAUUAAAAAAAAAAAAUUGUUUUUUUUAUGAUAUCAUUUUCAAAGUAUCAAGGGAGGACCAAAUCAUAGAAAUUUGACCCAAGGGUUAGUUAGAAUUAAGUCAUUGACAAAUCUUAAUCCAAUUUUAAGGUCAUUCUUGGUCAAAAGAGAGAGAGAGAGAGAGAGAGAGAGAGUAACUCAUUUUAAAUUUGAUGAAUGGUAAAUAAUUCAAGGUCAAGAGUACAUAAAAAGUUUGGGUUGGGUUGGGUUUGUUUAAAUUAUAGAGUCAAUAGAGUUGAUCAAUGAACCAAAAUCCACGUUUUUGUGCCACCUUUUUGGGCAAUGACCAUGGAGGUCAUCAUUUGCAUGCGUCAAAUUUCUAAAGGGAUAAAUUUUCUUACUUCCUUUUAGAAAAGUAUUCUUACUUCAUUUGGUAUUCUUCCCAAGGAGAUAUGACUCCACAUCUUUGUUUUGAAUGUGUCCUCUUUUGUGUUUUGGGUCUAAUCUAAACAAGAAGGUGAGUAUGAGGUGUGGACAUUCUUCCAAAUUUUUAUUAUUAAAAUAGACUUUUUCUAGGUUGAAAAUGCAUUUUAAAGAUAUAUGAUUUGUUUGGAAAUUGUUUUUCAAAACAAUUUUUUGUUUUUCUAAACAAAAAACAUAAAAAACACGAGUUUGAUAACAAAAAAAAACUAUUUUCUAUUUUAUAUUUUUAAGAAUAUAAAAUAAAGUUUUGCCAGAUAACAUCUUUUAAUUAUUUUUUAUUAUUUUUAUAUUUUUUUAGGGUUGUUUUAAAAAAUAAUUAUACAAAUAUGUAAAAUGAUUAAAAAUAAAAACUAGAUAUAAAAAUUAUUUUUAAAAAUAUUUAAAACAGAAUAAAAAUAUUUAACUUUUUAAACAGACUUUUGUUAUAUAAAAAUUAGAAAAUAAUUAUAAAAAAUUAUUCUCAAAAACUAUUUUUCAAAAUUGUUUUUUAAACAACUAACAAAUAGACCCAUAGUUUCUUAAAAGGGAAGACAUGAUAUAUAAAGGAUCCAACUUUAAUUCAAAAAAUAAACUAUAUUAAAAAAAUGCGACUUCAAUUCAAAAAUAAAUUUACUAUGAAGUUGUAUUUUAAAAAUAUAGUUUUAUAUGAAAAUAAUAAUAAUAAUAAUAAUAAUAACACCAAGAAUCUAGAUGAUCACAAAUGUUUGAAAUAAUAUUGAGAUAUGAUAUUAUUUAGUUUAAAAAAAUCAUUUUAACUUAAAUCUAGCAUUCUCAUACUAAUAUUGGAGGUUAGAAGCACAUACUUAUUAUUUAUAAGAUAAAGUUGGAUUUAAAAAUAAAUAAACAAUUAUUGGGUAUUAUAAGUAGUAGAUAGGGUAUCAAUUGGAUGUUGUUAAAGAGGAUUUAUGGGUAUUUAGUAUUUAAUUAAAGCAACGUGUACCAAGAGAAGAGAGUUAAGUCUUCCAUUUCAAAUUUCAAUUGCUAACCCUAAAGAUGUCUUUUGUGGAACUUUAUUAUAUUGAGUCGCUAUUCUUGACUCCACUUUCUUCCUCACCUAAUUCAUUUUUCUUUUUUUAAUUUUUUUUUUAAUUUAGCUUUUACUUCAAAAGGUUAGGGAUUUUGUACUUUUAAAAAAUAUUUUGGAAAGAAAAAAAAAACCCAAUUCCUAGGAUACCAAUUAUAUCAAAAUAAUAUGUAUUUUUUGCCCAAUAUUUUUUAAUAAAAAAUUGUUAUUGUUGCCAAUAUGAUUUAUCAAAAUUGUAAAAACUAAAAUAAAAUAAAAUAAAAUAAAAACCCAAAAUUGUCUUUUGAGUUGAUCUUGGUGGUAGUCCUAAUCAUGAUGAGAUGCAUUGAAUAUGGAGUUAAUUUUAAAUAUUGUAUGGAAAUAGAAGGUCAACCAACCCAAUUUGGGUUUAUUGCCCUUUCCAUUUUAGUUUUAAACCACCAUGGAUUUGAUGUUCAUCUUUCUUUCUUCAGCCAUUACCCCCAACCCCUUCUCUAUCUUUAGUGUCUUUUAUUUGAAAAUUCCAUUAUGGUUCAAGGUGUUCUUUAUUACAUCAUCCACACUAAGGUAUUUGAAAAUUCCAUCAUCUCAUAUGGUUCAUGGUGCUCUUUAUUACAUCAUCCACACUAAGGUGAAAAUGGGAUACAAGGAGGAAAAUGUAAAUAAAUAAAAAUAAAAUAAAAAAUAUAUAAAGUUCCUACAUAUCGAAAGGUGAAAGAGAUGGAUCGGUUAGGUCAACCUUCUUAGAUGGUUAAGUUGAUCAUAAAAUGAAGUGAGAGGACAACAUAUAGGAAUGAAUUAUUUUUCAUACCUUGUAGAGCUCAACCUCAUUUUUUUAUAGUUUCCUUUCGGGAGAUCGUUAAUGAAAGGUAAUAAAAGAAGGCAUAAGUUAUAUGUUACUUUGAAUGAUUUCUCUUAUGUCUAUCUCGAAGAUUCUAACUGUUAUGUGGUUAAUAUAGGGUCGUUUUCAAGGCUUUAGCUGUUAAAAGUUAUUACUUAUGAGAGGUCAAAUUUUUAUAGGCGAUGAUCAUUGUUGAUGUUGUUGCGUAGAUGUGUCAACCUCCUAUUUGUGAAGUGAUGACGGUGGUGGUCUAAUCACAUGUAUUGUAUUGCAAUUGAGUGAGUGCCACAAAGUUGUCAUGACAAGCAACAUGUGAAGGUAAUAUGUUGCUCUUUUGACCUUGUCACAUUGUAAAGAAUUUUCAUGCCACCAAAUCUUCUUCCUAUUUUCUAUGUCGAUUUAGUAAAUAAUAGAAAAAUCAAAGCGGAGGUGACACAUUUUUUCGAGACAACUUGUUUUUUCGUUUUCUCCAAGUGUCACUGAUAAGUGAAUUGUCAUUUGUUCUUAUAUGAGCUUUUGGUCUUAACAAUUUUGUUUUCUGCUUUUCUUCUUCCUUGCUUCUUUUUCAAAAGGUACUAGUGAAGUUUAUGACAUAAGACAAUGCUUCAAGAUUCCUUCUUUUGUGAGGCUUUAUCUUUCCAUUGAAAGAAUGAACUUCCUCUACUCAAGUCAAGAGAAUGAUUAAUUCGUAUUGAGCAUUUGGAGGUAGGUCCUCAUCUUCCUUUAUCAUUGAUUCUAUGACAUUUUUUUAAGGUGCCCUUGCACCAUUUGAUCCCAAUACUAUAAGUGUUUUGAUGAUAGUAGUUUUUAUGAACUAUGUUCCUAACUACAAGAUUAGUUUGAGGGAGUUGCUCUUCCUAUACCAAGUGAGUGCCAUAAUACUGGUGCAAAGUACAUCUCUCCAAACGAUAGGUUAAGAAGUUUGGUUUUUGAGACUCCAAACUCUAGGGGAAAAAAAAAAAGUAGACUAGGGUUUUCUGUUGGUUGACGAACAACAAGAGGGGUCGAAUGUGCAAGAGAUCGUGCCUCCAAUGCUUCUUAAAGAGGAUAGAGAUAAUAUGUUUGCUCUUCCCCUCUUCUUAUUUUGAUUUUUCUACUAUAAUCUUAAAUUGAUUUUCUAUAUUUUGGAGAAUCUCGAGGGUAUCAUUGGAGUGUUUUUACAAAGUGGUCAAUUUUAGUUCUCCAUAUCACUCAUCUGUUUUGGAGUCAUUCUAGUUUGACAAGGUUAACAUGUCACCCUACUCUAGGAGUAAGUUCCAAUUAAGGUUAUUAAGGGUGAGUCUUCUUUUGACUGUAAAACCUUUGCUCUUGUGUCGAUCCUUCCAUUUCAAUUUAAGAAUUUUGUGACUUAUGUCAACAGAUAUACUCCUGUCGAGGACAUGAAUAAUCCCAUCCUUGACUUGCUAAAGGCAUUGGGAAUUCCUAUGCCUCAUUCUACAAAGAGGUCAAUCAAUAGAAAAGGCUCGAAUCAAUGUAAGAAGAAAUCUAAGAAAAGAUUGUCUUUUGCAUAAUCAUUGUCUAAUUUAAAGAGGAGGAAAAUGUCUUCAUUAGAAUCAUUGUAUGAUCAAGCACAAAUCAAUAUUCAAGUUUCUCUAUAUGAGAGGGACAAUGUCUAGGAAAAUCCAAUACUUGACCACAUGAUGGUUAAGGGUUCUUUUUCCCAUGAUGACUUAACCCGUCAGGAUGUAUUGAGUUUUUCAUCUAAUGUCCUUUUGUUAGAGAUAAAGGGAUAGUUGUAAGAUCCUACUCAAGUUUCUCCCUAUAGAACUCCUUUAAAGAAUGCUCUAAUUGGGGAUACAUUUGCUAUUAUUCCACCUCAUCCUUUCAUCUCCAAGAAAACACCCCCAUGGUAGCAUCUUGCACUUAGUCAUCUUAAGACCAUUGUGCAUGGGUCAAUCGUUCUAAACUAUCCUUCUUUUUCCCAAGUGUGGAUGUUGAUUCAGACCUAAAAGUCUUAAUUGCCCCUCAAAUUGUCAAUGAGUUUUUUGAAGGGAAGACUUGUUGGCAUCUUAGAUCUUAUAUAGUAGAAGCCAUAACAAUUCAAAAAUUAAAUCUUUUUAAGGUUAAAAAACUAUACCUUUAGGUUUGGAUGUUUCCAAACCAUAUUUUUCUAAUUUGGUGAAGCUCUCAAAGAUAUUGUGUGUCUUCCACCUAAUGACUCUUACUUGGAUCUUGGCACUUAGAGAAGAGCAGUCUUCUCUUGUAAGGAAAAUGAAGACUUGGGUUUUUUCUAAAAGAUAUAAGAGUAAGAAUUAGUUUAAACCCAAACCCUAAAAGGGUUUAUAUAAGCUAGAGAUGGGUUUAAGUGACUAGAUGCAAGACAUGGGCGAAGGUCACUUGACCUAGCCUAUAAGGUCAUAUUUAAUUAAUUAGCUAAUAAUAUGGAUUUCAAUUAAUUAAAUAACACAAAUAAAUCCCAACAAACAAUUAAUCAUAUGUUUUAGUGCAACCUUGUGCAACUUAUUGCACCCCUAAUGCACACAAUAUAAUUCAUUGAAUUAAAAUAUAAUUUUCUCAAUAAUAAGUGUCACUAGGAAUAUGAACUCGAGCAGGAAUCAAUGGGACUCGUAGAAAAAUAUUUACUCCUUUAGAGUCAUAAUUUUAAAAUUGUCUCUUCAUUCCACUAAAGAGAGCUAAUUGAACUUUUGUAUCCUAUUGAGAUAAAAUUAAUUACUUAUUCAAGUCCAUGACUUACCAUUCAUUACAUGCAAAUUCCUCAUGAAUUUAUGUCAAUAAUCCAACUAGAUAAUAGUUAUCAAUCUUUCAGGAUUACCUUUCUAAUCCUUGAGUCUUAUAUCUAUCUAUAUCAUGAUCAAUUGACAUACGCUUAUCCAUUAAGAAUACAUGUUAAAUUCCACUAAAGAAAUUAUUAUAGUCAUAGAUUUUAUGAUCAUAAAUACUUAAGAUCAACUAAGGAGACAUUAUUUCAAACCCAUGAGAUAUCAUGAUAUCUCCAUUGAGAAUAUAUAUUAGUAAUUACUUAAACCAUUAAUCAUUCAAUCCAUAAGGAAUAUAUGAUCAUACUAAAAUCAAACCUGUAAAAUCAAAGUCACUCAUAACUUAAGCACUAGUGUAAUAUUCUCUCAAAGUUAAGAACUCAUGCAACACAAUAGCUUGAAGAAAUCAUGAUAAUCUGAUAGUCAUUCAGUCGUGACUCUCCAUAGGUCAUAUUCAAUGUCUAACCAUAUACAUUAAUACACAUACCAUGAGACAUUUAUCUCGAUGACCAAGACAAAUCAUUCCACUACUUUGGAAGUGGUGUACUAUGACUUCUAAGGAAUUGUCCAAGUACAUGAAUGAGUAGUGAACAAUUUAUCAUCUUGUAAAAAACUCAUAACUUGAAUAUAUUUUUUUUUUUUACAAUUCCUAAUAUACUUAAGUCAUGUAUAAUACAAGUGAUAUAAAUAUAAAUGCUCAAAUAAAUAAAUGGUCAUAUAAACAAUGCAAGUGGAAUAGAAUAAUUGAAAUCGUAUAAAAUAAUAAAUCAAGUUUGUUACAACAUGCUAUACUUUUAAAGGUUCUAUCUUAAGAAGAUCAAUCUUAUUUCUAGCAAUGACGAGCAUGAUAUGAUGGUUAAGUACAUCAGUAUGGGAAUUAAGGUUGUUGUUGCUCUAGUGAUUAUGUGACCCAAUGUCAUCCCUAAGUUAGUUGGCUUGAUCCUCCCAUUGCCAAGAAUUAGAGCCCUUCUAUUGGUGAGUGAUCAGUCGUUAAUCGUCGUCUAAACUUUGCAACAAAGAUCGUAAGUGUUUUUUAUUUUUUAUUUUUAAGAGACUUCUACAAUUGGUUAUCGUUGUGUAGGCAUGUAUGAUUACUUCUACUAUGGUGGGUCAAGCUAACCAAGGGCAUCAUGGAGGUAGGGUCCUAUAGGGGCAUCACGGGGUGGCCUUGCAAGAGCGUCAUGGUAGACAAAAUGCGGAGGUAGGGCAUCACUCUUUUAACCUUUCAACAUGACAAGGAAUUUCCAUGUCCUCACAAAGUUUCAAUAAUUUUUAUUACAUUUAAUUAUUUUAUUAAAAUAAUUAAAAAAAUUAAAAAUAAAUCAUUGAUUACGCAAUACAUUGUAAAUUAGUCUCCUUUCAACUAUCAAAAUAAUUUUAUUUUAUUUAGUAAUGGAAUUGCUUCCAUCAUCGUAACCAUCAUCCUUCACUAAAGGCUUUCUCCACCUAACUCAUUUCAAAGGAUGUGCACCCCUUUGGAAAUAAUUUAAGCAGCCAAGACCAUUGACCCUCUAACAUUUAUUUUUAUUUUAUUUCUUAGGUAACACAUUAUAAUAAUUAAUAAUGCUGUCCUCAUAAACCUAUGUAAAUUCAAUUAUCUUUCAAACUGGCUCACUCCAUGGACCACAAGGGUCACUCCACACACCGGCCAAUUUAGCUAGGGAUUAAAAUAUUAUUAUGCAAUAUGAGUUUUUAAUCCCAUGACCUCGGUUUCAAAGAGAAAUAAACCAACCAUUAAACUAAAUGUUACUUUUUGACUUACAUUUGUCCCCUUGAAUCCUCUUCGUGCCUAACUUCGUAAAUGUAAUUAUUUGUCAUACAAAAAAUAAGAAUUUUUUUCCUUAAUAAAAUGAAAUAAAAUUAACAAAGCAAUUUUUUUCUUUCUAACAAAAUACAAUCUCUUACUUUUGAAAUAAAAUAAUUACAAUAUGUCUUAUUUUAAUUAUUAAUAAAACAAUUCGAAAAAAAAUUAAUUUGCUAAGGACGUCAUUUUUUUCUUAAAAUAAUGUAAUGGCAUGUUUGGUAUAUAAAAUUAGAAUAGUUGAAAAAUCAAAAUCUUGAUAAAAGUAGGUUUGAAUUUUCAUUUGAUUCAUUCAAAGUGUUUUCAUUCUCUUUUUCAACUUUUCAAAUAAUGUCUAUUAUAAAAAAUGUCAAAAUCUUAUCAUUUUUAGACCUUAAUUUUCAAAUAUUUUCAGCCCAUAAUUUCAAGCAUUUAGCUUUAUCCAAAUUUAAAUUAAAUUAAAAUCUAUUCAAAUUUAAUAUAAAAAAAAGAAAAAAAAAAUUCCCACUUAAAAUUUAAUAUUAAAUAGAAAUACAUCAUUUACAUGUAUGUGCUUAAACCAUAAAAGGUAUGAUAGAAAUUAUUACUAUAAAUAGCAAGAUAUUUUACUAAAAAAUUUUAUGUAAAAAUUUAAAAAUUAGAAUUUUCUAAGGUACUAAAUAAAAUCCUCUUCUUCAUGUAAAUUUCCUUAUUAAAAAAAAAGAAAAAGAAAAAGAAAAAGAAAAAGAAAAGAGAAGUCUUCUCAUCUUCAUGAAUGGCUUUCAUGACAAGCUUGAUAAAUGUGUUGAAGUCUGUUGGUAAAAAAGAAGCCUUGUACACAAGUUUCCAGGUCAAACAUGGUUCGGAAUUGGCAUUCAAUUAAGAUGGAAUUCAGGCAUUCCAAGGGCAUUACACCAUUUACAUAUGGGGAAUGUCUGCCAUUAACUUCUCUAGAAUUUCUUAGUCUAUAAAAGCCAAAACCCUAUUUCAGACCUAGAAAAUUGGGAAGAAGAGAGAGAGAGAGAGAGAGAGAGAGAGAGAGAGAGAUGGGGAGACUAAUGGUAGCUUGGACAUGACUUUGUUUUAUUUGUUUUGGGUAUGCGUAAUUUCAUCACAUUUUAUGGUAUUUGGUAGGAGUGAACCAUUGGAAUGUAUAAUGUAAUGUUGUUGACUCCAAUGAUAUGAUUUUAAUAAGCUUCUAUAAUAUAUGUAUAAGGGGAGAUUGUUUCCUUGAGUUUCUCACUUAGCCCAUGGUGUAUGGCCUUGUCUCCUUUCCCAUGUGCUUCUCACUUUGAAAUGACACUCUCUACCAAACUCCUCAAUUCCUUUUUCAAGGUGGAGGUGCUCAAAUUUUAAUAAAAAUAUAAUAUUUAAAUAAUAUAUAUAUAUAUUUAAUAUGGCUAAUAUAUUGACUUUCCCACCUUUGAAAGCCGAAAAUAAUAAUCAAAAUAAUAGGCAUAAGUAUAUGCUUAUUGUUACUUUUAUCACAUAUUUCUUAUGUAAUAUAUGAUGCCUCAACAUCAACUUAUGAUUAUUUUCAUAUUAAUAUUUUAAAAAAUAAAAAUUAAGGUAUCGAAUUAGUAUUCAUCAAACCCCCUCUGAAUCAUAAAUGUAUGUAAUAAAAUUUAGACUAUUAGAUGAAGAUAAAAAUGUAUUCAGGUAUAAACAAAUAAAACUCGAAGAAAUCUACAUGAUACCACAUGAUUGCAGGUAAUUUUUUUAUAUCUGCUAAAAAAAUACCUUCCGAUAUUGUAAUGGAAUGCUUUAAAAUUCAUAAAUUGUAUAUUAUUAUGAUGAAAUAGAUAAUAAAUUAUAAUAAUGAAGUAAGAAAAGAGAUUAUCAAUUUAUGUAAUAACCCUUUUUCAAAAAAUAAUAGUGGUAACAUCAUGGAUUUGAAUGAGGGCGAAGGUGGAGCUCACAUAUGGGGCUACUCAUCCAAGUUAGGCACAUGCCAAAAGAAGUCCAAACCAUGAGGUUGAGAAUAAGGGAGAGCUCAUUAAGAGGUGUCUCUUAGUACACAUCAUACGCAUCCCAUCUCAACAACCAACUAACCCAUCACCUACUCAAUGGGACAACCAAAUUAAAUUCAAAGAGGUAGAGUUUUUCUAUAUACGAUUGUGAAAGCCGAAGGCUCCUUGCUUUGAUUAUGGUGUUUUUGUCCCCUUUAGUUUUGUGUUCUAAACCAUGUUUUCAAAUAAACUAUAUAGUAAAAACAAAACAAACCAUGAUAAUGUGUGCAAGUGUUUUACUUUGACACAUCAAGUGGGUGGUCUUUGUAGCAUUCCCAACACGCUAUCACGUUUCAUUUUGCCUCAAAAAUCUACCUUUUAUCAACUUAAACUAUUGGGAUUCGAUUACUUUCUCAUAAGAAGAACUAAAAAUAUUAGAAAUAGGAGUUCAACUACGAUACUCAGUUGAUAUACAUUGAAAAAUAUAAUCAAUCAAAUCAUAUCAUAUAUGUAUUUUAAUCUCAAUGUUUAUAUCUAAUAUUAUUAUUAUUUUUAUCUAAUCCUAUUGCUUACGUGCUUCAUCUGUAAUAUAUUUUCAACGACCGAGAUAUAAAAUUCAAGACCCGUAAUAUUAAAUUUUCUUACUUUUAUCUAUAUAUACCAAUGUCGAAGCAAGCUCUACGCAUAGGCUCUACUAGCAUAACCAAACAAGUUUAUCAAUCAUUAUUUUUUAGUUGAAAGCAGCUUAAACCCUUAAAGAAAAAGAAAAAGUCAACCAAAAAAAAAAGGAAAAAAGGAAAAAAGGAAAAAUAAAAUUGCAGUGUGAAUCAUGUCGAGAGUGGCGGUGGGAUUGAUUAUGUAAAUGGUUUCGUGUUGGAGGUGUGGCUAAGAAUGAAGACUCUAAACAACACAACAAAGUCUAAUGUGUUUUAACUUGUGGGAGAAGAUACAUAUUAAAGGCUUAGAAUUUAACGACACAUUGACCAAAUCAAAGAAAUGCACAACAUUAGAAGAAAAUACAAGGAGUGAGUCCCAUUUUCAUACGGUAAGAGAGAUGGUCUUCAUCUUGACGUCACAAAUGGUUUGUGCUGGCUUUUAGGCUUUGGACCAGCGUGGGAAAGAUGAAACCCUCGACACUGCACAGAUGUAGAAACCUUACAUGGGGUAAUAAUGUGAUCUAAGGCGUUUUUCAAAAAUUGUUUUUGAAAAACAGUUUUUCUUUUUGGAAAAAACAAGACAUGGGGUAGAAUAUAAGGGCUUGUUUAAUUGAUGUUUUUGAAAAUUGUUAUGAAAAGCAGUUUUUGAGAACAACUUUAUGUGUUUUUAGAAAAAAAAAAUUGUGUUUAGAAACUAAAUUUUAGAAAACAGUUUUUGUUAUCAAAAACAAAAAAAAACAUAUUUGGUUGAGUUAAUAAAAAAGUUUUUUAGAAUAAAUAAAAAAACAUGUUUCAAAGUUUUUUUUUUUUUUAAUUAAUAAAGUGUUUUUUUCAUUAACUUGAUAUUAUAAAUAUAUAAAUAAUUUUCACAUGGAUAAUUCAUUUAAAUUAAAAAAAAAUCAUUUUAAAAUUUUUACCCUAGUUAUAAUUUUUUUAAACAAAUGAUGACUUUAUAACCAUAUGUAAGUAUAUUAAUUUUAAUAAUUUAAGGAAAAAAGAAAAUGUUUACAUGUGAGGGUGUGGUGAUCGGGUAUAACUCACCUUUGUGGAAACACAAAAAGAAAGGAAAAAAUAACACGAAAAACAAUCUGUUCUUUGAACAGUGAAAAACAAUGAAAACAUUUUUUUCUUAUUCUCAAAAAAGUGGUUUUUGAGAACAUGAAAAACACAAAAAAUAAAAACACACCUCCCUUCCCUAAACAAGUUUUUUGUGUUUUUUAUUUUCAAGAACAGAAAACGAUUCUUGAAAACAUGAACCAAACAGACCUAAGGGACUCUUUAAAAACUGUUUGUUCUUAAUCAUUUUUACUCAAAAGAUCAAGUUUGACGGAUUUACGACAGAAGCCAUUUUUUUUGAAAAUUUGUUCAGAAAGUUGUUUGCUUCAAACACAAGGUAAAAGCUUUUCAGUCACCCUCACACAUGGGCUCUGAUUUAAGAAAGGUGCGACUUUGAAACAGAGAGCCAAACUAACAACCAAGGUUUAAAAAGAACAUAUUACUCCUUGUUUUAGCCCCACCCGCAGGGGCAAAGCUUUAAUUGCUAAAAGCUAGUUCUACCUAUUGAAGUUUUUAUAAUAUAUUUGAUUGUUAUUAAAGCACUUCCAUACAAAACUGAGCAAAAAUGCUUGAUGCAUGAGGCAUUAUUUAAUAACCAUUUUUUGAAAACGGUUUUCUAUUUUCCAAAACAAUAAAGCAAGAAAACACAUUCUUUUCUAUUUAAUAUAUAUAUAUAUAUAUAUAUAUAUAUAUAUAUAUAGUAUUUUCAUAUAACAUCUUUCAACCGGUUUAGGUCAUUUUUACUUGUUUUUUAAUAAUCGUUUUCAAGAAUAAUAAUACAAAUCAAAGAAUGAUUAAAAAUAAAAACACUGCAUAUCAAAGUUAUUUUUAAAAUGUAUUUUAGAAUAUAAAAAAUAGGUUAAGAAUAUUUUAGGUUUUCAGACAAAUUUUUAUUUUAUAAAAUAUUAAAAAAUAAUUUUCAAAAUCUAUUAUUAAAAAAACUGUUUUUAGAAACACUUUCUACGUAUUGACUAAGUGUGUGUUUGGUAACAAUUUUAGGAAGUGUUUUUAACUUUUUUUAAUACUUGAAAGAUAAAAAUUUUCAAGUGUAAGAAAAUCUCAAAAUACUUUCUAAAAUCACUACCAAACCCAUUCUAAAACUCUUUUCACUAAUCUUAUAAUUCAAAAUUUUGUUAUAGAUAAAAGCUUUGUUUGAAUAAUAAAAAGCCAAAGAUAAAAAUUAAAACAAAAAUAAAUUCAAUCUCAACAAAUUUUUGAAACUCUUAUGUAUUUCCAAUUUAAAAAUAUAAAAAUAAAAAAUUAUUAUUUAAAAAAAAAAACCCUAUUUUAACUUUUUGAAAAAGUUCUUUUCCAUUUAAUAGAACUUUUACAAUUCUAAUAUUUUAAAAAUUGGGCCUUUGACUUCAGCUUUAACAUCCUGCAAAAGCUUCCUACCUCAAGAUUAGAAUUAGGAAGGGCUGUGAGUCGUGAGAAGAGAUCCCCAAAGUAAAUUCUAUACUCUAGGCUCCUUGCACAAAUACUUAAAAGUAAGCAUGUUUCAGAAGUCAUGGAAGAAGAUUAAUAAAGCUUGGUUGGUUCUCCUUUUUAAAAACCCAAAAGCAAAGUGAAACAGAUUGCUAAGUAGUAAGUACAGUAGGUUGUAAAGCAGAUGGAGAGCAGAUCAAUUGAUGGUAAGUGAAGGGCAAGGAACAGAACCACCCAGAGAUGGAUUAUCAAGUUGGGAUAAAACAGAAUGCCUUUAAGAUCAAAUGUUUACAGUGAUGGUGGGUGGCUUGCAUAUUAACAUUUUAAAUGUGCCUCGUAGAAACACUUACAGGUUUCAGCACUUGCUUGGGUCUACACUCCCAAAGUAUUAUCAAGUGGAAGAACCAUCUGCAGCCAACAACAAGUGAAACAAAUUCUGACAAUAUUUCUCAGUUUCAUAUCAAGAAAAAAAGAUAGAAAAUUAAUUGUAGGCUAUAUAUUUCCUUCAUGUAGCAUCUUACUGGAGGCUUGGGAACAUUAUCGAAGGAGACUUAAUAAUACCAUAAUUUUUCCCUGUAAACCCUCAAUUGUCUUGGUUGCUAAAAAGCAAGAAACAUGUACACCAAUGGCUUCCAACCAGCUGAUUCAAUUGAAACUUUACAUAAAUCAUUUUUCCCUGUACCAAAGUGCACCCUCAAUUGUCUGGGUGCUAAAAAGCAACAGAUAUGGACAUCAGUGACUUCCAACCAGCCAAUUCAAUUGAAAGUUUACAUAAUUUAGUUCAGACAUAGUUCUCAUGAAAUCUGAAACUCAUUCUCUCUCUCUCUCUCUCUCUCUCUCUCUCUCUCUCUCUCUCUCAAUUCAAACUUUCACAGCUUUUUACCUUUUUUUUUUUUCCUUUUUUAAGAAAAUUGCUAGGGAAAAGAAAGUAGUUUUGUCAGCAUUUACAACAUUAUGGACAUUAUACAUUACCAAAUUCAGUAAAUCUCAUUGUUAAACAGAUAAAGUUGGCAUCCUUUACAGUGUUGGUUCAAAGUCAAAAGAUGCUAAUUGCUUUCCCCUUCAGCCGUUCAUGAGUAUGAUUCUACAAAAAGAAAAAAGAAAUAAAGAAGGCUCUCACAGAUCAACCUAGGUUUAUCACCUCUUCGAAAUAAAGCAGGCCAGCAUAUAAUCAAUUGAUCAGGACUUCAGAGUUUUCAUUUUCUUCUUAAAAUGUGCUCCCAAACGAUCAAUCUGGAAAUUCAUAGUAAAAUCACAUGCUCUAACUAAUCUUUCAGUCUGGAAAGCCUCCAAUAGCUUGCUUUUUCAAAUGACCAGGAAGUAUUAUUCUACAAGAUCAGAGCUCCAAAAUCUGCCAAUAUUUAUGAAAUUUUCUGAAAAGAGCAUGGAAAAAUGAUUAUGCAAGUUAUUUGAGUAUCUCUUCAGCAUACAAUACAUUUUUUUUUUCCUUUCAUUUUUUGAUUGAAAAAUGUUAUUGUAAUCCAUCCUCUGAAAACUCACAGUGAAUAUUCCACUUGCCUAUCAUCUUCACAGCCAUGCCUGAAUUCUUUUAAUAAUGCAGUUCAAAACCAUACCUGACCAUGCAUCUAGUCAAAAAGAGCUUAAGCACCCUUUGCAGAGAGAUCUUGCAACCCACAAACCAUAUUUGCAGGGACAGCUAAGUCAAUCAUUUUUGGAUAAGAUAGAUUCAAAUCUGAAAAACAAUUAAUUCACACUCUUAAGGGGCCAUGUAGAAAAUAUUAAAGGGCAGUUUAAAAUAGGAGUAACAGAUUUAUCAUGGUUUUCCCCUGCCAGAUAGUUUUUACUUACUUUCCAUGAUAUCCUUAAAUGUUUCCUGCAAAAGGAGAUCCAGAAUAAAAAAAAAAACAAUUAGGAAGAUAAGAGAAGUUUGGCCAAGAUCUAGGUAAAUAAAAAAUGUUUAAUUGAUAUUUUUCCAAGUCUUUGCUCAUCAAAAACCCAAUUUAAUCAGCUAAUUAUCUUAAAGGUUAGAUAUAUCCUUUUUUUCAUCAAAUGCUUUCAAAUUCCAGCAGUGUUUUUGUAAAAUCUCAACAGGAGAAUCAUUUUAUUUAAAAUAACAUGACUAUGUUAGAUUAUUGUGAAUGUCAUUCACUUUAAUGAACAAGCCAAAUUGGAUAGCAUUCAUUGAACAAGGACAGGUUAACCAACAAAAGGUAGGCAAUGGUGUCCAUAGAAUCAUAAUCCAUUUGGUAAUAACCAGAAAGAUAAAUGAGAAAUAAAAGAAAAUAUGAAAGCAACAAUUCUGGCUGAAAGAAUUACCUCAUCUUUUGUUAACCGAGGAUUAUAGAGCAUUUCCUCCCCCACAGUACUUACCUACAUCUCAAGCAUAGUCAUUGCAUAAGUUGAUAAUUAAACAAUUUACAUGUUCCAGGAGAGAGAGAGAGAGAGAGAGAGAGAGAGAGAGAGGAUGGUUACAUACAGUGAAUCCCUUGUAAUCAUGAGCAGGGUAGAUCAAUGUGUCUUUGGGCAAUGUGAAAAUCUGGAUUGAUAAGAAAAAUUUUUAGAAAAAGAGAAGUGUAACUGUACCAUAAUGGUGUUUGAAAUACCAAAUACAUAGAAGGUUUUUUCAAUUUUCUUUCCCAUGAAAAAAAAUGCCCACUCUGCUUCAUGUUCUUGCCUGUGAAUGCACCGAAUUGUAGAGUUGAUGUGAACAUCCACCCUGUGAGUCAAUUAUAAAGAUUAAACAAUGCUCCUUGAGAAUCUUUUAGAAAAGUUCUCUUUUAAAAAUGAAACAAAUUCUUCACACUUUCAGCCUGUAAAUAUUUAAUAACUACAUUAAACCUGAAAAUCCGUUCUUCCACAUCCACGAAUCAGCAAGGCAUCCCCAGUGAAAGCCAUCCUUGGUUCAGGUUGAUCAGGGGCAUCUCCUGUAACAUAGGUGACACAACCUAUUGUAUGACCAGGAGUAGCACGAACCUGCAGCAAAAGGAAAUAGGAAAAAAUAAAGUUCUCGAAGAUCGAAUUAACAACUUUCAAACUCCAUACUCAUAAAAGAUGAAAAUUCUGCAAUAACGGGGUAGUAUUUGCAUUUUGACUUGAUAUAUAUAUAUAUAUAUAUUUUUUUUUUUGAUAAGCAAAUGAUAUAUAUAAAACGGCCAAUAGCCUCAAGGCAUACAGGAAGUAUACAAAGCUACCAACCCUCAAAAAACAACAUAACGAAACAAGCCCUACUUGGAGGCUAAAUAUAUAUUUUAUGAUAAGUAGACUUGAUAUUAAACACCAAAGGACAUCUUGAUUCACCAUAUACCACCAAAAAAAUCUAAAAAAAUGUGCCUUAUAAAAUUACAGGAUAUACUACAGUGGAUGCAAAAUGACAUUUUUUCUCUUACAAAAUGGUAAUGAUGCAUGAUGCAUGUGAAAUUCACCUAAUUGGGGUUAUUUUUUAAUAAACAAUUAAAAAAACUCUUUCCUCAGGAAAGUACUGUUCAAAAUUUUAUCAGAAAUAAAAUAUAUAUUGAUAAUAGUAAACUUCUUUUGGACAAGAAUGCUUUGGACUGUGAUAUUAACUUUUUCGGAUUGGUUUGGGUGUUCCCGGAUUCAGUGAGAAAUCUCUUUCUAGAAUGGAAAGUUAAGGGGCUGAGGAAGAAUAAAAGAUCAAUGUGGAGAUUGGCUCCGAUUUGUCUUUUUUCGUGUAUUUGGGGAGAACAAAAUCGAAGAACUUUUUAGGAGGAAGAGAUGUCUGAUCAAAGUCUAAGGAAGCUCUUUACCCGUUCACUUUUUUUAUUUUUUUGACUUUUUGGGUGUCCUUAAUGGAGACUAACAUCCCUAUUGUAGGUCUUGUUUCUCCUUUUUGCAGCCUGUUUGGGUUUUGCUUGUAUACUGCCUGUAUACUUGGGGUUCGCCCACUGUUUUUAGGUGUUAAUUAAUUCAAUCUGCCUUUGUCUAUCAAAAAAAAGAAAAAAAGUAAAGUUCAUGAGAAGGAUGAGAGGUCCUUCCCACAAAUACAAAACUUGAUCAAAAUAGGACCAUUCUCCUCCACUAUACAAUGAUAACUACAGAUCAAGACAUGUACAAAAUAUCACAAGAAACCAAAACCAAACUCUUUCAAACGUUAUCCACCCCUUUCGAAUUACAAACCGAUGUCCAACUUAGUUGAAUAACCUUAAGUGGGAUUCCUCUAAAAGCGACAGUUAAAGAGGCCCAAAAGGAGGAGUAGAAGUGAAGAAGAUCCCACGACAUCCCUUCUCUUUGGUACUUAUCCUCAAAAAUCCUAGCGUUUCGCUCUUGCUACACAAUCCACAGUACAGUGAGGCAAGCGAUAUGCCAAAGAGUCUUACCUCUGAUUGAAUUCCUCAACCCUCUAAAUGAAAUAACCAUCAUAUCUCCAAUUCUCUAAGGGGGAACUCAAUUGAAAUUAGCUAUUGUGAAGAGUUUAUGCCAAAGGGCAUUUUGAGAUUCUAUUUACUGUCUUGAGGGUGUUUUUUAAAUUUUUCUUAGAACCUCUAUUUGCUACUCCAAACGAUACCAGGAAUCGAAGAUAGUUACUACUUUCUUCUAACAUCCAUGGCAGAGCGCUACAUGAAAAUUUAAAAGGCAUGCAAAAAUUUUACUAAAGGGUAAAUCCUACAAGCUUAGAAGUGGGAUAAUGAAACAUGAUAUUUGGAACUUCAACGAAUCCAGUAACAAAUAAUUAUAUCAUAGCUUAUGAAUAUAGAGAAGUAGAUAUAUGCAACUACAAAAUAACAGUGUCACCUGCUGAUAAUUAAACAUUGAAGUUCCUGACAUCAUGUCGUCAUCAUCUGGCUUAAAUUUAUUUUUCUAAACCAUAAUUCUCAAUAUUGGAUUAUCUAGAAAUAAAAUAUAUGUACCAUGGAUGAUGUGAUUACUUAGGGCAGGUUUCUGAAAAGAAGAGGUAUAAUUAAGAAAAACGGUUGACUGCACAGGAGAUGCUGCCUCUGUUUUUGGGCUUGUGUUAAUGAGAGAAGGCAAACUAAUUCCAAAGUACACCUGCAUCGCCUUAUCUUUUAAGCAAUCCCUGAAUUCAACAACUCAUAGACAUCUCAUGUACCAAUAACUGCAUCCAUACCAUGCAACAGAGACUUGGGAUGCAUUCUACAAGAACAAAUUCUAUUUAGCAAAAUAAGGUGACUCGUGAAAUGGGAAAACUCAAAGAGAAUGGAAGAAACAUUCGAAGGAGAAAAACCGGUGCACCUCCAGAGUCCAAACUAGAAAUAAAUUAACAUAUUAUUGUUAUUGAGCAGCCCAGAGAGUGAAAUAAAUUUACAAUCAUUCAGCUUUGUUGGGUCAAGAACAAAUUCCAGAAAGCCCAUCAGGGCAGAUAUGAACAAGAGAAGGCUACUUGCACAGGAAUACAUCCUUACAAGCAGAUCCUCCCAAAAUCUGCCUUUUGGGAAGAGAUACAAAGAAUUUCUCUGGUAAUCAGACUCUAGGAGCAUAUAGCUCUCCACAAGCUGUAAUACGAGGAUCCAAUCCACCUAAAUAGUCUCUCUAAUAUGUACUUAAUGGUGUAAGGAAAUUUGUUUCCUUAUGAACUAUGCACAGCCACUCAUUAACUGAUUCCUAUUACUUCAACCCACAUUACAAAUUCCUAAACCACUAGCAGCUUUAGGUUCUGAGGCCAUGCAACAAAUCAACCAAGUUUGUUUUAGGCCCAAACCCAAGCAGCAUCUCUUAUUAUGUUCUUUUCAUUAGUAUAACAACACAAUACAAAUUGCUUCAAAUGCCUAAUUAGGGAGGCAUUAGUAAUGCAACAAUUAUUGUUCUAGAAAUAUCAGGAGUAAAAUGUAUAGCAACUGCCCGGCACCUAAAACAGAAACUAGAAAGUCAGUACAUCUAGACCAUAGGUUCUUCAAAAAUUUGAAAAUCAAGUCCUGAACUUUCCAGUGUGGUUCUUAUAAGGAAAAAAAAAACUAUAAAUACACAAAACACAAGCAGUUCCCCUGUUCAUCUUAAAGAAAAUACAUGAACCAUGCCCUUACCUCCAGAUACAGAUCUCCAAAAUAGAUUUUAUCACCAUUUUCAACCAGAAGAUCAGCUUUUGAUUUGCUCAUUUUAGAAAUUAUAGAUUUUACACCAGGAACUUUAGUCUGCAAAAAAAGGAGGAAGAGAGAGAGAGCGAGAGUGAGUUACCAUUUGAUAUAAGACUUUCAAAAAUGCAAUGAGAGAAUUUUUUUGUGAAUGAAUCAUAUCAAGAAAAGAAUAAGAAUCAACCUCUACAUACUAUGAGAGAGAGUAUGCGUGUAUGUGUGUGAAUGAACAUGCAACAAUACUGAAAAAAGAGUUAAACAGCAUUGAAAAUGUUAGAAACCUGCAGCAAUACUGAGAAAACAGUUAAACAGAACUAAGAAUGUUAGAAACCUUUAUCAGCCCAGUUCCGGUAACAUGAUCAGCAUGUACAUGAGUAUUCAUUGCAUAAAUGAGCUUCAAUCCUAGUUCUUUCACAAGGGAAAGGUCCCUCUCCACUUUCUUGUCGACUGGGUCAAUCAACUGCAGAUAAAUGAACUCAGUUAGCAUGUAUUUCAGAAUAUAUGCUAAUGAAGAAAUUAAUGUAUAAGUGAGUGGAAUGUUGAGCCUAUGCAUAAAAGUCAUCACUUGGGUAUUGUGAUAACUGAAAUAGGGCAAGCAAUUUUUCUGGAUAGAGCAUUCUGGUUGGAGCAAAAAGCAAGGAUUUUUAGGAAGAUUCACCCAUGGCAGAGAUGUGGGAUAAAGUUCAUUCCUAUGUCUCUUCAGGCAUCUUCUCACUGAGGUGUUCCUCAGCAUUCCACCAAGUUUCAUCUCUUUGGAAUGAAAAGGUGUUUGCACUGGUAAUCAAAGAAGUCAUUUCAAGAAGAACUUUGACAGAUGCAUUUAGGAUUCCAGAUUAAUUUUGCAUAGGGGGCUUUAUUAGAGACUGUGGAGGGGUGAUGAUUUUGGUCUUUUCCAGCCUGAAUGGUAGUGAUGGCUAUUAAAUUGUGUUUUCAGCUCUUCGAGAAUGUUUAAUUGGGUUUCCAGUUUGGGUGUUAAAACCCUGAUCAAGGAAGAGAUUUCUUGGAUAUAAAUUUUUGUGCCUCCUCUAGAGGCCAAAGUCCUUGGUGUCUUACUCAUUGAUGAGGGAGAUUCAUACUCUUGCUGCAGAUAAUGUUUCUUCUUUUUAUUUGAAAACCUAAAUCAGUUACCCCAAUGACCAAUGAUAUGUAAAAUAGAAUCUGGCUUCAUAGAAUGUGCAAAGUAGUUUUAGUGAAUUAGGCACACCUACCUUCCCUAGGUGCUUGCCAUCAAUUAGUUUUCUAGUUUUAGUGAAUGAAUGUGCAAAGUAGUACCCUAAGGUAAUGAGAGGGUUAAGUCAAUUCAAUCCAUACUCACCCUUAUUUUUUAGCAUUUUACCAAAUGUAGCAAGUAUAUUGAUGUUAAGAGCUAAAGUGUGUAUCAUUUUAGAACAUGUCCUAGAGAUUAGAAAUGGAAUGAAGGUGUUUCAUUGGCAACUCAAAAAAUGAGACAAUUUUCUUUUCUAGAGAUAGAUUGGAAGAUCUACGGAGUCUUAAGCCCAUUUUGAUAGUUUGAGGCUACUUGUCCAUAAGUGGAAGAAUAACUCUUAUGAAGUUCUACUUGUUUCAUAACCCCAUUUACUUUCUUUCAAUGUCCAAGAUUUUAGGGAAAGGGAUUCUAAGAUUGAGAGCUUGUGAAGAGAAUUUCUUUCUUUAGGUGCUAUGAGGGGAAGAGUGAACAUCUUAUUAAUUAGGAUCGAUGCAGGGCAAAGGGAGAAGGAAACUUAGGUUUAAAAAGGAUUACUUUGAGGGACAAAACCCUUCAAGAGAAGUGUUUAUGAAGGUUUCCUAUGAAGGGUAACCUUUUUUCGAAAUAGGGUCAUCAUGAGCAUAUAUACGACACAUCUCAACAAAUGGUAUGCUAACAUUAUUGUUAAAUGGUCAUACUAUUGCCCUUGGGAGGUUAUGUUGAUGUUCCAUUUGAACUACUUUGCACCACAACUCUGAACUUCAAUUCAUUAUUGAAAAAGCUCAUCUCUAGAAAAAUCUUUGGUUAAGGAACCAAACCCUGUAUAAUAAAUUCUCAAAUAUUUUAAAUGUGAUGAGAUCCAAAAACUCUUCUAUUUCUUUUAUGUUAGGGCUCUCUUCUUUCUAAAACUUCUUCUAUUUCUUCUAAGAAGAGUUUUACUCUUCUAAUACAACUUGUCUCAUCUGAAAAUGGGAGGUUGUUCUCCUUAUGUCCUUCUUGACCUAGGUGUGCUUUUUGCCUAUCUUUCCUUAUGUGAGGGUUUGAGGGUUUUGAGGUUAAAAUUUUGAGUCCAUUUUUAUUCUUAUUAUUAUUACUAUAGUUUAGCUCUCUCAAAGGUCCUUGUACUCAAUCUCUAACUUUCGAAUUGAUUUCAUUUGGAAAUCUAAAGUCAAUUCUAAGAGCAUCUCUAAUGGGAUGUCAAAAAGGCAUGUUACUCUCAAAAUCUAGCAUUUGCCUUUAGUAUUGUUGCUCCAAUGGGCAAUGCCAUAUUAUGUGUUAAAAUGGCAAUGCCAUUUUUUGUGCUAAAUUUGGCAUUGCUAUUUCCAAUGUCAAAAAAAACACUAGCAUUAUGCAUUGGAGUAGUAUGCUAAAUUUUUUGGCUCUUCUAUUUUAGAAUUUGCACUAGAGAAUAAUUGUCAAUACUAACAGAUAGCUUUGAUGUUACUAUUUUAGCAUUGAGCAUUGGAGAUAUCUAAGUAAGUCUUUCAUGGCCUAUAACCUAGUCUCUUAUCUUUCUAGCUAAUUUCAUUUGAAAAUCUAAAGUCUCUCUUGAAGUAAAGGUCCUUGCAUGACCUAUGACAAAUAAGAAGAUAAUACCAAUGACAUACUACAAAUGAAGAAGCCUUGUAAAGCUCUAAAGUCAAACCAUUAUAUUAUGUGUUUGGAGAGUUAUGAAUAGAUUGAUCAUCCUUUUCUUCAUUGCUUGAUGGUUAUGAGGCAUUGUCAAAGGUUGUUUAGACUUGUUAGGAGAGACUAGGUACCCCUCAAGAGCAGGAAAGAUCAUAUUUAUUUUUUAGGUGUAACAGGGGUGCUCCUUAGAGGCAUUGUCAAAGGUUAUGUGUUUGGAGAGUUAUGAAUAGAUCGAUCAUCCUUUUCUUCAUUGCUCGAUGGUUAUGAGGCAUUGUCAAAGGUUGUUUAGACUUGUUAGGAGAGACUAGGUACCCCUCAAGAGCAGGAAAGAUCAUAUUUAUUUUUUAGGUGUAACAGGGGUGCUCCUUAGAGACAAGGUGUGUUUUGAAAUGUGGCUAGACUCACUUUGAUUUAGUUAAUUUGCUGAGAAAGGAAUGCAAAAACCUUUUAGAAUGAGUGGAGCUUUGUGAAUUUGGUAUGGGAUAUGGUUUUUUUUUUUCCUUCUAUUCUCUUUAGACCUUUAACUUUGGAAUCUACAAGGUCACAAUCUUGAGCCUCCUUUUGCUAGAUGGGAAUCCUUGUUUCUAAGUCCAAGAGGAUACUUAAGCAUGUGCAACCAGUAUGAAAUCCACCUCUAGAGGGUUCUUUUUAUGUUAAACUCGGGUGUUCUUCGGGUAACCUAGGGCAACUUACAAUUGAAGGAGAGAUAAAAUAUCAUCAAAAUACCAUAUUGAAAACCCGCUAGAGAGGUUUGGCUAUUGAGACAAAGAUCCUAUAAAUUUUGAGGGGUUUAUCUCAAGAAAGGAUAUCAGCCUUUCUUAUCUCUUAGUGAAAGGGGAAUCAACUAUUGUUAUUUUAUGGGUAUCAAAAGAGGAAAGCGGCCCCUGAAAAUUGGAUGCUGGGCUUUGCCAAAUUAUUGAUUUCCCUAUAGAUUUGGGAUGUUUCUCCGGGCCCCUACACUUAGCUAAUAGUGUUGUUAAUCUUUUAGCCAAAAAGGGAGCAAAGCUGCUGGUUUCUUUUGUAAAGGACUAUUACAUCACUGAGUCAUAUGGAGUUUUGGGAAUUAUGUAGGAGAAGGUUACACAUACUUUCCUUGAUUUUUAUCAAAAUGUUUAAACUUCUGGGAGGAUUUCUGUUUCUUCUUUGUAAAUAUUAAUUCAUAUCAACGAAUUUAGCAUUUCUGGAUAAAAAAUAUUAAAUUCUAGAAAACUUGGGACACGAGAUUUGUCAUCCUUUUUUCCUUUUUAUCAAUGUGAUGCAGCGGUAGGUAGUUCUGUGCAGAGCUUUUAAGUGGGUUUAAGAGAAGGGAGAAGGAGUUCAUUUCUGCCACAUGCCGGUGACAAUAUAUGACAGAAAAGGGUCAAUUAGACACUUAAAGAUUCAACAUUCUCUGUAUUGAGUCAAUCUCAGGGUGAGUUCAAAUCUAAAUAAGCGUGUGAUUGUCCUGGUGGGGCGGAGGACAUUCGAGAUCUAGAAAGAGCUGAGGAAUGCAAUCACUAGGUUCAAAAGGCUGCAAAAGCCCAUCUCGAGGAUUGCUCCAAGGGGGUGUAAGCCUAAAAGGGCAGGAGUCCUCCACAUAUAGGUCCAUCUUCAGGAGAAUUUACUAAAUCAAUUUUCUGAAAGCACCAUGUCAAAUACGCAUCAUCAGUCAUCACCAUCGAUCGCUAAGCUUCUUUUCUGAACCAAAUGAAAGUUAAAGCUAGAAAAAAGGAAUUUUCUGCAAAGUUCAUAAAACAAGCACACACCCAAAUGAAUUUCGAACAAGAUACUAUCCUCGAUCAAAGGUGAAAAAUCAAGACCAUAAACUCGAAUGUAUUACAAUCAUAUUCCAAAACAAAGAAUUAACAUUAACGCAAGCUCACGGACUACUGAAAAAACUGAGCAAAAGAAUAUUCAAAUCAAAGAUCAUACAAUUGAAAAUCAAAAUUCCCAUUUCCCUUUUGUACGGCUUCUCAGCAACAACCAAACCAAGUUCAGAAAACAAAACCUAACCAGUGCGGGUUUAUCAGGGUGAGAGACGUCAGCGAGCAGGUAGGUGUAAGUAGAAGACUCCUGCUCAAACAGCUGGCGAAACAAAAGCUUUUUCGAUGACUGUCCAAACGACGUCGAAUAACACUUCACCAUCCGAUGUGACCUGAAGCCACGGGCCUUGGCCAUCGCUGGCAUUGCCGAGAAUGAGCCUACACGGAGUGGAGCUAGAGAGAGUCGAAGCAUUUUCGCUUUGUCCUUGAUCUCCAAUGGGGCCUCUGUUUGGCCGCCUAGAAAAUGGAACUCCGGUGGAAACACGAAACUACUGCUCUAUCCUGAGCAAGAGGUUAGUGACAAAUUAACACCAAAUGCUGAGUUAAGGUUACGGCACGUACAUAGAGACCCACUUGUGUGUCAUUUGCCGGAUGAGGAAAAGAAAAGGGUUAUUUAGUAAAUAGACCAUUGAAAACUUGAUUUUGAAAAUUAUGGUCCGUGUAGUUGCUGUUUUUGAAAACUGUUGUGAAAAAUAAUUUAUAAAAAAGGUUUUUUGUGUUUUCAUAAAAUAAAUUGUGUUUGGGACUAAAUUUUGUAAAAUAAUUUUUUUUUCUAAAAAAAAAAACAUAUUUGAUUAAGUUAAUAAUUUUUUUUAUAGUAAGUAAAACAAAAAACAUAUUUGAAAGCUAUUUUUUCAAUUAAUAAAAUAUUUUAUUUUAUUAACUCGAUAUUCUAAAUAUAUAAAUAAUUUUCAUAUGCACAAUUUAUUUAAAUUUAAAAAAAUUAUUUAAUCUUAAAGUUUUUAUAACAGUUAUAAUUUUCUUAAAUAAAUGAUGAUUUUGUAACCAUAUGUAAGUAUAUUAAUUUCAAUAAUUUAAGGGAAAAAAAAGAGCUUGUGGGUGGGGGUGUGGUAGUUGAGUUGAGCUCACUUUUGUUAAAAUAUAAAAAACAUUUAGAAAAACAUAAAAAUAAUGAAGAGAAAACAAUGAAAAUAUAUUUUUAUUGUUCUAAAAAAAAUGGUUUUUUACAAUACGAAAAACACAAAAAAUAAAAACACACCCCCUUUUUAAAACAAGGUUUUUGUAUUUUUUGUUUUAAAGAACAGAAAAUAGUUAUUGAAAAAAAGAAUAAAAUAGACCUAUAUUUUUCUAAGAGAAAAAUACGGAUAUUUUUGCUAAAAUGUGAUAAAAAAAAAAAAAGAAAAAUGGAAAAUGAAUGAACGAAGGGUUAGUUUUGAAAAUUGGGUUUUGAACGGCACUUUUAAAAAAUCUCAUUCACAAGGUAUACGAUACAUGACACGGGAUCAAAACAUAUGAAAUAGGCGUCUUUGAAUGAGAAAAGCGAGGGACUUGGUGAAAAGCGUACCGCGCAGCUUCUCUACUGCUCGCACCCCAACUCCGGCGCAAAUGGAUCCAUCAGACCGCUACUGCUACAACCCCGUCUUGCGCUGGAACCCUCAGGUGGAAGCCUACUUCUCCAAGGCAUACGGUCCUCACCAUUUCUCUCGCAUCACUCAAGCCCUAGCGUACUAUCCCUUCUCCUCAUUUUACUCUUCCCUCUCUGUUUUCGUACUCUCUCUUUCCCCGCACUUCCCACUCUGUUGGGUUUCUCAUAAAGUGUAGUUAUGCGACUUUUUUGUUUUUUUGAUUUCUGAUUUUUGAUUCCCAGUGAAAGCAAAAUCCGGUAGGAAAAGAAUCCGAAUUCAAAAUUUGUUAUUCUUUUCUUGUUUCUUUUGGUUUCCUUGGUUUUCUGGUAAGCGAACAGAGGGCCUGUUAUGGGGUUUUUAGCAUAUGAGAGUUCUCUUUUGAAAAUGGUUGUGGUUUCGGUUAAUUCCAUCUAUCAGUUGUUUGCAAGUUGUUCUUCGAUGGGUGGAAAAGAAAUGUACGCCCUUUAUGGUUUUUCAAUUUUUGAAUUUUAUUCAGAGGGAGAACAAAAUCGCGUAGGAAAAGAAGAAAGGCUCAAAAUUUGCGUAUUUCCUUGUUCCUUUUGGUUGCCCAGCUUUCUCAGCAAACAAACGGGGGCAGUUUUUGGGAGUUGUCCUUGAAAAUGGUUGUGGUGUCUGUCCAUUCAAUCUAUCUGUUGCUUGAAAGUGAUUUUUUAAUGAUUGGAAAAGAAAUCUGCCUGCUUUAUUGUUUUUUUUUUCCUUCAAUUUUAAAGCUUGAUUCACAAUGAAAGUAAAAUCAUGUAGGAAGGGGUGAAAAUCCAAAAUUUGUGUUUAUCCUUUCUUCUUUUUUCUUUUUUAAAUUUCCUUUGAUAUCCUGGAUUUCUUGGUGACCAAAUAUAGGGUUUGUCGUGGUGUUUUUUAGCAUGUGAGAGUUGUCUUUUGGAAAAUGGUUGAGGUUUCAUCGGUAUAAUCUAAGAUGUUAAGUGGUGACACUCAAUCUUGAGUAGUUUCCGUUUCUACUGGGGUCUAAAAAGUUUAAUUUUCAAUGGUUAUUUCCUCAUUAACCUAGGACAGCUAGGGAUUGAAGGAGUCUUUAGAGAUCAUUGUGAUGGAGUGUUGAGAGCUUUUUCUAAGUUGGCGGAAGAGUGUUUAGCUAUAGAAGCAUAGAUACUAGCUCUUUUAGAAAGUUUGUUGCAGGAUAAAACUUUGAAUCUUUCAUAUUUAUGGGUUAAGGGUGAUUUCUAUUGCUAUUUCAUGGGUAUCCUAGAAGGCAAAGGUCCAUGAAGAAAUGCUGGAUGGAUCUAUCAAAUUAUUAGUGUUGUUAGUUCUUCUUGAUCUCCGCAUUUAGCUAUUCAGGUGGUGAAUCAUUUAGCCAAGAAAGGGCCCAAACACUUGGUAUCCUUCAUUGAGUUUUUCCCUCCUCUGAGAUGUAUAAAGCAUUUUUUGUUUGUAUUAUGCUUUGGUAUCCUCUACAAGAUAUGCACCUUGUUUUGCUUUCCUUAGGAGUGGUAUGCACAUAUUUUCUGUUAGAUUAGUGUUUGGUGAAACUUGGAAGGAUUUCUUAAUCUUUCUCUGUACUUAAUUUAGGGCAAUGGAUGUGUUUAUUUCUGACAAAAAAAAAAAAACUCCACGAUUAGUUUUUCAAUAAGCAGAAAAGGAAUGUGUUUGCUCCCCUGCAUUUUUUAUUUUGAUUAAGAGUGUAGGCAAAAUCACAUGGAAAAGAAGCAAAAUUCAAAUUUUGUGUUUUCCUUGUUGCUUUUGGUUUUGACAUCUUAACUGAAAAGUGGAUCUGUUAUUGUGUUUUGCACGUGAGAGUUGUCCUUUCAAAAGGGAAUGUAUUUGCCUACUUGUUUUUUGGUUUAUAAUUUUCUGAUGCAGAGUUAAAGCAAAAUUAUGCAGGAGAACAUGCAAAUUUCAAAUUCUUUUUUUUUUUUGUUCCUUUUUGCUUCCCCAGUUUUCUCAUUACCAAAUGGAGGGUCUAUUAUGGAUUUUUAGCUUUUGAGAGUUAUUUUUUUUGAAAAGGAUUCUGCUUUCUAUCGAUUCAAUAAAUCAAUUCUUUGGAGGUACAUAUCUUGAUAAGUAGUAAAGGAAUAUGUUUGUUUCUUGUUUUUAAAUUUUUGACUGAAGUGAUAGCAAAAUAUUGCUUGGUAAUUUGUUUUGCUGAAACAGUAGUUUACUAAAAUCUGUAAAACAAAGCUUUUGUUUUGGUGGUUUUGUCUAUUGAAGAUAUUGGAUGUGCUGGUGUUGGUGAGGAGAGAACAAAUGUUUGCUCUCAAAUCAAUGGCUUAAAAAGGGAUUUUUUUUUGGUUGUUUUGAGAGGGCAUGGUGAUUGUAAUAUGUUAGUAUGAUGUGUUUUCUUGUGUGCUUGUGUUGUGUUUUUUUUUAAUCCUUGUCUUUAUGGUCGCAUGUUUUGACUAGGCGUCCAUCUUGCUACUCUUGUAUCCGUGUGAAUACACUCAAAUCAACAAGUGAUGCUGUUAUUGAGAAGCUAUUGGCAAUUAUACAGGAAACAGAGCUUGGUAACACUGUUGAUGGCAUGCAUUUAAGUGAAAGUAAUGCCACUGCCAAAAUUGAUAUGGGAGGGAAUUUAAAAAGCUCUCUGAGAGAAUAUAAUAGUCACCUGAAUUUGGAUGAGCAAAAGAAGGUUGCCUUUGGAAACUUUGAACAGUUGGAUUCUCAGAAGAAAAGCUUGGAAACUGGUUCAAUUUCUAAGUGCCAGUUACCCGGGCUAGACUAUGUUGUCUUUGUCAGAGGUUCAGGACCACACACAAUUGAAUAUGGCUAUGAAAUUGAUAGACCUCCAAAGGAGGUUAUUGUGAGUCGUAAAUGUGCUGAGGCAGUUCUUCGAGGGGCUCAGGUAUUAGCAUUCUUGUAAUUUUAUCUAAGUUUGGUACAUAUGUUAAAUUUCAUCGGUCUGGCGCUUCUUAGUGUUUGAAUUCUAUAAAAUAUGAACAUCCCAGUAUUUACUCUUUUUUUGGAUUCAAACUUAACUCAAUCCAACAAACAUGAUCACAACUUCUGAGAGCAAAUCUGGCAUCCUAGUACUCCACAUUUUUAUGGAGUUUUUUUAUACUUUCAAUUUCAUGUGUGUAUCAAAUGUUUGCAAAAGUUUAAGGGCAUCAACUCUCCUUGCUUAUUAUUAUUUUUUAGCUUAUUCCAUUUUGUACAUGUCCAUUUUGUUUAGACUCCUAUGGCCCUUUAGUAUUAUGUUGCAUUUACUUCUAGAAGAAAUUACUAACCAUAGUUUGAAUCUUAAUUUGGAUUUAGUUGAGUUAAUAUAAGAUCAGGUUGUUCUGUAUGUGCCAUGGUGGUCUACAGGACAUGGGUAUAACAUAGCAGUGCAAAUCCUGAAAGAGUGGGAUAUGUAGAACACAUCAAUUCUUUUAUAUACAAGCACAUCAUAAGUGAAAUUAUUUAAUAUAAUUUUUUUAUGUGCAAGUGUGUGAUCAUAUUAUAUGUGACAAUAGGUUUUAUUAAUAUAUCUAAAUUUUGUUAGAUCCUUACUCAAAAUUGCACCACUCAGAAGAAGCAUCUUGACAACUAUAGGUAAAUUUUUUUUUCUCUCUUUUUUGGGUCCCCAUUGGGACUUGAACUUGGAACCUCCCAUAAAUCCGCUCCAAUCCCAACCCUUAACCAUUUCAUAUAUAUAUAUAUAUAUAUAUAUAUAUAGUUGUUUUAUUUCUUUUCUCUUGCUAUAGUUUUUUGUUUGCUUGUAUUCAUGGUCUUGAUGAAGUAAUGAUAGGUGAAUUAGUAGAAUUUGAAGAAGGUACAAUAGGCAUUGCUUUGAAUUUGGAAUCAAAUAAUGUUGGUGUUGUAUUCAUGGGUGACGGUUUGAUGAUACAAUAGGGAAGUUCUGUAAAAGCAACAAGAAGAAUUGCUUAGAUACCUGUGAUCAUUUCAAUUCCAGCAAAUGAUGACGUUAUAGCUUCAAUCCGAUUAAUUCUUAAUAAACUAGUAUUCGCUAUUUGUGAGGGUUGUUCUAGCUAUAUAAGAAAUCCUUGAUUAAUAAUAAGAUAAAUAAUAACUUUGGGAACUCCAUAGAUUUAUGGAAAUGGAAUCGGUUACUAGUUUUGAAUCUCAAAAGAGAUAAAAAACUGGGGAUAUUAUGUGACUAGUUAGUAUUCAAAGUGAUGUCAUGAUCCAAAUUAAUGUUUUGUCUAUUUCACUUAACUUAAUAGUAAGUAUGGGAAUGCAUUCAUUUCCUCUGCAUCGACCCAAUUUGUUAGUCAUAUCCUAAUGUGCCCACUGAGGGUUUGACUUGUCUUGGUCUUGUGUGUUAUUUGAAACUUUAAAGUUUUGAAUGGGUCUAACCAGUAUAGAAUUUCAGAGUACUAUUCUGUCUCAUAUUGUCUUCAGACAAAGGCAUGACUUUUGAGUAUAAUUUCAGAUUGUUCUGUAAGAGUUAAUAGUUGAUGCAUUUUUGAUAUAUUUUCUAGUGAAACAGGGAAGUAAUGAUUGCUGGAUGUUCUCUCUCCUGUUUUCUUAUGGUUGUUUAUUUGUAGGUAUAUGUCCCUGGUGUAUUGGCUUGCAGUUCUCAUGUUGAGAAAGGGGAUGUAGUUGCAGUUUCAGUUGCUGUGGAGCAGCCUGGUACUGAUGGUGGAUGGGGUGUUGGUAUAACACGUGGGACUGUUCUACAGGGUCAGCAGACAGGCAAGACUAUAGUAUUACUCUGCAGUUAUUCUUCUGAUUUAACUUUAUAUUCUUGGGUAUAAAUAUUAAGACCAUUUUUUUGUUACUUGAUUCUCAGGAAGCAAGAAUGAUAUUGUUUUGAUGGUAGCAGUUGUUAUUUGAGUGUUUCUGGAUUAGCAUUGAAUCUCGAUGUGCUUUUCCUUUUCAAAAUUAUUGUUUGGGAAUAGAUAUCUAAUCUUUUGAAAAGAGAUGGGUAAAUUUUGAGCAAACUUUUGUUAAAUACGAGUCAGAUGUCUAGUCCCUUUUUCCAGACUUGCCUUUCCACGUUUGUUGGGAAAGCUUAGUAAAUGUUUGAAACAUGAAAUAUCUUGUGCAAAUUGGAGAGAUGUUCAAAGACAUUGGUAGAAUAUUUGUAUGAGUGAUCUUUAAUUAGAGUUUCCUGGUCCUGAUUUCCAACUAGGAAUUGCAAGUAAUGCUGUAAAUAAAUAGAUAUUUAGGAACAUUUUUUGUGUAAGAUACAGGGAUAUUGAUAACAAUGCUAACAUAAAGAAAAGUGCAUUUGAAGGUGACAGACACAGCUCUACAAUUAUUAAUACAUAAUCAACCAUAUGUAUGUAUCCUAAUACAGAUCUUUUAGAGUUAAAAGGAUCCAAGUCUGAUCAUAUGUAAAUUCUAGUAAACAGUUUUGGUACUGCAGGUUUCUUUUUAAAUGUUAGAAAUCCGAUUUUGAUCAUUGUCUAGCCUUUUUUUUUAUUGGAAAUGGUUAUUAAAAUACAGUUAUAAUUCUGAGGGCUACAAAAAUUUCCUCUCAAAAAUGAUAAUUUACCUUGCAAUCAAAAUACUACUAAAUAUGAUAAUAUACUUUUUUAUAUGUGCAUAAGCAAAUUGAUUGCAAUUAAAUUAAGAAAAAGACAACUUAUUGAGAAGGGGAUGUAAAGUUGAAUCCUUAAUGUCGUAGGGACUAACUUGUUGUAGUUCUUGAUUUUAGGCUUUCUGAGUCUUCUCCAUGAUCAUAUCAAGAAAAUCAUUAUGUUCUCGAUUCUUCAACUUUCUCUUAAAACGUUUACAACUUCUAGUACCUGAUACCAAAUCUGAUGCAGGAACUUAAAAUUCCCCUCAUGUAGCAUUUUCUUGAGUUAUAGAAUGAGGUGAAAAGAAUAAAAGAUGACUUUAAAAGAAAAAAGAUAUCCUAGGUAAUCACAUCUAGAUUUUGUUAAGCAAUUAUUCUUGGAAGGAAGACAAUCAAAUCCUCAAAGAAAGCAGGAAAGAUGUUGAAAUCCUUUAGUAAAUGACUUUGAAAGACUACCUAGGUUUAUAUAGACCCUUAUCUCUUUUCUAAUAGGAUAGUUUUCCUAAUUCCUUGGUUUUUCUUGUCAGAAUAGGAAAUAAAAAACACAUGGAUGGAAUAUCAUUUAGAAACUGAAAAAAAUAAAAACUCUCAUAGUAUAAUUUGCGUAAAACAGUAUUCUCAUGGUAAAAAUGUGGUAAGACCAAUGGGUGCAAUGUGGAGAUGAUAUAGCUUCAUAGUUUGUAGUUCUGACUAAAAAGGGAGCAUAAAAGCAUCUUUGAUUUUGUACAUGUUGAACCUACACCCUGCAUAUGUCUUCCUAUACUGCAGCUUGUUCUCAAAAUGGUGUAGUAACUAGUAAGUUUCUGUGUAUCGAUUGGAUGUGAGAGAUAUACCCUCCCAUUCUUUUGCGAUAGCAUAAAUAACAGUUAUGUAUUGAAUGGAACAAUGAGAAUAUUUAUGUAAGAUAUUGAAGUGAAUACCAACUAAUCAAACUGAUUUAUUUUCAAACUUGAAUAAUAUGAGUGGUAUGACUAAACCUAAACCCGUAAGCCAUAUGACAUUUAUGCCUUGAGCUGGACUAACUCAUAUGAAAUACUUGUUUCCAAAUUCAUGUAGUCAAUUUAACAUAUUUGGGUUACUCAAAGAUUAGAGUUUCAAUCAGGAAGUGGGUUUUAAAAUGCACUUGUUAAGGAAUUAGAAGUAUAUGCCUAUGUGUGUGGAAACAAUAAUCAUUUCUCUUGUGGCAGGAUUGUGAACCUUGAGAUCAAAGGGUAAAUAUGAUCAAACAUGAGGCAUUAUAUAUACCUGGAAUAAAAAAUCUUUUACAGUAGUUUCUUUUCUGUGUGUCUAUGUGGAUUGUGUUUGCCAAACCGCAAAAGUUCUUAUCUUCUGCAUAAGUAUUCCUGUGAAAACUUCUUGUAGUUUCUGGGGUUGACACAAGUUGUUGCUAUUGCAGAUCCUUAUCAUUUUGAACGAAAUGCCCUUUAUAUUGGCCAAGGGGCCACAAUGAUGUCAAGGGCUGGGAUCUUCCGUGCUUCAGGAGGAAUUGCUGUGGAUAUGAAUAAUAGAGUAUUUAAACUGCCUUCCUUUCAUGGUAUAAUCCUUUCUUCAUCCAAACUCUUGCCUAAAUUCUUAAUUGAAAAAAAGAUUUUUUUUUUUUUUUUGAUUAUUUUUUCAUUUCUAUAAAACCUAAUUUGAUGCUUAAUAGAAUGCAAGAAUAUUGUCCUUUCUUUUUGAAAAUUUGAAAAGUUACAUGUCAGCAAAAGGUGUUCAAUAUGUUCAUCUUUUGGAUGAACACUUGCCAUAUGGUUUUUUAUUUAUGAUUUCACGAUUUUCUUAUUGUUGGUUGUAAACUAUUUAUUGUCUAGCAUAGUUUUUAAGUGCUAUUUUAGUGACAAAUGGUAACAUAUAGAACAUAUUUUUUUGAUAUGGAAUAAAAGAGCCUAUCAUGGACAAUAAAUGUUCAUCUAUGUACACUCUAAACUAUUCCAAAACAAUAGACUUAAAAUGAGAUUUCAUUGCUUGAUCUGACUCUUCAGUGUCAUUAAACGACUUUUUAUUUCUUUCUUUCCAUAAGGUCCAAAAUAAGCAUAAGGGAGCAUUGAAGGGGUAAAUGAUCAUUCAAUUCUUCUUUGCCUUUACACAUGUAACAUUUAUUUGACAUAAUCUAUCCUCUCUUUUUGAGCUGAUUUAACGUUAGAAUCCUUCUCCAAACGGUUUUCCAUGCAAAAAAGCCUACUUUUGUUGGUACCCCAAGAUUCAUGUUUACACGGAAAGCUCUCUUCCACCCCUGUCUAAGGAAGAAUAGAGAGAUUUGAUAGAGAACUCCCUGCACUUCAGAAGAUGACUUGGUUUUUAAGGAUUAUGGCUUGACAUGGGGAGUAGCUGCAAGUGCAGCAAGUGUUGGCAUGCAAAGACUUAAACUAGACUUCAAGCAAGAUUAAAGACAGGUUUAAAGGGAGGUAUAAUGGCUAUUACUUCACAACCAAAUUUUGAGGAGGAGCAAUUUAGAGGACACAGAAAAGGAUGAUAAUGAGAUGGGGGAUUAUCACUCUAGUCUUUUGAUGGAAGUGAUGACAAUUUUAAUUUCAAUGAUGACUAUGAUGAUGAUGCCUGAAGCUUCUCUAGGAUGUUCAUUUUCUUAUUUAGUUUCUAUUUUUAUUUUUAGAUGUUUGGGAAAUUAGAAUAUGUAUUUGAACAAGAUGAAUUUCUCUAAAUAUGAUGUUUCUUAUGAUGUGGAUAUAAUAUUUAGAGCUUUGAAUAAUUAUUAGUAUUUUGUUAAUUUUAUAAAACAUCAUGAAGAAUGAAAAUUUAAUGGUCUUAAUUGUUGAAGAUGACGUUUAUAUUGGUUAAUCAUCAAAUCGGUGAAUAUAUAUGUAUACACUUUAUUGCCUUACUAUAAUAAGGUGUUGCCUUGUCUUUUGCUUUUUGCCUCAGGUUAAAAGGAGUCUUAUCUCCUUGACAUUGCCUUUUGCCUUUGGCCAGUGUUUGAAAUGUUGGGAUAUUUCAACGAAAUAUCGUCGAAAUUUCGGAUAUCAGGGAGGGUCGACACGAUAUUUCACACCAAAAGUCGGUCCGCCGAUUUUUCCCAGAUUUUUCGGCGAUUUCCCCUAUAUUUCUUGAAAUUUCCUGAUUUUUCGGGAAGUCAACUAGUCAAUGUGACUGCCUGCAAUAGGAGGGGAUUUGAAUUCAAAUUUUUAUUUUUGCCGCCUACAAUGCCAAAGGGAUUCGAACCCAAAACCUUUCCAAGUCAAAAGGCUUGGAGUAGAGCCCAAUUACCACUAGGCCACAUUUGUGUUUGUUAAUAUAUAUUCACAAUCAAUUUGUUAAAGUUCAUUAUUAAAAGAAUAAAUAAAUUAAUUCUAAUUAUUUUAUUUUAAAUUUUAUUUAAUUAAUUGAUAAAAGUAUAAAAAUUGUUAUUAUAAUUUUAUUAACAAGUUUUUUUAUAUCAUUUAUAUGAUAAUUAAAUAUAAAAAUAUAAAAAUUAAAAAAAUCAUAUAUGUAUCAUCAUUUAUUUUACAUUAUUGAAUGCAUUUAAAUUAAAUAAAUUAUAGUUUUAAUAUUAAAUAUAUCAUCAUUUAUUUCAUUAAUCUUAUUUUAAAAAAUUAUUAUCACUUUACUUUUAAAUUUUCUAUAUUUAUCAUUUUAAUUUUAUUUAAUUUUGAAUAUUUUUAUUUUAAAAUAUUAAAAAUAUAAAUUUAUUCAAAAAAUUACUAAAAUAUAUAAUAAAAAAAGGAAAUUCUAAUAUUUAUAAAUUAAAAUUAAUUUGAUAACAUAAAUAAUAAAUUAUUAAGACGGAUAUAUUCUUAUUUACCGAUAUUUUUUUCCAUCAUACAUUUAUCAAUUACAUUUAUAAAAUAAUUUUAACAUAUGUAUUCUUAUUUAUUUUAUUGUUUUUUAGAGUUUUUUUUAAACAUUUUUAUGAGUUUUGAAUAAUUUUCGCCUCACCAAUAUUUGUGUCAAAAUAUCCACUGAUAUUUUACCAAUAUUUCUGAUAUAUCCUUAAAAUCCAAAUACAGAUAUAUCUGUCUUUCCCGAUAUUUCAAACCUUGUCUUUGGCAACGUUGAAGCCAAUAGCCUUCCACAAACCCACCCCAUAGCUAUCCCUUACCACCUCUUGAACACCAACCCCCUUCAUUUGCCUUAAACUUUUUUUUUUGGAUUAGAAACAAACAUAUGUAUUAAUUGAGAACAAAAAUAACAUGAGAAGGAUGAGAAAUCCUCAAGAAAUACAAAUCUGAUAAAAAAGAAUUGAGUAAACCUCCACAAUACAAUGGGGCUAAUCAAAAAGUACAAAAAUUCUAUACAAGUGUAAUGGCUCCCGACCUUGUAGACCUAGCCCUAAGGUGUACAAAUCGAAAGCCAACUAAGUUGAAUUACACUCAAAGGGUAGAGUUUGAAAACGUCUAUACGGUAAGCCCAAAAAGAAACAAGGAAAUGAAGCAAAUCCCACAUCAUUUGCUCUGAACUUUCAAACCAUGGGUUGUUUCCAAAGGGACUCUUGCUUAGUAGUGAAUCUCCAACUUUGUUUGCUAACAAGAGCCUUGUUAAGAGGAUGAAGAUUUUUUAUUCUAAGACCUCCUUUCUUCUUGUCCAGUUGGACAAUAGACCAAUAAAAUUUUAGCACAUUCCUUAUCAUUUCUAACUCCUCGAAGAUUCUUUCAUUUCCCUUGAGCAACAUCGUGACAUAGUUCAUAGUAACAUGAAAAGGUAUAACCUCCAUACUAUGCGUUUGUUGACCUUUCUUAUUUCUUUAGGUCAUACACUUGUGUGACAACUCAAAAUGGUGAAAGUUUCAUGGCACUCAAGUGCAUUGUUGCUUUCUAGCACAAGCUCUUCAUAUCUCCAUGAGAGGAAUCAUGUCCAUGUCUUUGAUCUCAUUCCUACAGUAAGGACUGUGGUACCUUCAUCUAGAUGCCUAUUCUUUUUGUGGAAUGUUAGGUUUUCAGCUUUGUACAGAACUUGGAUGCUGAGGAAAGGAUCCAAUAAUUUCUUUCUGUGAAGAUGAAGAUGUUUAGGUUUGUGGCAUAUCUUUUAUAAGGUUGCAGAAAAUCCCAUCUUGCUUUGGCCAUGCCUUCUCCUUGAGACUAAAGCAUGGAGAGAACCCUUCACCUUUGCUUCCUCUCCUUAAGCUUGAGAAAAAGGAUUUUAACCUUUGCCUCAGCCCCCUUGUUGAGACAACAUGGGUCGUCCCUGCCCUUUACCAGAUUCUAAAGUCAUAGAUGUUUAGAACAGGGUUGAAUGUGCCCUUUGAGCAUAAAAGCCUGAUCCUAAAUGCCUAACCCGAGUCAAGAGCAGGACUCCGGUGUUGUAAAUGUACUUGAUGUAUCUUAAUAGUGGGCUUAGCCUUCUAAGAGCUGAGUACCUUGGGAUUGCUUUGAGGGUCUCAGUUGUCAUUUGGAGCUGGAGGCUCAUCUAGGUGGGAAGAGACUAAAGAACUGUCAAAAUCAUCCUGUUGGUUUGGGAGGAAGGGAACAUCACUAGUGUUAGGAAAUAAGUGCCAAAAUCAGUGGAUUUGCCGCAUUUUUGGCUUGUUAUCAACCUUCAAGUUCUCCAUAAAAUCAUUUGGAAUUCUUUGAGAAUAUCAAACUCUCCACUUGCGAGAUUUCUCUUAGAAUCAUUGCUACAAUCUCCAACCCCUCUGCUCUUGAGUUGCUCCACCUUCCACUUAAGCUCUGCCACUUUAAAAUCCAUAUGGUUGAUAUCAUUAAAUACGAAGUUCUUAUAACACUUGUCUGGAGAAAGCUCAUGUCUACAUUGCUGAGGAAUUGAAUAUAGGAUUAGAUUCUCAGGCAGGGACUAGGAAUCUAAAUAUGGGUCUUGUUUUUUAUGGUGUUGGGAGAAAGCUUAUUAUUGUGAAUGCAGCUUAUUAAGCUUAGGCUUCUUCUAUUGUUUUAGGACUAAAAAAUAUAGAAUUGACUUUUGUUUUCCCAGGAUGGUGUGUAUGUGCAAACAAACAUUGGGGUGGGUCUAUCAUCUUACAUAACUUUCAGUAGAUUAUUUGGCCCGAAAAAUGCUUUAGUCCAUCAUGAAGUGGGUGUGUGCAUUCUAUAUGAAGUUCUUUUUUUUUUUUUUUGGGCAAAUGAUGUGUCGUUAUUGUUUUUUUUUUUUUUUUUUCUCUUCAAUCUUCUUGCUGUGCUCCAUGCUUUCUUUCCCUUGUGCUUGUAAUUUCUACUUCAUAUUUGACUUUAGCGAUGCAAAUUUAUUUUUCUGGAAAAGGUUCUCAUUGUCUUUUCUUUGUUUUUUCAUCACCAUGGUGUUCAAAGGAUUGUCAUGAGAAUUAUGACCUCGUUGGUUUCGUUUUUAUUGAUUGCUACAUUUUUAUCCCAUAUUUGCUGAUACUUUGUUGUUUGGCUUUUGUCUUUUUCAUUGGGAAUGUUCCAGUUUCAGGUGUUCAAUUCAGGAAAUGCUUAACUGCUCUUCUUAUUAUUAUUUGUCUUUCUUUUUGGUUUCUAGAUGUGCUUGAAGGGGAAAUAUUUCUUCAAAACCUGCCAAGCAUUGUCACUGCACAUGCCCUAGGUAAUUAUUACAGUAUUAUAUAUAUAUUUAAAGUGAUUUACAUGUAUUGUUUCUUACUCUGGUGCUUGGUUGUUGUAAAAUUUUGUUGCAUAUAAUUUGAAGGUUCUUUGUUUGUUUCCCUUGUUCCUUGGGUACUACUUAAAAUUUGGAGCAUAUACUUUGAAGGUCCUUUGUAUACUUACAAUCUUUCUUUGGGUUGGACGACAUACUGAAUGUCUUUGAAUGGUAUUACUGAAUGUCUUUUAAUGGGUAUUACUUUAUUGAUGGUCGUAUAAAUGAUUUUGAGUGUAAUCAGUGAGAUGUUCCUAGUUAGGAGGAAUUUUGGAGGGUCACUCAUAUAUUAUUUGGGUUUAAAUUGAUUAAUUGAUGGGUUAGGUUUUCCUACCUACCUACCAACUUGUCUUGGCUAAGAUUCAUCACAAGCCCCUCUUUUGUCCCGAACUUGCCUCCAGGAGUUUGGUAUCAAAUGAUUAGUGUUGGAUCAAGUAAACAGCAGUAGCAGCUACAGCAGGAGCCAAAAACAGCCAUCAAACUCAAGCUUAAGUGAAACCUAAUGUGGAGGAUUUGACUUAUCUUGCAUGUCCAUAAUCCAUGUGCUAUUUUAGAACAACUGUGGGUUUCUAUAUGGGUUAGCUGAUGGGCGGAUAACAUAAUGGCUUCCCAAAUGUUUAUUGGCUUUAUUCUAUAUGCACUGGCUGUCAAUGUCAAGUUUUCAAAAGCUUUAAAGUUUUUUUCAUUACUUUGGAUUAAACAUUUUCUUAUUGCGAUUCUUAACAUUUAUUUAUUUAUUGAAAUUUCCUUGGGUGCUUAACAUUAUCUUUUUGUUUCUGUCUUAGAUCCUCAACAGGAUGAGAGGAUAUUGGACAUGUGUGCAGCCCCAGGAGGGAAAACUACUGCAAUUGCUAUCCUUAUGAAGGAUCAAGGGGAGGUUAUUGCAGUUGAUAGAUCUCACAACAAGGUACCCAUACAACUUUUAAACUAAAAGUAUGAUUUUAAAAGUCUGUCAGUUCCUUAAAUUAUCAUAUCACUCCUAUAAAAAAUUCUGAACCACAUCAUACUAGUUGAAUUUAAUGCCAAAUGGCAGGAAAGGAUUUAGUAUAUGCCCUCAAUUAGAUGGGAUAAUAGGCUAUUGGAUGCACUAUGGAUGAACUUGUCCAUCCUUAUUACUGAUACAAAUGUUCAAUCUAUUAUUCUAGAAGAAUCAGUGGAGCACAUUCUCAUCCAUUAUAGGCAUGAGAGUAGCAUUGCUUGCAUGGCAUGGAAGUUUUGGUGGAAAGGAUAGUAGUCUUAUUAGUAAUAUGUUUGUGUUUAAAGUCUUUCUUUCUUUUUCUUUUUCUUUUUUUCUUUUUUUUUUUUUUCAUAUAGAGAGUAGAUCCUUGAUGUUCUUGAGCUUGUAAAUAGCAAGAGGUAGGAUAGUUAAAAGUGUUCAGUUUUUUGUUUUUUUGGCUUUUGUGUGCCUUGUAAACUCCUAUGUACUCGGAUUGUGCACUUGUUUUGCAGAUUGCACAACCUUUUUUGCUGGGUAUUGUCAAUCUAUUCUUUUUUCUUGUUUGCCUUUAAAAGAAAAAUCUAUUAUUCUAGAAGCAUAUCUAAAGAUCCCAUUCUGAAGUAUGUGACUAUGAAUCUCACAUUGAUGUCUUUUGUGUCAGUUCUAGUUUAUUAUCACCCUUUUAGUGCUGAGAUGUUUUCAUGAAAGCAUAAUUCAUGCAGGCCCUUCAGAUUGAAAUUUAAUGUCACCAAUAUUGACUGGUGAACCAAGAUUUUUUUUUUUUCAAAUAUAUAUGCAUGAAGACUGAUGGGAUUGGUGGUAUUGCGAGUGAAGUAAAAUAUAGGAAGCUUCAACUUUCUAGCUAUUAUAUACUGCAGCCAAUAUGGUUCAAUGCCCAAAAUCAGGUGUACUAAAAGAAGAACAAAUGCUGCUAUUGUUUGAAUAUGCUGAAAUUACUGUAGUGUUCCUUCAUAGCUCUAGUACCAAAAAAAGUCAAACCAGCAGAAUCUUGGAUUUUCGACCUAUCAGUUUGGUUACUAGCUUGUACAAAAUCAUAGCUAAGGUACUUUCAGGGUGAUUGCGUAAAGCCCUCCAAGAUACCAUUUUCAUGUCCCAAGGAGCCUUUGUGAAGGGGAGGCAAAUUUUGGAUGCCAUCUUGAUUACUAAUGAGCUAGUGGAUGAGAAAAGGAGAUCAAAUGAGGAAGGGGUAGUUUUCAAAAUUGAUUUUGAAAAGGUCUAUAACCAUGUUGAUUGGUAUUUUUUGGACCAUUUACUUGAACAAAAAGGGUUCAGUUCAAAAUGGAGAUCUUGGAUGAGGGGAUGUUUGUCUUUUGGGUGAAGGCUUCUAGAGGCUUAAGACAAGGAGAUCCUCUUUCUCCUUUUCUUUUCACCAUUGUGGCUGAUGUUUUAAGUAGGUUGAUGGUGUGAGCGGAGAAGAGAGGUCUUUUUUUCGGGGUUUCUAGUGGGCAGAAAUAGGACUAGAGUGUUUCAUUUACAAUUUACCAAUGACAUUAUCUUUUUUUUCUAGAGCUUCCUUGGAAACCCUUAAGCUCAUUUUGUUGGUUUUUGGGAGGUUGCCAAGGCUUAGGAUCAAUCUUAAUAAGAGGACUCUUUUUUAUAUCAACAUUAAUCAAGAUCAAAUCUCCAGGAUGGCUUUGAUGCUUGAUUGUUUAGUCUCGGAUUGGCCUUUAACAUAUUUGGGUCUUCCUUUAGGGGGGGAAUCCAAAAUCAAGUUCAUUUUGGGAUUCAGUGAUUGAUAGAGUCUUUAGGAGGUUGGAUGAAUGAAAAAAAUAUUUUUUGUUCCUAGGAGGUAGAAUCACUCUAAUUCAAUUUUGUUUGUCGCACAUCCCAAGCUACUUCUUAUCCCUUUUCAAGAUUCCAGUAUCAAGAACAUCAAGGAUUGAAAAAAUGCAAAGAGAUUUUUUAUGGUUGGGUUUUAGGGAGGGUAAAAAACAUCACUUGGUUAGUUGGGAUCUAGUGAAUAGGCCUAAGGAGUUGGGUGGUUUAGGGUUUGGGAAAGUUACUUCAAGAAAUCAAACUUUAUUAGGUAAGUGGCUUUGGAGGUAUCCUAAGGAAAGUUUUGCCCCUUGACAUCAGGUUAUUUUAAGUAUUUAUGGGACACAUCUUAGUGGGUGAGAUGCUAAUAAUUUAGUCAGAUGGUAACAUUGUUGCCCCUCGAAAGCCAUUGCAUUUAUUUUCUCGGUUUUUUCUAUAUACACUUGCUUUGGGGUGGGUGAUGGGACAAAAAUUUGUUUUUGGAGAGAUUUAUGGUGGGGGGAUCAACCUUUGUGUUUACAAUUCCUAAGACUUUUCAGAGUCAUCACAACUAAAAACCUCUUUGUUUCAUUUGUUUUUGGUAGUGAUUCUCCUCCUUGGAAUAUUUUUUUUCAUCGUAAUCUAAUUGAUUUGGAGAUUAAGGAUCUUGAAAGAUUAAUGAUUUAUUUUUCCAGUGUACAUUUGUCUCCAUUUGUUCCAGAUGCAAAAGCUUGGACACCUUCUUCUUCUGGAGUAUUCUCAUUAAAAUCUUUCUUCCUAGCCUUGACCAAUAUAUAGAGAAGGCCUUUCAAAGCUCUUAGUCUUGAUUGGUGCUUCCUAUGUAGGGGGAGUGGAAAGACGAUUGAUCAUCUUUUCCUACAUUGUUCGGUUACUUUGGGUUAUGGCGUAGACUAUUCUUGUAGGCGGGAAUGGAGUGGGUUCAACAAAGGACCAUUUGUGAUAUGAUGGUUAUUUCCUUUAUUUGUUUUGGAAACUCUACUAGAGGCAAGACUCUUUGGAAGAUUACCUUUCUUACUUUGAUGUGGAAUGUGUGGAGAGAGAGGAAUGCUAGGAUUUUUGGGGAUACUUGCAAGACGCUUGAGAUGAUGUGAGGCUUGAUUCAUUUCUUUGCUUCUUUUUAGGCCUAUCGUAUUGAUGUUUUCAAACCUUUCCCUUUUGAGUGUCAUUCAGUUUAGUUGGCUCUCAAUAUGUUUUCCUUAGGGUUGGGCCCUACUUGGUGAGAAGUUGAGUUGAGCUUUCGAGUUGUAUAUUUGUAUAGUCUAUUUAUUCUUUUUGUACAAAUCUCCUUGUAAAGGAGAGGUAUUCAUGGGUUUUUUGAUCAAGUUUGUAUUUCCUGGGGAGGAUUUUUCAUCCUUCUUAUGUUUUAUUAUCUUUAAUUAAUACAUCUUUGGUUUCUGAUGAAAAAAUAAAUAAAAAACCUGUAGUGCACUCAUCUGUGCAUUUCCAUGAUUUUUUUUUUUGGUUUUAUGUUGCAGGUUUUUAUAACAGAAGGAAUAUUAAAAGUAGAAAUCAUACUUGUUAUUAUAUUGGGGGUUUCUGUUUUGUAUUUUAUUUUUCUUAAUUCCAAACUAGUAAAUAAUUCCUAAUUUCCUCUUUUAAGCAACAUUAUGUCCAGAUGAAUUUUGUUUCAGUUGAAACUGAAUUCUCCAAAUUUAAUAAUCCAUUGUCUUCCUGUUUUGCUUUUAUAGUUUUAAAAAUUUUUAUUUGUUUUUUCCUUGAUUUUAAUUUGUUUACAGGUGAUGGAUAUUCAGAAAUUGGCUGCUGAGAUGGGCUUGCAUUGUAUAACCACAUAUAAACUAGAUGCUCUUAAAGCUGUUUGUCGAAGCAAUGAAUCCAAUGAUAUGACCACUCCAUCUUGCAGAAAGGAUGCUGAGGGUGUAACUCUUCAAAGUUCAGACUCUCCAAGACUACAGAUGGAGAAAAAUCAAUGCAGUACAGAAGCAUUCGCUGCUGAUUUUGCUUGCCAGGAAAAUGGUAGGUGAAUUCUCUUUAUGUUUGUUCAUGAAUUGCUUUUUUAUACAUGCGUGGACUUCUCUGGUGCUAUAGUUUCUCAUAGUCUAUUAACUACAUUGCCAUAUGGUGUGCUAAAAGGGAAAAAAAGAACUUUUCUUUGCUUUCAGGACUGUGUAUAACUGUUAUGAGCUCAUGGAAUUUUCACUGACUUCCAGAAAGUGUGUACAAAGAAAAUUUGGUGUUCAUGUUUAAUUUUCAAAUAUCAAUUGAAAUUUCCAUUUCUUUUGAGUUUAAAGGAAAGAAGCUUUCCCAAUUUUUCUAAAACAAUUCCAUUGACAGUUGAGAGAUUGCUUAAAAUCAAUAUUUUGAUAUAUUCCUUACUGUGAUAACCAGACUCUCUCUAACCUUCUCCAAUUUAGCUGCAUUGACAAGAUGCAACAUGAGUAUGGGUUUGAGAUCCUUACUGGAUACUCUUAUUUUGCUUCAGUAGUGGCUGACUGUUUUGGUUGAUUGAUUUUUUUUUUUUUUUUUUUUAAAAAAAACUUUCUUAAAAUAAUGCAUUGGAAAAAAAAAAAAAAGAGAGUUUGUUGGAAAGUCAACUUUUAUAAGAAUAUUUAUAGGGAUAAAGGAUAAAAGAGGGGGAAUUCUUUUAGAAAAUAUCUUUGCUUUUGAUUGAUUUCUUAUUCAUUUUUCUUUUUUAACAACGAAUGGUUCAAAGUGUUGUUGUUGAACCACACAAUGAGUCUGAGACAGGAGUAAAGGUAUGGAUCAUUUGGCUAGGCUGAGAUGACUCAAAGUCAAAUAUUGCAACUUGGAUUUGCUGAAAACAGAAGGAAAAAAUAGAUAAUCUUUACAUUUCUCAUAGAUUCUCCACAUUCUCCACAUAUACGUUAAUUCAUGACUAGAAACAAGAAAUUCAGAAUAACUUAUUUUCAAACGCUUAUUGACUUAUUAUUAAUCACAUUUCUUUUUCUUAGUUUUGUUUAUCAGUUACAUUUAUAAUAGUUUUGAUAUUACAAUAUGAUUUGAUAUAUCAAUUAUAAAAAAUUGGUAUCAUGUAUAAAAAUGAGUAUAAUAAUGUUUUAAGAGUUUUCCGUUCUUAAUAUUAUCAUAAACCAAUCCAAGUGCACACUUCUAUAAUUAUUUAAAUUUAAACAAUGUCAAAUGUUAUUAACUUUUUUUUAUUAGUUUGUGAAAUCCAUCUAAUUAUAAUUACUUUUCUGAAAAUUUUCAUUAUCUUCUUGGAAUUUUUUUUUGAGCUUUUUAAUUAGUAUAUUGUGCGUAUUGCCUGAUAUUGAUCUGAGAUUUUGAGACGAAUCCACCUUUGAACCUGUCUUGUUAGCCAUCGAUACUGUGACUUUGAAAUGACCAUGCAAUAUAGAUUCCUAGUAUCAAAUUUCUUGAAAGAAGUCAAAUUUUCAUCAGAAGUUUUCAACAAUUGUCGAAAGUUACUGACUACAUUGUGCUCCUUUCUCCAUCUCUGUGCUGUCAGCCACUUUCACUUUUCUCUUGUUCUUCCACUACUCUUUCUCUCUAUCUUAUGGUAUUCUUUCUGUAACCGUAAGUUCUUAACGUAGUAUAUCUUUUGGACAUUUUAUUGUGUUUGGAUGUGGAAGAAACCUAUGGAUUUGAUUCUUGAAGUCAAAUAUCAUAUUGUCUCCUAGGACUUACAUCUUGUACUUGAUGUAUGGCUUUGGUAGUUUUUGUUGUUCCAAUUUAUGCAUCAUCUUUAACAUGAAUUGUUUAAAUAUUUGCUGUGAUUAGUAUGUUCCGCCUUCGUCAUGGUCAGAUUUUGACAAAGAAACAUGGUUAGUGGGAGUGAUCACAGAUGUUCAGAGACUCAGACAAAGCUAUGACACUAGACUUAUUCUUGAGUUACAAAAACUCCACAAUGAAUGUUAUCUUUGUGCAUAUUAUUGGAAUUGCAAUUAUCUCCUCCAUUUCUUUUCUUUUUUGGUACGAUCAACGAUUGCUUAAACAUUAAUCAUGGUUAUGUGCAUGAAACAUUCUUUCCUCUAUAAAUAUAGUUCUGUCCUUAACCCAUUCAUUAUUUCAGUUAUAAAUGGAGAAGGGAAUCAAAGAACUUACACUAGCAAAGCUGAUAUCAGGAAGAAUAUUCGUCGAAUGAGAAAUGGGCCAGGAAGAAAUCAAGGCAUGGGUGGUAGGGUUGAAAAAUCAAAAGGUUUUUCACCUAAUAGUUUUGAUCGAGUCCUCCUUGAUGCCCCCUGUUCUGCCCUUGGCUUGAGACCUAGACUUUUUGCUGGCGAGGUAGGGUCUUUUUUUAUUGGAAUUUGUUUGCUUAUAAUUUUUAUUUAUUCCUUCUCUUUUACUGUUUUUUUUAAGCAAUGGGCUUGCAUUGAGUCUUGUGGGACCAUAAAAAUUUAGCUCCUGUUUGAACAAAUAUUAAGGCAAAAUAGAUGGGCAUGGUGGACCUCUAAUUAAACUGAGCAAGACAGAUGGGAUGAAUAGGAUUUGGUGUGAAAAAUGUAUUUGAUUCAGACAAUGUACGCACAUUGGGACUGUUAAACAUGCAGGGGCUCAUACUUUGGGUGGGAGCAUUCUGUUUACUUCCUGUUUUCUGGUAUAGUCUGGAGGGGAGGGGCUUUAGAGAAAUUUGCCACCUUAAUUGUUGUUUAAACUGAUGAGAAAUAAUUCUUCUUGAACUUUGCGUUUUUAUGAUCUUUGUAUGUUUGUGUUUAGGAGGAGGUUGAGGGUGGUUGGGUCUGUUGGUUUGCUGUUGUCAGGUUUGGUUUCUGAAUAGCAUGAUAGCUAAAUACUGGCAGUAUACUGAAUCCGUGUAGCAGGGAGACUUUUAAAGAGUAGUUUUCUUCCAACUGGAAUUUCUCUGGUUACAACUGUAAUGAGUAGGACAUGCCUUGAAUGUAUCCAGGGUUUUAAAUUAAAUAAUUUUGAUAGAGUACUAAUGGGGGACAAACAUGUGGGGUAUGUCAAGAUACAAGUGUCUUCUGUCAUAUCAGACAGGAGGGAUAGUAGAGUGUGAUAUGGUAUCAUAUGUAUAUUUUGUAAGGAUUAUCAUCCUUUGCUUGUACUUAAAAAUUCAUAUAAAUAAAUUUGUUUGUUUCUGAAUAAAAAGGAAAACAAAUAUGGUACCACCCUAAGAAGGAAAGGUUUACAAGCAUUAUAAGCUUUAUUAGGUUUUUGUUCCUUCAAGAUCCCUGGUUUUGCUCAUUAUCCCUUUUAGCAGAAGGGCCAGUCCUUGUUAGUGGACUCUCCUCUCUUAUUGGUUGUCUCAAGCAUAACUUCUUGUUGCUUGAUGAUAAAUCUGGAAUGCCUUGGCCAUCAGGGUGUCCUCAGAGACCAUAAUUUUAAUUCAGACCUUAUUUAACCUGCUAGUAAUAUGGUUGGGCCAUUGAGGCAGAGUGAUUAGCAUUAUUGGAGGGCUUGAAAGAGGCUUUGUGGGCUGUACAAAUAUCAUGGUUCAAGGGGACUCCUCAAUGUUAUCUCUUGGACUUCCAUGGGGUGAAGAGGCUUGUGCAAGUCAGCUAAUCAGGAGGCUGAUAGUUUGGUGAAGACAGGAGCUUCUUCCUCAGUGAAAUGUGAAGGGAUCUCACUCCCUUCAUGAUUUGCAGGAGAGGGAAUUGUAUUUGUGGUUUGCAUUGCAGUGUGUGUAUUGGCUGGGGUUGUCUCUUUACUUUUUCUUGUGUUUGAAGGUUCUAUUAUUUCUUUUUGUACUUCUGUCCUUUCAUUUUAAUAAAAUUUCCCUGUUUCCUGUAAAAGAAAGGGGAAUGAUAUAUUAAAUUUUGUUAUAGAAGAUUGUAUCAUGUUUUAAAUCUUCCAAAAGAGGAUGGAGGUCUGAGAUCCUUCUUGCCUUGUUUCAGCCACAUGAUAGCGAGUUUCUGGUGUGACCUUUGAUUGUUCUCACUGUCUUAUGUUCCAAAUUCACAAUAAAAGUAGCCAUACUUUUAAAAUUUGGCCUGUCUUUCUACCUUCAAUUCUACCUUGUAGGGGUUGCUUCUCUUUCAUCUACUUAAAAGUUAUUACAGGUUGACAUACCCUUCUAAGCUUUGUGCUUAUUAUUGAUAAAUCUCCUAGCCUUGUUCAGUUGUUUGAAGACAAGUGAGUCAUUAUUUUCUGUGGAUUCUAAUUUCUAUAAUAUGUUAGUUUACAUCUUUCUACAUUUGUAUUUGAAUUCCAUUUUUUGUUUCAGCUGGAAAACUAGUUUAAUUUCUUGUGUUAUGGCAGGAGACUAUAGAAUCAUUAAGGAACCAUGCAAAGUACCAGAGGAGGAUGUUUGAUCAGGCUGUUCAGCUAGUUCGCCCUGGUGGAGUCAUUGUGUAUUCCACGUUAGUGUGCAUUUUAAUGAAAUCUGUGUAUCAUGCAUUUGAAAAGACGCAAAAGCUGUUUAAAAAAAGGAAAAAUUUGCUGCCACAAACAAUAGCUAUCAUAAUUUGUGGAGGUGAUCUCAGCAUGCUUACCUUCAUCUCCUAUUUAUGUUACACUCUGAUCAUUUAUUGGCUUCAGUUGAUUUAUACGUAUGUCUAUCUGUCCAUGCUACCUUUCAUUUUCAAUUUCUCACUACUUACUACCACAGAAACAUUAUAUUUUACUGAGAUGAGGUUGAGGUCCAAAUUUCCUUAAUGCAAUGCCUUAAAAAUUGAAGGUUUCAUUUCUUUGUUUUUUUUUGGUUGAACAUUUGAAAAAUGAUUGAGUUUUAGUUAUUCUACAUAUAUCUUUGUACCUAGUCUUUAACAGAAAAUCUCUGUUGACACUACUGCAUUUUUUUUUUCCUUUUGUAGUUGUACAAUAAACCCUGGUGAGAAUGAAGCGCUGGUUCGAUAUGCUCUCGACACAUACAAGUUCCUCUCAUUGGCAUCACAGGUUAGAUGGGAUUCACUUCCUCAAUAACACAUUUGGUUCAGGUUUUGAUUUUGCAGAUAAAAGAUAUUUACUGUCAUUAUAUAAAAGUAGCCAAUGCAAAAACUGUUAUUUUAUGAAAGUAGUUAUAAGACUAUAGUACAAGUUGUAAUUUCAUUUUUUUGAUUGAAGAAGUUCAUUUGUGACAAACUAAGAACAAGCAAAAAUAUUGCAGCUUCUUUCACCAUGGGGAAAUCUGCCAAAUUGACUUAACAGAAGCCCCAUAUUUGAUAAAAGCAGUGGCUCCAAUUCCUUCUUGGUGUCUAUUAUCUUUACCUGUCCACAUUAGAUUUCUUUAUUCCUUUUUAGGGUUAAUUAAUUUGGUAGACUGAAAAGUUUACCUUGAUAAUAUCUGAAACAAAUUCCAUUGAUAAAACAAUUCCUCUUGGAGCCAAUCCUUCUAAACUGACAUGUGAAGGUUAGUUUUCCAAAUCAGAUUAAUAUCAAUCUACUCUUUAGGUAAUAGCCGUACUAGGAUUUAACUCAAUUUUUUCAGAGUUGCCCCAAUCCUGAUGGUAGUAAAUUGGGACUCUCUACCCUUGCAAAUCGAACUUUAGUCAAUUCCUGAUGGCAGUAGUUUGGGACCCUGGCAAUAUUUGAGGGCCAAACCAAUGACUAGAACCUGAUUGCAUUGCAAGAAAAGAUGUUUCAGGCAUUUGCACUUAUGAAAACUAGAGGAUAAAGCAGAAUUUGGAUUUGUCUUGAACCAAGUUGACACUGACAGGAAAUUACAAUGCUUUUUUUUUUUUUUCUGACAACAUAAUAAUCUUAAAGCAAAGUUUGAGUCACCAACUGUGUUCUAGGAAGUGGGAAAUAUGCUGUUGGGUUGAUUCAAACAUAUCUGAUAUCCAAAAUCUUGAUCACCUGUUAAAGAAAGAGGGUGGUGGUGGUUUGGGGGGGGGGUUGGGGUUAUCUUCAGUUUUAACUGUACAAUUACCUGACUUUGAAUAAUAGAAAAUAAGUUAUCUCUGUAGCUACAUGAGGAUGUUUCAAUUUUAGAAAUAGCCAACAUGUCAGGAGGAUAAAAUAUAGAAAGUGAGAACUUUAUUGAUAACCAUAUGUAGAAGUCCAAACAUUAAUUUAAUGCCCAGAGCUGAUGCCUUUCUCAAAAAGAUCCCAACAUGCAAAUUCUCCUCCAUAUCCAGGAUCAAAACUAAGAAAGCUAAGAAUUUGCAAAUUAAAAUGGAAAAUCUCUAGUUUCUCUUGUUGCACUGCACAUCUAUCUUCUCUAUUUCCAUAACACUCAGAGAAAUGAUUGAUCUUCUGAAGAUGCUUUUAUGAGUCCUCUAUUGUGUUACAUAGUCCACAAGAGCUUUAUAUAUAUAUAUGUAUGGUGGAUAUAUUUGGGUUCUUCUAUUCAUCUUUGAAAUUCGAUCAAUGAAAUUAACACUCAAUAGUUUUGAAACUAUUAUAUUAUUUUUCAAGCUACUGAGUAUGUUUCUAUUUUCUUUUGUUGUAUGCACUUCAGCAUCCAAGAGCUGGAGGACCUGGCCUUGUUGGUUGUUUUCAAUUUUCUGAUGGGUAUACUGAGUAAGUACUUUUGUCCUGUUAUUCUGUUCUUUUAUUAGCUGAGAAUGUUAUCUUUAUAUUGAUCAAAGUUCUAUGCAAUUCAAUUCCAUUUGUAAACACAGGGUGAGGCUAACAAUACUUGGUGUUGUUGAUUUUCGAUUAAUUUAGUAUAUGAAUUUUUUAGUACUUUUUUCUACAUUUUAUAUUUUAAGCUCUUUUAUGGUUUCACCAUGUACUUUUCCUUUUGGUUUUCUUCUUGUACAAUGUUUACCCCCCUGUUCAAGAGGUUCAUACUUAAUUGGAGCAACACUUGAUAGAUUUCCAAGUACCAAGGAUUUGCAAAUACUAAAACUUCCUACAAAAUGAAAAUCCAGAAACAGGUAGUUCAAAGUUAUUCUAAAUGAUCUUUUAGUAAUUUGCUGUCCAUGCGUGCUUAUGUUACUCUGGCUGCAACUUUUCUUUAUUGAACUUGAACUAUUAACAACUACAUCCUAGGUCAGACCCAAAUGGAUAAAUUUACCCUGUUUAUCCUGGUUUAUGUCUCCAUGUUGCUUGAACCAUUUUUGUGUAAGUUCUUUACAUCAUUUGACUGUUCUUAGAUAUGUUUUCCUCAUACUCCAUUUUAGAAAUCUCUCUUCUUGACUCUUGCCCAUAGCACAUUGAAAGAUUUAUCUAAUUAUUUUCUAGUACAGCAAUCUAAAAGAAAUUCUCUGUUACAUGCUUGUUGAAUUUUUUUAGAAAACCUUUCUUCUUGACUCUUACCUAGCCCAUAAUGCGCUAUGGUUUCUAUUGUAUCUGGAGUAUUCUAUUUGAACAUUUAUCAAAUUUUAUUUUAUUUUUUAUAAUGAUUUUUCUAAUUAUAUUUUGGUAGCUAAUCUUUGGUUUCUUGUAUCACUCAAGUCCCAUCUCUUUUAUGUGUUGUGGGGCUACAAUGUCUCAUUAAAUUUGUGAGAAUGUCCAAGUCCAUGUUGCGCCUUUUUUUUCUUUUUUCUUUUUUUGUUUCCCUCUAUCAGGGGCUCUAAUUGUUUAAUAAUUCUGAGACUAGUUCUGAUGCCUGAUUCCCACAGGGAGUGGUUGAGACCUGGUGAGGAAGAACUCGUUCAGAGGUUUGAUCCAUCAUCCCCGCUUGAUACAAUAGGGUUUUUCAUUGCCAAGUUCAAUGUUGGCCCCAAAGACGCCUGACUUCUCUUCAGAAAGUCUAUAGCUUGGGAAAUGGCUACAUAAAAUGGUUUUUGCCAUGCAUCUACCCUGCAAAGAGCAAAGAUGGAAAUUGUGGAGGAAAUAUCAUCACCAUUCCUUCUGCUUAACAAGAUCUGGUUGGAAUUCAACUUUUUAGAAUGCUGGAUAAAAAGCAAUUGUCAUUAUUUAUCUCAAGGAUACCACACCUUCACAUCUGGUAUGUAGUCUAUGGAGUCCAUUGUAUGCAAUUGCGUGCAUUAGGCAGGGAAGCGGAGCAUGACCUGUAACACCAUAGCGAGCAGUCUGCUUGAUUUCUUGUAUCAGUUUUGGUCGAUCCUGCCAUUUCUGGAUAGAUUUUGGCAAACUAAAUUCGAGUAUAAUGAUAGUUGUAAACUUGGCACCUGCUGGAAGCAUGGUCAGUAGAUUUUUGAAGCUAGGCACACAGGAUUGAGUGUUUUCUAUGGUCUGUAGCUGUAAGCUUUAUGAUGCCAUCCUUUCUGUUUAGAUCUUUGAUGCAUGUUUUUGCCUAUCAUGUUCAGGCCUGAUAGCUACAAUAUUGAAUUCUUUGCUUUCUAAUUUCUAAAGAAUUAAGGUUGCAUUCAGAAUGCUGAAAUGGAGAAUGGAAUGAGAAAUCAAUUCCAUUCUCAUGCAUGUGUUUGGAUUCUUUUCAGACUGAGAAGAGAAUUAUAGGAAUAAGACAUUCAUUAGUGUGGAAACUAAAUCCUACCUUCACUGGAAUUUGGAGUUCUCUUUCAACAAGGUAUUGUGAUUCAUCUUCAUUCCCAUUCCUAUUUCCACAUACCAAAAGCAUCCUCUGAGUCUGUGUUAAGAUUAAGUGAAGGGUCAAAUAGCAAUAGUACUUGUAAAACUAUGGUUUUCCUACCAAUAGAGGAACAUGGAAAUUUUUCUGAGUUGUUAAGACUGUUAUGGUAUGCAAAAUGUAAUGACGUUCUAAGGAAGAAUGACUGCGCAAGUGAAAAAAGCAGCUGUCAGGAACCCAUGUCCCUGAGCAUAAGUUUGAGGUGUCAAGCAUGAGGAUGAUUCGAAAUCAGUCGGUUGUAGUGGAGAGAAAGAUUUUCCAGGUGAAGUCUGAAGAUUACAAUGGAGGAAAAUGGCUUUCAAUAACAGAGAGAAGCCGAGGUUAUGUGGUUUCUUUAGAUUUUGGAGAGGAGGAGACGGGUUGGCUAGUGGAGCAGUUAGAGAAAGCUGUGGAGUUGGAGGAUUCCAGGGGUUACAUUCGAAAAAUGAGGGGCAAGACCAGGACUCAUCUGAUGGAAAUAUGUUUUAAUAGCAGAGGGUGUUAUAUGAAGAUCACAGAAUAUAGUGCAAAGAGAAAACCUUUGGUCUUAGUUGUUCCAAGAGGUGUUAAUGGCUGCGGGUGGGAAAACCUCAGGAAGGUGAUUGCUUCAGUCCAAGAGUUAUCUGUUCAGGUUGGGAGAGAAUCAGAAGGAGACGCAAAACAAAGCUUCAAGANNNNNNNNNNNNNNNNNNNNNNNNNNNNNNNNNNNNNNNNNNNNNNNNNNNNNNNNNNNNNNNNNNNNNNNNNNNNNNNNNNNNNNNNNNNNNNNNNNNNNNNNNNNNNNNNNNNNNNNNNNNNNNNNNNNNNNNNNNNNNNNNNNNNNNNNNNNNNNNNNNNNNNNNNNNNNNNNNNNNNNNNNNNNNNNNNNNNNNNNNNNNNNNNNNNNNNNNNNNNNNNNNNNNNNNNNNNNNNNNNNNNNNNNNNNNNNNNNNNNNNNNNNNNNNNNNNNNNNNNNNNNNNNNNNNNNNNNNNNNNNNNNNNNNNNNNNNNNNNNNNNNNNNNNNNNNNNNNNNNNNNNNNNNNNNNNNNNNNNNNNNNNNNNNNNNNNNNNNNNNNNNNNNNNNNNNNNNNNNNNNNNNNNNNNNNNNNNNNNNNNNNNNNNNNNNNNNNNNNNNNNNNNNNNNGGAGAUGGUCGCCAGAAGAGAACUCAGUGGUGAGGGGAAAAUUUAGACGGGGGUGGCUGGAGCUAAGAGGUCUCCCUUUCCACCUGUGGGAUGAGGUGCAGUUGAGUCACAUUUUGCAGCAGUGGGGGAGGGUAACGGAGGUGGCAAGAAACUCCUUGAAGUUUGUUGAUUUGUCGAAAGUAACAUUGCGGGUGGAAAUGCUUCCAAAGGUCGUGCUCCCAGCGCUAUUAGAGGUAGAAGAUGGAGAUUGGACAUACACGGUUGCAGUUACAGUCACCGGAGAAGAUGACGGAGAAGACGACGGAGGAGACUAUAUCAAGUCUGAGUCGAGUCGCAGCAAGGACGAGAUGAGGUCAGCCGGGGGUUGCGUCUUGAAGAAGCCACAGAUGGUCGAGGGGCUACGAGCUAUUGACAGGACCAGUGACUGUCAAAGAUGGAUGCCCCGUCAUCGUCUCCAUUUUAGCUCUUCAGAUUCAAAAUCGGCUAAGGGGGAGAAAUGAAAGGGAAGGUGGAUGUCGGGCCCAAGGACGGGAAGCAAUGUCGGGCCAACACCAGACGCCUUUGAAGCCCGUUCUGGUUGGGCCCAAGUUGGGGCGAAGGAUUUUGGGCCAUUAGUGGGUCCAGCCCAUAAAGGAUCUUCAAAUGGUGGCCCGUUUGUAUCUUCGUCUUCAAAGCUCCAAGGACCAGGGCUCUCUGCAAAGAAUAGAGCGUCGGAAGGUCUUCCUCAAGCAUCGUCAAAGACGAAGGGAUCUCCAGUCUCCGUAAGGCGCAGAGCAAGAAGUGGGCCGCCGAGAUUUGACGAGGCGUCUUCUUCCCCGAAGCGUACCUUUGAAGGAGGGGACUCACUGGUGACAAAUCGGGACAUUUCUCGGGGCAAAUCUCACUCCAGAAAGAGUGAUUUAUCCACUGGUUUGGAAACAUCCAAGGUUUCCACCGGCAAGACAGAGGGGGAAGAGGGGAUUUUGCAAUGCAAACUGAUCAAUGAGGUGCGUAAUCCUAUCUCAGCUGCUUCUGAGCGAGAUUUUCCUCUGUCUGGGGCUUUUGAGUCGAUUCUUAUUCCCGAAACCUCGGUUUCUUUGGGUCAUCCUUUUUGUGUCCACUCUUCUUCUUCGUAUCCGUUGGAGUCAAGCCACGCUUUUCAGCGUGGACCUGUUUCUAUCUCUCCUGUGGUGUCUGAUAACCAUCGUGGUGGUGCGUCCUGUUCGAAAGGUGUGGUGGUACCCCUAGAAACCUCUAACCAAAAAUCUAAAGACCGACCUUUCCUUAGGGAAAUUCCUAGCAACCUUGAGGUGCGUGGUGACUCAGUUGAGGCUUUGUUCCCUGUGCAAGAACCUUCCACUCUCCCGCUGGAAGGUUUCCAGAUUGAGGGGCUUACGCCUCGGAAGAUGGUCAAGGUUCAGUCGGUUCUGGAGAGUUUGAGGGUUAGAAUUGUCAGGGAUAAUGGGAAAGGUGUGGUGGGAGAGAAUAGGAAUCCUCUCUCUGCGGACAAGGUUUAUUCCAGAAGAAAGAAGAAAAAGGGUUCUGGAACUCGAGGAGAGGAUUAGUCUGGGUGCGGGUUGUGUUGGGUUGUGAUUGUUCUAAUGAAGAUUUUAAGCUGGAAUACAAGAGGUUUAGGUUCUAGGAAGAAAAGGAGGACUGUGAGAAGGUUUUUAAGCACUCAAAACCCAGAUGUGGUGAUGCUUCAGGAAACAAAGCGUGAAAUUUGGGAUAGGAGGUUAGUGAGUAGUAUUUGGAAAGGUAAAAGUCUGGCUUGGGUUGCUCUUCCUGCUUGUGGGGCGUCGGGGGGGAUUGUGAUCUUGUGGGAUUCAGUUAAGUUCAAUUGUUCAGAGAAGGUGUUAGGAUCCUUCUCUGUUACUGUAAAAUUGAACUCUGAUGAGGAAGGGUCUUUUUGGCUAAGCUCAGUGUAUGGCCCGAAUAAGGCAGUGUGGAGGGAGGACUUUUGGUUGGAACUUCAAGAUCUACAUGGUCUAACUUUCCCAAGGUGGUGUGUAGGAGGGGAUUUUAAUGUGAUCAGGAGGAUAUCUGAGAAGAUGGGUGAUUCUAGGCUAACAGUCAACAUGAGGCGUUUUGACGAGUUUAUAAGGGAAAGUGGUUUGUUGGACCCCCCUCUUAGGAAUGCGGCUUUUACAUGGUCAAACAUGCAAGUCGAUCCUAUUUGCAAGAGGUUAGAUAGGUUUUUGUUCUCUGCUGAGUGGGAUUCUUUUUUCUCUCAAAAUAUUCAAGAGGCCCUUCCUAGAUGGACAUCUGACCAUAGCCCAAUUUGCUUUGGAAACUAAAUCCUUUUAUGUGGGGCCGACUCCUUUUAGGUUUGAGAAUAUGUGGUUGCUCCAUCCUGAGUUUAAAGAGAAGUUUAGAGACUGGUGGCAAGAGUGUUCGGUUGAAGGUUGGGAAGGUCACAAAUUUAUGAGGAAACUAAAGUUUAUUAAAUCAAAGUUGAAAGAGUGGAAUACAAGGGUCUUUGGAGAUUUAAGAGAGAGGAAAAAGCAUAUUAUUACGGACUUAGGCAGAAUUGAUAGAAUUGAACAAGGGAAUUUAAAUCUUGAGCUGGUCUCGGAAAGGAUCUUAAGAAGGAAGGAGUUAGAGGAUUUGUUAUUGAAGGAAGAGGUUCAAUGGAGACAAAAAUCUAGGGUUAAGUGGAUUAAAGAAGGGGAUUGCAACUCUAAGUUUUUUCACAGAGUGGCCACUGAAAGAAGAAGUAGGAAGUAUAUAAAGUCUCUGAUUUCUAAGAGGGGGGAGACUUUAAAUAACAUUGAGGUUAUUUCUGAGGAGAUUGUAAACUUCUUUGGGAAUCUUUAUUCCAAACCCGAGGGUGAUUCUUGGAAGAUUAAAGGGAUUGAUUGGGCCCCUAUUUCUGAAGAGAGUGCAAUUUGGUUGGAUAGGCCGUUUUCGGAAGAGGAGGUUCGAAUGGCAGUUUUCCAAUUGAAUAAGGAAAAGGCCCCUGGCCCUGAUGGCUUUACCUUAGCAGUUUAUCAAGAGUGUUGGGAUGUGAUAAAAGAGGAUCUUAUGAGGGUGUUUUUUGAGUUCCACACUAAAGGGGUAAUAAAUCAAAGCACAAAUGCGACUUUCAUUGCUAUGGUGCCUAAGAAAAGCCAAACUUUCAAAAUCUCAGAUUAUAGACCUAUUAGUUUGGUUACAAGUUUAUAUAAGAUAAUUGCUAAGGUCUUAUCAGGGCGGUUACGUAAAGUUCUUCAUGAAACAAUCUUUGGCUCGCAAGGAGCCUUUGUGGAAGGGAGACAAAUAUUGGAUGCUGUAUUGAUAGCCAAUGAAGUGGUGGAUGAGAAAAGAAGGUCAGGAGAGGAAGGGGUAGUUUUCAAAAUUGAUUUUGAGAAGGCCUAUGAUCAUGUGGAGUGGGGCUUUUUAGAUCAUGUGCUUCAAAGGAAGGGGUUUAGCCAGAAAUGGAGAGCUUGGAUGAGGGGUUGUUUAUCUUCUUCUAGUUUUGCUAUCCUAGUUAAUGGGAAUGCAAAGGGUUGGGUUAAGGCCUCUAGAGGAUUGAGACAGGGAGAUCCUCUUUCUCCUUUCCUUUUUACUCUAGUAGCAGAUGUUCUAAGUAGGUUGAUGAUUAGAGCUGAGGAAGCUGGGAUAACUGAGGGUUUCCUUGUGGGGAGGGAUAGGACUAGAGUGUCCUUGCUAUAGUUUGCUGAUGAUACCAUAUUUUUCUCUAAAGCCUCUUUGGAUCUUCUUCAAAACCUUAAGAUUAUCCUUUUGGUUUUUGGGCAAGUAUCUGGUUUAAAAAUCAACUUAGAAAAAAGCACCAUUUCAGGUAUCAACACUAGGCAGGAAAUGUUGUCCAGUUUGGCUUUGGUUUUGAAGUGCAGAGUGUCAGAGUGGCCUUUGUCUUAUUUAGGCCUCCCUUUAGGAGGGAACCCAAAGACAAUAGGAUUUUGGGAUCCAGUGGUUGAGAGAAUUUCGAGGAGGCUGGAUGGGUGGAAAAAGGCCUAUUUGUCUUUGGGUGGGAGGAUUACUCUAAUUCAGUCUUGUCUGUCUCAUAUCCCUAGCUAUUUCCUUUCCCUCUUCAAAAUCCCUAUAUCUAUAGCUUCAAAGAUUGAGAAGAUGCAAAGGGAUUUUCUUUGGUCUGGGGCCGGGGAAGGGAAGAGAGAUCACCUUAUCAGAUGGGAGGUUGUCAGUAGACCAAGGGAGAUGGGAGGUUUGGGCUUUGGGAAGACUUUUAUGAGAAAUAGUGCCCUCUUAGGGAAAUGGCUUUGGAGGUUUCCUAGAGAAAGGAGCGGUCUUUGGCAUAAGGUUAUUGCGAGUAUAUAUGGGACACAUCCUAAUGGAUGGGACGCCAACAUGGUGGUUAGAUGGUCUCACAGAUGUCCUUGGAAGGCUAUUGCUCAAGUUUUUCAAGAGUUCUCCCCUUUUGUUCGCCUAGUGGUGGGCAAUGGGGAGAGAAUUCGGUUUUGGGAAGAUCUUUGGUGGGGAAACCAAACUUUGUGUGUUCAAUUUGCUGAACUCUACAGAGUUAGUUCUGUGAGAAACCUUACUGUCUCAAAUGUCCUUGGCAACUCCUUUCCAUUGUCUUGGAAUUUUAACUUUCGCCGCAAUCUAACGGAUUCAGAAAUUGAUCUCCUUCAGAGAUUAAUGUCCUCCCUUCAUUCUGUGCUUCUUUCCCCUUCCUCAUCAGACUCAAGAGCGUGGUCUUUGUCUUCGUCAGGUUCGUUUUCAGUGAAAUCUUUUUUCUAUGCCUUGUCAAAAGAUUCAAAUCCUUUAAUGUUCCUUCCGGCCAAGUUUUUAUGGAGCUCAAAAGUCCCUUCAAAGGUUAAGGCCCUCGCUUGGUUAGUAGCACAUGGGAAGGUAAACACUAAUGACAAGUUGCAAUUGAGAAGACCCUACAAAGCCCUCUGUCCUCAAUGGUGCAUUCUUUGCAAAAGAAAUGGAGAGUCGAUUGAUCAUCUUUUUCUUCAUUGUCCCGUCACCAUUGGACUUUGGCACAGGUUGUUCAAUCUAGUAGGUGUGAUUUGGGUCCCUCCAAGGAGCAUUGAGGAUAUGUUGGUUAUUUCCUUUAGAGGCUUGGGGAACUCAGUAAGAGGCAAGAUUCUUUGGCAAAUUGCUUGCCUUACUUUGAUUUGGAUGGUGUGGCAAGAAAGGAAUAAUAGAAUCUUUGAGGAUAAAGGGAGAACGGAAGAGGUGGUGUGGGAUUUGAUUUGGUUUUACUCUUCUCUAUGGGCUUCUUGUACUGAAGCUUUUAGAGGAGUUCCUCUAAGCAUCCUACAAAUCAAUUGGAUUGGGGUUUGCGUUUAAAGACUUUGAAGUUUGUUGGGUUUUCUCUUGUUUUUAGAUUACUAUUGUUGGGUGUUCUCCUUGGUUAUUGUGUAGGAAGGACCUCUCAUCCUUCCCUUGGUUUUUUUUUUCUCUUUCUUUUGUCUCUUUUUUCUCUUCUGUAUUUGUUCUUUUAUUAAUAUAAUCUUCUUCGUUUCUGAUAAAAAAUAAAAAAAAAAAAAAAAAAAAAAAUAGUACUUGUAAAACUGAUCACUUGGUAAAAUAUUAUAUAAGUUUUAGCCAAUGGUUGGAAGGCUCUUAAUGUCAUGUGUUCAUGCUUUUGAAUCAAUUAUAUAUUGAGUUGUGGAGUGGCUUCUAUCAUUUACCCCAAUUUUAAUCCAAGCAAAACAAUUACUCUUCAAAUGAUUUGACUUGCCAAGAACAAGAUUGAAAUAAGGGAUUUUGUGCCCAAAUUUUAUGGUUGGAAUUUGUUUCAUUUUAUUUUAUUUAUUUUUUUAGUUUUCUACUUUUGUGUUGCCUUUUAGAUCACAUAUUUUUCUUCAUGAUAGAUUUGUUCAAUGGUAAUUAGACUUUUUGGGAAUUUUUUUUAAUAGAAAAAAAUUUUAAUUUUAAUUUUGUUUCUAGAAACUUCUUAAUGUCAAGGAAACUUAUAAUUGUAGGAUAGUUUUUAAAAAUAAAAGAAGCUUUUAUUUUGCCAAAAAAAAAAAAAAAAAGGUGCCAAGGAAAAUGAACUUUUUUUGUAAUUGAAUAAAACAUAAAUCCUAUUUUUUUAUUUUAGAAAAGUAUUAAGAAAAGAAAAAAAACAUUUAAAAAAUAUUUUUUUUGUUUGAUUAUUAUAAAAAUAUGAAAGAAAAAAAAUAUAAUUAAAAUUAGUUAGAAAUUAUAUAUUUUUAAAUUAUUAGAUUUUUAUAUAUAAUAGAAAAAAUAAAUUAAAUGAGUUUGAAAUUACAUAUAAAAAAAUUAUUGGCAUACAGAGGGAAAGUUGUGUGUUGGGGAAAAAGAGGGGGGCAUUUUUGGCAUAUAGAGGUCUUUUUUCUUUUCUUUUUUCUUUUUAUUUUAUUUUGCUGGAGGUGGUUGGUUUUAUAAAUAAGGGGCCGGGGGAGUUUUAAUAUUUGAUUCCCUGUCAUAUUCAAACACAUGUACAAGUUUUGUUUAACAAUUUCCUAUCAUAUAUCUAUAUUUAAUUUUCAAAAUUUUUCUGAAUGACAAAACAAAUGAAAAGAUCUCACAUAUGUCUUCUUCUCCUUCCAAGACCCAAACGAGACCUAAUAUUAGUUAUAUACUUUCCUUAAGCAUUGAUCACACAUUUGCAUAGUAUGAGUCCCACAGGACUGGAUGUUACUAAUAACUGCACUUUUGAGUUGUCCACUCUCUGCAUGGAAUUGUAAACCCAAGUUUCAUUUCCCUUCUCAGUGGCACUGUAGGUUUGGACUUUUGUGUUUCAAGGGCACUGCUCUUUCAGUGCUUCACGCUCCAACUUGUCUUGAAUAUUCAAGCUAAUGGCUCACAUCAAAUAAACUUCAAGAUUGCUUGCAUUUACCUAACUUUUUCUUACUAAUUUCCAAAUCUAAUAACUUACUGAAAACCUCUAAAAUUUUCUAAUUCAAGUCUUUAAUUUGUUCUUAAAAUUGGGAGAUUUAGACUUAUUGGGUUUUGUGGAGUCUAGUUUUGUUUGAUCCGAUUUGACGAUCCGACCCGAAUAAUAUUUAAUGGGCUCCAUGGACAAGCCUCCUAGGGGUUUGGGGGCAAUGCCUCUGGGAAAAACUUUUGGACCCGUUUAACCUAUUGUGGAACCGCCUGUUGUAAUUAGGGUUUUUUUAGUGUGGUGUUGUUGCCGUGUUUUUAUAUAAAGAGAAAAAUAUUAUAGUUGAAAGUAGAACUUUAUGGAUAUAAGCAAAUUACCGAACCACAUAAAUACUGUCUUGUGUGUGUGAUUGUUUUUAUUUGACGUGUAUUUUCUCUAUUUUUUUAUUUUCUCAUAUGUUGGGAAUUCGGCUUAAUUCCCUUCAAGACCAUCAUUUUUCCUACUGUUAAGACUCCUUUUUUCAUAAUAAUAUAUCUAAUUUGUUAUAUAGGAUUUAGUUUCGUGGACUACUCAAACAUGACUUCUUCUUGAUCAACUAUUUAUUAUCCAUAACCAAAAAAACAAAAUAUAAAUUCACAGUCAAUAAGGAUAGACAUCACCACCAAAAAGACCGAAAAGUUGGGUGGGGGGAGGGUGGCUGCUUGAGGGCCACACAUUUUUUAUGGGUCCAAUUGGUCACUAUCUAUCACCAUAGCUGUUUGUGAACCAUAUCCAGUGCUUUGGAUGUCUCCUUGUCCUCAUUGUAUAAGCUCACGUAUUGCCUAAGGCAGAGAAGAUAAACAGUAAAGCUCACAUGUUGGAAACCAAAUAAAAGGUAUAACUAAACAUGCAGAGCACAUGCAUACCACACUGCCUACCAAGAGUUAGGUCACAGUAGUGGGCAUUCUAUUUCCGGGAUGAGCCCAAGGGAGUGGGAAGAGGGGCUGCAUACUCGCCUAUUCACCUGAAAGGCCAAAAAGUGGCCAAAAAGUGAGCAAUGGAACACAUCCUUUUGCCUUUCUUGAAUUUAGGGAUUGGGUUUGAUCCACCUCUGAAUGUGUAACCUUUUGAACCGUAAGUCAUGGACUCCAAGGGGGCAAUAGGUCGCUUUUGCUGACUCAUAAUGCCGUAUGAGGUGGGCUAAGUAGAAGUUUCUUGCCAUUUCUAUGCUUUGUCUGAUCUUCAUGGUCCCCAUUUGUAUUUGUACCAUUUGCAGCAAAAUUAGGUACUUGCAGUUGUCAGUUUGUCCACAUGAUUUGGAGGACCCUUCUGCCUACUUAAGGCCUAAUCCCCAUCAGCCACAUCACUCCUUAUCUAGUUCUUUGGCCGGGGUGCUGCUUUCCUUCAUUCUAGCUUCCUCCAUUUUCUUCUUCUUACUUGUUUCAGCCUCAUUUUCAGACAAAAUGUCAUCUGAAUCGUUGGAGGAAUCGAUGUCUUCGACAGUUUACGAUGAUAUAGAAGAAUUGGAAGUUACAGAAAUGGACGCUGCCCUUCUAAGAGAGUUACUAGAAGAAUCGGAGACCGAGGAGACCGGCGAUGACACAGCUGGGUAUAAAGUUGAGCCUCUAGAUUUGGAACCCCGAAUUGAUCAAAAUGUCGUGACAGAUGGCCGUGGCUGUGAUUGCUUGAAGCAAUAUGAGGCUCACAUCCAUGACUUCGAUAACUGGUUUGGUAUGAUGGAAAUGGCUCCCCCAUUGCCAAGUGAUGGUGUGAUGGACUGGUAUGUGGACACAAGUAUGGAUGAGAUGGUUGGGAUGAUAGAUUUUGGAGAUUGUUUGCAAUUCUACAAUGGAGUUUCCUCUGAUGAAACACCUUACAGUUGCUUGUGGCAGGACGACUAGUACUAAGUCCUAUGAUUCUGCCAUGUACCCCCUACUAUAUAUAUUUAUAUAACUAUAUAUAUGUUGCUGUCUUGGCCUAGCUGCCACCUUAAUUUAAUCUGCCAGCAUGAAAAUUUCGUUGCUGUUUGUUUAUAUUGAAGACCCUGCAGUGUCCGAGGAAGUCAAAAUGUUUUCUUUCCGUUUUUGAUUUUCCUUUUCUUCUUUCUAUAAGGUUGGACAAACUCCCAAGUAAGGCUUGAGUUCAAAUCAGGACAAUCCAAAUGAUGCCAUAUUGUUUCAAAUAGUGGCGAAGCCAGACAUUUUUAUUAGCACGCUGUGGCAGUGUCGGUAUUUCAGUUCCAUGGGCAUGCUCAUGUGGAAGAGUAACUUUCGUUACUAUAGUUUGAUGCUGGUAUACAUAAAUUGGUAAGAAAAUAAAUAACUAGAGAGACUUUUCAUUUUAAAAUACUGUUUGGUGAUUAAUAUGCUGUUGCAUGUAGACUUAAAAGCAAAAACAUAAGCUUAAUCAGAUGCUACAACAGAACUAAAAGGUGAGAGAAAAGUGCACAAUGAAGAAUUUAAACUAAGAAUUACAUGUUGGUUUCUUUAAAAGUAUAUGGCUUUGGUGUUCCCUUCUAGUUGUACAGUAGUGGUAAAGAUGACAAAGUUUGAUAUAAUUCACCAACAUGACUUGAAUCUAAUAAGUGUUUAGUAAGUUUGAUUGAGAAUAAUUAGGGGUGAUAAAGUUUGAUACGAUUUGUUAAUACGACUUUAACCUAGUAAGUGUUUCACAACUUUGGGUUGAAUAUAAUUAGGGAUGACAAAGUUUGAUACCAUUCACUCACAUGGCUUAAAGCUAAUAAGCAUUUCAUGGGUUUAGGUUGAGUAUAAUUAGGAGUGACAAAGUUUAAGACGAUUUACCAAAUUCAAACCUAAUAUGUUUUCACAAGUUUGGGUUAAAUAUAAUUAGGUUUGGGUCAAAUUUGUGUCAUCUUGUAUGAUCCAUUUAGUAAAUAAAUAAUUUUUGGGCCAACUCGCAUGACACGAAACUAACCUAAAUUGACUCAUUUAAUAAUUCCUCUAAUUAACCUAAUUAUAACUUCAAACUAUUUAACCCAUAUUUUACUCAUUUUAAAUUCAUUUUUAAAUAAGUAGGUCAAUUGUAUUAUAAACAUGUUUGAUUAAGACAUUAAUCAUAUAGAAUUUAUAUAAGACUUAACUUAAUUAUUAAAUAGGAGGAUUUGAUUAUUAAAUGGGUUAAUUGGAUUACAUAAUGUGUUACUUGUUUAAUAAUUAAGUAGUAUUUGAAUUUAUAUUUUUGACAUUAUUAUUAUUCAUAUUGUGUUUAAAUUGACCUAUAUAGUAGAACACCUAAACUUUGACAUGACACAAAUAUCAUCUACUAACAUAAAUUGCUACCCUUAUAAUUGGGUUUGGAUCAAAUCCAUGUCGACUUACAUUUUCUAUUUAACAAAUAGGUAGUUUUUAGGUCAACUUGUAUGAUAAAGUUUUGACUCGAAUUGAUCCAUUUAAAAAUCCCACUGAUUAAACUAAUAGCUUUAAACCAUUUAACUUAUAUUUGACUCAUUUUAAAUAUAUUUUUAAAUAAAUAGAUCAAUUGAAUCAUAAUUAUGUUUGGUUAAGACCUUAAUCAUAUAGAAUUAUACAAGACCUAACUCAAUGUGAUUAUUAAAUAAAAGAACUUGAUUAUUACAUGGGUUAAAUAAGUUACAAGAUCGAGGUGUUAAUUGUUUAACAAUUAGGUAGUAUUUGAGUUUAUAUUUUUAACGCAAUUAUUAUUCAUGUCGAGUUUGGAUUUACCUAUGUAGUAGAAUACCUAAGCUUUGAUACAACGCGACUACGACUCAUCAACAUGAAUUGUCAUCCCUAACAUAAUUGGGUUUGGGUCAAAUUCAUAUCGACUUGCAUAACCCAUUCAAUAAAUAAAUAUAGUUUUUUGGGUGAACCUAUAUGACACAAAUUUAACCUGAGUUAGCCCAUUUAAUAAACCUUUUGAUUAACCUAAUUAUAACUUUAAACAAUUUAACUCACAUUUGACUCAUUUUAAGUCCAUCUUUAAAUAAAUAGGUUAAUUGAAUCAUAAAUAUGUUUGGUUGAGACAUUAACCGUGCAUAUAGAGUUAUAAAAGACCUAAUUCAACUUGAUUAUUAAACCAAAUGACUUAAUUAUUAAAUGGUUACACAACAUGUUAUUUGUUUAGUAAUUAGAUAGUAUUUGGGUAUAUAUUUUUUACACGAUUAUUAUUUGUGUAAGAUUUGGGUUAACUUAUGUAGUAUAAUACUUAGAUUUUGACAUGACACGACCAUGACCUACCAACGUGAAUUGCUACCCAUAAUUAUGGUUGGGUCAAAUUGUGUUGACUUGCAUACCCAAUUAAUUAAUAUGUAGUUUUUGGGUCAAUCAACCUACAUGAUACAAAUUUGACCUAAAUCGAUCCACUUAUUAAUCUCGCUGAUUAACCUAAUUAUAACUUUAAACUAUUUAACUCAUAUUUUACUCAUUUUAAUUUUUUUUAGUAAAUAGGUCAAUUAAAUCAUAAAUAUGUUUGGUUGAGAUAUUAACCAUAUAGAAUUAUAUAAGACUUAACUCGACUUAAUUAUUAAAUAGGAGGACUUGAUUAUUAAAUAGGUAAAAUGGGUUGUAUGAUAUGUCACAUAUUUAAUAAUUAGAUAAUACUUAGUUUUAUAUUUUUUACAUGAUUAUUAUUCGUGUUGGGUUAUGGGUUGACAUAUGUAGUAGAACACUUGGGCUUUGACAUGAUACAAACAUGACUUAUCAACACAAAUUGCCAUUUAUAAUUGGGUAUAGGUUAAAUUCGUGUCAACUUGCAUAAUCUAUUUAAUAAAGAGGUAGUUUUUAGGUUACCCUGCAUAACAUGAAUUUGACCUAAAUUGACACAUUCAAUAAACGUGUUGAUUAACCUAAUUACAACUUUAAACUAUUUAACUUAUAUUUGACUCAUUUUAAAUUUAUUUUCAAAUAAAUAGAUCAAUUGAAUCAUUGAUAUGUUUAGUUGAGAUAUUAAUCGUAUAGAACUAUAUAUGACAUAACUCAACUUGAUUAUUAAAUAGGAUAAAUGAGUUACAUGACAUGUUACUUGUUUAAUAAUUAGGUAGUAUUUGAGUUUAUAUUUUUGACACGAUUAUUAUUUGUGUUGUAUUUGGGUUGAAUACAAAGGCUUUGACAUGACAUGAACACGGCCUAAACAUCUACUUUUUUAUGUCUUUUAUCCAAAAAUUUGGUAUUAUAAGAUUUAUGGAUGAAUUAAAAAUUAAAGAAAUGCAUUCAUGAUAAGUAGUAUAGAUAAUGAAUGAAAGAAUAUGAUGAUUUAUUUGAAGCAAAAAUAGAUAAUUAAUUAUUAGUAUAUUUUCUUUUUUCUAUUUCCUUGAGGAUCAAUUUCCGAAAAAUCAUAUAAACUCGCGUUUUUCUUUAAACACAUAUACUAAUAUUUAUUUAUUUAUUUAUUUUGUCGUUUCUGCUUCCUUCAUUGCUAAAUGCAAAGGUUUAGAAUCCAAAUAGGCCUUUAAAAGGAUUUUGAUUUUUUUUUUAUUUUUUUGAGAAUUUUUAAAAUUAUGAUAAUUUUAAAAAUAUUUUCAAACUUAAUAUAAUAGUAAAAGUUAUCUUUAAAAAAAAACGAAUUUUGGUUUAAAUAUUAAAUUUUAAAAUUAUUAUUUAUAGAAAUAACUUUAAAGUUUAAAAUUUAGGUUGAAAUUAUUUUUGUAAUAGACAAUUUGAGUACAAUUAUGGUAUAUUAAUUGAACUUUUUUUGAAAAAUAAUUUUAGUGUACAUUUUUAAAUUUAAAAUUCAAAAAAUUCAAUUCUUAAAUUAAAUUACCCUUCAAAAAAUAACUUAUUAUUGAUUUUAAAAACCAUAUAUUUGAAAAUUGGUCUUCAUCUACUAUAAUUUAAAUUAUUAUGAGUUUGUUUGAUUAAAAACAGUUUUUUAUUUUUAAAAAUAAAAGAAAAAUAUCAACUUAUUUUAUUAUAUUUUCUAAAACUUAUUUUUAAAAUUUAUUUUUUAUUUUUUAACUUAAAAAUAAUUUUUAAAAACAAAUCGCUGUUUUCCGUGUUUUAUAACAGCAAUUUCACAUACUGAAGAGAGACCGAAAAAGCAAGUCAACCUAUUGUGAUUAUAAAGUCAACACUCACCUUCAUACCGCCGCCAGUCCCCGCGCUACCAGUCAUGGUGUGUAGAAAUCCGCCACCGCCAAAACCAUCGCCGCCAAUCAACCCUCACCACGGCCGUUGUUCAUCAUUACAAAACGUUAUUCCUCUUUCCAGACUAAUCAGAGGAGGCCUUGGAUGCCAUCAGCGUUACUGUGGGUCUGACCAAAUGUUGUGGCUCCUCUCCACCGGCGUUCGAGAGAGAAAAUCUUACCAUGGAAGGCGGCUAUAUUGUAGCUUUGCUCCCACUUGUGGGUGUCUCUUUCUCGGGAGGAGUGGAAAUUAAAUUAUUGGAUGUGACUUUUCAAGGAUAUUUAAUAAUACAAAUAUGAUGUUAUUUAUCACUUAUCUUGUCAAAAAAAAAAACCACAAGCAAAUGAAUCCUAACUUUCAUUUAAAGCAAAAUAGUAUCCAUGAUUUUAAAGAAUUUAUAAUUUUUGAAUUACACUUUUGUGGGGAGCCCCUAUAUCCAGUGUCCUUGACUCUCUCCGGUCAGACUUUUCUCAAUAGUACAGUAAUUUAAAAAAAUUAUGCUUAAAUUAUUAUAGUAGAAAAAGUUAUUACAAAUAUAUGGUAGUUUUUACCACAUAGAAGAGAGGAGAAAGGAGAUAGGAGAGAGGAGAGAGGAGAGAGGAGAGAGGGUGAACGGAUAAAUUUUUUUAAAAAAGAGAACUCGUCUCUUCAAGAGACGAGUUCCAUAAAAAAAUAUAUAUAUAUAUUUUUUUAAGAAAAUUCCCCAUUUACUUAAGGGAACUCGUCUCUUCAAGAGACGAGUUCCAUGAAAAAAAAUAUAUAUAUAUUUUUAAAAAAUUCACAAAUUUAAAAAAAAAAAAAACAAUUUGGAACUAAAGGGAACUCGUCUCUUCAAGAGAUGAGUUCCCAUGGGAAAAAAAAAUAUUUUUUUAAAAUAUAUUUUUUAUUUUUAAAAAAAUCUCAAAUUAAAAAAAAAGAAAAAAAAAAUCCUAAAGAGACGAGUUCCCAUGUAAAAAAAAAAUAUAUUUUUUUUUAAAAUAUAUAUAUUUAAAAACAAAAAAAUUCCUACUUCAGACGAGUUCCAUGGGAAAAAAAAUAUUUUUUUUUUAAAAUAUAUUUUUUAUUUAAAAAAAUCCCAAAUUAAAAAUUCCUAAAGGGAACUCGUCUCUUGAAGAGACGAGUUCCCUUUGGGAAAAAAAAUAUAUUUUUUUUAAAAUAUAUUUUUUAUUUAAAAAAAUCCCAAAUUAAAGAAAAAAAAAAAAAAAAGACAAUUCCAAAGGGAACUUGUCUCUUCAAGAGAUGAGUUCCCAUGUAAAAAAAUAUAUAUAUUUUUUUUAAAAUAUAUAUUUUUUUUAAAAUAUAUAUUUUUUUUAAAAUAUAUAUUUUUUUUAAAAUAUAUAUUUAAAAAAAAAAAAGACGAGUUCCCAUGUAAAAAAAUUUUUUUUUAAAAAAAAUAUAUAUAUUUAUAAAAAAAAAAAUUCCUAAUUAAAAUCUAUAUAUUAAAAAAAAAAAAACAAUUCCUCAAAAUUCCUAAAGGAACUCGUCUCUUUAAGAGACAAGUUCCCAUGUAAAAAAAAUAUAUAUAUUUUUAAAAUAUAUAUAUUUUAAAAAAAAAAUUCCUAAAGGGAACUCAAGAGACGAGUUCCCAUGGGAAAAAAAAUAUAUAUUUUUUAAAAUAUAUUUUUUAUUUAAAAAAAAUCCCAAAUUAAAAAAAAAAAAAGAAUAAAGGGAACUCGUCUCUUCAAGAGACGAGUUCUCUUUGGGAAAUUUUUUUUUUUUUUUAAAUAUAUUUUUUAUUUAAAAAAAUCCCAAAUUAAAAAAAAAAAAAAAAACACAAUUCCAAAGGGAACUCGUCUCUUGAAGAGAUGAGUUCCCAUGUAAAAAAAAAUAUUUUUUUUAAAAAUAUAUAUAUUAAAAAAAAAACAAUUCCUCAAAGGAACUCGUCUCUUGAAGAGACGAGUUCCCAUGUAAAAUUUUUUUUUUUUUUUUAAUAUAUUUUUUAUUUAAAAAAAUCCUAAAUUAAAAAAAAAAAAAAAAAAAAAAAAAAAAAAAACCCAUUUCCAAGGGGAACCCCCCUCUUCAAGAAACAAUUUCCCAUGUAAAAAAAAUAUUUUUUAAAAAAAUAUAUUUUUUUUAAAAAAAAAAAAAACAUCUCUUCAAAAUCCCAAAGGGGAACCCCUCCCUGGAAAAAAAAAUUCCCCAGGAAAAAAAAAAAAUUUUUUUCAAAAAAAUAUAUUUUUUUUUAAAAAAAAAAAACCUUUCCCAAAGGGGGAAUCCCAGAAGACAAAUUUCCCCGUGGGGAAAAAAAAAAAAAAUUUUUUUUUAAAAAAAUUAUUUUUAUAUUUAAAAAANNNNNNNNNNNNNNNNNNNNNNNNNNNNNNNNNNNNNNNNNNNNNNNNNNNNNNNNNNNNNNNNNNNNNNNNNNNNNNNNNNNNNNNNNNNNNNNNNNNNAAAAAAAAAUUUUUUUUUUAAAAAUAAUAUUAUUUAAAAAAAAACAAUUCCUCAAAGGAAAUCCUUUUUUGAAAGGAAGGGUUCCCAAGGAAAAAUUUUUUUUUUUUUUUAAAAAAUUUUUUAUUUAAAAAAAUCCUAAAUUAAAAAAAAAAAAAAAAAAAAAAAAAAAAAAAAACCAAUUCCAAAGGGAACUCGUCUCUUCAAGAGACGAGUUUCCAUGUUAAAAAAAUAUUUUUUAAAAAAAUAUAUAUAUAUUAAAAAAAAAAAAAACAAUUCUUCAAAAUUCCUAAAGGGAACUCGUCUCUUGAAGAGAAGAGUUCCCAUGUAAAAAAUAAUAUCUUUUUCAAAAAAUAUAUAUAUAUUUAAAAAAAAAAAAACUUUCCUAAAGGGAACUCAAGAGACGAGUUCCCAUGGGAAAAAAAUAUAUAUUUUUUUUAAAAUAUAUUUUUUAUUUAAAAAAAAUCCCAAAUAAAAAAUAAAUAAAUAAAUAAAUAAAACAAUUCCAAAGGGAACUCGUCUCUUCAAGAGACGAGUUCCCAUGUAAAUUUUUUUUUUUUUUAAAUAUAUAUAUUAAAAAAAAAAAAAAAAAAAAACAAUUCCUCAAAAUUCCAAAAGAAACUCCUCUCUUCAAGAGACGAUUUCCCUUUAGAAAAUUUUUUUUUUAAAAAAAAAAAUAUAUAUAUAUAUAUUUUUAAAAAUAUCUUUUUUUNUACCUGGGAACUCGUCUCUUGGGGACUCUCGUGCCCACUGGGGGGGGGUCGGGNNNNNNNNNNNNNNNNNNNNNNNNNNNNNNNNNNNNNNNNNNNNNNNNNNNNNNNNNNNNNNNNNNNNNNNNNNNNNNNNNNNNNNNNNNNNNNNNNNNNAAAAAAUAUUUAUUUUAAAAAAAUAUAUAUAUAUUUAAAAAAAAAAAAAAUUCCUAAAGGGAACUCGUCUCUUCAAGAGACUGAAGAGACAAGUUCCCUUUGGAAUUUUUUUUUUUUUAAUUUGGGAUUUUUUUAAAUAAAAAAUAUUUUAAAAAAAAAUAUUUUUUUUCCCAUGGGAACUCGUCUCUUCGAUUUUUUUUUUUUUUUAAUUGGAGAUUUUUUUUAAAUAAAAAAUAUAUUUAAAUUUUUUUUUUUCCUAUGGGAACUCGUUUUUUCAGGAGACGAGUUCCCUUUAGGAAAUUUUUUUUUUUUGGAUUUUUUUUUAAACAAAAAAUAUAUUUAAAAAAAAAAAUAUUUUUUUUCCCAUGGAACUCGUCUCUUGAAGUCAAGAGACGAGUUACCUUUAGGAAUUUUUUUUUUUAAAUAUAUAUUUUUAAAAAAAAUAUAUACUUUUUUUUACAUGGGAACUCGUCUCUUGAAGAGACGAGUUCCCUUUAGGAUUUUUUUUUUUUUUAAUUUGGGAUUUUUUUUAAAAUAAAAAAUAUAUUUAAAAAAAAAAUUUCCCAAAGAGACGAGUCCCCUUUAGGAAUUUUUUUUUUAAAUUUAAUUUAGGAUUUUUUUAAAUAAAAAAUAUAUUUAAAAAAAUAUAUUUUUUUUCCCUGGGAACUUGUCUUUCCCUUGUCUUUUUUCAUGGAACUCGUCUGAAGAGACGAGUUCCCUUGAGUAAAUAGGAAUUUUUUUAAAAAAAUAUAUAUAUUUUUUUUCAUGGAACUCGUCUCUUCAAGAGAUGAGUUCCCUUUUUUAAAAAAAUUUAUCCGUUCACCCUCUCUCCUAUCUCCUCUCUCCUCUCUCACCCUCUCUCCUCUCUCCUCUCUCCUCUCUCCUAUGUGGCAAAAACUACCAUAUAUUUGUAAUAACUUCUUCUACUACAAUAAUUUAAGCAUAACUUUUUUAAAUUACUGUACUAUUGAGAAAAGUCCCUCUCCGGUCUGAAUGAUCAUUUUCAGUCGUAUGUCCCAAUGGUGACUAAUCCAUCCCAUAGUGGGUCACAUGGAUAAAUCUUAUACGGAUACAAUAAGACUAGCGUACAACUAUCCUUCACGCAUUUACUCAGUUAUUAAUGCACAAAUUACAUGUUAGACAUGUUUUAUGUUAAAUACAGUCGUUAUCGGAAAACAUUUCAUUCUUAGCAUCUCAUCAAUGCAAGACAUUUGUUAUGCAUUGGCAGUCAAUGUCAUAAUAUCGCAUAAUCAAACACAAUUAAGGUGCUAUUAAGACACCUAAAAAGACGUUACGAUGCAAUAAGUAUAAGUAACUGUACAGACUCUACAAAUGGUAUGUGUUUUCUUUUUGACAAAUUCCCUUACUUACUUAAGCCACUUAUCAGCUUUAGCAUCGAAGGGGCGUGCCCGAACAAACCAUUUGGACAAGCCUUUUGUGCAAAUACUAUAGUCGUUCGCAUCUCAAGCAAGCUAUAUGGAACCAUUGGUUGGGCCAUUCAUCCGACUCUUGGAAGCUAGACGAAACCAUCCAUUUGGAUCGAGCAACAACAACUUUUACCUUUUUUUUCUUUUUCUUUUUUGAAUUCUAAUCAUUAUAAUAAACUUAUUGAUAAAAAAAUUUAGAGUUUUUUCCUUUUUUAAAAAAAAUACACAAAAAUAAAAACUCUGAUAUUAUGUUUGGUUAAUUGGCUAGAUAAGAAAGGGUACCAUAUUUAUAUUUUACAAUAUGGGAGAAUUAUGUUUUGGGGGUAGAUGGGCCCCCAAAUUAACAAAAGGUCCAUGUAACUCUUCAAAUUGAGCCCAAGACCCAAUAAAAGUAUGGAAAUUGAGUUGAAGGAUAUCAUCCUUCAGUAUUUCCAAAAAUGUCCUUUGUUGAUUUUAAGAAAAAAAUUGAUAUUUUUGAAAAAUACUUUUAUUUAAUUGAAUAUUUUUAAAAAAUACUUUUAUGUAAUUUAAUAUUUUUUAAAAAUAAAUUUAUUUAAUUUAAUAUUUUUAAAAAUAUUUAAUUUAAUAUAUUUUUAAAUACUUUAAUUUAAUUUAAUAUUUUUGAAAAAAAAAUUAAUUUAAUAUUUUUGAAAAAAAAAUAUUUAAUUUAAUAUUUUUGAAAAAAAAAUUAUUUAAUUUAAUAUUUUUGAAAACUACUUUUAUUUAAUUUAGUAUUUUUGAAAAAAAAAUUAUUGAAAAAAAAUUAUUUAAAUUAAUUUUAUAAAAUAUUUUAUAUGUGUUCUUAAAUGGUAUAUUUGUCCGUUACUAUUUCAUAUCCUUCAACUCAAUUUGAGGAGUUAUAUGGACCUUUUGUUAAUUUAGGGGUUCAUCUACCCCAAAAGAUAAUUCUCCCUUACAAUAUCAAGUCUCAUUUAUUAAUACAUACUUACAUAUAUAUAUAUAUAUAUAUAUAUAUAUAUAUAUAUAUAUAUAUAUAUAUAUAUAUAUGGGAUGUCAAAAACAAAGUGAGAUAAUAUAUUCUAUCAAUUUAUUUUAUUCUAUAUUUAAUUAAUGAUAUCUUUUAUCUUAUCUCAUAUUAUUUCCAAAUAACCAAACACAACUUAAUAAUUUAUUAUUUUAAUCGUAUUUUAUUUUAUUGAUAAACUCAUUUGGGAGGAAUGCAAAUGAAGCUACAAAGAAAAAGUGUGUUUCCACACACUUGAAAAAAAAAACGGUGAAUUAGGAAAUCUAAACUUCAUGUUCUAUUAAAAAAUAAUUAGAUUUUUGUCCCCUUUUAAAGUCAAAGAUAAUACAUUUAAUCAUGUAUGUACUACCUUUUAAUGACAUAGUAAUAGAAUAAAUAAAUAAUUUAAAUGUUUAAUUUAUUUAUUUAUUGUUAGUUUGAAUUAAAAUAGAAUAUAGAAUUUGAAUUAGAAUAAAUAUUUACUAUUAAUUUGAAUUAGAAUAAUGGAUGAAGUUUGAAUUAUAGUAGAAUUCAAAUAUAUUUGUACAUAAAUAUUUUGGAUAUUUUGGAUGAAGUUUGAAUUAUAGUAGAAUUCAAAUAUAUUUGUACAUAAAUAUUUUGGAUAUUUUGGUACUUAUGAGCCUACAUAUAUUUCCCAUAUAACAGCCCAUAAACACAAUUUUCCCUUUAAUAAAAGCAUUUUUAAAAGACAAUUCUAAAAUACAAAAUUCAAUCACACAGCAGUAAUAAUCAUAUCUCUCAAACAGGGCUUAAAUUUUUGUGUCAAGAUUAUUUAGCUAGUUCAUGGAAGCCCUAACCACUGUAAAGGUAUAUAUGCUGUUAGAGCUUCUCCUUUACCAUGGCUUGACCCCUUUAUAGCAUAGAUUAGUACAGGCUCCCCUUCCUAUAUAUUUUUAUAUUGAGAAUCAAUUUAUGAUAUUCUAUCCCAAACUGCCAGUGCCAUGCGAAUGAUCGAUGCAUAAUUGUUCUGGUAUGGGAGUCGGUCAUCAUAAGUUCUUUGGCCUUAAUUUUUGGUGAUCCUUCCCUACUGCUAGUUUCUGAAAAUAAUAUUUUUUCCUCACUUCAGUGUAUAUGAUUCUGCCCACAAAUUGGAAAGAUACUCAGCAAUGAUGUAAAAUGUUGUUGAAGGAGAGACUGAAAAUAUCCAUGGUAGCAGAAGCUAAAACCGGAGUGAAGAUUUCUUUUAUUUGCAGGAUGAAAGAUUGACAGUUACAAAUUUGAAAAAAGUACCUUCAUCACUUAGGAGCAGACUCUGUAAUUACUGUAAAGACUAGUAUACACAUGCCAUGAGUUCAAUCUUCGUAUGCAUAUGAUCACUUCUCCUUUGAUAUCAUCUCAAUACUCCGUCUAAGGCAUUCCACAGCACAUGGAAUUUUUAGGGUUCCUUGUUGCUGGUACCCAAACUCAUUAGCAGACAUCUCCAGGAGUGCAACAAUGUAUGGAUGCUUGAACAGCUUUGUCGGUAUGAGUAGUCUCUCCAUCACCUCACCCUCCCCAACGAGCACAGGGACCUUCCCUUUGCGCACUCGGUCUUCCCGGGUGUCGUCAUGGGUCAGUCUCACGUAGGCCGGAGGCGGGUUCGCCUUCUUUCCCAUGCUCCAACCUCCUCUUUACCUGCACUUUCAGCUGGUCAUGUAUGCAUAGUUUUAUAGCAAGAAGGUGAUCAAUAUUUUAUUGUUCUAAUUGUAGUUAGUGUUAAAAAAUGUAUAGCGUUGAAUAUGACGAUUUUGGACUUUUUGCAUUAGUCUAUGGCUUCUUCUAGUUAUAAUUAGAAUUAAAUAAUGUAUAGUUUUGAAUAUGACCCUGUUGGACUUUUUGCAUUACCCUAGGGUUUUGUGUGUUUUUUUUUAACUUCUUUUGUGUGCCCUUCCAAGUAUUCUUUUAAGGCAUUAUUGGUCCGAUCAUUGAACCGAUCAGAUCAUUGAAGAUAAAAAAUAUAUUUUUAUUUUUCAUUCAUGUUUUUUGAAGAUAAGAAUUUCAAAAAACUUUAUUUAUUGAUGAAUAAAAAAUAUCAAUAUUUGACUUUUUCUAUUCAACUAGAAGUAACAUGUUGAUAUUAAUCAAUAUAAUUAAUUUAAGUCUAUUGACAAUAAAUUCACUUUAAUUAUUUUGAUUGAUAAUAGUAAAUUACUUUUAAUUGAAUAGAAAAAAAAAUCUAAUAUUUUAAUUUUUUCUAAUCAACCAAAAAAUAAACAUCACUUAUCAUGUAACUUUACUUUCUCUUCAUGGAACUUUUUCUCACUUUUAAUUUUCCCAUUUUUUGUUCCUAGUUUUCAACAAUCAAUGGAAAGCUCCAAUUAUGAUAACUUAUCAUUGGGAGAACUUAUACAUCUAAACACCAACCAACUCCUUAGUAUUUCAUAUUGUUUAGAUAGUGGGUCGAGUCCAUCCACAUCAUGACCUUAUUUGUUAAUUAGAACACUAAAAUAAUAUUAACUAUUUUAAUUAUUACCAUAACUCUAUUUUUCACUUCAAAAUUAUAAUUUGAAAAAUGUAGACCCAAGAUUUCGUGACAUCAAUUAAUAUCUCAAUUGGUUAGUAUAAUUUAUUUUCCGUGUUCUAUAUGUGAAAUCAGGCAUGACCACACCAUAUUCUCUAAUGGAGAUGCAUAGUUAAUUUGGAGGCAAUUCUCAUGCCCCAUCUUGAGUGUGACUUUCAACAAAUUCAUUUAAUAAUAGAGAAGUUCUGCUUAAUUCUAUGCUAAAUAAAAUUUGAAUUUAUCCUAAGCUAGAAACCAUUUUACCCAAGUAGAAUUCACAUGCAUUUAAAUAUUCAUUAAUUAGGUAAUAAUUUGAAAGAAAAAAACUAGAAUUUAGGAACUUGAAAAUUCAAGUAAUUAUUAGAAUUUUGUUACAUAGAAAAUAAAUGUGAAUUUGGAACCAUGAGCUUAGCUCAUGAAAAGCAAUAUAUCCAUCUUAAUUUCUUUAGUAACAAGUGUAUAUUGAAUAUGACUGCAACUUAUGCUGGUUGGUCCAAUUGAUGGCUAACCCAAGUCCAAUUUAAGUUUAACCAAACCCAACUUUUAAUCCGAGAUACUCAACCCAAGUCUAAGCCAACCUCAUUUUUUUAAAUUUGGGUUGACCGGGUUGGACAUAGGUUGAUCAAGUUAAUUGGAUUGUAUGAUUCAAAAUUCAACAACAAUGGUUUUUAAAAAACUUAAUUUUUCUAUAUAUUUAUGCCAAAAUUUAAAUAUAGUAAAUAAGACAAAAUUUCAAAAAAGUAAUAAAAAAUAAAAAUAAAAUUAUAUAUAUAUAUAUUUUUUUUAAAUGAUAUAACUAUAAUUUGAUAUAAAAAAAUGAAUAUGAUCAUAUACAAUAAUAAACAUUAUAAAUAUUGUAAAAACAUAAAUGAAUUUGGGUUAAACUUUGGUUGUUUGAACCUUGACUCAACUUAACUUAAAUUGAAUUCGAAUUAAAAAAAGACUUAACCCAAACCCAAUCCGAAUAUUGAAAAUGUUUGUCCAGGACGUUCAAACAUUGGGUUGAGUUCGGAUUGGGUUAGAUCAACCGUACAAAUUGCAACCCAAGGUGAAAAAGUUGGUAAAAUCGUGAGAAGCCCAUGUAUAUAAAAAAUUUAGAACAUAUUGAUUACUUAAAAGAAGAUAAGCAUGCUUUGGCCCUUCUUGUUUAAUUGGGUGGUAUAAAGACCUGGAUCACGACUGCCAAAUGGAUUGACAUCAGUGUUUUAUAAAAAUAUUAUAGUUAAAACAAUAUGACUCAUUUGUAAGGUCUACUUCAUGCUUUUGAGUUUUGACAAUUUGGUGCUCUUAUCUCCAUGGAAGGCUAGGCCUCCAUGAGUCGUCCCAUCAAAUUAGAAUGAACCACUUAUUAAGAGAGAGAGAGAGAGAUAAUGAAGGAGCAAACCUAUCAAGUCCCUGUAAACGGGUGUUCAACUUGGUUUGUCAACAGAUGACAGGUACAAUUUAGUCAAUUCUAUAUCAUUGGUCCAUAUCUUACUAACAUUUUUAAAUGAGAUGUUCGAUGGACAUGGAUGACUUUUUGGCAUUCUCAAUGUUGUUUUGAUUUGAACCGUUUUCCUCCUUUGAAUUUGUAUAUCAUUUUUUAAGUGAUAAAUAAUUGUUCUCAAUCCAACAGGGAUGGGCAAGGCCUCUUUGGGAACGGCCCCAAGAACAACUUUUUGUUUUUAAAAACAAAAUAUUUUGGAAACACAUUUGAUAAUCAAUUGUCUAAAAAUAGGUUUUCAAAAUUUAAAUCAUAUUUUAAUUAUUUUAAGUUGUUUUUACACAUAUUUCGGAUGUUGCUUUAAAAAAUAAUUAUAUAAAUAUAAGGAAUGAUGGAAAAUAAAAUAUUAUAGAUUAAAAUUAUUUUUAAGAAAGAUUUGAAAGUGUAAAUAAAACAAGUUAAGAAUUUAAAAACUAUUUUCAAAAUAUAUUUUUCGAUAAUUGUUUUUCAAAACAUUUCUAUAAAACCAAGGUUUGGUUAAUCUCGAUUUUGAUGAUGACAAAACAAAGUUUAAAACUAAUGAUUAUAUUUCAAGUGUGAUUAGGCAAGACAAUUUCCAAAGAUAAAUCAAGGCAAAGAGAAAUCAUGAAAAAGAAGAUCAUCUUAAAGAUGAGUGUUUUUUAAAGACUCAAGCUUCAUAAAAUCUCUUUAUAAGGUUAUUGAUGCAUUAGGAUUUUCAUGCAUUACAUUCUUUACUUAUGCACCAAAAUCAUUCAAGAGUUAUUUUGUUUUAAAUUUUUUAAAAUUGGAUGAUUUCAUGUUUUCAACUAAAACUUUGUAUCAAAUAUUUUUCAAACUUGUUUAAAAGUUUUAAGUUGAAAAAGUUGGUAGUUGAGCCAAAAACGGCUCAACUAGUCGAACCGAAUGAGAAACCGAUCGACCCCCCAACUCAAUCGGUCGACCCCUCAGCUCAACUAGUCAAUUGGUGGAAAAAACAUUCUUUCUCUUUCAGAACGGUUGUUCAACCAAUCAAGGUGCGAACAGUAACCAAUCGAAAUCCAACGAUCACCUAUCAACUAUUAAAUGUUAACGACUAGUCAACCGAUCGAACCCCCAAUGGCUAGUUUGGUUUUUUUCCUCUAUAAAAAGACUUCAAAUAUUCAUUGUUUAUAAGUUUAACCUUUCCAAGCCUUUCUUGAAUAUAUUUGAGCAUUGGAAGAGUAUUUUUUAGGGUACCAUUGUUCUAAAACUUGCACAUCAUUAGUGCACAUUUCAAUCCUAGUUUUUCUUGUAUCAUUUGAGCUUAAAGUUUUUGUACUAGGAUUUUGUGAGAUCAUUCAUUUGUUAAUCUUUGAGAUGAAGAAUCUAAGUGUGAGGUAUCACUUAGGGAUUCUCAAGUGUGGGGUAUCACUUGAAGGGUUAUUUAAGAGUGAGGUAUCUCUUAAAGUUUGUAAAUGGUGCUUGGAGCCAAAAGUCCAAGAGAGUGGAUUGAAACCAUAAUUCAAUUGUAUUAAAGCUUGGUUUGGAAGUCUUGAAUUAGUAGAAUCUUAAGCUUGAGAUUGAAGCUAGAGGAGAGUGGAUGUAGGUCGGGUUGCGCCGAGCCACUAUAAAAUCUUGUGUUUACAUUCUCUUUUCCCUAUUUUUUUUUUACUUCAUAUGCAAUUGUCUUUAUAUUGUUUUAUUAUAUACUUACAUAUAAUUAUCUUUUGCAUUCAUACUAUUUAAACUUACAAAAAGAGACUAUCACCCUUUUCAAAGCCCACCCCCCCUCUAGGGUAAUUACCAUAGGUUUAGAUUAGCCUAAUUUUUCUAACAAUCUUCAAAUAGACUCUAAGGGUUUGUUUGAUAACUAUUUGUGAAAACAAUUACAAAAAAUGGCUUUUAAGAACAGUUUUUGAAAAUUAUUUUUUGAUUUUUGUAUAACAAAAGUCUGUUUAAAAACUUAAAAUGUUUUUAACUUAUUUUUAAUAUUUUAAAUAUGUUUUAAAAAUAAUUUUUAUAUCUACUAUUUUAUUUUAAAUCAUUCUACAUGUUUAUAUAAUUAUUUUUUAAAACAAUCCUUAAAAAAUAAGUAAAAAUAAUAUAAAACAACUAAAAGAUGUUCUUGAAAAUAUAAAACAAUUUUUCGUUGCCAAAAAUAUUUUUUUUUUAUUUUUUAUUUUAGAAAAUAAAAAAUAGUUCUAAAAAAUAUUUUCAUAGGUCUAAGUAUCUUAUUUUUUACUCAAAAUCUCAUCAAAGUUUUACAUGGUUUCAUCAAUAUCACCGUCAUGUCAAGUGAUUGUGUAGCAAUUUUUAAAAUAUUUUUUCACAUGAAAUUUGCCUUUUAACUAAAAAUUUUCAAAUGUGAUUCAUUGACAAAAGUUUAUUGUCUAUUAAAAAAAAAGGGAACUUUUGUUGAAUGUAAAUAAUUCAAUGGCAUGAAGUCUUCACAUUCUUAGUGCGGGGUUGAACUGAAGUUCCAUAUGAGAAAUGACAAAAAAGAGAGCUGUAAAUGUUGACAAUGGAUUUAGUCAUUGUUAUAGGAAUGCUCCCUUUCAACUUCAAUUUCUCCGUCAAGGGAGUAGAUGAACAUCAAACAUCAAAAUGCCACAAGGUGCUUUGCUAAUGUAGAGAAAAGGAUCAUCACUACUCUUAAUAAGAAUAAGAUAAGAAUGCUGAGGAAGAUGAUCCAAUAAUUUACGAAAUACAUUAAUUAAAAUUUUAAUAAAACUAAGAGUACGUUUGAUAAUGAUUUUAAUAAAAGUGUUUUCUUUGAAAAUGUUUUUUUUUAAGAUAAUCACAUAUAAAAUAUUUAAAAAAAAACAUUAUAAAUAAUUUUUCAAUAUUAUAAGUGAUUUUUUAAAUUUUAAAAAAUAUUUUUAAAAUUUGACCAAACAUCAAUUUUUUUUUAAAAAAAACAUAUUUUAGUUAAAAACGUUUUUCAAAAUCACUUCCAAAAAGUACUUUAAGUUUUGGUUUCAAGAAAUUUUUACUUUUAUUUUUUAGUGAUUUUCUCCGUCUGGUAAAUCUAAGGCUCGUGGCCCAGCCUGUGGGCCCUCAAGCUGGGCAGGCUGGGAGGGCGGGCUUGGCUGGGUAUUGGGUAAAAAUUAAAAUACUUUUGAGUUUUGAAGGGAAAGGGAUUUGAACCCCUUCCCUUAUGGAUCCAUAAGCAUUCAAGGAAAGAUAGCCACCAACUGAGUUAACCCUCUUUUGUGUAACUAUUUUGCAUUAGUUAUAUAUAUAUUAGAAAUAUUGUAUGAUUUUUGAAAAAAAAAAAUAAAAGUGAGUUGGCUGUUCAACGGUCACAUGACCGUUGAAUAUGCCACUCAUAAUUCAUAAAUAUCAAAUAUAUGACCGUUGAACGGUCUUGACAUUUAAAAAAAAAAAAAUUAAAUCCUAAUAUUUAAAUCCCUAUAAAUAUUAAAUACCCUCAAUUUUUUUCUAUUCUCUCAACUCUUAAGCUCUCUCCCAAUCCACAAUAUUUUCAAUUAUUGCAUUUUGUUUCAAAUUAUUCAAUAUUAUUGGUGGUGAAAAACAAGCAUUGGUGGUUCAAAGAUUUCAAAUUUGAAGGAAUUUCUGCUUCGGUUCUCCAAUUUAGUAACAUACUUCACCUUUUCUUUUAUUUAUUUGUUACAUUUUAAUUUACAUUUAUUAUUUUUAGCAUAAUAUUUUAUCAAUAAUUAUAAUUAUGGCAAGUGGUUCUUGUUCUUCAUCUAAUGCAUGUGAUAGCAAAAAAUUUACUUCAAAUAUAUGGAAUUUUUUUGAUAGAAUAGAAAUAAAUUUAGAAAAUAAUAAAAAAUAAAAAAUAAAAGCAAAAUAUAAAAUUAGUAACAAACUUCUUAGUGGUGGCUCAAAUGCCAGUACAAGUCAUUUAAAAAGGCAUCAUGAAAAUUGUAAAACUAAAAAUAAUAUAGAUAUUAGAAAUAAUAUACAAUUAGGUAAAGAUGAAAGUGGAAAUUUUAAAAAAAUUUCUUAUGAUGAAUCUUAUUGUCGUGAAGAAAUGAUUGGUUAUAUAAUAAGAGCAAAACAACCUUUCAAUUUCAUGGAAACUCAUGAUUAUACGGGAACAAUGCAACGAGUUAUUAAUCCUCAGUUUCAAGGUUGCUCUAGAAAUAUAGUUAAAAGAAUUCUUAUAAAAAAUUUUGAAACACAAAAAGAAAAUUUAAAAUUUUUUUUUGCAAAUUUUGAAGGAAAAUUUUUUUUAACAUCUGAUAUUUAGACAUUUUUAACUCACAGUGGUUUUUUUAUUAUAACUGCUCAUUAUAUUGAUAAUGAAUGAAAAUUAAAUAAAAGAAUUAUUUUAUUUAAAAUAAUAAAUACCCCACAUAAUGGUAAAAAUAUAGCAUCUUUAAUAAAUGAUGAAAUUAUAGAUUUUGGCAUUCGUGAUAAAAUAUUUACAAUAACAUUAGAUAAUGCUUCUAAUAAUAAUGCAGCAGUAUCUAUAUUAAAAUGAUAUUGGCAAAUAAAAGAAGAUCAAUGUAAAAUAUUUCAUGUGCGUUGUUGUGCAUAUAUUUUAAAUUUAAUUGUAAAAGAUGGAUUAAAACACGUUGAUGAUACAUUAUCAAAAAUUAGAGGCAUUGUUACGGGUCUUAAUAGUUUUCAAGCAAAACAUGAAUUAUUUUUUUAUUGUUGCAAAAUGUUAAAUAUGAAAAAAAGAAAUAUAAAUUUGGAUAUGCCCACUAGAUGGAAUUCCACUUAUAAACUUUUACAAACUAUUAUAAAAUAUAGAAAAGUAGUAGAACUAUAUGAAAUACAAUUAAUUAGCAAUGAUUGUGAAGCAGAUAUUGAUGUAUUAAAUGAUUAUGAUUGGCAUAUUGCAGAUCUUUUAAGAGAUCUUUUUGAAGUAUUUGAUACUUCAACAAAAAAAUUUUGUGGUGUAUAUUAUCCAUCUUCAAACCGAGAUGUCAUGCAAAUAACUAAUAUUUUUAUUGUACUUCAAAAAUAUUUAAAUUUGGAUAUAUUUAAUGGUGUAAUAUUUGCAAUGAUAGAAAAAUUUAGAAAAUAUUGGGGAGAAAUACCUUUAAUUUUUUAUCUUGGUUUAAUUGUGGACCCUAGAUUGAAAUUUGAAGCUUUGGAUGAAUGGUUAACAAUUAUUUAUUUUAAUGACCAAAUAAAAAUUGAAGAAAUUAAAAAUGAAAUAAAUUCAUUAUUAUAUAAUUUAUAUAACUAUUAUAAAGAAAAAUAUGGUGAUGAUAUUAGUUCUAUUAAAUUACCACCUACAUCUACAAGUUCUUCAUCUUUUUAUAAAGGAGCUUUAGAAAUGUUAAAAAGUCGAGAGAAGGCAACAAAUAGUUCUCCAAACAACACAACUGAUUUAGAUAGAUAUCUUAAUAUUGAUUUAAUUUCAUUUGAAGAUGAUGAAGAUUUUGAUAUUUUAAUAUGGUGGAAAUCACAACAACACAAAUAUCAUGUGUUUUCUAUCAUUGCUCGUGAUGUACUAAUAGUUCCUGUGAGUACAGUUGCAUCAGAAACUGCUUUUAGUGCAGGUGGAAAAGUAGUUAGUGAUAAACGAUGCAGCUUAGCGCCGGAUUUCAUUGAACCAAAUAUAUGUGUGAAAGACUAGGCAAUAACAGAUAAAAGGAUAUUUGAUUCUAUUCAAGAAGAAAAUAUGCUUGUCGAUAUGGAAAAACUAAAAUCAUCAAGAUCUUCAUGGAUUUGCGAUAGUUCGCCAUCACCGUCAAGAGAUAAUGAUUAAAAUAUUUUACUAAAUGUAUGUCAUAUUUUUAUUUUUAUUUUUAUUUUUGUGGUUGAAAAGUACAAAUGAUUGACAAAUAAGUAGGUGCCAACCUAGUUGGGAUGUAUUUUUUUUGUAGUGAUGUAAACUUUUCCCACAUUUUCAAAUGUAAUGUAUACAUUCAAUGAAUAAAAUAGUUAGCAAUGAAUAUUUUUAUUAAUGUAGCAUUUUCUAUUUCUUGAAUAUAUAUAUAUAUAUAUAUAUAUAUAUAUAUAUAUAUAUAUAUUUUAAGUGGCGGGCCAGCCCGUCGGGCCGGACCGGGCCUAAAUUGGGGCCCAUGGCCCGGUCCAUCCAAAAAUGGGCUUAGGCCUGGGCCGGGCCGUGGGCCGCGAGCUUUUUGGAGACCCUUAGAUUUAAUACGAGUAGGUUGGCAUUAUUCAACAAAUCAAAUUAAAUUAAAAAACAGUUUGAGUCGGUCAUCACUCUGACUUAGAUGCUUCACAAGCUGAAAAGAUUGAAGUAGAUAACUUCGAUUGCUUAUAUGUCUAACUAGGAAUUGCAAUGGAGCGGAUUUUUUUGGGUAUUUAUCCCGCCCCACCUCUAAUCGAACGGGGUUCAAUUUUAAUAAAUGAGUUUGGAACGGGUUUGGGUUUUUUUUUAAACCUAGGGCGGGUUCGGGACGAGUUCGAGUAUUGGCCUGCCCCAUCCCGCCCCAAUUAUAUAUAAAAUUAAUUUUUUUUAAAUUAAUUUAAUUUAAUUUUUAUUUUACUAUUUUUAAUAUAUAGAUAAUAAUAAAAUAUUUUUAAUAAAAUAAGUUAUAAAAAAUAUAAUAAUUUAAUUAUUUAUAAAAUAUAUUUAUUUUAAUGUAAUUAAAAAUUUUAAAAGUAAUUUUUUUUAAAAAUUAAAUUAAAUUAAAAAAAAAAAAGUUAAACGGGACGGGACAGGUAUAGGAAUUUAUCAUACCCGUCCCGCUCAUUCCCAUUUAAUUUUUUAAAUGGGAUGGGGAUGAAAAUUAUUUUGAAUAAACAGGACGAGGUCGGGAUGGGGGUGACCCGUUUCAAACCCGUCCCGUUGUCAUCCCUAGAGAUAAUUAAAUUGUGAUUAAAUCAUGAUAUCAAUGUUAUAUUAUAACUAUUUACUUUAUAUUAUAUUAAAAUUGAAAGUAUAUAUAUAUAUAUAUAUAUAUAUAUAUAUAUAUAAUUUAAAAACUUAAAAUAUUCUAUUAUCAUAAAUAAUUAAAUUCUAAUAUUUAUUUGUUAAAAAUAUAUAUAAUAUAUGAACGCAGACAAGAGUCAAUUCAUCCAUUGUGCACUUGAUCAUGUGGAUGCACUCAAUAAUGGUUUUGUCUUCUUUGGUUCCAAAGGUAAGUAGGACCUUAAGACUCAUGAUUCGAGUUUUAGACCGAAUGGCAUACAAGGUUGCCAACUUGGUCUACGCCUGGUGAGAUGUUAUGGAAGUGAUGCAAAGAUUACAUGAAGUGAGAGACUAUCUUGCUGUAUCCAAAGAGAAUCCAUGACCAUGGAAACAUUCCAUUAAGAUACCUUAGGAAUAAGGACUAAAAUUGCACAUGCCAAGAUGUAUAGUUAUUAGGAGUAUGUUUUAGCUACAAUUCUGCACUGACAUUGAUGAAGAUUUGGCAAUUCCAACAUUCAUGGGCCAAUUUUUAGGCCCAACUGGGUUGAAAAGCACAAUUCUCCCUUUUUAUUCGUGAACUAAUGGCCUUCCAAUGUUUAUUAAUAUUAAAUGUCAGAUAGUGGGUCCUAUACUGUUGGAUAGUAAUUCUAAGAAGUGUUUUCAAUCGUGUCCAAUACUUGAAAAUUUUUAUUUUUUAAAUAUUUAAAAAAUUAAAAAUAUUUUCUAAAAUCACUAUCAAACAAGUUCUAAAAACGGGAGUGAUUCUAAAAAGUGUUUAUAGUGUUUUUAACACUUGAAUGAUAAAACUUUUCAAAUAUUAAAAAUAUUAGAACCACUUUCUAAAAUCAUUAUCAAAUGGACUCUAAGCCAAGCAAUAAAAUUAGUUUGCUCCAAAGUCUUUCAAAACACUUAUUAUGCAGUAAAUAUAAACCCUAAAUGUGUAUUAAACAUAAAUCAUUAAGCUAAAGUGUUUUCUUAUCAUAUAAGUUAUUUGUGAUACAUAAAUAUGAAUUAUUUAUAAUGAAUAUAUAAGCCACAACAAAAGAAUAAAAUGUAAAAUUAAUAAUAUAUAAAUAAAAAUAUUACUUGACUUCUCGAUAAUAUAAUAUCUUUUCAAUAAUUAAAUAUCAUAAUUAUACUAUUCAAGGAAAUAAAAAAUGUUCAUAUUUUCCUUAUCAUGAUUAAUAUAGUAAUAUUAAAAAUAAAAUGAUUAAAUAUUUAAAAAAUUAAUUAAUUAUUUUAACUUUUAAUAAUAUAUAAAUUAUAUAUUUAAUAUAAAUCUAAACUGAGGCCACUGUUGUGCUAGUCAACACAGGAGUAUUCAAUAAUUAAAAGCAAUGAAUCGACAGGAGGGCCAACAUCUAAUCCUAAACCACUAGUGGAUUCUAAUCACUACCCAUUAGUAUCAUUAUCUAGAAAACCCAAGCUCACCACAUUCUGCCACGCCCAUAUAUCAUAUGAACAUAUUCAAUUAGACCUCGUGUCACUGUUCGCUUAAAGGUGAGCGAUUUUGCCACUACACAACUUGGGAGUUCUUUUAUGACCAGAGCCUUGGUUUGAUUUUACCUACCCUUCAACUCCAAACAAAAUAAUCCAUAUGACAGCUACCAAAACUCAAGCGUGGGAGACAGUUGAGUUAAUAUCCCAAACUAGAAAAAAUCCUUUUGAAACCUGAUGGGGAUUGGAAAAUCUUUUGCCCUGCUCACAAAGAACCACUUAACACGUAUAAUUCUUGAUAUUGGAAGCCACCCAUUUUGACCUCUCUUCUUACCAAGAACUUGACUGGCAUCCCUCCCACAAAGUGAUAUUCCUCACAAAAGGUAAAAAGAUAGCACUCGCACAAGUAACUUCAAUGGAGAACCUCUGAUACCUUAGCUUUUUCCAAUGACAAGUUCUGCACUGCUACAAGUUAUUAUCAAUUUAACAGUUGGGGAAUCUAUAUAAUAUUCAGCACAAAGCUAAAUGCAGAAUCGUUCUUCCAUGUACUUGAUUAGAAAACACUGAUCCACAAAGUGAUGAUAGCUUUAAUGGUCCAUAAAAUUAUUUGAAGAUUAUAAUCAGGAUACAAACACCAGGUUAGACCCAGAAUGAUGAACACUGAACUUUAUUUAUUCACUUGUUCUUCAUGAUUAGAUAGGGAUGAACAAAUACAGAUGGGAAUAAACUAACCCAGGUUCAGCGGCUGCCUCAUCAAAGAGAAUUAUGGAUCAAGGAGACACAGGAAGAAGUUCCUGUUCUUAUACAGGAGCAGGGUCUACGAUUCGCUUGGCUCCAAGAGUCUUCUCAUACUCUUCAAUGGAUUUGAAAAGUUCUGAAAAGUUGCCUUUCCCAAACCCUCCACACCCACCCUUCUGGGAUACCUUCCCUUCAUCAUCCUUCACCAUACACCCUAAUCUCUGAAUUAUCUCAAUAAAUAUUGUGGGCCUGCACAAAAGAUACAAAUAAAAUCAAUUAAUCCAGCAAUACGACUUUUUUUUCUCCAGUUCCUGCCAUAGCUAUCUUCUGAAUUGGAAAAAUAGGGAAGACAGACUCAAAACAAAAGGUAUCCAAAAGGGGUAUCACAAGUAAUUAAUAAAGUAUGGAUCAAUUAGCAACUUAAGAUUAUUUCUGAGAGAAAAAAAUCAGCUUUAUAGGGUCUCCCUUCUGCAUUAGAUUUAGAAUCCUGCCCUCCUAUCAGUUUAGAGGCGCCUCUCCCAUCCUCUGUUUCUACCCAUUUAUUCUAUUACAUCUCUCUGUCGCAGCCCCUUCUAUUUAGAAAAAAAAAAAAUGAAGAAGAAAGGGAAAAAGGGUAAAGAAAGGGUAAAGCCUAGAUCCCCUGCACCGCCACUCUUCCAACACAAGGAUUUAAUCAGAAUUUCCUGAAACAAAAAAUAUCACUUAAUUGGAAUGAAUAACAGCAUAUAUGGGUUGCGGGCAUACCUAUCACCCAAAGGCUUGGUGAAAAUCUGGAGCAAGGUACCUUGAUCAUCCUUAUCCACCAAAAUCCCCAACUCCUCACACUCUUUAAUUUGAUCAUCCGUCAGCACAUCCCCAGCCCUCUUCUUCACAUUGCGGUAGUAAGUUGGUGGUGGCGAGGGCAUGAAGUCGAAGCCCCCAACCCCGCUGCGCCGCCUCAUCUCCCGCAGUGUACGGAAAAUAUCGUCGCUCAUCAGCGCCAAAUGCUGCACUCCAGGCCCCUCAUUGUGCUCCAAAUACGUCUGUAUCUGACUCUUUCUCUUUGUUCCGAACACCGGCUCAUUCAACGGCAGCAACACCAUCUCAUUGUUGCUGGCUAGCACCACCGAAUUCAGUCCACUCUCGCUAGUUCCCACGUCCUCCGCCGUGAACUCUGCAAACUCGUGAAACCCAGUGAAUUGCUUCAAGUACGUGACCACCGGCGCCAGCUUCGGGACGUUACCCACGGUAUGGUCCACCCGCCGGAGCCCGAAGUCCACUGGAAACGACGAUCCUUCGUCCACCGCCUCGAAUCCGGGUAAGAACCAGGAACUAGGGUCCGAAGUAGCGUUAGGAUUAGGAUUUUUGUAGCUGACGUAGCGCAAAACGGCGUCGCCAUAGAGAUGGACCUCGGAGAUCACGACGGAUCCACCCAUCGUGACCGGAGGCGACAUCGGCCUCGCGCCGUGAGCGACGCUGGUGUGGAACGCGCCCUCAGCGUCGUCGACCUCGAUGGCGAUGGCGCGGACGCCGAGGCCGUGAGAGGCGGCGAAGGCAUGGCAGGCGGAGUGGUCGAAGGACGGAAUAGAAGCAGUGGCUGCGGCAUUUUCUAGAUCUCCGGCGAUGGAUGGAGAAUAAGGUGCGGUAAAGAGGAAGUUAAGGUCGCCGGAGCGAGUAAGAUAGGAAGCAUGGAUAACGUUUCCAGUGGAGAGGUCGGACUUGGCAACAAUGGGCAUGCCCAGACCCCAGGAGAAGCGGCGGGCCAGAUUGGUGGCGUCGGUGGACCAGAACUCGAUAUGGUGGAACCGCUUGACUCCGAAACGAUCGGACAUGGGGUUGGUGCGCAAGAAGUUGGAGAAGCCCACCAGCUUGAACCCCGGCGCAGGGUUGCUAACUUGCGCACCGCUGUCGCUUGCUUUUCCCAUUUCAGUGCCGUAGAAAGCAGUGGCGCGUUGGGCGAAGGCAGGCGUGGAAGUGUGGUGAAAGAGGUUGGAUAUUUUAAGGACCGAAGUAAGUCCAGCGAAGGGAAGGAACUUCUGGACACGUGUUAUCAUUGGAGUGAUUUAUCUUGUUUGCUUUUUCAAUAGCGUAUGCUUAUCUCAAUGACGAUGGUCUACGUACAUUCCGCGGUUAUUUUAAAAAACGGUUUUCCGUUCAGGGACAAAAGUAUACGACACUAACAUAACAAUUCUCUGCGGUCAAAAAUAUAAAACAUAAUGUUUUUCAAAACAUAUUUUAAAAAUGAAAAUUCUUUUUUGAAAAAUUGAAAAAAAAAAGAGAAAAAAAAGCAAAUAAUAUAAAAUAAGUUAAUAAAUAUAAAUAUUACAAAUAUAAAAAAUACUGAUAUAAGUAAAAUAUUAUCAUUUAUAUAUUUAAAAUAAAAUAUGAUUUGGAUGCAACGACACACACCUAAUCAAAAAGCAAAGUUAAAUAAAUAAAUAAAUAUUUAAAAAAUAUAAUUAUCCAAGAUAAUGAUUAACUAAACAUACUUAAAAGAAAAUUAAUCUUUUUAAAAAUAAAAAUAAAACUUAAAAAUUUAUUUUCAUAUUCACUUUUAUCGAGAUUUUAAGUCAUCUUUUUUACAUAUAUUAUGAUUCACUACAAAUUCGAUUAUGUUAUCAUUUCCAUUAUGGUGUGCUAAUACAAGUGGGGUUUGGUUACCCAAGAUGAAUAUAUAUAUAUAUAUCAUUUUGAAUUGAAUAUGAUACUUUGUAUUAGUAUGUUUGUGCAUUUUUUAUUUUUAAUUGAAUAUGAUAUUUUUUUUUAUAUUAUAUAAUAUAAACAUAUCCUAUAACAUCAUUUUUAGUUAAGUAUGAUAUUUUUAGAUAUUAUAUCCGGUGGAAUGAUCUUAGAAAGUAAUAUAUUCAAUGGGAUAUAUUACAUCAUAUUUAUGUUUAAUUUAUAAAAUAAGAAAGAAAAAUAGGAAUGAAAAACUUAUUUAUGAUUAAAAUAUCUGGAGUUUAAAAAUAAAAAUAUUAUAUUAUAUUGUUAGUUAUAAUAUACAUAUUUUCUUAAUAUAGAAUGAUUCUAUUAAAGGGGUGCAACAUAGGCCGUUGACUCUACCUAGCUCAUCAUUUGGGCAAGUUUAGGAAAUUAUUUUUAAUAUUAUGAUUGAGUAGAGGUCAUGAUUAACACAAUUUGAGCCUAACCUAACUCAAGUUAAUGUUUUUAUAACAUUUAUAAUGUAUUUUAUUCUAUAUAAUAAUAUUCAUUUUCUUUUUAGUUUUUUUUAAAAUAUCAAAUUACAUUGUAUCAUAUAUAUUUUUCUUUUUUAGAAAGAUAUAUAAAUUUAUUUUUCUUUUUUGUUGUUAUCUUGAAAUUUUGUCAUAAUUACUAUUUAAAUUUUGGUAUAAAUAUAAAGAAAAAAGUUUUCUUUUUAAAAAUAUUAUGGAUUUUAAAUUAUAUAUUUCAACUAACCUAAGUCUAAUCCAAUCAACCCAAAUAUAACAUCACAAUCUGAACUUAAUCUGAAUGAAUUCAAUCUGAACUUAGAGAAAUAAGGGUACGUUGAGUUUGAAUUGAAUACCUCAAGUUAGAAGUCAAAUUAGAUAGAAGUCAAGUCAAGUUGAUUGUUUCUUAAGCCGGAUUGAGUUUGGAUUAGCUAUCAAUCCGAUCAACCUCCCCAGAUUACAACCCUAAUCCCAUUGGAGAUAUAAAAAAUUAUAUAUGAGCAUAUAUCACAUGCUAUAUCCAACCAAUGAGACACAAAGUAGAAAAAGAAGAAAAAUAGUCUCAAUUAGUUUCAUUAAGGGGAUAAUAAAGUAAUAUAUUAUCAAGGAAAAAGAGAGUAAACAUCAAACCAAAGAACACCUUCAAAAUCAUAAUCCAAUAAGAAAGUUAACCGAUAAGAAAGUUGUAGUUUAAGUAAUGCUAAAUACACUCAUACUUUUUUUCUUUGCAUGGGCCUCAUUUAGAAAUAAUAAAAACAAAAAGAGAUUGAUGUUUAGAAAGAAAAUAUGGGCUUUAUAAGAAUAUAAAUAUUUUUCUAUUUUUAUUUUCAUUUUAGGUUUUUGUCAUAUUAGAUACUAAUCAUCCUUAUAAAAAAAAUUUUAAAUUUGGUAUAAAAACAAGUUGAUUUACAUGUGAAUAUCUAAUAUAUGGGAAAAUUAUUAAUUAAGAAUAAGCAAUUUAUUUUAUUUUCUAUUAUUUCUAGAUUGGUUUCUAAAAUAAGGAUAAAAUUUAAAAUUUGAUUUUCGGAAACCACAAUUUAAAACCAAUUUGUAGAAUUGUAAAUAAAAAUAUGAAAAAGAAAGCAUAAGCCAAAGGAGUUUAAAAAAAAAAAACUAAAGAUAAGGAAGCCCUUUUGAAGGUUUAAAAAAAAGGUUUUUCUACAGGCUUACAUUGUACAUUGACAUUGCAAUUGAUGAUUAUGAUUUUUUUUUUCCUUAUUUUUUUUAUUCCUUACAUUUUUUAGUGCAAAUUGUAAAGAAAGUAUUGAUAAAUUAGUAUAUGUGAAAAAAUUAGCAUACAUUUUCUUUUUCCUAUAUAAAGAAAAUUAAUAUACAUUUUCCUAUGUAUUGAAAAUUAAUCUAUGCAAGUUUAUUUUUAUUUUUCUAUCAAUGUAAUCAAUUGAGGAAUGCUAUGGAGGUUUUAAGACUUUAUAAUUGUGGUCAAAAUAAAAUCACCACUAAAUGCCUUGGUCCCUUAGGAUUAUUUUGCCUGUUGCACUUUUAAUCACAACCAUAAUAAAAGUAAUGUAACUAUAUAAAACCUAUGAUCAUGAAACAUAGAAAAAUUGUAGUUGUAUAUAUCCUUUAAGUCUCGGAAACUAAAUGAUCAUGGUUAUAUUACAAACUUUUAGUCACAUGCUCUACUUGGUUGUUGUAUUUUGUCACGACCAAAUUUCACAACAAUAUGAUAUAGUCACAACAAUACUUAUUUAUAGAUGCAACUUAUAACCACCAUGAUAACCUCCUCUCUUUGCAAUGAAGGGUAUAGAGAAGAUAAUGAUGAUGAAGAAAACAAAGAGAAAGAAGAGGUUAGUAUCCAAGCAAAGGAAGUGAGAAUAUUCAACAUGGUGGACCAAAGGCCUUUGAAUUUGCUAAUGACAAAGAUCAUCAUAAUAACUUUGGUUUGUCAUUUCUAACCAUACAAGAAAUAGUGAAAAUCAAAUACAUGAGGUAUGCAACUAUGGAUGUUGAAGAUUGUGACACUUCAAACAACCUAAACCUGGAACAUCCAACAAAGCCUUCUCUAGUUCAAUAUCAUUUUACAUCAUUGCCAUAGUUUGAAAAUGUAGAGAACAUUGGUAAUGUUGUAUCUAGUGAUUGGACUCCAAAAGGGAACACUUGUAUAGGAAAUUCAAGAGUAGAGUUCACAAUUCGGUAGUAUUUAACUCCAAAGUUUAUUUGCAUUGUGUUGUAAAAAUGUACUUAAUUAGUUACAUCAAGAGUACAUUGUUGUUUCAUUAAUAAAGACGUUAUUGGCAUUGAAAUGUAAGAAAACUAAAGAGUUUCAAUGUCCAUGGGGACCUUGCACCAUGCUUGUUAAAGAAACAACUUUAUUUGUAGUAAAGAAAUACAAUGACCCACACACGUAUGGUAAUCCUUACAUUAAAUAAAAUUAUUUUCAAUUGGACUUGAAUUUAGUUGUUGCCCAUAUCAAACUAAUGAUUAAGACACAAUUUAAACUUUUAGUGGUUGCUAUUGAAGCUAGUGUUAUUUAGAAAUUUGGAUACCAUAUUUGAUAUAAGAAGACUUUUAAAGACAAGUUGAGAGUAAUGAUGACUCUAUUUAGUGAUUUUUACAAGUCAUAUGUCGAGUUAUCCUAUUUUUUCAGUACCUUAGAGUAAACAAAUCCAAAAUGUGUUGCAAUUUCAAAAACAUUCCUUGAAAAUAUGUGAAAUGAAAAGGUAUUAUAGCAAGGUUUUUUUAUAUUUCAUCCACUUAUAGAAGGUUUCAAGCAUUCUUGCCUUGUUAUGAGCAUUAGUGGUACACAUUUAAAUAAUAGGGACACUUUUAAUGAUUUUAAUGGGUAGUGAUGAGAAUAAUCAAUUAUUUCCACUAGCUAUUUCAAUAGUAUAUGGUUAAAAUGUUGAUGGUUGAGAAUGACUUUUAGCAUGCAUUAGAAAUGGAGUAACUUAGAGAGAGGGGGCUUUUGUGUUAUUUUUUAUCAACAUCCAAGCACCAUGGAGUAACUUAUAGCAGACUCCUCAACUGGUUGAGUCAUUUUUGGCUCAACAACCAUAUUUUUCAACUUAAAACUUAUAAAUAAGUUUGGAAAACAUUUGACACAAGGUUUUAGAUAAAAACAUGAAAUCAUUCAAUUUUUAAAAGAUUUAAAAAGAAAAUAACUCUUGCAUGAUUUUGGUGCAUAAGUAAAGAAUAUAAUGCAUGAAAAACCUAGUGCACCAACAACCUUACAAAGAGAUCAUCUCAAACUUAGGUCUUAAAAAAACACUUCUCUUUAAGGUCUACUUCUUCUUAUUGAUUUCUCUUUGUCUUGAUUUAUCUUUGUGAUUACCACCUUGUAAAUCAUCUUGCCUAGAUGCCCUUAAUUAUGAUACAAAAAAGGUCUUAAUUGCAAACGAGUUCACUAGAUUAAUAGAAAGGAAACUUUGAAGAACAUAUCAUAAAGAAUGGUGUAUAGUGCAUUCAAUUGAUUAUGCUAUACCAUGAUAAUGUUAUAAAAAUUAAAUAUCUUCAUCAAAAUGACUCUAAAAGGAUAAAACAUAAGCUCAAAAAGUAAUUAACAGGGAAACUAUUAUGUAAUAGAAUUGAGAGUUCAAGGUACUAUUACGUUUUCAAGUAGUGAAGUUAAAUAUCUCAACUCUCGUUAUCAAAAUAAUUCUAAAAAGUUUGAAACUUAGGACAAAGAAUUGUUCAAAUCAAUAUGUGAUGGAAGGACUAAUUAGCUAUAUUCCUCAAAUGAGACUGAACCCUUUCUUAACUAAUUAGGCACAACCUUCCUACAUUUUCUUUGCUUGUAUUUGUUCUUAGAUAUCACCACUCUAGCUCUCUAAUAUGGUAACAAUCAACCACAACCACUAUAAAUAGAAUCCUCCUUUCCUUUUCAGUUUCCCCAAAAGGGAUCUAAUGAUUAAAAUAAAUAAAUAAAAUUCAUCUUGUUAACAUUUAUAUAUAGCGAUCAUAAAAAUUCUAUAAAAAAUAAUAAACUUAAAGCUCUUAUCAAAACUUUCCAAUGAUGUAGAUGUAGAACCCAAAUAAUCCCUUUUAAUAAAGCUUGAUCCAUUUACCUUCCUUGGAGCAUCCCUAUUUCCUAGUGAGUAUGUGGGAAUUAUUUUUUAUUUUUUUGGUUCAACUCCCAAGUCAAGAAAGGAAAAUGGAAGAAAAACAUGGAUAUAUGCACAAACCCUAACACAUCUUUCAUUCACUGAAUCUCAAAGAAUGAAUAUUAAUAAAAAAUAAUCUCAAUAAACAAACCAAUUAUAGAGAACUAAGUUCAGAAAAAUAAACACACAAAAGGAGUUUAUACCCAACAUCAUGCAUUCAAAACCACUAUAUCUUGAGUUUAUUCUAUGUAACUCACUAUACUUAUUUGUAUUUCUUUGAGGUUAUUCUACAACAAUCUUAUGUCUUUAAAAGCAAUCCCAGUAGUAGGAAAGUACACAAAGUCUUUAACUCAAGAUAAAUGAAACAAAAUUAUUAACUUAAACUAUUUUAAAUCGCACAAUUAAAUAGGCCAUUACUUUCCUUGGAAGUCCUUUUUCUUGACUUUGAGGAACUCAUACCACACCAUGUAAGUAUAAUUAUUAAGGGCCUUUCCUUUCAAAAUGUGGAAAAUAAACUUUGAUUCCACAAAAUAUCAUUUUCCACCAAUUCCUAGAGUUUAUGGAGACUGUAGCAAUAUUGGGAUUAAAAUACCUUCAAUAACUUAUAUCAUAUCAUUCUAAAUGGUUUUAAGCCCAAUUAAUUCUAAAUGAUUAUUGGUAUUGAAAUUGCUGUCAUUUAUCAUACAAAUUGAGUAAAAAUUUUAUACCUAAACAAAAUAGAAGUUGUCACUAGGAAAUCAACCAUUUUCUCUAUCUCUUUGGCCAUUCAAUUUUUAAUAUUAUGUCAUCCAUUAAUUUAUCAACAAAAAAUGUUAAAAGUAUAUAAGUGACAACAACUGAAGAACGAUUACAUUAAGACAUAAAAUGUCCCAUAAUUUACAAGUAGUUUACAUGGUCUUUCCAAGAGAAACAUAUUGGAUACUUAAGGAAAGACAUUCAUGGGUGAUUCAAGAUACAGCUUGCUUACAUAUAUAUAUAUAUAUAUAUAUAUAUAUAUAUGUGUGUGUGUGUGUGUGUGUGCAGCUUUGGCAAUCUUCAGUGGAUAUUGAAGAGAGGAUCUUGCUCGUUCUGAGGAUUUUCGAGAGCCUUGACAUGUUUCAUAAAUGAAGCUGCGGCUUCUUCCCUUUCUUCUAGCUGCCCCAAUUUAUCAAAUACCAUGGCAAUCAAGUAGAAAGCCUCAGCCGCCAAUUCAUGAUACUAUACAACCACAAGCAUUGUCAUCCCAUUAAUGACUACAAUGAAAUUCUCCAUCAUAGAAAAAAUGCAUACAGUUACAUAUAUGUAUAAGAAGAUAAUAUAGAUGGAGAGAGAGAGAGAGAGAGAGGACUUGGCCCCACGGUAUUUUAAAGGCUUUAUCUUUUGACAGAGACCAACUACAAUUACAAAGGGGUUAACUCUUAAACGUGUAUUCCUUUUCUGCACGAGAUACCUGUUAGUCCUCAGAUAGUUUUGAUAGUGAAAUAUCAUGUAACAGAACAAUGAAAGCAUGCAAGCCCUUCUAAAUAUAUGCAACCAAAUGUUUGUUUUAUCUACUAGACUAAUCAAUCUGACUCAUUGACAUGGAUUUUCUUGCUUUUCUUUUUCCAUGUGGAACCAAACCUAAUACAUAAAAUCAUCACUUAAUGCUCAAGUUCUCUUACAUUUCAUGGAUCAUCAUAAUUAGUUAACAAAGAUGAACCUUAAGCUCAGAAGAACAAACUGCUGAAUCAAGAAAAAAAGUACGUCAACAUACCAACUUCCAAAUUGUGGCUAAACUAAACAAGGGAGCAUAUUUGGACAAAUCAGAUUGUUGGCUGAGGUAAACUUAUGGAGCUUGUUAUCCACAGGUACUGGAACCAAAUUGCUAUUCUAAACUAGCAAUGAACAUGCUAUCACAUAAAUCACAUACACAAAACGGGUAUGAACAAAAAUAUUUUUAGCUAAUACAAAUGUGUAAGCAUUCUUACUCUCAAACUCAGUUAUUAACUGACCUCCAAAAUUUCAAGCUCUUCAGUAGCUUGCCUUAAAGGAUCCAGCACAACCUCAGAAUUUUCAAAAACUGGCAUCAAUAUUCAACAGGCAGAGAGACAAUAGAUUAGAAGCUUCAAUAAAGGAGAAAAAUACAGAAUCACAGCACUGGUUAGCUGAUUGUCAUUAUCACUUAUUUGAAUAUGAAACCGAAAUCCUAUUUUAAGAUGUCCAUGUAUCCUGUGCUAUUCGAACAACAAUUUCAUGAAACAAAAAACUAUUCAAGUCAUAGCUUUAGCUUUAGGUUGAAAUUAAAAAAUAAAAAGUGCACAAGACUUUAGUUUCAUAUACUUUGUAAAAUUGCAAAUGAUACACCAAAACCAGCCAGGUUCAAUGGUGUUUCUGAGACACAAUGGCAAAAGCCAUUCCAAGGGCCACCAACCUAAGUGACACUCAACUCCCAUGAAUCAUCAAGUCCAAUGUGAAACUGUGAAUUCACAGGUGUGUGUGAACAAAAUCGCUUAUAGCAGUAGGCAAAUAAUGAGCUAAAGCCAACGACUUAAAGAUGGAUGGCUACCAAACCAUAACAAGUGAAUUAUCUGAACUUCAUGAAUUUGCUCCACCAACAGUUGUCAUCGAUGAAGUUUGAUUAUGUUCCAAAUAUCCCAUCUCUAACAUUGUGCACGUUUAUCACUUCAAGCUGUCCAUUGUGUGUUUGCAUUAUUGUUUUGUUAGAGUAGCAAAAACAGAGUAUCAUAUUAUAGGGUGAAAAUGAAGUACUGAAUCUUGCUGGAUCUUACCACAACCUUUCAUUGCUUUAGGAAAUCUCUGUUGAUAGUUAUUGCUUUAGGAAAUAUUGUAAAGAUUGUUUUAUCAUAUCUUGUAUAGAUAUCUAAUUUUGGGGAUUUAAUCCUUGAUUCAUGCAGAACUAUAGUUGCAACAUGAUUUCCAUAGUUUUAUCCUAUCAGAGACUUUCUAUUUCCAGUAUUCCUUAAAGACCCUUGCCAAUUGCCAAAAAUGUUUUUCUACAUGGUUGCACAAGGAAAAGGUCUAUAUAGAUUGUCGUUAUGGCUUAAAUUUUCCCCUGCUAAAGGUAUAAAGAAAAAGUCUAUAUGAUUUAAAACAAAGUUUAAGAGUUCCAUGUGAUUUAUUUAGCCAAUGGUUGGCUGAAGGAACACAAGGCUACAAAGACAAUUCAACAUACCCCAUCAGAUGCUUAACAAGGACAUACUAAAGUUUUCAUAUUUAUCAAAAUGAUUUCAUUAUACUAGGCAAGGGUGCAUAAUAAAUGAAGGCACUGAAGAAUUACUUAGCCAGAGAUUGGGAUCAAACACAUUGAGGACCUAAAACAUUCCCUUAAACAGAAUAAAAUUACUAGGUAGAGGCAAGAUGUAUUUACAUCAGAGGAAAAAACGUAUAAAGACAAAUUUUGGGAUGUGAACCUCUGGUACUCCAAUAACUCAUUGGUUUAAGAUAAUGAAAGCCCUUUUCAAUUGAUGUUGUUAGACAUAUGGGUCAAGUUACUAUUCAUCCAGAUAGGUAAUCCUGUCAGUAUAGUGAGUCAAUUCAUGCACUGUCCAAGGACAAAGCACUUAGAGAUUGUUUACAGUCAUCUGGAGGAAAAACUCCCAUGUUAAUUAAGCAUAGAUGAAUAAUCAUUGAAUCAUUUUUAAUUGCAAACUAGAUCUACCUUGGAGAAUUUUACUCUUGUUGGAGGGAACCUAGUGGCAAUGAAGAGUCACAACAUUUGGUUUCUGUUAGGUCCAGUGCUGAAGUUGAGUUCAAAGCACUAGAAAAUAGGUGUGCAAAUUCCUUUGGUUAAGAAUUCUGAACAGGGAGAUGGGUGUCACUUCUCAAAAUGAAAGGGAGAGACUACUUUGAUAAUAAUCUCCUACUCCUAGCACAAUUUAACAUGAGUAGGAAAACACAUUGAAGGUGGUAGACAUAUUGCAAAAGAGAAGUUAAACUCCCAUCCAUUUUUGCACCAGAUGUAAGGACUGGAUACUAACAAGUAGCUAUCCUAAUAAGAGAUACAAAGUUCAUCAGUGCAGCUAUUUGAUUGAGUUGUCCAUCAGACUAUGGGUAACCAUGCUGCAUGCCCCUCUAAAAAGUAAGCCAACUUAUGAGGUGCAACCUAGGGGCUUCAGUCAUACAAUCAAGUCCAAUCUAAGCACUAUUUGCAAGCUCUGGGCCGGACCUAGUCAAUGUGUUUAUAUCCCACAUUAAUAAUUCUAUACAAAAUAUGAGGCUUGGCUCAAGUCAUAAAGAAAUGGUAAGGGGUAUGAGUUUAUUGGCAAAGACCAAAUCUCUUAAUCUUCUUCUAUAUGUAUCAAAAUACAAUAUUUAUAUAUUGAUAUACAAACCCUCAGCACACUCAAACCCCAAAUGGCCACCCUUGCAUGAGAGAUAUACACCUCUGGAUGUGACCUUGCUAAACUUCUAUAACCUAUAUUAGCUCAUAAUCACACUGUGGAGGGGGGAUACUUAUCAGGAUGCAUCAUUCGGGGUGGUAGUAAACCCACUUUGAACAUUUCCCACUUAUUUUUUGCUGAUGACACAAUAGUGUUUUGUGAGGCAAGCAAGGAGCAAUUAACUCACUUAAGCUGGAUUCUCCUUUGGUUUGAAGCGGCUUCAGGGCUAAGGAUUAAUCUAGCCAAAAGCGAAAUCAUCUCAGUUGGAGAAGUGGAGGAGAUUCAAGAGCUGGCAGUUGAGUUAGGGUGCAGGGUGGGAUCCUUGCCCUUUCAAUAUUUGGGACUCCCUCUAGGGGCUCCUAAUAGGGCUACUUCUAUGUGGGAUGGAGUGGAAGAGAGAGUUAGGAGGAGACUUGCGCUUUGGAAAAGGCAGUACAUUUCCAAAGGGGGGAGGAUCACUCUUAUAAAAAGCACCUUGGCUAGCAUGCCAAUAUACCAAAUGUCUAUUUUCCCAAUGCCCAAGACUGUUGCUAAAAGAAUAGAGAAAGUUCAAAGAGACUUUCUAUGGGAGGGGAGGAAACUUGGAGGGGAAAAUUCAUCUAGUUAAAUGGGAUGUGGUUUGCACAAAAAAGAACAAGGGUGGGCUAGGCUUAAGGAAAAUAGCCACACUGAACAAAGCCUUGCUUGGUAAGUGGAUUUGGAGGUUUGCUUGUGAAAAAGAUAAUCUUUGGAAGCAAGUGAUCACAACGAAGUAUGGGCAAGAGGAUCAUGGUUGGAGGUCAAAGAAGGCUAAUGGGGCGGUUGGAGUAGGGGUUUGGAAGGAGAUUUUGAAAGAAUCUGAUUGGUGCUAGGAUAAUCUGGUGUUUCUAGCUAGGAAGGGCACCAAAAUCAGAUUUUGGAAAGAUAUUUGGUGCACUGAUACACCGCUGUCCCAUUGCUUCACUCACCUCUUUGUUAUGGUUGCGCAUAGGGAUGCAACGAUUGAGGAGAUGUGGGACCAAAAUUCUAGUCAAGAAGGCUGGAAUCUAAACUUUUUGAGAGAUUUUAAUAAUUGGGAGUUGGAUAUGGUUGGAGAUUUGCUUUAUAUUUUGAGGGGUCAUAGGCCUUCUUUGGAGGAAGAUUCAGUUAUGUGGAGGCGAGGAAGAAAUGGUCACUUCAAGGUCAAGGAAGCUUAUAGGUUGUUGGUCAAUCCUAAUGACACAGUUUUUCCUUCAAGGUGCAUCUGGGUGGAUAGGGUGCCAACUAAAGUUGCUUUUUUCGCUUGGGAGGCGACGUGGGGGAAGGUGAUCACUCUGGACAGGCUCCAAAUAAGAGAGGUGCAACUUCCUAAUUGUUGUUUUUUGUGUGGUUGUGAAGAAGAAAAUGUAAAUCAUAUUCUCAUACACUGUAUAGUGGCUAGAGCAUUGUGGGAUAUUAUUCUUGGGUUAGUAGAUGUUAAAUGGGUCUUCCCAGAAACUGUAAAAGAGGUCUUAACUAUCUGGAGGGGCCCAUUUGUGGGGAGGAAAAGGAAAAAGGUUUGGAAAUCCAUACCGUUGUGUAUUUUUUGGACGAUUUGGAAGAAGAGGAAUAGGCUAGCUUUUAGGGGGGGGGGGUGUUGAAUAUCCAGAAAUUAAAGAAUUUUUUUGUUUGUAACUUAUGGAGCUGGGUUAAAUUGUAUUUAGGCGAGGAGUCUCUCUCCCUUAUAGGCUUUUUGGAGUGGGUAGCAUCGACUUAACGGGAGAUGAUUCUUUUCUGGUCUUGUUGCUCCUUUUUGUGGCUCUAGCUGCCUUAUAUACUCUCUGUAUGCUUUGUGGCUUUUAGCCUCUUUUUAAUGCAUAUCUUGUUUAACUAUCAAAAAAAAAAAAAAAUAUUAGCUCAUAAUCACUUUCAAGCUUAACCAAUAGAGCUUUAUAGAUAAAGGUACGGGGCGGCUUCACUUUUGUUGUGUGGCUCUCUGCCCUGCCACCCCUACUUAGCAUUCACUAGUGAUAUUUUACUAAAAUUCCAGAUGUUGUGGAAUCCUAAUUAAUUAAGCAACUGAAAGAAAGUCUGAUAAAGUCAAGCAAAAAUAAGCUUAAUUGCACAAAAAUCAAUAUCAGUAGUAAAUAGACCUACCCUAAGAACUGAAAUCAAAACCUAAUGCACCAAAAAUAAAAUUUGUUAACAUUGUAAUAACAAAACUAAUACCAAAAGAAGAGAAAGAAAGUUCACUUGCACUUAAAAAACAUCUUAUCAAUACCAUCAGAAAAUAUCAAGUACCUGAGAAACUAGGAUUUGAUAAAUAGCAUUUUGCUUCAGCAAUAUAGGCCCGAGAGCGAAGCUCCAAACCUCCAUGACCAAGAAUCAUUGGAAGAGCCCCCUGUACAAGGAUUGAAGCCCUUUCUGCAUGGUUUGAUCCAAGUGAGAGCCACAACUCAGCUAGUGUGAGAGUGGCUGAUGCUUUGAGAAGAUCCAAGUUAAAUGACUGGCAAAAUGAAAGGCUAGCCAAUGCAUAUGGAAGGCCUAAAACAGCAUUGCCUGAUUUCUGAAGACGGAAAAAAAGGGAAAAAACUACAAUUAUAGCAUUUGAAUAGAAGAAACAAAGGAAAAACAUGUAGCAGAUCUCUUCAAACAGGACUCAGACAUGAAAGAGGCAUUGAAUCUUCAACUGAUUCCUUAAGGGAAUUCGAAUGCAAAUUUUAUUCUAAUAGAUGACUAAUAAAAAUUAAAAAUAAAUUAUCUCCCCUCCUUGGAGGAGCAACUUGGAGAAAAAGUGAUUAUUGUAAUGUUUUAAUUUAAGGUCACAAUCUUAUAAUGUGACAUAUCUUGGUUGCUCCAAUAGCAAAAGAAAAAGGGGAUUGGCGAUGAAUUAAGAUCUUCCACACUUGUGUUUUGUUCCAAGAAAGACUAUGCACUUUAAUUAUUCAUGGAGAAAAUAGCUCAAAUAUAGCUUCAUGAGAACUUGUCGAGGAACUUAAUCUAAAGAUGGAAAAGCAUCCAAAUCCCUAUCAAAUAGCAUAGGGUAGAUAACAACUCUAUUUUGAUGAGUUCUCUAUAUCUAGUAAUGUUUAAUUUUAGUAAUAAUUUUAAGUCAUCAAUAUGGUGUUAUGUUUUGCCAAUGAAAGCUACUCAUAUUGUACUUGGAAGACCAUGGCACUAUUUUGUAAGUUACAUGAAUAGUCAAUCAUGAUCUUUGGAUUAGUUAUGAUCUCUAGAUUAACCAAUGCACUGAGCAGAUUGAUCCAAGUCUCAAUAUGGGUUUUAAUUGUUAAUAUUAAAAAAUACAACAGUAUACACACACACUGUUUGUAUGUCUAUUGGUGGUUCUUCAGGACUCAUGUGAGUGUAAGGAAAGUCAAUGCUUGGAUUUUCGAAUCAAAAUAUCGUUAUAGUUGAUUUGAAAAUUCAAUAAUUUUACACUUAUAUGAUCAAGAAUAUUGGAAAGACUACAUCUAUAAUAUCUUUAUUUGAUGGAAGGCUUGAUUGUCAUGUUAUGGAGAGAUUAAUUGUCAAGUUCCAACACGCGUUUCAUUCUGAGAGAUUUUGAAUCCUCUAUUAUCCUAGUAAAAAAUGAACUUGAAGAACACUGGAAGAUUUCAGUUGGUAGUUGCAUCAUGUAAAAAAUUUUACAAGUUCUAAUGAAGAGUCCUACAUUAUGCAUUAUCAAUUUGUUCGUAUAUGUUGACGAAGAAAGAAUGGGUGAAAGACAUUAAAACACAAGGUUGAGUUUUUUUCCAAGUUAGAGGGGAAUUGAUGUGGAUGAAUUUUCGAUAUCUCUUUAAGAUAGAAAUGAAAAGAAACAAAUAUAUCUUAAAUUAUUUUAUCAAGGGUGUUGAAUAUAAUGUAUUUAUAGUAUAUUAUCUUUCCUUGUUAAUAUAGGUCACAUGUAUGGUAGUUAGGACUCCUAGCCUUGUAUAUAUAUAUAUCUCUCUCAAUUGUAAGUGUACAUUUUACAUGAAUGAGAAUUAAGGUUUUUCUCCUUUCUCUCUCUCUCUCUCAACAUGGUAUCAGAGCCAAAGGAGAAAACCUAAUCUUUUUUUCGGUUUAGCCGUGUAAUCAAUUCCGGCAAACCGUCCAAUGACCGUGUUUCACUCCGGUCCCCUCAUUCUCUUCCCGAACCACUCCGGACAACCUCAUCGCCGUCGGAUCUCCACCACGCCGGCAACCUUUUCCGGCGAAAUUUUUCGACGACCUAUUUUCCGGGAAACGACCACAUAUUCCGAAACGCCGGAGACUGAUCUACACGCCAGUGGAAACCCCACCGGACUGGUAAAUUUACAGUUGGUUGUCGUUGGGUCUAUGCAGUUAAGGUUGGUCCUGAUGGUCAGGUUGAUCGCCUUAAGGCCCGCUUAGUUGCUAAAGGCUAUACUCAAGUUUAUGGUUCUGAUUAUGGUGACACAUUCUCCCCUGUUGCCAAGAUUGCUUCUGUCCGCUUGCUUCUCUCCAUGGCUGCUAUGUGUUCUUGGCCUCUUUAUCAGUUGGAUAUUAAAAAUGUCUUCCUUCAUGGUGAUCUUUCCGAGGAAGUUUAUAUGGAGCAACCUCUUGGUUUUGUUGCUCAGGGGGAGUCUGGUUUAGUGUGCAGGUUACGCCGUUCUCUAUAUGGCUUGAAACAAUCUCCUCGAGCAUGGUUUAGCCGUUUUAGUUUUAUUGUUCAAGAGUUUGGCAUGCUUCGCAGUACAGCAGACCAUUCAGUUUUUUAUCAUCAUAACUCCUUGGGGCAGUGUAUUUAUCUGGUUGUUUAUGUGGACGACAUCGUCAUUACAGGCAGUGAUCAGGAUGGUAUUCAGAAACUAAAGCAACAUCUUUUUACCCACUUUCAGACCAAAGACUUGGGGAAACUCAAGUAUUUCUUGGGAAUUGAGAUAGCUCAAUCCAGUUCUGGUGUGGUCAUUUCCCAAAGGAAGUAUGCUUUAGACAUCCUGGAAGAAACCGGUAUGUUAGACUGUAAACCGGUAGACACACCUAUGGAUCCGAAUGUCAAACUUGUACCAGGACAGGGGGAGCCUUUAGGAGACCCCGGGAGAUAUCGACGGCUCGUAGGUAAAUUGAACUAUCUCACCAUUACUCGUCCAGACAUUUCUUUUCCUGUGAGUGUUGUUAGUCAAUUCCUACAGUCACCAUGUGAUAGCCAUUGGGAUGCCGUAAUCCGCAUUCUUCGAUAUAUCAAAAGUACACCAGGCCAAGGUGUAUUGUACGAAAACAGAGGUCAUACUCAAGUUUUUGGUUACACAGAUGCAGAUUGGGCUGGCUCACCCACAGAUAGACGUUCCACUUCAGGGUACUGUGUUUUUAUUGGAGGUAAUCUAAUAUCUUGGAAGAGUAAGAAACAAGAUGUAGUGGCCAGAUCUAGCGCUGAAACCGAGUAUCGAGCUAUGGCUUUGGCAACAUGUGAACUCAUAUGGUUGAGACAUCUUCUUCGGGAGUUGAGAUUUGGAAAGGAUGAACAGAUGAAACUCAUCUGUGAUAACCAGGCCGCAUUACAUAUUGCAUCCAAUCCAGUCUUUCAUGAAAGGACCAAGCAUAUUGAAGUUGACUGUCAUUUCAUUAGAGAGAAGAUCGCAUCAGGAUGUGUUGCUACAAGUUUUGUUAAUUCAAAUGAUCAACUAGCAGACAUCUUCACUAAAUCUCUCAGAGGUCCUAGGAUUAAAUAUAUUUGUAACAAGCUUGGUGCAUAUGACGUAUAUGCUCCAGCUUGAGGGGGAGUGUUGAAUAUAAUGUAUUUAUAGUAUAUUAUCUUUCCUUGUUAAUAUAGGUCACAUGUAUGGUAGUUAGGACUCCUAACCUUGUAUAUAUAUAUAUAUAUAUAUAUAUCUUUCAAUUGUAAGUGUACAUUUUACAUGAAUGAGAAUUAAGGUUUUUCUCCUUUCUCUCUCUCUCUCUCAACAAAGGGUAUUUAAGUAAUUUAUAAUUUUUUAGAUUCUCUAGAGUCAUAAUUAGUUUAAUAGUUGGAAUUUGAGUUUUAUUUAGAAUUUGAGAAAUUUUAUAAUUCGCCUUAAAAGAAGUUUCUAAACUUCAUAUUUUCUAAAUUAGGUACUUUUUUUUAAGUUUUUAUUUGAGUCUUUAGAAUCUAGAAGUCUUCUUUAUUAUAAACUCUUAUUAUAGAAGUUUUUAUAAAGUAAGUUUUCUAUUUUCUUUAAAAAAAUAUAGCAAAUUUAGUAGUUGUAGAAAAGAAAUAGGAGUCCUAAUAGGUUAUCACAUAAGCUAGGUUUCUAUUUUCAUGGUUUUAUUCAAUUUUUAAGGUUUUCUCAAGCCUACAAUAAUGUUAACUAAUGUAAAUGGGAUUAAUGAUUGGUAAUCAAUAAUAUUAAGGUUUUUGUUUCUUUUACAUACCUUGCAAUUUUCAACAAUGAGACUACAUUAUUUUUUUUCCUAGGUGAGAAUCCUAGAAGAUCUUAAUGAGACUCUAAAGUUUCCUAUCUUUCUUUUUUAUCUUUCUUUUCUAGUAAUUUUUUUUUUCUCUGCUACUAUAAUUUUAUUCUUAUUCUUCUUCUUAAACCUUUAAAGAUUGAAACCCCAACUGACAUUAUUUGAUUGUAGGCGUAUCAAAUAUAAGGGAGGCUAUUAAAGUUGCUCUCCAACAUUAUUAUAAAUGCAAUUUAAAGUGGAUAUACACUUCAUUUAGGAGAAGCUGAAUGAUGGUUGAGCAACUUCCAUAUAUUUUGACCAACAGGUGCCUAGUAGGAAUUUCAUAAUUUUUUAGGCAAGCCAGGACAUGUACAACAUCUAUGCCCAACCUUGAGGAAAACCUUUGGACCAGAAUGUCCAGUAAAACAGAAAUUCUAUAAGCUAGGGGCAAUUGGGUGCAAAACACAAAUGAAAUGAGAUAAAGAGUAGCCUUGAUUCUAGUAACUUUUUGUCCAUUCUCCUCUCCACUCUUUUAUUAUAUUUCCAAUUGCAUCCAUCUACCCAUUUCAACUAAUUUUACCAAUACAAACAUAUUUCCAGGCAUGGUUUCAAUUUAUUGAAAAUUGAUCAAACUAGUAUUGCAGAAAAAUUGUGCAGGUGAAUUCCAUUAACAAUCAGUAUGUUACCCUCCAUGUGCAAAGUCAUAGCUGUGCCAUUGAUUACCUUCCUAUGGUCCAGAAGACAGCUAGCUUAAACUUAAUCUAGCUGAAUCUCCAUAUUUACCCUUGAAUCUAUUCUGAAAGGAUAUAACAACAUUUUAUGCAGUCAUACCAAUUGCAAUUUGACUAUGUAGUCAUAUUUAUUGUGAAUUAAUUACGCAGCCAUACCUUGUGGAUCUCUGCAAGCAAGAGAAGAACAGUGGCAUUUUCAACUUGCAGAUUGAAUUUGUAACACAUGCAGAAGAGGGAGUGUGCAACAGCUGCUGCCUGCAGAGAACAUUAAGUGCCACAGCAUAAAGAAAAAUUAGGCAACAUAAACAAGGAUUUACUACCUUAUUACAAUUAAUCACUUCAGUGAUGCAUCAUAGUUAGAAACCCAUGCCAGACAACAAGAUUUAGUUUACCAAGCUAAACAAUAAUUUGCCAAUAAUGAAAACAAACUACCAUGAAAUUCUAGGGUUUGGUACAAUGUUUAAUGAACCCAAGAAAAUGAAUAAGAUGAUGAAAUAGAAAAGGAAAAGUGUUUCUCUAAUCCUCAAUUAUACUUUAAACAACACUAAGGGCAUGUCAUGACUAUGGAUAUGAAAAGGAGAUGGCAUUAAAAAAUGUAGUUGCAACAGCCAGUGAGCUAAUUCCAAAAACCUGAAUUGUUUGUGCAAAUCUUCAGACUUCUAAAUCACCCACCUCUAAUGUGCAAGUUGGAGAAGAAAAGGAGACCUUAUGCCAUACUUGCCCAUUUAAUCUUUAAAUCUCUGCAGUAAUGUGGGAUUCAACUUGACUCUCACUCAACCCUCCACCAAACCUACCUUUAUGUAGUUACUGUAUUCAGACUAACCAGGCUAAUACAAUAGCAAAGUCAGCUUUGUCUUUCUAACUCUUGGCCAAUGAAAUUACAACCUACUUUAUGUAGUUACAAUAUUCAUACCAACCAGUGUAAUGGGAUAACAAGACCAGCUUUGAUUUCACAUACCAGUCCAUGAAGCCAAAGUCCAACACAAAGUUAAGUUCAAAGAUCACAUAUGGUGUAUCAAGGAAUUAUAAUGUGUGAAUCAACACAGGACCUAGUGUUGAUACCCAAUUUUGUGCUCUCCACUUGUUGCAUAUGCUACAACACAGUAGAGUGGAUUUUCUCACUUAACCGCCUAUAAUGCACCACCACAUGGCCAUUGCCACAAUUUCAUAAAUCAAAUGACUCCAUCCAUAUGACCCCAUGCAGCUAGCAUUUCCAUCUCCAUGCUCUACAAAGUAACACCAAUUUAUUCACAUUGGGAUGAAAUUGAAACUUAGCAUGGCAUCCUACCUCUUGGAUAGAUGUCCAAGCAUCUCAAAUGGCCACACGAUGUACAUUCUCACAGUAUAUGGAUACCUGCUCAUGGAGGACAUCAAGGGAGUUCUCCCUAUCCCCCUUCAAGUAAAAAUGAUAUUCCAUUCCUUUGCUCAAUCUAACAGCACAAGAUUCAGAGUAAAGCCAUCAUACAAAGAAUCGAAGAGAGGAAAAUAUUACAAGCACUAAGCUUUGUAGGCAUCUGCUGCUAAGUAGCAGCCAAUGUUGCUAAAUCAGUGUUCUGAGUAGCCUCUACAUCUUUCUUAAAGACUUUGAUUCCCAGUAAAGUCACAUAAAAUACUGUGCAUCUUGAUGGCCAAAGCAAAGGAUCUUGACAUGGUGAUGCUAACAUUGUUUCUUUCCAACUCUUUUCCUUUUACACAGGUAAUAUUCACCCUACCUCUCCUUUUAUGAUCACAAAGGUUCCAUUCAAACCAAUAGUAAUCCAUUACUUCACAAGUUGAACAAGCAAAAUAGAAUAAUUGUAAUCACCUUUGACACUAAUCAGAGUGUAGGUAAACAUUAUUGCCCCUUUGAUAGAAUACAACGAGAUCACAUUAAAGAUGCCACCUUUUAAUUUAAGAAGUCGCUAGAUAGAAAGCUAUGUGGUAAAUUUAGCAGAUGGAAUAAACUAGCUAUAUGCUAAGAAGUUUUGUAAAAUGGAAAAUAUUGAACCUGGCCAAACUGAUUUGCUGCAAGCAAUGUACGAGCAUGGCGAAGGCUUGCUUCUGUCUUCAGUUCCAUAUCCACACCGGUUACAGAGGAUGCCAGAACUCCAAGUUCAUCGCAUACUUGUUGGGCUAGUUUCAGAUGUCCCCUGCAUGAUACUCAACAUAAUAUUAAACAGAGUUAAUGCGGUUUCAACAAAGUGGGGUCCAUAUACUGUGCUAUCUAAACAGCCAUGCAAAUUGAAUUUCAUAACCUUACAGGUGUAAAGCACGCUCAUGGAGCAGCUGCAGCUUUAGUAACAGGAUUCGUGACUUUGAGAUGGAACAAAACUUCUCCUCCACUAGCUUAAGAGCAGCAAAGGCCUCUGUGCAGAAAUGGGUGGGGUUGUUAUGAGGCAUAGGAAAGAUGAGCACUUGUGAGUAUGCAUGCAUGAGAGAGAGAGAGAGAGAGAGAGAGUUCUUACAUGUAUCAUAAUAUAUAUAUAUAUAUAUAUAUAUAUAUAAAGUCAACUUCCAAGAAAUAAUGACAUUUUGUAACUUCACAAGAAUAUUUGAGUGGAAAAAUAAAAAUAGAAAAAUCAAGCAAAAUAAGUUAGCCAGAGGACUAUUUGCAUAUAAAGGUAAAUGAGUGCAUGGAAGAUAACAAUAUUGAGUGCAAAGGACUUGAAACUGAACACCAUUUAACAGACAUCAAUGGUAGGAAUUCAUAUUUGAAUAAAACCUAAAAAUGAAAUCAGGCCAACAUCAUGUUGGAACACCUACCUUCAGGAACAUACAAACAGGUUAGUGAUUUAGUCUAAACAACCUUCAAUAAUGCUGGGCUAUGAGAAGAAUACAGCAUUGUCAAAAUCUUGUUUACGGCUGUAUAAAUUAAUAAAAGAAACAAGUAAACCAAAGUACACAAGGCAUAUACAAGGGGCACAUAAAAGAAAGGUCACAAAAGAGAAGCCGCAAAAAACACCCUUACUCUCAACAAGACCCCACCCAAUCUACAAAAUCAAACAAAGGCAUUGUGCCUUCUCUUAUGUACAUGUUAACCCAAGCUAAAGAUUACAAAGGAAUGAACAUUUUAUCUUCUGAUCAGUCUAUUCCUUGUUUUCAAAAGCUUUUGGAUUUCGUACCCGCAAAAUUAUCAAAGUAAUGCAAAAAGAAGCAACCCUCCACACCUUCAUCCUUUUCUUUCCUACAAAGGAGUUAUGCCAACUUAACAAAGUAUCUUUCACUAAAGAAGGAACUCGCAGAAACUACACUAAAUAAGGCAAUCCAAUAAUCAAAAGUAGUUUUAGUAAACUAGUCUUCAUCAAAAGUAGCAUUUUACAAAGAAAAAAGGUUCUCGUCCUCAUUAUAGUAAACUAGUCUUCAGAUGGAAAUAAAAGUUCAUCAAAACAACAAAGCCCAAUAAUCACUUUUAAUAACUUAAUGCAAUCAAAGUAUAAACAUUUAUGUUUUUUGGUGUAUCAACUAUAGAGUUGUAAAAAGAAGUGACACAAUAUCUAAUGAAACCUUUUAAACCACCUAUAAGCUUAGACUAAGUAGUAGCUGUCUACCAAGCAAUAGGGACCAGUGGGACGAUGAUUUCCAAGAUAACAAAAAAUAAAUGUCAAAAUGUGAUAGCUAGAUACACCAGAUAGAAGGAGGUUUAAAACAAGUAACUACAAUGAAUAUGGAGAGUUCUAUUGGGGCCAGUAUGACUCACCAUCCAUGAGCUUUCAAAGGGCUUGUUGGUGGUGUUGAAAAAGAUAGGAUUGGUUGAGAUAAUUAGCAAAAUAUUAGGAAAUUUAAAUGUACAAGAUAUUAGGAGAUUUAUUCUUUUGUAAUCUGUUAGACAACUGUAUAUUGUUGGGUUGUUAAGUUGUUUCCUAUUAUAGUGUUGAGAAAAUCCUUUAUAAAGAGGAAGUCGUGUAUACAGUUUUGAAUAUAGAAUAAAAAUACAAAAAAAUAUAUUCCUUUCCUAUUCUGUCUACAUGGUAUCAGAGCUGCCCUAAUUCACCCAAAAAAACCUUUGCAAUUUUUUUUCUUUCUAUGUAUAUCUUUUCCUAACCAGUAGCCAUGUCUGACGUUUCUUCUAAGUCAAACCCACUUAUUUCCUCUUCCAACCCAGCAACUAAACCUGCAACCCAAACCCAUAAUACUAAAUCCCAUCCUGUUCAGAUUACCACCAUUGGCCUCAAUGGUGACAAUUUUUUAAGAUGGUCUCAAUCAGUUCACAUGUAUCUUAAGGGGAGAGAGAAGAUCGGGUACCUGACUGGAGACAAGGUGGCACCGGCAUCAGAGGAUCCUCUGUACACAAUCUGGGAUGCAGAAAAUUCAAUGGUGAUGACAUGGCUCGUGAACUCCAUGAAUGAGGAGAUUGGCUCCGAUUAUAUGUGCUACUCCACAGCCAAAGAAUUGUGGGACAAUGUGAAUCAGAUGUACUCUGAUUUGGGUAAUCAAUCCCAAGUGUAUGAACUGACCCUUAAACUUGGUGAGAUUCGGCAAGGAGAAGAAUCUAUCACCAAGUACUUCAGUUCGUUGAAGCUUCUUUGGUAGGAUUUGAAUUUGUACAACGACUACAAAUGGAAGUCCACUGAAGAUGCUAAUAAUUACAAACAGACCGUGGAGGCUCAUAGGAUUUAUAAGUUUCUUAUUGGACUCAAUGUAGAGUUUGAUGAGGUUAGAGGACGGAUUAUACGGCAAUGGGGUACAAGCAAAGUCAGGGUGAUCACACUCUCUUUAUUAAACACUUGAAGUCAGGGGGAGUCACGGCUUUGCUAGUCUAUAUGGAUGACAUAAUUGUGACUGGGAAUGAUUUAAAGGAAAGAGAAGCUCUAAGAUGUCAAUUAGCAAAGGAAUUUGAGAUCAAAGACCCUGGCAAGCUUAAAUACUAGCUCGGAAUUGAAGUGGCUUACUCCAAGCAAGGAAUAUUUAUCUCCCAACACAAAUAUGUGUUGGAUUUGUUGAAAGAGACAAGGAAUAUUUAUCUCCCAACACAAAUAUGAGUUGGAUUUGUUGAAAGAGACAAGGACACUCGCUUGUAAACUUGUUGAAACGCCUAUUGAAUAGAAUCAUCAAACUGUAGAAGCAAGUGAAGAUGUGGUUGUGGACAAGGGGAUGUACCAAAGGCUCAUUGGAAGGCUCAUUUAUCUCUCCCAUACAAGGCCAAAUAUUGCUUACGCAGUGGGAGUCAUAAGUCAAUUCAUGCAUAACCCGAAGGAGACUCAUCUACAACUUGUUCAUAGGAUCCUUCAUUAUCUAAAAUCUUCUCCGAGAAAGGGUAUUCUCUUCAAAAAGGGAACCGAAUUAACCCUUGAAGACUACACAGAUGCAGACUAUGCAGGCUCAAUGGUAAAUACGAGGUCAACAUUGGGAUAUUGCACUUUCAUUGGUGGGAACCUGGUCACUUGGAGAAGCAAGAAGCAAACUGUGGUUGCAAGGUCUAGUACUGAGUCUGAAUUCAGAGCAAUGGCACAUGGUGUAUGUGAGUUGUUAUGGCUGAAGAUUAUUCUUGAUUAUUUCAAGGUUAGAUGGGACUGACCAAUGAGGCUUUAUUGUGACAACAAAUCAGCUAUUUGCAUCAUUCAUAAUCUAGCGCAACAUGAUCAAACAAAGCAUAUUGAGGUCGAUAGACACUUUAUCAAAUAAAAACUGGAUAGUGGUUUGGUCUGCACACCUUACAUGCCUACAGGGCGUCAACUAGUAGAUAUUUUAACGAAGGGGCUAGCAAGUACCGUAUUCCAACCAAUUGCAAGCAAGCUGGGAAUGGAAAAUAUCUAUUCACUAGCUUGAGGGCAAGGGUUAGAACGUCACACAAUUAUAGGAUUUUUUUGUUAAGGUAACUAUGUAAAUUUAGAAUCCCAUGUAUAGUCAACUGUAUUGAUUGAUAUCCCUGAUUUGUAGGGAUUUAUAUGGUAGUUUCUUUUUUCGUUUUGUAGCAGCAGCUGUAUACAUAUGAGAGUAGACCUGUACCUAGAUUUAAUUUUUGAGAAUAAAUCAUUCUUUUCCACAGUUUUCAGUCUGCUGAAACUUAAAUAACUUCACAUUCAAGGAGCCAUGUAGGAAGUUGACAUACAAUGGGAGAAAGCCCAUCAGGGAUACACUUCACAAUGCCAAAUGAAGAAACACAUACUGAGGAGCCUUAACAGAAUAUUGAAAAAUAACAACAAUUAGAAUGGUAGUCAAUAAGUAGCAGCGAACAAGCAGCUACUUUUACAGUACCUGGACAUAAUGUAGGCAAAAAAAUAAAAUAAAAUAUUGAUUCAAGAACAAUUCCAGCACUCAAGCAAAACCAUCUUCAGGCCCUCUUCAUAUGAAGAAUUUGUCAUUAUAUUCUGGAAAUCCUAAGUACCAGUCAUACUUUAAAGUCAGUUGAAUUUGUUAAUAAAUAUGGUUUUCUAAUCAUGUUUGAUUGCUUUAUGCCAAAAGAACUAAUUUGAUGAUUAGGAUUGUAAUGGUGCAAUUGAUGGGACAGAGGUGAAUUUAUUUAUACACAUGGUUUUCUCAAUAAUAUUUGAUUGUUUUAUGCCAAAAGAACUAAUUGGAUCGUUAGGAUUGUAAAGGUGUGAUGGGACACACAUUCCGGCCAUUCUUCCAAUAGAUAAGCAAAUAUCUUAUAUUGGAUGGAAAGAACAUUGCAGCCAAAACAUGCAGGCAACUUUCUCCUAAAAUAAAGGAGAUUUAGCACCAUAUAGGAAGAAAGGUACUGCCUUCCAGAUUUUCACUUUGUUAAUCAAGUGAGGGAACCCCGAGCUGUUUAAUCUGGCCCAUGUUAUCGAACAUGCUCCAAGUGCUCAAAACGCAAGAUGUUUGGUUUUAUGUCAAUUGCUUAAUUAUCCAUACUAAAAACAAGUGGACAUAAUAAUCGCAUGCAUGGUCAUGGACAACUUUAUUAGGCAACAUGCAAUUUCUGAUGACGAGUUUCAAAUGUACAAUGAUGAUGAAGCAUGUACCUGAUCAAGAAUUGAAUGUCAUAUAACACUAGUGGGUAGAUGUAACUGAAGACCACACUAAGAAGGGAGCUUUGCAUGAUUGCAUUGCUAGUCAAAUUAGGGUAGAUAUUGAUUUGUGCUCAAGUAUUAGAUGAAUUUCAGUAUCUCUCUAAAAGUUUGUAAUUUUAGCAAAUCUGAAUGCAUUAUGUUUAGAAUGUGUGAUUUUGAACCCUACUUAUUCAUAUCAUGUUGGUAAGUUAGGACACCCUAUGAUGCUGAUCAAUUUGAAUUCCUUGUAUCUGUUAUUCAUAAUUUUACAAAGUACUCGUUUCGUUGUAUUUUACAACAUUUAAUGAGCAAAUAGGAGUAUCGCCAUACAAACAGAAAAAAGAAAUUAAGAAAUAAAAUUCCAGAAGUGCUAUUGUCAAGUCAAAGAUUAAGUACUUUAGCAGCUAUAAUCACCAGAGACAUAAGUUCUCAAAAUUUAGUGACCACACACUAGCAAUCUCUUUACAAAAUGUUUUCUAUGAUUAGACCAUUCUGACAGGAUUUCAGUAGAAGUUAUGAAUGUGCCAAAUGGGCCCCUAAAACUCCAAGUAAUAAAGAAGUUCUUGGAACAAUCCAACACUUAGAAGAGAUGAAAAGCUAAUUAAGAAGCAUUCAAGAAUUUAAUCUAACCUCUGUGUCCUUUAAAUACUGCUAAAUGUUGGAUAAGCUUUGUAUAUGCUAAAGCAACAUCUGCUGAGCUGGAGGAGCCAAGGAAAGGAUUAAUCAUGUCAAAUAAGAUAGUGUGGAGGAAAAAUGGUAAAGCAAAUAUCAGAAUUCACACCAGGAUGCGUAAAUCUCAUGAUAUUUUAUAUCAUAAUUACCUUGAAGCAUUGCUAAAGCAAGUUGCAUAAACCAGCGCAUUGAUUCGAGCAAGAGGGGCACUGAAAACAAAAGGGAGAAAAGGUGAAAAGAAGCAUCAAUUAAACCAGGAAAUUCCUCAUAAGAAGUUCAAGGAUCCUGAUCAGAUGUAAAUGAACAUAGUAAAAAGCACCAAAGGAUACCAUGAAAUCCCAAAUACACCUGACCAAGAAGCAACAAGAAUGAAACCUUAAAGGCAUUUGAGGGGCUUAACGAUGUAAAUGCUGCAGUACUUAGUGACAAAGCAUUACAAAUUCAGUCCAUUUCUUCCAUAUGAUAAAAUUAACAUAAUACACUAACACAAUCUCAAUAGUUACUUAGAUUGAAACUCUUAACCAACAUAAACAGCAUUGUUGGACCCUGAUUGACCUAUAAAUGAUUUAGGCCUAGCCCAUUACAAAGCAAUGAAAAUCAUUACAACAAAAGCCCAAAUUCUAGAAUUAGAAAAAGAAAUGGCUGAAAGACCUUUCAAAGAACAAACUUAAAACACACACCACACACACACACACAAUAUGCAAGACUGUAAAAAUUAUAUAAGAUUCUUCCUCAAUGGUGACUUAGAAGAAGCGUAAAUGGAAAUUCCUUCAGGUCUUGAGACUAAGACAAACAUUAACAAAGUCGUAAACUUAAAAAAAUAAAUAAAAUAAAAAAUUCCCUAUAUGAUCUCAAGCAAUCUCCUCAAGCUUGGUUUGAUUGUUUUACCAAGACCAUAAAGAAGUUUGGUUAUUGCCAGUGUCAAUUUGAUCACACUCUAUUUGUACACAUAGUUGGGAGAAGAACUAUCAUUAUCAACGUUUAUGUGGAUGACAUAAUCCUAACCAGAGAUCAUGAGGAAGAAAUAGGCAAACUUAAGAGUUUUGUUGCCCGUGAAUUCGAAAUUAAAGACCUGGGGAAUCUCAAAUAUUUUCUUAGGAUGGAAAUUGUUAGAUCUAAAAUGGGUAUUGCAAUCUUCCAAUGGAAGUAUGUUCUAGACUUGCUAAAGAAGACCAGGAUGUUUGGUUGUAAACCUGCAAACACACCUAUAGACUACAGUACUAAACUAGAAAUUGUAAAAGGAAGUGCUUUAGUGUAUAAAGGAAGAUAUCAAAGACUCGUAGGGAAACUCAUCUAUCUUUCUCACAUAAGACUAGACAUUGCUUUUUCAAUCAACAUGGUUAGCCAAUUCAUGAACAAUCCAAUUGAGGAACAUAUGAAAGUUGUGUAUCGUAUUCUAAGAUAUCUCAAAAUGACUCCAAGAAGGCACUCUAUUUCAAAAGAACGCAGAAUAGAAACAUUGAAAUUUUUUCAAUUACAAAUUAGGUUGGCUCCAUAAUUGACCGAAGAUCAAAGGAUAUCGCACCUAUGUAUGGGGGAAUCUAGUUACUUGACGAAGCAAGAAACAAUCUGUUAUAGCUCAGAGUAGUGCAAAAGUAGAAUUUAGAGCUAUGACACAUGGAAUCUGUGAAGGAAUGUAGUUAAAGAAACUCCUAAACAAGCUAAAAAUUAACAGAAGAUUCUAUGAAGAUGUUCUGUGACAACCAAGAUGUCAUAAGUAUCGCUAAGAACUCAGUUCAUCGUGAUCAGGCAAAGCCUGUGGAAACAUACCGUCAUUUUAUCAAGAUGAAAAUAUAGAAAAUAAUUUCAUUGGUUUACACUCCAACAACUCUCCAAACAACAAACAUCCUUGCCAAGACACUUUCUAGAACCGACUUUGAAGACUUGAGAUCCAAGUUGAGAAUAAUCAACUUUGUAACCUAGCUUGUGGGGGAGUGUGGAAAUCCUGAUGAAAUCCAAAAUGUACAACUGUGUGCACAAUUGUGUUACAAAUACAGUUGUGUUAUAGUUGUAUCACAACUAUGUCAUAGCUAUGAUACAAUUAUAUUUGAACUAACAUAGUUGUAUUUCCUAUUUGGAUUUUAUUUCCUAAUUUUAUGAGAGACUUUCUCUCCUAAAAUCAAGGAUUAGAUUUCUUUUAUAGGGCAGAUGGCCUCAACCAUUCAUGUAUAAAAUCGAUACAAUAAUCAGUUUGAAAAUAAGAGAAAGGAGAGAUACAUAAAAAACAAUACUCUCUCCUCACUUACAACCCAUCUAAUCUAUAAAAUCAAAAAAAGACAACGAAUUAGAUCCUAUUUUAACCCAUAUAGAGCUUUCUUUAAUUUACACACUUUUUUAGUGGCUAGAUCACUUCCAAAUCCAAUAGGGACUUCCAUAUAAAUCUCUUCUUGCAAAUCUCCAUUUCGAAAUGCAUUUUAAACAUUGAACUGUUGUAGAUCCAAGUUAUAAUUUGUUACCAAUGAUAACAAAACUCUGAUUAUGUUCUUCUUGGAAACCGAGGAAAUGUUUCUACAUAAUUCACGUCAUAUGUCUAAGUAUAUCCUUUAGCCACCGAUCUCACCUUGUACCUCUCUAAUGUCUCAUCUACUCUAUACUUAACAGAAUAGACCCACUUACAUCCCAUUGUUUUUUUUUCCUACAGACAAAUCUACCAAGUCUCAAGUUUUAUUUUUCUCUAAGGUCUCCAUUUCUGCAUUCAUAGCUUGUCUCCAAUUUUCAUUAGAUAAAGCCUCGAAUAGAGUGGUAGGAAUAUGAAUAUUGUUCAAACUUAUAAGAAAAUACUUAUCAGAUGAAAACAAUGUUUAAAUUGACACAACAUGGGAAAGUGGAUACAAAGGACAUUUAGUGCAUUCCCUCGUUCCCUUCCUGAUGGCAAUAAGGAGGUUUUGGUCUAUGGGUUUUUUAUAUUGAAGUUCUGAUUCAGUUUGUAAGGGAAGAUGAGAGACCGUUACCUCAUUUCCAAAAGUCGGUUUAGAUUCUUGGACUUAUAUAAGUCAAGGAACUACAACUUUCUUCCUUGAAUACACUUUGCCAAUCAUUCGAUUCUCAAGAGCAGGCUCAAUGGAUAACUCGGGUUCAAAGAAGGGUAUAAAUACUGGAUCAAACACUUUAGGAGGGUCAAUACAAUCAAUGACAAGUAUAGAUACUAGAUCUAACACUUUAGGUGGGUCAAUAAGAAGAGGAUCAAUGAAAUAAAAAUCUUGAUCCUUAUCUUCCUCAAUGGAAUUCUCCCCCUGAAGAUAAGGAGUGAGAAAAUAAGACCCACCUUCGUUGAAAGUAACAUCAGCUGAGACAAAAAUAUUUUAAAUGGUGGAUGAUAACACCUAUAUCCCUUUUGAGUUAAUGAAUAUCCCACAAAAAUAUAUUUGAUUGCUCUUGGGUCCAAUUUUCCCCUAUUUGAACUGUGAACAUGCACAAAGGAGACACACCCAAAUAUUUUAGAAGUGAGAUGGUUUGUAGUUCUCAUAUUAGGAUAAAAUGACGAGUAUUUCCAUGGGACUUUUGAAACCUAAGACAUUGGAAGGUAAUUAGCUUAUGAAAUGUGUAGUGGUUAAGACAGUUUCCCCCUAAUAAGAUUUAGACACAUGUUUUUGGAAAAAAAAUACUUGUAUUGCAUCAAGGAGGUGACCAUUUUUUCUCUCAGCAACUCCAUUUUGUUGUGCGGUGUUUACACAUGAUAAUUCAUAAAUUAUACCUUCAUGAUGAAAGUAUGGAGUUAGGACGUGAUUGAAAUAAUCUCUGGCGUUGUCCAAUCGAAACCUCUUGAUAGUGACACCAAACUGAUUUUUCAUCCUGUUAUGGAAAUUUGGGAGAACAAAACACACAUCAAAUUUGUAUUUAAGUAAAAAGAUCCAAGAGACCCCAAUAUAAUCAUCAAUGAAGGACACAAACCAGCAAACCCCAAAUAUAUUUAGGAUAGCAAAAGGACCCCAAAUGUCACUAUGAACUAAAUGGAAAGGCUCUGAACUCCUUUAAUUACUAAUUGAAAAGGUUGAAUGCUUAUGUUUGGCUAGUUCACAUACCUCACAAUGAAAGCUCUCAACAUCUAAUUUCCUAAACAGAGAAGGAAACAAGAUCUUAUGAAUUCUAAACGAUGGAUGUCCAAGCCUAUGAUGAUGAAGCCAAAUUUAAAAAAAAAAAAAUGGUGGUGCUCAGAAAGAAGAGGUACGGAUGAUUUGCUUGGUGUCUCAAGGUAGUAUAACCCAUUUUGUUCCUUAACAAGUCCAAUCAUCUUCCCCAAAUAUUGGUCUUGAAAUACACAGUAAGUAGGGUAAAAAAUCACAUUGCAACCUAAAUCUUAUGUAAGUUUUUGUAUAGAGACUAGAUUAGUAGAUAACUUUUUUAUGAUAGGUAAAGAAAAUUCAUUAAGAGUCAAAAGGCUAGAGAAAGGGUAUACACGGAGUAUACCAAGAUACAAAGAAGCAAAAAACAAAAGGAUAAACAAGUCUGACCCUUACUUGGUGGCUAGCCAGUCUACAAAAUCUAUCAAAUAGAGAGUGUGUUCCUCUAUAUACACCCUAGCCCAAUUCACAAAAGUGUACAAAAAAAUGGAUUUAAUAUCUUGGUCGUUCCUCUCAAUAUCAUCUAAGGCCCUUCUAUUCCUUUCUUUCCAAAUGGUCCAAAUCAAGCAGAUGGGGGCAACUCUCCAAGCUUUCUCCAUUUUCUUGCCCACAAAAGAUCCAUGUCAUCCUAAGAUGUUCCUUUUCACAGAGGAGUGCAUCACCCAUUGCACCCCAAAAAGGGAGAAGAUUAGAAGCCAUAACAUUCUAGCCUUCUCACAAAACAAGAGAAGGUGAUCUGUGGUUUUCUCCUCAUAUUUGCACAAAAAGCACCUGUUUGGGAUGCUCCAACCAAAUCUCUUCAGGUGGCCAAUGGUGAGCAGCUUGCACCAGGCCGCCUCCCAACCAAAGAAGCUAGCCCUAAUUGGAACCCAAAGCGUCCAAAUAGUUCUAACCAGGAAGGGGGGCUUGAUGCCCCUUGAGAAUAAGCUAUAGAAAGACUUGACAGAAAAGGUCCCAUUCUUGUUCUCUUUCCAUCGGAGCAAGUCAUCCACACCUCUUCUAAUGGUCAAAGGAUGAAGCUUGCUUAAUAAGCUUUCUACUUCUCCCACCUCCCAAUCAUUAAGGUGUCUAUUAAAACGAAGCCCCCAGCUACCCCUAACUUCGUUUUCCUCCCAAGCCUCAGCAACCCAGCCUUCUUUAUUAACAGAGAGAUUAAACAAGAAGGGGAAAGCUUCUUCCAGAGAUUGGUUUUCACACCACAAAUCCUUCCAAAACUUCACUCUAGUGCUAUCCCCUACGAUGAAGCGGGAGUGAGAUCGAAAGUUCUCCUAACCAUUUCUGAUGGCCUUCCAAACCCCCACCCCAUAACGGUCUCUUACUCCUUUGGAGCACCAUCCCCCCUCUUGAAGGUCAUACUUACUAGAGAUAAUUUGCUUCCAUAGGGGCUCAUUCUCAUUAGCAAAUCUCCACAACCACUUCCCAAAAAGGGCCUUGUUAAAAGUAGCUAGACUGCGAAUGCCCAAGCCCCCAUCCUUUUUAGCGGCACAAAUAACCUUCCAACUCACCAAGUGAGGUUUAUUCUCUAAGGCUCCACCGCCCCAUAAGAAAUCCCUUUGUAUCUUUUCAAGCCCUGCACACACCCUCUUAGGAAUCACAAAGAGAGAAAGAAAGUAGGUUGAGAGGCUAGAGAAGGUGCUUUUUAGCAAGGUAAGACGGUCACCUUUGGAGAGGUAUUGUCUUUUCUAGAGAGACAACCUUUUCCUGAAUCUUUCUUCCGCUUCAUCCCACACCCUAAUAGAUUUGUAGGGGACUCCAAGGGGAAGACCCAAGUAGAAGGUAGGUAAACUCCCUAUCUUACAUCCCAAAACCAAGGCGAGAGUCUCCAUAGGAAUGUUAUCCCCCACUGAGAUGGCCUCAGUUUUGCUCAGAUUGACUUUUAAACCUGAAAUCGCCUCAAACCACAUGAAGGUCCAGCUAAGAUAUUGCAACUGAUUUGCAUCGGCGUCACAGAAAAUCAAAGUGUCAUCGGCAAACAAGAGAUGGGACACAAAUAGCCCCUCUCUUCCUCUUCCUCCCACUCUAAAACCAGAAAUAAAGCCCCCAUUUCUUGCACAAGAUAGCAACCAGAUAAGAGCUUCCAUGGCAAACAACAAAAGAUAAGGGGAAAGAGGGUCGCCUUGUCUCAAUCCCUUAGAGCUACGAAAGAAGCCCGAAGGGCUCCCAUUGAUGAAGAUCGAGAAGGUAACCAUAGAGCAGCACCAUUUCAUCCAAUUAAUCCAUUUAUGCCCAAAUCCCAUCUUAGACAUCACAUCCAUGAGAAAGUCCCAAUUGACAUGGUCAAAAGCCUUCUCAAUGUCCAUCUUAAGAAGGAGGCCUAGGGUGUUGUCUUUUAAUCUAGAAUCAAGGGCUUCGUUAGCAAUAAGAACAACAUCCAGAAUCUGUCUCCCAUGGACGAAAGCUUGCUAAGAAUCAGAAAUCACCUCUCCCAUCACUGAUUUCAGCCUAUUGGCAAGGACUUUGGCAAGCAAUUUGUACACACUCCCUACCAGGCUGAUUGGACUAAAAUCUCUUAGGUCUUCGGUCCCCUCCUUCUUGGGAAUGAGCAAGAGGAACGUGGAGUUUAAGCUUCUUUGGAAGGUCCCAUGGAUGUAAAACUCCCCAAAGAAACCCAAAAUCUUUGGUUUAACAACGUCCCAACAAAACAACCAGAAGGCCAUUGUGAAGCCGUCCGGGCCUAGGGCUUUGUCACCACAGUAGCUGCUUAGGGCUGGAAAGAUUUCUUCCUCAGGAAACAUAACUUCUAGGCUGUUGGCCAAGCCUUAUCCCAGCUCCUUAAAGUUAAGGCCAUUGAUACUAGGCCUCUAAUCCCCAGAAUCUGAGAUGAGGGACUGGUAGGCUCUACAAACACCUUCUUUUAUAUCUUCCAAGGAAGAGAGAUUCACCCCAUUCACUCUAAUUUUAGACACAAAGUUCCUCCUUGCCCUAGCAUUGGCCAUUUUGUGGAAAUAUUUGGUAUUUUUAUCGCCUUCUCUUAACCAGAUUUCUCUUGACUUUUAUCUCCAAGAAGUUUCUUCCAAAAUAGUCCAUUUCUUAUAGUCCUCAACAGCCAGAUUUUUAACCUCCACAUCUCCAGGAAUAAGAGAGUUUUCAUUCUCCUUGGCCUCCCAACGUUGCAGGCGGGAGAAGGCCUCUGCUCUAUUGAAUGAGACAUUGCCUACCACCUCCUUGUUCCAGUUCUUCAGGUCCUUCUUAAGCGCUUUGAGUUUCUCAGCGAUGCAGUAGCUAUUGUAGCCUUCGACAGAAUAACCAUUCCACCAGCUUCUUACUAGGUCUUUGAAACCAUCUAUUUUCAGCCACAUAUUAUAAAAACGGAAGGGGCUUUUGCCUGAAGAGAAUCCACCAACUUCUAGGACUAUGGGGUUGUGAUCAGAGACCAAACGAGGGAGAGCAAAUUGUGUGAUGGCUAAAAAUUUGGUUCUCCCAUUGGUCCGAAAUCAAGAAACGGUCCAAUCUAGAGGCAGCUUGAGAGUUCAAACCCCCUAUCCAAGUGAAAGGACCUCCAACCAGUGGAAAAUCCCUCAGCCCCAGCUCCUCAAUCACCUCUGAAAAUCUCUUCAUUUCAGUUGUGAGUCUAGUGGCAUUCCUUCUUUCCUCUUGGAAUCUUACAGCGUUAAAGUCCCCUCCUAUGCACUAAGGGUCUUCCUAGAGGCCACGGAUGGCUCCAAGCUCCUCCUAAAAAUCUUCCUUUUCGCUACCCAUCACUGGCCCGUACACUCCAGAGAAAAUCCAAGAGAAGCCAUCAGCACAGUUUCUAAAACGAACAAAGAUGGAGUACCCCCGGUUUUCUACCUCCAAAUUCUCCAAGACUCUGUUAUUCCAAAAGAGAGCAAAGGUAUUUCUUUCACCUUUGUCUUUAAAAGGCAAACCAAAUCUGGUUUUUGAUUCCUCACCAUUCCCUUGAUCAGUUUUCUUUUCUCACAAUCGUUAAACCCUCGAACAUUCCAACAGAGAAUUUUAAUUCUCAUUAAUCAACUAGAAUCAAAUCCCAGGAGCUCUGACCGGAUUUUUUAGUUAUCCCUGAUGUCCCCCCCAUAACUAACAAAGCAUUCCAAUCUUUUUAACUCUCUUUCGAAGCAGGUGGUGCAAGAUUUUUUCUUCUUCUUUCUCUUGCAUAGGGAGUUACUUCUAGUCCUUAGCUUCAAUUUCUUAAGCAUGGCCAGAAUUUUGACUUCAUUCCCUUCGACAGGCAUUCCCAAGACUUUACUAAAGUGAAAUAGUUUGGAGAGCUCCUCUUCUGACCAUCCUUCUUCGCACGGGGGAACAGUCGACAGGUCUCUCUACUUCUCCACAUCUUUUUCCAUAUCAGGACUCGGGGCUUCAUUCACAACCACUGUCAACCCAUCUCUGAGCAUCAUGGCCAGAGGGUUCGGCGUCGCUUCGGCCUCCCUUGGAGUCGAUUCCAACAAACCAGAGCAAGAUCCCCUUUCCCUCUCAAACCUUGUAUCCCAUAAUGGAGUAGAAGAAGAGGAUGACUCCCUCUCGAGGAGAUCGGAGGUUGAGAGAGCAUACCUUGUGAUUUGCGAGCUUCGACGGGAGGGGGAAAGCUCAUUCAUAGGCGGCGACGCUUCCAAUUGGGGCAACGCUUCCAUUUGGUGGGUCUUGCGAGCUUCGACGAGGAGGAAAAGCUCAUUCGCAGGCGACGACGCUUCUAACUGAGGGGUCCCUGCGAUGGCAGAAGGCGGAGCGGGGGUUCCUCUCCUCCGGCAUGGCGAGCAAUUAAGGCUUCCUUGCCUUAAGUCGAUGGAAGGGGCUGGACCGAAGGGCUUAAGUGGAAUUCCCAUAGUGGCUGAGAUUUGGGCCUUCCCUAGCCCAAGCCCAAAGGAGUUACCACAGUCCAGGCCCGAAUGGGCCAAGACAUCCAGACGCUGGUCCGUCUCCACAUCGCAAGCAUGGGAAAGGGGAGCAGCUGCACCGAUCUUGUCCGAGGCAGAGGCACCACUCCCUAAGACCGGCGAAGACAAUUUUUCAGGCUACGGAAAGACUGAGGAAGAAGGUCAGGAGUCCACGCUCCCCUUAGUGCGUGAAGGGGCCACCUCGUCUUCCCCAAGCUUCCAAGUACCAAACUAGUGGGAGGGGAGCCCAGUGGAAAAGCAGGGCUCUUCUUCCCACCAAAGUUGUAGAGCAAAACAAGAGGGUCCAGCAACCACCUGCAGCGAACUUGGGUGCUGCCAACAUCUGGUUUUGACGAGGACUCUAGCCCACUUGAGGUUCCGACGUUCGGCUGUGUUUUCGUCCAUAGCCACGAACCUCCCACAAGAGUCUCAAAACAUCUUGAAGAGACUUCUUCCCCAGAGAUGCAAAGGGAGACCUAAAAUUCUGACCCACACAAGGCACGCACCCCCUUUGUCUCCCUCUAGGCAUCCCACAGAUGGCUUCCAUUUUUCUAGGCAGAAGCUUCUUCCUCUGAAGCGUCUCGUCCCUGAAUUAUACACCCUCUCUGCUUCGUCCGCAAAUUCAAACUCCAGAAGCAUAAGAUUUUCUCUCACAUUUGACAACCAUAGGUUCCCUUCCAAGAACCAGGAGUUUUUCGCCCACGAUCUGAAGGAAACGAGGUUAGGAAGGCGAUCAGAGUCUCCCUCCCACAAGCUUAUAAGACACCUACCCAGCAGCUCCUCAUUUCUAUUGAGAGUUUCUUCCUCAAUUUCUAGCCAGACGGCAUCGUGAGGCGCAAGGCAAUCCCGAAGAAAAGAAGUGUCUCUGUUUACACUACUACUAGGCGAAGCUUGAGGAGGUUUGUGGUUUUCCAACAUGGCUCUUUUCCACUGAAGGGGAGAGACUCCCAAACUUCUUAGCUUGCUAACGAGAAUUUUCCAGCCUCCAACAAGCCCUCUCCCUUCAAGAAAAGCCAAAGAGAAUCUUUUGUUCUCCGCAUCUCUUACAAUGCAAAACAAGAAUCUCCUUGCUCUAUUACUACGGAGUUCCAGACUGUAGUCUCUAUCUCCUUCCGACCAAAACUUCCUGAAAGGAGUUCUUUCCUUUAGCCCACAACACGACUCAACCCCUUCUAGCAGCAGAGACAAACCUUUCCCUCCAAAUCUGACCCAUGAAGAAAACUUAGGGCCUCUUUCACAGAUCUUCCCACGCACUUUUCCUUUGUGAUCUUCUAUGCUAAUCUCAAACGUCUUCAACUCAACACCAAACCAACACCUACCUCCAGAGGAAGUUACCGGCAUGAUGAUGGCCCAAGUUUCCUCAGCACUGAUUAGCAAAUUAUACAAGAUUACUCAAGGCAGGUUGAUUAACUUGCUUGGAUGUUUCAAAGGAGUCCAAUACAAGCCUCACAACAGCUCAAAGGAAGAGGCCUUCAAAUCUUGGACUCAGAGAUCGACGAAAAGCGGCGUCUGGAGAAAGAAUGAUCGAUGCUUACUUACAAGUACAAGAGAUUCUACUCUACAUUAGUAGAUAACUUUAGAACAUGAAACACAUUUCCAAGUGCGAGUGUAGGACUAAUAUGGAUAUCUCCUACACUUACAACAAUAGCUAAUGAACCAUCAGUUAUGACUAUUUUCAUACCGCUUGGACAAAGGUUAUAGCUAUUAAAUUGGUAUGAUGAAUGAGUCAUAUGAUCUAUGGCAUCUGAAUCUAUAACCCAUGAGUUGGAAAAGGUUUCAUCCAAGACUUUUAGUGGUUGCCGUUCGCCUGGGCUUCCCGAUCUAUUGCUUGUGGGGAAGUAUUCAGAGUUUGUACAAGGGCUUUCCUUUUAGGUCAUCACAAGGGUGAAACGACUACGAUGCUAGGGCAAGACGUCUAACGAGGUUGAGUGCAACGACGCAAUCUCUUAAUAAGGCUUAAAAAACAGUGUGAGAGUUCUCACCGGUGCCAAUGUAGGAUAACAAAUGUCGCAACACUGGCGUCGGAGGUCCAACACUCUCGGCGAUCAUGGAAGUACGUCAAAGGUCCAACACUCUUGAUUUCCAACGAUAUCUACAAUGCAAGGAAUGCUUGUAGUAGUCAGUUGCUCUUCAUGAUGUACGCUUGCACCAACGGUGAGAGCAAAAGAUGGAGAAACCUUAGCUUAUAGCAAUGGCGAGAAAGAGAUUCAAUGUGAGGCGAAGACAUCACGUGCAAGGAUCGUUGUCACUGGCAAAGACAACGAUGAUGGCGUGAUUCAGACAGAAGGAAAAUUUUUAUAGUCAACUAUGAUUUCCAACUCAACAAUGAAGGCUAAAAAAAAAAAAAAAUUCUUCUCUUCCUAGAUUUAUGAGCCUAAGGCUUUGUUACCAUGUAGAAUGAAGAACUCAAAGGCAAAAGAAUAAAUUUAUUCUUUAAUCCUAAUCUAUACAUACCCACAUAUUUAUACAAAUAUUCCUAGCACAAAAAAUAUAAACUUUCCUAGCCUAAUUCUAUCAAAUCCCCUAGAUUACAGGAUUGUCCUAAUUCUCUCCUUAAUUACAAAACUAUAGGAUUAUAAUCUUUCCUAAUUACAUUCUUCCACAAAGACAAUUCUAGGAAAGCCACAACCAAGAGAUCCUCCCUACACCACCUAUCCUUCCAAAACCUCGCCCUCCUAUCAUUUCCUACCUUAAAACCUACCUUGUUAUUGAAUUCCUUCCACCCACUUCAAAUUGUCUUCCAAAGCUCCAUGCUUCCCUACAAUCACCUGUUUUCAAAGAGGAUCAUUAUUAGAAGCAAAUCUCCAACACCAGUUCCCAAAAAGGGAUUUAUUCAAAGAAGACAACUUUCUAACACCCAAACCCCCUUCCUUUUUAUCCAAGCCAACUAUUGACCAGUUCACUAGCUAAGGCCUUCUUUUGAACUCUCCUCCCCCUCAAAGGAAGUCCCUUUGAAGUUUCUCCAAUCUAAGACUCACAUUAUGUGGGAUUACAAAUAAUUUUUCCCAUUGCAAGUAAUUUUUACCAUUUAGUGGAUAUGUUGCCUGAAUAUUCUUCAACUCUUCUAUUGAUGAUGAGUUUGUGUUUUCUAUCACCAUUACUUUGGGAUUGGAUUUUUCAACGAUUUCUAACAUUAUAACUUUUGGUUUCAGAUGGAUAUCAAGUAAAAAAACAAAAGGUAUAAAUUAGGCUUUAAAUAGAAACAUUGAAGUGAAGGGACAACAAUAAAAGGGUAAAAGAAAAAGUCAAGUAGGAUCAGCAUAAAAGGCCAAGAAAGAAGCUUGAAGGACGAAGUCAUAAAGCCAGAGGAAAAAAAAAGGGUUCCCAAUGAGCCUAGUGCUCUAAUACCAUGUGAAGAAAUCAGAAUAUUUCAUCUCUCCAAAGUGUUACAACCCCAGGCGAUAUAUAGUACAUUUAGUAGUUUACAAGUGUGCGACUCUAAGCUAGAAAAUGGGAGCAGAUUCUAUCCUAUCUAUAAUAUUAAAUCCCUAUAAUUCAAGGCCUAUUUAUAUCCUAAUUUGAGUCCCUAAAAAUUAGGGAUUACUUCGCCACUGAAAUAGCUUGAUCUAGGUUAGCAAUAUUUACAAUUACAUGCAAUGCCCAAUUAUGUGAAAUCAGGUUUUUCACAGAAUCUAAUUUGACAAUUAUUUUUUCCCGAAGUUCUGUUAAGAGCUCUUCUAGGAGGGAGACAUGCACUUUCCUAAAGGUGGUGUAUAAUUAAGUUUUUUUUUUUUUUUUUUUGAUAAAUAAGGUGGUGUAUAAUUAAGUUGGAAAUGAAUGGCAUGAUCUAUGAGAAUAUGAAGAGGGAGGUGACUAAAAUGUGACAGAAUGCCUACUUUCUCACAUCUCUCUACAUGUUAAUUACCACAGAGUUCAUUGGAGUUACUUUUAUCAUCAUUUUGCAAUAUUAGAGUGCAAUUUAUCUCUCAGUUUUCUGAAGUAUAUGUCACUGGUUGUUCCUUCAGCAAUUUGGGACAAGUAAGCAUUAGCAAACUCACAUGGUAUCAUAUGGGUGUGAUUAUCUGAUCUUUUCAAAAGAAAGCAGGUUUUGAGCAAGCAAUUGAAAUGAAACCGCUUUCCUUACUUGAGGGUCUCAGCAUCGCAAGAGAUUUCAGUGUCACCAAUUUACUGGCUAGGGGAGAUUCAUAGACAGGUGGUCUUUGAGAUUCAGCCAUUUGCUGCAGAGGAUUGUGGAUCUUGGUGGGGAAUUUGCAUGCUCCUUCCCAUGAAAGCUUAAAUUGGCAAAUCAGGAAGCCUUUAGGUUGGCCGAGAGAGGAGCCAGUUCUGUAGAUGAUUCUAUUGGGGAUCUUAUGCCCACUUGUGUUUUGGUAUUCUACUUCCCUAGCAGGAUAACCCAAAGGCUUUCUAUUGCCAGGAUUUGUGUAUUGUACUUGAGUUAUGGUAUUUCCUACUUCCAGGACUGGUGUGUUCUACUUGAUUUUUGGCAUUUCCUACUGCUAGGACUUAUCUGCUCUACUACAGUUUUGGUAUUUUCCACAGCCAGGUAUAUAUAUUCCUUCUAGCAAGGAUUUCUCACCCUAUGUUAUUUUGUAAAAGUUCUUCCUUUUACCCAUACAAUGUAAGUACAGGUGCUUAUCAAAACAUGUCAAAGACUACAAAAAGUUAAAUUAACCUUAAAGCAAUGAGUAAAACUAAAAAAAACAUAAUCAAAGAUCACCUUCCAUAUAUCUCCCAUGCAGUGGCCCGGAGAAGGUAUGAAGAACCCAAUAAUUGCAAUACAGAUCCAGGAAUUGAAUUUGGCUGUGCACAGAAAUGGAAAGCAUUGGAAUUGGCUCCAGAUGCAUUCUCUAGAGACAAAACUAAUGAGCCCAUUGGUUUUUGUAAAUUCUUAAGCCAUGCUGUACUGAAGACACCAUCAGUUAUCAUUAUAGAACUUUCAGUGCUGAAUUCACUAAUCAAAUGAGAGCUCAACCGCAGUUCCUAUAACAAUAUAACAAAAAGCACUGAUAGUUAAACAUAAAAUUUAUGAGGAUGCUAUGUCAAACAAUAAGGAUAGUAAAAGCUCUUCACAAUAGAUUUCACAUUACCUUGCAAACAUUAACUGGGCAUGUCUUAAGCUUCAUGGAAGCUUUAGGACCAAAUGAUAGCAACGGUCUUUGCACAUGCUGCACAAGGUUAUACAAUAAAUUAAUUUUUCUUGAUGAUAAUUUCAACCUUUUCCAAGGAAAAAUUGUGACAUUCUCACAAUGUUACAAACAAAAGACAAAAGAAACAGAACUUCGGUAUUGUGUUUUCGUAUUAGAUUUUUUUUUUCUUCUUUUUUUUGGAUAGGCAAUGAACUAAUAUGUAUUAAAAGGCACAAAACAAAAGGGGACGCAAUACUAGUACACAGGAGGUAUACAAGGCACACCAAAUCAAAGAAAGAGAAAAACAAAGACACAACCUACUAAUAUUUCCAUAUCAGAAUUGAUAAUAUUAAUGCUGCAUUAAUGGCUAAGCUGCAGCAAUAGUUCAUAUCAUUAGAAAUAGACCUAUUUUCCACAAGACCAGAAUCAUAUGCCACAUAACAGAAUGACUGCAGUCACCAGGAAAAGAAAUAAUAAUAGGGGUUCAUAAAAAGAACCAAAAGUUUACAGUAAUUCAUAUUCUUACUGUUAAACCAAAUUUAGCCAUUGCAAGACGAUUUGAAGCCACUAAUCGUUUUAACUUUAAACCAUCUGCUCUCUUCAAAGACCUUCUCAGAAGCACAAACAACUGUUGCUGUAUGGACAAUGAAGUUCCUAUACUGGUCACAGGUCCAUAUGAUGAUCCAAGUAUCUCGGUUGUGCUUGAGAUGCCAAUUGCAGACAGUAGAUUGCAGAUAGCUGCUAAAGUGUAGGCAAGACAAGUAUCAUUACUUUGCUGCACAAAGAAAAUACCUAUAAGGCCUUACUUCAAAAUCAGAAAAAAUAAUGAAUAAACACCAAUCAAAAGGUUAAAAUAUAUUAACUUCUUAACAACACAGAAAAAAACAAGAGGCUUCCUUAAACAAGUCAAUGGGAUAACAACAUGUAUGGUUCAAGAUAAACGUUUCUUUUUUUUUUUCCUUCUGAACAGAAAAACCAUCUUCGUUUAUCAUAAAAAGAUAAAUAUAAAAAGGACAAGCAAUCCUUUAAGGAUGUACAAAAAAGGUUAUAAAGUAACCAAGUGUCAAGCUCCACAAGGGGUAAGAAAUACAAAGAAGAGAAAUAUAGCACACUCAAGGGAGAAGAAAGUCUCCAACAAAGGAGGUCAAAUGCUCAGCUCCUGGUUUGGCUAACUGACCUGCAACUUGGUUGCCUGAACGGGGAACCCAAGAGAGGGGGCAACCCAGCUAGUUGACAACAUAUAUAAAAUUUACACAAACAACCAAGUUGUAAUGUUUGAGAUGGGACAUAGGGGUUUGAUUACUAAGGACAAUACACUUCAUAUUCUUCCUUUUUUUUUUUUUUUUUUGUUUGAGAAGAGAACUGCUCCUCUUUAAUAUUAAAGAAAUGACUGGGGAGAAAGACAUCCCUCCUUGAGAAGCUAGAACAUAACAGGUGAAAAACAAAAUUACAUCCAACCUCAAAACAAAACAAAAGGUCACGAAGGGUAAAACUCAAGCUUGAACCAGCCCAUCUGUUGGUCAAACCAUCCACCUUUACAUUGCCCCAACUAUGAAUCAUUUGGAAAUUCACAUGCAUGGAGAUGGCCCAUCUUCAAACACAAGCAUACCUCCAACACCACCUCAUGCUUUUGCACCAAUAGAAGAUGGAACAAAAAUAAGGUAACCAGAAGAUCACUAGAAUGAACAACCUGAUUUUUGCCAGGGAAUAAGUGACUGGAAUGGCUUCGACACAUUAAAAUAUGUUAGAUAAUCACAGGCAUUAUUGUCGAAAACAACUAGUGAAAGUUAAUCCUAGACCUUCAUUAAGGCCUCAAAGAGCCUACUCCUUAGGAAGUUGGCAUUGGAUGAUGACAGGAGAUUCAGCAGUAGCCACUGUUUUUACAGGCCAAAGAGAUGUCUGAAGGUACAUCCAUUGGCUGAAGAGGAUUCCUACAUUUGCACUUGCAGAACUUUCAAUGACUCAACAGCGAGGCUGAAUCGUCAUAUUACUUGAAGUACAUUAUAUCAUCAAGUUGGUCCUCAUAUUAGUUUAGCUAAAACUCCACAAUUUCAACAGAUAAUAAGCAAAAAAUGGACCAAUUUGUUUCCCAUUCUAGAGAAAAUUUAUCUUACAUUACUAGUAAUUCAGACAUUGCACCCAAUUUUCAGGUUUUGAAGAAACAAAGAAGUCCAAUCAUCAAUCUUCUGCUUAAAAUGAAUUUACAUGCAUAUGAUCUAUCAGUUUGGCAAAAGAGUAUCUAUAUGCAACUUAUAACAGUUUGAAAAGAUUACCUGUUGAGAAACACGAACUGCUUCAGUUAAAACCUGAAAAUUGUCGAGCAGAAUAAGUAUCAAAAAAUAUGCAAAAUGAGAGGAUAAUAGACUUGAAAGAAAUAUAUUCUUUUAAUAUAUUUUUCUUCAUUUCUGAUCAAAAAAAAAAAAGACUUGAAAGAAAUGUGGUCAAAAUUAGUGGAGUAAAAAGAGGGAAGGAACAACCCUCGGCAUGCUUACCUCUAAAGCCUGCUUAGGAUGCCCAAAGUGAAAAUGCAUCAUUCCCAAACAUAACAAAGCAAUUUCAUAUCUUCCAAAACUAUUGCUAGCAGAUGAAGUAGGUUGAACAAAAUCAAAUCCUUCUGCCCCUGCACUUUUGUGCCAUCAUGUCUUAGAUUAGUUCAUUUACUACAAUAAUUUUCCUGCCCAAUAUUUAACUUUAAUCAAAAUAUAACAUCUCAAAAAUAAAAUGAUAUGGGUAUAAGAUAGAGUGGAUACAAAACAUUAAAAAAAAAUGAUAAUGAUAAUUAAUUAAUUAACUUAAUGACCUAUUCUUGAUGAAAUAUUAGAAGUUAAAAUGAUACACCACCAUCAAUCGUUGCUUGAAAGGAAGGCCUUGGGUUGGAAAGUAAGCUAAACUCAAAGGCGACAACAAUGAUGAAAAGACAAUGACACUUUCCAUCUGAGACAUGAAUCAGUUGAUAAAUUCCAAACUCUCCAAACACAUGAAUCAGCUGAUAAAAUCUCCUAGUGCAACCAACUUGACCUCUCAAUGAAUGACCAUGUAGCUUCCACCAUGUCUCCUUAAUAUGUCAUUUCUUACCACAAAAAAUACAUUUCAAUUUUCCAUUCUUAUUAAUGAGCUUGUAUAACCAAUGUUGUAAAGGUAGGAGGCAAGUGCAACCUUGAGGCAUUUUUUCCAAAUAAGGCAAAGUGUAAGCCUCAAGGCAGAACAAGGUGUAAGCCACAACUCAAAACAAUCAAACAAAAAAAAAUCCUCUUUGGCCAAGUUUUUGAGAACAAGCCUCAAAAAGAAUUUCUGAGAAUAAUUCUCAAUUGUUUUUGGAAACAAGAUUUUGCUUAGAAACUCAAAUAUGGAAAACAAACAAAAUUUUUCUUAGAAACUCAAAUAUGGAAUACAAUAUUCUCUAGUUAUUCUCCACAAAACACAUCAAAUUAAUCUUCCAAAAUCCAACUUUCUUUUAUUCCUCCAUCAAAUAAUCUUCAGCACCACUAUCACUAAUAGGAUCCUCCAAGGCAUCAUGUUAAUGUCCAUUCAUUCUUUUUCUUCAUCCACCCCUUGCAAUGGUUUAUUUUCUUUAUCUAUCAAUGAUAAGAUAAAAAUUAUAUAUGACACUAACUACUACCAUUGUCAGCAACUCCUCUAUUUCUUCUUCUCUAUCACUUUCUUUUUCUUCCCCCUCCCCUAAGAGUUAAUGGAAGCCAGCUAAGCCUUUAUUGUAAAAAGUUUAACCUAAGAACUAAAACUUCAAAAAAUAUAGAUUGAAAGACCACAAAAGCAAACAAUCCAUUAAAACCUAUUGAAUAUUAAGGCUAAGUUUUUUAUGAAAUAUAUAUUCCAAAAGUCCACAAAAACCCAAAACUCAUUAACAAUGAAUAUUUGAGACCCAAGCAUCAAUAGUCUCAAGCUUGUAUGCCUCAACAAAAUCAGGCUUAAGCCUCAAAUUAUUGAGGUGUAAACCCCCAAAUUUGUCUUAAUCUAUUACAAUGUAGGCCCAUCAAUCUUGACCUAGUUCAAACUCAUUUUCCCUUGGCCCAUUCACUCUGGACCUAAUUUCAAACCCAUUCACUCUUGGCCCCUUGUACGCCUAUUCACGCUUGGCCCAAUUUAGGCCCUCUUGCUCUUAGCCCCGAAAUUUUUACUUUUAUUUUCAUUUUCAUUUUCAUUUUAUUAUUAUUUAUAUAUAUAUAUAGGAAACGACAAAGAGAUAUAUUGAUAGAAAAAAGAAGUACAAGAGAAGGAUGAGAAAUCCUCCCACUAAAGAAAACUAAACUACAAGAAUACAAAAACAAGAAAGUACACAGUAAAACAAGCUAACACUCUAGAUUAGACCAAUCCUUAGGAAUUAUUGGUACAUUAUUUUAUCUUUAUUUUUGUAUUUUACUUUUAUUUUUAUCCUUAAUGUUGUCUUGACCUUUCAAUUUGUAUUUUUACAUUCAAGAGGGAAAAAUGAGAAGCAAAAGUUGAAUUACAAAAAGGAAAGAAAGGGUGAAUUUGGGAGAUUGACUUUUUAAUUGAUGAAAGAAAAGCAAGGCCUCCUGAAUUUUGAAGAUGAUUGGUGAGAGAAAAGAAAGGCUUUUUUACUUUUGGAGGUGAUUAAAAGAAUUUGAAAAGAAUUUAAAAAUGAAAGGGAAACAUUUUUUUAUCAAAAACAAAAGAUAUACUAAAUAUGAAAAAAAUUAUAGGAGAACCCACAAAAUACACAAUAUAGAUCAAAGAAAGACUAAACACCUCCACUAUACAAAGAAAACUGUACACAAAGGUUUAGGCCGCUUAAGGAUACACAAAGGUAACUCCUCUCAUUGUUAUCCAUCCCCAUUUCAAUUACAAAUUAAAGUCAACUAAGUUGAAUAAUAUUGAGUGAAAUGCCUUUUAAGGCAAGGUACAAGAGGCCUACAAGGAAGAAUAGAAGUGAAGUAGAUCUCACAAUAUCUCUUUUGUUCUUCACUUUUCCUAAAGAUCCUAACAUUUCUCUCUUGCCACACAAUUCAAAGUAUAAUAAGGCAAGUGAUUUGCCAAUGGGUCUAAGCUUUGAUAGAAUUUCCCGAACCUCCAAAUGAGAUGGUCAUCAUGACACAUAUACUCCAAGGUGAAAUCCAAUCCAUCUUGACUAGACUAAAGCUUGUGUAAAAGCCCUAAUGUUAACCAACAAUGUAGAAAGAGAUGGUCAAUAGAUUUUGUAUUUCUCAUGCAUAAGAUGCACCAAUGAGGACUAAGGAAAUUGUAAGGUCAUUUCAACUAUACCAUGUCACUGGUGUUUACCUUCUUGUGCACCACUAACCAAGUAAAAGUCUUGACCUUUGAUGAGAUUUUUGAUCUCUAUAAAAAUUUGGCUAGAAAGAACAAGAUUAGAUUUGAUAAAUUAACAAGGACAAGAAAAAAGAUUUUACUGAAAAUAAACCUCAAAAUGGUAAAGACUAAGCUCUUGAAUCUACGGAAGAUGGAGACAAGUGCACAGGAGUGAGUGAGAACAUAAGUCUUUUGAGGGUUUCAAUUUCCAUAUCAAAGUGAUUACAGCAAAGGUUAAGGUUCCAAGAAAGCGAAAAGGAGUUAGCAAGGACAAUUGAUAUAAUGAGAUUUUUCACUAUGGUAACUGUCACACCCUCGAAAAUCACCCUAAAAUUUUCACCUGGUGCGCGGUGCUAAGGACCCUUCCUUAGCCAACCUUUCUUCCCAGCCUUCUCAAAACGCACACAAACAAUAGCAAACCAAAGGAAACAGGGACACAACGAGGUUACAGGAAAUCCUUCCCAACUUGUAUUAAUCUCAACUACAAGAUACAAAAUUGCUUCCCCGAGUCAGAGAGCAAUGCUUACAUCCCAAGCAUUCAGAGACACUUUCCCUCUUCUCUCUCUCUCCCAUCUCAAGGCUGCAGGAGCCCUUUUAAAAGACUCACCCUGUAAUUUUUCCCCUAGUGGUUACGCAACCGCCUAGAACCGCCCUGAACCGCUUGCACAACCACUCACUACCCAUAUGGUGGCCUACUGAGAAACCACCCACUUGCAUCAGCAUCAGCAUCAGCAGUGCCUCAACCCACUACCAGUCCAUGCAGCUGACUGACUUGAUCACUAGCUGUCCCAACUAGUGCUCUGACUAGCUGUCCCAGCUAGUGCUCUGACUAGUUGUCAUCUCCUCGAGCCUGCCUCAUUAAGUUGUCAGAGAGCCCUUCCCUAACAAGUUGCCUCCUUCCCCUCAAGGUGCCUCUUGUGAUCGGGUGCCCACCAACGCAUCUCUGAUCAAGGCUCUUGGAACCAAGCAACAUGCACCACUAGCUGACCAGGCUGCAUCAGUGUGCCUCCCCCACACUGAUGCAUGAGUCCAAGCCAUGUCAAGCUGCCCAUGGCCUAGGCUUGUUGCUCCCACUCAUCAGGUUCAGCUUCAACGAGCCAUGGCAUUGCGCCCAUGGUUGUUCCCUCUUGGUGCAUAGGGCAUUGUUCAUUCCACCCAGACGGAAAUUCUCACUCAUUCCACCCGGAUAUCUCACAUCCGGAAUUCUGUUCGGCCGACGUUCCACCUUCUCCGGAUAUCUCACAUCCGGAAUUCGCCGGAUGGGAGAGGAGGACGAUUCAACUUCCCCGGGCAGACAUGUCCGGAUCCUUCGGUAACGCUUAUCCGGAGAACAUCCGUGGCCAACAAUUCAGAUUCCCCGGAUAGCUUGGCUCGUCAGAUACUCGCGAUUCGCCGGAUCCAUUUCCGCCCACGGUGCGCAUCUGACUCGUCCGUGGUGCGUGCUCGGUGCGCAUCUGGCUGGCCCGCGGUGCGCGCGUGGUGCACGCUUGACUUGUCCGCGAUCCCCACACUUAGCUCCUGGGGUUUGAACCACCAAACCUCCAGGCUUUCCUUGCUUUCCGCCUAGGCUCUCAUGGGUGCAAGGCCUACCCAUGAGGCCCAUUUCUCCGGGUAUGAAUCAAGUGGCUAAGGGGCUAACAGUAACUCUAUAAAGACUUGGAAAUUGUGAACACAAUGGUUGAUUUUCCCACCACAAAUCUUCUCAUAAACAAAUUCUAACCCAUCACCCACCACAAAGCAAGUGUAUGGAGAAAAGUCUUAAAAAACUUUUGCAAUGGUCUUCCAAGAACAUCCAUGUGACCAUCUAACUAGAAUGUUGGUGUCUCAUCCAUUAGGAUGUGUCUAAUAAAGGCUCAAGAUAACCUCAUGCCAAAGGGAAGAAAUUUCCUUAGGGAACCUCCAGAGCCACUUCCCUAAGAGAGCAUGAUUUCUCAUUGACAAUUCCUAGAACUCUAAAAUCCUUUGGCCAACACAUUUUGUCCCAAGUAAUAAGAUAAUCUUUUUUACCCUUCCCAAUCCCCGACUAGAGAAAUCUCUUUACAAUUUCUCAAUUUUAAAGCAACUAAUUUUGGGAUCUUGAAAAAAGAUACGAAAUAGUUAGGGAUAUGAAACAAGCAUGACUGGAUUAAAGUUAUCCUCCCCCUGACUCUUUUCUUAAAAACAAAAAGGCCUUUAAUUUAGAGCCACAACUCAUGGUAUAUGUGAGAUGCUAUGGAUGAAAGACCAAUUAAAGGGGUGGUUGCUAUUUAAUUCUAUGGAUUCAAUGAAGCCUUUUUGUGAUAACAAAGUUGCUAAUAGCAUUGCCAAUAAUCCUUGUUUAGCAUAAUCAUAUUAAACAUGUAAAAGUCAAUAAACAUUUUAUCAAGAACACAUCGACAAAAGGAUUAAUCUAUACUCCAUGUGCAAAGAAAGAGAACAAGCUUACAGAUGCUUUAACAUUAAAAAAGCACCCCAACGUACACAAGAAGUAUACAACAGGUGCCUAAAGUACCUUUAAAAAAACAAAGAAGAACAACAAAAAACGACACCCCUCAACAAGACUAUCUAAUCCACAAAAUCUACAAUAAAAGAAAGCCAAAAGCUAUAAACAAUUUGGACCACACCCAAAGAUUACAAAGAAAAUUAAGUUUAAUCCUUGGUCAAAAUACUCUUUGUUAUCAAACAUCCUAUUGUUGCUUUCCUUCCAAAUUGUCCCAAAAAGGUACAAAAGAGCAGUCUGCCACACCUUUUUCCUUUUCCUAUCCACAAAAGACCCAUGCCAACUUGAGAACACCUCUCUCACUAAAAAGGGGAGCACCCAAGCCACAGCAAAAAGAGAAAAUAGAUGAUGUCAAAGUGGGCUUCACGUUGGCCCAGAUGCUCUUCAAGCCCACCAGACUGUAGAGGCAUCGUCUCCAUCUCUCCAACGAGUUGGUUCAUCUGCAAAGGCGAUCGCGCUGCUUUGUCCAGGCGAUGAGAGGGCCGGCAUCGAGGAUAUCUUUGGAGAGGAAGGUCUGGCCUUUGAGUUAAAGGCCCAGUCUCUUUCCAACACUACCCCACCUUCAGACACUACCGUGGGCUGUAAGUUAAAAGGCUCGUCGGGGUUGGGCCAAAAUUUAGGAGGAAUGAAGCCCUCUGGUAUGGAAGUUUGGUCUUGAAGAGAAGAAAACGCAGCAAGAAAGGGGAAAGCUCCCGUGGUUCAGAUGAGAGACUCUACGCAGGAGGAAGAGACGAUAGUUUCAAAGAAGAUGUGGUCCACCCUCUUCCCUCCAAGCGUUGAUCGCCGACAGGGACAUCGGAGUAGCAGCAAGCCUCUUCUCCUACGGGGUUCAUCGUCGUCUAGCGAAGUUCUCAAUCUAGAAGUGGAUUUCGGGACGGGAUCUCAGAUGGAACGAGGAAUCAGAGAGAAUCCUCUCUUUCGGUGCCUAUUGUCAAGGAAUUGUAACUUUUCGAGGGAAGAGACCUUGGUGUUCCGCGAAAAAGACAAAGAAGGUUUAACGGGAUGAGUGGGGUCCGAUCCUUGUGGCUCUUCAGACAUGGAUUUACCUUCUAUUUCAAUAAUCAAAGGUAAAGGACUCAUCUUUGAGGGGAUUUGCAAAAUUCCGAGAGCGAAAAACAUGGAGGUAUGUCAGCCCUCUCCUUCUCAGCCACCCAAGUCUUCUUCUUUUCCUUCUUGUAGUCUGGAAUCUCCCUUACCGAGUCCCUCUGGUCCGCAUCUCCCUAAUUCAAUCUCUCUUUCUCCGUCUCCUACUGAAAAUCAAGUUAUUUCUAAAAAAAUUUCUGAAAAAGGCGUUGUUGGCUCUUUAAAAUAUGUCGACAUCCCUAUCCAUGAUGAGGAGGAGAACCAGUGUGCUUUAUCAAACCAGUUGUCCGAGAGCUUUACCCCUAGGAAGUCUAAUAUUAGCUCGCAUAAGGAGGAUUCCAAUCUGUUGUCAGGUAGUCAAGGGGAUACUGAGGUAUCCCCAUCGGGCGAUCUCUUUAUUGAUGGCCUGUCCCCCAGGAAAAUGGCUAAAGUGCGAGAGGUUUUAUGCUCUCUGAACAUUAAGGUGUAUUCCAGGAGGAAGAACAAUGGUUCCACAGGUAAUUGAGACCUGGUGGAUUUGGUUUGGAAGUUUAGGGUCUGUGUGUUUUUCCAUGAAAAUUAUCAGUUGGAACGUCAGGGGUUUAGGUUCAAGGAAUAAGCGAAGGAUGGUUAAAGAUUUCCUUAGGUCAAAGAAUCCGGAUGUUGUGAUGAUUCAGGAAACAAAAAAGGAGAAGUGUGACAGAAGGUUUGUGGGUAGUGUCUGGACAGUCAGAAAUAAGGACUAGGUUGCUCUUCCGACGUGUGGGGCAUCAGGUGGGAUUUUGAUCAUUUGGGAUUCAAAAAAUCUGCGUGGUGAGGAGGUGGUAAUAGGAUCUUUCUCGGUCUCAGUCAAGUUUGCUUUGGACGGUUGUGGACCUCUUUGGAUUUCCGUUGUUUUUGGUCCAAACAAUCCCUCACUUAGGAAGGAUUUUUGGGUGGAACUUUUUGACAUAUAUGGUCUAACUUUUCCGUUAUGGUGUGUGGGCGGCGAUUUUAAUGUCAUAAGGAGAAGUUCAGAAAAAUUGGGGGGGUUCUAGUCUAACUUCAAGCAUGAGGGACUUUGAUAGUUUUAUUAGAGAAUGUGAAUUGCUUGAUCCACCUCUUUGGAACGCUUCAUUCACUUGGUCAAAUUUGCAAGAGUCUCCCGUGUAUAAGAGAUUAGACCGUUUUCUUUACUCAAAUGAGUGGGGGCAGCUCUUUCCCUAAGGCCUUCAAGAAGCCCUAUUUAGAAGGACCUCGGACCACUGGCCAAUUGUUUUGGAUACCAACCCGUUUAUGUGGGGCCCAACACCUUUUAGGUUUGAGAAUAUGUGGCUGCAACAUCCUAAUUUCAAGGAAAACUUUAGAAAUUGGUGGAGUGGUUAUCAAGGAUACGGAUGGGAAGGCCACAAGUUCAUGAGGAGACUACAAUAUGUUAAAGCUAAAUUGAAGGAGUGGAAUAAGUUUUCUUUUAAAGAGCUUAAUGAAAAGAAAAAAAGUAUCCUCAAUGAUUUAACUAACUUUGAUGUCAUUGAGCAAGUAGGGGGUCUCACUUCUAAAUUGCUAAGUCAAAGAGCCUCAAGAAAAGGGGAGCUAGAGGAAUUAAUUUUGAGAGAGGAAAUCCAUUGGAGACAAAAAGCUAAGGUGAAAUGGGUUAAGGAAGGGGAUUGUAACUCUAAGUUUUUUCAUAAAGUGGCUAAUGGCGGGCGAAAUAGGAAAUAUAUCAAGGAGUUGGAGAAUGAGAGGGGCUUAGUGUUGAAGAAUGCCGAGAGUAUCAUAGAGGAGAUCUUACUUUACUUUGAAAAGCUCUACACGAGCCCUACAGGAGAGUCUUGGAGUGUUGAAGGAUUAGAUUGGUCCCCUAUUUCGGAAGAGAGCGCGUUAAGGUUGGAUUCCCCUUUCACUGAAGAAGAGAUUUCUAAGGCCAUUUUUCAGUUGGAUAGGGACAAGGCUCUGGGGCCUAAUGGCUUUACUAUUGCAGUAUUCCAAGACUGUUGGGAUGUGAUUAAAGAGGAUUUGGUGAGAGUGUUCACAGAAUUUCAUAGGAGCAAAAUUAUCAAUCAAAGCACUAAUGCCUCUUUCAUUGUUCUAUUACCCAAAAAGAGUUUGACAAAGAAAAUAUUUGAUUUUAGACCCAUUAGUUUGAUCACUAGUCUCUACAAGAUAAUAGCCAAAGUGCUCUCAGGGCGUCUAAGAGGGGUUCUACAUGAGACCAUCCACUAUACUCAAGGUGCUUUUGUUCAAGGGAGACAAAUUUUGGAUGCGGUUCUCAUAGCGAAUGAGAUAGUGGACGAGAGAAGACGAUCAGGGGAGGAAGGUGUCGUCUUCAAAAUAAACUUUGAAAAGGCCUACAAUCACGUUAAGUGGGAUUUUUUGGAUCAUGUGUUAGAGAAGAAGGGGUUCAGUCCUAGAUGGAGGAAAUGGAUGAGUGGAUAUUUAUCCUUGGUAUCUUAUGCAAUCUUGGUGAGAGGUAGCGCUAAAGGGUGGGUUAAGGCAUCGAGAGGAUUAAGACAAGGUUACACUUUAUCCCCUUUUUUGUUUACUUUAGUCACAAAUGUACUGAGUAGGAUGCUUAUGAGAGCAGAGGAAAAAAAUAUGUUCGAGGGUUUCAGGGUGGGUAGAAACAGAACUAGGGUGUCCCAUUUGCAAUUUGCUGGUGAUACCAUUUUCUUUUCUAAGAUUAGGGAGGAAGAUCUGCAGACUCUCAAGAGUCUUUUGUUAGUGUUUGGGCACAUUUCUGGGCUCAAGGUCAACCUUGACAAGAGUAGUAUUUAUGGCAUCAAUCUUGAUUAGGUUCAUCUUUCAAGAUUGGCUGAGAUGCUUGAUUGCAAGGCUUCCGACUGGCCUAACUCUAUAUGGGUCUUCCUUUGGGUGGGAACCCUAAGACGUGUGGCUUUUGGGAUCCAGUGAUUGAGAGAAUCUCAAGUAAGUUAGAUGGGUGGCAAAAGGCCUACUUAUCCUUCGGGGGAAGGAUAACUCUUAUCCAAUCUUGUCUUACCCAUAUGCCCUAUUACUUCCUUUCCUUAUUUAAGUUACCCGCUUCAGUGGUUGCAAAAAUCGAGAGGUUGCAAAGGGAUUUUUUAUAGUCAUGAGUUGGGGAAGGCAAAAGAGAUCAUUUAGUGAAGUGGGAUGUUGUGUGUAAACCGAAAGCAAUAGGGGGUUUGGGUUUUGGGAAUAUUUCUUUGAGGAAUCUCGCUCUUUAGGGAAAUAGUUGUGGAGGUAUCCUAGAGAGGGUUCAACUCUAUGGCAUCAGGUCAUAUUAAGCAUUUAUGGUUCACACUCCAAUGGUUGGGAUGCUAACACUUUAGUCAGAUGGUCACAUCACUGUCCUUGGAAGGCUAUUGCACAAGUCUUUCAAGAGUUUUCCUUGUUUACUCGGUUUGUGGUAGGAAAUGGGGAAAGAAUUCGAUUUUGGGAAGAUUUGUGAUGGGGGGACCAACCUUUGGGAACCCAAUAUCCAAGACUAUUUAGAGUAGUCGUGGAUAAAAACAUUCCUAUUUCUUCAGUUCUCGGUCCUGCUCGUCCUUUCUCUUGGAAUUUAAAUUUCCGUCGUAACCUGUCAGAUUCUGAGAUAGAGGACUUAGAAGGCCUCAUGCGGUCACUUGAUGGAUUGCAUCUAUCUCCUUCGGUCCCAAAUGCCAGAUUUUGGCCAUUAUCCUCUUCAGAGCUUUUUUCAGUCAAAUUCUUCUUUCUAGCAUUAUCUCAAUUUUUUGGAUCUCCUAAGGUUUUCCCUUCUAAGUUCAUUUGGAAUUCUCAAGUUCCUUUCAAAGUGAAGUCCUUUGUCUGGUUAGUGGCACACAAGAAGGUGAAUACCAAUGACAUGCUACAAGUGAGAAGACCCUACAAAGCCCUUAGUCCUGAUAUUUGUAUUCUGUGCAUGAAGCAUGGGGAAUCAGCAGAUCAUCUUUUUCUUCAUUGUUCCUUAACGAUUAGGUUGUGGCACAGGUUAUUUCAGUUAGCUAAGAUGGAUUGGGUCCCCCCGAGGAACAUCUUUGACAUGAUGUCCAUCAACUUUAAUGGUUUUGGUACUUCUAAGAGGGGGAUAGUUUUGUGGCAAGCUGCGAGCAUCGCUCUAAUUCGGGUUGUGUGGUGGGAAAGAAACACGAGGAUUUUCGAGGAUAAAGCAAGGAAUUCAUAGUUUCUUUGAGACUCUAUUGUUUUCCUUGUUUCUCUUUGGGCUUUCUGUUCCAAGGCGUUUAAGGGGACUCCCCUUAAUGUGUUACAACUUGAUUGGUUAGCGGUGUGUACUCCAUAAGGAAUGGUCCUUUAUAAAGAGUUCGUUUGUUUUCUGUGUAUUUUCCUGUAAUUUAGUUUUCUUUGGCGGGAGGAUUUCUCAUCCUUCUUUUUGUACUUCUUUUUUCUAUCAAUAUAUCUUUGUGUCGUUUCCAAUAAAAAAAAAAUGAUGUCAUACAACCUUUGUCUUGUCAUAGUAGAUGAGAAUGUAAUUAACCAAUUCUGCCUCUUUGCAACAAAGAAAACAUCUAUUUGCCACGGACCACCCACUUCUCUAAAUGUGAUCCAAAGUUAAAACUUUAUUCCAAGUGGCCUCCUAUGCAAAGAAGCCCACCUUGCAAAGCACCUAAGAGUUCCAAAUAACACUUGUUGGGCACUUGACAAGUUGUGCAUUUGAGAUAUCUAUUCUCCAACUUCGGGGGUGUGUUAUCAAAUGUUAAUGGUAUAUUUACAAAUCUCCAACCUUUAGACUUUCUAUGUUAGCUUUCAUAUUUGACCCCUUUAUUUUAGGGAUUGAUUAUUAUGAUUUCUACAAGGAGCAGAUUUAUAGUUGUUGUCUAUAUCUCCUUUAUUUUAGAGAUUUGAUUAUUAUGAUUGUCGUAAGUUUAAGAGCAUAUUGUAAGGAUUUGUUCUAGAUUCUUCCUUGUAAAGUUUUUUCUGCAUUUCCUAUAUACACUUAUACAACAUGUGAAGUAAAUACACAGAAAUUUUCUCUCAAAAUAUGCACAAUCAAGCUCUUCUACAUAAUUGCACUAAGCCUAAAGGUAUCUUAGGUGAUGAAGAAAGUUAGGCAGUUAGUUAGGAUUUUUUUUGUUUUCCUUCAAUAAAAUCCAGUAACAAACUUGGAGUAGAUAGGACAUUUCCUAUUUUUUCUCUUCAGUUACUAUUUUUUCUCUUAUACUUAAGUUAGGAUUCCAGCCUGUUAGAAGUCUCACCUCAUUAGAAUUCUAGGUUGCUAAGAGUCUCACUUAGUUAGGAUUCUAGGCUGCUAACUUCAAGUCUAUUUAUUUCCUGUUGUAUUUUCCAGAAGAGAUUAAUGAAAACAGGAAGAAUUUGGAUAUUCUUCCAAACAGCUUUUAUUAGGAAAUCCUUAACAUACAAUUAAGACUGAAAAUUUUUUCUUCCUCAAAUACAGAGCAGAGAAUCAAAUCACCCACGAACUGGAAAUGCAAGAUUUUACGUGUUAUAUUCACAUGUAAUCUCAAUCAAAUUUGAUGGGUAGUUCAGUAAGUAUAACGAUAACAAAUUAAACAAAAUGUUUGAUGUUCACCUGUAAUCAAAGUAGCAGUGAAGAUUCUCCAAUGAAGCAGGAUAAUCAUUAUGAUAAAGGUUAUUCAAGUAACGCAAGAAGUGAACCUGCAUUGAUACCAACAGGGAAAAUAAUGAAUUUUAACGUUCAUAUAAUAGCAGUUACACCAAUAAGUUUUCAUACAUAACCAGAAAACAGAAUGAUCAACUUCAGUAUGAGAGGUACUUACCAAAAGGAAAAAUAAUAAUAAUAAUAAUAAUGAGUAAGGUAACUUACACGAUGUAAUUCUGGUGCCAGUUUCUGAAGCUGCCUUAGAAUAGAUUCAAAGGCAUUUAAAGGAAACGAGCAGCUAUGCCUGCCACAGAAAUUAUUUGAGAUUCUAUAAUGCACUCAACUAAACAAUCAGAAAAAUUGCAAAGACAAAAUAAAUCAGCAAACAACUAACUUCUCAAUUGCAUCAGCUUGCUCACAUAAGUAUCCUUGUAUCUGCCAGUUUGUACGUAGGAAUAUCCCACCAUUGGGAUCGAUACCUCUCAAUGUAUCUUUCAUAUGGUGUGCAAAUGAACUAGCUUCUCCAGUUUUCUCUCUGUGCUUGAAUUUCAGUUCAGCAGAAACCUCAAUAUCUGCAUGCAUAUGUAGGUUUACACGUUAACACCAUUGAAAUUACAUCAUCAUGUGAAACAUUAAAUCCAAAAGCAGAACCAGAAAUAUAAAACCAAAAAGCCCCUGAGGCCUGGUUCAAGGAAAAAGGAUUUGGAUUGGGUUGGGUUAGGUUAGGAAAGCAUCAACGAUUACCCCUUUGAUCCUCAUGAAAGAAGAAAAAAAGCAGUAGAGAUGGUUCCAGGUUCAAUUCAAUGUAAAGAAAAAAAUUAAGAAACAUAUUACCAAACAACUAUCAAGAAAGGAAUUGAAAACUGAAACUGCUGAGAAUGUCCUAAAAUAUAACCCGAUAUCAGAAGCUAAAACGGAUUGCAUUUAGACUUUAAAAAGGUUUUGGCUAUCAGAGAAUAUUACCAAAUGAGCAUAAACGUUGGGAAAUCAAUAUAGAAAAGAUUUGGUCAUGAUAUUCUAUGUUACUAAGCAGCUUAUGAUAUAGUUUCAAUAGACAUUCAAGUAUUCAACCCUCUAAAACUCACCAACCCAUCAAUUACCUGUAGAUUGUAAAACUUGCCUAAAAUUGCCACAUUUCAUAUUACUCCCUCAUCAAAUUCUGGAGAAUUCAGGAGAGCACUUUUGCACUUUUGUUUACCAUAAAAUUGUUACUAUAUUAUAUAUUUCUUCAAAGAAUCUGCUUUACUGGAAGAAUGGUCAAAACAAAUAUAUUUCAAUAAAAGAAAAAAAGUCUGAACCACCAUUUUUGUUUCUUUGCAGAAUAUAAGUAUAGCAUAUCAUGGGAGUUAUAUAUUCUGAACUGGCAAGAGGUGGAGGUGCAGCCUCUUGCCAUUCCAUGGGGCCUGUCCUAAGCUUAGAAGCAUCCGAUGUUAGUAUACUAAUUGAAUAUUGAAAAAUAUAAGAAUAGAAUAUGGAAAGUCCAAGAAGAAAUUAAGAACAUUAGCUAUCAUCAAUUUCUUCAACAAUUAUCAGUCUCACAAUAAAUUCUUGAAAAGAAACUUUCAAGAUUUCAGUUCUGUAUGAAUUAUAUAUUUUAGAGAUAGGCUGAUUUGCAAGGUGUUUACCAAGUUUCUAACGCAGCAAACCCUUGAUGAUGUUUGUUUCAAGGUUUGAACUAUCCCAUAACAGGAACAGAAUAAUAGGCAUCAGAAGUGAGUUUACUACAUAUAUUUUUACAAAUAUUGACAACCUGGACAGUAAAUUACCAUACAAGGAUAAGAAGCCUAGAAAGAACUCCACCUUGGUUAUUUUUCCCCCAACUGAGGGCAUAUGCGAGGCAUAUCAUAUCUUGUACCUCUAGCUGUCAUCUCCAAUCCUUUUUAUAGCAAACUGAAGCAUAAUGCUAGUAGAAAUGAACAAGGAAGAAAAUCAGGUUAGGAUUUCCUAAACUGGUGCAUGAACCAUGUUUGUGACACACAAUGGAUUUUCAAAAAGUCAAACAGCCCUUAUAACUGUAAGUCUGACAGGGACUGCUAACCAGGAUGACAUGAUAGAGUACAUUUUGUGGAAUAUGAACAAAACCUACUUGGUCCUAGCCUCUUCUGAUUUGGAGAAAUUUGAAAUUUCUAUUAAGGAAUACUUUUUCUAAUCACAAGAUUCUGAGUGUUGGUGACAACAAUUAAUAGGUGACUAAUAUCAAGUUUUGUCCAUUCUUAUUUGGGUUUAGUUAGUUUUAUUUAGCUAUUAGGAUCCUUUUCCUCAUUUCAACUAAAGUUCCUAAAUAUGCGUAGGAUUAGGAUUUGGCAACAAGGGCUUAAGACUAAAGCAACCUCCCAUAACGACAGUGAUUAUCACUCAUUGCCACUAUCCUCUUCAACACAUCAUCACCACAUCACAUCAUGGCUAUCAAUUUUGUAGAAGAAUGUAAUUAGGAAAAAUUAUAACUGUACAAUUUUGUAAUUAAGGAGAGAAUCAAGGCAAUCAUGUAAUCAAGGGAAUCUAUUAUAAUUAGGUUAGGAAGGUUUUUAUUUUUUGCCCUAGGAAUAUUUGUAUAAAUAUGUGGGUCUAUACAAACUAAAAAAUAAAGGAAGAAAUUCAUUAUUUAUAUUCCUUCCAAUUCUUCAUCUUCUACAUGGUAUCAGAGCCUUAGGUUCAUAAAUCUAGGAAUCAAGAAGAGAAGAAUUUUUUACCUUCAUUAUCGACCUUAAGAUUUUUCCUCUUGUUUGAAUUGUGUCAUUGUUGCAGAGAUAGCCUCACCCUAACAAAGAAAAACCCGAUUGUGAAAGCAGUCAAAGACCUCAGCAAACCCCUCGCCUUCACCCGUUUGUCUUAGCCUAACCAUCACCCUUGGAUCUUCCUCGCCAUUGGCCUUCUCUCUACCUCACCCUACCACCUUCACACCGCCAAUCUUGCAAACUCAUCACGAAACAAAAAUCACACCAUCACUAUCACUAUUGUCAUUGUCUCUACCAACGAUGACAAUCCUCAUACAUGACAUCUCCACCUCACAUUGAAUGCCAUACUUGUCGUUGCUGCAAACGAAGAUCGUGAACACAUCAUGAGAGGAAUAGACGACCCAACAACCACAGUCAUUCCUAUGUCGUCGAUGAUAUCAUCGAAAAUCAAGCUCCAACGACCACCAAGAGUGUCGAACCUCCAACACAAUUAUUGUGGCUAUCGCUAUCCCAGAUCGACACCAGCGUGAGUUCUAACAUAGCUUUCAGCUCUACGGGUGGUCUACGAUGGGUUAUUUGACCUUCAAAUAAGCUCUUUUAUAUUAAAAAAAAUGUCUGAGGUAUCAGAAACUCCUGCUAUCACCACCCAGUCUAAGGCAGUAAUAACUAGUCACACGAUAAGAGAAUUGCAGAAUAUUCAAGUGACAUAUAAGCUUAAUGGAAAAAAUUAUUUAAAAUGGUCAAAACUUGUUCGUACUUUUCUGGAGGGAAAAGGGAAAUUAAGUCAUCUCUUAAGAAUUGGACCACAAAGAAGAGACCCUCGAUUUGAUGCAUGGGACGAGCAAGACUCAAUGAUUAUGGCAUGGUUGUGGUACUCAGUGACACCUAAAAUCAAUGACACAUACGUUCCUAACAAUUGUUAAAGACAUCUAGAAUGCAAUUCACCAAACAUACUUAAAAGCACUAGAUGCAGCCCAAGUUUAUGAAAUAAAAGUCAAGACCAAAACAGCAAAACACGGAAACAAAACAGUCAUAGAGUACGCCGAUAUGCUGAAAAAUAUAUGGCAAGAACUCAAUCAAUAUCGAUGCAUUGAGACAAAAUGUCCUAAGGAUGCAACAAUCCUAAAGAAUAAAAUCGAAAAAGAUCAAGUCUAUGAUUCUUUUAGUCAGUCUCAAUGUUGAGUUUAACCAAGUUAAAGUUCAAAUACUUCUCAAAGAGUUCUAGACUUUGAAUCAAAUUAUCUUUAUUAUCCAAGCAGAAGAAAGCAAGUGAAGUGUCAUGCUUCAACCUCAUAAUUUAGAAGGCUCGACUAUGGUUGCCAACAAGGGAAUUAAUCAAAAAGUAAGCACUACGGAUCAUAAAAGAGUUGGUUGGUCAAGGGUUCCAAAUUGUGAUAACAGGGAUAACUUAUAAUGCACUUACUGCUAGAAGGCAAGACAUACAUGAGAGCUGUUAGAUAGUGUAUAGUUAUUUAGGUUAUUUACUUUUCCUUUUCCUUUUCUUUCCUUAUUGUAUUGUGGGUACCACUAACAUGUAUAUAUAUACCCAAGUCCAAUGUGUAUUCUUCACAACUUUUCAAUAACAAUAAUUAGGGAUUCUCCCUUUUUCUCUCUUUUCACAUAGUAUCAAAGCUUAGGGAGAAAAAAAAAACCCUAAUUAUUACCGAUUUAUCCAUGAAUCCAUUCUGGGAAAUCUUUCAGUGGCCGUGUUUCAUUCCGGUCACCCUUCCCAUCUCCUAAAGCUUUCCGAUCAAUCGUAUCGCCAUCAGAAAACCCUCACCGCAGUCAAAAAACCCUCACCGCAAGCGACUUUUCCGGUGACCUAUUUCCGACGAAGUCCUUUUCCGACACCGACCAUACCAUCAAGUGCGCAAGGAGGAGAUCUUCAAGUUUUCUCAAAGCACCGGAGGGAAAAUCACAGCCACGCGCCGACCCUCUAAACAGACUUUCUGGCGACCUCCGGUGACUUCCUCUCCACCCCGAGCCCUGCACGUGUCUUAGGAAGUGUUCUUCUACCCUUCUAGUAGUACCACAUUUGUUUUUCUUUAUUAUUUGGUCUCUCACAGCCACGGAUCCUCGGUUUUUCUUCUUUCAGCCGCAAUCUGAAGCCGUAUUAGGGCUCUCUUCGAUCCAAACAAAUUUCGUUCUCCAGAUAAGUAGAUAUGGCUACUAAAAGUUCCACUUUUUCCUCUGUCAUAUCUGGAUCUCCUAUGAUUACUUCGAAGAAAUUGGUUAGCAGUGAAAAUUAUUUGUCCUGGUCUGCCUCUGUGGAGCUUUGGUUUAUGGGUCAAGGUUAUGAGGAUCACCUUGUUACGCAGGAGGCGGAUAUUCCUGAGGUUGACAGAAUACAAUGGAGGAAGAUAGAUGCACAGUUAUGUAGUGUGUUAUGGCAAUCAGUUGAUCCUAAGAUUCUGCUUCAUCUUCGGGCCUAUAAAACAUGCUUUAAAUUUUGGAAUCAGGCAAAAGGGUUAUACACGAAUGAUAUCCAACGUCUUUAUAAGGUGGCUUCUUCUAUUGUCAAUGUCAGACAACAAGACAUGGAUUUAUCUACUUAUAUUGGCCAGAUUGCCUCUCUUAAGGAGGAAUUCUUGACCGUGAUGCCUCUUACUACUGAUGUUGGGGAUCAACGAACACAGAUUGACAAGUUCUUCAUGGCUCUUACGCUUAUUGGCCUUCGUCCAGAUCUCGAGACCGUCCGCGAUCAGAUUCUUGGCAGUUCCUCCAUUCCAUCUUUGGAUGAUGUGUUUGCUCGCCUCCUCCAUAUCUCCUCCACUCAAACUUUGCCAUCUGAUAAUACUUCAGAUUCUUCUGUGUUAGUUUCUCAAACUAACUCUCGAGGAGGACGCAGUGGUAACCGAGGUAGAGGCCAACGUCCUCAUUGCACCUAUUGCAAUAAGCUUGGCCACACUCGUGAUCGGUGUUAUCAGUUACAUGGGCGGCCUCCCCGCACUGCCCACGUGGCCUAGUCAUCUGAUCCUCAGCCGCCUCAACCUCCCAGUUCCUCCACAUCUCAGGGUAUUUCCCUCACUGACAGUGAGUAUGAUGACUAUCUCCGCUAUCAGGCCACCAAGUCAACUUCUGUUGCUUCUGUUACCCAGACUGGUAAUGCUUCUGCUUGUCUUACCCACACAUCUUCUUUUGGACCUUGGAUUCUAGAUUCUGGCGCUUCUGAUCACAUAUCUGGUAAUAAGGAUCUUUUCUCUUCUAUUACUACUACCUCUACCUUACCUACUGUUACUUUAGCUAAUGGUUCCCAAACUAUGGCUAAAGGUUUUGGUUUCGCUCAUCCUCUCCAUUCUGUCCUUUAUGCCCCUGAGUGUCCUUUUAAUCUUAUUUCCAUCAACAAAAUAACUCGCACUCUUAACUGUUCUAUCACUUUCUCUGAUAAAUUUGUGACCUUGUAGGACCGAAGUACGGGGAAGACGAUUGGCAUAGGACGUGAGUCUCAAGGCCUCUAUCACCUCACCUCACCUUCAACUCCUGCAAUUUGCAUUUCCACUGAUGCUCCCCUCCUCAUCCACAGUCGCCUGGGCCACCCUAGUCUAUCCAAGUUCCAGAAAAUGGUCCCUAGUUUUUCAUCUUUGUCGUCGCUUGCUUGUGAGUCCUGUCAGCUAGGGAAACAUACUCGUGUCUCAUUCCCAAAGCGUUUGAAUAAUCGGGCAAAGUCUUCUUUAAAACUUGUCCACACUGAUGUUUGGGGUCCUUGUCGGACCGCGUCUACUUUAGGAUUUCAGUAUUUUGUCACUUUCAUUGAUGACUAUUCUUGAUGUACUUGGUUAUUUUUAAUGAAAAAUCGAGCUGAGUUAUUCUCUAUUUUCCAAAAAUUUUAUGUUGAAAUCCAAACCCAGUUCAAUAUUUCUAUUCGUGUGUUGCGUAGUGACAAUGCCAGGGAAUAUUUUUCUACACCAUUGACUUCAUUUAUGUCCCAACAUGGGAUCAUUCAUCAGUCUUCUUGUGCUCAUACUCCUCAACAAAAUGGGGUAGCUGAACGUAAGAAUCGACAUCUUGUUGAAACAGCUCGUACUCUCCUUCUCCAUAGUCAUGUUCCUUUUCGUUUUUGGGGGGAUGUUGUUCUUACAGCAUGUUAUUUGAUUAAUCGUAUGCCCUCAUCUGUAUUACACGAUCAGAUUCCUCAUUCCCUUCUUUUCCCUGACCAACCACUUUAUUUCCUUCCUCCUCGUGUUUUUGGUUGUACUUGCUUUAUUCAUAUUCUCACUCCUGGACAGGACAAACUUUCUGCCAGAGCCACAAAAUGCAUCUUCUUGGGAUAUUUCAAACUUCAAAAGGGUUAUCGUUGUUAUUCCUCUGAGACUCAUCGCUACUUUCUCUCCGCUGAUGUCACUUUCUUUAAGGACUCACCGUUCUUCUCCACCUCUAAGUCUCUUCCUGUUUCUGAAGUCUUACCCCUUCCCAUUAUCUCCCCACUUGAUGCAGUGCCUUCUCGCCCACUUCAGGUUUAUCAUCGUCGUCAUCGUGUCGCUGUUCCUCCUUCUUUGGCCGAGGUACCUGCUGACUCACUUCCUAUCCCUUCAGCUUCUCCUGCCCCGGCUCUGCCUCCUUCUGCUGACUUACCCAUUGCUCUUCGGAAAGGUAAUCGAUCUACUCGUAAUCCUCAUCCCAUUUACAAUUUUUUGAGUUACCAUCGAUUAUCUUCACCCUAUUCUGCAUUUGUUUCUGCUAUAUCUUCUGUUUCUCUUCCCAAGAGCACCCCUGAGGCUCUUUCCCAUCCAGGCUAGCGACAGGCAAUGGUAAAUGAAAUGGUUGCUUUACACUCCAAUGGCACUUGGGAUCUUGUUGUUUUACCCUCAGGUAAAUCUACAGUUGGUUGUCGUUGGGUCUACACAGUUAAGGUUGGCCCUGAUGGUCAGGUUGAUCACCUUAAGGCCCGCUUAGUUGCUAAAGGCUAUACUCAGGUUUAUGGUUCUGAUUAUGGUGACACUUUCACUCCUGUUUCCAAGAUAGCUUCUGUUCGUCUAUUGCUCUCCAUGGCUGCUAUGCGUUCUUGGCCUCUUUAUCAGUUAGAUAUUAAAAAUGUUUUCCUUCAUGGGGAUCUUGCUGAGGAAGUUUAUAUGGAGCAACUGUGGGAUCCUCCCUAAAAAGUGCCACGUGGCUCCCUCUUCCUUGGACACGCAGACGGCCCCCCUUGCGACAAGUGGCAUCGCUCAUUCCACCCGGACGGAAAUUCUGUACGGCCGACGUUCCACCGUCUCCGGGUAUUUCAAAGCCGGCGCCUGCCGCCGGAUGGAAGAGGAGGGCGAUUCAACUUCCCCGGUCAGACAUGUCCGAAUCCUCUGGUCAUGCUUGCCCGGAGAACAUCCGCAGCCAAAGAUUCAGAUUCCCCGGACAGCUUGGCUCGUCAGACACUCGCGAUUCGCCGGAUCCGCUUCCGCCCACAAUCAAAAAGCAAACUCCGACAAUAUUGACGACCAAGUCUCCUGAACUGUCACUUAUCUUUAAUGCAAGAUACGCUUGACAAAAUAUUCCCAAAUCUUCUCAGAUCGCCUGACGCAUCCCCGAUACCUAAAAUCAUAAAUUGAGGCGACAACCGCCGCCUGAAUACCCUCCUCACAGCCGCCACCUCGCACCAGAAACAUCAUGAUUGCUUCGCUACCCUAUGAGGCGCAAUCAUGACGAUGGGACCCGCUAGCACAGCGAGGCCAUACUCUCUGACUCAUAUAUAAACUCUAAGGAGACCCACAGGAAGGGAGGCAUCCUUGACGAAAAUCACGGGGUAACACUCCCAAAGGAAAACUCUAUUUUCCAACAACUUCCAAAAGACUAACUUAAUCAUCGGAGGGUGUGUCCGGACAACCCAUUCGGACAUCUUUUUUGCAGGAGGAAGGAGGAAUCACUGUAACGCGUUGAUCGAGAUUCCGUUGCUGGUGAUUACUAUUGCAGCAGGGGAAUUUUGCCAUCAACAGCAACCACCUGGUUUUGUUGCUCAGGGGGAGUCUGGUUUAGUGUGCAGGUUACGCCGUUCUCUAUAUGGCUUGAAACAAUCUCCUCGAGCAUGGUUUAGCCGUUUUAGUUCUGUUGUUCAGGAGUUUGGCAUGUUCUGCAAUACAGCAGACCAUUCCGUUUUAUAUCAUCAUAACUCUUCGAGGCAGUGUAUUUAUCUGGUAGUUUAUGUGGACGACAUCGUCAUUACAGGCAGUGAUCAGAAUGGUAUUCAAAAACUAAAGCAACACCUUUUCACCCACUUUCAGACUAAAGACUUGGGGAAACUCAAGUAUUUCUUAGGGAUUGAGAUAGCUCAAUCCAGUUCUGGUGUGGUUCUUUCCCAAAGGAAAUAUGCUUUAAACAUCUUGGAAGAAACCGGUAUGUUAGACUGUAAACCAGUAGACACUCCUAUGGAUCCAAAUGUCAAACUUAUACCAGGACAGGGGGAGCCUUUAGGAGAUCCUGGGAGAUAUCGGCGACUUGUAGGUAAACUGAACUACCUCACCAUUACUCAUUCAGACAUUUCUUUUCCUGUAAGUGUUGUUAGUCAAUUCCUGCAAUCACCAUGUGAUAGCCAUUGGGAUGUUGUAAUCCGCAUUCUUCGAUAUAUCAAAAACACACCAAGCCAAGGUGUGUUGUACGAGAACACAGGUCAUGCCCAGGUUGUUGGCUACACAGAUGCAGAUUGGGCUGGCUCACCCACAGAUAGACGUUCCACUUCCGAGUAUUGUGUUUUUAUUGGAGGUAACCUAAUAUCCUGGAAGAGUAAGAAACAAGAUGUAGUGGCCAGAUCUAGUACUGAAGUCGAGUAUCGAGCUAUGGCUCUGGCAACAUGUGAACUCAUAUGGCUGAAACAUCUUCUUCGGGAGUUGAGAUUUGGAAAGGAUGAACAGAUGAAGCUCAUCUGUGACAACCAAGCCGCUUUGCAUAUUGCAUCCAAUCCAGUCUUCCAUGAAAGGACCAAACACAUUGAAGUUGACUGUCACUUCAUUAGAGAGAAGAUCGCAUCAGGAUGUGUAGCGACUAGUUUUGUCAAUUCAAAUUAUCAACUAGCAGAUAUUUUUACUAAAUCUCUCCGAGGUCCUAGAAUUAAAUACAUUUGUAACAAGCUUGGUGCAUAUAACAUAUAUGCUCCAGCUUGAGGGGGAGUGUUAGAUAGUGUACAGUUAUUUAGGUUAUUUACUUUUCCUUUUCCUUUUCUUUCCUUAUUGUAUUGUGGGUCCCACUAACAUGUAUAUAUAUACCCAAGUCCAAUGUGUAUUCUUCACAACUUUUCAAUAACAAUAAUUAGGGAUUCUCCCUUUUUCUCUCUUUUCACAAGAGCGAUGGUGGAAACUCCAUGGCAAGCCAUCCACAUCUAGCAAAGAGCGAGGUCACAAUGGAGGGUAGCAAAGGAAUAAUGGGCAAGCACACUUGUCUCUUGUUCAACCAGUUGAAGAAAUAUCCCCAGAACAAGGCGGAUUCAAUCAAGAGAAAAUUGAAAAACGGAGAAAUUUGUUAGGAACUCUUUAGAAACCUUUAGGUACCUACUCACUGGCACUUUCAGGUAAGUAUCUUAUUUCCAUUGGAUUAAAAGUGUCAGAUGAAACCUUUACCAAUUCAUAGGUUAUAGAUUUAGGUGUCACAAAUCACAUGACUCAUUCAUCACACCAAUUAAUAACUAUAACCCUUAUCCAAGCAAUAGGAAAAUAGCUACAAUUGAUGGUUCAUUAACCAGCAUAGCAACUAUAGGAAAUGUCCAAAUUAAUCCUACACUCACACUUAGAAAUGUGUUUUAUGUUCCAAAGUUGUCUAUUAAUGUUGUCUCUAUACAAAAGCUUACAAAAGAUUUGGGUUGCAACGUAAUUUUUUACCCUACUCAUUAUGUAUUUUAAGACCAAGAUUUGGGAAAGAUGAUCAAACUUGAAAAGGAACGAAACAAACUAUACUACCUUAAGACACCAAGCGAAUCAUUCAUAUCUUUUCUUUUUUAGCACCACCUUUUCAAUAAAGAAAAAAUUUGGCUUCAUUACCAUAGGCUUAGACAUCCGUCCUUCAGAACUCUUAAGAUCUUAUUUCCUACUCUAUUUAGGAGAUUAGGUGUUGAGAGUUUUCAUUGUGAUGUAUGCGAACUAGCCAAACACAAGCGUACAACCUUUAAAACUAAUAAUAAAAGAAGUUCAGAUCAAUUUUCAUCUAGUUCAUAAUGAUAUUUAGGGUCCUUUCACUGUCCCUAAUAUAUUUAGGGCACACUAGUUUGUGUCUUUCAUCGAUGAUUGUACUAGAGUUUUUUGGGUCUUCUUAGUUAAACACAAAUCCAAUGUGAGUUUUAUUCUCCCAAAUUUCCACAACAUGAUAAAAAACCAAUCUUGUGUCAAAAUCAAGAGGUUUCAAUUUUACAACACAUAAGAUUAUUUCAAUCAAGUUCUAACUCCAUAUUUUCAACAUGAAGUAAUAAUUCAUGAGUCAUCGUGAAUAAACACCCCACAAUAAAAUGAAGUUGCUAAGAAGAAAAAUGGUCACCUCCUUGAUACAACACAAGCAUUUUUAUCCCAAAAACAUGUGCCUAAAUCUUAUUAGGGGAAGUCAUCCUAACCGUCACAGAUCUCAUAAACCAAUUACCUUCCAGAAUCAUAGCUUUCAAAAGUCUUAGGACCUUUUAUCCUAAUAUGAGAACCACAAACCAUCUCAUUCCUAAAAUAUUUGGAUGUGCAUUCUUGGUGCAUGUUCAUAGUUAAAAUAAUGGAAAAUUGGAUCCAAGAGUAGUCAAAUGUAAUUUUAUGGGAUAUUCUUCAACUCAAAAGGGAUAUAAGCAUAUCGUCCACCAUCCAAACAAUUUUUUAUCUUUGCCCAUGUUACUUUCAAUGAAAAUGAGUCUUAUUUUCUCACUCCGUAUCUUCAAGGGGAGAAUUCCAUUCAAGAAAAUAAAGAUCAAGAUUCUUGUUUCAUUGAUCCCUUUCUCAUUAACCUUCCCAAAGCAUCUGAUCCAAUAUCUAUACCCUCCUUCUCUGAACUCAAGUCAUCCAUUAAGCUCAUAGUUACUCUUCAAAAUCGAACGACUGGUGCUCCUAAGGAUCAAAUGAUUGGCAAAGUGCACUCAAGGAAAAAGGUUGUAGUCCCUAAACUUAUACAUGUCCAAGAAUUUAAACCAGCUUCUAGAAAUAAGGUAACAAUUUCUCAUCCUUACAAACUGAAUCAAAACUUUAGUUUGAAAAACCCAUAGAUCAUAACCCCCUAAUUAUUAAAAAGGGCAUGAGGGAAUGCACUAAACGUCCUUUGUAUCCACUUUCCCAUGUUGUAUCAUUCGAAAAGUCGUUUCCAUCCUAUAAAAGUUUUCUUACAAGUUCGAACAAUAUUCAUAUUCCUACCAUUCUAUCUGAGGCUCUAUCAAAUGAAAAUUAGAAACAAGUCAUAAAUGCAAAAAUGGAGGCCUUGGAGAAGAAUAAAACUUGAGAGUUGGUAUUUGCUUGUAGGAAAAAAGCUAGUGAGAUGUAAAUGGGUUUAUACUGUUAAGUAUAGAGCGGAUGGGUCGUUAAAAAGGUACAAAAUGAGAUUGGUGGCCAAAUGAUACACUCAGACAUAUAGCAUGAAUUAUAUAGAGGCAUUUACCCAAUUUCAAAGAUGUACACAGUUAGAAUUUUGUUAUCAUUGGCAACAAAUUAUAAUUGGGAUCUAUAACAAUUCGACAUAAAAAAUACAUUUCUAAAUAGAGACCUGAAAGAAGAGAUCUAUAUAGAAGUCCCUCCCAAAUUUGGAAGUAACUUAAGCACCAAAAGGUGUAUAAACUGAAAAAAAAAAAAAAAAAAAAAACAACAACAACUCUAUACAGGUUGAAAUAGUCUGUAAGGGUGUGGUUUGGAAGGUUCGUCAGAGUGAUGAAAAACAUGGGAUACAAACAAAGUCAAGGAAAUCAUAUAUUGUUCGUUGAGCAUUCAAAUUUUGGGGGAGUUACAGCUCUUCUGGUGUAUGCAGAAGACAUCAUCAUGAUAGGAAAUAAUGAAAAGAAGAGACAAACUUUAAGACAAUGUUUGACCAAGGAAUUUGAGAUUAAAGAGUUAGGAAGGUUGAAAUACUUCCUAGGAAUCAAGGUUGCACAUUCUAAGCAAGGAAUUUUCAUUUCUCAACAAAAAUAUGUAACAGAUUUUCUCAAGGAAACUAGGAAGUUGGCAUGUAGGCCAACAAGCACACCAAUAGAUGUUGUUGUAGAUAAAUAGAUGUAUCAACAUCUGGUAGGGAGACUCAUUUAUCCCUCUCACACAAAACCAAAUAUAGCAUAUGUUAUAAGUGUGAUUAGUCAAUUCAUGCACAGUUCAAAAAAGGUUCAUCUACAAGUUACUAACAGAGGGCUACAGUAUCUUGAAGGGUAUUCAGGAAAAGGCAUCCUAUUUAAGCGAAGCUCAGAGCUUGUACUUAAAGCAUACACAAACGUAAAUCAUAUUGGAUUUGUGGUUGACGAAAGAUCAACCACCGGAUAUUGUACCCUUUUUGGUCGGAAUCUAGUGACAUGGAGAAGUAAAAAACAAAGUUCGGUGGCUAAAUCUAGUGCAGAAGCAAAAUUUCGCACAAUGGCUCAAGGAAUUUGUGAACUGCUAUGGUUGAAGAUCAUUUUGGAAAAUUUGAAGAUUAAAGAGGAUGGCUCAAUGAGACUUUACUACGACAACAAAUCCGUGAUCGAUAUUGUACAUAAUUCAAUGCAACAUGAUCAAACAAAGCACAUAGAGAUAAAAAGGCAUUUCAUUAAGGAGAAACUAGAUAAUGGAUUGAAUUAUACUCCUUAUAUAUCUACUGACCACCAACUUGCAAAUAUGUUCACCAAAGGUUUAAGCAAUACAGUGUUUCAAGCAAGUGUAUCCAAGUUGGGAAAGAAAAACAUUUAUUCACCAGCUUAAGGGGAAGUGUGGAAGAAUGUAAUUAGGAAAGAUUAUAACUGUAUAAUUUUGUAAUUAAGGAGACAAUCAAGACAAUCCCGUAAUCAAGGGGAUUUGGUAUAAUUAAGUUAAAAAGGUUUCCAUUUUUUUUCUUAGAAUAUGGGUAUAAAUAUGUGGGUUUAUACAAAUUGAAAAUCAAGGAAGAACUUCAUUCUUUUUAUUCCUUCUAAUUCAGCACUUUCAUAAUUUUUUUUUUUUUAUAGGAAACAACAAAGGAAUAUAUUGAUAAAAAUGAGAUACAAUAGAAGGAUAAGGAAUCCUCCCACCAAAGAAAAACAAGACUACAAGUAAUCAAAUAUAAGAAAAUACAAAGAGAGAACAAGCAAACACUCUAGUUACACACCGCUAACCAAUCAAGUUGUAACACGUUAAGAAGUAUCCCCUUAAAAACCUUAGAAUAAAAAGCCCAAAGAGAAACAAGAAAACGAAUAGAAUUCCAAAGAUACUCUGAAUUCUUUGCUUUAUCCUCAAAAAUCCUUGCAUUUCUUUCCCGCCACACCACCCACAUUAACGCGAUGCACGUGUCUUGCCAUAAAACAAUCCCUCUCUUAGAAAAUCCAAAACCAUUAAAAUUAGUAGAUAACAUGUCAGAUAUGUUCUUUGGGGGAACCCAAUCCGUCUUUGCUAAAUGAAAUAAUCUGUGCCACAAUCCCAUCGUCAAAGAGCAAUGGAGGAAAAGGUGAUCAACUGUUUCUCCAUGCUUCAUGCACAUUUUACAUAUGUCGGGACUAAGUGCUUUAUGGGGUCUUCUCAAUUGUAGCAAGUCAUUAGUAUUAACCUUCUUGUGAGCCACCAACCAGACAAAGGACUUGACUUUGAAGGGGACUUGAGAAUUCCAGACAAACUUGGUAGGGAAAACUGGAGGCGACUCAGAAUAUUGAGAUAAGGCCAAAAAAAAGAUUUGACUGUGAAAAAUCCUGAAGGAGAUAAAGACCAGGAUCUCUUAUCUGGAACCAAAGGUGAUAUGUGUAGACGAUCAAGAGACCACAUAAGGCCUUCUAAAUCUUCUAUCUCAGAAUCAGAAAGAUUUCCACGAAAGUUGAAAUUCCAAGAGAAAGGGCGGGUAUAUCCAAGGAUUGAUGAAAUAGGAGCAUUUUUAUCCGUGACUACACUAAGUAAUCUUGGAUAUUGGACUCCCAAAGGUUGAUCCCCCCACCACAAGUCUUCCCAGAACCGAAUUCUAUCCCCAUCACCUACCACAAACCGAGUAAACUUGGAAAACUCUUGGAAGACCAGUGCAAUGGCCUUCCAAGGACAACGAUGUGACCAUCUAACUAUAUUGUUGACAUCCCAGCCAUUGGAGUGUGAUCCAUAAAUGCUUAGAAUAACCUGAUGCCACAGAGCUGAACCCUCCCUAAGAUAUCCCCACAACCACUUCCCUAAGAGAGCGACAUUCCUUACAGAAAUCUUUCCAAAACCCAAUCCUCCUCUCGAUUUCGGCUUACACAUUACGUCCUAACUAACCAAAUGAUCUCUUUUGCCUUCCCCUACGCCUGACUAUAAAAAAUCUCUUUGCAAUCUCUCAAUUUUUGCUGCCACUGAGGCGGGAAUCUUAAACAAGGAGAGAAAGUAACAUAGCAUAUGGGUGAGACAAGAUCGAAUGAGGGUUAUCCUGCCUCCAAAAGAUAAAUACGUCUUUUGCCACCCAUCUAAUCUCCUUGAUAUCCUCUCUAUACAGGAUCCCAAAAACCACACGCCUUAGGAUUCCCUCCCAGAGGAAGACCCAGGUAAAGUAUAGGCCACCCAGAAGCCUUGCAGUCAAGCAUCUCGACCAACCUAGAAAGAUGAUUCUGUUCAAGAUUAAUGUCAUAGAUAUUGCUUUUGUCAAGAUUAACUUUCAACCCGGAAAUAUGCCCAAACACUAGCAAAACAUUCUUAAGGGUCAACAUAUCCUCUUCUCGAGUACUAGAAAAGAAAAUGGUAUCAUCUGCAAAUUGUAAAUGGGAUACCCUUAUUCUGUUCCUACCCACCCUGAAACCCUCCAAGACGUUUCUCUCCUCAGCUCUCAAUAACAUCCUACUCAAUACAUCUGCCACUAUAGUGAACAAAAAAAGGGAUGAAGGGUCGCCUUGUCUUAAACCUCUAGAUGCCUUAACCCACCCUUUCGCAUUACCGUUCACUAGGACUGCAAAAGAAAUCGAGGACAAGCAACCUCUCAUCCAUUUCCUCCAUCUAGGACUAAACCCCUUCAUCUCCAACACAUGAUCCAAAAAAUCCCAACUCACGUGGUCAUAAGCCUUUUCAAAGUCAAUUUUGAAUACAACUCCUUCCUCCCCUGAUCUUCUUUUCUCAUCCACUAUCUCAUUGGCUAUGAGAAUUGCAUCCAAAAUUUGUCUCCCUUGAACGAAGGCUCCUUGAGUAGAAUGGAUGGUUUCAUGAAGUACCCCUCUUAGACGCCCUGCUAACACUUUGGCUAUUAUCUUGUAAAGACUAGUGAUCAAGCUAAUAGGUCUAUAGUCUGAGAUUCUCUUUGACAUGCCUUUUUUGGGUAACAGAACUAUAAAGGAAGCGUUGGUGCUUUGAUUGAUAAUUCCGCUCCUAUGAAAUUCUGCAAAUACUCUCACUAGAUCCUCCUUUAUCACUUCCCAACAAUCUUGAAACACUGCAAUGGUAAAGCCAUCCGGCCCCGGAGCCUUAUCCCUAUCCAACUGAAAAAUGGCCUUAGAAAUCUCUUCUUCAGUAAAGGGGGAUUCCAACCUAGACGCACUCUCACCAGAAAUAGGGGAACAAUCUAAGCCUUCCACUCUCCAAGGUUCUCCAGAAGGACUCGCGUAGAGCUUUUCGAAAUACCUUAAUAUCUCCUCUUUGAUGCUCUCUGAAUUAUUCAACAUUAGGCCACUUUCAUUUUCCAACUCCUUGAUAAAUUUCCUAUUUUGCCUGCCAAUGGCCACUUUAUGAAAAAAUUUUGAGUUACAAUCCCCUUCUUUUACCCAUUUCACCCUAGUUUUUUGUCUCCAAUGUAUUUCUUCCCUCAAAAUCAACUCCUCUAGCUCCCCUUUUUUUAAAGCUCUCUGGACUAAAAGUGCAUGGGAUAGGCCCCCUUCUUGCUCCAAGGUAUCAAAAUUAGCUAAAUCAGAUAAGAUAUCUUUUUUCCUUUUACUUAGCUCUCCAAAAGAAGCCUUAUUCCACUCUUUCAAUUUGGCUUUAACGAACUGUAAUUUCCUCAUGAACUUGUGCCCUUCCCACCCAUUUCCUUGAAACUCUCUCCACCAACUUCCAAAACUCUCCUUAAAACUAGGAUGUUGCAACCACAUAUUCUCAAACCUGAACGGCGUUGGUCCCCACUUGAACGGAUUGGUUUCCAAGACAAUCAGCCAAUGAUCCGAUGUCCAUCUUGGAAGAACUCCUUGAAGACUUUGAGGAAAUACUUGUUCCCACUCAUUUGAGUACAGGAAACGAUCUAAUCUCUUGCAUACUAGAUGCUCUUGCAUGUUUGACCAAGUAAAUGGUGCGCUCCUUAAAGGUGAAUCUAUCAAUUCGCAAUCUCUUAUGAAAUCAUCAAAAUCCUUCAUACUUGGGGUUAAUCUAAAACCUCCCAAUUUUUCUGAACUUCUCCUUAUGACAUUAAAAUCGCCGCCCACACACCAACGCGGGAGAAGAAAGCCCAACAAUGUCUGAAAGCUCCACCCAAAAAUCCUUCCUGAGAGCUGAGUUGUUUGGGCCAUAAACUGCAGAUAGCCAUAAUGAUUCGCAUCCGUCCAGUGCGAACUUGAUUGAGACCGAAAAAGAACCUAACACUACCUCCUCCCUACGCAAUUUUUUAGAGUCCCAUAUGAUCAAAAUCCCACCCGAAGCCCCACUGGUCAGAAGGGCUGCCCAUCUUUAUUUCUAGUUGUCCAAACACUACCCACGAACCUUCUAUCACACUCCGCCUUUUUUGUUUCCUGAAUCAUCACUACAUCCGGUUUUUCUGAUCUCAGAAAAUCUUUAACCACCCUUCUCUUUUUCUUUAAACCCAAACCCCUAGUAUUCCAACUGAUUAUCUUCAUGUGAAAACUCACUGACCCUGAUCUCCGAACCAAAUCCAACUAGUCUCACAAUCCUGUGGAGCAUCUGUUCUUCCUCCUGGAAUAUACCUUGAUAUCCAGAGUCUUUAAAACCUCACGUACUUUUUCCAUUUUCCUAGGGGACAGUCCUUCUAUUUGGAACUCGCCCGAAGGAGAGCCCGCAAUACCUCCCUGGUUAACUGCAACCAUACUGGAGUCCUUGAUAGGCGAUCUUAGAUUAGAUGAAAGAGGGUUGACACUCUCGAACAUCUGGUAUGGACAAGUUGGCUGGAUCGCCUCCAUUUCUAAAUUAGGGAUAUCAACAGAAGUUUGACCUACAUAAGCAUCGUUGACUUUUUUGAAAAAAAAUUCAGAAUUUACUCGAUUUUUCAUAGGAACCUGAGGUUGAGAAACUGAACUGGGAAGCAUGGGGGUAGAAGGACUCAGAAUGGGGACAGAAGGAUUCAUGAGGAAAUAAGUGAAGCCACUAGAAGGAGAUAUAUAUGGCUGGGGAGAUUGAAAAAGUGAUGGCGUUACCUCCAGAUUUUCCGCAACCAUCGAACCACAAUUCUCCAACAAGCUAGGCCCUUUACCUCUGGUUUCUGACGUAGAAGGCAUAACCAUGACUAUUGAGCCACAAGGAUCAGACCCCACUCGGCCCAAAAAUCCUUCCAUGUCUUCGUCGGAUGAAAAAUUGUUCAGAUCCGCUUCAUUUCUCGGCGACGAAGCCCCUUCCCUUAAAUUCUUCUUACAAAACCUUGGAAAUCGACGAGAAAAGAGAGGGCUUGCACUUAAUCCUCUUUUUGCCUAAGAUUCGGCACCUGAAGCCUCUGCCUUUGGGUCCUCUUCGCUGUCCGCCUUGAUCUUUCGGCGCAAAAUGGGCUCGCUGCAACACCCGAUUCCCUGUCCGUGCUCAGAGCUUGGGGGAAAGAAGGUUGACCACAGCUUCCUUGAACCGUACAACACCUUCUUCUUCACAAACCUGCUCGACUGAACCUCCAGGAGUCCAGGAGCUGUUUUCCCCUUUUCGUUUGCAGAUGAGUCUUCUUCCUUGCAUAACGACGCCACUGUCUCAACUGGGAUAAACUCUUCUGGGCUUAGGCCCAACCCCAGCAGGCCUUUAAGCUUGCAGCCCAUUAUAGCUACUCUUGGACCAGGCUUUGACAGUGACUGGGUCUUCCUCUCACAGGCCCGACAGCCCACAUCGGCGAUGGCCUCGUCUUCUCCGGCCCAAUCUCCUCCCACUUCUUCAAUCCCGUCUAGCCCAUCUGCUGUCUUAUUUGAAUUCAAACGAGACUGCGAUGGGAGCUGGCAGCCCUUGCCACGUUUGUCGACUGAGGUAAGCACAGCCUUACCCCUUUCUCCCUCCUUCCUUUGUCUGCUAUCUUCCCCGACACGAUAUCUUCCCCCCGCCGUUGAUCUGCCUCUCUCCCCUCGUCUUCCUCCACCUGUCCCCAAGUGAGAAGCGAUAGCCACCCGAGUCAGCUCACCCUUUUCACUACCUCUUCGUCUUUCUUCAUCUCCGACCACUACGAUGACGACUAUAAACACCCAAUCCCCAUCAGUCACCUCUAACAGAGCUGGAAGGAUUGCCCUAUCCUUCAUUGCGAUCUUUAACCUCGCCCUACUAAGAUCGAACAGUUUCAAUGUUCGCCAAUCAAUUUCAUUUACCGUCCCUCAUUGCUCCACAAUCUUCUUCAGGUGUACCUCCGACCAUAGGUGAAAUGGCAACCCCCGUAAUUCGAUCCAGCCUUCUCUAAACUUCCCAUCUAUUUCCGCAUUUUCCUUCAGCGACCAUCUUCGCAACUGGAUUAUGUUCCUUUCCCCAACCUUUAAAUUCCUCAAAUCAUGGAGAAAUAUAGCUUCCUCAAUUGUUUCAACAAAAAAUACACCAUUUCCAGCUAAAAUGGGUACAAUCGUUACAACGCCUUUCUUCCCUAAGCUUCUCGCCACCGAUCUUCCAACCUCAGCCCAAUUCUCUCUGUCAAACUUGCUUUCACGUACCACAGCUCGCGCCCACCUCCCAACUGGAACUAGACCACCUCCUCUUGGUCCUUCAUCACUGACUGCCUUCGCAUAGGAUCUAUGCAUAGAGCCCACGUUAUUGUGAGGCCAGCUUUCCCCCUCUAAUAUUCCUUCCUUUUACUACUGCAUUCGGAUAGGGGACCACCAACAUUGAAGACAGCGCUUUUUUAAUAUUCUCCCAACCUCUGCCCUUGUCGCCCUCAGGAAUGAUCAGAACGGAAGAUUUUGUUGGUAGCAAACUCCGAGAUCCUUAUGAACCUUCCAUGGUUGUUGAAACCAACUUCCAUCAGAUGGACCCUGCAUUUUCCCCUGAAUUUUCUGUUGAAACCCAUGUGACUCUUCAAUGCUAUGGCUUUCGUCAAAUAUUCAACCAUCCACCCAACUGCUUCCUUUUCAAAACCUAAUGCAAAAAACAAAGCCUCUACUUAUCUCUGUCAUUGAACACCACUCGCCUCCUUGCUCGCCUUCCAACCUAAUCAAGAAAGUCUUCCUCUCCACCAAGACCUUCAACGUCUUCCUCUCCAUUUGUAAAUUUCUCUUUCGGCUAUGUUACCCUUUCAGCACUUUCAUAAUGGAGAAUGGAGAAUAUCAUUUCCAUCAAAGUCAAAAUCAUAAUUGCAUUAUAUUCACAAAUCAUAAUUAAUAUAAUCAUCAUCAUGACAAAAUCAUAAUCAAAAGUUAUUUUGUAACAAAUGAGAAUGAUAUGAUCUCCGCCAAUGAUCAUUUCUAAUAUCCCUUUUGUAAUUUAGAUACAGCACCCACUUCUAACAAUCAUCAUAACCAUUAAAAGCAUUACUCUAGCUUAAUGUCUGAUUAAUUACAUAGGUUGAGAGCAUAAACUAUUUCAUAACUUACCUUGUUAGAACUAUUCACCUAACUAAUCUAAUGGAAAUGACAAUCAUCCAUAGUUGUUAAUGGCAUGCUUAAAGAGUGGCUAGGCCCAAGGAACAACCACUCCCUAGUUAUAGCACCUUACUUGCCAAGGCAUGCACCUUGUUGAAAAGGCAUACCUCAUCUAUUUUACAUUUUCUUUUUAAACACUUCAAUUUUCAAAAUUUCUAAUUGUAUAUUGAAAUUUAUAUAAUUUCAUUACCUUUUUGUUUUUCUAAUUGUAUAUUGAAAUUUAUAUAAUCUCAUUACCUUUUUGUUGAAUGCAUCUUUUAAAUGUUUGUUACUUUGACUGGAUUUUGAAUCAUAUUUUACAGAAUUGAUAUGCAUCCUAUGUCGUGUUUCACUUCGCUCAAAUACUCACCUUAUAAUGUACCUUGUGCCUAAGCCUUAAGAGACUUUUGUGAAUUCGGUGCGCCUUGUGCUUUUUAAACUAUGUCAUAAACAAACAUUAUAUCAAGAUGAUCAAUAUUAUUCAUUCAUUAGUAAGUCCCAUUUGAUAAAUUCAAGUUCUUUUCUCCCAAUAGUAUUUCCUUGAAUCAACUCUUAAACAAGAUCCUAAUAUUCAAUCCAAUUUAAAGAUAAUGAUCCAUAGUUCAAUAUUAAAAACAUAAAUCAUUAGUCCCACAAAGAAGUUAUAGCAAUUAGAACAACGUCAAAGCAUUCCUCAAGGAACAAGGGCACAAAAUUUAUGUUAUAGUUAUAACCAACCAAUGAUUGUGACAUUUUAAUACAUAUAUGUGCACAGUGUUUUAAACAGCUAUUGAGGCUAACGCCUUGAGGCUCGCCUUUACAAAUUAGCCUUGAAGUCAUAGCCUCAAUUUCGAUAAUUGAGGUUUAAGUCUCAACCUCCUGAGGCCUAUAGCUUUAAGGUAUAUCCUCAAGGCUAUUAAGGCCUAAACCUCAAAUAUCCAAAGGGUUUUAAGCCUUUAUAAGCUUUUGAUAUAUAUUUUAUUUAUUUCAUUUUUUUAUAAGCACUUUGGGUAUAUAUUUUAUACAAGGCUUUUGAAUAUCAAACCUUAAUAUUCAAUUUUAUUAUGUGUUCUAUCAUCUAUGCUAUUGUGGACUUUUGAUAUGGACUUCAUGAGUUUUGUAUUGGGUCUCAACUUGGUUAAAGCUCAUUUUUUUUUUUUAUCAGAAACGAAGAAAUUUAUAUUAAAAGAAGAAAAGAUACAAGAGAAAAAGAAGAAAACAAGAGAAGGAUGAGAGGUCCUUCCCACUAAAACAAAAACUGAGCAAAAGAGAAAACACCCAACUUUAGAAAGCUUAUAUGGAAUCAAAGCUUAGUUGCCUUCCAAUUAACCUUUCAAAUGGAAGGAAAAAUGGGCAAUUAAGAAGAAAAAAUAAGGGAAUUGUUGACCAUCCUAUUAGUUGAUCUAAUAUACAAUCAUUAUCUUAUUAUUGAUAGAUAAGAAAAAAAUACCACUACAAUUUGGACUUGGUUCCUCCUGUAAGUAUUUGCGAUAGGAUGAUCAUCUCAUAUAAGAGAUUGGGAAGCUCCAUUAGAGGCAAGGUUCUUUGGAAAAUGACUUGUGUCGCUUUGAUUUAGGUUGUUUGUCGGGAAAGAAAUGUUAGGAUUUUUUAGGACAAAGCAACAACUUCAAAGGCUCUAUGGGAUAUCAUUCAUUUCUUUGCUUCCUUUUGGGCCUCUAGCACCACAACAUUUAAGGGCAUUCCCCUUAAUGUGGUCCAACUCAAUUGUUUUUCAGUGUAGAUCGAAAGGUGUGAGUUAGCAAGGAGAAAUCUCUUGAAAGGAAAUUAUUCUAAUAUUAGAACUAUGAGUUGUUUUUUGCAUAUUCCCAUGUGUUAUUUUACUAUUGUAUAGGUUUACUUAGUACUUUGGAGGCCUCAAACAUUAUUUCUAAUUAGUUUGUUGUAUUUUUUAGAAGAUUUUUCAUCCUUCUUUUAUAUUUAUUUAUCCUAAAUUCCAUAAAUUUGAAAAAAAAAAUACUUCAAUUGGUAGACAAAGAAAAAGAAGAAUGGGAGGAUGUUAACACUGAAGAGGAGGAUAACAUAGCAAAUGGAUACAAUUAUAUUCCUUAGAAGAUCCUACUAGUGAUAAUAACAAUAAUAUUGAAAAUUAUAUGACAAAAAUAUGAGAGAGAAAGAGGUAAAUUUUAGAAGAAAGAAAAAGGAACUAAAUCAGAAACAAUUAACAAUGACAAGAUACUUACUCUUAUCAUUACGAAGUUUAUACAUUUUUAUUAUUCAAUUUUCAUAUGAUUUAAUCAGUAUUUUUCUGAUUUAUUUGAUAAUUUAUUAUUUAUUUUCUUAAUUUGAGGCUUACGCCUUGUUUGCUUCAAGGCUUACACCUUGCCUCAUUUUGGCAAAAUGCCUCAAGACCGUCUUUAGCUUUUCAAAACAUUGUAUGUAUGCACAUACAUAAACACAUGCUACAGCUGUUAAUAUGGAGAAAACUUAUGCCACUGAAGAGGCAAAGGGCCUAUAUGAUUCUAUAACAUCUACAUUACACUUUGCAACAUAGCACACUAGUAAUUAUACCUUCAAUCAAUCCAAAAAGUGCUUUGGGUGCAUGAAUGUGAAAAGAAACUUUUUCACUAGCCAUUUUUCUUGCUUCAGUCUCUUCAGUGACUUUAUCAAAAACAAAAUUCUCCAGAUCCAUGUUUUCAUACACCAACAAGGCUUCAACUUCAUUACUAGAGUCAUCUAAAUGAGGCAACUCAUAAGUAGGACAGCUUGAGAGGGCUUCUUUACAAUAUGUCCCAAUAUUUGUCAACAGAUGACAUACGCCCUGCAUCAAAUUCCAGAAAUAAAUGUCAAUCUUCUAGGAAAAAGGAAUGCAUAAAACAUACACCUAGUCCAUCUACUUAUAAAAAGUAAAAGUAUGGAGGAUGUGGUUUGUUUUUUCCUUUUUUUCUUUUUUUUUUUCUUUUUUAUUUUUGGCCUAUGCAAUUAAAGAACCAAAGAACUGGAAAUAUAAACUCACAACCAACUAGGAAAGGGAAAAUCGAUGUUAUGUGCAAACAUAAAUUUCUCAUCCAUAUCUUCAAGUUAAACCACAAUUUUCAAAUAUGAAACCUAGAUUAGAACUUUUUCUAAAGACGAUUAAAACUUUUGUUAGUCACCUAAUAGAUCAUCAAUCAGAAGCUCAAAUUCUACCUACAUUGCUUUGUUGCCUAUGAAAGUAUGAUCAAUUCAAUUAGAAUUUCACUUCUUCUUCUUUUUCUUUUAUUUUUUUUGUGACGCAUAACUGUUAAGUCUAUUUCAAUUCGUGAUUUAUUUUUGUCAAGUUUCAAAGCUAGUUCCCAUGCCCAACCCUUAAUUUGCAAAACCAAUGAUGAGUUAAAUUCUUCUUAGAACUUACCAUAGUUAGUUUAGAUUAAGUUGAAUCUUUUAUUAAGUUUCUAUUUUAGUUUUUUUGUUUUUGUUUUAGUUUGUUAAGUCUAUUUAAGUUCAUAAUUUAUUUUUGUCAAGUUUCUAUUUCCUUCAUUUUCUAAAUAAUAUUAAUUUCCUCUUUUUUUAUUUUUGCAAGGAAAGAUAAGGAAUUAUGAAAGUUGUCCUAUUAAGGAAGAAGGUCAUAAGAGUCAACACAUAAAAAGUUUUCAUAUCUAUUACUCUUCCUUUGAGAGUAUGAUUGUCUUCUUCCCAAGUGCAAUUACUUAGGAAACUCUAGGUGUGAGUGCCUAGAAUCCUUGGUAUGAUCAAGGAUGAAAAUAUCGAUUUUAACGGAUAUAUCGGUAACUCAAUUUUACGAACAUAUUAGGAUAUAUCAAGAAAUAUUGUUGGAUAUUUUGACACAAAAUAUCGAUGAAAAUAAAAUUGAUAAAAAAACUCAUAAAUAUGUUGAGAAAAACUCAAUAAAUGUUAAAAAAUAAUAAUACAUAUAUAGAAGUAUACACACACACGCGUGUAUAUAUAUAUAUAUAUAUAUAUACACUUGUAACAUUAGACAAUAAUAUAUUGAAUUUAAUAACAUAUAAAAAUUUAAUGUAUUUAAUUUAGAUAUAUUGAAUUAUAUGAAAGAAUGAUGAUAUAUAUAAGUAUUUUUUAAAAAAAAUAUUGAUUAUUUUUAUUUUAAAAUAUUGAUUAUUUUUAUUUAAAAACAUUGAUAAUUUAUUUAUAGAUUUACAUUUGUUUUGUAUUUAAUUAUUAUAUUAUUUAUAGAUUUACAUUUGUCUUGUAUUUAAUUAUUAUAUAAAACUUAUUUAUAAGAAUUUUAUUUUAAUUAAUUUAUAAUAUAUCAUAUGUAAAAGAUAUACAUAAUUUGAUUUGCAUUUAUAGGAAAAAGCACGUUUGGUCUAAUGGUAGAGGGGAGCCUUCCCAUCAUCAAGGUCAGAAGUUCAAUCCUUCCGUAUGCACCUUUAAAGGUGGUUUUUCUAUUUAGAUUUGAAAACCAAUCCCACAUAGGAAGUGGAAAAGAAAGCAAUCCUAUAUUUAAGGCUUGUUGCCCCCAAUUCUUGGUACAAAUCACACGUGAUCUAGAACAACCAUACCGCUCAUCAAGCCCAAGCCCACCUACCAAGCUGAAUUUUGAGGGAAAUUAAAAAAAUUUCCGUGACAUGAUCAAAAACUUCCAAUAUAUCGGGAAAUAUUGGCCUAAUAUCACAAUUUUGCUGAAAAAUCAGCGAAAUAUGGGAAAAAAUAAUGAAAAAUCUAUAAUUUAAAAUAUCUAUGGAAUUAUCGUGUCGGUCCACCUCGAUACUCAAUUUAUCGACAAUAUUUCGAUGAUUUAUCCCGACAUUUCUGUCCUUGGGUAUGAUUGCCCAAGAUCUAUCUCUCUUUUUUUUUUUUUUUUUGCCUUUCCUUUCCUUUUAUCUUCUUUAAUCGAUCAUAUUAUUAGACAACACAAAAACAACUUCUAUAGAGUUGGAAUUUUGAAAAUCCUCAUCAAAGAGGCAUUAAAGUUCCAUGACAAUAUGCUUGCAAGCAAGGUUGUGAGUUGAGAUGGGAAAUUGUUACUGUUUAUGAACCUUGCAAGGAUGAUUAAUAGGGAGGCUAAAUGAGGUUCAUAGCCUCCAUGUGUUUGGGGCAUCAAGAUGCACUAUCUCCUUUCCUUUCUUACUAUGGCAAUUGACAAUCAUGAGAAUGAGCAAAAGGAAGUAAAGAAAGGUAGUUUGGUAGUUUUCAAAUUCCAUUGGUUUAUAGUCACCCGCCAAGAUAGCUCAAUUGGUCAAGGUGAACAUUGGGAAGUGGCACAUGGUCCCUAGGUUUGAAUUCUGCUACUGAUGAUACCCUGAAUUUAGUCAGUGUUAAUUCUUGCGAGGUGGUCAACACACUGAGGUUUGGGUCCCCAUGGAGAGUCCUAAGGACUUGGUCAUGGAAGGUUCCUUGAUUACCCAAAAAAAAAUCCAUUUGUUUGUGGUCAAAGUUAGUAUUAUUUAAUUAUUUGAGACCUAUUUAGGAUUUAGAAAUCUAUUUUAUUAGACAUAUCUCAUUAAAAGAGGAGAAAGAGAGAGAUAAAGAGAGGAAGAAAGAGAAAGAGGGAAGAGGGGGACGAGAAAUGCUAUGGAUGGCACAUAAAUAAGAGCAGUCCACUAUAAGUCCAUGGUUAUGAGAAGAGAUAAAGGUAGUGUACUCCUAAAGAUCCCAAGAAUAUUUAAAAUUCAUAUUAUCUGAUAUAUGAUGCUAUGAACCGUGGGGAAAACAAGAGACACUCAGGAAAAGUUGGGAUCCACUCAAUCAUCCAGCCAAAUUUUAUCAUGAGAGGUAACAUUUUGAUCAAGGUGUUGCUGUCUUUUGAUCCACUGCUUCACAGCAUCCCAGUUCAAAAGUUUUUUUUUUUUUUUUUUUUUGAUAAAUAUCCCAAUUCAAAAGUUUGAGGUUCCUGAACAGUAAAUACCUCUAACAAAGAUACUUUGACUUUUUGAGGGCCUAAAGAGACAUAACCACCUUAUGUUUUAUGCAAUCAGUUUUUUGUUGACAUCAAUAUGUGCUUGCUUUCGCCUAAGAAAAUGGAGAAUGUUUUGGCAUCAUUGGUACCCCCUAAAGUCAAUGCUCAUGAUAUUCUUGAACUUUGUAGGUCUUACAAGGUUAUUCACCCUAAAAGAUGUAAUUUAUGCUCAAAGAGUGGACAAUCAAUUGGCCACCAUUCAUUCCUUCAUUCCCUGUGUCUUUUGAGUUUCAAAUGUGCCUUUUUUUUUUCUUCUUUUUUUUUUUAUCAAUAAGCAAGCAAUAGAUUAAAAGGCAAAAAGCCACAAGGCAUACAGGGAGUAUACACAGCAGCCUAACCCAAAAGACACAAAAAACAAACACCCUCACCAGCCCUUAAGUGGACGCUAGCCACUCCAAAAAGAAUACGAGAGACAAGGACUCCCCACCAAUGUACACCCGAGCCCAACUCCAAAUAUUACAAACAAAAGAAUUUUUGAGCUUCUAUAUAGCUAAAAACCCUCCCCUAAAAGCUAACCUAUUCCUCUCUUUCCAAACCGUCCAAAAAAUACACAACGGGAUGGAAUUCCAAAUUUUUUUUCUUUUUUUCCCCACAAAAGGGCCUUUUUAGCUGAAUAACACCUCUUUAACUGUCUCUGGGAACACCCACGGAACCCCAAACAAGGCGAGAAUGAUCUCCCAGAGGACCCUAACCACUAUACAGUGUAAAAGAAUGUGAUUUACAGUUUUUUCGUCACAACCACACAAAAAACAACGGUUGGGGAGCUGCCACCCCCACUUCUGAAGCCUAUCCAGGGCAAGAAUCUUCCCCUAAGUGGCCUCCCAAGCAAAAAAAACAGCUUUGGUUGGAACAUUAUCCACCCAAAUGUUCUUCUUCGGGAAAGCGAAGUCAUUGGGGGUGACUAGCAGAAAAUAAGCGUCCUUAACCCUAAAAAUACCACCUCCCCCACCUUUCCAAAAAACCGAAUCCUCCUCUGAAGAUACUCUAUAGUCCCUCAACAAAUUCAGCAACUCACCUAUCAAAUCCAACUCCCAAUCAUUAAAGUCUCUAGAGAAUCUGAGGUUCCAACCUCCAUGACCAAAACUAGAGUCCCACACUUCAUUAACCGUUGCAUUCCUCUAGACCGUCAAAGAGAAUAAUUGGGGGAAGAUUUGAGACAGCGUUGCACUGCCACACCAAUGAUCAGUCCAGAACUUAAUUUUAGUCCCUUUACCCACUUUAAACUGGAAGUUAUCCCAGCACCAGCAUGCCUCUUUCAGAAUCUCCUUCCAAACCCCCACUCCAUACGCCCCACGAACCUCAUUAGUCCUCCACCCAAGACCCUCUUGGCCAUAUUUCACCAACAGCACUUUCUUCCAAAGAUUAUCCUUUUCAAUGGCAAAUCUCCAAACCCAUUUCCCAGCAAGGCCUUGUUCAGAAGGAUAAUCUUCCUUCAGCCUAGGCCCCCCUUCUCCUUUUAAGCGCACACCACCUCCCAAUUGAUUAAAUGGACUCUCCUUUCCAAGCUUCCCCCUCCCCAAAGGAAGUCUCUUUGUAAUUUUUCCAACCUUUUUGCAACAAUCUUGGGCAUUCGAAAAAGAGACAAAUAGUAAAUCGGCAUGCUAGCCAGUGUGCUCUUAAUAAGGGUGAUUCUCCCACCUUUGGAGAUAUAUUGUCUUUUCCACAAAGCUAGUCUUCUCCUCAUUCUCUCUUCCACCCCAUCCCACAUAGAAGGAGUCUUGUGAUAGGCUCCUAAAGGCAGCCCCAAAUAAACAGUGGGCAAAGACCCCACCCCACACCCUAGCUCCACUACCAUUUCCUUAAUCUCUUCCACCUCUCCAACCAGAAUUAAUUCACUUUUGGCCAGAUUGAUCCUUAAUCCGAAAGCAGCCUCAAACUAAGCCAAAAUCCAGCUCAAAAAAGUUAGAUUCUCUUUCCUUACUUCACAGAAUAUGAUUGUAUCAUCAGCAAAGAGAAGGUGGGACACAUUUAACUCCAUCCUACCUCCCCCCCCCGAAGCUUACAGCCUGAAAUGAACCCCCCAUCCACAGCCCUUCUUAAAAGUGCACUUAGCACUUCCAUUCCCAACACAAAAAGGUAAGGAGAAAGAGGGUCUCCUUGACGCAGCCCCUUGGUGCUUGAGAAGAAGCCUGCAGGAACCCCAUUGACUAGAACAGAGAACUUGGCAGUUAAGAUACAACUCCAGAUCCACUCCAUUCACCAAGGCCCAAAGCCCAUCUUAUGCAAAACCUUCAUAAGAAAAUUCCAAUUUUUUUUUUUUUUGAUAAAUAAGCACUGAAUAUAUUAAAAAGAGGCCAAAAAGCCACAAAGUAUACAAGGAGUAUACAAACCAACUAAGCCUCAACCAAAAAGAAAGCAAAAAACCCCACCAACCCUUAUCUGGAGGCUAACCACUCCAAGAAGCCUAUAAGGGACAGCGAAUUCUCUCCACUAUACAAUCUAGCCCAACACCAUAAAUUACAGACAAAAGAAUUUUUUAAUUUCUGAAUUGCUAUCACUCCCCCCCUAAAUGCUAGUCUAUUUCUUUCCUUCCAAAGCGUCCAAAAAAUGUACAACAGGAUAGACUUUCAUAUCUUUUUCCUUUUUUCCCCUACAAAAGGGCCCUCCAACUCAAUAAGACCUCUUUUACAGUUUCUAGAAAGACCCACUAAACACCAAACAAAGCAAAGACCAUAUCCCACAAGACUUUUGCCACUAUACAGUGUAUGAGAAUGUGAUUUACAAAUUCCUCUUCACAACCACACAAGAAACAACAGUUCGGGAGUUGCCACCCUCUUUUCUGGAGCCUAUCAAACGUAAGCACCUUCCCCCAAGUGGCUCCCAAGUAAAAAACAAUAUUUUAGUUGGAACUUUAUCCACCCAAAUUUUACUUUUCGGAAAGCUAGUGGCAACGGUAUUAACCACCAAAUUGUAUGCUUCCUUGACUUUAAACUGCCCAUUUCUUCCUCCUUUCCAAUAGACUGAAUCUUCCUCUAAAGUAGGUUUAUAUCCCCUCAAGACAUAAAGCAAAUUACCUACCAUAUCCAAUUCCCAAUCAUUGAAAUCCCUCAUAAACCUUAAAUCCCAACCUCCUUGACCAACAUUAUGAUCCCACAUUUCUUCUACCGUGACGUUUCUAUGAGCAGCCAUGCCAUAUAGAUGAGGGAACCUUUGGGACAGCACUGUACAACCGCACCAAAGAUCAGUCCAAAAUCUGAUUUUGGUGCCAUUUCCAACAGUAAACGCCAUAUUUUCCCAGCACCAGCCUUUUUCCUUCAAAAUCUCCUUCCAAACCCCUACUCCAAACGUCUCAUUAACCUUUUUGGUCUUCCAACCAAAACACUCUUGCCCAUAUUUCGCCAAAAGCACUUGCUUUCACAGAUUUUCCUUUUCACAAGCAAAUCUUCAUAUCCAUUUACCCAACAAAGCUUUGUUCAACGGGACUAACUUCCUUAAGCCAAGCCCCCCCUUUUCCUUCUCCGUACAAACAAUCUCCUAAUUAACUAAGUGCACUUUCCUCUCCAAAUUUCCACCUCCCCAAAGGAAAUCUCUUUGCAAUUUUUCUAACCUCCGCGCAACUGACUUGGGCAUGCGGAAAAGGGACAUUUAAUACAAAGGCAUGUUAGCCAUCGUGCUCUUUAUGAGAAUGAGUCUCCCGCCUUUGGAAAUAUAUUGGCAUUUCCAAAGCGCAAGUCUUCUCCUUACCCUCUCUUCCACCCCAUCCCACACGGAAGUAGCCUUAUUAGGAGCCCCCAAGGGCAGCCCCAAAUACACCAAAGGCAUAGAACCCACCCUGCAACCCAAUUCCGCUGCCAUCUCCUCCAUCUCUUCCACCUCGCCAACUGGGAUUAUUUCACUUUUAUCCAAAUUGAUCCUUAACCCUGACGCGGCUUCAAACCAAAACAAAAUCCAACUCAAAUGAGUUAAAUGCUCUUUCCUAGCCUCACAGAAAACAAUUGUAUCAUCAGCAAAUAACAGAUGGGAUAUAUGCACCGAUUGUCUUCUACCUCCUCGUAUCCUACACCCUGAUAGAAAUCCCCCUUCUACAGCCCUCCUAAUGAGAGCACUCAAAAGUUCCAUUCCCAUAACAAAGAGGUAAGGAGAAAAAGGAUUUCCUUGCCGCAACCCCUUAGAACUUGGGAAAAAGCCAGCUAACACUCCAUUCACCAACACCGAAAACUUGGCUGUGGAAAUGCAACUCCACAUCCAACCCAACCACUUUGAUCCAAACCCCAUUUUUUNNNNNNNNNNNNNNNNNNNNNNNNNNNNNNNNNNNNNNNNNNNNNNNNNNNNNNNNNNNNNNNNNNNNNNNNNNNNNNNNNNNNNNNNNNNNNNNNNNNAUUUACAGAUGAGACCUUUCUCUUCCCUUUCUACCAAGAAUCAAUCACCUCAUUUGCAAUUAAAGAGGCAUCAAGGAUCUGCCUACCCAUCACAAAGGCAUUCUGAUCUGAAGAAACCACUUUCCCUAUCACUUUCUUGAGUCUAUUGGCCAACACCUUAGCCAAUAGUUUGUAUAGCCCCCCCAAAAGACUGAUUGGCCUAAAAUCCCCAAGAUCCUCAGCCCUCCCUUUCUUAGGUAACAAUACCAGAAACGUAUUGUUGAGACUCUUGAUGAAGGCACUUUGCUCAUGGAACUCCUUAAACACUUCCAAGACCUCCUCUUUAACAAAAACCCAGCAGCUUUACCAAAAUGUCAUAGUAAAUCCUUCCGGUCCUAGGGCUUUGUCCCCAUUCAUCUCCAUCAAGGCACUAUGAAUUUCAUCCUCAGAGAAAGGGUGCUCCAAAUACUCCGCUUCUUGCUGACUAAUUUGCUCUAACUGAUAAGAAAAUUCCAAUUUAUGUUGUCAUAGGCUUUUUCAAUGUUCAAUUUACAAAUCAACCCUUUCUCUUUUUGUUUUUGCCAAAAGUCAACCACCUCAUUAGCUAUAAGCGAGGCAUCCAAAAUCUGUCUGCCCUUCACAAACGCAUUUUGAUCCUCAGAAACCACCUUUCCUAAAACCUUCUUCAGCCUAUUAGCCAGCACCUUAGCCAACAACUUGUACAAUCCCCCUAAAAGGCUAAUGGGCCGGAAAUCCCCUAGGUCCUUAGCACCCCCUUUCUUUGGAAUAAGGACCAUGAAAGUAGUGUUCAAGCUCUUGGCAAAGGAUCUUUGAACAAAAAACUCCUUGAACAUCUCCCAAAUUUCCUCCUUCACAAAAUCCCAACACGCUUGCCAAAAGGCCACUGUGAACCCAUCCGGGCCAGGAGCUUUGUCACCAUUCAGCUCCAACAGGGCAGAAUGGAUUUCUUCCUCAGAGAAGGGCACUUCCAAAAAAUCAGCUUCUUGGGCAUUCAGACUCUAAAGAUGCAGCCCCUCUAUGUCAACUUUCCAGCCUGGCUCUUCUGAGAGCAAAUGUUGAAAAGCAUCAACAAUCCCUUCCCUCACCUCCUGAUCCUCAUUCAACCACACCCUGUUAAUCUUAAUUUUGUCCAAGGAAUUGUUUCUCCGAUGGGCAUUUGCCAUCCUGUGGAAAAAACCUGUGUUCCUAUCCUUUUCCUUUAACCACAACUUCCUAGAUAAUUGUCUCCAAUGGAUUUCUUCCAACAAGACCCACUUUUUAUAGGUUUCUUUGGCUUCCUUUUUCAGCUCAGUUUCCCCUUCUCAAAGGCUCCUCUCGCUUUCCACCCCGUCCCAAAAUUCAACUUGUUGAAGAGCUGAAUUUUUAUUGACUUCCAACCUGCCAAACACAUCCCUAUUCCAGUCUUUGAUUCUUUGCCUCAACUCCUUUAGCUUAGUAGCCAGCCUAAAACUAGCAUUCCCUCUCACCACAGUCCCCUGCCACCAACCCCGAAUGAGGUCCUUAAAGUCAUCCACUUUAAGUCACAUGUUUUCAAACCUAAACGAGGAGGGACCCCUCCUCAGCCCACCACCCUCCAACAGAAUGGGAAAGUGGUCUGAAGUGAGUCUAGGNNNNNNNNNNNNNNNNNNNNNNNNNNNNNNNNNNNNNNNNNNNNNNNNNNNNNNNNNNNNNNNNNNNNNNNAAUCUAGCCCACGACUGAUUAUUCUUACCCCCAUUCCAAGUAAGCAGACCCCCUUGCAUAGGAAGGUCAAGAAGCUCUAAUUCAUCAACAAUUUAGGCAAACCUUCUCAUCGCACCAGUUAACCUUCCCUGCCUACUCUUAUCCUUUUGGGAGAGGAUGACAUUAAAAUCACCCCCUACGCACUAGGGAUCAUCCCAAAUGCCUCUGAUCACCCUUAACUCCUUCCACAACCAGCCCAUUUCCUCUCUAGAGAAAGGCUCGUACACUCCUGUGAAAAUCCAAACGAACCCAUCCACCACAUUCCUAAAUCUACAGGAAAUUGAAAAUUGACCCACCCCCAUCUCAAGCACAUUCAGUGUCCUUUUAUCCCAACAAAUCAAAAUCCCCCCCGCAGAUCCAAAAGCAUCCAGGGCACCCCAAUCUAGGAACCUUCCAGUGCCCAAGCUUCUCACCACCCCCUCCAACAUUGCCUAAAUUUUUGUCUCUUGAAGGCAAAACAAAUCCACCCUCUGACUUCUAAUCAAGGCUUUAACCACCUUCCUUUUGAAGCUGUCAUGAACUCCACGAACAUUCCAACUCAGAAGCCUUAAUUUCAUUGGACUUCCAUGAUCUGGCACCCUCUUCCUUGCAAACCCAAUUUCUGUUUAUUCCCCCUUUCAUAGUUAAUUGAACAUUCCAGUCUUUUUAAUUCCCUUUCGAAUUUAGAUCUUUCCAACAGAGUUUUGCUAUGAAUUCUUUCCCUUCUCUUUCUGAUUUUAACCAAAAAAUCCAAAAUAUCCUUCUCCAAACCCUCUAUUGGAAACCCCAAAAACUUGUUGAACCUAGCUAAAUCACUUUCCUCCCAACUAGCCUCCUCCAAGCCUCUUACUUCUUGAGGCUUAGUUCGGACUGAACUCAACUCUGCUUUUCUUUCACUAUUACCGUUGUUACUUACCUCCAUCAACUCCCAACGAGUGACAGUCUCACCCUGUAUAAACCCCGAGGCAUUGAACAUGCAUAACAGGAUUUCUCCUUGGAUUGUCUCACAAACAGCCCUAAAAUAGUCGUAAUACUCCCUCUCUAGAGUCCGACCGGAAAAAAAAAGAGAAAGAAGAGGAGGGGCCAGAAUCCAAAAUUCCUUUGGGGUCAGAGACAUUCUCAUACCUCAAAGCUUCCUCAAGUAAGGCAUGGUCAGUCAACGAUCUCACCUCUGACUAGAAUUCAGCUUCAAAUUGUUUUCGCAAGCCAUCCUUCACCCAGAACUUAAAGGGUUCUGAAACUGGGCACCCCAAGGAGCUUGGGCCAGACAAAACUGAGGAAGGGAGCCCAUCGACUUGGGCUCUGGCCUCAUGCGAUGAUUGGAGCAGGCCUCUAACGUUCGGCCCAGACUUCCCAAACAAAGGCUGAGACUCCAACCCAAACGGCCCAACCUCCUUCGAAGAAGACAAAAUUGGGUCUGGCCCCAACAGAUGGAAUAAAAGAUUCCACUCCUGGGCCUGACUUAGAAGGCCCACCCAGCAUCUGCAGACCUCUAGGAGGCUAGCCUGAAGACCUGUCAAGGCUCUGAGAAGGAACCGAAGGCUGCCCCGACCCGCUUGUCUGACCUCGCGUCCCGUCGGCAGACUGAAACAGGGCCUUGAGCCUAGAACCUUCAUCCUCCUCCACCACACGCUUGCCCGCGCGUACAGAGCCCUCACCCCCAACCUCUUCUCCUACUCCGACUUCCUUCCCGCUCAAACCGGCCAGAUUAAACCUUAUCAACAGCCUAACCUCCCACCACAAAGUUAACGCAUAACAAACCUCUUCCACCCAGAUUUCCACCACGUUCGGAAGUUCCUCAUCGUUUAACUUCACCAAAAUCUGAGCCCACUGCAAUUCUUCCAUCUUCUCCGUCUGGGUGUCGACUGCCAAGAAACCCCCGCAUUCCUUCCCUAUUCUUCUCAGAAUGGCUAGAUCCCAUAAAGAAAUGGGUAAACCCACAAUCCUCACCCAGGCCUCAUGUCUCUUCACCCCUUCCACCAAACACCCCGUCUCGGGGCUCCAGCUCUCCAAGCGCAGGAGAAGCCCCCCAACCGAGAUUCAUCCAUGGCUAAGAGCUUUCUUAGCUUCUGCCAUCAACUCAAACUCCAGCAAAACCUUACCCCUUUCCAAUUUUGCCAACCCUAGAUUGCCCUUCAACCCCCAAAAUUUUGCCAUUUGGCACCCCCAGUUUUUCAAAUCCUCACCUAUCUCUAAACUAGGGUUCCAAAACCCAACGAGGCAAUGGCCCAACUUGUUCAAAUUUUUGCUCAGCUCCUCUUUUCCAACCUCCAUCCUCACCAUUGCCCUACCUUUGUUCCUCGACGUCUGGACCACCUCCGCAAAAGAUUUUGCCAACUUGGGUUUCAACAGUGUCGCUUCAACCUGCUGGCUUUCCUUCCUUNNNNNNNNNNNNNNNNNNNNNNNNNNNNNNNNNNNNNNNNNNNNNNNNNNNNNNNNNNNNNNNNNNNNNNNNNNNNNNNNNNNNNNNNNNNNNNNNNNNNUGGUAGUUAAUAUGGGUAGUUUUGCAAACAAAGGUCAUAUAUGAAAAGUGUUCAGUAAGUUGGAAUUACUUUUACCUAAUUGCUUCAAUUGCAUGUGCGAAGUUGGGGCAAUUAAGGGGCCUCGAGGGAAAAGAGAAAGUCAAAUUGAUUCAGAAAAAUUUUAUUGAGUAAAGAGACUGCCUUUAGUUAAUUUGAUGUAUAAUGUAGUGAAACUCAAAACUGAACUUGAAUUCUAACAUCUGAAGGUAGCUUGCACCAAGCUGAAAAUAUUAUAAAAUUUAGUAAGAAAUUAGAAGUGUGACCUAAAUCAAAUUCUAUAAACUAUAGCAAGCAGGUAAAAAUUAAUUAAAUUGCUAAUGAAACAAAUAUAAAAAUAAUGGUUCUGAGCAAAGGUAAAUUGUUGAAAUAUGGAAAACAUGAUACCUCAAAGGAUAACAGAUUGAAGGCAAGUAUGCAACGGCGGAGAAACACCCCAAGAUUACUAUUUGAAUCCAAAAUAAUUUGAUCAUCUACCACAACACCAGAAUCAGGUCCCGCCAGGAUACCUAGUCAAAAUUAUAUUUUAUGGUUUUGAACUUUGAAGUGGACCAUUUUCAGAACAAGUAAUAGGUAAAAACAAGAAGAAAGACAAGAAGGAAAGAGGAGAGAAAUCGAGAAGGAAAGGGAGGGGGAAAAAAUAAGAAAAUAAUGAUCUACUUGCCUCGCAAAUCACUAAAGAAGUUAAACAAAUCAUCUGGUGACGAUAGCGAUGAUAGCCUACAGGUUAAAUGAUCACUUAACCAAUGAUCCAGUUCACCACCAAUUUCCCUCAAUUGAGUAAUAAGUUCAUCCAGCUUUGGCUCAAAAAUAUCAUCACAAGACUACAAGAAAAAAAAAUAGAUAUCACACAACUUUAAAGACAGAAGUACUGUUUGCAGCAUUAUCAAUUCAUAAAAGGGAGAAGGAAAAUUAAAGUAAUCUUCCGAAUCAUUUAUUGCCACAAACACAACAUACACAGAAUUCAACAAAGCCUUAUUUCCAACAGACAAAAAAGGUCACUUACGAAUAUUUGCUAAUCAAAUCUACAGAAAUCUAAUCAAUCUGGCUUGGCUCAUAUGGAAUAUAUUUCCCUUUGGUAAUCCCCCUUCCCAAUGGCAACAAUCAUGUUUACAUGCAGCAGAAGACUAACAAGUUCCAAUGUUUUAUAACAAAAUCUAAUUGAUUCAUUAAUGAUAUCAUUUCCUUCUUUAGUGUAAUUUGUACAGUAACCAUAAAUUAUAUAAGAUCCAUAAAGCAAAACCAUAGGGAUUACUAUUGAUUAUCAAAAGUGGUUAUGAGAAAAUUUGUCAUCAAAAACCAUAUCUAGACACACAUAUCUGCACAUCUAAAUAUGAUUUAAAGUUGCAACAUCAGUCAUUAACUCGGGAGGCCUCAAGACAGAUCAUUUGUGGCAAUCUCAAAUAUCAGAGCAUCUCAUUUAUAUAGAUAUUGUUCAUUUUAAGCACUUCAAUCACUAAUUCAGAAUGCCUCAAAACGAAUCUGCAAUUUCAUGAAUUGAUAUUGUCCACUUUGAGCACUUUGGUAACUAACUUGGAAAGCCCUAAGAUGAAUCGGUUGUAACAUGUUAGAUACUAUAAUGACUCUCACCCUCAUGCAUAGAUAUCAUCCAUUUUGAGACCAAAGCCAACAAUAUCUGCCCAUGAGGGAAUAGAUCAUUAUAGAUGGUAUAAAAGUCAAUCCUUGACCAAAUAUGAAAGUAUUUGAUGCAGCACACAAUCAUCAUGAGUUUCUAUUUUUGGUUUCCUACAUCAUUAGUUUCUAUUUUAGAUUAGUUUUUUUCCUACAUCAUUAGUUUCUAUUUUAGAUUAGUUUCUAUUUCCUACAUCAUUAGUUUCUAUUUUAGGUGAAUUUCCAUUUUCUACAUUAUUAGUUUCUAUUUUGGGUUCAUCAUUAGUUUCCUAUUUCUUUCCUAGUUUUCCUAGUUUCCAUUUACCUUGGUUUCCUAUUUUUAGUUUCCUAUUUCAGUUAUUUCUUUUAUUUUUGCAUUACAAACAUUAUUUAAAGGCUUAUUGUAAUUGUUANNNNNNNNNNNNNNNNAAAUGGUCCACUUCAAGUUCAAGAACCAUAAAUAUAAUUGGACUAGGUAUCUGGCGGGCCCGGAUUCUGGUUUUGUGGUGGAUGAUCAAAUUAUUUUGGAUUCAAAUAGUAAUCUUGGGGGUGUUUCUCCGCCGUUGCAUACUUCCCUUCAAUCUGUUAUCCUUGACGUAUCAUGUUUUCCAUAUUUCAACAAUUUCCCUUAAGCCUCAACCAAAUAUUUUAUUUGNUUCAUAACAAUUACAAUAAGCCUUUAAAUAAUGUUUGUAAUGCAAAAAUAAAGGAAAUGAUUGAAAUAGGAAACUAGAAACAGGAAACCAAAGUAAUUGGAAACUAAUGAUGAACCUAAAAUAGAAACUAACUUAAAAUAGAAACUAAUGAUGUAGGAAAUAAAAACUAAUCUAGAAUAUAAACUAAUGAUGUAAGAAACUAAAAAUAUAAACUAAUGAUGAUUGUGUGUUACAUCAGUAUUUAUCUAUCCGGUCUCAUAAUCUUAUGGGACAUGACGAGGGCAUUGUGCCUAUAUGGAAGAAAUGAUUGUAAAGCCUCUAAUCAAUUAGGAAGAGAAGUUCCUAACACUAUAUGCAAUGGGUUGCUCUUAAUUGUGUAAAUGCAUUUCAAAGUCAUGCAUGCCUUGAAACGUGUUAAGCUGCUAACGUUCCUAAAAGCUUGCAUUGUUAGGAUAUGAGCCUACAAUAUGUAUCAUCAGGCUAACAACCUUAUGUGUAGCCUCAUACCCUCAUAUGGAGAUAUAAAUCAUAAUAAGAUUAACAGAUAAAUACAUUAAGUAAUAAGAUAGUAGGAGAGACUUGAACUCAAGAACUAUAGUUAACCAUUGCUCUAAUGUUAUACUGAGCUAUCAACUUUCUUAAAAGCGUCAAAUUGUUAGUAUUUGUGCCCCUAAUAUGUAUCAUGUGAACAAGCCAAAAGAGGAGAAUAUCUACACACAAGGAGCACAUCUUAGAGAUAUGCACAAUCUGCUACUUAAAAUGUUCAAAAAAAUUUUAAAAAACAAUAAAUUCAAUUAGAUGGGCACAAAUAAUAAUAAUAAUAAUAAUUAAAAAAAAUUACAUCUACCACAUCCUACAUUACAUGAAUGAUCAUAAAGACACAUGUUCAAAUUAACCAAUGGUAAUUAAAAAUUCAUGAUUCUACCAUUUCAAGUACAACUAUUAGCCAAUCCCACAUUGAAUGAUGCAAAGGCUCAAACUCAUUGUUGUCAAUUCUAUAAUGAGCAUAAAAAUCAAGAUAGUAAUUCUCAUAGUAAGGAUAUAGUUAAAAGAGUAACCCAAAGCUUGAUUUUGCCAAUUGAGAUUAUUUGCUUGACAAUCCAUAACAAGAAAAUAUGACUUUAUAAGAUACAAACUCAACAUUAUGGUGCAACCUAGUCAUUACUUGGCUUGUUCCAACCAUGACUCGAUAGUGUCAAAAUCAGAAAAGCUAGGAAUUAAUUUUGAAUUCAUCUCAUAAUGGCCAUCUCAAAUAUGUCUCAAUCGAGUCAUAACAAACUCGGGCAAUUACAUUGAACCUUGGUCUAAGUGAGUGGUAAAUCCUAAAGUUCAAUCCCCACACUAUACGAUCAACUUGCUUGCAAGCAUAGACUUUUAUUUUUUUAAUGAAAUGUUGUGCAUCUAAAAAGGUCUUCAACAAAUAGUUCUCCAAUUUAUCCAUUUAGUUCAAAUAUAACAAUAUGAUUCACUCUGUAUUUAAGCAUGAAGAUCCAUUUAUAAUCAAAUAUUCCAACAAAACCUAAAUUUUACAUUGAGCGUCAAAAGAAGUUGUGCAAUACUCACUCAUCAUGACAUGUGAAUAAGACAAGGUUGUGGGUCACAUUAGAAGCAAAUAUCACAACAAAGCCAUAUGUUCAAUAUCUAAUAAGGUUUUUUUUUUAACUUUUUGAUAAGGAAGAUAAAAGUAAAUGUAUAUACAAGGGCCAAACAAAAAAGUUGUGCAACCCACAUUCACACAAUGUAUGAAAAUCACAUUAAAAAGAAAAUACUAUACAAACCCAAUUCCUAGCUAACACAUGCUACUCUUAUUAGCCAACUUUCAUAUUAUCUACAAAAUCAACAAAGGAAGCUUUUACAUUCCCCAUAAAUCUAUUAGCCCACAUCUACAAGAUUCUUAGAAACAAACUUUUUAAAGCCAACUACUUCAUCAAAACAUAGGAGAAUCUAUCUAAAAUAUGACAAUUGUUUGCUACCGAUGCCAUAAAAUAACAAGGUAUCAUCUACAAAUAAAAGAUAGAGAUAACUCCACCUCCUCUCUUCCAACUCAUUGUACUUUGAAACCCAAGAUGAGGCCUCACUCCACCACCCUCUGAAUAGAACAACUUUUUAAAGAGUUAUUGUAGUUUUUUUGGUAAGGGGUAGUGUUUUUUUUUUUUUUUUGGUGGGGGGGGGGGGGUGAAAGCCAAUAUAUGUGCUUCAUACUCUUUUCUUGAGAAAUAAGACUAAGGUAUAAGACACUAUUUCUUUCUCACCCAACAUGGUAUCAAACCAUGUUUGAUUUGGAGCCUUAGCCCCUAAAAAGUAAAAUUAAAAAUAAAAGAAAAUAAAAAUUGCUACAAUGAAGGUUUCCUAACAUCCCUUUGUUCCUAUAUUAAGUGACCAUAGUGAUCAUGAAUCUAAAGAUUAAUUGGGUGAUGUGCUUACUAAAACUUUAGAGAGAAACCUUUUUUCUAUUAUGUGUUUUUUUUUUAUAAGUAAACACAAAAUAUAUUAACAGGAGGCAAAAGAGCCGCAAAGCAUACAGGUAGUAUACGAGGUGACUAAAGCCUCCCAACCAAAAAAGAACAAAACUCACCAACCCCUAAAUGGAGGUUAACCACUUCAAAAAGCCUAUAAGGGAGAGCGGCUCCUCUCCAAUAUACAAUUUAGCCCAACCCCAUAAAUUACACACAAAAGAAGUUUUUAACUUCUGAAUUGCUAACCCCCCCUCCCUCCCCCUAAAAGCUAGUAUAUUCCUCUCCUUCCAAAUCGUCCAAAAAAUGUACAGCGGGAUGGACUUCCACAGUUUUUUCCCACAAAAGAGCCCUUCCAACUAAAUAAAACCUCCUUUACAGAUUCUGGAAAGGCCCACUGAGCACCAAACAAACCAAGAAUGAUAUCCCACAACACUCUGACAACUGUACAAUGAAUUAAAAUAUGAUUUAUCGUUUCCUCUUCACAACCACACAAGAAACAACAAUUAGGAAACUGUCACCCUCUUCUCUAAAGCCUAUCAAGAGUGAGCAUCUUCCCCCAAGCGGCUUCCCACACGAAGAAAUCAAUUUUGGUUGGAACUCUAUCCACCCAGAUAUUGCUUUUCGGGAAAACGGCGACAAUGGGGCUUGCCAACAAGCUAUACGCUUUCUUGACUCUAAACAACCCAUCUCUUCCUUCCUUCCAAAACACCGAGUCUUCCUCCAACGUAACUGUAUGCUCCCUCAACACAUCCAGCAAGUUGUCCACCAUAUCCAACUCCCAAUCAUUAAAGUCCCUUAGAAACCUUAAAUUCCACCCACCUUUGCCAAAAUUCUGGUCCCACAUCUCUUCCACCAUGGCAUUCCAAUGGGCAGCCAUGGCAAAGAGAUUCGGGAAACUUUGGGACAGCACAUAACUCCCGCACCAAGGAUCUGUCCAAAAUCUUAUUUUGUUGCCUUUUCCCACCUUGAACACCAUAUUUUCCCAACACCAAUCAAAUUCCUUCAAAAUCUCCUUCCAAAUACCCCAUUUGCCUUCCUUGUCCUCCAUCCAAAGUCCUCUUGCCCAUACUUUGCCUCAAGCACCUUCUUCCAAAGUUCCUCCUUAGCACAAGCAAACCUCCAAAUCCAUUUGCCUAGCAAGGCUUUUUUCUGUUAUGUGUUACAAGUUGGGUCUUAAUAAUAUAUGUCUUAGCUUGAGAGGGAGUGUUAAAAGAGUUAAAGUAGUUAUUUGGUAAGAGGUAGUUUCAUCUUUUCUUUUCUUUCUUUUCCUUUAUUUUUACUUUUUUGGCAAAAGUCCGUACAUAUGCUUCGUACUCUUUUUUUGAGGAGAAAGACACUAUUUUAUUUCUCUCACUUAACCUAACUCAAUAUCUCCAUCACAAGGAUGAAGUCAUGAAAAGAAUAGGGAGAAAGUGAAUUCCUUAGUCUUAAAGCCCUUGAACUCUAAAAGAAACAUAUGGAAGAACCAUAAAUCUAGACAAAGAAGUUUGCUAUAUAUAUGGAUACAGACAUAAAACUGAAAGCAAAAAAAAUCUCAAUUAUACGAUCAUAAGCUUUCUUAAUGUUCAACUUGCACAAACUCCAAGGUACCAACUUUUGGAUCUCAAGUCUAUACCUCAUUGGCAUAAGGAGUACACCGAAUAUUUGUCUUCUUCCCUAAAAGCGUUUUGAAACAAGGAGACCACCCUUCUAAUAACUUUCUUAAGUAAUGUAGCCAAAACCUUUCCAAUAAUUUAUACAAGCUUCCUAAUAGACUAAUAGACCUAAAAUCUUUUAUAUCUUAUGCUCUCCCUUCUUAAGAAUUAGUACUAAAAAAAGAUAGUUUCUUUUUUCUUUUGAUAGGCAAAACAAAUAUUAUUAACAAUGCCUAAUAAAAAAAGGGCACAACAAAGUACAUAGAGAGUAUACAAAGGUGCCAAAAAGGCAAUGAAAAAGAAAAACCUCUAUUAUAUCAAAAAGAAAAUCACUUUUUGUGUUUGGUUGUAUUAUGAAAAAUACAAAAGAAAAUCAAAUAUAAUUAAAAUUAGUUAGAAAUUUAUGCAUUUUUAAAUCAUUUGAUCUUUAUAUUGAAGAGUCAAAAUAAGUUAAAUGAUUUUCUUUCACUUUUUCUCUCUAUUUUCUUUCCUUUACAUUUUCCUUAAAUCAUUUGAGAACAAACAUAGGCUUAAAGCUCCAUAUCAAGACCCAGAAUCUCGCUUCAGUUAUUUCCCCUAGUUUUUACUUAACCCCUUGUCUGGUUGCCAAGAUGACUAGCAUAGAGAAACAAAAUUUGACAACAAUAAUUACAAUGUAUAAAAUUUUGAAUCCUCCUCGACUGAAACAAACAUUGUACUACCCACAGUUGCCUGGAGAUUUUCCCGGUUUCCCACUCACAAAUAUUAAAAAAAAAUCCAUAAUCGGUUUACUUCCUUUUCUCACAUUUUCUAGAAACCAAAAUCACAAAAUAAAAAUAAAUAAAUAAUCGAUUUUUUUCAAUAAUCGGAAUGGAGACUCAAAAGCUCCAGUUCCCCCCUUAACCCUCUGAGUUACGGCUCAGAAAACUAGGGCAAAGCAAAGACAUCAAAAACAAAACAAAAAUGUAAUUUUCACAACUAAGUUUAUAAUUUCCUCCGAUUCCCAGAUAACCAAAAACCUAAACUUCAAAACCCUGAAUACUUUCUUUUCCCACGGUUUCUCAGAAACCAAACCCAACCAUAAAUCUCUAAUCAUUAAAAUCAAACUUUUUCAGAACCAAACGAGCUAGAAGUUCACCUUGGUGAGUGCGAGCAAGAACAUGCCGAGGCGGUUGUGCUGAGCGAUGGAGGAGAAGGGGAAGGGGAAAGGGAGCGUGAUUUGAGCUGGAGGAGCGUAGAUCUGAAGAACUAUGCACACUGACACUUUGUGCGGCGUUACGCUGAAAUUGCCCGGCGGCUUCAACAUCGCUGCCAUUCCUCACCUCUGCUGCUCCGCUGCAACCUCAAUGGGCUUUUCUAAGGUUUUGGAUGAGAAACGGAGCAGACGCGUACCAAAAAAGAACCGCCAAAUUCCCAAUCUAAAAUAAAUCAGAACCGGAAACACGAAUUAUAUUUGAAAAACUAUAAAUAAUUCCCAAAAUAACCAUAUAUAUAUAUUAAACCAUUACUAUCACUUCACUUUUAAGUUUUUUUAUAUUUAUUUCUUAAAUAUUAUUUUUCGUUAAAUAAUUUUAUUUUAAAUUAUUAAAAAUAUAAAUUUAUUCAAAAUUUGCUAAAAUAUAAAAAAAUUAAUAAAGUUCUAAUAUUUUAUAAAUUAAAGUUAAUUUAAUAAGAUAACAUUAAUAUAAUUUUUAAUAAAUUUAAUUAUUUAAAUAAAUUAAUAUUAAUAGCAAAUAGUUGUUACCACAAAUUUAUAAUAAAAUUUUAGAAAUUAAAUCUCAAAUAAAAUAUUUUAUAUAAAUUGAGUUAAAUUUUUAUUUAAAAUGUAAAAAAAAACAUGUUUUAAUAAAAAGUAGUUUUGAUUAAAUUUUAAAGUAAAUAAAUAUAAAUAUAUUAAAUAAAUUUUAAAAAUAAUUAUAUUUUGAUAAAUAUUAAAAUUAUGCAUAUAAAAUAAUUUUAAUAUGUGUGUUUUUGUUUAUUUUAUCAUUUUUUUAAGUUUUUCAAGUAUUUUUAUGAAUUUUGAACAAUUUUCAUCUCACCUAUAUUUUUAUCAAAAUAUUAACUAAUAUUUCAUAUAUAUUUAAAAAUUCAAGUAUCAAUAUAUCUGUAUUUAUUAAUAUUUUUAUUAUUAUCUUUAUGACUCUUCUUCUAUUCACCACAUUGUCUUUAGGUGGUUUCUUAAUGAUCGGAUCUUCCCAACUCCUUAGACACCUUAAUUACAUAAUUGAAAAACUGAAAUGAUUCAUCAAGGUUAUUGUUCAUAAAAUUCCUACCACACAAGAAGUUGCUUCAUCAAAGGGGUCAUACCUUCAUAAAAGUAGGAUAUUAAUAUCCAAUUAUGAAAACCAUAACAAGGACCCUUAAACUUCUCCUAUCAAAUAAUAAUAAUAAUUAUUAUUAUAAAAUAAAUAACAAACUUUUCAUCCUUCAUAUCUCUAAAGUUUAAGAUCUCUUUCUUUAGUGUGUUGGUCUUAUAGGGUGGGAAGAACUUCUAUAAGAACACUUACUGUAGUUCCCUCAAAGUGAAUGGAAAGAGCUUCAUGCAUAGGAUCUCCGAAUAAAUGAUUGCUUCUUAUAAAGUUUAGUGGAUCUCUUCCACGGCCUUAACACGAGAACAAGGAUUAUCAUUCUCAUUCCCAUUUCCCCUUUAAAAUGGUUAUUAAUGGAGCAAACUAUGACUUGAUAUUGACACGACUUUGAUCUUGACGGAGGGCAAAGCAUCAUGGUAUGCUUAUCUCGGGAGGAUUUAGAUAUUUCCUCCUAGUCUUGUACUCUUACAAAGGCACUCGUGACUUAUUGUUACUGUUGUUAAUUCCUUACUAUUUUCCAUAACUGACUAAGAUUAAUAUUGAGUUGUUCUCUAUAGUGUACUUGAAAAAUUUAUUUCCCAACAAAGUAUUUUGAGGGAUGACAAAACAUCAUGGUAUGCUUAUCUCGGGAGGAUUUAUAUGCUUCCUCAUAGUCUCGUACUCCUACAAAGGCACUUGUGACAUAUUGUUGUUGUUGUUAAUUCUUUGCUAUUUUUCAUAGUUGACUAAAAUUAAUACUGAGUUGUUCUCUAUAGUAUACUUGAAAAAUCUAUUUUCCAACAAAGUAUAAAAUAUAGAAAAAAUAGUUAUAAAUAAAAUAACUAAAACGUCAAACAAGUUUGAAAAACAACUCGAUAAUAAAAUCUAAAACCCUAAGUUUGUUAAAAGAAAAAAUACAUAUAUAUAAAAUAAAACCAAAAGAAUCAAAAUAAAAAUAAAGUAUCUUAUCCUAGUUACCAUGGUUGUGCAUCAUUGAAAAUAAUGCCACUUUCUUAAUUUAUAUUCCCUAUGAUACCAAAAUAUUAAACCUAUUUAUAUAGUAACUUUGACCAAUCACUAACUUCCGGUAUCUCACAUUCAUAAUAUAGACUAGUAGCAGACUCUCAAGACCAAGCCCCUAGCCCAAAACCCCUUUUUUUUACAUCACUUAAAGAUUGGGUUCCAAGAUUGACACUUAAUUUAAGACAUGAUAGACCCCAAUUGUAAGAACAACUAACCAACAACAAUAUACUUUGUAUAUAUUGUAAUGCCGAACAUUAAUCAAAUAUACUAUUAGAAUCAUUCAUUAUAUAUAAUUCACACUUUUAAAGAAAUAAUUAAUUUUCUUUUAAAUAUUAAAAUUUAAUGUAAUUUUUAAAAAAUUUAACUUAAAAUUUCAAAAUUUAUAUUAUGAUGUAAUCAUCAUCUUUUCAUGGAACAACUUUAGAUCGGUGUCGUAAAUUUGGAAAUACUUUUUGAAUUAGUAUAAAUCUUAAAUUAUUUAUAUAACUAUUAUUUUUUGAAAAUAUUUUUUUAAAUGGUAAAAAAAAAAAAAAAAACACAAUUAAAAAGCAUGGCUGCUGUUUAUUUUGCUUCAACAUCUUUGAGUUUUGGAGGUCUAGUAGGGUACCCACAUCACUGCUGUCCUGUCUUCUUCUUCGGGUGCAAGGUUUGGAGUCUUUGGACUAUGACAGGCAUGCUCUCGUUUUUGGUGAGAUUAGAGUCUUGUAGAUGACGUGACAACUGCUGAUUUAGUUGAAGUAUGACGCAAGGAUUUGCAUACUCUUCCAAUACACGUGGUGUGACAUUUUUUUUGGAUGGUUUCUGGAGAAAGGGACGGGGGUUAAAAAAAUUAGUUGUAUUCUUCAAUUUUCUGAACACAGACUUUCUUAAGUUUUGUUUUAUAUACACUAAAUUUUACAAAACAUUAUGAUGCUUGUUAGUGAAUGUUGAUGAAAAUAUUUUUAUAAUUUAGAAAAUUCAUAAUUCUUUAAAUUUGUUUUUAAAUCGAAUUAUUAAAAAAUAAAUAAAUUUAAGAGGGUGUUUUAGUUAACCAAACUAAGCAUACAUAAGCCGAAAAUAAAGAAAAAUAUAAGAUUUAUAUGUUUACAGUAUGCACCAACACUUAAUAAUUUACUAAUCAAAACGAAUGAAAAUAGUUAUAAUAAUAAAACUUUCAAGAAUUUUUUUUUAUUUACGAUUGUAUGCUCUAAAAAAUAAAACUAUAAAUAUAAAAAUAUUAAAUAUAUAAUAGAGGCAAACUCGUUGAUCAUCAUAUAAAUUUUUUUUUUACGAGGGUCAUUGCCCCAACCCUGCGAGUUGAUCAGACAACUUGAUCAUCGUGAGAUCAACUCUUAUAAGUUUGUCAAAUUGCUUGACCCUCGAUAUUUUGAGCUAAGUGCAAUAAUAUUGAUUUAGAUUUCACAAUCUAACCGUCAGUCUUUUUUGUAUUAUAUGUUUGGUAUUUUCUUAAAAAGUAAAUAUAAAAAUUAUUUUUUAUAUUUGAGUUUUAAUAUUGAUCUUAAAAACUAUUUUUAAAAUUAUAUUUUUUUUAACAUGGUUUAAAAAGGACAAUGGAUGCCAUUCGUAUCAUUUCAAUAUAAGUAAUGCAUCAAAGUAACAUGUUUAUAAUUUAAUUAAUUAAUUAAUUUAAAAUUAAAAUUGAAAUAAUUAAAAAUGGAUUAAAUGGAUGGGUCGAACGGUUGUUAUGCAAAUUGACUUAAAAAUAAAAUUCUGUCAUUUGAUUUAAAAACAUGGAUUAAAUGAAAUCUUAAGAUCGUAGUAGAUUCGAAAUUUCGAACCGGGCGGAGAAACCAAAAACAACACGAACGGAGAGAGUAGAAAUAGGAUGACCAAAGAGCCGACAGAGAAACUGUCAAAGCAGUAAAUAAAUAAAAAAUAGAAAAGAAAAAACGAAAAAACGUUCAGACAACCACAUCACAUCGUCACCACCAACAAGUCCAUGAAAUGAAACCUAACAGCCCCAUCAUCAUCAAGAAGCCUAAAACCCUUUGAGAUUUCUCUCUGAUCUCUCAUUCGUCAUGGCCUCCAAUGGCGGAGCUCAGGCAAGUCUCUCCAUUCCCCAAGACUCUCUAUUUCUCAAAAGUUGAUUUUUUUAAUUUUAUUUUUAUUUUUUUAUGAGUGUUGUGAUGGUGGUGUUGCAGAGAGCUGUAGACGCGGAGACCAGCUUGGAGAAGAUCAAGCGCCAGUUGGCCUCCGGUUCGGGGAGAAACUUAUUGCAGGGUCCGCUUCUGAAGCGAUCCGAAACAGUAUGAUCUGUGGAUUUGUUCUUUAAUUAAUUAAUUUAUUUUUUCUUCUGUUUUUGGUGGUUGGAGCAAUUUUUUUUUUCUUCAAUUGGGGUUUGAAUUGUGGGUAUCUUUUAGUUUUUGGUACUGAUUAGCUCAACGAAGUGUCUGGUGUCCUCUUCAUGCGCCAGUACGAGGGUUUAAUGAAUGGGUUUAGGCGGAGAUCGAGGUGAGGAUUCGCGGGAUCAAUAUUUGUAGAACAAGAUGCAAUUUUGACAUUGCUUUUUUUUUUUUUUUGGGUAAACCGAGUGAAAGAAAUAUUCUUUUGCGAUAUCUUUCCCAAUAUUUUGUAGAAGUAAUAUGAAGGCCCAUUUGGGAUCAUAGCCUGCGGCUGAAGUCUAAUACUAGAAAGUGGAGAUCGACCUCUUUUAGGAUUGAAAACAUGUGGCCCCACGACUGGGAUUUUAUGUAGAUUGCCAAUAGAUGGUGGAAGGAGUACAUCUGAGAAGGUUGGUAGCAUCAUAGGGUUAUGCAAGAUCUCAAAUUUAUUAAAGGAACUCCCAAAGAGUGGAACAAGGAGUUUGUUGGUAUUUUUCGGUUGGAGGCCUCAGUGCCUGAGGAUGUUCAUUAGAUUGAAGGUAUUAAGGGGCUGGGUCAAUUGUUGAGGAAAUGAGAUCCCAUAGAAUGAAUCUAAAAGCUGAAGUUGAAUCCAAAGUACCUAACAAAGAAACUGUUUGGCAUCAGAAAGCCUGAGUGACAUGGGUCAAAGAAAGUGAUUGUAAUUCAAGGUUGUUCCAUAUUGUGGCAAAUAGGAAGGGAGGAAAGAAGCUUGUUAAGAAUCUAAUUGACGAGGAUUCUGUUGGUUUGGAAGGUAAAAAAAGAGACUGCUGUUGAGACACCAAAUUUCUCCCCAAUUUUGUGUAGGAAAGGAGACCAUGGCAUCCCUAGAUUAGAAGGGUCUAUAUGAAAUAGUUAAUUAAGAAUUUGCCCAGAUGCACUGUCUCAAACAGGUCUUCUCCUUCUGAAAGUAAGAAAAUCAGGAAUUGUUGAGUAAAUGCGUUUAGCGUCUGCAAUUUUUUGUCAAAAAAUUUUUGCACAAGGAAAAGAAGAUUUUUGAAACAUGAAUUGAAGGAAAUGAGAUGCUAAUCCUUAUUUUUAUUUAGAUCACUGAUGACAAUAACUUGUCGCAUUAUGAAUUGUAAGUAAAAGAAGGAUGAAUUAUCCUUCAAGGGUAAAACAUGACCAAUACAUAGAAAGAAAAGGAAAAAACCUAGAAAAACAAAGGACCAAAUGAUCCAAAAAAAAUACAAGUUCAAGGGUCAAGGAAUGCUCUACAAAACCUAGAGCAUAGAUUCAUCUUGCUUGGCCAACGUAUCAGCUAUUUGGUUAACCUAAUGGGGGAUUCGAAUAAGAGCAACCAGCUCUAAUACACAAAUGAAGUCUUGCACAAUCACAUAUCCAUCUCCAAGGUCCUCACUUGUGGCUGAGCACCUUUUACAAGGAAAAUUCUUGAGACUCAUAGAACUUGCCUUUGGAAUUCACUUGCAUUCAACUUGCUCAUUGAGAAAAUUAACAUAGAUUUAUUUCAUGCCAUUGUGUAAUAUAAUUAAUUAUGAUAAGGUAAUUUGAGUAAAUGCACUACACAUUUAAAUGAAAAAAAUUUCUUAUUUGGUUAUAUCUAGUUGGUAUAACAAGAGGGGAAGUCAAUUGCAAUGGUUAUGGCCAUGGUCCAAUGACUGCAUUAUUAAGAAACACAAAAUGAUUGAAGUUUGUCUUGACAAGGACAAGAAGAAUGCCAAAACCAUGAGCCUUAAAGUAGUAGCUUUUGGGGGCUUAAAACUACUGAAAUAUGUCUUUAGAUAAAGUAUAUUUGUGGAUCAGGGUUCCUAUCAAAAAAAAUAUUUGUGGAUCAGGGUUAACCUUGAAUGGUAGCAUGAGGCUUGAGAUUGAUAUGGACAAGAGAGAAUGUGAAUUAUACAAGUGUUUGAUAUAUAUAUUUUAAGCAUUAAAUGAUACAGGUUUGUUUAUCCUCUAGAGUAGACCCAUGAAUUUUUUUUUUUUUGUUUGAUAAGUGAGUAGACCCAUGGAUAGAGAAGAUUUGUUAAUCCUUCCGAGAGUUGGAACCUUGUUGAUAGCCAUGGUGAAUUUUUAACUUGAGAGUGAAGGAGGCAAUUCUUAUCCAGUGACGGCAGCCAUCUUUUCGGUUUAAAGUUUUACAAAGAAAGAAAUUUGAGCAACAAGUACUGUGCAUGAGACAAUAAUAGAGCGAGUGUAAGGAUUAGGUUUAUUCUUUUUUUGGUCUAGUUGUUUGUUAAUGAAGAUUAUAAGUUGGAACUUUAGGGUUUUGGAGAUCUAGUUAAAAGGAGGGCAAUUUGAGUAGUUCUAAGGACGGCUUUCCCAAGGUAUGGUCAUGCUUCAAGAGACCUAUAUGGAUGGUGUUGAUAGGUAAUGACAUUUGGGAGGAUACCAAGAUCGAUUCUUGCUCUCUCCCUUGAGGCUUGACUCAAGUGGUAAAAGGUUGGGCAGGGUUUAUGGGAGGUUCCAGGUUCAAAUCAUGAUGGGAACAAAAAUUUAUAUUUAAAAAAAAGGGGAAAAAAAGAAGAGAAGAUUGAGCCUUGCUUUCUCAAGUGAGUACCUUGAGUUUGGGGAGACCAUUGGAAGAGAUUGAAAUAAAUGAGAUAAUCUGUCAAAUGGAUAAUGUAAAAACACUAAGGUUUGGUGACUUAACUGUCUUUUUAUCAAGAAUAUUGAAAUAUUCUUAGGAAGGUUGGAUUGUUAGUUUUUGAGGAAUUCCAUGCUAAUAGACCAAUUAAUGAUAGUUCUAGUUCUACUUUAUUGCUUUAAUUUCUUAUGAGGUUGGAUCUAUAUGAUCAUGGACUUACAUUGCGUAGCCUAGGCAUCCUUUUGAAGGUCAUGGUUAAAGUCCUCCCUAGAUUGCAUUUGAGAAGUGUUACAUAGAACAUUUCCUCCUUUUAAGAGUUCCUUGUCCACGACAUACAACUUCUUGAUCUAGUCUUGAUAACUUAUGAGAUUCUUAAUAAGAACUUAUUAAAUUUGGGUUUUGAAAUUGACUUUUAAUAAUCAAUGAUUAUUAAUGGGAGUUCCUAAUUAGUAUUAGAAGUAGAAAAUUUUUUAGGGCUUGGUGAUGCAAUUGAAUUGGGGUUUGUUUGUGGAAUAUUGAGUAUGUAGUUUUUAUUAAUGGGGACACUAUGGAUUGGGUGGCGUGCAAGUUAGAGAGAGAGAGAGAGGUUGUUAUAUGCCCGAGUGGAAUUGUUCUUCUUUGUAAAAUUGAGCAAUUUUAGGUAGAUGGCUUUGAACAUAGGUUGUUCUAUGCUUGAGUGGAAUUGUUUUUCUUUGUAAAACUGAGCAAUCCUGGGUGAAUGGCUUUGAACAUUUCUUGGAAGAGUGAAACUAACUAUGGCUUCUAUCAUUAAAACUAGGUAUGGCUAGGAAGGGAUUAUUAGAUUUGAUAAUUAUCUCACUCAAUGGUUUUGAGAGAAGUACUUGGGGCAAAGUACAAUGACCAAUAGCUUAUCUUUCAUUGAUUUGGAUAGUGUGGCACAAUGUUAUCAAAGGUGAUUGCUUGGGUCACCUAGGCCACCAAGCGAGGCGGGCAAAUUAAAGUCCCCUCUUGAAGACUUGGGCAAAGUAGCUUCAAAGAGGUGAUGCCUAGGCGAUCACCUUGGGAUAAGGCUUGAGGUGUAAAGGUGGUAAGCUUGGGAUAAGGCUUAAGGUGUAGAGGUAGUUGUCUUCGACCAUGUGUUAAGACUAAACAUACUUAGUAUGUAAUUUAAUUCAAUCUAAGAUUAUAUUGAAACGAAGUGUAAGAUGAAACAUCAUAUUAUCAAUCAUAGAGAUAAUGAAAUGGAGGGCUAUCAAUUUAGUCUUGAUGGAAGUGAUGAUAAUUUUAAUUUUAAUGAUGGUGCCUAAACAAUAUGACGUUUCUUAUGAUGUGGGGUACAAUAUUUUUUUUUUUUGAUAAGUAAACACAUAUAUCAGCAAAAGGCAAAACGCCGCAAAGCAUACAGGAAGUAUACGAGGCGACAGAGGCCUCACAAGCUACCAAAAAAACAACAAAGAAACCUACCAACCCUUAACUGGAGGCUAUCCACUCCAGGAAACCUAUAAGGGAGCGAGACUCCGCACCACUAUACAAUUUUGCCCACCCCCACAAAUUACAAACAAAAGAAUUCUUAACUUUUUGUAUAGCUAACUCCCCCCCCCCCCCUGAAUGCUAAUCUAUUCCUCUCCUUCCAAACCGUCCAAAAAAUAAAUAACGGUAUGGAUCUCCAAAUUUUCUCCCUCUUUUUUCCCACAAAAGAACCCUUCCAGCUGACAAUCGCCUCCUUUACAGUUUCUGGAAAGACCCAUUGGGCUCCAAAUAGGCCAAGAACAAUCCCUCAUAACACACUAGCCACUGUACAAUGGAUAAUUACUGUUUUGUUAAUUUUACAAGGCACCAUGAGGGAUGAAAAUUUAAGAAUGUUGAUCGUUGAAUAUGUAAAUUUAAUAGUGGUUGGGUAUUGGGUGAGGGAGGGAGUAUUUUUUUGUACCCUCUUUUCUACUUUUUGCUUAUUUUACUUGUAUAUGACCUGUAUACUCUUGCACUCUUUUCACGCUUUUUUUAAUACAAUUUCUUACUUAUCAAAAAAAUAUUUAUAUUCUUUAUCACCUUACUUUGGUCAGACUAUCACCUUGUUUUUCACCUUUCUCCUUAGGUCAAAAGGAGCCCUAUCGCCUUGACAUUACCUUAUGCUUUCGAAAACACUUCUGUAGCGGGAAAAAAAUGCAAGGAUUUUAAAGGAUAAGUGAAGGACAUUAGAGACUAUACGAGACUUGAUUUAUUUUUAUUCCUCCUUUUAGGCUACUACCAUUACAGAUUUUGAGGGCACUUCUCUCAAUGUUAUUCACCAUAAUUGGAAUUUGGUGUGUAAAUCAAAAGGACUAAAAAGGAAGCUGCUCCCUUGUUGAGUUCUUUCAAGUUAAAUUUUGUUGGGUGUGCUUUGGGACACUCAGACUAGCUGGGGAUUAGAGGGAUGUUAAGAGACCAUAAUGGUAUUGUGGUUAGAGUGUUUUCAAAACUGGUAGGAGAAGGUUUAGCCAUAAGGGCAGAGAUUUUAGCCCUUUUAGAGGAUUUGCUACAAACCAGGACUCUUGACCUUUCUAACCUACAAGUGGAAGGGGACUCUGCUAUAUUGUUAACUUGAGUGGCUGAAUUAGAAAGAGGGCCUUGGAGGUAUGAUGGCUGGCUUCGUCAAAUAUUAGAUGAUGCAUGUAUCUUGGAAUGCUCCUUCUUGUAGUCUCCUUGCUCAACUAAUGAUGUUGCCCAUUUUUAGCAAAGAGAGGAUUAAUGUUUCAGUUAUGUUUUGUAGGAGGUUAUAUACUCCCUUGACGGGUGUCAAGUGAUGUGUUGCUCUAGGGAUGUAUAGAUAUCCUUACUUUGUCGAAGAAGUGUUUCCACCUCUUCUUUUGAUCAUGUAUUAUAAAUUUUGGAAUUAUUCCUCAUCCCUCAUUUGUAUUGUUAAAUUCAUAGCAAUGAGUAUGUUUGUUUCUGCUAUAUAUAUAUAUAUACCCUUCAGUUACUUCUUGGAUUACGACCACAGGCAGGGUUCCAUGGUGAUAUGGUGGUGUGAUCACUGGAUUUGGAGUCCUUUCAUUGUUACUUCUUGGAUUACCACCACAGGCUGGGGUUCAUAGUGGUAUGGUGGUGUGAUCACUGGACUUGGAGUACAUGGAGUGGUGACCACUGGAUCAGGAGUCCAUGAUGGCAUGAUCACAGGAUUAGGAGCCUAUGGUGGCAUGAUCACUGUAUUAGGAGCCCAUGAUGGUGUGAUCACUGGAUCUAUAUGGGAAUGUGGAAAGUGCUUUCAGGUGGCAUUCCAAGUCUGCAAAUUAGGUGGCAGAUGAGCUAGCCAAAAGGAUAGCUAGAUCCAAUGUGUCUUCUUUUGGGGGGCCACAUGAUGAGUACUAAAGGAGUAGAUAUAUAUGUAUAUUGAUUGUUCCUUCUCUCCUUUUUGCAAGAAGUAUCCCUUGUUCUCAGCAGUACAUGUUAUGUAUCUUUUGCAUAUUUUCUUUCUUUAGUAACAAUUAUUAUUUUAUUUUGUAUCUACAAAUUGACUUAUACAUGAUAUAUUGUUAGGACAUUGGGAAAAUGGUAUUUUAUACCUUGAUUCACUUUGAAGCUUUUGGAAGUUUACUGUCCUAUUGCUCUUUGUUGUAAAAAUAGCUUACAUGUUUUCCUUUUCUUUUUGAAUAGUUGAGGAAAUGGAACGAGCGGUGGGUGAUCUUAGAUCCUACAACAGGAAAGAUGGAAUACAAGUAGACAUCUGUUGUCUUUCAAAGUUUGCUCCUUUUGUUGCUUUAUUCUAGUUCUUAAAUGCAUUGCCCUUUCCUUGUUUACUUCAGGAUUCGGAGAAAUGAGGUAGCUGUCAAGGGAACCAUCAUAUUCGAUGCCUAUAGCACAAUUACUCUCUCUCCUGUGAAUUUUCAGUAAGAUCAAUAUUUUUGUUAAUGAAUAUGCUUUGUAAUAAUCUUAGCUACUGUUUAUCCUUGUAGAUUUUAUAGUUUAAAUGAUUAUUAAUUUAGUUCUCUUUUUAUGUGCUCCAGUGGACUACCAAAAUAUGAUGGCUGCUGUUUCUGUAUCCUGAUUGAUCUAGCUGUAUUUUGCUUUUAGCAAUCUAGGUGAACUUGAAUUUUUAUCAAUGUACUUCAUACUAAUUCUCAUGUUGAAUCUGGAAGCAGUAAGACUUGUGUGCUUCUUAAUGACACUGUAUAGAUAUUGGGACCCCCCAGAAGAAAGACUAUUUCCUUUGUGCAGAAACUCCUGGUGCAGCCAGAGCUUGGGUAUCUACUUUGCAGUAAGUUAUCUGGGGUCCUUCCUUUCCAUUGUACUGGAGGAAAUGGUUCAGUUGUUUUAUUUUUUGUGAUGAUGCAUCUCCUCUCUCUUAUGAUAUUUCAUUUCUUUGCCUCUUUUAGAAUUUGAUUUUUAAAAUAGGUAUUCCUAUAUGCGUUUUGGAAAAUAGUAAUAUCUUGUUAGUUCAUGUCAAAGCUACACGGAGAAAAACAUUUGGAGGUGUUUGAUGGCAAAAAGACCUACGCCUAGUAAAAACAUUUUGAAGGUGUAGCAAGUUUUAUGAAUAUAUAUUCAUGUCAAAGGUUUCUGUGUAUUUAGCCUGUAUACAUAGGGCGCUUCCCCUCCUUUUUUGGCGUUCAUUAAUGCAUGUUCUUGUUGUCCAUCAAAAAAAAAAGAAAAAAAAAUCACGUCAAAAUCGGGGACCUUGAAACAUUUUGGAGUUGUUUGAUGGCAAGAGAACCUAUGCCUAGCAAAAUCAUUUUGGAGAUGUUGUAAGUUUUUAUGAAUUUAGGACUUUGAAACUUGCCAUAUAUCCCUGUGAACAUGAUAAACUGUAACAGCGACAAAACGGGGACCUUUUCCUGUCCUGUCAUCUGUUUGUAUCUAAAGAUUGCUUUAAUGUACAUUAAUCUCCUAUCUAUAUCCAUAUCUUAAACUCUCUCUAUAUAUAUAGUCGUCAUUCACUUCCAAGUGAAGCUUUUGUCUGUUGAACUCUUCCCAUUUCAUGCAAUUUGCAAUUGAACAUGCUGGCUUCACAGUUAAAAGAAAAUGAUAUAUCAUAUUGCAUGGUACAAUUUUACAGCUUGUUAAUAUGUUUAUGAAAUUACUGGUUGAUUAGUUUGUGAUGUUGCCUUAAACAAAGAGGAUGAUUGAUGUUGAAUGAUGAUUGGGGUAUGGAUCAUUUAUUCAGAUGUUAGUAAUGGUUUAUUUUUUCAGUUCUAGUUUUGGUAUAAGGGAACAUCUCUAGGUACAUAACUCAAAUGGGUGAAACCGAGGUAAAUUAAAUUGAAUGCAUCUUUACUAACAGUACCUACCUAUUCUAAAGUUCUUUCCAUUGAAGUUAAAUGUUUGGUAACUCAUGUUAUCCCGUUAAACAUCAUGGGCUCAAAUCUUAACAGCUCAAGUUUUUAGGAAAUUUGGUAGUUGAAUAUGUUUUGAGAGGUAUGGUUUGCUAGAGCUCUCAAGUUCAAGGCUCUCCUUCUCUUUUUAUCCCUCAUCUAUUUACCUGUAAUCUGUAACUCCACUCUGGGUAUGCUGCUGCACGUGAGGGACUUGUGUUAGCCCUGCAUACUUUGUGAGCCCAUAUCCUAACAGCAGCCUAUGCUUUUAGGAAAGUUGGUAGCUUAACAAUUCCUUUUUAUUUACUAGUUUGUUUUCUUUUUCUUUUUUUUUUUACCUGUCAUCAAAUACACAACAUGCUCCUCUUUUGAGGUUUAGAGCUGUCACAGAAUUCUCUUUUAUCUAUAUCGGUAUUACAGUUUUUAUUUCUACUUAUUGUCCAUUUUUUAUUUUCUUAAAACAAUUAGUGCAACACAGUUGGUUCUCAAGGCUCAUAAAGAGGCCGUGAAUUCCUUAAGUGGGAAUGGCUCUGCAAAGCUAGGAACGGUUGCAACUGUAGUUGCUGCUGCUAAUUCAACAGCACUGGAAUGCUCUAAAGAAAUUGAAGCAGCAAUGCAAAUUUCAAUGCGAAAUGCUUUGGGAGUGAUGAUGAAUAAAACAAGUGAUGGCCCAAUGGAUGAUUUGACAAUCAUGAAGGUAAACUACGUGCUGUUUCCUAGUUCAGUUCUUUUUUUUUGCAGUGUGAUACUGUUUCCUGAUCUGAUUUUGAAACACAUCUCGCACAACUACAUGAGGAUUAUGCUCUACCUACAUCUUGUAAUGGUUUGAUAUCAAAACUGAGGUCAUGUAAACUUCAUUAUCUGAUAUUAAGGCUUUUUGCAUCCUAUAAUGUUUGGAGAUGAAUGCUUUCUGGUUAAAAUGUAGGCAUGCUGUUACCUGGAGACAAGGUUGUAAUUAUGGUCAUGUGGGAGACUUGGUGUCCUAUUCGUCUGGAAUUCAUUUAAAAUCCUUACUUUGACUUUUCACUCUUGUGAAACGGAAAAUGGUUGAGCUGCAAAAUAUUUUAUGAUGUCAUACACUUAUAUUACGAAAUGGAUAAAGGGACUUGGAUUUAUUCUCAUAGUUUACAGCCCUAUGAUAAGCAGUGUCUGCAAUGGUUCCUGAAAAUGUUAUUCACCAUUUUUUUGCUUUUUGUAACUAGGACUAACUUCUAUUUUUGAUGAGAAACAACAGUAUAGUAUAUUAAGGUGAGUAAAAAUAGUACAAAGAAGGAUGAGAGAUCCUCCAAAAACUACACAAAAAGAAAACCAAAACCUGUAAGUCCAAGAAUCUAUACAACUAUGAGGUUCCACAAACUAUAUCCCAAAUGGGAAUAUGCAAAAAUAAUCUAUCCUUGCCAGCUUCUUUUUGCACUUAAAUCUGCUGUCAAAUUGUCAUAAUUUUGGGACAAGUGGAGUGUUGAAAUUGCAUGAAGCCAGACUUAGAGGUGUAGUUAUGCAGGUUUAUUUAUGAGAAGGGUGAUGAACCAUUGUGUGGGACACAUGUUUUGGCCUUGUGUGUCCAUAACUCAAAAUAGGGUGCCCCAGUUGACAGAUAUUCAUGGCUAAGUCUUUGGAUGUGGUUCUUGAGGACUGAGGCAUGCAUAUGGAGAUUUUUUUUUUUUUUGAAUAGGCAAGGCAUGUAGGGAACUUAUUGAAAAAGGAGUGGGUUUUUUGAGAUCCAUGGAGAGUUCAUAUGUUAUUUAGUUUCAGGAUUUUGUAGAAAUUUGGAUCAUAGUUGUUAAAAACUUAUGAUACAUGAUAUGAUACAAUAAUACAAUGAUACAAUACAUUUUUUUAUUAAGAUCGAUAUGUCUAACAACCUGUUUCUUAUUUUAAAGCGUAUCUUAUGAUACACACACACGCACACACGAGAUACAUGAUAUUAUGAUACAACAAUACAUAAUAUUAUGAUACAACAAUACAUAAUAUUAUGAUACAAUGAUACAUACAUCUUCAACUAUUUUCUAUAAUUUUUAAGAAAAAUCAAAUUAACAUUUUUUUAAAAGAAUUUAUUAUAUUAAUUGCUUAAAAUGUACUAAAAGAUUAAAAAUUGAUCAUAAAAAGGAGAAAUUUGGACUUUCUAAAAGAAAUGCUUAACCAAUAGAUAUCAAAAUAAUAAUUAUUAGAAUUUGUAAGGCUAGCCCAAAGAAGAGAAAUGGUUCUUGCAAAGGUUCAUUUCUUUCCACAUAUAGCUUGAUUCAGUCUUUGUUUAGAAGGUUCUUAAAGUGUUCAAACAAUUUUUAGCUCAGAAUUUGUUUGCUCUCUUAAAGCCCCACCUAACCUAAAUAAAUGUGCACCUGUCCUUAUGGGAGUGCAGUGGCAAGAGAAAUGCUUCUAGUAUGAAUAUGAACCAUUUAAUUUGGCCAAUGAGUUUCAAAUAGAAUAAGCCUAGGGAAUACUCCCUUUUUCCUUGUUGAGAGGGCAUUGAACCUUUUUUCAUUUAGGUGCAGGGAGAGCAUGGUAGCUAACAAUUGGAGCAUUUAGGACAACUUUAAAUGUAUUUAACCAAAUGUUAUACUGAGAAAAUCAUUUCUUUAACAUGUAAUUUUGAAUUUUUAAUAAUAAUAAAAAGGUAAUUAUUGCAGAAAAAAAGGAAAAUAAAGUUUUAUGCUUAUAUUUCUCCAUCUUUUUCUUGAUAGCUAGGAUGAAUAUAUUGAAAGAGCACACAUUUCUCUUUCUUACUAUUCCGGAGGCCAUUUAUAAGUGAAAUCCUUUAUGCCACCUCUUAAUUGGUACAUGUAAAAGAAAGUUUUGUCCAACGUCUUUUUUGCUUUCCUAGAAAAAUCAUCUCUCUCUCUCUCUCUCUCUCUCUCUAAUUUAUUACUUUCUUUUCACUCUAAUAAUGUUACCCUUUUCCUAGCAGUGAAGUUGACCUGGCUUUAAGAGCAUAUAACAAGCAAGUUGGGCCUGAGCCUGCUAAAAUAAUGUUUUAUGCUGUGUCAUAUGCUGCCUGGUCCCAGCCUCUGAAAAUUUUGUUUGAUGAGCACACAGAAAAUAGAAAAAUAAAGAUAAGACAAGGGGAUAGGGCUAAGGCAUGCCAAAGUACAUAGGUAGUAUACAAAGGGCACCAUGCAAAAGGAACAAUGAAAGGAGGGAAUUCAGAGGGCAGAACACAUGUCCACAUGUACUUGGCUUCUAAACAAUCAACAAAAUCGACCAUAGACAUAGUAUUCCCUUCUAUAUGGUGCCUAACGCAUUCCAGCCUCUGAAAAUGGCUUCCUUCAGCACGUUCUUAGGCCUUCUAUAUUAAUUCUCAUCCAGUAGGAUUAUGAUUAUUUGUUUCACUUUCUUUUCUUAGUGCAUAGUUGUAUUUUGCAGGAGACACUACGAGUAAAGGAUGAGGAAUUGCAGCAUUUGGCCAGGGACCUUCGGGCACGGGAUUCAACAAUUAAAGAGAUAGCAGAGAAACUAUCUGAUACUGCUGAAGCUGCAGAGGCUGCAGCAUUGGCAGCACAUACAAUGGAUGAACAAAGGCGAAUGGCUUGUGCAGAAAUUGAUCGUUUAAGAAAAGAUUCAGAGAAGCAGCUUGGGUCAUCCAUGUUGAAGGUACCCAUAAGUUCUCUCAUUUCUUGAUGGUUUGGUUCAUUGUUUAAUGAUAUUGUUAAUAUGUAUCAUCUUACAGGAUUAAGGAGGGAAAAUAAAACUUCACUACAAAAGUUUUGGUCUUUUAUUUUGUUGCUGAAUUUGUUUUUGUUUUUGUUUUAAUUUUAUUUUACUUCUUCCAUCAUUAUUAGAUAUAUGAACUUCAUUAAGAAUGCUUGUUUAGAAUUGAGAGAUGUUGCAUUUGGUUGCCUAAUCUUUCUUUAUUUGGGGUUUUCAUUGAAAUAUGUAGCUGAAAGAGUUUGAAGAAAAGGUUAUGGCUUUAUGUAAAGAAAGGGAUCAAUUGGUCAAGCAGAGAGAUUCUGCGAUCCAGGAGGCACAUUUAUGGCGCUCUGAGCUUGCAAAAGCAAGAGAGCGUGUUGUAAUAUUAGAAGGUGCAGUUGUUAGAGCUGAUGAGAAGGUCAGGGUUGCAGAGGCAGAUGCUGAAGCCAGGAUAAAGGAAGCAGCACAGAAAGAGUCAGCUGCUGUAAAGGAAAAGCAAGAGCUUUUGGCAUAUGUUAACAUGUUACAAGCACAACUUCAAAGGUUAAUCAUCUGACCCCUCAACCCAUCUUUGUCAAUAUAUAUAUAUAUAUAUAUAUAUACAGACUCAUUGGCCAUGUACUCUUGUCUCACCUCCUUUUCAGUUUUUGUAAUUCUUGCAUUCUAUUAUUGUACUUUAGGGCACCCAUAGUCAUAUUUCAUAAUUAAAAAAGGCUGUAAAUUUAAAAGUUGAGUGAUUACAUGAAGUAUUGAUAACUGAAAAUGGGGAACUGCAGAUGAUCUAAGUAAGCCCUAUAAGUUCAGAAAGUGAUGAAAAAAAAGAGAGUUAUUGAGUUCCACAUAGAUGAGUAGGUGUGGAGGAAGUAUGAUGGUUCUAAGGUUAUUGAAAUCUCCUUUUUCAGUUUCUAUUACAUAUUUAUGCAUGUCUCACAUGGUACAGAGAGUGAUUCCAUCAUUAAGUGAAUCUCAUCAAUGAAAUUUUGCUAGUUCAUUGAGGAUCUUCGAGGAUAAAGCAAGGAAUCCAGAGAAUCUUUGGGAUUUUAUUCAUUUCCUUGCUUCUCUUUGGGCUUUUUGUUCCAAGGUCUUUAAGGGGACUCCCCUUAUUGUGUUACAACUUGAUUGGCUAGCGGUGUAUAAUUCCUUUGGGUUGGUCUAGUCUAGAGAGUUUGUUCGUAUUAUAUUGUAUUUUCUUGUUUUCGUUUUCUUGUAGUUUAGUUUUCCUUAGUGGGAGGAUUCCUCAUCCUUCUCUUGUACUUCUUUUUUCUAUUAAUAUAUUCCUUUGUCGUUUCCUAUAAAAAAAAAAAAUUUGCUAGUUCAAAAUAAAUGGUAUGGGAUUAUUCCAAUGAUGUGCUCUAUUGGUUUCUGUUGAUGUGAAUCCUUUAGGGAUGUUAAAUUUUCUUUUAUUUCCUUAAGUUGCAAGGUCUUGUUUAUAUGUUGCCUCUGGUUUGUCAAAGUAUCCAUUCCAGUGAUCCGUAUCAUAUACUGAGGAGUUCCUUUGGAAUUCUUGUUCUCAAUUUGGAAGGUUACUCCAGGAAUAUAGUUGGUAAUAUAUAUUAGUUGAGAUCUGGAGGUGAGGGAUGGAGAUUGUGGUGAAAUGAGAACCAUCUUGCACCAUUAGUUAUGACAUGUUCAUGGUUCAGUUCUCAAUCUUAUAAAUUUGCAUUAAAAAGGUACAUUACAUCUGCAUUAUCUAGAAACUUAAGAAGAGAAACGACCUUUCAGUUGACUUCAGUGGAUAAACAAUGUCUGAUGCAUCUAUCAUUUCCUGUUAGCAGGCAGCAGAUUGAUACAAAAAAGCAAGUCUUUGAGGAGAAGACCGAGUCUUGCUCUGAUAUUGGCAACACUCGUCCCUUAACAAAGCAUGUGGAUUUGUCAGAUGAGAAUGUGGACAAAGCAUGUCUUAGUGUUUCUAGAGCAGUCCCUGUUGGGGAGAAUGUAGUCCACUUGGCCAUGGAUCAGGUUAAUCUCCGACCAGUUGGAGAUGGUGAAUGGAGUGAUAUUCAAGCAACAGAAGCAAGGAUAGCUGAUGUACGAGAAAUUGCCCCUGAGACAGAAGGAAGCAGCUUGGACAUUCCUGUUGUUAGCCUACCAGUAAAUAACCAUCAUGAACAAGGAGCAAACUCUUUUCAUCAGCCGUGAUAUUUUCCUGAUGUGGGGAUAAACUCACCAUCAAAGGUCAGUUAUAGGAGGAAUUGAAACUCUUGUUGCGUCUUUUAGUUCCCUGUCUAGCAUUUGAUUUGUAAGUGAGAUAUCAACAUGCUGGUUUAAAAUUGAAGUUGUGAUACAUGCCUUCUUCUUAAUAUAGGAAAAUUAGACUUUCUCAAUGCGAUGUUUAAAAGCAUCUCAAUAAGUUGUUUUUGAUAUUUGUGUGAAGAGCCUAUUUUUCUGUUUUUCCUACAGAUUUUUCAGUUUUGUUCAUUUUUUCUUGAUGAUACUAGUCUCAUUGAAUUGCUUCUACUCUACCUUAUCAUAUACCUUGGUUAUACCUAGUAGCCCUUUAACGUGUGACCAUUAUGUUCUUGAGAUGAUUCUCAAAGUUAUUGUACACAACUUCAAUUGUAACACAAAAUCAUAGCCUAUGAUCGAGAAUGGAAACUUUUGACUUCUUUAAGGAUCCUUUUUCUCCCCACCUGUUGCAUAAAGAUGCUGCUGCUUGACUAUCAGUCAUAAAGAGAUUUGAGUCUUUUCAAGCUGUGUUAAGCUCUUUGUUAAAUCAGUUGGGGAAGCUUCUUGUAAGUUGAGGAGAAUUGCAAAGAUAAUGGUAAUAAGAUGCCUUGUUUAGGAAUAAUAUCAAAUUUAAUGGGAUGAGCUUGCUCUUGUGGAUGACUCAUUUCCCUGGAAUUUGUAUUUGAAACUCUUGACAAAAGAAGCUUCACAAAUCAAAUAAUGAAUAAAUUGACCCGAGACAAAUGCUGUUGAUUGUUGUUGGGAAGUUAUUUACUUAGAGCGUAUUUGAGAAUUUUCUAUUUGAGGUAGAGAAAUGUUUUUUGGGAAUCGCCUAUCAAGUGCUUUUCUAGCAUAUAUUUGUACUCCCCAAUCUGAAAAUAAAGUAUAGACUGACAAAUAUUGGGAAAAGGGUGAAGUAGCUUUGAAAUUUUGGCAGAACUAGUAGAGAGUGAUGAGGAUGGUUGAAAGGCACAAUUCCAUGUCAUUUGCAUCGUUGCACGUAGGUGAGAUUGUCUUUCAUCCAUCCUAUAAGCUCUAAAUUAGUCAGCAAGGAAACUGCCUUGUAGAGUGAUACUUCACAUUGUUAUGCUUAUUUUUGGAUCUAUUUGAAUGAUGCUUAUAUUUGUUUUCCGUUGACCGUUAGAAAGCUACCUCCCUCAUGGUUGAAUGGUUCCUGUCGCGUUUCAGCUCGGGUUUAGAGACAUGAAGAUGAUUUCCACACGUCAAGUUUUCAGGUCCAAUUUGUGAAUGGCUCUCAAACCAAGUCUUUAACCUAGUGUGGAUAUAUUUUCUAAUGUCUACUUUUAAAAGUAAAAGUAAAAAAAUGAUAUGAAACAUGAAAAUUUUUAAAAAUGGUCAUUUUAAAAUUUUGUUUAAAUUUACUAUUUUAAAUUUUAAAAAUUCUGAAAAAUAAUUUUAACAUGAGAUGGAUCUUUAUGUAACAUAUAAUAAUUUUUAUAUAUCAUAUAGAAAUUGUUAUUAUUCCCCAUUUUUAAAGUUGAAUGAUAGGUGGUGGAUUCAAACCACAUCUUAAUUAAAAACCAAAUGGCCAACGACUUACGACGAACUUAAAAGUUAAAAGAGGUGUAAGCAAUAUUUUCAAAGCAUGAUUGGUUAUUAAAUCGAAAAAGUUACCUGUUCAUGAUUUAAUAGACAGAUUGAUGUUCAAACAAUGGUCGGUCAUAAAAUAUAUAUUUUAUAUAUUAAUAGAAUUAAAAAUAAUUGUAAAAAAUUAUAGGCGAAUAAAUUUUAUUGUUGAUAGCAUCUCCUUUAUUUGUCAAGUAUUUUCACAAAUUUUUUUACUGUAAAAGUCAACAUAUAUAAUAUCUAUAACAAAAUAUAGGAAGUUAUUUCUCCAUCACUAUAUAAAUCAACAUAGUAUUUACCAAGACAUUAAUAUAUGAAAUCCAUAUAUAAAAUAAUUAUCAAAUUCUCAAGAAGUUUUUAACACAUUAUCCUUGAUAUAAAUAUUGACCACAAUAUUUAAAUAAUUGAUAAAUAAUUUUUCAUAUCAAUAAAUAUAAAAUAUCUUGUCUUCAUUCAUCUCAAUGAUUAAAAUAUGAUAAUUUCAAAGCAACAUAUGGACCUCCAAAGUUUUUCAAAUCAAUCUCUCCUAGAGCCAUGCCAUCAUCAUCUUUGUCAUUUACAAAAAUAUUCAAUUAAUAUUAACAAGAAAAUCAUUUUUGAAAACAAAAUAAUUAUUAAAGAUUUAUAUGAGAAGUUGAACUUUGCGCUUCAUUUACUGGAAUUGAUCAUUUUUCAUAUAAAACCAUUUCUUCGUAGUCUAGCUCUCUUAGCUCAUCCUUCUCAACUAUCCAAAAUUCAGUCUCAUCAAUUCAUGUAUAAUUAACGAGAUCAUAGCCCAUUUCUCUUGUCGUAAAACCUAAAAUUGAUAAGCAUAUAAUCAUUCAAUUUUUUCAAAGCAUAUAAUAAUUCCAAUUGUAAUUAAAUAAUUUCUUGAUGCCCAAAUGAACCUAAUACAUGCCUUCCUACACAUCUCAUCGAAGUUCUUUCAUCACAAUCAACAAUACACAACAAAAACACAAGUAAAACCACAAGUAAAACCACAAGCUUUAUAAUUACGAAAUAAUCAUUCCAAUUUUUUAUUUUUAUUUUAUUUAUCCAAAAUGAUAGAAACUACAACAUUAUUUUUAUUAUUUUUGAAUAUCUAGAGUCUCCAGAAAACUUGCUAUUGACCAAAGUUUGCAAAUCAUGCUUAUGAUCAUGGAGACUUUUUAGUACAAUGAAUAUGGUAGCAAAGCAAGUUGCUCUAUGUCAUAGAAUCUCUGCCCAAAACAUCUUUGAUGCACAUCUAACUUAACAAAACAAUAUGAUUAUAUACAAAUAUUAUCACCUUUGAUGCAUGUUUUAUAAAUUCAACCAUAGGAUCCAAUUUAGCAAUAUUCUUAAAGAUCAAAUUAAGAUAAUGAAUUGUACAAGGAGAAUAAAUAACAUGUUUAUACUUUUAAGAAAUCAUCCUCCCUACAACCAUGUAGUUUGUUGUAUAAUUAGUGAGCAUAUGAACUAUAUUGUUUGAACGAACCCAUUCAACUAUCUUCUUAAACAUUUGAAACAAAUUAAUUACAUCAUUCAUAAUAUUCGAAGCAUCAAUGAAUUUCACAAAUGUCCUUGGGUAUAAUAAACAAGGAAGUUGAUGCGUAUUCUUUGUUUAUUGUCUACCUAACCAUCACUCGAUGUUGUACACUCAACUUUUGCCUAAAUUCAUGAAGAGUUUAGAUGUAACUGAAAUAUCCUUUAACAAAUUAAUCCAUAAUUGAUGGUAAGUUAGAACCUAAUGUCUAGAACUAAUUGCACCUAUAGCUUCUAACAUUGCUUUGAAGUAAAAGGAGUUGACAAUAUUAAUUAUUAGAAAUGUGUGCAUCAUAAACAAUAUCUUCUAAUGAUCAUAUCUACUUCCCAAAUAGUUUUAUUUAUUUAUUUAUAAUUAUUUAUCAAUUAAUAUACUCUUAAUGGAAGGUUGAACUCUUGGAGUAGUUCUUGGUGUAAGAUACUUGUUUUUUUUUUUCUUUUUCCACUACUUAUUAGUGUAGAAUUCUUGAAACUUUUCUUCAUAUUCUAGUUUAUCCCUUCAAAUUGUGAUAUGUUAGGGUCAUAUGCAUGUUCAUAUUUGUAAGCUUCUUGAGUUGUCUUUUUAGAUUUUACAAACUCUUGCAAAUAAUUUUCCAUUUAAAAUCUAACAUUAUGAGAAACAAAUUUACAUGGUCCAAUAUCACCUUUUAUUCCAACAAGGUGUUGUUUCUUUUUAUGAAUUCCUCACCUUUCAUAACCUUUUAGUAAUACAAACACAUAAAAGCUUUUUUUCCAUUUGCAUAUCUUUCUUUAGAAACAUGAACCCAUCCAAUGACAAAGAUUUGUGCAUGCCAGGAAUUGAAUUGUUAGGAGCUCCCACGAUAAGGACCUAUAUAGUUAGGACUCAUCGACUAUUCAAGAUAUUAUGUUUAGUACAUACCCUGAGCCAUAUAAGAUAUUCUACGCAAAUAUAAUACCCCGCAAAAAAGACUUAUAAUUACCAUGAGCAUAUUGACUCCCUCUAGGCUAUAAAGGAUUCACCAUCUAGGCUAUAUAGGAUUCAAAGAUUCAUUCUCCCUUGAAGACAUGAAUGCAAACAUGGACAUCCUUGUUAUAGCCUAUGGGAUUCAUGGGUGGCCAAAUGACUAAAUUUCACAUAUAUUUCUUCCCUCAAUGUAUUAUUCACUCUCUUAUAUGAACACUCCCAAAUUAUAUGAGAUAUCACAUUUGUUUUCUAAUGUAAGCACAAACUUUGCAUAUUUUUUUCUUAAGGAUUGACUUAAGGUCAUGACCAUGUAUUGUUUGCUUUCAUCAUACUCUUAUAACAUAAAAAAAAAGUUUGAGAAAACUCUCUCUCUAUGUGAUGAGAGAUAUUAAAUUAGAUUUAACAAAAACAUUUAAAAGUUGAAGUUUUUAAGUCUUCAUUUAGUUUAUAUUGCAGAAUAAAAAAAUGAUAACUCAAAUAUAUGAAUAUAUGGAAGCAAAAAUUCAAAACUUGGACAAAGUCUGCAGAAAAAAAACAAAAAAAUCAAAUUGAAUUUACAACAUCUGGAUGAAUCCAGAAUUUUUAUUUUAAAUCAGAAAUUUAAAAGUUUGGUAAAAUUUGUCUUAACUUCCUCAAACAAUCUAAAUUUUCUACGAUCCAAAUUUGGCAAAGGUUAGACUGGAGAAUUGUGUCAGGGGUGGCUGCCACAUAAAAUCGCAUUGAAUGAGAGAGAGACUUUUUGAUGGCCAUAGAAGUUGUGGGCCACAAUUGGGCUUGACUUUGGGCCAGAAGAACUUCCAAAUAUUCCAAAGUUUGCCCGACGAUGCAUCCUAACCAUUUAUAUGAGCAUUUCUUCUUUCUUCAUUCCCAUGUUAGUUUGGUCGUUGUUGAACGGUUCUCACUUUUCAACAUAAUUUCAAUGACUCAUAAUGAAUGGCUUCCAAGUGGGGAGAGAUUUUUUGAAAGGGAAAAAAAGAGUGGGGGAAACCGUAAGAUGGGGGAGUCGCCAUGCCUGCCGUCUCUCCCACCCUCUUUUACUUUCUAAGCCUUUUUUUUUACUUCCAAAGCUCUUAGGUUUGAAAGUGGGAAAAACUUUAAGAUCUGUUUCUAGUUAUUUAAAAAUUUUAAAACUGUUUGGCCCGAGCCUUUAGGGAUGUAAAUAAGGUUAAUUUAGUUAGUUUUUUUGAGUAAAAAAUGAAUCGAACCGAUAUAAUCAGUUUAUAUGUGAAAAAAACUAAACUGAUUGAAAUAAAAAAUCGAAUCAAACAAAGUCUUUUAAGGUUGUGAUAGUUUGUUUCAAUUUUCGUAGAUUGGUUUGAAUCCAACUUUUUCUUAGUCCUUCGCCCAAUUGUGGGUUUGAAUCCAACUUUUUCUUAGUCCUUGACCCAAUUGUGGAGUUUUUGUUUUAAACCUAAAACCCAUUAAUUUGAAUUUAUAUAAGGUGUUAAAGCUUAAUUUGUUUUUAAAAUUAAUUCAAAUCAACUUGGAUUUAAUGUUAAAAAUAUAUUGAAUGCAUUUAAAAUUAAUUUGAUCAUAAUAUAAAAUAAUGAAUUGUUUUAAUAUAAUCAAAUAUAAAAACACUUAUCAAAUAUCAAAUAAUUAUAUGUAAAUUUUAAAAUGACAGUUUAGUUUGAUUUUAUAUUAGUUAGAAGACAAGAAAAUUGAAUACUGAUAAAAGGUCGAUUUUCAAAAUUCUCAAAUCGAUCGGUUUUGAUUGCUUUGUGGAUUUUUUCACUUUUGCAUACAUCCCUAACUAUUUUUUGAAGCGAUUUUUUAAAAUAUGGAGAACAAUUUAAAAAAACCUACAAGUAAAAUAAAAUACGAUCUCUUUCUUUUUUUCACUCUUUAUCUUCAUUGAAGAUACUAGAAAUCCUCAAAUACAAUCUCCCUUUGAAAUAUUAUAAGAGUUUAUAUAUAUAAAUUUUCUAAAUUUUUAAAUUAAGUAGCACUUAAUACGUAUGAUCUAUUAAUAUUCAUAUUAUAUAUAUAACGAUUUUAUUAUAAUAUCGGUACAAUAUUUUACUAAAAAAAUAUUUAUUUAUUUAAUUUAUUUAUGAUCAAUUACAAAUAUAUUUUAUUUUUAAUAAGAUUUGAAUUAAAUUUAAUUAAUAUAAUAUCAAUUAGAUUUACAAUUUUUUUUUUUAUGAAAUCAAAGUAGAAGAACAAUAGUUUAAAAGCACCAAAAAUUUAUUUACCCAAAGAUUUUUUUUUGUUUUUUGAAAAAUAUUUUUAAAACAACUUGUCAAAUAGCUUAGACAUUAAAAGAUAUAGAAAAUUUAUUAACAAAUUUUGAAAUAUGGUAAAUUGAAUCUUUUGAUCAUCCAAAUUUUUUUAAUUUUUUAAUUUUUGUCUAAUCCCUUCCAUAAAAUCUUGCCAUUUUUUUCAACUCCCCGAGACUCUAAUUCAAUCAAUCAUCAAUCAUCAAUCAUCAAUCACAUCGACUUUACACCUCUAAAUUUCUUAAAAUUGUAAUUAAUAGUUACUACUCAAUCAUCCAAAGUCAAUCAAAAUUAUCCAAAAUCCCCAAAACCCUAAAAACCACAAUCACCCAUUACCAAAGUAGAUAACAAAACGUAGUUAUCCCAUAGGCAUGACCAAUCGGAUGCAAUAAAAAAUGGUUACGUACAAUAAUAAGAAUCAUCCACAAAUAAAAAAAUAAAAAAUAAAAAAUAAAAAAAAUGACUCAAUUGAACUUGAUUGGUACCAAUUUGGAAUUUAAUUUCGGAUGAUGUGGUUAAUGACACGUGGAUUAAUAUAUUGUUAAAAUAUAAUUUCUUAUAAAUAAUUUUGAUAUUGAAAAGUAGAAAAUGGAUUAACACAAUUAAGUUGGUAUUUAUUUUUUUUGCUAAAUAAAAAAAAAUUAAAAUAUUUAAUUUUUUAUAUUUAAUUAAAAUUAAUUUAUUAAUUUCUUAAUAAUAAGUUCAUUUUAAUUAUAUUGAUUAAUAUUAAUAAGAUGGUUUUAGCUGAAUAAAAAAAAUUAAAUAUUUUAAUUUUUUUUGCUCAAUCAAAAAAUAAACACCACUCAAGUCUAAUACAAGGAAAAAAGAAGUUUUUUUUUCUUUGAAUUUAAUUUUAAAUAUAAACUAGGCCUUAUUAAUUAAUUUUUCUAAAUUAUAUUAUUUUUUGGAGAUAUACUUGCAAAUAUUUUACCAAUUUUCUGACUUGUAGUAGUAGCAAAGAUUAGACCAAAUAAAUUCAACACCUAUCCAAGACUGAGUCAAAGGUGGGCCACAUGGUACCCCCCAUUUAUAUCUGGUCCGGCCCCUUUAAAAAAAAUAAAAAUAAAAAAAGAAAUUGGCCCAAAUAUUUAGGCUCGUUAUGUCUGAGAUGUCAUGUCAUACAUCUGCCCUAGAUUAGUAGAACGCUAUUAUAAACAUGAAGUCCAUGCACACAAAGUAAGGUUACAAGGUCUCCCAAGUAUUUAUUGUAAGUUUUUCAGUACUAUACUGUAACUAUAAGCUUCAGCUGCAGCUGCAGGCUUCUGUUCCAUGUCUAUCUACAGUCAUAAACAUGAGGUGGAUCGAUGGCUGACUCCACUAUCGAUCUCAGCUCAUCCCAGUUUCCGCUUGUGAAGAAUUGAUCAUUUCCAUUUGGGUUCCAAAAGCUCGAGUAUGGUCCACUGUAUGGUGAAACAAAUGAGCUCAUUUGGCCGACAACCAACUGGCUUCUUUCAUCGAUACUGCUGUCGACAACAGUGCUGUUCUUGGUCCGAGUGGUGGAGUUUUCAAAGCUCAAGUACUUGUCAUUGUUGUCGGAUUCUAAACUACAGGUCUUGGAGCUUGAAUCAGUGGCAACCUGUUUGUUUGAUAUUGAUCCUUUCCCUUCAGGUGUGUAUUUCCUAUAAGUUGGGCUUCGUUUGAAAAUUCGACAGAGUGUCCAGACUUCCUGCGCAUGCAUUGAGAAAAAUGGGUUUCAGUUCAGUUUGGUGAUCUGGCUAAUUUGUAGAAAAUUUAAGGCAGUGGGGAUGCAAUGAUUUUAGAGUUCUGAAUUUUCUUCCUAACUGCUGUGAAUUAGACCAUUAAUAUUAGGACAUGCAUACAGUUCAACUAGUUUGACUAUACAGAACAACUAGACAUACUUCAUGACGAGAGAAGAAAAAGACAUAUCAAAGCUGAAAGCAGAAAGAUCAACGCAUUCCAAAUCCUAAUGACAGUUUAGAAAUAAUAGAAAAAUAAUGUGAGUUGGAUCUGACAUUCAUGUGAAGUAAGCAAGAAGAGUCUAUUGAAGGUAUAUAAAAAGAAGAAGAAAAUUAUGAUUACUUAACUAAAAUGAAAUGGAUAAAUUUUGAAAAUAAUCAACAUGUUGAAUAAUCGCCACAAUUUUAAAUCCCCGUGUACUUUUUUAACUUUUCUUCUUGGAAAAAAUAACUUCCAUGUGCACAAUUUCGUGCGAAGGUGCGUAUUAGGAGAAAAAUCAGAUGGUCGCCCGAUGUUUUUCUCUUCCUCAAAUUAGUAAACUAAUAGAUGCUUAAAAAAUGAUAAGGAUGAUAAUAUGAGUUGUAGAGAAAAAAUUUGUCAUUGUUUCAUCGUUAUAAGCUGAUUAGGUUCAUGUAUAGAUUUAAAAGUUAGUUCUAGUUGAACACAAAGUAUCACAUGAUGGACUUCACCAUCUUAGGCACAGCUUCAAUGCAGAUCUUGAAGGAUUAAACUAGAGAAUUAUAGGACUUGAGGAGAGCCAAAUCCAUCUUUGGACAAUUUGAGAGUGUUUCAGAUUGAAGAAAAAAGGAAAUCUAACCACUUGAGUACAGAUACAAUGCCCAUAUUUAUGCAUGACAAUUGCUAGUUCUUUCAGAUACAAAAAAAUAUUGUCACAGCUAAGUUGUGGAGAAAGUUAAGGGAAGAAUGAAGUUUGAGAAAAAUCUUACAGCUUCUUGAGUGACAUUCUUUGCAUUGGGGAAGUAGGUGCCUUUCCCACCUGGUGGGAGGCGGAACUCAUGCAUCAUCCAAUCGGUUUUGGUGCCUUUUCCAGCGCUUCCACGGUAGUAGACCAAGGAUUUCUUCAGGCCAAUGCACUCAUUGGUUGCUUCAACAGAAUAUAUAGGCUUGUCAAUGCCUGUGGCUUUCCAAAAUCCGGACCCUGUGACUCGAUUAGGCCUUAUGCUGUUCCUAUACUUUCUCCCUCUUAUGCAGAAGAAGUACCACUCUCUAUCUCCCAUGUUAGUGCUGACUCCUUCAUUUUCAUAAAAAGACUUCGAGGUAAGAAAUUAGGGCUAAAGCUAAUAGGAGGCAUGCAAAAAUAUUAGUAUAUUUUAAGCCUGGUUACUCUAGGCUUUCAAAUUACAGUUGAUGAUCAUACAAAGGUUCAUUAUUGAAACAAGCUUUAAGGUUUAUUAUUCUUUUGAAGGGAGCUUACUGUGAAACAAGCUUCAAAUUCAAAAUAGGGAAAAGGGUAUGUAAACUUAUGCUGACUCUAGCUAGCAUGCAUCCUCAUUGCCAUGAGGUAAGGGACUAUUUGGUUGAGAAGAUGGAGAGAAGAUCAAAAGAAGACAUGGAAUUUCACCCCAUUCCAGCCCAAAUAACUUCUCGUUGGAACUAAUUGCUGCCUCUUCAACCUUCAGUUUUCUUGUAAUUGUGAAAUUAUAAUAAAACAUACUCUAAAAACUUGAAAGAAAUGUUUAUAUCUAAAUAUUGUCAACUAAGUAGAAUCAUGUUCCUGUAAUUUCAGUUGCUUCAAGCUUAUUGAAACACCUAGCCUCCAUGAUCAUCAAUAUACACUCCUUAAAAUUCCCAUAUACCGCCUGCAGCCACAGAUGUUAGCAUCACCAUCAUCAUCAUCUCUCUUUCUCUGCAUGUGCAGUGUUGUACGGACUGCAGGUUACAAUAAGUUGUUAAAAGUUUGUUUGCGUGCAUGCAAGGCUACUCUCACCACAACCACUUGCCCAUACAUGUCACUAGGUUCUCACCCCGCUAUCUUUAUAUGUUCUUCCUUUCGUAUAUCUAAAUACGUAUUUCUUUGCAGCAAAGUUGGCUGUGAAUCUUUUCAAAUUGUAGCAACUCGAUUCAUCUCAAAUUGAUGGCUUCCAAAUCAUGAUUUCAUCGGAUCAAUAGAGAAAAAGAGAGGUACCUGUUUUGAUUCUUAAGCCACCUAAGUGAAUUUUAAUGGGAAAGGAGAAAAAGGGAUGAAAUUAUAACUUACUUGGAAGAUCCCAUGGAUCAUAUUUGUAGAUAUCCACCUGUUUGAUGAGUUCAAGACUGAUUGGUUUCUUCUCCACCUUCCGCCGCAGAUAAAACCCUACAAGUUCUUCAUCAGUAGGAUGAAACCGGAAUCCGGGGAGCACGACUUCUUCAUCAUCAUCCUUCUUGUUGUCUAAAGUGCUAGUCUUCUCCACCUCCAUCCCUCUCUUUCUCUUCCCCGCUCCUGUUUGUCCAAGCUUUAGGUUAGACUCAACUAGAACCUUCUUAUAAUGAAUAUAUUUUUGGUGGUGGUUGCCCAGGUCAAGGCUGUGAUAUUGAUUCUCAUUAAUCUUGAGGGCAAAAGGGUCUUGGAAGAAGUCUCCAUUUGUUGAUAAUUCAAUAGCCCAGUGAAAGACACUCAAGUAAAUGGUUUUUAUUUGGUCUCAAAAAGGUUCAUGGUGGAACUUGGAAGGUAAAAAAGAAAAUUAUGUGACGGAUCUUUUUGAAACUGUAGAAGUAUUGCCUUACACAAACUGUUAUAAAAGUCUACCAUGGGCCAUGAAAGUGACUCAGAAAGAGCCAAACCUGUAUAGACUUGCAUUAAAGGAGAGAGAAAAUCAAAGGAGAAGCUUUCAAAGACAUUAUGGGUGGAGGAAAAUUAUGAAAAAGAGCGCUAUCAAAGGAGAAUCAAGUCUAGAAGAUAUAUUGACAAAUUUGAAUUAUUAUUUCACCCAUAUAUACAUAAAACAAUCUUUUGCCCUCCAUUGUAGACUGGAUUUUCAACUUUCAAACAAAGUGCCCACUCCCAAUGAUAGUUACCCAUGAGCUUAAUUACCUCAAACAAUUUUUUUUUAUACAUACUGUGGUAGAGAGAGACUUAUAUUUGGAAAAAAAGGGUUUUAUUUAUUUUUUUAUUUUUUUAUUCACCGUAAGGCUGAGAAUCAAUGAAGCUUUUGAUCAGAAGAGCUUAGCCGGUGACUUUUGACAAAAUGUUGCUUUGUGUAAGCUGUCCAAUUAAGAAUUUGUGAGUGAAUGGGGUUCUGGAUUUGGAAUUUUCCGGUAUGCCCGUGUGGAAGUCAUAAUACUAAUGCUGUCUUUCUUCCAUUCUUUCAUAUUUUUUGUUUUUGGUCUAGAAGGAAGCCAUGUUGCCUCUAGAAAAUAAUGUUAUCUUUGUCCUAUAUAUUAUUGGUCAAUUGCUAAAAUAUUAAUACUUAAUUGAUCUUAUGUUGUGCUUAUUUGAAUUAAGAUGGAAAUAGUGUUGUAAAUAUUUCAUUAUAAGGUGCAUUUUGCAUGGAUGAAUUUGAUAAGAAAUUAUUUUUGGAGCUUAAUUUGAACCCUUCCACCCAUUUGCAAUCCACCCCCAAAAAAGUUAUAUCUUAAUUCUUUCAUCUCCCUUUCCUCAUUUUCUUCCAUUCCCUACUUCAAAUUUGGAAAAAGGAAAAGGGAAAUAAAAAGGGGGUAGUAUGGCUGGCGGCCAUGGUUGCCCUGAGUCAAAAGGUUGAAGAAGAGAGGGAGAUGUAUGUUGUGUCCAAAGGAAUGCAACCGAGCUCCUCAAAUAUAAAUCCUACCCCUUGGCUCUUUGUUGUGCAUUUCCAAAUAGUCCAGUCUUCGUUUAUUGAGGUGAAUUUUCAAAGCCAUGUUUGGAAGUAAAAAAUGGAACAAUAUAUAGAUGAAAAUAACAUUGAAAUGAUUCAUAAAGGGAUAAAAAGAUUUAGUAUUUAUAAAUAUAAUAUUUUUCAUUUUUUGUUUCGAAAAAUAAUUUAUUUUUGACAUAAAUGCCUUUUAAUAUAUUGAUUAUUUAUAUUUAUGUUUUUUUUUUAAAUGUUAUUUUUGUAAAAAGAAAAUGAAGAUAUUUUUAUACAAGACCAGUUUUUUGUAGGAUUAGAAAAGGUCAAAGACUGGAUUCACACGAUGGUUUCCUUGACGUGACGACUGUAUCAAAAGUUAUGAAGGAACUUAAAAACAUUUCAUUUUCCCACUCCCACUUGAUGGGGGUCUUUAUCAAGUUACAAAGGUCCUCAAAAACAUUUCAUUUUUUCAGUCCCACUUGAUGUGGAUUAGGUAAAUAAAUUGAGGUUUUUUCCAUUAUUUGAAAGCAACAAGAGAUGUCCCUUACCACCUGGAAAUUGCAAAUUUUCAACAUUUAGAUGGUUUUUUCUUUUUGUCUUAAUUCGAAGAGACAAAGAAAAAAAUAAUUUAGCAUAUUUUUAAAUAUCUCAAAAUAUCAAAAUUUAUUAUAAUAAUACAAAAUUUAAAAAUUAUUAUGAAAUAUUUAAAAUUAAUUGAUUAAAAGGAUGAAAAUAUCUUAUAUUUGUGAAUUUAAUCUUUUUUUUUAAAUAAUCUAUUUUUGUCAUAAACUCUCUUAAUCCGUUGAUUGUUUACUUGUGUGUUUUAAAAAAAAAAUGUUUUUUUAACAAAAAAAAAAAAUGAUGAUAUUUUUGUUUGAACCGAGUAUUUUUUAGGGUUAAAGAAGUUAAAGAAUAGAUUUAUAAAAUGGAGAAAAUGAACAUCAAUUAGCUUCCAAUGAUAGGAUUUAUAUUGGGGUAUAUUUUGUAACACUUUAUUUUUAAUUAUUCUUCAUAUUUAUAUAAUUAUUUUUAAAAAUAAUAUUAGAAAACAAGAAAAAUAACUUGUUUUUAAUACACAUUCUCAAAAACCUAUGUUUUGUUAAAUUCCCCCCCCCCCCCCCCCCAAAAAAUUUUAAAAUGGUUUUUUUAAAAAAAAAAAAAAAAUAAUUUUUCAAAAAAUUUCCCCCAAAGUUUUUUUUUUUCGUCCCCCCUUAAUUUUAACCCGAAAACAAUUUAAGGGGAAGUGAAAAACCCGGUGGGGGUUUUAAAAUUCCAGGAGCCCUCCCCCCCCCCCUUAAAAAAAAAGGACCUACCCUGGCCAAAAAAACUGAAAAAACCUUAAAAGGUUUGAAAUUUUUCUCCAAAUUUUUAAACCCAAACCUGGUCCCCCGAACCAUUUUUUUAAAAUCUAAACAAAAUUUGAACCCUCCCAAUUGAUUUUUCCAAAAAUCCCACCCAAUUUUUGACCCGGGAAAAUGAAAGGGCUGCCUGUUGUACAAAGGGGUGGGGGUUANNNNNNNNNNNNNNNNNNNNNNNNNNNNNNNNNNNNNNNNNNNNNNNNNNNNNNNNNNNNNNNNNNNNNNNNNNNNNNNNNNNNNNNNNNNNNNNNNNNNUUUAAAUUUUUCUUCAAAUUAAAAAAAUUUUUUUAAAAAAUAAUUUUAAAAACCAAAAAAAUUACUUUUUUUUUAAUACCCUUUCUAAAAAACUUUUUUUUUUUAAAUUUCCCCCCCCCCCCCCCCCAAAAAAUUAUCAAAGUGUUUUCUUAAAAACAGAAAAGAAACUAGUUUUCAAAACAGUUCCACACAAUGUUUUUGUUUUCAGUCAGCCUUAAAUUUGAGCCUGAAAGCAGUUGAGGCGGAUGUGAAGACCCGGCUGGUGCUUUGAAAUUCCAGGCAGCCAUCCAGCCCCACAUGAAUAGAAAGGUACGUACCAUGCACAGAAAAGCUGACAAAUCAUUAAAUGUUCUGAAUUUAUCGUCAAAUUAUUGAAUCCAAAGCUUGUUCCCAGGAUCAAUUAUUUGAUAGUCUAAUCAAAUUCUGAUCUCUCCGAUUGAUUUUUCACAAAUAUCCAACCAAUUUUUGGACCUGGAGAAGUGAAUGGCCUGCCUGUUGUACAAAGGGUUGGGGUUGAUCCUUCAAUGUGAUGAUAACUGACGUGUUGACUAUAAUUCUCAGGUUGCUAUAUUCAUACUCCACAAUAUUGGAUGCCUUUAAAUGCUCAUGUGCAUAGGUGUCUGAUACUGUACCACACGAUUGUACGUUCAGAAAGUUUGUAGAAUUCAAAACCCAAAAUUCAUGUCGGGUCAUAGAAAACCCGAAAAGAAGUGUCUCUCUCUAUAUGUAUAUAUUUUCCAUGCAUUAACUGUGGUUUGAUUUGAUAUAUCUUAAAUAAAUAUAAAAACAUAUCAUGCAUGCAUUUUAUAAAAAUAAUGAUUUUUUGUUGCAUUUUCUUCCUACUUUUGUUGAAUUAAUUUAAUAAUUUAAAUUUAAUUUAACUUAAAAUAAAUGGUUAUUUGAUAAAAAGUCAUUGAAAACCAAUUUUAAAAAUAUAAUAUUUUAUCGUUUUUUGACCCAAUUUUGAUCAAAAUGCCCUAUUAUUUAUUUAUUUAUUUUUUGUAAAAAUAACUAUUUCUUUUAAAACAUAUUGUAAAUACUUGAAAUAGUUAAAGAAAUUUAUAUCAAGAAUGAGUUACUCUUCAAACAAAAAUAUGAGAAUGGAUAAAUUCACAAAAAUAUGGAUAUGAAUUCAAAUUCUAUUUGUCUUUGUUUGUUGGAUAUGAAUCUAAAUUCUAUCAAUCUCUAUUUGUUGGAUAUGCAUUUAAAUUUUGUCUAUCUUUAUUUGUUAUAUAUGAAUUCAAAUUCUGUCCGUCUUUAUUUCUUCUAUGGUUUUAUGUUUUCUUCUGUCUCUCUUCCUUGAUUUUUCAUUCCUUGAUAGUUUUAUGUUGACUUUUUUUUUUUUUUUUUUUGAUGGUUUUAGUUUUGUGUCUUCUUCUUCUUCUUCUUUGUCUUCUUUUCUUUUUCCUUGAUGGUUUUAGUUUAAUAUCUUCUACUAUUUUUUUUUCUUUGAGCACAUACCUUUCUUUUAUAAUCAUAUUUUCUUCCUUUAAGCAUAUACAUUUUCUAUUCCUACCCUCAUAAUGUCUUUAAGUCAGAACUUGUUCACAUCGAUCUUUUAUUGGAUGAUACAUAUAGUUUUCUUAUAAAUAUUGGUACUUUGGUUUUUGAGUGUGAUUGAUUACUACCAAAAAGUGCUAUUUUGUAGACCUAAUUAUAAUGGUUUUAAGCACCUUUGAGUAGUAAUCAUAUUUAUUUAACCCAAUUAAUUCAUUAAGGUCCUUAGUAAUUGGUUUUAACCAUUUUGUGGCAAGUUUACAUGUUUUUAUCAGCUUAUGAAUCAAUUCAAGCAUGCCAAAUGAUGGAGGAGCUACUUGGACAAGUUAUGGCAAAGCUUUUGGAAGCUCAAAUUCAUGAAGAACCAAGCUUUGGAGCUCCAUAGCCCUUUGCCAAAGUCGUUCAAAGUAUGCAAGGAAAGAACAAUGGAAAAGAGGAAAAGCAAGCAAAGUGAAGAGAAGCAAAGAGGACAGCAGCUGCAGUCUUCUUUUGCACUUUUGGAGUACUUUCCGAAGUCCAUUUUCUACAUGCUAUAUACCAUUUCAAAGCUCUGGAAGUCAAGAAUCCAACGCUUUAAACCGUGUAUGAUUUGGAGUUGAAAUGAGGAAGAUAUGGCCUUCGGAAGCCAACUGCUCCAGGUUAUGCGAAAUUCGCAUAACACCUUCAAAAUUUGCAUAACCCAAGCGUGUUGCGAAUUUUCCUCUGCUUUUGCCGACUCCACUUUAGAUAUUUUCCUUUGUAUUUUGUGAUGUAAUUUCCCUUCUUAUCCUUGUAACUAACAAAUCGCAAGCUUUUGCUUUUGUAAAGACUAUAUAAGGGGUGGAAAUCACCUCUUGGAAUAUAUAGAAUAGAUAUUACGUUUAACACAGAGAAAUAUACAGAGCUCUCUUGUUUCUCUUUUCUCUUUGCUAUUUUAUUUUCUUGGAAGCCAAACAACCUCUGAGGGCUUUUCCUUAGAGGAUGAUUGGCUAAAACUUUUAGUUUCUCAAAGUAUGGAUGUUAUGUGAUGGCUUGGAUGCAAUCCCAUGGAAAUUUCUCGCACCCGGAAGGUAAGGUAGUCGUUUUUCAUUAAUGGUUCAUUAAUGCAAAGUUUGGUUUUUAUUUCCUUUGGACAACUUCCAACGGCCAAUACUUGAUAAGCUUUUGGAUUUCUAUCCAUUAGUUAUCUCAUACGAGUUAUUGGAAGGUGAGGUUUUCAAUUCCAAGUUUUUCAUUAAUCCGUUAGAACCAAUUUCAAUGGCCAUUGCAAGGUGAGUUUAUCACCUAGAAUGACUUUGAGUUGCCAAUAUUUGGUAAGCUUUUGGCUUUAGACCAUUAGUUAUCUCUUACGAGCCAUUUAAAGGAAGUCUAAGGUGAAUAACCAUUGAUGAAAUUCACUACCAUCUGUUUUGUCAUUUUAAAGGAUUAAAACUUGAUUUGCUAAAUCCAUACCAGUUCGGGAAGCAAGCAUCACCAUAGUUGCAACCCUAAACCGAGGAGCCUAUCCUGAGAUUUCCAAUUUGCAUAAGAGCCUGAGCAUAGCUAUCCUAUCUUUGAGAAACUUGUUUUUACACCCUUUCAUUUUAGUCUUUAAUGUUAGCUUAGAUUAGUUUAAAUCUUUCUAAAACAUUUACAUAUUCUUUUAAAGCUAACAUCCAUAAGAAAAUCACUUAUUUUCCUAAUUUGAAUAUCACUAGUGUUUGCGAAAACCCUUCCCAGUGAACGAUCCUAGAACCACUAUGCUAUAGUAGCUUGGCUACUUUAGUAAUAGUAUUUAAGGUAUAAAUUUUGUUGAUACGCCUUUAAAGCUAAGCUACCAUGAGUCGAAUCAGUGAUGCAUCUUCUUCUCCUUCUCCUACUACUACUCCCAUAUCUUUUGAAACAAUGGAUCCUUCUCCCUCACGUUCUUCUCAACAUCUUCCAAGCUAUGAUUGAAAAACUUUUUACUUUGCAUAAGAUAGAUACUUGGGAUUUGGUACUUUUACCACCUGUAUGGUAUAAAUUAUAAGGAGACUUUUGCUCAUGUUACAAAUGUGACUAAUAUUUGUACUCUUAUUAUAGUUGCUUCUAUUUUUUCUCUUACUUAGAUGUAUUGUGACAACAAAAAUACUAUUUAGAUUGCUCACAACUUUGUUUUUUAUGACAUAACCAAAUGUUGCGACAACGAAAGCUUUGAUGCCAACAAUGUUAGUUCAAGAACACAAAGAUAAAACAAUCACACAUAUGGUACACGAGGUUUUAACGUGGUUUGGCCAACCAUGCCUACGUCCACGGAUAGAGAGAAUGAUUCCACUAUACAAUAGAGAAUAUUACAGAGGACAGAACUAGAUACAAGUAUUGGGUUCUCGAAACAUCCCAUGUUUCCCCACUCCUUGUAUCCAUACCUUACUACGAGCCCUCUCGCUCCACCGGGUACCUCCUGUUCUUCUUCACAUCUCUAUCCACCUUGUAUAGUCUCUACAGGCCCAUCUCCAUCUCAUGACUUUUUCCCCUCAUGACCUAGAAUAUUUAUAGAGAUAUUUCCAAGAACCUUCCUUAUUCUAUAAGGAAGUCUAAUAUUAUAAUAAUAUAUCAACUUAGAAAUAUUCUAUAUAAUAUUCUUUACAAAAAAGGAAUCUAUACUAAUUAAGAAUUUGAGACACUUCCUAUCAAUCUCCACCUUGGACCAAAUUCCAUGAAGUUAAUCUUCAAUCUCUCCAUGACACAAACUUUUUUGUAUCAUAUCACCACGAAAGAGCAAUUGACUCCACCUUCAGUGAAAAUUCCUUUUGUUUUCAUCUUGUGUGCUUUGUGAUCUUUUACUCUUCCAGAAAUCUUCAACCCAAGCUUUGAUACCAGUUGUUGCGAUAACGAAAGCUUUGAUGCCAACAAUGUUAGUUCAAGAACACAAAGAUAAAACAAUCACACAUAUGAUACACGAGGUUUUAAUAUGGUUCGACCAACCAUGCCUACAUCCACGGAUGAGAGAGAACGAUUCCAUUAUACAAUAGAGAAUAUUAUAGAGGACAGAACCAGAUACAACUAUUGGGUUCCUGAAACAUCCCAUGUUUCCCCACUCCUUGUAUCCAUACCUUACUACGAGCCCUCUUGCUCCAUCGGGUACCUCACAUUUUUCCUCACAUCUCUAUCCACCUCGUAUAGUCUCUACAGGCCCAUCUCCAUCUCAUGACUUUUUCCCCUCAUGACCUAGAAUAUUUAUAGAGAUAUUUCCAAGAACCUUCCUUAUUCUAUAAGGAAGUCUAAUAUUACAAUAAUAUAUCAACCUAGAAAUAUUCUAUAUAAUAUUCUUUACAAAAAAAAAAAAUCUAUACUAAUUAGGAAUUUGGGACACUUCCUAACACCAAACAUAUUAAAAUUGAUUAUCAUCUCACUCGUUAUCACAUUCAACCUAAGACUCUUACUUUGUCUUUUGUUUCUUCUUUCAAAUAGAUUGUAAAUUUGUUCAUCAAGUUAGACUUGUUCACCUGCAUGGUAUGGAUUAUAAGGAGGCUUUUGCUCAUGUUACAAAUAUGACUAAUAUUUGUACUCUUAUUAUAGUCGCUUCUAUUUUUUCUCCUACUUAGAUGUAUUGUAACAACAAAACUACUAUUUAGAUUGCUCACAACUUUGUCCUUUAUGACAGAACCAAACAUAUUGAAAUUGAUUAUCACUUCACUCGUUAUCACAUUCAACUUAAGACUCUUAUUUUGUUUUUUGUUCGUUCUUUCAAAUAGAUUGCAAAUUUGUUUAUCAAGUUAGACCCAUUUUCGUGUUUUUGACUUUUGGUUCACAAACUUUUGAUGCUUCUUGCAACCGUAUCAUGAGUUUGUGAGGGAUUUUAGAAGUUAUUAAUACAUUUACAAACUUUUGAUGCUUCUUGCAACCGUAUCAUGAGUUUGUGAGGGAUUUUAGAAGUUAUUAAUACAUUUAGUUACUAUAUAUUUAUUUAUUUAGUUACUAUAUAUCUUAUUUAUUUAGCUACAAUAUUAUAAUUAUUUUCUUUCGUUUUAGAAGUAAGAGUUAAUUUUUUUUUUUCGAAUCUUUUUUGGAUUUCAACAAAUAUUACAACUAAGUUACCCUUUAUUCAUUAGUCUUCAUUCAAUUCAUAUUAAUAACGAAAUUUUUUAAAAUUCCCAUUAUAUGAAAUGUCUAAAAAGAGAAAAACAUGCGAAGAAAAAAAAGUUCCAAUUUUUUUUUUUAGUUCUUAUAUUUUAUCAAGCACUUUUUGGAUAAAAAGUAAAAUUAUUAAAUGAGGUUAUAUAUGUAAUUUUUAAUACAUAAAAAUUAUUUUUUCAAAUAUGAGUAUUAUCCCAUCCUUUUUAAUAAAAUAUUUUUAUUAAAAAUAUAGUUUUUCGGUUUAAAAUAUUUGAUUGUUAUGCUAUCCUACACUUUGGACUCUUUUCCUUUAGAAAAAAGAAAAAAGAAAAAGAAAACAUAUAUAGAGUAUUUUUAAUACAAAUCAAUUAUUGAUUAACCCUCAAAACCUUUGCCACCAAAAAACUGGACAUAAUACUCAAACUAGGUUUAAAUCCUAAAUACAAAAAUAAAUUUGAAAAAGAUUUUGGGUUAGGUGGAAAAUAGGAGAUAAUUAGGCUUUAUUUGACAAUUAUUUUUUAGAACAAUUUUUUGUUUUUUAAAAAAAGAAAGGGAAAACAUGCUUGACAACAAGAAAAUUGUUUUCUAUAUUAUGAAACAUGGUGUUUUCUAUUUUUAAAAUAGAAAAUAUGAUGUUUUAAAAAAAUAUCUUUUAAUUAUUUUCAUUUGUUUUUGUUGGAUUGUUUUAAAAAAUAAUUAUAAAAACAUGUAAAAUGAAAUAAAAUACUAAAUAUAAAAAUGAUUUUUAAAAUACAUUUAAAAAUAUUAAAAACGGAUUAAAAACGUACAUCUUAUUUCCGAAACAAAUUUUUAUUUUAUAAAACAUUAGAUAAUAGUUUUCAAGAACCGUCUUUAAAAACUAUUUUCGAAAAUAGUUAUCCCUCAAACAAGAUCUUAAUUUCAUACGAGACCGGUAAUGUGAAUCAACAAAAUAGACAAACACACAUUUAUCUUUAAUUAAGAAUGUUUUUGUCCCAUGCAGAACUAAUUACAUUAAACUUAGCUAUCAUGCACCAUGUUUUCCUGCCGGUAAGUCAUUUAAGCUGCCAUGCGAACCACGCUCCGCCGACCUCCAUCACUCACAAUAAAAUUAAUCAUUCAUAAUAUUCAGAAGAUAUAUUAAACUGUGAGCAAUUUCAACAUGUAAAAUCACAUGGUAUGACUAUGAGAUUUGAGUUCUCUUUAUCACAGUGGCCACAGCAAUUAGUAAUUGUACAAAUGUCUUCUUACUGAACCUCCUUUUCAACGCACGAUCCUCUACAAAAUAAAACGAACAGUGUCCCGAAAAUUAGACCAAGAAUAUUUCAAUGAUCAACAGCCGAAUUCACUGACUUGCCUUAGAUCUUACAAGUAAGAUUAAUCCGGCCAAGUCUAUGAACUGAAUGUUGGAGAACCACAGAGAAAGGAUGAAUGCUUUCAUAGGGAAAAGUUUGCUGGGGCAUAGACUUUUGGUUGGCGAGAGUUGCGCCGUAGACUCAAGCAUGGGCAAAUCUAAUUUUGGCGUCAAACAUGUAAGAAAAAAGAAUAUUUUGGUUUAGAUUUUCAAUGAAAAUGUGCUGAUGAAAAAGUCCAAGUCUACGAUCUUGUUGUGCUUCAAAUAGUGAAGUCUUAAAGAGAACCUUCCUCUGUUGUACAAAGUGGAAUCACAGCCUCUAGUCUUUGCGGGGUUGUCCCUACAAAAAACUGGUCCUGAAACAGUCUUACUUUGACCUUGGACGUCGUAUGACAUCAUGAAUGCCAAAAACUAUUUACUAUUAUUAUAUAAAUUUCAAUGACUUUCUAUGUAAGAUUUCGUCACAUGCAUGAAAAUUUGGCUUGGGGUGCACAAUUGGAUUUGUCGUGUUAUUUAAUUUUCUUAUUAAACACUUUGAUAAUAUUUUAUAAAUCACUAUAAUUCUUCAUCAACGAUACUAGUAUGAUAUAUAUAUUAAAUCCAAAUUCUAUAAAUUUAAACUUUUAGUUUUUUUUAAUUCAAUAUGGUAUCAAAAUUUAAUUUGACGAGAAACCUCAUAUUUUUAUAUAAAUUCAAAUUUUAUCUGCCUUUCCACUUGUGGGUAUGAGACAGGAGGGUGUUGAGAGUAUUAUAUGUAUAUUAAACCAAAAUUCUAUAAAUUUAAUUUAAAUUUUUUAAAAAAUUGAUAAUUCAUAUAUAUUAUUUUAUAAAUUAUUUUAUCUUUACAUUCUUAUAUUAAUAUAUUGAUCAUAUUAGACUUCUCUUUUAAGUAAAAUAGUAUCAAAUUGUUAUUAGCACAAUAAGUGAUAUCAAAGUUUUCUUUUUGUACAAUACUUUUAAAUAGUUAAAAGUAGAUCAUUUAAAUUAAAUACACAUGUAUCUUAUAAUAAAUUUAUAUAACUUUUUUUGGUGGCAUAUAGGAAUCAUGCAUCCAAAAUUUUAAGAUUUAGGUCAAUUUGAGAAUUAUUUUUGAAAACAAUUUUCCAUUCUCUAGUAUAAAAAACACAAAAAACAUGUUUGAUAACUGAAAACUAUUUUUUAUUUACUGUUUUUAAGAAUAAAAAAUAGGGUGUUUUCAAAUAAUAUCUUUUAGUUGUUUUUUUUUAUUAUUUUUACUUGUUUUUUGAAAGAAGUUUUGAGAAAUAAUUAUAAAAAUAUGUAGAAUGAUUAAAAAUAAAACAUUACAUAUAAAAGUUAUUUUUAAAAUAUAUUUAAAAAUAUUAAAAACAAAUUAAAAAUACUUUAGGUUUUCAAAUAGACUUUUGUUCUAUAAAAAUUAAAAAACAAAUUUUCAAAUUAUUUUUGAAGACAAUUACCAAACAACCCUUAAUUUUUUCUUCAUACUUUCCUUUCGAAAUAAUAUUUAAUAUGACAAGAUAAACUAAAUUGGUUUCAUUAGAGAUGUGGUGGCUAGUAUAAUGACAUGUAGAAACUUGUAGAGUAACUUCUAGUAUUAAAAUAACCAAACCUUUCCACAAAUAUUUAGGGUGGUUGUGAAAAGAAGUAUGUGUAGCUACAUUAUUGGACCCAAUAGGAUGCUCCAAAAAUGUUGCCUUUCGUGAUAGGAAUGCCCCUUCAAAAGUCAUAUUACUUGUACUACCAAGACACCACCACUAAGUAUUUAUCCAUAUCUUAAUCCAUGUGUGCAUGGAGAUGAACACAAAUAUAUAUAGAAAAGAUAAAUAUUAGAAGACAAGUCUCCACAAAGAGACAAAGAUAUGGAAGGCUUGGGUCAACCAAUCCCGCUAUGCGUGGCAAAUGUUUCAGGGGACUGCGUAGGAUUGAACAGCCUUUGCUUGAGGGAAGAUCAAUCUAUGGGUGGGAGUGAAGGCAGAACUGGAGAAGUAUUGGAACAGGUGGGUCACCUCAGUUGACUAUGAAACAUGGCAUUAGUCAACGCAAAUCUUGGCUUUGGAUCUCUACAUCGGUGCUGAAUAUUGUUGAACGGAAACACGUGGCCAGCUACAUUGGUUCUAGACAACAAUGGCUGCAACAAUUAACCUGAAAUUUAAAAAUUAUUGGUCCAACUUAGAAAGAUAGAUUUGAUUUAUGUGUGGAGAUCUUGAACAGCUCAAGUCAACCCCACCAAGUUAGCAAGAAAGUAAGGGUUGGAUUCUGUUCUUCAUGUGAGGCCUAGGCUCUCGGCUCUCCUUAAGAGCUAGGUUAGGCUUGGCUUGUUGCAUACUAAUUACUAGUUAUUAUUAUUAUUAUUUUUAUAAUUAUUAAGAUUAUUGAAAUUUGUAUUUAUAUUUUUUCUUAUUAAAUCAUUUUUUGUUUAAAAAUGAUUUUUUAUAAAUGAUUAAAAACUUAUUGUUUGAUGUUUUUAGAUAUUUUGGCUGUUUCAGUUUCAUAUUCUAGUUUAACAAUUUUAAUUUUCAAAAUUUUAAAGUAAUAAAGUUAAAAAUAUAGAUAUCUUAUAUUUAAAAUAAAGAAAUUAAAAUAAUAAGUAUUCUAUAUUUAAAGCCAUUAAUAUUCCUUAUAUUUUGUAAAAUUCAUUUUAAUCGUUGAAUUUGUUGAAAAUAAAAGAAUAUGACCAAAAAUAGAAUAAAAAAUAUUCAUGUUUUAAAAUAAUAGUCGGCUACGGAUAUGAAAGUUGAACGCAACUAUGUAGUCAUCGAGGGACAUUAUAUUAAAGGCAAAUUACAAUAUAUCAAAUUAGCAUCAUGCAAUUUGGACCGUUGAAAGUGCAUACUAAAAUUUAGAUCAUUGGAUAAAAGUAUAAAUAUAUAAGACCAAGUAUGAACAAAUGAAAUUGGGAAGAAAUAAAUGAGAGUAAGACAAAAAAAUACGAAAAAAAUUUGAAUAUAAAACAAUAAGACCUAAAAGUGCCUACAUAACAUGAUGUGAUCAUUUUUUGGCAUGUACACGGGUACUAUCAUGGGACCCUAUGUUAAAAUGUGACCAUCCUUGUCAUAUCAUCCAUUCCACAAGCAUAUAGCCCCAUUCACAUUCUCUAGCAUUCCCUUUCUUCACAGAGAAAAAUGACUUCUUAUCUUCUUUUGUAACAACCAUUUUUCAUGCGACUUUAUCAAACAACAACAGAGAAGCGAUCAACUCAAAUCUCUCUCCUUGAUUCAUCUUGACAUUAACUAGAGGCCAUGAGGACUAGGCCAUCCAUGAAGCUUUUAAUGUUUAAAAAUUAGAUCAAAAUUUGGAGCGGAAAGUUAAUUGAUUUUUCAAAUAUUGGCCAAAUAGUAAUGAAAUAUUGAUGGGUUUUUACAACUCCAUAUGAUGGAAAUUAUUGCAAGAUUUUGGAGAAAAAAUUGUCAAUGUUUUACCAUUUAUUUUUUUGAAUUAACAUGGAACCCUAAUUUUUAUUUAUUUAUUUAUUUAUUUUUGGUGUUGGCCUCCUACCAUAUUCGAAAAAUUCACUAAAAGUUUAGUGGAUUUUUCUACAUUUAAACCUUGCUCUUAAGCAAAGUCAUUUCUAGAGUUGGAACUUGGUAGGUGAGGUUAGGUUUAAAGUGUAUCCAAGCUCAUCAUGAGUUUUUAGCCUCCCAAUCUACAGUCUAAUAAAACCAAAUUUCUAAACUAAUCAUAUUUUCAACCCAAACUCUUUUUAGCUUGACCUACUUAGUUUAACGCUUGGGUUGGGUAGAUUGAGCAAAUUAGGCAAAUAAUGUUGAAAAUAUCGCUUUUGACAAAAAUUUCAAUAUCCAUAUUUUAUGAAAAUAUCAAUAAAUUUUUUGAUAUAAGUGGAAAUGAUUGUUGAGAUUGGAAAAAUUGACCAAAAAUAUGAAAUUUUUGAAUGAAAAUUUGAGAAAUGAUAUCAAACUAAUGAUUGAUGUGGUUCAAAGAUACUCAAGGAUGAAGGAUUACCAUCUUGAUUUAAACAUUAUUAUUACCACUAUAUGAACUUUGCGUAACAAUGAUUGUAGAUAGCAACAUGCCAAACAUAGGUAUUUGGAUUUCUUGUCACCACAUCUAUAUGUAUAGGAAUAAUUAUAUCCCAUAAUCAUCAUAAGUUGAUUUUAUUUGAAAUUGUAGACCUUGUCCAUAACUAUAAUUACAAGGAGAAAAAAUGUUUGUCUCAUUAUAUGAGUUAUUGUGUUGACUCCCUACACUCAUAUAUUCAAAACUUUCUAAAAAGAACUCCUAGGCAUCCUUUGUUAGGUCCCGAUGUGCCUCCUCCCUAUGUAAGGCUUCCUAAUAACCCUUAUUACUAAACCUACUAUUCUAUACCAAUGGUUUUCAUCUUAUGUGCAAUAGGUGAAGUAGGCUUCAUUAGUAAAUAGGGUCAAUCGUUGUUGACUUUGGUCAUAUUAUCCAACAUCUCCUCAUCAUCACCAUCAUCUCGAUCAUCUUGAUCAUUAUCAUUAUCACCAUCAUCAUUAUAAAUAUCAACUUCUUCGUUAUCUCUUUGAGGCAUCAAAACUAUAAGUUAGUUUGUGCAACACUCAUCAAUUCAAAGCUAAUAGGAGUAGGUUGUGUUGGCAGUCCAAUUAUCAGCUUAAACAAACCAACUCCACUUUUAGUGUCACUUCUCCCAACUUUUUCAAACAUAACUUUAUCAACAUUAAUUCCAAACUCACAAGCAUGUGCAACUACUUAAAUUUACUAAAACUUUUAUAUUUCAUGUGUAACUCACAUAAUUUAAAGAAGCAAGGGAAGGACUUAGUGAUCAAACUACAGUUACAACUAGAAAUGAAAUGGUUUCAAGUAAGUUGUUAUUUGUUAACACUAUCAAAAGUACAAUGUUGAAAUCAAACGACUUUUGAUUAUCAAUAUAUCAAUGCAUAUUAUGUUAUUUCCUUUUCUAUGGUUGAAUAGUGGUUUAUGUAUGGGAGCCAAACUUGUACAUUACGGAAGCUGGCAAUAAGAAUCUCAUCACAAAUUGUAUCAUCUUCAACUUGUGAGAGGAACCAAAGCACAUUUGUCCUUAUUCAUACAAAACAACAAAAUCAUUUUGCUUAGGCAAAGCUUCAAUAAUUGGUUCUUGUUAUUACGACAUGAAGAUAAAGUUAUAAGACACAGAGGUCAAACAAAAUAAAGUGGUGAAAAUAAACUUCUUAGAUUUUCUAGACAUCUCAACAAAGCCAAGAGAAUUAUAGGACCAAUUGUCCUAAUGGGUAAGGCAUGUAUACUUGGAUGAUGAACAUAGGAAUCCCAAAAUGUAAUGACAAUAGAAAUAAGUUUGUACUAAAAUUUCAUUAAAGCAUAGGUCUCAUUACCAAAUUAACAUACAAGAAAAUAGACUUUUAGUGACAAACUGAAAUAAAAUUUAUGUUUGCUAAAUUAAAAAAAAAAAUCUAAGUUGACAAGAAAAUUAUGAUAUAUAUAUUGAUGUAAAGAACAAUUGUUAUACAUACUUAAAUGAGUAUGAAGAUGAGUUAUUAGAUGUGUUAGCCCAAGGGUUCUCCUAAUCGAGUUUUGAUGAUAACAAACCAUGGUUAAGUGACUAAUUGGUUUGAAUGGUAAAGAAUCUUAGGUAUAAAUUCGGAAAUUCAUCAAAAGAUCAAAUGGAUACAAGAUCGAGACUUUUGAAAGAAUUUUGAUAAUAGGAAACGAAUGUAAGAUGAAUGCAUGGGCGCACUUAGGUUUUUCAUAUUGUUUCAUGCAUAUUUGAAAACUCAGUUUAUCCUUUAAAAUUUCGAUUUCAUUAAAACCUGAGUUUUAUCAAAUGUACCUUAGGUAAAACGUGUCAAAAUUGACAUAUUAUUUUACUUAAAGACCUUGCCUAAGUGUUAGAAAAGAAAUGAAUUGAAAAAGAUAGGUUUUGGGGGCCAACCGGUUACCCUUGUCCUAUCGAGGUUCGGUUGAAGAGUGCCAAAAACUCUCUCUCUCAUCCAGUAGCUUCCUCUUACCGAUUGAGGUUCACCUCUUCCCGGUCGAGGUCCGGUCAACCUUUGGUUGAGGCAACGAUAACCUGCUAAAGCAUUAAAUACUCCAACGGCUAGUGAAUUGGUCGACCCCUAGCUAGACCGAUCGAGGUUGCCUUUUGCUGUUUUUGGCUCCCGAGCUUAGAAACCUAUAAAUUGAGAGCUCCACUUCAUUUAUGACUUAGACAACACUUGCAAUCAAUUGUCUACCUACCUGUUUUUGGCCUAAAAACUCUCAUUUAUUUCUUAGUGCAUUAAAUCAUCACUUGCAUAUCUUUUAGUGCACCCUUGUGAGUCAUCCUAGCUUUGUUUUGUAUUUGAGCUAUCUUUGAGCUAGGUUGAGGGAUUCAUUCUUGUAAAAACUGAGUGUUAAAGCCUUCAAGAGGUUUGAAUCUUGAAGAGAUUGUGUAAGAGCCCAUUGAAGCCGGAAUCCAAGUGUAAGAAGAUUGGAAGCUUGAUUGAAGCUUCAAGCUAGUGGAACCCUCACUCAGUUAGGAGAUUAAGGAGAGUGGAUGUAGGCAAGGAAGUGUUGAACCACUAUAAAUUUUGAGUUUGAAUUCUCUAACUCUAUCUCUUUAUUUCUUGUUUAUAAUGUGGUUGAAUUUGUUGUAUUGAAAAAGUUUUUGAAAAACCCAAUUCACCCCUUUCUUGGGUGUUUUUUUCUCCUUUAAGCAUAGCUUUUAUUUUCUCAAGAUGCAAUGAGAUGGGACUAGGAUGUCCAUGUUAGACUCAAGCUUUUCAUAACACAAGAUGGUGAUGUAGAAAAAAAGGUGGGGGAUGGGGGAAGAUAGAAUUAUAUCUCAUAACAUUUGUAUGAUUUUGAAGUUCUCCAAACAUGAGUAGUAUUGCAAUUGCUUAUAUAGAUGUUUUUGCAUGCUUAAGAUUGAAGUUGUGGUUACAAUUUUAGUAAUGUAUAUUUGAUAAAGGUUGGUAAGUCCAAAAGUAAAGCACAUUAAUUAUGUAAUAAUCAUGAAGCAUGUUGUAUGUAAUGCGGAGAGUUAUAUGAGUUGAAGAGAGAUAUGAUUAGAUUUGAGAUAGAGUCAAAGAAUGAGCUUCUUUCAAAUCCUAAGUGCUCAACUAGCAUACCAACUAACUUACUAGCUUAGAGUUGUGAGACUUAUUUUUAUUUUAUGUCAUUCAUCUCAUCUCCAUUGCUUUCUUGGGCUAAAAAUGGUCCUCCAAAAAUUAGUUUGGAAAAGCUUUUGAAAAUCACAAAAAAGUGAGAGCAACUAUCCGUAUUCUUAAGCAUGAUAAUAAGAUUAAAGUUGAUGGUAAGACCAAAGUCCAUGGUAAGAGACUUGACCUUUAGCUAUGAGAUUAGCCAUUGAAAGGUGCUUAAAAUUCAGUAAAAAAGGAAAUAAAACCAAGAUUUUUCAAUUAGAUUUGCAAAGAAAACUAAAAAAGCAAAAUAAGGCUCAAAAGAGUUUUUUUUUUUUAGGGAAAAUCACUUCGUGCAAGAUAUCAAACACUUUGUAGUUCUCAAAGUUCCAUUUAAAAAAUGGUUCAAAGCAUCUUCAAAAACAUCAAAACAAAGGGAAAAAAUUCCCAAAAAAUUAACAAAAGAUGGUCAAAGACCUCAAAUCCAAAUGAGCCCCAUAUCAUGAUUAACUCAAUGAGCUUCAAAAGGAGAAAACAACCCAACAAAUGAACAAAAUCAAAUCAAGCAAGGCUUGAAAAACAACCGAACAAUAAAUUAAUUAAGAGAACAAACAUUUCAUCAAGCAACCAAAAUAAAAAAAAAAGAAAAAAAAGAAAAAGAGAAUCCAAAGAUGAAAAACAAAUAGCCAAAUAACACAUGUAGCCUUUCAAUAUCUACAACUAAUAUAUUCAUCAUCUCAAGAAUUAGAAGAAUAUGAAAACAAACUAAAAAUAAACUUGUAAAAAUGGAAUAAAUAAAAAAGAGCUUACCAGGUGAUUUCUUCACAAGUGAAACACUUGGCUUCUAGUAAGCUUCCAAUUCUUCUCCAAGCUAAGCCUUCUUUAAAGCUUUCUCUUCUUCUCACUCUUUCUUUGAAAUUUGAUAGAGUUUCCCUUCAAAAAGGUUAGAGAGAAAUCCCCUUAAAAAUGAGCCUCAAGGCCCUUAUUUAUAGGGCAAAGAACGGUAAACAUUUUAACACAUAUCAUUCUCCACCAAAGCCCUUAUGUAUAGACUUUUGCUAUUUUCACCAUUGUUUUCUAAAGAGAGGAACCCUAACCAUCCUCUAGAGAGGGAAAGAAACCCACCAUUUUUUGUGCUAACUAUGAAAGGAGAGAUUAGGUGGAAAAUCAUUGGGUAGACAAGUUUUAUGAUGACCACUACAGUUUCAAAGUCUUUAUUAGAUCAAAAUUGAUAUGGAAACAUCCAAAGAGCAUGUAUGAAGCUUUCUAAUUUUAGAUUUAUAUUUCUUUUGGUUUUUGAAGCCAUAAUAUUUUGUUGUGUUAGAUUUAGAGAACCCUAGGAUUAGAUGCAUGCAUGGUCCAGGGCUCAGAAAUGGAUCAAUCUAGAGUUCCCAACAAGAAAGGAAAAAAAACAACAAGGCUUAAAAAAGGGGUUGAAACGAAGUAAAAAAAAGAAAAAUUUGGUCAACAAACAAGAGAAUCCGUUAAACCGGUUGUCUCAAUGUAGACCCUCCAUUUUGUCUUACUAGCACAUGUUAUUAUAUGUGUUUCUAUUCACUUCUUGUUGUCUUAUAGCCAUUUCAUGGUGGUCUAUUGUCACUCAUUUGAUUUACUAUUUUUUGAGCCACUUUUGGAGAUUUAUUGUUGAUGGAUUUUUUAUGGACCCCAAAUGCAACCUUAGUUGCGCCUUAGUUUAACUUACUUACUGUAUUUUAGGUUUAGUUCACUCAAUUCCAUUCUUAGUCUAACUCACUUAGUUAGAUUUAAGUUGCAUUUUAGGUUUAGUUCACUUAGUUGCAUUUUUAGUCUAGCUCAUUUAGUUACAUUUUAGGUUUAAUUCACUUAUUUGAGUUCUUAGUCUAGUUCACUUAGUUACAUUUUAUGUUUAGUUCACUUAGUUGCAUUUUAGGUUUAACUCACUUAGUUGCAUUUUAAGUUUAAUUCACUUAGUUGCUUUCUUAGUAUAGCUCGCUUAGUUGCAUUUUUGGUUUAAUUCACUUACUUACAUUCUUAGUCUAACUCACUUAGUUGUAUUUUAGGUUUAAUUUACUUGGUUGCAUUCUUAGUCUACUUCACUUAGUUGCAUUUUAGGUUUAGUUCACAUAGUUGCAUUCUUAGUUUGACUUAAUUGCAUUUAAAAUUUAGUUUACUUAGUUGCAUCCUUAGUCUAGUUCAUUUAAUUACUUGGUUACUUUUUAGAUUUAGUUCACUUAGUUGCAUUUUAGGAUAGGUCAUCUAGAUUCAUUUUAGUUCAUUCCAUUUAGGUGCACUUUAGGAUAGAAUUUGAUGUCACCUUGCAUGACAUGUGCAUUGAAGGUCUUUGGGGAAUCUUGGGAAGGAUGUGCGCAACCAUAAGGAGAUUUAAAGAUAAGGAAAUAUUAAGAUUUGGGGAGUCUUUGAGAUGGAUCCUCUUUGGAUAUACAUGACCAUAAGGAAAAGAUAAGGAAAUGUGAACUCUUUGGGAAAAGGAAGAUAUGUGUGGACUUGCAUUUUUCACGUGCGUUCCCACUCAAUCGACGAGACUUACUUUUAUUGGUGAAAAAUUAGUUUUGGAAAAGUCAGAGUCGCCAUUUAUUUUAUUUUAUUUUUAAAAGGGAAAAUAAAACAAGAAAGAAAACCCUAAAUAAGUGACUCCAUAGUUUUUGGAAAAACGUGUCUUUAAAAAACUCGAGUCUAGAUCUGGGGAUCAAGUUAUCUAUUAGGAAGGUACCUCUAAAAGGUAGCACCCUUCUAAGACGCUCAAUGGUCUGGCUGUUUCCUAGAUGCAGAUGUGUUUCACCAAAGCUUUUUCUCCGAUGCGGCCGAACUCGAACCCCAUUUCACGUGCUCAAAAUUUUCUUUCCUUCGUGCGGUUGCUUCCUUCUCCAGAAUGCUGGAUCUUCCCCUUCCAAGUUCUAGAAUGGUGCAGUUGCACCUUUUCUUCUCUAAGGUGCAGAUACGUCUUUUCUUCUCUAAGGUGCGUUGCAUUUUUUCUUCUCUAAGGUGAGGCUGCACCUCCAUUUCCCGUCUUUCAGCUACAAAUCGUGCUACCUCUCCUAGAAAAUCAAACUUUCAAAGCCCUCUCCACGUGCUGAAAAUCUCUUUCCAUCAUCUCAAUGAUCCUGCAAAUUGUGCCCUUCUCCUCUUUUCAAAGGCUCCGUCUCCCUUGCUCUCCAAUGGUGUAACUGCAAAUUUUUUUUUUUUUUUGGUUUUUUUAAAGGCACGACUUCACCUCUACUUCCUGUUUUCUGCCGCAAAUUGUCCUCACUCUCACUGAAAGCCAAACCUUUAUUAUUAUUUUUUUUCGCUCUCCUGUCAUUUUCUUUCUUCUUCCUAUUUUUUUUUCUCUAUCUCAUCCAGCUUCUUCACUCUCCAUUUUCCGCUCGUUGACUCCACCAACAUGGGAAGACAACUCACCCGCCCGGAGAGAGCCUCAAUCGUCCGUGUCAUUCCAGCAUGAUCGGAACUCUCUAUCUUCUCAAAACAUAGCCCACAUUCUGUCCCUAUACAUCUGCACUCCUUCCCAUUGACUUCAAAACAAUGUGUAGGUCCUUCAAAUGUCCCCAUUUUGGUUGGUUCAGAUUACCAAAUUCAUCAAGAGGUGCAUCAUAAUAUAUGAUGUCAUAAUGUAUGGACCACCAACUAUUCUACCAAAAUUGGUACCACCAUGAUACAUGUAAUAGUCUUGGAAUGUGCCGCCAGUUUUGUAAGUAUUCUCUAGAGUAUUUAUUUGAAGUAGGAAAAUUUGGCCCACUAAAGAGAAGACGAGUGAUACAAUUGUUGCUAUCCUUAACCAUUUUCUCUAUCUUCCUUGGAAACACUACACCGCUAAAGAAUUGAAAUGGAACCUUAGAAACAAUCCCAAAUAAGAAAAUAUGAAUACCUAGAUAAAAAGUAUAACACAUAAAAAAUACAUAUUAGACACAUUUAAUAAAAAAAGAAAUUAAACUAAUGCAACAUAUAAUAAUAAUCGAAGUGUCAAACUCAAACCACCAAAAAAUAAAAAAAUUCAUUUCAUCCAAUCAUAAAAUAAAAUAAAUAAACAAAAAUACAAAUAAUAGUAAUAAUGAAAUAAUAUAAAAUAAGUCAAAACUCACUUAAUCCUAAAAUCAAAAUAAAAUAAAUAAACAAAAAUACAAAUAAUAAUAAUAAUAAUGAAAUAAUAUAAAAUAAGCCAAAACUCACUUAAUCCUAAAAUCAAUAAAUAAAAUAAAUAAAUAAAGAAAAACAAGAAAAUAAAUCUAAGUGAAACUAAACCUAGAAAAGUGCCUAGGUGAGCCUACAGUGGUGCCUAAUUGGCCAAGUGUACCUAAAUGGGCGUAGGGUACAUAAGUGGGUCUAAGGUGGUGCCUAAUGGGCCAAGUGUACAUAAAUGGCCCGAUGGUGCCUAAAUGGGCCUAAGAAGGUGCCUAAUGGGCCAAAUGUACCUAAAUGGACCGAGGGUGCUUAAGUGGGCCUAAGGAGGUGCUUAAUGGGCCAAGUGUACCUAAAUGGGCUUAGGGUGACUAAAUGGGCCUAAGGUGGUGCCUAAAUGGGCCAAAUGUACUUAAAUGGGUGUAGGGUGCCUAAGUGGGCCUAAGGUGGUGCCUAAUGGGCCAAGUGUACCUAAAUGGGCCAAUGGUGCCUAAGUGGGCCUAAGGAGGUGCCUAAUGGGCCAAGUGUACCUAAAUGGGCAUAGAGUGCCUAAAUGGGCCUAAGGGGCCAAGUGUACCUAAAUGGACCUAGGGUGCUUAAGUGGGCCUAAGUCUAAAUUAGGACUGCUAAGAGUCACAAUAGAGUUAGAUAAAUCCCUCAACCAAAGUCUCUAAGGUGGCUUAGAGAAUAUAGGCUACACGAGUAGUGAUGGGCCACCAGGGUAUUGUUGUAAAAUGCUGAACAAAUACCUAAUAGGACAUGUGCUAAGAGGGCAAACUGGAGGGUCUACAAUAUGCAUGACAAAUGAGAAGAUUGAGAGGGAAAAAUAUUAUUUUGGAAUAUAAUGAUGACAUUGGUUUUUGGAUAUUUGGAGUACUCUCAUGGGAAGACAACUUUGAAAUUUUAAAAAGGAAAAAGAUUUUUGAGAUUAAGAACUCUCUUAAGGGUACGACUGUUGCCAUUGAGAUUGAUAUACAUGCAUAGGGAGCAUUGAGAAUUUGGUGAUAUACAACAUAGGAGAUUUUUUGAGAUUGAAGAGGAUUCAUAGAGAUACACGACUAUCAUAUUGAGAUAGGACAAAGAUUCAUGGAAAAAGGACAAUGUUCACAACAUGAAGGCUUUUUUGGAAAGAAGAAAAGAAUUGUCUUGAAGACAAGACACAACAUUGAGGAGUUUUUGGAAAAGAGGAGGAAUAUUUUGGAACAACAUUGAAUGGGAUUUUUUGAGGUAGACAUGAUUGCCAUUGAGAUGGGGUUCACAAAAAAGAGAUUUUUAAAGAGGAGAUGACUUUUUUUAAAGGGGGAUUUGUGGUUGCUAUAGAGAGAUAGAAGAGAUAGGACUCUCUUUGGUACAAGUUUUUGGAAUUUUUGAGGAAGAGAUGACUUUGUUUUUUUGGGACUGUUAGUUGCCAUAAAGAUUGGAAAGAAAAUUUAAAGUCUUGGAGAAGCUAAGGGCAUCACGACAUAAGGAGAAGAGGGAAGAUCAAUUUGGAUUGAGAAAUGAAGCAAAGUUUCAUAUUUUUUUAGUGGAGAAAAGAACAAGUUUCAUCUUUUUGGAGGAAAGCUAUGAUUCUCUUUUAUUCUUUUUGCAUAUCUUAAUUAUGAUAAUCUCUCUAUCUUUUAUUUUUUUUCCAUCUUACUUAGAUAUGAGAAUUAUCUUUGGUUGGUGUGGAUGCAUAGGCCACACAAAUUGUUGGUAUUUAAUAAUUGGAUGAUUGAUUGUUUAUGCUUAGGAUCUAUUUCACUCAUUGUUUUCCUUAUUUUUUUUUUUUUUUUACUUAGUUUAAGCCUAUUUGAUAUCACAUGAGAUGAGGUCUUGCAUCACAUGAUUUCUUUACUUUUGGUUCAUUUUAUUUGAUUGUUUCUUUGAGAUGUUAGAGUUUAGGUUUAGAAUUGCCUCUCACACAUUCACACACACACACACACACACACACACACACACACACCUACUCUUACCUUGAAUUUUGUUUUCUUGUUUUCAUCCUAGGAUCCUAUGUGAAUUGAUUGUUUUAGAAAAUUUUCAAGGGUUUUUGAAAUUUUUAACUAAGAAAUAGAAUAAGAGUUUGAAGACUUGGUAUGGGAAUAAUGUAAGGGGAUUUUUGAAUUGUUAUUGGAUAAGAAAUUGAGAUCCUUGGUGUGAGGGAUUAGCUAAAUAUGAAUAAUGUUCUAUUUGGUGGAGGUGUUUGAACAUGGCAUUGGAUAUGUUAAGAGAACUCAUGAUAGACACAGAUGAGAGGACAAAAAAAAAAAAAAAAAAAACUUAAGGAAAAACAACAAGAAAAUGAUAUGUAGUUCUAGAAAGACAAGUCAUAGACAAACCUUAGAAGGUUAAGGCUAAGGUAGUGUACGUUAGAAUCUCUUGAGAACAACAUCAGAGAAGGAUGUUGGUGAACACUAACUUUUAUGCCAAGAGUUAAUAGGAGGAAAAUGCAAAAAAUAAAGGAAUUUUAAAAAUGCAAAGGUUUAGCCUUCUAAAAAUACCUUACCUUCGUCCCUUGAAAAAAAAUGUGGCAUUAUUUAUUUCAGACUAACAUCAAGAAUAGGAGCACCAAACUUAACUUGCCUGGUGCUUACAAUACAUGUAAGAGACUUAGUGCAUGGACUUCUAAGGGCAACAAUAAUUGUAAAUACCAUAACACCGAGUAUUUGGCAAAGUAUCAAAGUUCUAAGAGCCUUAUUUCAACAACUUUGAAGAUACUUCCACACUAAUAGAAUGCAAUUUCUCAAAACAAGGGAUAUGGCACCAAGGCUUGUCAACUAGCUAAGAUAUUUCUAUCAAAACAAGAUCUUGUAUUCACAAUCCCAUAAUUAUUAAUUAAGAAUCAUGGGAUUGAUCUAUAAAAGCUAAAGGUUCGAUCAAAGAUAGACAAAAUUGUUAACCAAUUGAGUGUUACAAUACAUAUCACAAAGAAUUAUGCAUAAAGGUAAUCUUUACUUGCUUUAUUUUGAUUUAGAUGUAUGAAAACAUAUAUACAAUGAUUGAGAAUGCUUAUAGUAAUGUUGAUCUCAAUUGUCCUAAACUAUAGCUACCUCUUAAAAUGAAAAGAUUGUGUAUUACAUGAGACUUUUAAAAAUAAUAACAAUAAAAAAGAAAUAUGUACCUUUAGUCCUUUCCCUAAAAUAUAUAUAACAAAAAUUCAUUAAAAAUUCAAAAUAAAGAAGUUCAUAGAUAAAGUUUAUUUUUCCUAAAAGAAAUUUUGCUAUUGCUUAUUAUCUCUUAUCAAGAAUAAAUAGGUAAUAUUCAAGUGUUUCAAAAAAUAAACCUCCCAACUAUAUUUCGUGCUCAAUUGCAUGAUAAGAAUUGAAGUUUAUUACAUGGGAUUUGAUUUCGUUUAAAAGCGACAACAAAGGAAAAUUAUUAUGGGGGUGCAAUAAUCCAUUGACAUGUGGAUUGAUACUAAGGUAACACAAGUGGUGCAUGAUUCGUUCCCAAUUGGUGUCUCAGCUGAUUCAUGUCCAGCUGGUGCUCCUUGACUGAGGGAGUGAUCAACAAAAUUUAUAACCUAUUACACCAUGCAUUAGGAUAGCUUUAGCUAAUAUAGCAUAGUGACUCUAGGAUUGUUCACUGGGAAGGGUUUUCAACUCUCAAUUGAUACCAAUUCAAAGUUAAAUUGGUGCUUUUUCAUUUCAAGGUUAGCUUAAGAAAUAAAACACAAACUUUGUUUAAAUGAGGUUUUGUUUAAAGCUAACUAAAAAGAAAGUAAUGGAAAUUACUUAUGAAGAAAAACAUUCCUUGGAGGUUUAGGUUCAUUGGGGAGGUUCCUUAUGCAAAAACAGAGCUCUAGUCAUUUGGUUCAUUUCCUCGCAUUAGAGAAUUAACAUAUAGUCAAUUCUCUAACCGGUGUUGUACAGAUGUAACCUUUAAAUGGAUUUCGGCUCUAAUUCCCUCUCACUGAUGCAACUUGCAAUGGCUCGUGCCUCUCACCUAGCAUUUGCCAUUCAAGGUAAUCUUUAACUUUGGACUUCCCUUCUCAAGCUCGCAAGAGAUAACUAAUGGAUGUCUUCUUGGAGUCCAAAAGCUUACCAAGUGUUGGCAAUUCUAGAAAAUCCUACCUCCAAGUCACUUCCCAAAAGCUCGCAAGAGAUAAACAAGUGCAUCUCCAUGGACGGAGAUCACGUGCCUUACCAAGUGUUGGCUCAAGUGAAUUGAAGGUGUUUUAAGUUAACUAAAAACAUAGAAAUCAUUAAAGGAUCACACUUUCUUUUCAUUAAUGGCUGAAACCACAAAGCUAUAAUUUCUUGCACUUGGAACCUUUCCCGGCAACCCUAGCUCCAAGGAACUAAAAGUCUAGCCACUCAUUCUCUGAGGAAAAUUCCUCAGAGCUUGUUUGGCUAGUAAGAAAAAGAAUGAGAAAACAAAAAUAUAAAGGAAAAACAGAGCAAGUGCUCUAUAAAAUAUAUUUCUUGCAAAAUUGUACAAAAGGAUGCGUCUGAGAACAAGCUCCCAAAGAUAUAUGAUUGUAAAGAAAAUUACAACUAUAUAUAAGAGGUUAUUCACUCCUUUUUCUUGCUUAAAGACUAAGGAAUCCUAUGAUAGGUGGAUUACAAGGAGAGUUUGGGGAUUUAGACAUCAAAUAUCUAAAGCAAAAUAUCCCAAAAUAUCUCAAAAAUGUCGGUCGGAAAUAUCAGGAAGCUUGAGGAGAACAUCGUGGCACUGUGCAAAAUGGCUGCGAAACUCUCUGGGUAAGCGCUGUAAAAGGAUCUGGACAUGUCUGUCCGGGGAAGUUGAAACGUCCUCCUCUCCCAUCCAGCUGUGAGGUAUCUGGAUGUAACAUGUCGGCGCACGGAAUUCCGGAUGUGAAAUGUCGGCAGACAGAACUCUUCCCCAGGUGGACUGAGCUAUGCUGCGCAAGGGGGACCGUCUGCGUGUGCAAGGUGUAGGGACCCCUCUCCCGGAUGACACGGAGUGCGCAAGGCUAUCCGGAUCAACUCCAUCCGGAUUUCCCAAGAGGACACGCGGCGCGCUCCCUUAUCCGGAUUCCCUCAGGUUGGAGCACACAGCACUCGUGAACAUCACACCCGGACGAUAACAUAUCCUAUUCGGAUAUGUUGUCCGGGUCACUGACUAAAGUGAGCAAGCCUUCCUACGUCAUUCGGACAACCUGCCACAGACCAUGUUCCGCCACCAUCCUGUCCGGACGCCCUGUCCGGACAUCUUUGCCAUGGAUUCCAAAGAACUCUCCUCAAUCUCUGAUUGCUUUCGUGAUAAAAAAGCUAUCAAAACACCAAAAUUUAACACAAUUUGAUUAGAAUUGAUUGCAAGGGUCCUUAAUAUGUUAAUUGGGUUAAAAGGUGAUAACUACUACUCAAAAGUAUUUAAAAGAGUUAAUUACAGACUAUCAAAUAACACUUUUUGAGUAGUAAUCAGUGCACCACCAUAAGGUUGCAUAAGAGCCACAUAACCCCAAAUGGGUACUCCAACCACCAUCAUAGUACAAUAAAGUUGACUUCUAUUAUCAAUAUGGCGAUAUGAUUUCCCACAUGAAAAUGGAGUAACUUACAACCACCCUCUAAGGGGCACCUUUUUCCACUUUCAAGGAUGAAAAUAUCGGUGAUUAUUGAUACAUCAGUACUUCCAUUUUACGGAUAUAUCGAUGAAUAUUUUGACACAAAAUAUCAAUGAAAUUAAAAUUGAUAAAAAAUUAUAAAAAUGUAAUAAAAAACUCUUAAAAAUAAAAUUAGAAGUAUAAUAUAUAUUUUAAAGUUGUUUUGUUCAAGAAAUUGAUAUAUGUAUAAUAUAACCUAUCAUAUUUGAUAAUAAUAUUGUAUGUGCUAAGAAAAAAAUAUGAAUUUCAUAAGUAUACAUUUAUUAUUAAAUUAUAUCAAAUAUUAUUCGAUAAUAAUAUUGUGAUAUUUGAUUAUAAUAUGUCUAAUUUAAAAAUAUAUUUAAUAUUUAAAUUAUAAUCCAUUUAAUUCAAUUGUAUUAAAUGAUAUAAAAUAAACGAUGAUAUAUGUAUAAUUUUAAUACUUUAUUAAUAUAUUAAUGAUAUUAAAAACAUUAUUAAGAAAAUUAUCAUGAUAAUUUUUAUAUUUUUGGUAUUCAAAUAGAUGAAAAAUUUUCAUUUAAUCAUAAAAUAAUUAUAAUUAAUUUGUUCUUUAAAAUAUUUUUUUGAAUUUAUGUUUAUAUGAUGAAUUUGAGUUUAUGUAUAUUUGGUGCAACUUAUAUAACAAGGGACAAACUUCCCCCAAUGGUUGGCUCAACGCAUAGUAAACCCACACAGGUCGUAUUGACCCAUGUUGACCACCCCAAAAUAUUGCAAAAAAUCAAUAAAAUAUUGAAAAAUCGGCAAAAUUCACGAUAAAUUGUCAAAAUAUCGAGGUCCAUCGAUACUCUAUAUUUUAAUCACUGCCCACCAUCAAAGGUUGUAAUGACCAUAGGCGGUGAAUGGACUCAAACCCUUAGGCGGUGAAUGGACUCAAACCCUAACAAGCGACCCCAUCAUUAAAAGGAAGAUUGCUUUCCAAAGCAAGGCAGGUGAAACAAAUUCAUCCUUUUAUGUUAACCCUCUUUCCCAUCCAUGCCUAACUUGAUCGUCACAAAGGGGUUGGCCUAAUCAAUCCAUCACCUAUCUAACACUCAUUAUGGAAAUUAAUGUGUAAAGGAAUUCCAAAGAUAACCUCAAGUGGAAGAGGGAUGCAACAAUUCUAAAUUGCAUCCUCAUAUGCAAAAAAUAGGACUAAAUCAAUGUUUCUACAAGGAAGAGUCAAGCUUGACUUCAAUUUAUUGUUUUGUCUUGGUCUUUUUAAUAUUCCUAAUAAAAAGAAAUAACAUGAAAACGUCAACAAAUUUUCAAUUACUUCAAUUAAAAAAAUCAAUUAGUACAUAAAAAUAAUUUUUUUCUUCAAAAUUAAAGGCAAGAGAUGAUUUUAUAUUUUUGCCCUAAUUUUAAUUUAUUUUAAAUCAAUUUGAGUGUUGAAAAUUUAGGUAACAAAAAUUUGAUUAAAGAACUAUAUAUAUAUAUAACAUAAUUCUUCUUAAAAAAAUAAUAUUUUUUUUAUAAAAAAAUUGUUUAAAAAAUUGAGAUAUUAUUUUCUCAAAUUUAAAAAAUUUAAAAAAUAAUUUUUAAAGAUAUAAGAUAAGUUCAUACUUCUUUAAAAGAGUUGUUAUAUUUAAUAUAGAAAUUAUUAUUAUUUUCUAGUUUUUUUUUUUUUAAAAAAAAUGUCCAAACAAACAAUUAAUUAAUUUCAAAUAAUUUUGAUAAUGCCCAAGUACACUAAUGGAAUUAAUAAAAUGCUUUAUACAUAAUUAAUGGGAAUGCGCCAUCAAAGUCAUGGGAGUUUUUCCGUCCCACCAAGAUACCACCGAGUAAUACACACGUACAAAGUGAGGUUAUUACGUAAUAAUAAAUAAAAAUAUAGGUCAAUUAUUGGAAGACAAGUACUGCGUAAAUGUUGAGCUUUAGUCAACCAAGUCGUUUACGAGAUUUCCCCACCAUGACAGCAGCUGAAGACAUGGAAAAACAGGUGUAUGACUCAGUGUCCCAAGGACUGUGUCAAAGAUGGAAUACCCUAGGGUUGAGGGAGUAGGGAACAAAGUGGGUCAGCUCGAUUGACUAUACACAUUGCAUGCAUUACUAAAGUGGUAAGGUUUCUGGAUCUCUAUGUCGGCGUUGAUAAUUGAAUGGGAAAGUAUUAAUGGUUCUAGACAACAGUGGCUGCACCCAACCCCAAAUCUCAAAAACCUCAGCUGAAGCAAUUCAUUGAAUAGCUCAAAGCCGAACCAUCCAUUCUUAGCAUGAGCUGCUUCCGACUCAUUCGCAUUCAAGAUAGACACACCUUUGAUGUAAUUAGGAGAUAAGAAAUGGUUACCUCAUGAGUAGUCCGAGAAAUUUUGGAGAAAAGAUAAAAAAAAAAAAAAAUAGAGUCAGGAACGCAGAAGAAUGUAGUCAUUCUCUUUUGCCCUAGUUCUCCAGCUCUUGAAGUUUUAAGAGGUCAUCUCGAAUGGAUUUUUAAUUGCCUCAACACAGGGUGAAGUAUCCGCCAAGCAAUCAAUGAUUUUUUUCUAAAAGAUGAAGCUCAAUAUUUGGAAAAAUCAAACCAUGCAUGGAUUUGGAUAAAUUAUAAUGGGAUUUCCUAUUUUAAUGCUUUAGAUUUCUUCUUAAAAAUCUGAUUUUCUUUUAAUUAGGCAUUGAUUCAUUCCUAUCUUACUCCUAAAAUUAGACACACAUGUGUUAGGUGAUCUGAUAUCCGUUAAAACUUUGGGGUGCAUGCAUCUAAUUAAGAUUCUUGGAAUAACUGAAGUGAUUAAAAAUAAAAUUUUUGCCUCAUAGGGUGGUUUAAAAAUCAUAUAUGAGGUUUGAAUGUUCUCAAGCCCAAAUUCUUUUUCAUAGAAGAUGUCUUGAAACCUCACAAUCUUCCACCAUUAUAGCUCCUUCUUUGAUCCAUGAUACUUGUGUAGAAUGACUACUUACUUCUUAAGGGAGAGAGAUGGAGGCUAGGUUUCCAAAAGAUCAAUUGUUUGAAAGAUUAAAGUCUAACCCUAAAACCCAUGAGGUUUAUAUAGAUUCUCCUAUGGGCUUAAGUGACUUUGGCCCAACAUGGAAUUGGAUCACUUAAUUUAGCCCAAUGUGGGUUUGGGUCACUUAAUUUAGCCCAACGUAGGUCAAUUGAUUUUGCCCAUGAUGUCUUAAUUAAUUAAUUAACUCAAAUGAGCUCCAAUUAAUUAAUUAGCCUACACAAAAAAAAAAAUCAUCAUAAAAUCUUGUGCAAUGUUAUGCUAUUACCAAAAUGGAUUUAUGCACAUAAAUGAUUAAUUCUCCAUAAAACCUUAAAAUAAAUAAUCAUAAGUUUUUACACAACCUUACGCUUUUAACAAACCACACUUAUGCAAAAAUGAUUAAAUCUCUAAUUUCCCUCAAACCUUUGUGCCAACAAAGACUUUGAACUUGAGUGAGGACUACUAGGACCCAUAGGAAAUACUCACUUUCUUAUAAUCUAAUUUUGACAUUGAUUCAACACUCCACUAAAGAGAGUCAACUCCAUUUUAAUAUCUAAUUUCAUUACAUUAAGAUAAGAAUUAAUUAAAUCCGGUUGAAUAAUUUUCUCCAAUUUGUGACUUCCUAACAUACAAACCCCUUAUAAAUUGAUGCUCUUGAUCUAACAAGAUAACUGCUAUCAACCUCUUAAGAUUACCACAAUACUUGAGUUUUAGAUCUUCCUAUUAUGUAAUCAAAUGAUAUUCUCUAGCUCACUACGAAAAAAAUGCCUUUUAUGUUUAUUUUUGAGAAAUACUUAGAAUCACCAUUAAAAAAAAAUAAAGGAGAAAACAAAGUAAUAAAAUUAAAACCCUAAGUAACUCCAACAAUGGAAAACAAGGCAAUGGCUACAAAACCUAGAUAUCUCCAUUCCUAUCCUUGGACCAUUAGGGUACAUGUAAACUAUCCUAGGAGCUCUAUAGAUCUAACAAGUAGAAACGCAAUAUACAAUAAAACUUAGAUCUUGAGAAAAGUGUGUUUUCCCUAUGAUUUGGAUGUUUCCAAUUCAAAUCUUGUCAAUGAAGAGUCAAUAUGGAUCUUGCAAACUAGUAAAUCUUGCACCCAAUAGCUCCUUUUUGGAUCCUGACACAAGAGAAGGUUGUUAGCAUCUUAGAUAUAAGCAAUAACAUCAAUACCAAUUUUUUUUAAAAAUUGAUCUUUAGGGUUAAAAUACUAACCUUUAGGUUUGAAUGUUCCCAAAUUUUAAAUUCCAAGUAUUGAAGAUAACUUUGAAGUUGUUGGAAGUAUUAUAAACCCACGAUCUUUCGUCCGAUGACUCAACCUUGUUUUUGGCACACUUCCUAUGGGGAGGAAAAAAUGGUGGAGGUUAUGACUCUCUUUCUCUUUGGAUGGUGGAAAACAAAAAGAGAUGGAAACCCUUGCCCCUAGGGGGUAUUUAUAAGGUUCAUAUAUAAUUAGGUUUAAGUGACUUAAACCCACAUGGACUUGGGUUACUUAAUUUAACCCAAAUUGAGUCAUAAUUGAUUAAUUAACCUAAUAAGAUCUACUAAUUAAUCAAUUAACAUAAUUUAGAUACUUGGUUCACUUACCCUUGUGCAAUCUUAUGUAAUUACCAUAACACCUUUGUGCACAAAAGUAAACCUAGAACUAAUUUGACCAUUCUAACCCAUGCUAAUAAGAUAUAUGAACCCAAAGCAAUGACCACUAGGACUUAUAAGAGUACUGGCUCCCUUAUAAUCCAAUUAUGAAGUUGAUUUAACAUCUCACUAUAGAGAAUCAGCCAAGCUCUUGUAACCUAUAUAAAUAACAAUGAGACACUAUGUGCUUAGGUCCAUGACUUGCUAUCCAUUGCGUUCAGUCUCCUUAUGAACUAGUGACCAUAGUCUAACAAGGUGAAAACUAGCUAUUAGCCUUUCAAGACUACCUCUACUAUUCUUGAGUUACAGAUCCCCCUAUUAUGUGUUCAACUGACAUGUCUUAACUCUUAAAGAGUCAAUGUCAAAUUCCACUUAAGGAACUACUAUAACCAUAAUUUUCAUGAACACAACUCCUUAGAAUCACCUAGGGGGACACUUUGUCUUAAUCACAUGAGAUAUCAUGGUGCCUCUAUUGAGAACACCUAUUACUAUAGACUUCUAUCAACAGUGACCUAACUAAUCCAUAGGGAAUAUAUGAUCAGUUUACAAUUUCACUCAUAGCUCAAAACUACUAAUAACUUUAACACAAGUUCAAUAUUCUCUUAAGGUUGAGAGACAACAUAAUGAAGCAUCUUGGUGAGGUCAUGACUACUUGAUAGCCUUAAGUCAUGACUUGUCUAAUAUGUAACAUUACACACUAGUGCACUCAUUAUAGGAAACUCAUCCCGAUUGCCAAGACCACUCAUUUCUCUAAUUAGGAGGUGAUGCACUACAACCUCUAAUGGGUUGCUUAGACCCACGAAUCGACUGUGAAUAAGUCAUCUAUUUGUAAGGAACCCAUGACUUGAAUCUUCUGUGCAACUUGUAAUGCAGCCAAGUCAUAUACAAUGAAAAAGAUACAGACAAGAAAACUUAUAUAGUGUAAUGUAUAGAAUAAGGAUAGAUAAAAGUGAAACUAGAAUAUCAUUAAAUAAAUAAUGAAUUCUAAAUUUGUUACAUCAUGUCAUACUUUUAAGGGCUCUAUCAUAAUAAAAGUGAAAUCCUCUUUAAAGAGGUAGAGGUUAGGGCUUUUCUCUCUAGAAAUGUAAAUGACAAGAAUGUUGAAGCCUUAACCCCUUAGGAGGUUUAUAUAGGUUUUUUGCUAGCUUAGGUAACUUAAUCCAACCCACUUGAAUCUUAAUUAAUUAAUUAUCCCUAUUGGGAUCCAAUGAAUUAAUUAGUCUGGUUCACAAAGACCAUGCAUAAGCUCUUAUGUAGCCCUAUGUAUUUACCAAAAUACUUUUAUGCACUCAUGAAUUUAGAACCCAAAAAUCCCUCAAUAACUAUGCUAUUAUGGAUAUGAGCUCAAGUACAAACCAUUAGGACCAAUUGGAAAAUAUAGGCUCCUUCAUACUACAAUUCUAAAGAGCAUGCAACAUCUCACUACUGUAGAGAGUUAAUUAUACUCCAAUAUCUUAUGAUAUUAUAAUGAGAUACUAACCUCGAGUUUAUGACCCAUUAUUCACUGUAUACAGACUUCUUAUGAAUUGAUGUUUAUAAUCUAGCGAAGUGAUGAUAUUAACCUUUUAAUAUUACAUCUAUAAUCGUUACAAACAUUGGUCUCUCUUACAGAUUUAUUUCAGGCUCUGUUGUUCCCUGCUCACCUAGGGUAGGUGGCAGUUGAGCCAAUGGUUCUUUUAGCAUAUCUUCCUCUUCACCUGGUGUUGAAGGCAUUUGGGGCACUUGAGGCAUAUCCUCUUCUUCAGCCCUUUCUUCUACAGCUAGGAGUAAUCCACCCCUUCUCAAUUCAAUUUCAAUUUUCUUCAUCUCAAUUUUCAUUUUAAUCAAAUUCUUUUCAUAGUCUUUCGGUCCAUGUGUUGCUCUUUUAUUGUUACUUCCUCUUCAUCCUCAGCAAAUGGGUGCCUCAUGGCCAUCUGAUAGGUUGUGAGAAAUCUGGGUAUCUUAAGUUUUGCUUUCUUAGCACUCUCUAGCCUCUUCAACUGAUUCAACUCGUAUGAAUGGAUGAAGUUUUUCUCAAUCAGUGUUAGCAGGUCGGCAUAUUCAUCUGUAUAAGUUGCAUACAGGCCCCCAACUUAAAAUGCUUCCUCUCUUGUUCAUGGCCAGUGGGGUUAAUAUUGUGGCAGAUGACAUGGUCAACUAGCUUCUUCUGAUAGGGGGCCCACUUUCAUUUGGUGUAACUUUUCUGGGUCUUCCAGCAGGAAUAUUCAUUUAAGAUCUCUUCCACUGAGUGCUUCUCAGGGGCUUUAAGACCUAAGUCAACAAAGCACUCAGUGGCUUUAAUACCUAAGUCAACAAGGUGUUGGCCUUGCAGCUCACUCAGAGCUGCAAUCUCUGCUCUGGGCAUCUUGUACCUAAUGCCAUCAACUCGGAAGAUAACGAGUCUGUCAGCAUGGUCCAAAUUCUCUACCUUUAAGCUCUGAUAGAUUAACCUCACUAGCCAUGGGUAGUGUUACUUGGGCAGUCCACUUGUCAUCAUGCCCAUAUUGUAUUUAAACGGGAUCUCUGCAGACGACAUCGCCUCUUCCAUUUCUGCUAGUUGCAGAUCUUGAUAGGUUUUUUGGGAUUAGAUAUCUCUCAUUUGAUAAUCUUUGUAGGGUACUUCUCUGGCUGGAAUAGUUUCUUAAGCCAGAGCUGGUUGUUGGGUAGCCAUCUAAUCUGGAAUCUCCUCAGCAGGGCUGAACAGGAGCUGGAGCUUCAGGUUGGAUUUCUGGUUGUUAGGAUUUUUACCUUCCUGCCAUGAACACUCAAAAACUGAUCAAUGGAGUUGUUAGAGUUCAUAUAUUCAAUGUGUUGCAACUUGUUAAUUUAUUUUUGUUCUUUUUCAAAUAAUUGCUUUCCUUCAAAAUAUAUAUAUAUGUAUAAAGUAGGUUGUGAGGUUUAAUUUAAGUGACAAAGAGAUUGAUCUAAGUGAAAUUUUCUAUAUAUUUUAGAAAAUUUUUAAAAAUUAAAAAUUAAAAUUAUAUUGAAAAUAAAUUUAAAUAAAUUCUAACACCCAGUUUGUGGUUGAAAAUAGACACUAUUUCAAUAAUUAUAAAAUUGAUAAAAACCCAAUGUAAUUGCUUAUACGAGUAUCAAUUUUAUUUUUUAUAUAAGUUAAUUAUACUUCUAUAUUUUGAUGUGUAAAAUAAACUUCUUUUUUGGUACACUUGAUUAAUGGUUACUAUUAUUAAGCAAUUACAAUAAAAGUAGAUAAUUUUUAUAGAGAAAUAGGUAUUGAGCUGUUUGUAAAGUAUGUGUAACAUAAUAUUAAGUAUAGAUGACAAUAGGGUAGGUUUUUUAAAGUAUCACCCCACCAUGCCCCUAAUGAGUUAGGUUUAAAAUUUAAAUAAACGGAUUAAGGGUAGAUUUGAGAUUUUUUUUAAAAACCCGGGAUUGGUUCGAGGUAGAUUCAAGUAUUGACUUAUCCCCACCCCACCUCGAUUAUAUAUAAAAUUAAUUUAAUUUAAUUUUUAUAUUUAUAUAUUUAAUAUAAUAAUAAUAGAAAACAUUUUUUAAUAAAAUAAGUUAUAAAAAAAUUAUAAUAUUUUUAAUUAUUUAUAAAAUAUAUUUAUUUUAAUGUAGUUAAAAAUAUUUUAAAUAAUUUAAAAGAAAAACUAAAAACUUUUAAAACAAAAGUUGAAUGGGUUGAGGCAAGACGAGUAUGAGAAAUUUGCAUACCUGCUCUGCCCAUUUAAUUUUUUAAAUGAGACAAAAAUGAUAAUUAUUUUGAAUAAAUGGGAUAAGAUUAGGAUGAAGGUGAUUCGUCUUGAACCUGCUCUAUUAUUAUCUUUAAUCUUAAUUUGAAAACUUCUAUGGGAUGUAAGCUUCAAUUUGAUGUUGCUUGACCAUCAACAUCGACCAACUUAUUUAAGUUGUUAGCCUACAUCAAUUGAAUAUUGCCAUACAUUAAAAGUAACGAUACUUGGAAAAACGUCAUUAUACUGCUAGAUUUUCAUUUUUAUAAUGCAAUCUCAAUUUAACCUUAAUCAUAAAUAAUAAAAUCCAUAUGGAUUUUUUUCCAUGAGCGUUUAUAUAAAAAUUUAGACCACAUGCGCGGAGUUUUCAAUGCAGCAAUAUAGUUUCACUGGUGAAUGCUUUAUAAGGGUUUACCCAUAAAACCUAAAACCUAAAAAAAAAUAAAAAUUCCUCAAAGUGUUUCGUUGAGGGAAUGAAGCGGCUACCAAAGUAAAAAUGAAGAAAAAGAAGAAGAAGAUCGUCAUGAAGGUGGCUAUCAUUUUUCUUAUGUUGUUGAGUCAAUGAUUUAGCACCGAAAAUACUCCUAGCCAGGUAUGCGCAUAAAAAUUUUCAGUCACAAUGUUUGCUUUUACGGUUUGAGAUGUAGAAAGACAAGUUUUUAAGAUGGCUACCACUUAUUUGACAUCAUCCCAAAAGGAAAUUCUGGAUUUUACCCCUUCCUAGCAAAGAUUUGGUAUGGGUAGAUAUUAAAUCUCAUCCUUGAUACAAAAAUAAAUAGGAAUCCUAUCUUUUCCAUUUCAUGGUUCAUUGUUUCAAUAAAUUGCAAACAAAUUCAAAUCAAAAACAUUAAAAACAUAAAUUUAGAAAGAUUGGGCAUCUUAUUUACGCAUGAUGAAUGGAGAGACAAAGAUCAAUGAUGGGAAUUGGGUAGAGUGGUGAAAAAGAGUUUCAAUAUGUAAAAGCAUAUCUCAAUAGACGAUGAGAUAAUUUUUUUUAGUUUAUUAUUCUUAACCUUUUCAUUUGGUGAAAUGAAUUUGACAUGAGAAAUAAUUAAAGAUGAUAAGACAAUGGUGAAUUGGUGAAAUGAACUUUACAUGUCAUAUGCCAUAUGUGCCAAAUUUAGAAUAGCUUGAGUACGGACUAUUAGUAAAUUUGCUUCCUAUUCUAAGUUCUCCCAUAUGGAGGCUGGUAAUCCACAAGUGUGGGACUUAAUUUUGCCUAUGGAAGACUUAGUUUUGAAUUUAUGAGAUGACAAUCAACAAGUGUGAUACUCUUGUGUCCUUUGCCUUGAAUCACACCAUAGGGCACCCAUGGACACCCUUUGUGGCUAUUGUUUACCUUUUCUUGAGUCUUUUAUUACUUUCGUCCAUGUACAUCCCUAAAAAUUGAUAAAUUUGGUGAAUUCCAAAAUUGAUUAAAUUUUGAUUGAAAUAUUUAGUGUUGCUCUCCAUAUUUAAACUCUUAAGGUCAAAUCUUUAACUUCAAGAUUAUAGGUUAGUUUUUUUAUUACUUGGAACCUAGGUCAUGGCAAGAACCACAUUGAUUGUCAAACUAGUUGACUUUAAGAAAGUCUUGCAAGCUUUGGAGGGGGGAUAAGCUGAUUUAGUGAGGUUGGAGAAGAACAAGUCGUUAAUGGUCAUUGCACAUAUUGUGGGAUUAUGUGUCUUGGAUUGAGAAAAGAAGAUGUGUAGUUCUGUAUUGUCAUUGUGAAGAGGUGAAUUGAAUCAAACAUUAGAAUUUUGUUUUAUUCUUUUUCUCUAAUUUUCUAUUUCUUAGCUAAGAGAUUCUAAGUAAAGAAAAGAAAAAUAUGCAAUUGAUAUGAAGAUUUGCAUGAGAAAAACAAAGUUAUCCUCUCAUUAACAAUACUAUUUUGAAUAUUUGGAUACAUAACAAGAAUUGAAUAAACAUAAAGUUACAAGUAUUGAGAUGACAAUCAAAAUGUGUGAAACUCUCAUGUCCUUUGCCUUGAAUCACACCAUAGGACACUCAUGGACACCCUUUGUGGCUAUUGUUUACCUUUUCUUAGGUUUUUCAUUGCUUUUAUUCAUGUACAUUCCUAAAAAGUGACAAAUUUGGUGAAUUCUAAAAUUGAUUAAAUUUUGAUUGAAAUAUUGAGUGCUAGUCUCAAGAUUUAAACUCUUAAGAUCAAAUCUUUUAACUUCAAGAUUGUAGAUCAAUUGGGCUUUUUAUUAUUUGAAACCUAGGUCAUGACAAAAGCCACGUUGAUUGUCAAGCUAGUUGACUUUAAGAAAGUCUUGCAAGCUUUAGAGGGAGGGUAAGUUGAUUUAGUGCAAUUAGAGAAGAACAAGUCAUAAGUAAUCAUUGAGCAUACUAUGGGAUUAUGUCUCAUGUAUUGAGAAAGGAAGAUGUAUAGUUCUACAUCGCCAUUUGUGAAGAAGUGAAUUAAAUCAAAUAUUAAAAUUUUAUGUUAUUCUUUUCCUCUAAUUUUCUAUUUCAUAGCUAAAAGAAUAUUCUAUGUAAAGAAAAGAAAAGAAAAACAAGCAAUUCAUAUGAAGAUUUGUAUGAUAUCAUGAAGUUAUCCUCUCAGUAAAAACACUAUUUUGAAUAUUUGAAUAUAUAACAAGUAUUGAAUAAACAUAAAUUUACUAUUUUUGGCUAUUAAUAUUUUCAUUAAAUCCAAAUUGUGCAUAUUUUCUAUAGCUAAAACUUAAAACCAUAUUUUAUAAUUCAUAUGAGAAAGGACUAGAGGAGUGCUUCUGAAUCUUUGUCCUAGAUUCUUUAGAGUUAGGUGAUUUUUGGCCAUAGGUUUAUACUAAAGUUCAACCUUAUAACUACUCAUGAUUUACCUUGAUUUCAUCAUUUUAGUUCUUUUUGAUUCACCUUCUUUUAGAGAUUUUGUUGAUGUAAUUGUAGGAUAUUUUCCUUGUGACAUGAUAAUAGGUAAUUUUCCUUCUUUCCUUCCAUAGUUCUUGCUCUUAUAAAUAUAUGCACAAAGCAAACGUCAAUAUAGGAAAAUUGUUUCCAAGAUAAUUUUUUUCCUUAAGCUUUUAUCUUUGAUUAUGACUUCGUUACAGACAACCUCAUCUUCUAUUAUGACUUAAGUUUUUUCUAUUAAGUAAUAUCACUAAUUAUACUUCAACCAGAUUAAAUGAAACUAAUUAUCUCUAAUGAUGGUGAAGUGGGUUUGUUCCUAUUCUUGUAGACAAUGAUAUCUAUGGAUAUGUCAAUUUACAUUGCUUUAUUUCUUUUUCAUGUAACAGUUGUAUCUAACUUGAUGUUAUUCUUACAGUGAUGUCCUCUAGAGGUGGUAGGACUUUUGUGAAUCAAGCUCUAAUUGAUGGGAAUGUUGGUUUCUUGAGAAAUCAAUUUCUAUCAGCCAACUCAUGGAGGAGUGAAAGUCUGAGUCGAGGGUAGAGUGCCCAGGACCAGGAUAUCUGAAGAAUUAAGAUAAGAGAGGGGCACUAAGGAAAGAACUGCCAUGGAAUUGACUUCCAUGGAUACAAUCCAAAAGGGAAGAAUUAGCAAGUCACAGAUAUGGAUGUUGGUAGAGGUAAUAAGACAAUUGAAUAAAUUGUUGUAACUGAACACCUGAGAAUGAAAGUUGACCGAAAACAAGGAUGCAACAACAAAAAGAGAGCAAGAACGAAAGUUGACUAAAAACAAGGAUGCAACAAUAAAAAGAGAGCAGAAUGUGAUAAAUAAAGAAAAUACCAGUUACAAAAGGAAAACUUGAACACUCUCCUUCCAAAGGUAAAAGUUCCUAUAGAAGGCAAAUCACUUGUUUUUAGCAUAUCAAAGCUCUAAUGGAAGACAAUUUGUUUGUCUAUAGAGGAUAUCAAAAUUAUAGUUUCAACUACAUUAUGGAAGAAGGAACAUAUGUAUAGUAUGAGAUAUACAAUUAAAAAUGCAUUCAAUGUUGUAUCAUGAAAGUUUCUGCAGAGAUCAAUAGAGUUUUAACUUCCAAAGCAAGAUUCACGAAGUGGAUUUUAUUACAAAGAGAAGCAAAGAAAAUCUCGUAAGAAAAAUUACAAACUGGCAUUCUCUAAACUUUAAAAUUAUCUCAGUCUAAUUUCUCUAAUUCUCCAUCUAAUAUCUAUCUCUCUAUAUCUCCUAAAUAACUAGAUAGCGAGCUAUUUAUAGGCACUUUAUCAGUUUCUAGCUCAAUUAUAGCUUGUCACGUACACAAUAUAAUAAAAUCUAGUAAGUAAAUCUUCGCAUACUUCCUCAAUAAAUGUUUUCUUUCAUGGCCUUAUUAUGAUUAUUUGCUUUGCAAGGAAUAGCUUCAACCCAUUUCAACACAUAAUCCACUACCAUAAGAAUAUAGUGAAAACUAGAGGAAGGUGGAAAAGAUCCCAUAAAAUCAACACUUCAACAGUAAAAAACUUCCACCACACAAAUGUUGUGUAGUGGCAUUGAUUAUCUCUUACUUCACUUUUUCCUAGGUGUUGGCAUUUUUCACAUCUCUUGUACGUUACUCGCAAGUAUUCUUCAUAAGAGUGUUCUAGUAGAAACCUGACUAUAGUACCUAGGUGUUAGUUUUCUUGGAAGCUAAAUGUUAUCUACACACAUCAUCAUGACACAUUUUCAACAUGCUUUCUCUUUCUUCUUCUGGAAUGCAUCUUCUUAUAAUCUGAUCAUGACAAUACUUAAAUAACAAAUGUUCUUCCCACUUGUUAUUCUUGGACAAAAGGAAUCUUCUAUCUUCAGCGGUCUAAUUAGUAGGAAGUUGACCAAUUACUAGGUAAUUGACUAUGUCAGCAUACUAAGAUAUUUUCCUUUUGAUGGAGAAAGCUUCAUCAGGAAAGUUUUCAUUAGAUUCUUCUCCUUUAAACUUAGUCACAAUUCUAGAUAAGUGGUCAGCUACCAUAUUUUCUACUCCUUUCUUUUCUUUGAUUUCCAAUUAAAAUUCUUGUAAGACUAGUAUCCAACAAAUUAAUCUGUCUUUCGCUUCCUUUUAUAUAUUAAAAGAUACUUCAAAGCAGAGUGGUCUGUAAAUAUCAUAAUUUUGGUUCCAACAAGGUAAGUUCUGAAUUUGUCUAGUGCAUACGCUACUACUAACAACUCAUUUUUCUAUGAUCAUAUAGUUUUUUUGUGCAUUGUUUAGCAUCUUGCUGGCAUAGUGGAUGACAUUGCUUAUUCUCUCGACAACUGUGAGUACAUAGCCACUGGUGUUGCAAAUAAGUUCAAAUGGCAAAUUCCAAUUGGGGAGUUCUUACCACUAGUGCAGAUACAAGUUUCUCCUUGUAACUUUUCAAAUACAAGCUAGCAUCUCUUUGUCUAUAGAAAUUCAGUGUCUUUCAAUAGUAAAUUGCACAAUGGUUGAACGAUUUUUGAGAAAUAUUAGAUAAAUCACCUGUAGAACCUUGCAUGCAUGGCUUAAGAAUUAGUGUACUUUUCUAACUAUAGUAGGACUUAGCAGUUUAGAGAUCAAUUUAACUUUAGCUUCGUCAGCCUUUAUACCUCUCUCUAGUAUUACAUGGCCUAGGACUAUCCCUUGCUUGACCAUGAAGUGACACUUUUCCUAGUUCAGCACAAAACCUUUCUCAAUACAUUUCUUCAGUACUUUUUACAUGUUUUCCAAUCAAGCUAUAAAUAAGGGUCCAUAAACUAUGAUAUCAUCCAUAAAUACUUCCAUCUCCUUUUAUAAGAAUAUUGAAAAAAUGGUCACCAUGCAUCCUUGAAAUGUCUCAAGAGUAUUGCAUAAUCCAAAUGACAUUCAUCUAUAAAGCAUACCUGUCAAAUGGAUUAGUAAAUGUUGUCAUCUCUUAGUCUUCUGAUGCAAUUGGUAUUGAAAAUACCCUGAAUACUCAUCCAAGAAAUAAUAAUAGGAUCGGAGUAGCCUACAACUUUCUCCAAGGUUUGGUCCAAAACAGCAACAGAAAAUGAUCCUUCCUUGUUACUGCAUUUAGCUUGCCGUAAUCAAUACACACCCACCAACUUGUAGUAAGUCUAGUAGGUACCUCCUCUCCUCUACCAUUCUUGAUACCCUUAUGCCGCUCUUUCUAGGAACCACUUCCCAAGUAUUGUCAAAGAUGGAGUAAAUGAUUCCAACAUCCAACAGUUUAAUUACUUUUGCUCUUAUUAGAUCUUGCAUUGGGGGGUUAAGCCAUUACUAUAGUUGGAGAAUGGGUUUUUUAUCCUCCUCCAAGAAUAGUGAUGGGUGCAGAGAUUGGGGUUGAUUCUUUUUUAAGUCCUCAAGAAAUCCUCUUAUCACAUUUUUGAAUUGUUUUAGUACUUGAAUGAGCUUUUGCUUUUUAGUUAGAUCAAGAGAUGUGACUAUAAUAACUUAAUAAUCCUCUCCUUCUCCAAGGUAGAUAAACUUGAGUCCUUCAAGUAUUGGUCUUUUCUUUUUCUUUCUUUUUCAUUUUCAACUUUUUCUACUGUACGUGAAUAUUUCUUCUUCCUAUUUCCACAGUUUUAUUACUUUAUCUUUUGUUUGGUAUGCAAUGGAUAUAUCAUCCAACCCUUUGUAGUUUGUGAUCAACUGAUAUUCUAUCAAGUUGUCCACAGGUUCUUGAAUUAACGUUUCCAUCAAGCAUAUUUUUGUUGGCUCUUCUACUUCUAUCUACAACACAGGGCUUUUUGUUAGCAGGAACACAUUGGUUUCCAAGGUCAUGACUCCAAAGGUUAGCUUCAUUAUCCCAUAUCUGUAAUUAAUCAAGGCAUUAUCAAUAGCCAAAAACAGUUUACCCAGAAUUACUGGUAUUGAAUUUGAAUUCCUCUUUGGCUACUCAAUAUCAAGUACUAUAAAAUUAGCAUGGUGUUAUAACCUAUCCACCUAAAUUAGGGUGUCUUCUACCACUCCCUUCAGUAUUUUUACUAUUGUGUCAACCAAAUAUAAUGUGGUUACCAAGCUUUUGAUAUGGUGAAAAUGGAAUCAAAUUGACAUUUGCUCCCUAGUCAAGCAAUGAUCUUUUAAUUAUUACUUCUACUAUGGAUAUUGUUAUAGUAAGAUAGCCAGAAUCCUUAAAUUUGAUUGGGGUUUUGCAUUGAAUAAUUGCACUAACCUACCCUGUUAAGAACACUUUCUUGUCAAUAACCAUUUCUCUUUUCACUAUGCAUAGGGCUUUUUUAGGAAUUUUACAUAGAUUAGUACUUGACAUACCAUAUCUAGAAGAGGUAUGCUGAGUUUAACUUGGUAGAGUACAUCAAACAUGCACUUUAGUAUAUUGGUCAUCUUCAUUUCUUAGAGCUUGAGGAAAUAGGUUCCUCCUUAGACCUUGGGUGAUCCAAAAGACAUGUGAUUAGGAAGACUAUGACGAUAAUAAUUCAUUUAAUGGAAUUUGACAUAUACUCUUUAGAGCUAUAAUAUGUCAAUUGAUCACAUAACAGAUACAUUAAUAACUAAAGGAUUGAAGAAAUAAUUUUGAUAAGUUGAUAGCAUUACUUUAUUGGAUUAUAAACACUAGGUCAUGGGGGGUUCACAUGCAGUGGAUAGUAAGUCAUGAACUUAAGCUUCGCCCCAUUGUAAUUUCAUAAGAUAUUGGAGUACAGUUGAUUCUCUAUAGUAAAGUGUUGAAUUAACUUCAAAAUUGAAUCAUAAGGGAGUUGGUAUUUUUCUAUGAGUUUGAGUGGUCCCCAAUCAAGCUCUUAAUUUAUGGUGGCAUGUUUUAUUUAAGGGAUUUGGUUUUUGGUUCGCAAGUGUGCAUAAUGGCAUUUUGGUAAAAGCGCAAGAUUGCAUUAGAUCUCAUGGAUUAUAUUUUUAAAGUAGGCUAAUUAAUAUUAAAGUCCAAUAGAGCUAAUCAAUUAAUUGAGACCUAGGUGGGUUAGAUUAAGUGACCUAAGCCCAAUUUGGGUUCAAGUCACUUAAGCUAAUAAGGGGCCUAUAUAAACCUCCAACCCACAAAAAGCCCUAUAUAAACCUUUAUAAGGGUUUAAGGUUUAGAUUUUUGCCACUUUUUCUCCAUAAGAGUUUUCCGAAGAGAAGUCUUGGCCACCCUCAAGUUCUCUUUCAUGCUUAGAUUCGCGUAAGGAGAGGUUGGGUGGAAGAACACCAUGUAGACAAGUUCUACUCAAUAUCUUCAUUGGCUUGGUUUUUAUGUCAUUUUUUAUAAUUUUUCUCAACAUUUUCAUAAAUUUUGAUUAAUUUUUCGUAUGAUCGAUAUUUUAUGUUAGGAUAUCCAUCGAUAUUUUUCAAUAUAUUUCAAUAUAUACAUCAAAUUGAGUUAUCAAUAUAUUCAUAAAAACCGAUAUUUGUACCUUAUAAGUGCCUUAAAGUUGAAACCAUGGGGCAAUUUGUGUCCCAAAAGGACACUUCUCGAGCGAUAUGACGGGUCCUCUAAUACUUGUUCUAUUCUAAAUCCACCACUAAGGCUAUCAUUUACACUACAGAUUUUUUUUUUUUUUUUCUCUUUUAAUUAAUUUCUUUUAAGCCCUUGAUUUUCCUGCCUUGGCCAUGCACCUUCAAUCCAAAGAACUGACUGAGACACACUGAAAAGAUGCAUGUUAAACCUCAUUACUAGGACAUUACAAUGAAUUUGACCAAAAACAUAGAAUAAUCACUUAACCAGCUAGGUUCUAAAUAACAUCCACAAACCUGUUACGGAAUGCAAAUUGGAGUGAAUUUUAACAAAGAAGCAUAAGCGAAAGAACACCAUAUGGGUCUUGCAGACUAGAAUAAUUGAACUUUAAUUUUACUUCCAAGUGAGAUACAACUCGAUCCUUGUUUAGUUGUCUUGAAAUUAAGCUGAUGAAUAGGAAAAUAGCAUAAUUCAACACAUCAUAUGUAGGAUGUGUCUUACCCAGAAAAAAGGAAAAAGGAAAAAAUCUUUGAGUUUGUUAAUGUAGGACAUGAAUUCCCAAGUUGCAUAUUGGUCUCCAUGGCUCAAUUUGAUUGUCCAAAUUUCAAAUGACUAUGGCAUCCAACUCAGCAAGAUUUGUUUUUGUGAUACUUGUCGUUUUCUUCAUGUAACGUUUCUCUUGGUUUCUAACAAAGCCAUCAUCAAUUAGUGGCUAAACCAGUAAGGAAUGGACCCACUUGGCUUUGGACAGCCUACAUGGCGGUGGAACCUAUCUUUUUCAGGCUUAUGUCCAAUUUGAGCCCAAAUACUAACAACUUCAAAGGAAGCUAAUGAUCGGGUACCAAAAAAAACAUUAUGUUCAUAUACUAAGAGUGUGUUUGACAGUAAUUAUAAAAAUGGUUUAUAACAUCUUUAAUACUUGAAAGAUAAAAAAUUUCAAGUGUUAAAAAAACUAAAAACACUUUUUAGACUCACUACCAAACGAAUUUUAAGCAUUUAAAUCAAUUUUAUUGUAGAACUCGGCCGAUCAUAAAGAUAAUUAUACACUCAGACAGACAGGAAAAUACAUCGGACAGAAUACAGAGGACAUUAUUCUAAAAUACAUAACCAAGACAGGAAAUUACAUCAGCCAAAACAUAGAGGACAUUGUUCUAAGAUAUACCUAAUCCAGUGAAGGAUAUUAUUAAUCCAUGAUUUUCCUAAUCUACAAGGGAAUUGAAUCACUCCAAGAGGGGCCAUCUAGAGCUGAAGACCUUCUUCCAGGAUGGUCUAUUACUGAUAUCAUCCCACCAUGCCUUCACGUGUUUCCUCUCCUCAAUCAAAUACAUCUUCCCCAUAUCAGCCAAGUACUUUGUGAAUGGAAGGUGGCUAAGAUCAGCAAGGCUAAAGAAAUCCCCAGCCAGGUACUUGCUCUUGGACAGCCUCUCUUCAUAGAUGUCCAACACCUUUGCAAGCUUCUUUUCACUCUCUUCGAUCACUUUCGCAUCUGGGGGAAUACCCCGUUUGCGGCCAAACAGAAUUUCAAUGACUAAAUUGUCAAUUGCUGGGUGGUAACUUUGUGCUUCAACCUCCAGCCAUUGUUCCACCACUCCCCUCUCCUCUAUUGUCUUCCCCAGUAAAUCAGUUCCUUGAGACUUGUACUUCUCAGCAUAGUACCUCAUGAUUGCACGAGAUUCUGAAAUUCAAAUCAUACUCAUUCAUCAAGAACCCAAAGGGCCUGUUUGGUAAAACAAAUAAAUUGUUUUCAGCAAUUCAUGGGGUUCUAAGCUUUACUGAAAAGAUCAACUUUGAGACUAACACAUCAUAAAUCACUUAAAGAGUGAAAAAGAGCAUUCUAAUCUUAAGUGGAAAUGUUGUCUUUAUAAGAAAGGCAUUUCUGUAUAUGGAAUACUACUAUAGAAAUUCUGUGAUAGAAAUUUAUUAGAAGUGAGAUCACUGAAAAUUACCAAAUAAGGUAUAGUCUCCAUCUUGAAUGACAGGAACAACUCCAAAAGGCUGCAUUUGAUGAGAGAAAGAAGCAUAAAUUAUCAACAAUAUGUACAACAAAUCAAGAAAUUGUGAUACUUCAAUCAUUAAGCCUUUGUUUGGCUCUCAACAACUGCUGCAAAAAAAAAAAAUGAAAGGAAAUUUAAUGAAGUUCGAGUUUGAACUCCAUCAAUUCCUUCUCUGUUGAUCUUAUUUCUACUUAAAAGCUUUUCGAAAUCAUCAGCUUUUUCACUAACACCACAAAUCGAAAUCGUCUCGUUUCUUAUGUUGUUCCUGAGCUCAAAACAAAGCUUUAAACGACAAGAAGAAAUUAGAACCUGCAACUUCAGGAAUUCUGGAUCCUUAUUCUGUCCUUUGAUGAUAUCAAUGGGGAGAGUCUCGAAUUCGACCUCCUUCUCAAUGAGGCAAACAAGCACGCGCUUUGCAGAAGCAAAAUCUGGGCCAUACACCUUCACCACCAUUGUUGUUAUCUUGAUUUAUCUCUCAAAGAUCUAGUAAAAACAACGACCGGCGUUUGGGUAGAGGGGUUGAUCUUGAGGCCUUACAUGUAGUGGUUUUUCAAAGUCCAAGAGAUUCGAGAUCAUGCACCUUCUGCGUAAAAAAUGGGCACAUACAGUCAGAUAUUUGAGCAGCUUAUCAUUAAAAAGGGAAGAUGAAGAUUAAAAAAAUAGCAGAUAUUCUCCAAUGCGACUUCAUGGAUAAGAAGAGAAGGAAGGAAAUCGUAGUUUGACUACUUCUUUAAACUUUUGAAAUAGAUUCUAAUACUCACAUUUUUAAUUAGAGAUUAGAAAAGUUUUUCUCAUAAAAUUAUCAGUACAAUGAUGAAAAUGAAUGAUAAAGAUAUCCACUUUGGAAAGAUUUUUGAAAAAUUGGUCAAAAAUCAAAGAGAUUAUAAAAGUUUUUCUCAUAAAAUUAUCAAUUCAAUGAUGAAAAUGAAUGAUAAAGAUAUCCACUUUGGAAAUUUUUUUGAAAAGUUGGUAAAAAAUCAAAGAGAUUAGAAAAGUUUUUCUCAUAAAAUUAUCAAUUCAAUGAUGAAAAUGAAUGAUAAAGAUAUCCACUUUGGAAAAAUUUUUGAAAAGUUGAUCAAAAAUCAAUAAUUAAAAUUUUUUAUUUCGUUAGAUUUGAAGAGUGGAAAUUUUUUUGGAAUUAAAUAUAGAUUUGGAAAAAAAAAUUAGAAAUCAGAUGAUUGAGAUUUGAUUUUAAACAUUAAGUAUAUUGUAAAAAUUAAUAAAAUUAUUAUUAGGUAAUUAUUGUAAAACCUUAGUGAGAAAAAUUAGUUGAAAUUUAUAUAAUGUGGAAUUGCUAUAAUGAAUUGUUAGAAAUUGAAUUUAAAAUUAUAACAAAUAAAUUUAGUUUUAAUUGGAAUUAAUAAUUUUGAUUUUGAGGAUUAAUUAAAUUGGUAAAAAUACAAGUAUAUGAUUUAAUGUUAUUAGAAAUUAAAUUUUAUUGAGACAUAAGAUAUUUAAUUUAGAAAAAAAAAUAUAAUAUAAUAAAAUUUUAAUUUUUGGGAAUUGAAAUAUGUUUAGGGGCAUGUAUAAAAAAAAUAAUAUGGAGGAGUUGUGAAAUAAUAAUAAUACUAGGCUUAUAAAAAAUUUUAGAAAAGAAUAUGCCACUGUCUGUAAAAAAAAAAAUAUUAAAAGUGGCGGAAAGCCUUGGUCAAAAAAUUUAGGGAAUAAAGGUUAAAAGAGAGAGAGAGAGAGAGAGAGAGUGGAAAGUGGCAUGAAAGCCACUGCCUAUAAAAAAAAGUAAGCCACCUCCUAAUAUUAAACUGGUGGAAAUUCAAUGAAAAUUAUGUUAAGAGUCAAAUUUAGUAAUUAUUUAUUGGUGGCACACUUCAUGUGAAUUAAAAAAAUAUUUGUGUGAAGAUUUAGAAUUAUUUUGAUUGUAUUUAAAAGAUGAAAUUAAAAUUUAUUAGUGAUAUAUUAGUGUUAAGAAUAAUGGAGAUUAUUGAUUGAAAAUUUUGAGUAUUGUUAUAUGUCUAAACUACUUGUUUUAUAGUAUUAUUAUUUGAGUUGGGUUCAUUCUACAUCCAUGGUUGUUUGGAAAAGAAAAGUAAAGAAAUCAUGAUAUGAAAUAAAAAUGAAAAUUAAAAGACCCUAAAUAAGGCAAAAAUGAAAAGGUUAAAAAUAAGAAAUGGAAGAACCCAACGAAUACGAAUUAAAAAUCAAGUGAAAUCUUUAGCGUGAUUGAGAAUUAAAAGACAUCGAAAAGGGUAAAAUUAAAAUAAAUUUUUUUAAAAAUGGUAGAUUUUCAAGAAGGACGAAUUAAAUAUAGAAUGAGAUCUCUAGUGUGUAAGCAUUUGGAUCAUGUUUGCUUCUAGAUAAAGAAUUUAUAUAAACUAAUUAAAUGACAUCAAAUGUAUGUUUGAAUAUAUUAUUAAAAAAUGAUUUAUUUAUUUUGUAUAGGAAAAUUAGAAAUAUUUGUUAUGAUAUGCAUGAUUAAAGAAAGAAAUGUGAUAAUGUAGAUUGAUGUAAUUUUGUAUGAUUGAGUUUCAUUUAAUGUAUAUAAUGAAUAAAAUAUUAUUAUAUUUUGGUAUUUUAUGAUAUUAUAUUCACCUAGAAUUGUUAACCUGUUCGUGUGCAAAACAUCUAGUUAAGCAACAUGGGAAUACUCACCUCUUUCUCUUUAAAAUUUUAAAGAUGUCAAUGUAGUUUAUGAGAAUCACAAGAAAACAAGGAAGAAUUUCAAUAAGUCCCAUGAAGUCAAGGAACAACCUCAAUAAUUGUUUUAAAUUUCUAUUAAUUUUUUUGGUAUGUACUACUUUGAGUUAUAUGGAUUAUAGUAACCUAACAUAUAUAUUUUAAAUAUUUUAUUCGAAAAGAAAAUCAUGUACUAAAUCCUAAUUCAAUAAAAUUAAAUGAAACUAGAUAUCAAUUUAUUUUAGAAAAAUCAUAUUAUGAGGUUGAUUGUCAACUUGGAUAAGAGUAACCUCUAAGCUCACACUUUCGAUCUAGGUCAUGAGUUUGGCUCUAGAUUAGUAGGAAUUCAACAGUGACAUAUGCCUUGAGGAACCCACUUGAGAAAUUUGGUUUCUUGAAAGGUAACAAAUGAAGUGGUUAAGCUAGCAAUAAGGGAAGAGAGACUUGUUUUGGGAAUUUCUUCAAAUUCCAUACUGUUCUCUCCCUUUCUGUUUGACAUUUAAGAGUAUGAUGUGUUAAUCUAUCUUCAUACUCUUCCAUCUAAAGAGCAGACUGGGUUGAUUUUGAUCCAUUCUACGUUCAUCCCUUUCUUUAAAGGUGACCCACACCUUAAGAUUUUUGGUACAAUGUCCUACACUUGAAAAAUACCAAGCUCCAAAUGGAGAAAGAACACCCAUAAGCAUUCAAAUUGUUAUUCUUACAAAACCAUGGACAUAAAUCCUCAAGAGGACAACAAACAAGAUAGGAGAAAGAGAGCAGCCAGCCCUAGACAUGGAGGACAUUAUUUGAAAAUGUAAAUGGAGAAAGAACACCCAUAAGCAUUCAAAUUGUUAUUCUUACAAAACCAUGGACAUAAAUCCUCAAGAGGACAUCAAACAAGAUAGGAGAAAGAGAGCAGCCAGCCCUAGACUUGUAGGGCAUUAUUCCAAGAUUGGGGCAGGGUAGAGCUCAAGGACCUUUUUCCAAGAUGGCCUGCUACUAAUAUCAUCCCACCAUGCACUCACAUGCUCUCUCUCCUUAAUCAAAUACAUCUUGCCCAUAGCACCCAAGUAGUUAGUGAAAGGAAUGUGGCUGAGAUCAGCAAGGCUAAAGAAGUCCCCAGCCAAGUACUUGCUCUUAGACAGCCUCUCCUCGUAAAUGUCCAACACUUUCCCAAGAUUUUUCUCACUCUCUUCAAUCACUUUUGCAUCUGCAGGAAACCCCAUCUUGUCACUGAACAGAACGUGAAGAACUAAAUUGUAUAUUGGUGGGUGGUAGUUUUGUGCUUCAACCUCUAGCCACUGCUCCACAGUACCCCUUUCCUCUAUUGUCUUCCCAAGCAAAUCAGUUCCUUGAGACUUGUACUUCUCUGCAUAGUACCUUAUGAUAGCUCUUGAUUCUGCAAAUCAAAUUAAGAGCCAUCCAUCAAUGGUUUAUUUUUCUGAUUUUAGUUACAUAAUAUGAAGAAAUUUUGCAAUCCUUGACAUAAUUUUUCCUAGAAAAUUUCCAACCAAAGAAAACAAACCUAAAUACGAAAGGAUCACAAAAAUUUUACAAAGGGAUUUACCAUAUAAAGUAUAAUCUCCAUCUUGAAUGACAGGAACCACUCCAAAAGGCUGCAGUUCAUCAGAGAAAAGCAAUGGAAACUAUAAGCAGAUCCUCUGAUAGAUAUAGUUGAAUUUGAAACAUCAAGGGUGAUCCAAAAAAGGGUUGUAAGUUUAAUUUUGAAAAACUCCUCUUCAUCUUCUCUCAAUUUAUAAUCCUACCUUUUAAAACCAGAAAAUGGGCAGUAUCAAGAAAUUCAGCUUUCUGGGUAACUUUAAAAUCAAAAUUCCUCCUUUUUCUUGUUCUUUUUCCAAAGACUUUACUGAGAAUCAAACAGACCCUGAUCCAAAAUAAAAAAUUCCGAAAAAAAAAAAAAAAAAAAUACCUGUAACUUGAGGUAUUCAGGAUCCUUGUGCUCUCCUUUGAUGAUAUCAACUGGGACAGUCUCAAACUCAAUCUCCUUCUCAACAAGGCAAAUAAGGACACGCUUUGGACAAGCAAAGGCUGGGCCAUACACCUUCACCACCAUUUUUUUUUCUUCUUCGUUUUUUUUCAGGGCAACCAAACAGCUUUAAUAACUGAAUACUAAUAGCCCUUGAAGAGAGCCGUGAAUAAAUUUAUCACUCCAUCUUUCUCCUUUUCAUUUUUUCAAACUAGUACAUAACCGCACCUUUAAAAUGUGAUUAUAUUUGAUAUUUUCUUUAAAGCAUUAUAAAUAAUUUUUCAAAGUUUUAAAGGCAAAAGAUGACGUUUUAUCAUCUUUUUUUUCUUCAAAAGUUUUGCAAUAUUUGGUUUCGAAAGUAUUAAGAAAAAAAAAACGAAAAUUGGUUUUCUUAUGUUUUAUUUUACCGUAAAAAAAAUAUAAUUAAAAUUAAUUAAAAUUUUAUGCAUUUUAAAAUUAUUUAACAUUUAUAUAAUAAAAAAAUAAGUUAAAUGAGUUUGAAAAAACCAUAUAAAAUAAUUUUUAAAAUUUAAAUCUAUUUUUUAUUUUCAUUUACUCUUUUUUUUUCCUUUUAUAUUUUAUUUUUAUUUUUAUUUUCUCAUAUUUUUUCUUGAAUUUUUUGAGAGCCAAACAUACCCUUUAUGUUUUAGGUUUUCAAGAGUAUUGUCAAACAAAUAUUAACACCCUAUUUGAUAACUAUUUUUUAAAAUUGUUCUUUAAUAUUUUAUAAAAUAAAAAUCUUUUUGGAACCUAAAAUAAUUUUAACAUGUUUUUUUAAUAAUUUUUAUGUUUAAAGCUUUAUUUUUAAUCAUUAUACAUGUUUGUUUAAAACAAAUGAAAAUAACUAAAAAUAACUAAAAGAUGUGCAAAAAAUAGAUUUUUGAUUGUCAAAUAUGUUUUUCAAUUUUUUUUCUAAGAAAUAAAAAAUUAUUCUCGAAAACAAUGGUAAAACAAACCCUAAACCAUUGAGCCUGACUCAAAACUUACACGACAUUGAAUUUAACCAAUUUCGUUGGUCCAAUUGGGGUCAAUAUUCUUUUGUAGGCCAGCCUGACAACCCAACCCUUGACAGGUCAUGUAAAUGUUGUCCACCCUCCCUUUAUCUUUGGUUCUAAUAGUUUAUAAAUCAUCAUUUUCAAUAAUAUUUCAUAAAUUAUGAGUUCCUUUUUUCAUAGUCAUAUGUUUCAACUAUGUUGAAUGAAUGAAUGGUAGCAACUCCUAUCUUCCUCUAUAAUGACAGAGGUAGUUUUGAGAUGACAAUUCCAACUUAUCCAACACUUUCAAUGAGUCCAUUUCCAAAAUUAUGCCUAACCUUUGAAAAAGGUGCUUUCAAAUAUUAUAUAUAUAUAUAUAUAACUGAAUUAAGUUUAUGGAUUUACUUAGACCAUUUUAUGGAUCAAUAGAGAAUUUUGAUUUUUGAAACAUCUUUCAAUCUUGUUCGAGAUGGUCUAACCAACUAAUCACUAAGUUAUCAAAGGUAAGAGUCGUAUCCCACUAAGAAUACAUGUAUCACUAUCCAACCUAACUUUUGAUUCAUUUUUCAUAUCAUGAUUCAUUUCCAUUUUCAUUCUAUUUCAAAUCUUAUUUUCAUAAACAAAACCCACCAUUAGAGUUUGUUUGCUUGCUACUCCAAAACAAAAAUUGAGAAAAUAAAAAUAAAAAAAAUAAAAAAUGAAAGCAUGUUUAGGGAUGAGUUAAAAAAAAAAUCUUAAAAAUAAAAAUUAAAUAGAGUGUUUUCUCAUAAUAUAUUUAAAUUGUUCUUACUUGUUUUCUAAGAAUUAUUUUUUAAAAAUACUAUUCAUAAAAAUUAAUUUUUUUAAUAUUUAAAAAGAAAUAAAACAAGUUAAGAACAUUUAAAGUUUUCAAACAAAAUUUUAUUAUGCAUAAUAUUCAAAAAAAUAAUUUAAAACUUAUAAUUAUUUUUAAAAAUAUUUUCCCAACAUAACCUUAAUUUUCUUUUUUCACUCACCCCAAAGUAUAUAAAAUACAUAGUAACAAUUGUUAUUAAAAAAUUAGCUCUCUUUUCUUUUUAGAACUAUCAACCAACCAAUAUUUGUGUGUAUGAGUUCCUACAUAUAUUUGGUUAUGAUUUAUUUAAAAAUGAAUAUACCAUCUUUCAAUAACUACAAUAAAUAAAUAAAUAUAUAUAUAUAUAUAUAUAUAUAUAAUUACAAAUUUUAAUAAUAUUUUAUUUUUAUAUUUGAUAUAUCAAAUUAAAUAAUAAAGAUAAAUAUAAAUGUAUUUUGAAAAAAAUCCAAUUUUUAAGCUCAUUUAUACCCAUUUUUUAAAGAACUCAUCUGAACUCUCCAUUUUCACACUUAAUCUUUACCAUUCAUUUAAGGACAAACCCUGAAACUCAUAUCUUCCUAUCACCAACCACAUCUCCCUUUUUUCUCCCAUCUUUCUUUCCCUUUCUCUUCUUUUCUUUCUUUCUCUCUCUCUCUCACCAUACCCACGCCUAUUGUGACCACCAACCACCUCUUGCCAACAACUCCUAUUGUUAGUCACUGGCGUCUCAUUCCCACCCCCUCACUAUCUCUCUCAUGAAAAAAAAAGACAUGUUGUGAAUCGAUUCAUUGGAAUCGAUGAGGUUUAACAAUAUCACUCUUAAAAGUCAAAAAGCAUAUUCCAAACAAGAUAUUAUUCAUAGAUGAUGGAUUUCAAGGAUUUUCAAGUUGAUGGAUUUCAACAAAAUUCAAGAUAGAAAUUGAACUUUGUAAUAAACUUUAUAUUAAAAUAAUACUUUGAUUAUAGAAAGUUUGAAUCUUGAAUUGAUACAAAACUUUGAUUACAAUGAAAUGUUUUGAAUACAAGAGAAGAGUUUGAAAAAGAGAGACAUGAUUUUUUUAAAAGGAUCUAAGAAAUUAUCCACCCACUUGAACCCUAAGGGUAGCUCAGUUGGUCCUAUCUUGAGUUUGCUCCCCAAUCAUCAUUAGUUCAAGUUCUUUCAAGAUCGCUAAGGCUUACUCUCGUUAAGCCCACGAUUAUAAAAAAAAAUUCCACCAACAACUCUUGAAAUUCACCCACAGUGCUAUAAAUGAAUGGAAUUUGCUCUUCCUAAUAUUGUUACGGUUAAUUGGAUAUAUAUAUAUAUAUAUAUAAUUAUUCUUUUAAAGAACGAAUUUUUCAGUUUUUUAAAACUAUUUUGAAUAAUAUAUAAAAAAUAAAAUUAGCACAGAGGAAAGAUUUAAUUGAUUUCUGGCGAGGAAAAGUAUUCCAGAAAACUAGAUUUCAAAAUGUCAAUCACCUUCUGUUUGGGUUGAGAGAAAACUAGGGAUAAAAAGAAAAAGGGGGAAACUUUCAAAUCUCAAAUCCGUAUUGAUUUGGUUCCCAGAACGUAAGAUUAAAUAAGGAAAAAAAUUUGACAAACCCACCUCAAGCAGCGAUUUCCCUAGUAACCCAAAGUAACGAAAGCCACAAGAUUCAUUUUCCUUGUGUAAAAUUUUCUCGGCAACCAAAAAGAGACGGAAAGGAAGAAACGAGCCUUCAGAGGUGUGUGCGCAUCAUCACAAGGCCCAGAGGAGGGGUGCGUACAGGGAGAGUAGAGAAAGUGGGAGAAGAAGAAACGAGCAGCAGAUGUUAGAAUUCAGAUUGAAAACUAAAUCAGCAUCAUUAAAUUGACGAAUGUUCUUUCAGGUUUUCAUGUCCACAUGUAUCUGCCGCUUCAAGUUUUGCCUCUCUUCUCCUGCCUUUCUCAAAGCCCCUCUUCACCGCCCCCUUCUAUCGGAUCCUGGUGCGGUGGGUCCUUAUAUAUCAGUCAUGUGGGAGUUAGGGUUUUUUUUCUUUGGUCCUAGGUCUGCAUAGGUUAAAUGUACUAUUCAUAAUUCAAAUUCUCUGGGUGGGUCUAAACGCUAACAAUUCUUUCAGUCUGAAGCUAACAGUAACCACAGACUCAUCAGGUUGAGUUUUGGCUGAAUGGUUCCUCUUGCAUAAUUGUAUUUGAAAUUAAUAAUAACUUUUGCUAUCAAGUAAAAAGCAAAAACCAAAAAUUGAAAAAUGAAACUAUGCUUGAAAAGUGUUUUUGAAAAGAAUUUUUAAAAACUGUUUUUUAAUAUUUUAUAAAAUAAAAUUUUAUUUGAUAACUUAAAAUGUUUUUAACUUAUUUUUCAUGUUUUUUGUAAGAGUUUGAUGACUCAAAUUUUAUUUUAUCCGACUUCAAAAACCUAUUGUGCGAUACAGAUAAGCCCGACUUGCUUUGGAGUUAUGAUAAUUAUUAUAUCAAUUUUUUAUAUAAUGGAUUUUUUUCUUUUUUAACUGUGAUUUUUUCAAUUUAGUGAUUUUCCCCUUUUAAGGUUUUUAUGUAAAUUUAUAUAUUCUUAUUUUUUUUAUUUUUAAUUAUAUUUUAUAUUUAUAUAAUUAUUUUUUAAAUAAAAAAACGCCUUAAAACUACUAAUAGAUGCUACUUGUAUGGCUUUUCUUUGUGUUCCUUCGUAGCAAACAAUUUUUUUUUUUUAAUUAAAAAUAACCUCACAUGACCCAUCCCUUCAGACUGAGAAAUUCAACAUAUUCAACCAGCGGCCAAAAUGUGCACACAUCGAAACAAUCGUCCUAAUCAAAAGGGCACCCUGGUGUCCCAGCAACUUAUUUGGUUACUCAUUUUUUAACCAUUUCAUUCCAAUAUUCUUUAGAAAUUUCUGCAAUUAUUCUAAAUCAUAUAAUUUGUGAAAAAUGGAACAAAGAGACAGAGAAAAUUUCAAAAAAAAAAUGUGGAAGCCAUUAAAGCAAAAGGUUUGCUCAACUUAUGUACACUGGAAGCAGCUUCCUCAUGCUGCAGACAUUAAACCAUUAACAACGACUGCAUUCCAAGAAUUAAGCCCAAUAGUUCAGGGGGACACCAUGACAGUUCAUGUGAUAUACUUCAGACCUGCAUUUAAGUCACAACAGAACAGAGCAAAUGACAAUCCACCAUCACCAUUUAUCAGAAAGAAACCACUGACUUGGGAUGACUCCUAGACUGCAACUGAGAUAAAGCUGUGUCGCUUUCCUCAUUCUCUUCAAAAUUUAUCGGUUCCCCAUUAAUUUGCUUCCUACAAAUCAAAUCUUCAACUCAUUAGAAUUCAAAUAUUCAAUCAAAAUUACCAAAAGUGAGAAAGCAAGAGGAGCCAGCCACCAGUUGAGGAAAUUGUUCACUUCACUCUAAUCAACCACCAACAAAACAUACCUUUGAGAGAUCAUACUCUCUUCUGAUAAUGCCUUUUCUAACCUCUCCUCGAACGGGGUUGCAUGCCAACUCACUUUCUGAUCCUGCAAAAGAAAAAACGAGCAUCUGUUGAAUGUUGCUAUCAAAAUGUGUCAACCAGGAAAGAGGAGAGGAAGAGAGGUAGUACAAAAAUACCUCCUUAUAUUUAUUAGUGGAAUUUGGUAUUCCAUUACCAUCCCACCACUUGGGAGAGAUACGAGUAGGCUCAUCUUCAUUCCAAUGAGCAGCAACAGUUCCAAUGAUAGGCCUGUCACCUGGAGUUCUCCCAAAAUGACGAUUUGCAGCGGGAACAGCCUCAAAAUUUUGGUCAUUUGCAUCCUGAAUAGAAGAAGAUGGCUUCAGCCAAGAAGACAAGCUUGCUUCCACUCUCAAAUCUUCAGCAACUGAAGUUUCUCUUGCCCCCACAUGUGCCUUGGGGGUAGCAUCGUCUAGCGACUCCAGCGAUUCUCCCAUGUUACUUGAAAAUUGAUUUGAGUGAGAACCCUCUUCCUUCAAUGCACUCCACUGAGAAAAAUUCUCAACAGGGUUCAGGACUGAGUAGACAUACUGGGACCUGAUCCGAGCAUUUUUCCCAUUCUCUAAAUUCCCCAGGCUCGCAGGGAAAACAGUUCCAGGCGUUUGCAAUUCAUCAUUUAGUUUUAGCGGGGUGGGGUAAGGGGAAAGCUUAGAUACACUAUGAUUACUUGGUGAUUCAUAUCUCUUUGAAGUUUGGCUAGCAAUUUCAGAUGAAGCACUUCCUGAGGAAAAUAGAGCUGCAUCAGCCUCACAUUCAAAACGAACAGACCUGUUCCUGCGCUGAACAUUUGGAGCUGAAAGCCAGGGUGAAACUGAAGGUACAGAGUCAUCAACUGGAUUAGGAUGAACAUUGAUGACCACAUCACUGUUCCCUACCGUACUGCCUUCAGUAGAACUCUGUCCAUUGGAUAUGCAGCUAUGAAGAGAUAAAAUUAGAUAAAUGUCAGGCAGCUAUAGUUUUCAAAAAAUAAAAUCUAAAGUUUGCCAAACAUUAUUAUGCACAUUAGACAUACAAUGAAUACUUGUGAGACCUUCUGUGCCAAAAACAGAAAUGAUGAAAAAAGAACAAUAAUUUGCUUCACAAACCUUCAAAAUGGCAGGGCAUUAUUGGUCUUUGAACCCUUACAGAAGAACAUACAGUAAGUUAAGCAAUCAAAAUUAGUUCCUUGGACUUGAAAGGCAAGGGACUCCUUAUGUUCAGGAUCUAUCAUAUGGGACUAAAUUUCCCAUGUUUAGGUGUAUGAAACAGAAGUUAUAUACACUGAACUAAUAACUUAUUUUAAACUAUUCAUGAUUCAGUUUUGAAGUGUAACCUGCUAGGUGUUUGCUCUAAAAGACUUGACUCCUUUCUCCAUUCUUCACAUUGUUUAAUGGGAGUAGGUGGCUCAACUGGUUGCUUGUCCAAUUGGAGCUUCUUGAUGGAUGUGUUGGGAAGCCAUGAAUGGAAUUUUGAAUGUUCUAAAUCUCCAUCCUGGGAUGGUGAACUUUUCAAUCUCCUUGAUGCUUUCCGAAUUUCAGCUGGAGUCUCCACUAAAGUGCCACAUGCUUUAAGGAAUCUGGCCUGUGAAAGCAGAAUUUCGUCAAUCAAAACACAAUGUUUUGAUAGAUUCAGAAAUUUGAAAUAGAAAUGAUUGAUCCUAAUUCUAGUAAUGUGAGCCAACUAUCUCUACUUUUUAAACAGAGAAUGUGAACUUUCAAAUCUUUAAAUAUCUUCCUAUUUCUAUCAAAUUUUCUUUUCCUUCCUUUAUUUUUCAAUCAAUUUUUUCCAAGAUUCAAACAGAGCCAAUAGGAAUCUUCAAUUUGAAAUCCAUCAGAAAGUUUUCACUAAAAUAAAGUAUCUACCUCCUAACAUAUAAAAAAAUGACUGCCUAUCAAACAAAACAUAUAAAAGAAUGACGAUGUAGUCUGAUAUGCAAUUGUUAAAUUCUAAUACAAAAGAUAUAGACUUAAAUAUUAUUUUUCAAAAAAUUACCAAUCAUUUACACAAUUUGCCACACUUAAGAGGAAAUAACAAUAUCUGUAACAUUAGUUUUGGGGAGGAAAAUAGAAGAAGAUAAAGAACAACAGCAAAAUUCCUCAAAAGGAACUGCUAGUUCAGGGUUUCAAAUAGUGGAAGACAAACAACAGGAGGCUCAGAGAAAUAAUAAAAUUUCAAAUCAAGGCCACUUCAUCUGAGGGCAGUUUGGAGAACUCUAAAAAAGAAAGAAAAAAAAGAGCAUGCCAACUUUUAUUAUUCUCAUCUGGUCAGUACAAUGCCAAACCAACUCAUAGUAGUUUGGUAUUGUGGGCAAGAAUUCCAAUGGUUUUAACCCCAAUUGGAACUGCAGUAUCUGCAUACCGUGCUAGUCCAACACGACUGUCUCUAAUGCUUAACUAGUAAAAAUGAUGUAAAAAUGCCCAUUUAAAAAAUAGUCUGUGCCAAAUACAUGUUUCUGAACUGUUUAACAGUCAUUGAUACACUUACUUAAGCUCUUCAAUUUCAAGAAACCAAGAAAAAAAUUUCACAAGAACAUAGUAUUUCAAAAAAAAAAACCACCUCCUACAUAAAAAUUGCUAUUUUUCCAAAUACUAAAUACAUUUGGUGAUGUAUCACAGUGCAUUCUCUUUUACCAAUUGUUCUAAAUUUUUCUCAAGAGGAACAGAAGUUGCAAGAAACUUGUAAACUACAAAGUUUUCUAAAAUGGUUACAGCUCCAACGUGAUUGUUAUUAUAUUUUAAUUUUCUUUGAUUAUAGUGACUAUUAAACUUUCGAUUCUCUAUAACUUUUUCCAACAUUCUCACCAUUGUCUUCAGCCCAAAAAGAGUAUUUUGUGAUAUGUAAUCACAACUUCAAACAAUUAUUUCUAUAAUGACCAGAAUUGUCAUAUAAUUUUUAAACACAAAAGUAUCUUUCAAUUCUUCAGUCCAUGGCACAAGAAAAUGUGAUUUCAUCUCACCUUCUUGAAAAAGGGCUAUCUAUUCCUAAGGCCUGUAUGAAUGGUAAGAAAAUCAAAACUCUCUUCAAGACCAUACUAUUUUUCCCACACUAGGACGCUUUCUUUCCAAAUAGCAGCUAAUUAAUUUAGUAAAAGAACUAAGUCAAAAAAAUUGAUAGGAGAAGCAAUGCAUAAUAUCAAAUGGGAUGCACAAACAAGCUUCACAAGAAUCUGCAGGUUGUAAAUUGAAAUCAAUUGGGAAGGCAAUUUUUUAAGUACUAUGUGCCUUUUAGACGUUUGCAGAUGUGUUCUUUCUGACCAAUGACAUUAGUGGUACAUGAAAAAUAUAGGAAAAUGCGCAAACAUCUGUAGCACAAUAUCUGCAUUUUGUUAGGAAUUUUGCAAGUAUUACGUACUUGGUGGAACUUCAAAUUGCCUUAUCCUAAAUUGCAAUAUUUCUUUGAUAUGCCAAAUUAUAUUGUUAUUUGUUCAAGAAUUAUAUAAGAUCAAUAACAGAAUAACUUUGCAACUAUAUGCAUUUCAUUCCCAUAAAACCCAUGAUUGUUGACUAACAUGUAGAAAUAAUAGAAGCUCCUAAAUACCAAAAUGCCUAUUAAUUAGUGGAAACCAAAUGUUAAAAGGCAAUGCAAAUCAAUAUUCCAUAACUUGAUAGCCUUUGAGGUUUGGCUCAAGUGGUAAGGGAUUGGGAUGGGGUUGUGGGGAGUCCAGGUUCAAGUCUUGGGGACCAAAAAAAGGUGUACCUAUCAAAAAAACAAUUUCUAUAACUUGGAAAGCAAAGUUUUACACAAUCCUUUAUGAAAAAGUAGAGAAGCAAAUAAUUAAUAAUCCUAAGACAAAUCUCUAUAUAAAUUUCAAUUGUUCUUAAUCCCAUAAUCUUGACCAGUCUUAUUAAACUAAAAAAAUAUAUUUCAUGAUCGCGUCUCAUUUAUGACCAGCACAAUCCAAUUUUUAUCAAACCUCAAAGGUUGAAAAAAAGAAUAAUCAAGGAACAAUAACAAGUGUCAUCUUCUCUUCCUCACAAGAAGACAUAUCCAUUCAGAAGCUGUAAAAUUACUUUUACAGCCUAUAUGUAAUAAGUUCUAUAGCCUCAAAAAGGCAUGCAUCCGCACAUAGGGAAUAAUAUAUACCAGAAAAUUUUGCUAGCAUUGCUCCAUCAGUUUUCUUCAAUAAAUAAAUAAAGAAAUGAGUUUAACAACAUAAUAAUCAUAUAUGUGGAGCUAAUCAAAUUAAACAGGGGUCUCUCCAAUUAAAGAAAAUCAAGAAUGACACAUGAAUUACUCCCUUGAAUGGAAUCUUUCUUUAAUGUUUUCACAGAUGUAACUAAAAAUAUACCUCAUCCUUAAGCUCCUUGUCAAUGUUUUCAGGUUCUGAAGAUCCAAAAACAUGGCUUUUUCUAUCCUUGGACAGAGAGUCUUCUUUCUCUACAGGAAAAUGACAGAAUCAAUAUCAGAGAUUAGAAAAGGGAAAUCAAAGAAAGUACAAUGAUCAAAAGAAAAUCAUAAACCAAUUUGAUUGCUUUCUCGAAAUCAUACAUAUCACAAAAUCUUACCAAAUUAAGUCCUAUACGUAAUUUAAAGAUCCAAAAAAAAGCUCAAACAAAUAUAAAUUCAGUUACCUUCAGCCAGAAACAGGGCGGAUAAUCGAUUUUGAGAGAUCAUAGUUUCCUGAUUGCAACACAAAGACAAAAUCGCCAAAUGAAAAACACAUUUCUGACCAGAAAACGUAAGAAAAUAGAAAUGCAACACAAAACAAAGAAAGGAAAAUCUUUCGUAAAGAUCAGAGCUUCCCAAUUAUAUUCUGCUUUUGUGCAAAUAAAAUGUAGGGGGGAAAAAAAAAGAGAGAAAUGGAAAAAGUUGCGAUAAAAAGUUGACAGAUCAGAGCUUCUUGAUCAUAAAGAUAAAAAAGAAAAGCAAAAAGAUUAAAAAGAAAAAAUCAAGCAUUUUAGUAAGACGCGUCGUUUGCUAAGAAAAUGCAGGAAAGAGGAAAGCGAAAACAAACAUUUGCAUUAGAAAAUCUGACAUCAGAGCUUCCCAAUUCUAACACUGAAAAAGAUUCCAUUAAAAAAUUUAAAAUAAACUCCGUUUGUUUCAGAAGAAAUUUAGCACUGAGGUAAAAGGCAAUAUAAUUUGCAUUAAAAAGCUGAAAACUCGCAAUUCGCCAAUACACUCGUUUGCUUCGCAAGAAAAUGCAGGGAAAACAAAAGAAAACAGAAUUUACAAAAUACAGAAGUAAAAAAAAAAAAAAAAACACCAUAAAAACCAGAAGAAGAAUCGUACAGUGGAUUUGGAUUGAGAAACGAAAGAGGCAUUGGGACGAUGUUGGUGAUCGUCUUUGAUUCGAAAACAGCCGAAGAAGCACCCCAUUGCCCUCGCAAAUCUGCUCACAAACCCUAAUUCACACUCCAGUAAUGACCAUAUCAUCAAAAAUCUCAGACAAAGAGCGAAGGAAGACGAGGAUUUUUAUUUUUAAUUUAUUUAUUUUAAAAUAAGGUUUUAUGGUGAUUUAAGAGAGGGACAUAGAGAGAGAUGUUGUGACUGUUUUUUGAAAUUUGAAAAUGACUUCAAGGAGGGAAACCUAAUGCCACCUACUCCCUUCUCAAGAGUCAAGACUUCUGAUUUUUUCCUUUCUUUCUUUUUUCUUUUUUUUUCACAUUUACUUUUUAGUAUUAAAAUAUUAUGAAAAAAUAUUUUUUUUUUUAAUACAAAAAUGGUAUUUUAUUUUCUUUAAUUUCCUAAAACACUUUUCUAAUUUUAAAAACAUAUUCGAUAAACUUUAGACAACAAAUAUGCUUUUAAUAUUUGAAUUUUUUUAUUAAAUUACUAAAAAGUGGAAAUUAAAAAAAAGUUGCAUAUUCACGCUCUUAUAUAUAUAGAAUAGAGAUGAAAUAUUUUCAAUUUUAGAAAAAAAAAAAACAAAUUUCUUUUCUAAUUUAAAAAAUAAAAUUUGUUUACUUUAUAUAUGAAAUCCAAAUAAAAAUCAUAAAAAUAUUUUCAGAUAUUAGAUUUCAAUAUUUUAAUAUAUUUUUAUUUUUAAAAAAGUAAAUAAAAUAAAUCAUUACCCUUUUAUCACGGAGGGACACCGAUUUUUUUCCUAAUGAUGAGGGAGAUAUUUGAAAGGUGUGGAUGCCAAGUGGACGAAUUAAUAUAAUAAAAUUUUAUUAUAUUAAACCAUCUGUACGUUAUUGCUUGAAUCUCUUAUCACUCGCUUUAUUUUGCUGACACGCGUAUUUCGAAUUAUUAAGUACGACUGGGGGAGCGAGUUCAGUUGAAAUUAUAUACGCGAGCGCAGUGUAUUAUUUCUGCUCAAAAGAAUUUAGCUAAGACAUCGGUUUCAUGGGGCACUGAUAACGUGACCUGCAGUCUUACUGAAAAUCAUUGACACUUAUUAGAUGGCAACAUCCCACACCUCUUUCCAUCAUAAGUUUAUCUUCCAAUAUUUUUUUUUUAAGGUUUUACUUGUCAUUAUCACUAUCAAUUUACAUUAAAUUAAAUAUUAUAUGAGAUAAAAACUUUGAACUCAAAAUAAUGACAUUGCUUUAGAACCUAAAUUUAGGAUGGCUUUCAUUUUCAAGAUCAGUUUUUAUAUAUUUUUAUUAUUAUUUUAAUUUAAAAUAUUAUUAAUACUUUAGUACAAAAACAAUAAUGCGACCUUCAUUAUAGAUGAGUAUGUUUUUUCGAGUACUUGUCCCUUCCCACCCCAUCUUUAGGGGCACGAGUUUAAAAUUUAGAUAAACGGAUUAGAAACGUGUUUGAGAAUUUUUUAAAAAUCGGGAUGGGAUUGAAGCAAGUUUAGGUAUUGUUCUAUUCCACCCAAUCCCCCAUUAUAUAUAAAAAUAAUUGAAUUUAAAUUUAAUUUCCAUAUUUUUAAUAUAUAUAAUCAAAAUAAUAAAAUACUUUUCAAUAAAAUAAGUAAUAAAAAUUUAUAAUAUUUUAAUUAUUUAUAAAUAUUUAUUUAUUUUAAUGUAAUUAAAAAAAUUUAAAAAUUAAAAUUUAGAAUAAAAGGGUUAAACUAAGCUAAGCAAAACACAUAUGAGAAAUUCGUAUAUCCGCUUUGCCCUGCACCCUUUUAUUUUUUUUAAUGGGACAUGGAUGAUAAAUAAUAGUAAUUUUUAUAUAAGAUACUAAAACUCUUUAAACAAAAUUGAAAUAACAAACAAAUUUUAUGACCUCAAAUUUGAAAUUUUUUAAAAGUGAUUUUAAAAGAAACAAGGUAAAUUUAUAUUUUAAAUUUUUUAUUUAAAAUGUAAUAAAAGUAGUUUUAAAAUUUUAAAAAUAAAUGAAUAUAAAUAUAUUAAAAAAAUUAAGAUUUUUUUUUCUAAAAAUUUGAUAAAUGUUAUUAGAAUAUUUGUUCUUGAGUUUUUUGAAAUAAAUAAAGAGCUUUAGAAUUACAAUUGGUAUCUUUAUUAUAUUAGCAAAAAUUAUUUGUUAUUGGUCAUGUCUAUCACAACAAGAUGGACUUUAUCUAGGCUGAGGAUAUUUCAAUUCCCCAAGUUGUCUUUUAUGUGCUCAUGGAUUCGGUAGCAGUUCGAAAGGUUUACCUAUUUGGGAAUCUCCUGCCCUUGAUUUAAUAUAGAUUUUUUUUUAUAAAAUUUAUUUAUUUUUAAAUUAGUAAUCCAACUUAAAUUCAAAUAAGAAGAAUUUUAAAAUUUUGAUGAUCAUUAGAGAUUGUUAUUUAUUUAGCUUUUUUAGGUUAAUCAUUACUCCUACUCUAAUUAUGAAAUAGAAUCCAAUGCAAUGAUUAACUUAUUAUAAAUAUAGAUAUAUUAUUACGAUCAAAAAAAAAAAAAGGAAUAGACCAUAAGAAAAUCUUAUUUUAGCACAAUAUUGUCAAUAUCUUCCAACAAAAUUAUUUAAAAAAUAUAAAUAUAAUGUAUUUUAAUUUUUAAAUAUUGAAAUACAAUAUAUUUUGAAUGAAAUAAAUUUUUUAUUUUCAUAUUAACAUUCUUUUAUUCUUAUUAAUAUCAUUAAUUUUGAUACACAUAUAUCAAUUUGUUCAAUAAAACAAUGUUAUGUAUUCUUUCUUCUUCUUCUUUUUUAAUUUUUAAUUUUUAUCAUUUUUUUAUAUUUCUUUUUAGUUUUGAUUAAUUUUAUUUCGUCAAAAUUUUGCAUAAAAAUAUCUAUUAAUAUUUCCCAAUAGAUCUCGAUAUAUUUGUAAAAUCAAGUCACUAAUAUAUUCGUAAAAACUGAUAUUAUAAUCCUUGAGCAUCAUGGCCUUGACCAACUUUUCAAUCCAUUUUCUAUUGUAUUUACUAGAACUUAAUUUCAUGCAUGGUGUCUUGUUGAAGAAAAAUAAAGAAAACAGGAUUGUAGCAUAAAACAUAGUAUAAAGAAGAGGAAAACAGAGUAUUAGAAAUUCUGGUACUGAAAAACGUGUUCUUGCAUUCCACACUCCCAUCUGAUUGAUUUACAUAUGUUUUUAUAUCAAAACUUCUAGAAUUUAACUCUGGUUACCAAUUAACUAUAGUUACUAAUUGACCAUAGUUAUAGUUACACGGGUUAGCUAACUUCCUAACUGAAUUUGGUUAGCUUAACACCCCCACUCAAGCACAACUUGGAGAGAUAGCAAGGUUGAGCUUGGUUAGCAGAUAGUGAAACCUGGGAAUAGACAAAGGCUUAGUGAACAAGUCAGCCACUUGUUCUACAGAAGGAACGUAGGAUACCACUAGUUUUUUUAUCUAACACCUGCUCACGAACAUAAUGGACAUCCACUUCAAUAUGCUUCGUUCGGGAAUGAAAUACCGGAUUAGCAGCUAAGGCACCAGCACCUUGAUUGUCACACCAUAUGAUAGGUGUGUUGACAAGAGAAAUUCCAAGUUUUGAAAAAAAAGAACGUAGCCAUGCUACUUCAGUUGCUGCAUGAGCGAGGGCGCGAUACCCUGCUUCAGUUGAGGAUCUUGCAACCACAGACUGUUUACGGGAGCUCCACAUGAGAAGAUUAAUGCCAAGAAACACACAGUAGCCGGUUGUAAAGCGACGAUCAUCAAUUGAACUUGCCCAAUCUGUGUCGGUGUAUAUUUGAAGAUGCAAAGAUGAAGCCGCAGUGAAGUGCAAUCCACGAUGAACUGUACCCUUGAGAUAUCGUAAUACUCUUUUACAUGUUGUCCAAUGGAGCUUAGUAGGUUGCUGCAAGUAUUGACUGAGUUUGUUUACAGCAAACGCUAUGUCCGGUCUUGUGUAAGUCAAAUAUUGGAGAACACCAAUGGUGCUUCUAUAAAGUGUGGGAUCAGAAAAUGCAGGACCGGAGGCUGCAUGAAGUUUGAAGGCUGCACUCAUGGGAGUAGGAAUUGGUUUAGCUGAAUGCAUAUUGGUCUUAGUGAGGAGAUCAACCGUGUAUUUUGACUGUGUAAGAUGAAGACCAGUUGUUGUGCAAAGAGCUUCAAAUCCAAGAAAGUCUUUCACAAGACCCAGGUCUUUUAGCGCAAACCUAUUAUGAAGAUCCUAAAUAAGAGUUUGAAUAAGUGAAGCAUUGUUGCCUGUAAUAAGUAGAUCAUCAAUAUAGACUAGCAACAAAAGGAAAUUGCCAUUAUGCUUGUAGAUGAACAGGGAUGUAUCUGAUGUGGAAGAGAUGAAACCCCGGGUAUGGAGAGCUUCCCUGAGCUUGUGGAACCAAGUACAUGGUGCCUGUUUAAGACCAUAUAACGCUUGCUGUAGCUUACAAACAUGUUGGGGAUGAGAUGUGCUAACAAAUCCAACUGGUUUGGAAAGAUAAACAGUUUCUACAAUUUCUCCAUUGAGGAAGGCAUUGUUGAAAUCAAUUUGUCGAAUCUCCCAAUUAUAUGUUACAGCUAAUGUAAAUACAACUCGAAUAGUAGAGGCUUUGAUCACUAGACUGAAAGUAUCAGUAAAUUCCACACCUGCAUAUUGCUGAAAUCUUUUGGCUACUAGUCUGGCCUUGUAGCGUUGGAUGGUACCAUCAGAAUUAUAUUUGACACGAAAAAUCCAUUUGCUAUCUAUGACAUUCAUGGAUGGAUGAAAGGGAACGAAAGUCUAAGUAUUGUUCCGAACUAAGGCUUGAUAUUCUUCAACCAUAGCUGUGUGCCAGUUGGGAUUUUUCAAUGCUUGACUAACAGUGGUAGGAAGUUUGUCUGAGGGUGAAAUGGAAGUAGAUAGGUAUGUAAUAUGGUCUGGGAGUAGUUUGGGUUUAAAUGUACCCAUCUUUGAAUGAGUAGUCAUGGGAUGAAGGGAAUGAGCUGAAAUAGGAGGUGAGGGUAUAGAAGGGAACAUUGGUCUUGAUGCAGCUAGACACAUGGAAGGAUGAGAAGAGGUCUGUGACAUGGUUUGUAAAAGGGGUAUAGUGAAAGAUGUGGAGGAAGUGUGUGGAGUAGGACUGGAAUCAUUCAUAGGUAGAGAUGAAUAGGGAAAUGUUUUUUUCAUAAAAAAUAACACUUCUUGAAAUGUAAACUUUCCCGGAAGGAUGCAAACAUAGGUAUCCUUUAUGGGAGAGACUAUAUCUAAUAAAUGUGCAUUGAGUUGACUGAUAUUCUAGUUUAUGGUUUUUGUAAGGUCGGAGAUACGAAUAACAAGCACAACCAAAAGUCUUCAAAAAAAAAAUUAGGUGAGGAUUUAAACAAGAGUUCAUAGGGAGUUUUACAAUGGAGAACCGGAGUUGAUAGUCUAUUGAGAAGGUAAGUUGCUGUAGAGAAGGCAUGCCACCAGAAAGUAAAUGGCAAUUGAGACUUAGCCAACAAAGUCAAUCCAAUUUCUACAAUGCUUCUAUGUUUUAGUUCCACCUUCCCAUUCUGUUGAUGAACAUGAGGACAAGAAUGACGGAAGAGGAUGCCUUUCUUCUGCAGAAGAGAUUGAAGGGGAAGAACUCUCCACCCUAGUCUGUUUGCAAACACUUAAGUUUGGUGGGAAAUUAUCGAUCUACUAAUGCUAUGAACUGCAAGACAAUUGAUGUUGCUUGGGACUUUUGUUGCACGGGAUAAAUCCAAGUAUAGUUUGUAAAAACAUCUACAAAUGCAAUGUAAUAUUUGUACCCAUCACAUGAAGUUGUAUGUGCAGGACCCCACACAUCUGAAAAAACUAGUUCAAAUGGAACUUGUGUUUUAUUAAUAGUGGUAGGGAGUGGAAGUUGUUUUGCCUUGCCUAAAGGACAAGCAGUACAAAAACUGAGUUCAUUUUGGAGCUUGGACUUAAUAUCUAAUCUGUCAAGUACUAGAGACACAAUUUUGUUGCAUGGAUGACCCAGUCUUUGAUGCCACAAGUGUCCAGCACCCAUGUUGCUGUCUUCUAUACAUCUUGUAGAGUCAAUUUUAUUUACUUGCCGGCUAUAUCCAACAGAUGGAGCAGUUGGUUGUUUGUUGAUAGUAGAUGGAGUAGUAGCUAGAUGAGGUAGGAAAACAUUUGUAUCUUCAAAGAAACCUGCAAACUGCCGGUUAGAUGAGACCUUGGAGAUAUCCAGUUGAUAUAGGCCUUCUUUAAGGUUGCCUUGGAGUAAUAUCUCUCUGGACUUCUUGUCCUUAACAAAACAGCCAUGAGAGUCAAACUCAAGGAUAACAUCAUUAUCUUGAGUGAAUUUAGCUACACUGAUAAGAUUUUUAGUGAUCUGAGGUACAUGAAGUACAUUGGUAAGAUGCAAUGACUUGGAAGAUUUACGUGAAGGAAAUGAAGUAUGACCAACACUAGAUAUAUCUAGUGUUUGUCCAUUGCCCACCACAACAUUACCUGUGCUAGAGUAGUGAUCAGAGACAUCAAGAGUAUUGGAAUCAGUGGUCAUGUGGUGAGUAGCACCACUGUCAACAAACCAUGAAGUGUUUGAAUCAAGAUUCGGAGCAACAAUAUAUGCAUGAGGACAAGUGUUUGUUGAAUCAUGUUGUUGGUGUGAAUUAUGAAUUGGACGUGAUGGUACCAGUGGCCCUGUGGAAUAAUAUUGAGGCUGACUUUGAGGCUGCAUUUGUGGUUGCAGUGGAGGUGGCCGAAGUUGAGGUUGUUACGGUUGAUGAAGAGAUGAAAACUGUUGAUUUUGUGCACAUGGUGGAGAUUGGAAGUACACAUCAAAACGGUGGAAGCACUUCAUAGCAGUGUGUCCCAUUUUUCCACACAAUUCUUGAAGUUUGUGGAUUACAUACAUUUAUAGGACGAAAAUUUCUGCUGCUUGAGCCUCUGAACCGUCCAUCAUUAUUGUUAGACUUUUGAACACCUCCAACUAUAAUAUGUGCUAUUGGUGGAACGUCAAUAACAGAGACUGUUGAAAGUUGCUCAAGACGAAUCUCAUGACUUUGUAGCAGAUAAUGGACUUCUUGUAGAAAGAUUGUCUCAGAUCUAGAUAUAAUAUUCACAACAAUUGUUUCAAAUUCUGGUCCUAAUCCACCUAAAAUGUAAAGAAUUAAAUCUUCAUUUGGUACAGGUUUUCUAGAGGCAAAGAGCAUAUCUGCUAUGUUUCUCAUUUUUAGCACAUAACUAUUUAUGCUUAGAGCACCUUUCUUUAAUGAUUGUAGCAUGAAACGUAGUUGAAGAGUUCUUGCCUUUGAAUCCGAGACAAAAAGUUUUUCAAGAACACUCCAUACUUCGGCUGUUGUUUGACAAUUAACCACAUGACCAUACAUGGCUUCAGAUAUGGAAGCAAUAAUCCAACUCAACAAGAAUUGAUCUAAAAUCACCCACUGAUCAUAUUCUGGAUUGGAUGCAGGUUGAGAUGAAUUAACUAAUGUUGAUUGAGAGAAUCUUGGAGGUUUUGGUAGCUUACCAAUGAGAAUUUGAUGCAGUCAAUGUGCUCUAGCUGCUGGUAAUACCUGAGAUCACCAAAUUGUGUAAUUGUUCCUCUCUAGCUUCACCGAGAUCGGAUGAAGCGUAGAAGAAAUUUGUCCCAUAAGAAUUAAGGAAACUUCCAACGAGUUUCUUACCAGAGAUUGGAGUCUUUGUGAGGACAUCUCUAGUGCAGAGAAAUCGAUGUGAUCAAUCACCAUUUUGGACGUGUGUCAAUGGAGCUCUGAUACCAUGUCUCGUUGAAGAAAAAUAAAGAAAACAGGACUAUAGCAGAAAACAGAGUAUAAAGAAGAGAAAAACAUAGUAUUAGAAAUUCUGGAACUGAAAAACGUGUUCUUGCAUUCCACACUCCCAUCUGAUUGAUUUACAUAUGUUUUUAUAUCAAAACUUCUAGAAUUUAACUCUGGUUACCAAUUAACUGUAGUUACUAACUGACCAUAGUUAUAGUUACACGGGUUAGCUAACUUCCUAACUGAAUUUGGUCAGCUUAACACAUGGUAUCAAAGCACUAGGAGUUUCUAAGUAUUUUCUUUGCUUCCAAACACAAAAAUGGCUUCUCAUUCCUCUUUAUCCUCUACAUUUAAGACAUCACCAAUCGUAGCUGCUCUAAUAUAUAUCAACUCAAACUUCUAUUUAUAGUUCAUUACAAGUACUGAAUCAUGCUUUGCCUAUAAAAUUAGACACAUAGAAUUAUAUUCUUUGACAUUCAUAAAUGAAAAAUGUGAUUUACACUAAUGAAUUUGAAGAAUUUGUGAAAUGAUUGAAGUGAUGCAUGUAGGACUUAAGCAUAGGUGUGGAGGGGCACUUGGCAAAAUGAUAAUGGACCAUGUGUUGUCUGGGCUGGCCAAGGGGCAACCAUAGCAUAAGCCAUUAAAGGCCACUCCAACAACAAACCAAGUAUUCAAAUCUCCCAAAUAAGAAUAGCUUCCUUUUUUGGCCUAACUUGAUAGUUGGGGAGGGAUCUCGAAACCCCCUCGGGCAUUCUUUGUUUCGCAAAUGUUCUUCGAUCCAUCGAGGAGAGGGUGUUCGUUGCUCAACUAAAGCCAAAAACAUCAACUUGCAACAGUACUGCUCAUUUUUUGUGCUCUAACAAUGGCGUCAUAGGGACUUUCGCCUUCAGAGCUGCACUCAGGCGGAGAAGAUGUCUCCGGAUAGGUUUCAAGAGGCUCGCCUGCAUCUUGUCCGAAGGCCGAGAGCUCCACAGGGUUGGCACCCAGAUUGGCGCCAUCAAAUGCAGAAUCUCGAGCCUCACUGCAAGUUUACAAAACUAUAACAUAAGGGCCAUUGGAGGAGGAGAACGCUCCGGUUCCAGAAAUGAGAGGCUGCGACUGCUUAGGCGGAGUUACUCCCACGUUGUUGAUGAAGACACAGUUGGGGUGAAGGGGAGAGUGAAGAUUCUGGUGCAGCAGCUGGUGAAACCAGACAAGAAAUGCUCGGUUGGUUCCAUAUGGGGUAUGGGUGGCUUGGGCAAAACCACUCUGGCAAAGAAGGUUCAUCAUCAUGGAGACGUCAGGCGUCAUUUUGACUGUUUUGCUUGGAUCUGCAUAUCUCAGCAAUUCAACACCAGAAGUGUUGUGCAAGGAAUUUUGAUGAAGUUGGCAACUGGUUCUGAGAAGGAGAGAGAGACUUUUGAGAAGAUGAGUGACUGAAAAAAGUUUAUGAAACUGCAAGAGGAAAAGAGAUGUUUGGUGACUCUUGAUGAUUUGUGGGAAAUUGACGAUUGGGAGAGCCUCAGACCUGCCUUUCCGCUCCAUGAGAGGGGCAGAGGCAGCAAACUAGUUCUCACCACUCGGAACCAAGCAGUGGCCUUACAUGUUGACCCACAUGGCUUUAUUUACGAUCCAAAGUAUCUAACUGAGGAGGACAGCUGGGAACUUCUUCAGAGUAAAGCUUACCCCAGGCAUGAUGACAAUAAUGGUAGAGGUAAUUUUCAUCACCUCCCAGCAUUUUCUAUCUAGAAGUCUUAGCAAGUUUAGAUGUUUUAGGAUACCUUUCUUCUUAAUUUGCUUGGAUUUCAAUUCAAAAAUUAAUAAAUUCAGACCUAUUCAAACAUCAUAUGAUAAGUCGUUGAAUUACACACUCUAAUUAAGUUAAUGGUUGAAAGUUUAAGUUCAUAAAAUCAUUAAGGUUUAGUGUUUCUUAUUAUGAGUUAAUUUAUGAAAUUUACCAAAUAAUAUAAGAAUUAUAUAUGAAGUCAAAUAAAUUCCAAAGUAAUCCUCAAACCCCAAUGCCCUAUUUCCAACAACAUUCAAUCCUUGGCUUUGGGCAAAGUACGUAAGCACCAAAAUGGGAGAAAUAGAUGUACUGCAAUUGUCGACAUGUCAGCAUCUUUUUAAACUAUGCCUAUCAUGAGAAAUAAGCAACUUGCCUGAGCAACACCACUUCCCCCCAAAUCUCUCCAAAUUAACCUUGAUUUCUUCUGGACUAGAACAAGAUCCCAUGCCAAUUCUAGAGAAGCUUCUUAACUUGACAAUCCUACACUUAUUUUAUGAUGUAUACCUUGGGAAGGAAAUGAUUUUCUCUACAAAUGGGUUCCCUCGAAUCAAACGUCUAGUUCUUUCUCGUAUCUCCAACUUCAAAAGGUAAGGUUUGUUGUUAUCCAUGCAAUGAUUAAUAACGAAAAAAAAAGAAAACGAGAAAGAAGAACAUGUAGAUUUAACGUGGUUCGGCUAAUUGCCUAUGUCUACAGAAAUAGGGAAAAGAGUUUUCACUAUGUUAAAAUCAGGAUUAUAUAAAAGGGUAUUUAUAUUAACCCUUUGGGUAAUAAAAUUCCAAAAAUACCCCUAAACCAUAGCCCACAACCUAUCGUUUGCCCACAACAAUAGAAAUACAAGCCUAAAUGACAAAUGUUGUCGCUCCGCUCUGCUCCGCUUCACUCCGGCAUUUGCCCCUUUUUCUUCAUAUGUCUUUUGUUCAAAUAUGAGCCACAUACUACAACAAAGUUGGAUAAAGGUGCAAUGCCUAGUCUCAAGAGUUUAUGGAUUGAAGGCUGCAAUUCAUUGAAAGUGGUUCCUAAAGGACUGAUGUACGUCACCACGCUUCAAGUAUUGGAGAUUCGCUACAUGUCUGAAGAAUUGGUAGAGAGGCUUCAAGUGCUAAAUGGAAAAGAAGGGGAGGAUUUCUACAAAGUUCAGCAUGUGCCUUCCAUCUUAUUCCAUAAUGUAUUGGGUAAUUCAUCUGUACUUUUUCCUUUUUCCUUCUACACACACAAACACAUCAUCAAAAAAAUUGGCAAGCACUCUAUUUUUAUACAUACAACCGAUCGAUUACAAAUUUUCAUUCUGCCUAAACGUUCUUCCAUGAAGCAUGUUCUCAUAAAAAAUUGAACAGUUUAUGGAAUUGUUGAAAUAUCAGAGCUUCUUUUCAUUUCACCAUUCAGUGAAAUUUAUGUUAUGUUAUGUUAUUGACAGAUGAUCGGAGAAGUAUGGGCAACCACUGAGGAAGAACUUGUUCAUACAUUCUAUCCAAGGGGCGUAGUAGAUGGAAAGCAAUGCUAAUGGGAGUUAUUUGCUUGUAAGCAAGUAGCACAAUAGGAGCAUGGGUACGUAUAGUCCUCCACCUUUCACUAGCUCACCUCAUAUAUAUAUCCUAGUUGCUACCAUUUGAACUACCACCAUUGGACAAUGGAGAUCUUACUAUUGAAUUUCCAUUUAGAAGAUAUAUAAGUUAUAUAUAUAUUAAUUCAUUUGUCAAUUUCAAGUCCUUUUUUUUGUAUUAAGUUUUUCUAAUCCAAACUCAAGGAAGAAAUCACAAGAUGUAUGACAUGCAUGGUUUUCUCUAUUCUCUCAGCGGGCGUAUUUAAGAUUAGGGUCUUAAAAUACCAAUUUGGAUAAGAUAUUAAGUCCAAAUUCUAGUUUUGAUAUUUAGGAUCAUUUUGAUUUCAAAAUUCAAACUCCUACCUACUUCAAUAUCCCCCACAAUUCAGAUUUCACAAUCGGCCCACUGGGAGAAGCAAAUAUGCAAGGUGGGUGCUGCUGUGCUGAUGACCUUGUUGAAGUAAGGUUGGUGCCAAUUUCAGACCCCACUUUUGCCUACCUCUUCUUUCUUCUUUAUUUGUUUGAUUCCAAUGUGUUGCCUCCAAUUCUACAUUUAAGUUGAUUUGUCUGAUCCUAUUUGAGAGAUCAGUAGUAGUGUUUAAAAUUCAAGAGGAAAUUAAAGAAAUGUCUGAUGAUUCUUGAUGCCGAGCAGCUUUUAUUGUGGAUCCACCACAUCCCCUUUUUUUGUUUUUCUUUUUUUCACCAACUAGGGUUUUUAACGGAGGAGAGUUUGUUUUUUCAUAGAAAAGCAUUCCCCGUUACCUUAAAUCAUUGAAAUAUUGCGUCUAAUUAACCAUAAUUUUAUAUUUAGAUUGUGUUUGAUAGCAAUUUUAGGAAACGUUUUUAGUUUUUUUAAAUUUGAAGGAUUAAAAUUUUUAAGUAGUAAAAAUGUUAAAAACGUUUCCUAAAAUCACUGUUAAAUGGGCUAUUAAUCACGAGAGGGACCUAAAGGACGAAUGAGAGAAACAACAUCCAAUGAAGAAAAACUUAAAAUAAAAUCACAAGUAAUGUUGAGAAAACAAAAGCUCCAAUAUCAUUUGUUUCCAAGCCCAUUCCAUGGAGACAAGGCCCAGUCCAUCUCAAUCCAUUGAGCCCACAUUAAAAUCACAUGCCGGGCCCUCCUUACUUUUUCUGCCAUUUUAUAUUUUUUUGAAAAUGAAAGAGAAAAAACAACAAUAAGCCUUGAAUAUUUUCAUUGUUUUAUUUUUUAGAUUUUGACUCAAAUAUUUUACAUACAGCCCAAUAAUUAUCCGUCGACAUGAAACGGAGAACCUAUGCAAAUGAAUGAGUCAACUCAUAUUUAGUGGUGUCGUGCAUGUAAAAAAGAAAAAGAAAAACGUAAAACAUAUAAUAAAAAUCAUUUUCACUUUUCAUACGCAUAAUUUCAGAAAAAAGUUUGAUGUCAUAUCAUCUCUAAUAAUUAGACCCGACCCGAAUUGAUUCGAUUGAUAAUUAAUCCAAACUCAAUUUAAAGUAAAAAAAAUAAUCAAUCCAAUCCGAUUCUAAUUCAAAUCACUCAACUCAAUUUCAUUUUUUUAAGCUCGAAUUAAGUUCAAAUUGAUCGAUUUAUACUCGAGUUGGUUGGAUUGAUCGGGUUAUAUAAUUUAAAAUUUAUUCAUAAUUAAAAAAAAACAUUUUUCUACAUCUUUAUAUAAGAAACUAAAUAAUAAAUAGAAUAAAAUUUUAAGAUAACAAUAAAAAAUAAAAAUAAAUUUAUAUAUCCUUUUAAAAUAAUAAAAAAAAUAUAUGAUAUAAUAUAAUUUAAUAUUUUUUAAAAAUAAAUAUUAUUAUAUAAGAUAAUAUACAUUAUAAAUAUUAUAAAAAUAUAAAAUUGUGUUCAAGUAGUUUUAGAAAAUAAAUAUUUUAAAAAAAAUUAUUAUAAAAAAAAACACAAUUUUAGUAAACAAUUGCAAAACAUUUGACAAAAAUAACUUAAAACAUUUCAAAUUUGUUUUCAGAAUAAAUCCUUGAAAAUUAUAUAUAUAUAUAUAUAUAUAUAUAUAUAUAUAUAUAUAUUUUGUUAAAAUUUAUCAAUCUGAUUUCUAAGUUAGAAAAUUAUUGUCCAUUUUAAAGAACCAAAAAACAACAAUUCCAAACAGACCCUAGUCCAUUUUUCUUUCAAAUACUUCCGUUUCUCGGUUGGCCAAGUUGUAUUCCUAAAUAGAAAGAAGGCGACUUGUCUGGUUUUCCUAUGAAAGAUGCCAUGUUCAUUGUCCUAAGCCCUAAGAAACAAAAAUGUACAUAAAGAGAUGUGAACUGGAAGGUGUUAGAAGGUGGAGACCAUCAAACAUGUGACUCAUGCCCAAGACCGUUGAUCCCAUGGACAUCCCUCACACACCCAUUUUUACAUAAUAUUCAAAUUUAGGGCCCUCUUUUGAUUUCUUGUAUUUAAAGUAUUUUUAAUAUGUAAUUUUUUUAUUUUUUUAUUAAUAGUAUUUCAAUAAAAAAAAAUUAAUAGAAUUACUUAAUUUUCAAAAAUGAAUUAAAAUAUAUUUUUAUAAUUUGGUGAUAUAUUAUAUAAAAAAUUGUUUUAAAAAAUUUCUAAUAUAGUUUCGUUGUUACUUUCUGAAAAUAAUUUUUAGAAACAAAAUAAAAUAGAUAAUAAUUGUUAGAGAAUGCGUUAAAAUUAUUUAAAAUAUGGACCAUGUUUUCUAAAACUUGUUUUUAAAAGCUAUUUUUAAGUUAAAGAAUAAAAAAUAAAUUUUAAAAAUAAAUUUCAGAAAACAAACGAAGCCUUAUUUUUCAAAUUUUUAAAAAUUUGUAUCUAAUUUUUGCUUUUUAAUUAGUAAGAACUUAGAAGCGUAUAAAUUUAGAAUUCCUAAUUCAGACGUUUUCUUUAAGGAAAAAAAAAAUGUGGUUGUAAAAGCAUCUGUUUGACCGUUUGAGAGAAGAUCUGAAUAUGAAUAAAUAUACGGUAGAGAGCCGCUCACAUGGGCAGAUAGUGACCAUGUGACGAACAUGUGGUGAUUGCUUCACCACACAAUCGAAUCGUCUGGACUUUGGAGUCAGGUCCCUAAAAAAUUUAAAAAUAAUUUUUAAAUUUUAUUACUUAUAUUUAGCUGACUUCACUAUUUUAUUUUAUUUUAUUGGCCUUAUAAGAAUCUUAUAUAAUCCUAAAAAAAAAAAAGGACUUAUUAUUAUUAUUAUUAUUAUUAUUAUUAUUAUUAGUGAUAUUUAAAAUAUUUUUUUAAAAAAUGAGAGUUGAAUAAAUAAAGAAAAUAAUAUAGUAUUGUUUGAAGUCAUGAUAUUUUUUUAAUUUUUGGUCUCCCACUAUAAAAGUAAUCUACAUUCCAAGCAUGAGUAUGAGCUUAAUAAAAUUCUUAUGGUGGGGGUUGUGUUUCAUGUGAUAAUGGAAUUGGAGACCAAUAAUUGUGAUGGUUUGGCUACCAAGAAAUUUGCUGCCUAAUUUGAAUUGUCUCCUUAUCAAAAUGUGGUUAGAUUCAGCUGCUUAUAGUGGGUAAUGAGUUAAGUUGACAAAAAUGCUACUAAAUUCAAAUAAGUUUCAUAUUCAAUCUCAAAUUGAAUGAUAGACAAUUUUUGGUAGGCUUAAAUAAAUAAAUCAAAAUUUUGAUUAGUUUUGAUAUGAGAAAUUGGUGUUUCCUAAAUAAUAGGUAUUAAUAUAAGGUUUAGUUAAUCUCCAUUUUGAUGAUCACAAAAAUUAAAUUUAAAAUUAAUAUUUUAUCUUAAGUGUAUUUAGGUAAGAAAAAUUCUAAAAUGACAAUCAUAAGAUUCGUAACUAUAAAAUAAGUCAAAGGGAAUUUAAGAAGAAGAUGAAAACCUCAAAGAUAAUUUCUUUCAAGACCUCUCCAUAGUACUUUUUUGUAAAAUUGUCGAUGCACUAGGAUCAUAUAUUUUAUUUUUAUUCGUGCAUCUAAAAUCAUUCAAUAGUUAAAUUGUUUUAUAAUUUUAUGGUUUUAUGUUUUCAAAUAAUAUAUUGUGUUAAAUGCUUUCUAAACUUAUUUAAAAGAUUUUAAGAAGUUGAAUACACAUUACAAAAAGUUCAAAACCUUAAAUCAAAGUCUGUUAUGCAUUGUAGUACAACUGAUUAAAGCAAGAAGGAACCAGAUGAGCUUGAUCAAUCAAUGGAUGUUUUUACACACUCUCUCUCUUCUAGUAGUUUAGUGUUGUCGAUUGAGGCUUUGUCUUUCUCAAUUAAGGUCUAGUUAAAGACCUAGACCCCAACACCCACCUGCUAGAAGUAUUAAUUGCUAAUGGCUAAUGAAUUGUUGACCCCCCAACACCCUAACGGUUAGUUUAGGUUUCCCUCUCCUAUAAAAAGGUUUCAAUCUCCGUUGUUUCUAAGUCUAAUAUCCAAAAUCUUUUAUGAAUAUUAUUUAAGUUUUAAGAGAAUAUUUCUUAGUACAUUUUAUUUCAAAACUUACAUAUCAUUAGUAUAUCAUUCAAUCAUAAUCUAUUUCGUAUUAUUUAAGCUUAAAUUUGUACUAUAAUUUUGUGAGAUCAAAUUUCUAUAUCUUUCUUAUAAGGGGAAAUCAAGUAUAGGGUAUUGCUUGAGGUAAAAUCUAAGUGUGAGAACUUAGUGUUUACUAAGCGUGAGGGUAUCACUUGUGUUUUCAAUAAUGAGAUAUUUCUUGAAGUAUCUGUAAGUUUUCACUAGAGUUAGUUAAUCCAAUUGUAAAGUUUGAAGAUUUACGGGAAACCUUAAAUUAGUAGAAUUUUAAACUUGAGAUUGAAGUUAGAGAAGAUUGGACAUAGACAAGGAUUAGAUCGAACCACUAUAAAUUUUGUGUUUGGUUUUUUGUCUUCCUUAGUCUCUUUAAUUUAUAUGCAAUUGCUUUUCAUUGUGUUUAUUGCAUAUUUGCAUAUAAUUAUUUUUUGCAUCUUACUCAAAUAUGUUUUUAUCCAUUUUUCUCUUCUUUCUCAAUAAAAUUUAUAUAUAAAAUUUUCUGAGUUGUUACCCAAAAACAAAAACAACAUAAAAAUAAUUUAAUUUGAAUAAAAAAUAAUUUAAAAUAAAUCAACAAAAUUUCAAAACUAAAACCAAAAUUAUACUUUAUGUAACCACAAUUUAAUUUAUCCAAUCCUUAGAGAAAUUAAAUUUCAUAAUUUUUUUAUAUAGAUUCUUCAUUAAAAAAUAAAAAUAAAUAACAAAAAAAAGAUUAUAAAUAAAUUUUCUAUAAAUGUUCAAAAUUCAAUUUUUAUUAGACAACUAAACCAACAAUCAUCAAUUCUAAUAAAUUUUUUAAUUAAAAUUCCAAAAUAUAAUUCGUAAUCAUCUAAAUAUCUACUAGAAUCAAUAAAUGUAAUUAAUUUUAAAAAUAACAAGUUAUUAUUUGAUACUAUUUUCUAAACUAAAAAUUUUAAAAAUUAAUAAAAAGCAUAUUUCAAAUAAAAUGUUUAAAAUAAAACUUAAAUAAAAAAUGAAAUAAUACUAACAUAGUUUUGUUUAGAUAUACUUUUUAUUUUUAUUUUUAAAAAUAAAAAAAGUAAUAAAUUCUAUAUAAAAAUAAAAUAAAAUUCUUCUCCAAAAAAAAUGUAGAUUCUUCUAAUAUAUUUAAAAAUAAUUUUCAAAAUUUUAAAAUUUGAAAUAGUAAUUUAUUUAUACUUCAAUUUUUUAAAUAGUUUUUAAAAUCAUUAUUUUUUCAAUGUAAGUCAAUAAAAAUUCUUAUAUUUUAUACAAAUCAUAUUACUAUUUUCUAAUUUUAAAACAGAAAAUAUUUCAAAUUCUUUAUGUUUAUACAAAAGAGAAAAGAUAAUAAAUCUUAGAACACAUAUAAUAAAAAUUUAUUAAAUUUAAAUUUAAUUUUUUCUCAAAAAAUUUGAAUGAAAAAUGUGAAAAAAAAAACUAAAAGAGAAAAGAAAAAGGAAAAAAUAAAAUCGAUUUAAAGUCAUUAAAUCACAUUUAUAUACUAUUUUAACAUUAUUAUAAGUUUUUAUCUAAAUUUAAUUGUAUUUAAUUUUUUUUUUAUAUUUUCAUAUAGAAUAAAAUAUGAGAAAAUAAAAUAUUUAUUUUUUUAAAAUUUUCUUUUAUAUUUUCAAAAUUUUAAUUUCUUUUAUUUUCAAAUUUUUUAUAAAGUCAAAAUUUUAAUUUCGUUAGGCGAAUAAUAACGAAAAAACUGACCUGAUCUCUUUAAAAUAUUUAUGGAAGAACCCAGCUUGUUUUGGACCGUGGAUUUCGUGUCGAGACAAAGCAAAAAAAAAAAUGGUUGAAAAAUAAAAAAAAAAUUGGGUUGAAUGGCAGGGGGUGACAAACGGCUACCACAUGUUCUUGCGAAGUGUCGGAUGUGGGUAGAGAGAGAGAGAGAGAGAGAGAGGCAUAUUCCUAGCUGCCACUGGAGGAAUCAAGAGGUGGGUGAUUUCUGUCCUGAAUCUUAGGAAACCUCUGAUAAGAAGGUGAAAUUAUCGAACAAACUCAGAACCAUUGCUAGCCACUAGCCAUUGGCCAACCCCAAAAAGGGACUUGGCCUUUUGAGAAGUCUCCCGAGUGGUGUAGAGCAUAAGAAGAUUGGAGUAGAAGGAUAAGCCCGGUGAGUCGUGGACAUGUCUGGCGUUCUGCUUUGGGUGGUUUGUCCCAAGGAGAAUGCCUCAUUCUCCUCUCUGUUCAGCUUCAUACCCAGAAAUGGCAUGCAGAGGAGAUUCAAACCAGGUUCUAGACUCAAAUUCUCAACUGGGUUUUCGGCUGUUAGAAAUGCAGUUGCAAACCCAUCAAUAUCUUCAGAGGAGAGGGUCUAUGAAGUGGUGCUUAGGCAAGCAGCUCUGGUGAGGGAGCAGAAGAGAGAUAGAGCUCUGGAUUUGAAAAAGCCUGUUGAAACUGAUGGUAUGGUGAACUGGGAUCUGUUGAAUGGGGCUUAUGAUAGGUGCGGUGAGGUCUGUGCUGAGUACGCCAAGACCUUCUACUUGGGUACUUUCUCAUUUUUGCCUCUGCUCUCUCCAGCCAUAAUACCCAUAUCAGUCACUGUUCUUGUGUACAUGUUUUCACACUGAAUAAUUUCUUUUUUCAGAUUGAGAGUCUGCAUUUAGGAUUGAUAUUUUUUGUCUCCAGAUCUGCAUAUUCUUUUUAUAUUGAAUAUUGGCCAUGUUCAUUGAAGAUUCUGUGUCUUUUUUUUUAAUGGAACUUUUUAUUGGUUGCUCUCCUCAGGAACCCUACUUAUGACUCCAGAGCGGCGGAGAGCUGUAUGGGCAAUUUAUGGUAAGCAAAGUUAUGAGUCCAAUGUUCUAGACUCAAUUAGAGUUAGCCAUGUUUGUGGCUUUCACAUAAUUUGAAAUAGGAACUAUUGUAUUCAUUUGGACAUCCCUUGGAGAUAUGUUGUACACAUUGUGUGUUUCAUAAUUUCAUUUGCAUCUGGGCGAGUUUACUGUUUCCCUUUUUCUUUCUUCUUUUCCAAACAAAUUUGUGUUAAGAUGAGGGGAUUCAAUUAUUUCCAUUCGGAAGAUCGAUAAUUUCUACUUCUGUUUGAUUAAGUUUAUGUGCUGAUAUUGAACCAAUUUGAGUGUCACAAAUCCAUUUGAAAACACAAUGAACUGAUUCAAUUUUCAUAUAGCAUAUGAAGAGGGAAAGAGAGGUUUUAGUAUGUGAAGAUGUUUCCAUUAUCACUAUAAAUUUGAUUUGAUUUCAAAUUCUCCCUUAAUUUUAUAUAGCAAGAUACUCUAGGAAAUAAGAGCUGCAGCCUUUACUGGAAUAGUCUCCAAAAUCAAAAGCCCCUUGUGAUUUUGGCUAUUGAUAUAGAAUAUUCCAGGUAGUUGAGGUUUAGCUAUGUUUCUCAUCUUCUGUCUUCCACAUAUUACAGAGCCUUGAGAUUGCCAGACAAAUUUUCUUGGCAGUUGAAUCAUGCAUUUUCUUCUGCAGUGUGGUGCAGAAGGACCGACGAGCUUGUGGAUGGACCUAAUGCUUCACACAUGUCACCCAAGGCCCUUGACAGAUGGGAACAAAGGUUAAUUGACCUAUUCGAAGGACACCCUUAUGAUAUGUAUGAUGCUGCUCUAUCGGAUACUGUUGCAAAGUACCCUGUUGAUGUACAGGUACAUUUAUAUGGGCUCAAAACUGAUUCACCCAUCUUGCAUUUUAGCUGCUAAUCAACCUAUGAACACGCACACAUAUGAACAUUUGAUGAGUAGGUAGUACAUUGUGACAGAGCACAUAUUAUGGGCCUUUCUGUAUCAUGAAUAUAUAAACACUUCCACAUGUUAAUAAUUUUCUUUUUAUGCAGCCCUUCAAAGACAUGAUAGAAGGAAUGAGAUUGGACCUGAGAAAAUCAAGAUACAACAGCUUUGAUGAGCUCUAUCUGUACUGCUAUUAUGUUGCUGGAACAGUUGGGCUAAUGAGUGUUCCAGUAAUGGGGAUUUCACCAGAUUCAAAGGCCUCAACAGAGAGUGUUUACAAUGCUGCAUUAGCCCUUGGGAUAGCCAAUCAGCUCACUAACAUACUCAGAGAUGUCGGGGAGGAGUAAGUUUCUUAUGAUGCAGAAAUCUCCACUGAACUAGGAAGAAAAAUUCAAUUCUUUGUCAUGUUUUCUUUGCUCCAAGAUAAUCAUUCGUAAUUGGGGAAAAGUAGUAAGACCUCUAGAAAUGAAUUGAACGUAGAAUUGAAUCACACUCUUUAGUUUGGAAUCUCUACUACAAGCAUUUUCUUUGUCUCAUGAGUUUUUGAGGAUGAGUAAUAAUUGGGAACCAUUACAAUGGUAGAUUUUGACUUCAAACCUGAUAAGAAAACCAACAUGGAUGAUUGAUUUUCUGUCCUUUGUGUUCUAAAAGCCUGAAUUCUUCGGUUUGGACUCAUGUCUUUUGUUUAAUUAUAUCAGUGCUAGGAGGGGAAGAAUAUAUCUCCCACAGGAUGAGCUUGAACGAGCAGGCCUGUCAGAUGAUGACAUACUCCGUGGGAAAGUGACUGACAAGUGGAGGAGCUUCAUGAAAGGACAAAUAAAGCGAGCUAGGAUGUUCUUCGAUGAGGCUGAGAAGGGUGUUCGGGAGCUAAAUUCAGCUAGUAGAUGGCCAGUAUGGGCAUCCUUGAUGCUAUAUCGACAAAUUUUAGAUGCUAUUGAAGCCAAUGACUACAACAAUUUCACCAAGAGAGCAUAUGUGGGAAAAUUGAAGAAAUUGGUAUCACUGCCUAUAGCCUACGGCAGCGCACUUAUGGGCCCUUCCAAGCUGACCCAGUUGGUGAGAAGAUGAUUUUCAUAUGUUCUUAUGUUUCUGGCCUUUGAACUGCCUUGAACAAGUCCAAAAUCUGUAAAUUUCCCAGACAUUUUACAUAAAAGAAAAUAGGAAUUGAUAGGGUUAAAUUAUCAGGUUGGAAUCUGUAUUCGUUCAGUCAAUUUUAUUGAAAAAUGAAAAUUUUCUUCAAUUCAGAUUCUGUGCUUUGAUACUUGAGAUCAACUUGUUUGAGGAAGUCCCAACUGAAACAUGAACUUCUGUUAGGAAAUGACUUCCCUUGAAACAAAUGGAGUCCAAUCCUGAGGAAGUGGUAGGCUAGGGGUACUGGGGGAGGUUUUAGAGGCAUUCACAAAAGAUACGAGUAUGAGACUUGGAGGAGAGACUUUGGUGGUGUAGAGAAUUUGUUUUAGGGUAUAAAUUUGCUGAAGCCAAGCACAAAAGAUAUGAUUGCUGGGGUUUAGGCCCAAGGCUAAGCCUUAACAAACGGGCAAGACUGACCCCCGGCUUGCCAUAUGAGGAGCUGGGCGCAGAUCUGGUUUAAAUACUGGCCCAUGGGCUGUCCUAGUGGGUGGAGAAAUUUCCUUGGUGGUAUCCGCCGAAGAAGCAUGUAGCACGUCUGGUGUCUAGUUGUUUAGCACAAAUGCCAGGGUGUGUGAUAGAGACGCACGGUUUUGAUUAUUCCUGCCAUUGGUUGAAUGUCAUGGGAUUACCUGGCGCUGGUUGCCCCAUGGAGAGUUGGAAGAGCUCAGCCAUGAAAGGUCCUCAAUAAAUGAGCCUUUGACGGUAGCAGCUGGAUAACUUUGUUUGACAUUUUGCUUCCAUGGCAAAUGCUGCAAGCAUUAGCUUCUUUUUCUGAAGUUGUGUUGUUGGAUUAAGCACGAAACUAAGUGAAGAUCCAUGCACUAGUGGGAUUUGGAAUCCUGCUUUAUCUUAUUGUCAUCUUCCUCUUCACUUUGUCUUAUUGGUUGUGUUGCUUGCCCAAGUUAAAAUGGAGGUAUUGGGUUGUACAUAUACUUUUGGAUUGACUGCUUUGUGGCUCUAAACCCGUUAUUAUAAUUAAAGCUUAAGUUAUUAGAUAAUGAAUUAAUAAUAAAAAAUAAAACUAAUAGAACACCUUUUAAGGUUUUGCUUUACUAACACCCUGCUCACGAUACGAAUAAAUAGGAAUAUAAAAUGGAUAGCGUUACAAAUAAUGAAUUUUUUUUGGGUGCUUCAUGGCAUAAUAUGUCAUUCUCAAUUGUCUUAGCAUGAAUGAGGAGGUGUUUUGAGCCUAGCUUGCUAAGAAUGUAUUACAUGCCUAGCUAUUAGCAUCAAUCAUAUAAAUGGAAGUUGCCUUCUCCCAUUCAAUCUCAUGAGACAAGACAUUUUAUCUGUCGUAAAGAUGGUUCAUGCGGCCCAUUUGAGCUAAAUAUCACUUUCCUUUCCUUAAAGCAUGAUUCUGACCCAAUUGUUUUUCACCACCAACAAUCUCAUCAAAGACCCAAGACUUUCAUUAUCAUGAAAUAUUUAGAGGUAUUUUGGACUUACUUCGAUAAAUACAGGUAAAAUUACUCCUUAAAAUUAAAAAUUUUAAAAAAUAUUCUUAGGCAUCGUGUCUAUCCAAUUUGCAAUCCUAGCUAGUUAUUCAAAAUGUAUCGAAGUAUUUAAGCCAUUAGAUGAGGGUGAAAAUAUAUGAUAUUACAACGUAAAUAAAUGAGAUCAAAAUUCAAAAGAAUGAUAGAUACCGGGACCAAAUUGUAGAAAGUAAGAGAAAACAAGCUGAAUAUAAAACAAUUUGACCAAAUUGUAUACCAUGCUGGCACAUUGUAAUUGGUUCAAUUUUUAGUGGGUAUUGGUUUGACACGGGGAUCCAAUUUUAAAAGUUGUUUUAACAAAUUUAAAGAAUCGUAAAUAUAGAAACUUAUACAAAUAAAUAAAUAAAAUUAAUGAAUUUUUUAUUUAUUUAUGUAACAUAUUAUUAAAAAUAUUGUCCAAAAAAAAAAAAAAAGAUUGUAUCUAAAUACCAAGUAAUUCUCUCUAUAAUGUAAAAGCUAUUGACAAAAGCAAUUCAAGAUAAAGCCUGUCUUACCGUAAUGGAUACGUGUAUAUGUUUUUAAAAUUUGAUUUAUCCGAUGUGGUGUCAAGGCGACUGUGGAAAGAACACCAAGUUGUGCACUACUUCCCUCGCAAAUAGAGGCUGAAGAAUUUUCUUGCACUUAGGAUUUCAAAUCCCUUGAAAAAAACUUACCAAACCCCAUCACUUCAUGGAUGAAUCCAAAGUGGUAGCAAGUAGAAUGGAGAAAAAGAAAUUCAAGACUCCAUGCAUUAUCACAUGCAAACGACAAGCCUAAAAAAUUCUCAUAUAUCAGGAUUUGGUGGAUGACCCAUACCUUUUUAUACAUCCAAGGUCUCUCCAUGAAAACGACUCCCUACUUUUCCAUGGAAAAUAAACCCACUCCCUCUUUUUCCAUUUUGCCAUCAACAUCAGCCAGCCCGCCCUCCACAAUUCAAUAAUCAAACCCUUGUUUCAUCACUCCCUAGACCAAGUGCCCAAUUUGACUUAAUCUCAUCCCAAAUUCCUCUCAUAAGAGGGUAACAUUUUCUUGGCUUGAAAUGAUAUAUAUAGAAAAUCAAACUUGAUUGAUCCCCUUUAUGAAGGUGGAUUUUUAUCUUGGGUUCAAAUGUUGUAUAAAAAUUAUAAAAUUUAUAAAAUUUUUAAUUUUUUUUUAUGAAAAAUAUUAUCAUUAGCAUAUGAAACGUAUAAAUUCAUAGAAAUGAGGUGUUUUGGAAAAACUAUCCAAAUUUCUUUCUCAUUUGUUGAAAAUGUUACACUUGGAUUUUCCAAUUUCAAAAUAUUUAAAAAUGUUUGACUGAUUCUUUUGUUUAAAAUGGAGAGCAUAAUGCCCAACAAGUUAUUGAAAAAUUAAUUUGAUGGAUUUCUCAAAUGAAUGAAAAAUUUAAACUAAAUUUUGCUAUAUCAGAAUAGGUAAUAACAAAACUUCAAGAUUGGUGAUUAAUCAUCGGUGACUCAUAAGUUAAAUAUUUAUAAAUGUUAUCAUAUUUAUAAAAUAAGAAAAUAAAACAAUAAAUUAUUGAGAAAAUAUACUUAGAAUAUAAAUUAAGGUGAUAUUUAUUCUUUGAUUGAAUAAAAAAAGUCAAAAUAUUAAACUUUUUCUUUUCACCUAAAAGAAAUAUGUUAAUAUCAACCAAUAUAAUUAAAGUAAAUUUGUUAUUAAUAGGUUCAUAGUUUAGUUAUAUUAAUUGAUAUCAUAAAUAUGCUAUUUUUAACUGAAUGGGAAAAUAAAAAUUUAAACUUUUUUUAUUUAGUCAAAAAACAAACAUCUCCUAAGUCUAUGAUUUGAAAAUCAAAAUUUUCUAAGAAUGUUACAAAAUAUGGACUUGGAGAUAAUUGUUAAUUAUCUUUUAAUAUAGACAAUCUAUCUACUAGUUUCCUUUUUUAAAAACAAUUUGAAGUAUAGCCUUCCAUUUUGGAUAGCUAGGAGAUGUUAUGAAUUAGUCAAAGUGAUAAUGAAUGAUAAUUAUUCAAUAUUAUAAAGGGUAUUUAGAAAUGUGUUACAACUUCCAACCAUCUAGCUAUUGGUAUAUGUUACUAUAAGUGGCCAGAUUUUUCAAUUUUUUUAUUUUUCUUUUGGGUUAUGGUGUGAGAAGUUUUUUCUAUUAAGGUGCGCAAGCAUGACAUGCUGAUUGAUUAAUGGGGUUGGCUCAUUGAUGGCUUGACCCUAAAGGCUAAUUGAGUUUUAUAAACACCUUUUCAUAUCAAUUUGAGUUCCGUGAUACAUAUGACCAAUGACCAAAGAAUUAGCAAUUCUUGAUUGAUUAGGAUUACAAAAAGUAUUUAGAAAUAUGGGUUUGAUUCUUCACGUGUACUUAUCUACUUUAAUUUCCAUAAUCAUACACGUAAAGUUAGAAAAAGAAGUAAAAAAAGGCUCCUCUUACAAGAACUUUGAGAAGUUAGUUCAUUAUUUACAUUAUUAAAUUAUGAAAGAGGCAAGACGUACGCGAUAAUGUCGGCUCAUAAAGAAUGAUGAUCUUGAAAAUAUAUAUAUUGACAAUGGAUGUGAUAAAAUUGAAGUUUGAUAUUUUUUUUUUAAUGAAUAUCAAUUACUCUUCAUAUAAGACAAUUAAAACAUGAUCCAAAGUUUUGAAAUACAAGCCCUUAGAAUUCAAGACUUUAAAGGGAUAGAAAAUUCAACAUGAAGUUUUUCUCGUCCAAGCCCAUAAAUACUCGUUUGAAAAAAGGUUCAUCUGAUAUACAUUCAUGCAAAACAUGUACUUAGUAGAAGUCCAAAACAAUAAUGUGCGGCCCCCUUUUUCUUUGCCCAUGCUUUUCCGCCUACAAAUAAGGUAGUGGGGAUGAGGCUUUAGACUCGGGCAAAAGCUCACGAGGAUUUGACAAAUGUGCUCAAAAGCCAUUGAAUGGUAGAAAUCUGUAAUAUCAGAGGAAAAAGAUUAGUGGUUACAAAAUACUUUUGUCACGUUGUGAGCCACAAUCUUUGCUUUAAUUCUUUCUAAGAAAACAUUCUCACGAGGCAUUAAAAAAGGGGAAGCUUUUUCAGUAUAUAGAAUUGUAUUAGGAGUGAUGGUGUGGUGUUGUGUCUUACACGACAAUAGGAACACUCACCUUUACAAAGUUAGGCAGUAUUGGAAAUGAGGGUGAGCUGUUUUUGGCCUCUGCGGCAUUUAUUCUAUUAGGAAAAUGAUGACAGGGUUGGUAGCUAGACAAAAUCUUUUAGAAUAUAGAACAAAAUGAAAUAAAAUUUAUAGGGAAAUAUUAUGUAUGACAUGUUUAUUCUUUGUAUUUUAAAGAAUGAGAUUGUGAAAAAUAAUUUCUAUUCCCUCUACCAAUCAUUUGAUUCAAUUCCCAUGAGUUUUCCAAUAUAUUCUUCAGCUUCUACUUAUAUUUGGAGAGAACUACUGCCUAAUACUUUGAUCCAAAUUGAGUUUAAUCCCAUGUUCUAUUCACAAGCAACAAAAUUCCUCAUCACUCAACUAACAAAAUUUCAACAGUGUUCUCCAUCAAAUUUGGCUUCCCCUUCAUCUACAAGGAUCCAAUAUAUAUAUAUAUAUAUAUAUAUAUAUAUAUAUAUAUAUAUAUAUAUAUAUAGAUAUAGAUAUAGGUAUAGAUAUAGGUACAUGUUACACCCUUCUUGUUGAAGGAUCCAAUGUAUAUGAUGCUUAUUUAUUAAACCACUGAUAGUCAUUAUCUAUUCUCACAUUUUGCAGAAAUAUAAAUACUGAAAAAUUAAAGAAAUGGAAAAUAAAAAUGGAACAGACACAAAUGUAAUAUAGAAAAUAUCAUAGAAGAUAAAAAAACUAUGGGCCUAGGUAAUCCUCCAUCACAACUCCUUGCCAUAUACUUUUCCAAAUCUUAAUCAAAUUGGGUUUUGUGGUCUAUCUCUUGCCGAAGAAAUUUCUUAGGAGCUGCUCCAAAGUCAAGUCUCAAACUUUUCUUGAAGUCUUUUCAAGGAAUUCUUGGAUUUCAAUUGAAAAAAUGAUCAAAUUAGAAAGCGUGAAUGUUUUAUCAUUAAAAAAUAGGUGAAAAAGACGUGCAAAACAAAAUAUUCUUAACUUAAAUAUAUAAAACUCAUUUUUUUUAAAAAAAAUAAAAAAAAUCAAUCAAUCUCAAAACCUUCCCCAAUUUGAUUUGUUGUUUACCUAAACAAAUGGAGACUUUAAAGAUUUUUAAAAAGAAUAGAAAGGGUGUCACGUCCAAGACCAAUUUCAAGGGUACGACAAUCAUUUCAUACCUCAAAUUUAAAAGCUAAAAGUGUAAAUUAACUCAAACAUUCAUCUUGUAACUAAAAAGGGUGUCAUCCCCCAAAACCCACUCCAAAGGCAUGACCAUCAUUUCAAACCUUAAGUCUAAAAGUUAAAAAUGUAAAUUGACCUAAAUAUUUAUCUUGUAAUUGAAUGUUUGGGUUUAUUAACACUUUAAACUUUUGGAUUUGAGGUAUGAAACAACUGUCAUGCCUUUGGAGUGGGUCUUGGGACAUAACAAAGGAAUUUAUGAAGCCUAUGGUUAUUGAUCAAUUGAUUAAUCAAGAACUUGACAAUUUUAUAGAUCCCUUAGAUGCACUAUAAACUACAAUAUGUCAACUAAAAAUCAGUUGGGGAUGAUUGAUUGACUUAUUAAUUAGGUCUUCUUAGUCCUCAAAGGCAACAAAUCACCCCGCUUGUAGAUCAAUUAAUCAUCCUUUAGGAUACUUAAAUACAAUUAGCCAAUUCUCAUUUGUUUGAUGAUGUUAAAGAUUGGUUAAUAAGUUUGCAAUAAAAUCCUUCUAUGUUAUUUAGAGACAUAGUUAUUAUAUGCAGUUUUCCAAUUUCCAUGUUGAUGAAGUUUCCGUUGCAGAAAAGAUCACUAACAAGUGACUUUUGGGCCAAAAUUACCAACUAUGCAUGAUAGAUCAAUAAUAUUGUAUGCAAAUGACAAUAUUUCAUAUAUUUUUUAAUAAGGUAAAAGAAAUUUGAGCAUAAUAUUUUGAAGUUAAUCACAUCAACUCAAAUUUAAUUCUAAUAGGUAAUUUGUUUCUACUUGUUCAUUAUUUUAGUAUAAUUUUACAUUAUUUCACUAUUUGAUGUCCUAUUUUGUGUGCUUGAUCAUAUAGACUUCAAGGUUAUGUUAGACCACCUAUAACAUUGACUAAUCUUGCUUUUCCACAUGCGCGCUCUAUAAUAUUGAUGUGCACCGUAUUAGGUUGGAAGUCAAGCUUGGCAUGAGUGUCUAGUACUCUCUUAGUAGAUGUUUGUAUUGUGAAUACUUGUUUAUGAUGGAUACUAAGGAAGUGCGUCUAUAUAUUUGAAAGAGGAUACUCUUUGUGAAGGGUACUACUCAUUCUCUCCAUGCAUGGAGGAGAGGAGAGUGUUUGCCCCUUAGGUUCAUGGAGGUGAGUUUUUGUUAAACUCCCUCUCCCAAACAAGGGUAGCAUCAAUUUGAAUGAUCAACCAUGCGUCUUGCAUGAUGAGUAUGAGUUAGUAAAGGGAUUAUGAGUAGAAAUUAAUUAAGGCAUCUCAAUCGAUCAAUGAGAUUCAAACUUGAACCACUAUAUAAAGGACUAAAGAUUCAUUUGUAAAUUAAGAGGAGGCACAACAAGACAAAGAUCACUCUAAGUUUAUUCUCCCUAAGGUUCCCUCUUAAGUGUCCCUAGGUGCCCCCAUCCUCACUUUGGGAAUCCUCUUAGUUCAUUGUACUUCCUUCUCAAACCCUUACACAUAUUUCACCAUGUAAUGGCACACCUCCUGUCUACAAAAAAUGAUGAAAGUCAAUUGCAAACCAUCUUAUUGUGCUCAACCCUUUUUUCAUCUAUCACAAAUUGAAACUAAUUGUACUCAUUUGACAUACAUCACCCAUAAUUUAUCACAUAAUUAUCUCUAAUUAUUUCAAUGACACGUAAGGCUAUUAAAUGAUGCAUAUACUAAGAAAAAUUAUGUAAGUUUUAAUGACAAUUUCAUUGAAUUUUUAAUAAAAUUUGCAACCAAAUAAAGAUCAAUCAUAAGAAGCAAGAAAUUCAUAAGCCUAUUGGGAAGUUCAAUUCCAUAAAUUGUGAUAUUUCAUUGUUCAACCAAUAAUAUAUACAUGUGGCCAAGAAGAUUAGGAAUAGAAAGAAGUGCCGCCGUCAAAGAUACCAUUUGCACUUGGAUAAGAAGAAAAAAGUAGAUAACACCAAUAAUGGCAUCUACAUCAUGAGUUUAAUUUACACUGCCAUGACCAAUUCAUUUUAAGAUUGUCAUCUAGUGAAAUAUCAAAUAUUAUCUUUGUCACUUUCACCAAAGAAUGAAGAAACACCCCGCUUCAUUUCAUUCUUUCUUCCAUCAUUGGAUGUUGGUUAAUCAUCUCAUGCUCAAAAUCAUAGGCCACAAUUGAUAAAGGAUUUAGAAAGGAUAAGAAGAGAAAAAGGUUAGAAACCAGCAUUCCCAAUUAUGUCUCUUUUGUAUGUCUUCAAUAUUAUUGGGCGUUUGAUUUUUAGAAAUUUUUUUAGAAUUGUUGGUCUGGGUGGUGGUGGUACCAAUAAUUAUUCAUUCACAUUCAAUGACUUCCAAAAUAAAAAAAUAAAAAAAUAAAUUCUUUUUAGUCAAUACUUUUGAAAGUUCAAUGAUCUUUCUAGGAAUUAUAGGGUUGAAUUGCCCAUGUACUUGUUUUUAAAAUAAAAAAACUUAUAUUCUUAAACUUAUGAUUAUCAAAGUGUGACGAGUUGAUUCUAGCCAUUAAUAAAUUCCAUCAAGAACAAUGAUGCAUUGGAAUAAGCACCACAAGUAACAGAGCUUUCAAGAAAUUCUAGGUUUUGGUUGCAUUUUUUCUUUCAUGUUGAAAAAUGAAAUAUUGGGAGAGAGUGUAGUGUUGAACACGGCAGCCACAAGACGUAUAGAUGGGUCCAAAAGUAGGCACCGUCUUUUAUUGACAUGAAGUUGAUGGGAAGGGUGGUGCCUUUUGCUUCUUUAAAUCCACACCUUGACCUACUUGCCUUUGCUCUCUCUUUAUCUCCAACUAUUAUUCGUAUCCACAAUAUUGUAAAUUAAACAAUUUAUGCACAUGCAUUUACUAGGUUUUUUUUUGGCACAUGGGUUGUCUUAAAAACAUGUAAAUCUUAAACCCCCUAAUCAUUGUUUUCCUCAUAAAUCAUCAUAAGGAGAAUGAUGCUAUCUUUUAUCCUCUCCCCCGGCCGCUCCCCACCCCCUUUUUUUUUCUUUGAUAAAUCAUUGAGUUCAUGAGAUUCCACUGAAUUUGCAUUUUAGAGAGUUUUUUUUUUUUUUUUUGACAAAAUAAUAUAAUUAUUUUGUGUUUUUUCCGGGUUCAUUCAAUCAAUCGAUCAUCCCUUAAGCUUGAUUAGAGUGCUUAAUUGGAAAAAAUUGAAAAGAAGGAAGAAAGUCCUUGAAGUUGGAAAGAAUGUUUCACAUCUUUUUGGUGUUUUUUGUGGAAGGAAUGUCCCAAUGUGGCACAGUUAAUCUUGAAAAGUUCCAGUCUAAUGCCUUAAGUCUUCCUAAUGAAUUAAGAAUCCAAAAUUGACAUUCGAUCUGUCAAUCUCACCCAAAUUUUCUCCCCAAAUCUUCAUAAUAUUGUUCUUGAAUUCUGACUGAUUCUUGUAUGAAGAAUAAUUGCCAAUCCCCAAAUAUUUGAUUAAGAAUCCAGUAUACAGCCAACCCCAAGUAUUUGAGAAUUAUGUACUCUUUUAGAGUAUUUUUACAAUUCAGAGCUAAAUAAUAUCAAUACCAAGAUCAUCCCAAUCAAGAGAUACAGAUGGCAUAUAUACAACUAGAGGAACAAUCCAAUUUCUCUUUUCUUACCAGCCAAUCUUACUACCCAUUAUUGCUCACACCAUAACAAAGAAAAAAUACAAUAUCCUACUACUGAUCUCAAUCAUUUUUCAAUUUCCUCAAUCCACAAAUAAUUUGGCAUUUAGUUCUUUAUUUUGUCUAUAAACAGGGCCUGGGUAUGCAUCCAAAAUCAGUAAUAAUACCACUAAUAAUAUAGCUAUUCAUUAUGUUUUGGUGGUUAAAGGGAUUUAGGUUAAGGAAAGUCCCAAAAAGAAAUAAUUAAAUUUAGCUUGAAGGAAAUGGCUAUUCCCCAAAUAUUUCUCAAAGUAGGGUUUUGUUUUACUUGUAUUGUAAGGUAUUCCUGUAUAAACAUGUUUAAAACAAGCCCUUUAUUUGCUCCCCAAAAGUCUAAGGUCUUAGACCAGUGCUUCAUUUAUUUUUCCCGGUGUUUGGUUGUAGUUCCAUUUAUAUUCAAAGCUAGACCUACCCAUAUCAUCUUUUAUGAGCUACUCUAUUUUUCAUCAGCCGGAAAUGAAGAAUUCUCAGAGAACUGGAGUAAGGCAGUACAACAAAUCGGAGUUCCCGCGUUUGCGGUGGACGCCUGAGCUCCACGAUCACUUUGUUGAAGUUGUUGAACGUCUCGGUGGGAAAUACAGUAAGCCUUUUUCCUUUUUGUGGUUGUUUGGAUCGAAAAAGGUCACGGAAAAAACUGUAUAUUAUACAUGUUCUUUUGAAAGAUUGUGCUUCUUUUGUGGUGCCUUAGAUUUGCAUGUUUGUAGCUUAAGAAUUCUGCCGGAGAAAGAUGAUUGAAUAGGGUUCUGCAGAAGAAGAAAUAUAUGCAGAAAUAUGUAACCCAUGAGCUGAUCCACGUCCUUGUGGUCUUUGCAGGAGCGACGCCCAAGAGGAUUCUGCAGAUGAUGAGUGUGAAGGGACUGAAGAUAUCUCAUGUCAAAAGCCAUCUUCAGGUAGUUUUUCUUCCAUAUUCCAUGAAAGGAAAAAAAUUAAUAUGUGAAACUUUUCAAUUAGAUAUGUGGUGAUUCCACAGAAGCUUAAGGUCAUUUCAUAUGCUCAUGAUGGAUGCAUACUGUACUCUAUACAGUACUCAUUAUACAGCAAGGAUAUCAUACGGGAGGAGUUAGGGUUUCUAUUUCUUUUACAACUUUGAGAAUAUAAAUGGCAGGCAAUCUAGCUUUAACGAUAAAUCUGGAAGUUUAGCAUUUGAUCCAGGCUCUCACUACCCUUUUUCUUUCUUCCAACUUCAUUUUAAAUAUCAGUAAUAGUAAAAAGCCAAAAACAGAAAAAGGAAAAGAGACCCACUUCCUUUUGAAUGCUUUACAAUAAAAACAGCAAAACAGACCACUUCCUAAACAAAUAAAAUAUAAGCAGAAGGUAGAAGUCCCAUCUGCUCCAAAUCACUCUCUCUUGGCCUCUUUUCUCCUUCUCUCUCUAGCUCAUUUAUCCUCAUUUUGUUUGGGAAUAGGGCAUUCAUGUGUUUUCUUAGCCGUAGCUUGUUUGGACCUUAAGAGAGAAUCGCUUUUCUCUAGUCUAGCUGUACAUAACAUUCUUAGGCAUCUCACGCUCUCCACAUUUUAAGGAAUAAACAGUAAGCAUGUUAGGUAAACUUUCUCAAAAGAUGGUGCACAGAGAAUUUAGAGACAAUGCUGGGUCCUUUGCUAUGUGGAAAGGUGGCUUAACUAAUGGAGACAGGAUCACCUAGUGAUUAAGCCUUGAAAUAUGAGAGAUCUUAGUUUCAAUUAGAUGAUUCAUUAAUGGUGGGUUUAGUUUCCUUAAUCAAUUCCUAUAAUGCUACAAAAAUGAUUUUCUGUUCAUCUAUGCAUUCCUGUUAUUUAUUUCACUUACCAUAUUCUGAUAAUUUUUUUACAAAGUCUAGUUCUAGUGAAGUUUACACUUUCAUCCUGUUGAUUAUAUUUCAAGCUUGAGGGUUGAACAAGGCCUAGCUUAUUAAUUGAAAAGCCUUAAAUUAUGGGGGUGUUAGAAAUCCCAGCAUGCAGGCAGUUGAAAUUGCUCUAUGAAUUGUGUUUUACAUCAAUUAGAUUUGAAUACAGAUCAUGUGUGUCUUAUAAUACACUCUUUAUUGUAAUCAUUAAAUUGACAAAAUUUGAUGACCACAACAAUUAAAACAUCUUUCUAUAGUAAUGGAAAACUGGGCACACUCAUUUCAACUUUGUCAUGCCAAACACAAGGGAGUACCUGAAUUUUUCUUGGUCUAUCUGAUGACAUCAAAAGAAAUUGCUUUCACCCUUUAUUUCCAGAAUUCCUUUGUAACAGCAUGAAAAUCUAAUUCAAGAUUCCAGCUACCUCUCAAUGGAGUCUAUUUGCAUGUUAUAUAAUAUAGAUCAUAGUAAAAUCCCCAAUGUUAGAUAGUACUUAAAGUGGACUUAUUAUUUCUCUUUCCUCUAUUUGGGUUGGAUUCUAAGCUAGUUAAUUCCUGAUAAUCAGAUGUACAGAAACAUGAAAGGUUGCAGUAACAUCAAUAUCCUCGUACCCAUGAAGCAUUUGUGUGAAGAGAGAGCAAAUUUUAAUGCUAAUGGAUUCUUCCCCAUUAGCUCAUCUCAGAGGUAUGUUUUCAUAUUCUCAAGACCAUCCUACAUGGAAAUAAUUUAUUGGCAUUUAGCAGUGUCAUGUGUAGAAUAUCCAUUGCAUUGAUAAUGCUUGGUGAACUGUUCCUCAGGUCUUUUCACAUUUUCUAGCUCCAUUGUAAUCCACAUGGGAGUACUAUAUAACAAAUUUUCACACCCCCAAACAUAAAACAAAUAGAUUAAACAUAAAUAUUCUUGGUAUCACUUUGUCAUCAUGUUGAAAUGGAAAAUAAAGUUGUCAUAUUUUGCUAGGAAACUCAGCUGUUCAUAGCUUCAUCAAUGGCUUUAAUUGUUAUAGCUCAGGAGGUUUGCUUCUCACAUGUCAUGCUUAAAUUUUUCAACGACUUAUUUUAAGAUCUGCCAUGCUCUUUGGGCAGUGUCCUUCCGAAAUAAAUAUUCUUGAACUCCAUGCCAUUCCAGGAAGUACCAACUAUAUGAACAGUCAUGUUAAAUAUAUCUAGAUAUCUAUAUCCUAUGAGCACGCAUGGAGCUACUGUUACUAUAGAUAAUAUUUUUUUCAAGGCAUCAACUGGGGAUCUGUAACUAAAAAAUCAUGAAGGGAAACCCUUCUUUUAAGCAUUUCUGGUCAAAACCCUUAAUUAUCCAUGAGCACUCAGGUGAACCUCCCAUCUUGGAACCAUGCAUGAUAUGUUUCUUAGAUGAAGAAGAAAAUUCAUCCUGUACAAGUUCAUAGGGAAACUAUUUCUGAAAGUGUAAGAAAUUUAAAAUGUGAUUUAAAUUAAGGGGCUUCUAUAUUCAUCCAUGCAAGCUUUGAUCAUGCAUGAAAUCAUUUUGGCUUUUGCUAAUUAGUUUGAUGGUUCCGUUGUUAGAUGAGCUAGCUAGCAUCUAGUACAUUAAUUGAUAACAAGUCAGGAUAAGACAUAAAAUAUUGUAGAUAGCUGAGUACCAUACAAGGAAACCGACCAAUACAUGGGAUUAUCUAGGAGAAAUAUUGUGAAUCUUCUAUGUCUUGAGCUUGUCAUGGUCAAGUUAAAACCCAUGUAUGUCCCCAACUUCCCUCAAGUUGGGGUAUACAGAGAUUUUAUUUAAACUUGUAGUGGUGAGAAAUUGAGUUCUGAAGACUAAUUAAUAAGCAUAUAUCUAAAUUUAAUUAAGUGCCCUUUUGAAUAGGCCAUUCCUUGUCUUCUUAUUUAUUUUUACUUAUGUUCAAUAUUAGAUGUUGGAACACAAUAUAGAUGAUAUCCAUGGAGUAAGAGUUCCAGACGGAUCUGAAGCCUGAAACCAACCCAUCAAGUCUCAUUUUCGAUAUGCCAGCUAGAAGCAUUGCAAGUCAAAACCUGUUUUGCCAGAAGGAGAAAAAACAUAUUACGUAAAGAACACGUGAUAGUUUUCCUGAUUUUCUGCAUGGUUUUUCCAUUCAUAUUAUCUGAGCACAUAAUUACUUCUGGAAGAAAGCAACAAAGAAAAAUCAUGGAAACCAUCAAGUAACCAACAGAUCGAGUCAAGAAAAAUAUGCCUUUGCGUCCCACAUCAUUUCAAGUAAAGCAUUGAAAGUGUGAAACUCUCAAAACUUAAUAAUUGAUGGACGUCAUAAACAUGUUAAAAUUCAAAGAGAAUCAAAACCUUUCUUAAUGGAAAUCACUUCCUCACAAAAAAAAGGCAAAAAAAAAAAAAAGAAGCUUAAUUUGACUUGACAUUGGGAAGCCAACAUCGUCUUAGAAUGUAAUUUUUUGAGAGAUUAGAACUGAUACGAAAGAUUAGAAAUCGCUUUCACCCAGAUAAGAACAUUGAAUUAAGUAUUUAAGAGUCUGUUUGAUAGUGAUUCUAUAAAGUGUUUCUAACAUCUCUAAUAUUUGAAAAAUAUAAAUUUUUUAAGUGAUAUAAAAGUUAGAAAUAUUUCUUAGAAUCAUUGUCAAACACAAUUUAAAAAUUAGAAAAACUAAAAUCAUUUUAUAAAAUCACGGUCAAAUAUACUUUAAAUCUCUAUUUAAAAAUAGAUGUCAGCAUGAUUUCAUGAAGAAAUUUUGGUUGGUCAUGCACCUUUUGUUAUCAAUAUAAGUUAUGUAUUAUAUUAUGUAAAUUUCUUCUAAAAUUUUUGCAGGCUAACAGCAAGGAAUGAGUUAAGAGAAUGGGAACUUGACAGGAGGGGCUUUGAACCCAACGUCUUUCAUGAAGAAAGUGAUGGCCUCCAAAUAAUGGAAGAAACUGGUGAUUACGAGCAACAGGUAGUUUCUAUGUUAAUGUUAUUUGUUAGUAGAAGUAACUCCAUCCUGUGUGCCUGGCUAGCUAUCUUUGAAAAUAAUUAGAAUUUAUUCAUGUUGGUAAUAUAUUUUUAAAAAAAACUUACAGGUUUUCUCAACCAUAGUUGAUAUUUGUCAUGACAGGUAAUUGAUGAGUUCAAUAGUUUGUCCUUGGCUAGCUACCUGUUAAAAGAAAAUUACUUUUUUAUACAUCACGUUCAAUUUAGUUGCCAUAAUCUGAUAAAAAUAGUACAAAUAAAUUAAAAAAUUAGGCCGGGACUAGGGCAUUUUAUGUAUGUGUUCAUGUGAAUGAAAAGUGGAGUUUUGCUUGGUCGUAUGUGUCUCGAAGAUUGUAAUAAAAAAAUAUAUAUGAUAAGAGUCAUUUAAAAGUUGAGAUAAUUCCAAUGUUGUAUCAAUUGUUUUUAAAAGUAAAUUAGCCAUUGUGGAAAUAAAACAUUAAGAAUGUGUGUGUUUUAAAGUUAGGUAAAAUAUUAUUAUGUUUGGUAUCGAGAAUAUUUGAGGGAAAAUACAAAGAAAAGAAAAUAAAGAAGGAAAAUAGAAAGAAAAAAAGAAGAUUCAAAGUUAAUAAUUUAUUUUUAUAUAUCACUUAAAACUCAUAUAACUUAUUUUAACUUCUCAAUUUAAAAAUUAAAUAAUUUAAAAAUAUAUAAGUUUCUUAUUUGAUUUAAUUACAUUUAAUUUUUUUAUUUGAAAAUGGUAAGGAAUGUUAUUUUUCUUAUCAUUUUCUCUCCUUCUUUAGCACUUUUUGGGAAUAAAAUAUAACCAAAAUAUAUAAUUAAAAAUUUUGUAGUAUCUUUAACAAAUAAUUGAUAAUUAUCUCAUAUGACAUUGGCAGGACACGCAAACAAGCUUACUUAGUGGAACGUCGAAGGAAGAAGAUGUUGGACCAAAAGAAAUUUGUGAACUCUCCUUAUCAUUCGCGACCUCGCCAUUGAUGCGAAGCAAAAAAGACCAAGAGUCAUGGCCUCUCAACAAUAUUGAUCACACUCGCCAUUCGAAUGCAACAGCAAGGAAAUUCAUAAACAUUCCCCAUUUUCAAUCGCUCAGAGAAAAUCGCUUAAACCUAGACUUAACCAUCUCUACGUGUUUCUCCCACUCAAAUUAGAAAUAGAAUUUUGGCUUCUUAUAUUAGAUUUGUGUUGAUUGAUAUCCUUCAAUUAUGUUAAUAAGAAUUAAUAUGCAUUUGUUAGUACUAUAAGAAUAUGAGUACAAAACAUAUAUCUACCCUAGACGUUAAAAAUUAUUAAUUUUUUUUUUAUUAGUUAAAUGUUUUUAGAUUAUUUUCUUUUUUUAGUGAGGAGAAUGCAUCUUUAGUUAGAUAACAUCCAAGUUGCUGAGAAAUUUUGAAUAAUUUUGUGAGGGAAGAAUUCUUCAUUAAACAAAAUAUAUUGAAUAUGUACAUGGAAAUUUACAUAAUGAUAAAAGAGUAAUAAUAGAAUUCUUCAUUUUACACUAAUUUUUGUUAAUAAACUUUUAGUAUUAAUUGGAUCACUAUUUAAGUUUUAAGUUGUUUUUAAAAAUUACUAGACUUGUUAAUGAAUCUAAUACAUUAAGUCUUAUUUAAUUUGAAAUUUAUUUAUUGUGUAAAAAAAUUAGAAAAUAUGAUUUUAUGUAUAAGAGAAAUAACAUAGUCAUUGUAGAUCAAUUUUUAUCCAUAAAUUUAUGAUAUUAAUUGAAUCCCUAUUUGAGUUUCAAGUUAUUUUUAAAAUUUAUUAAACUUAUUGAGUUUUAAAUUAUUUAUAAAAAUUAAGAAAUUUUAAUUUAUAAAAUAUAGUUUGCUUUGAAAUUUAUUUGUUAAUGAAAAUUUUUUAUUAAAUUAAAGAAAAUCCAUAAAACACAUAUAAGUUAAAGGAAUAUUAUAUUUGAAUAUUUUUUGUAUUAGUAUUCAAUCAUGUAGAGAGAAAAAAAAAUGAUAUUAUAUUCAUUUUUUUUUUGUUUUUUAUGAUUUUAUAAUUCAUCUAUAUUUUUAUUUUCUUUUUAUAAAAUAACGAAAACAAUUUUACUUGUUCUUUAAAAACUAAUUUAUAUUUUAGUUAAUUUUGAUAUAUAAAAUAUAAUUUGAUUUGAAAUUUAUUUUAUUAAUGAAAAUUUUUUAUUAAGUUGAAGGAAAAUUAAAAAACACAUGUAAUUUAAAGGAAUAUUAUAUUUGAAGAUUUUUUAUAUUGGUAUUAGAUCAUGAAAAGAGAAGAAAAAUGACUUAAUGUUCAACUUCAUUUACUUUUUAUGCUUUUUUUAAUUCGUCUAUAUUUUUCAUUUGUUUUUAAAAAUUGAUGAAAAUAAAUUUUACUUAUUUAAAAAAAAAAUAUUUCACUUUGCUUUUAAAAACUAAAAAUAAAAAAACAAUGGCCAAACAAUGUUAUGAAUUUUUAACUAUUUUUUAAUCACAUGCCCAAAUAGACCCUAAUUGUUUUGCAAAUUAAUUAAGUUUAUUUUAGUAAUCCAAAAUUCAUUCAAACCAGUUCUUAAUAUUUUUGUCUUAAGAACUUUAGGUAAAAACAAUCAUUUUAACUUAGUUUGAUAAUUUCCAUAAGUCAAUCCCUAAGAACGAUAUCCACUACUACAAAAGUUGCAGUCAAUGAUGAAAAUAUCAGUAAUCAUGAAUAUAUCGGUACUUCGAUUUUAUGAAUAUAUCGAAGAUAUAUCGACAGAUAUUUUGACAUAAAAUAUCGAUGGGUCCAAAAUUAAUCAAAACUCAUGAAAUUGUUGAGAAAAACUCUAAAAAUGAUAUAAUAAACAAUAAUAGACAUUUUAGAGUUGUUUUAUAAAAAAAAAAUGAAAUAUGUGUAUGAUAUAAUUUAUUAUAUUUGAUAAUAAUAUCGUAUGGUCAAUAAAAAAUAUGAAUUUUAUAAGCAUACAUUAUUAUUAAAUAUUAUUUAACAAUAAUAUUGUGAUAUUUAAUUAUAAUAUAUUUAAUUUUAAAAUAUAUUUAAUAUUGAAAUUAUAAUCCAUGAUAUAAAAUAAAUGAUGAUAUAUGUAUAAGUAUUCUUAAUUUUAAAAUGUUGAUAAUUUUAUUUAUUUUAUAUUUAACUAUGAUACAAAAUACAUAAUAAUUAAAAUUAAUUUACUUAUUUUAAUUAAUUUAUAAUAUAUAUAUAUAUAUAUAAUGUCAUGUGUUUAAGGGAUAAUAGACAUCUUGAUUAUCGAGAUUCUAUUAUAGGGGAUGUCCAAGCAGGAUUGAAUGAUGGUCCUAUUUACUUCCAGUGUUAUCCUAACUUCACAGUUAGAUUAAGAGAUGCUGACAUCUUAGAUUCGGUUGUCCUCCAUGUUAAGACCCAUGGAUUUAAGUUCAAGAAAGGAAAUGAUCCUAUUUCCAUCAUCACCAGAUUUGCCUAUAAGAGUAUGACCACAAGCAUUGGAUUUGGAGCACUGUGCACCAAUCCUAAGGGUAAAACUAUUCUCUUCCACUUAGACGUCCUAAACAAGUCAAACUUCAUAAUCCCCAAAAGGAUCAUGUGGAACGAGGUAGAGUUUAUUGAAACUGGGCAUUUUGCUAAUGUUGUUCCAGCCAUAGAGCAAAGAUUUGAAAUGAUUGAACAGAUUGUUCAAUAUCUUGAUGGAGGAGGAGAUUUGGUUUUCUCCAACCCUUUUCAUCAUUCUAGCAACCCUAAAAUUUCAGAUUAUGAACCCUCUAGAGCUUCAAGUUCAUCUAUCCCAGUAAAAACCACUAGGAUAGAAGAAGAAUACAUUUCAGCUAAUCCCAAGAACAUUAAGCUAAUAGGUGUUAGAAGUCACACCAAUUAGGCCAGACCCUUUUACACAAAGGAAAAAGAGUCUACCCAAGGAUCACGUCAGGAUGAAUCUCCUGAUAUAUCUCCUACGUAUUCACAAAUGAUUAACACAAUAAGCCUAGAUAAUGAGGAAUUUGAGAUUAAUAAGGAACUCUUAAGAAAUGACUUCUAUUCUGAAGCCAAUAAGGAAAGAAGAGUUUGGUUCUUUAGUAAAGUCCCUAAGGACAUUAGAACCCUCUACCAAGAAGAAUUUUAUAUAUACUUAAGACAAGAAAAGAAAAACAUUAAGUAUUGGAUCUAGUUUGAACUCUUCAAACAAGAGGAAUACCUAGAUUACCUUGGUAAGCAUGUUAAUAACACAUCCAUUAAAACUAAGGUAUGGAAAACUAGUGAUGACACUGUCAUAGAAUCCAUUCACCCUCCUGAAGCUAAGAUAGAAAAGAACAUUAAUGGAACUAUAGUUAAAGCUUCACCUUUUUAGACCAAGUCAGAUGAUAAAGGAACUGAUAGUAUUGUAGAUGUUAAAAGAAUCAUGGAACAUAACAACUACACUAACAUGUUUCUUAAGACUCUAGGUGAUCAACUCAACAGGGUUGAGGAGAUCAUUGAAACCUAAGACCACAUUAAGACUUUGUUUGUUAAGAAAGAUAAUAAGCCUUCAUUUAAGCCAUUUAAAUUCUCUAAAAAAAUUCCAGGAAAAUCCUCAUAUUGAUCAAGCUUUGAUUGAUAGGAUUAGCCAAAAGGUUAAGGAUACUUUAAUUGUCCCUGAGACACCUCAACCUUCUCAUAGGAGAAUUAUUGUGAUUAAGGAAGAAAUUAGUUCUAAAGCAAAGGCUGAUGAACUAAUCAAGAUCUUUAAGGAACCUCCUAAUCAAACAAUUUUAAGGAUUAUCCAUAACCAAGAAGCACCUAAGACUAGGAAUUAUUACCCUAGACCAACAUUUCUUGAUAUGUAAUAUGAGGAAAGAACUAGUAUACUCAAGCUUCCUACACUAGUGGUACUAUCUAUGAAUGGAAUAUAGAUGGUAUGACUGAGUAUAACAUACUCACUAAGCUUCAAGAAAUGACCAUGGUUAGUACAACCUAUAAGUUAAACAAUAGACUGUCAAAUCAAGCUAUGGCUCAAAUAAUUGUUGCUGGGUUUACAGAUCAGUUAAAAGGAUGGUGGAAUAACUAUCUCACAUUUGAAGAUAGGAAUGGUAUCUUAAAAGCCUAUAUGAUUAAUGAGGAAAAUGAAGUGGUUAAGGACAAAGAAGGACAAGAUAUAGAGAAUGCAGUGGCCACUCUAAUCUUUUCAAUAUCAAAACACUUCAUUGGAGAUCCUGCAAAGAUUAAGGACAAGAUUGCAGAUCUCUUAACCAACCUUAAGUGUCCCAAGCUUCAUGACUUUAGAUGGUAUAGAGAGGUUUUCUUAAUCAAAGUCAUGUUAAGAUUAGACUAUAAUAAGUCUUUUUGGAAAGAAAAAUUCAUCUCGGGACUACCUAGACUUUUCUCUAAGAGAAUUAGGAUUAAGAUAAUGGAACAGUUUAAUGGACAAAUCCCUUAUGAUAAGCUUACUUAUGGAGAGAUCAUAAGCAUUGUCACAGCAGAAGGAAUUAAAUUGUGCAAUGACUUUAAGCUCAAGCAACAGAUGAAAAAUGAACAAAGGAUCUACAAGAAUGAGUUUGGUUCAUUUUGUAGCCAAUUUGGAUUUAACCAAAAAGAAACCAAGCCUCCCUCUAAGAAACGUAAGAAACAAGUAAGCAGAAAGCCUAGUAAAGAAAAGUUUUAUCAUAGCAAGAGAGGUACUCAUGGAAAGUACAGGAUGAAUGAAACUAAAAGAUCAAGGCACAUCCAAAGAAUGAUGAACAAAGAAGCCCAGAAAAAGUUAGAAGCCCCUUCACAAUCUAAACUAGUUUGUUUUAAGUAUGGUAAGGUAGGCCACUAUAAGAAAGAUUGUAGGGUUAGACAGAAAAUUAAUAACUUGAAUGUCUCAGAAGACUUAAAAUAUAUGCUUUAUGAAGUAAUGUUAAACUUCUUAGAGUCUAAAUCAAGUACUGAUUCAGAUAAUGAAGAUGAUAUUAAUCAACUAGAUAGUAGUGGUGAGAUUUUAAGCCAAACUUCUAGUGAUUAAGAAAAAUGCAUUAAGGGUAAUUGUGAUUGCAAACCUAAGACUAUAAAUGUCAUAAGUCAGGAUCAAGAACUUGUCCUAGAUGUUUUAAGGAAAGUUGAAGAUGAAAAAGUUAAGCAAGAACUUUAUGAAGUCUUUAAGAAAUCCGUCGGUAAGCAAGAAGUUAAGAGGACAAUAAUCCUUAUAACCUAAAUGAAAUCUUAACAGGAUUUAACCAACAAUCUCCCAAAGACAUAACCAUUAAGGAUCUUCAAGAAGAAGUAAGACGGUAUAAGAAGAAAAUUAAGGAUUUAAGACAAUUCACAAGCUUAGGUUUUACAGACCUCCAAGAACAAAUCCAUAGGAUUUUUGUCAAACAAGGAAAUCUUGAUGAUAUCCAGGAAAACCUUAAAGAGGUUCCAGAAUCCUCACAAGCUAAUGAUGAAGAAGCAAAUGCAUACUUGAAUAUUAUCAGUAGUGUUAUUUUCCAGAGGUGGGAAGUCUCUCUUACUAUAGUAAUCAAAAAUAAAUUUGUUCUUGAUAUUAUUGCUUUGAUUGAUUCAGGAGCAACUUUGAAUCGCCUAUAAGAAGGUCUUGUACCUACCCAGCUUUAUGAAAAAACCAGACGGACAAACUCUUUCAGGAGCCAAUGGUAAAAGACUUGUCAUUAAGUACAAGUUAUCAAAUGCUCAUGUCUAUAACUAGGACAUUUGUAUUAAGCAAACUUUCAUCCUAGUUAAAGAUCUUAAAGAAAAAACUCUCCUUGGAAUCCCCUUUUUAAGCACCAUCUAUCCUAUUAGGGUAGAUGACCAAGGUAUAAGAACAACACUCUUAGAUAAGGAAAUUUUAUUUGAAUUUUCCAACCCACCUGAUGAGAGGAGUAUAAACACCUUAAGGGAUCAGGCGAUUCAAGCUAAGGAAAGCCAAGUUAAUCUCUUAAAUCAGGAAAUUAAUCUUGUAAGAAUUGAAGAGCAGUUGAAAGUUAAGAAAACUGAAGAUGCGAUAGAAAAGUUUAAGGAUGAGAUUGUUUGAGAAGUUUGCUCUAACAUUCCUAAUGCGUUUUGGCACACGAAAUAGCAUGAGGUAGAACUACCUUAUGAGCCAGACUUUAGUGAAAAGAAUAUUCCCACUAAAGCAAGACCUAUCCAGAUGAAUAAGGAGUUGUUAAGCUAUUUUGAAAAGGAGAUCCAAGAUCUUCUUGAUAAGAAGUUGAUAAGGAAGUCUAAGUCCCCUUGGAGUUGUUUAGUCUUUUAUGUUCAGAAACAAGUUGAAUUAUAAAGAGGAACUCCUAGACUAGUAAUCAACUACAAGCCUCUUAAUGAUGCAUUAAGAUGGAUUAGGUAUCCUAUUCCAAAUAAGAAAGACCUCCUUCAAAGGUUAGUUAAAUCUAAAGUUUUUUCUAAGUUUGAUAUGAAAUCAAGAUUUUGGCAAAUCCAGAUUGCAGAAAAAGAUAGAUAUAAGACCAUCUUUAUGGUUCUUUUUGGACAUUAUGAAUGGAACGUAAUGCCCUUUGGUCUUAAGAAUGCACCUUCAGAAUUCCAAAACAUAAUGAAUGAAAUCUUUAACCAAUUUUCUGAUUUCAUCAUUGUUUAUAUUGAUGAUGUUUUGGUGUACUCUAUUUUUGUAGAGCAACAUUAGAAGCAUCUCAAUAAGUUUAUCCAAACUAUUAAGAAUAAUGGUUUAAGCUUGUCAACCACUAAGAUUAAUCUGUUUCAGACCAAGAUUUGAUUCCUAGUUCAUUAUAUCUACCAAGGAACCAUUACCCCAAUUCAACGGUCAAUAGAGUUUUCUGAUAAGUUUCCUGAUCAGAUUAAGGAUAAGAAACAAUUGCAACGUUUCUUAGGAAGCCUUAAUUAUGUGUUAGAUUUUAUUAAGGAUCUAAGCCAGUUUUGUGCUCCUUUGAGGGAAAGACUUAAGAAGAUUCUAGUACCUUGGAAUGAGGACCAUACCAAGAUUGUCAAGACAAUCAACUCCAGAGUCAAGACCCUACCAUGUCUUGCCUUAGCUAAUCAGAAGCCUUUAAGAUUGUUGAGAUUGAUGCCUCAGACAUAGGUUAUGGUGGGAUUUUUAAGCAAAUAGAUGGAAACCAAGAGAAGUUGGUUAGGUAUACUUUAGGAACCUGGAAUAAUGCCCAACUCAACUACAGUACCAUUAAAAAGGAUAUUUUAAGCAUUGUUUUGUGCAUUUCAAAAUUUCAAGAUGAUAUUUUAAAUCAAAAUUUUUUAUUAAGAGUUGAUUGCAAAUCUACAAAAUCAGUUUUACAAAAGGAUGUUAUGUAAUGAAUAUAACUUCUAAGCAUAUUUUUGCUAGAUGGCAAGCUAUUUUAAGCAAUUUUGAUUUUCAAAUUGAGUAUAUUAAAGGAGAAAAUAAUUCAAUCCCUGAUUUCUUAACUUGUGAAUUUUUGCAGGAUUCACAAGAUCAUAACCCCCAAAAAAAAGAAAAACAACCUCUUAAGCUCAUUAAGAAAUCUCCAGAUUCUAAGAAAUCCCAUUCAACUCUCUCUGAGAAAUUCAUGUCGCAUUAUUAUGAACAUUUUGAAGUUGCGGGUUCCUGCAACUUCUCCAAAAAUCCUAUUUCUUCAAAAUCCCCUAAGCAUUCCACAUUCCCUAUCAGGGAUAAAAUAGCAAGUUUAAAUUAUCUACCUUCUGCGAAGGAUUCAUUCCCCACAAUUCCACUCUCUAAUGAUACUAACCCCUUAUCUGGUUAUCUCAAAAGUCUUUGUGAUUUGUAGGAAAGGUGCAAGACUUUGGAAAGGAAACUUGAAACAAUUGACUUUCUCAAAAGUCGGCAGGAUAUGCUUAAAGUUCAAGCCUCCUUUUCCCCACUGGAAAAUUGUGAGAAUAAGCAAUCCACACCCCACUGGUGGAUGAAGUAAAAUUGAGUGAGGAUGAGUGGAAUAACUUUAAAUUACGAAUGUAUUUUCAUAAGAAUGAGAUGUUGUAUUCUCUCAAGCAGGAUGUCCGUUUCCUAAUCUUUGAAAAAAACCAAGACCUUAGCUGAAGAAAAAUAAGUUUUUAUUUAAGUUUAUCUCCAAGAUCUUCAUUUUUAUCUCUCAGCCACUCUUGGUCUUCGGGUCCCAGGCUUAAAAUUGGUCAAAGAUAGGGAAUUUGAUGAUUCUAAACUUUGUAGAACUAUCAAAGAACCUCUUAUUUACCAACAAGGCAUUAAGCAAAUUUUAUGCAAAUGCAAUAGAAAUUUCACAAUCAGUCGGGUUUGCCUCGACUUGCACUAUUAUCUACCAAUCAACCUCUUUUUUUAAGAAUGAGGAAUUAAUCCUAACCCCAAAAUUACUUCUAGACUAUGGGUUAGUUCAUCAUCUUAUUUGCUCAGAUCCAAAUCAAGUAACUAAUUUUGGAAGAAAGAUGGCUUUGGGAUUUGUACAAGGAUUGAAGUCGAACCAGAAAUUUACAAAUGCCAUCAUCAUCAGCAAAGCUCUUGAGUGGGUAUCAGUUGGUAGUCUUCUGUCUGCAUAGCACAAUGUCUAUUUUCACUAUCAAAACAGAAGGCCAACUUUGUUGUCUUACCCUCUGGAAUUUACCGAUAUUUGUGUUGAGCCCCUUAUUAAUCAUAUUAGACAUUGAAGAGUUCGGAUUAUUAGUAAAGACUUUGAAACAUAUCCAAAGAACAUGGGUUAUCUCAUUGCUGCAAAUCCUUUUCACCAGAUUUUCUAUAGUAAGAGAAUUGAUCAUCUACCAACCAAGUUCGUUACUGAGGAUUCUAAGUUAAUGGAUGAGCAUCGCAAGGAUUACACUCUCCCCUAAGCAUACUCCUCCACUGACAAGAAUAUUCUCCACCAAUAAAGCUUUAAGUAGUUUUCAACACUGAAAGCAAAUUUGUCUCAAACAUAUGAUACUACAGUUCAAAAAGCAGCUUGUUAGCCAUCAUUACUCAACCGAAAGUAAGAUUCCUUGUUGAAAAGUCUAAAGUGCUACAGUAAAAAAGUCAUUUUUACUGUUCGCUUUUACGAUUCACUAUUCAUUCACGAGUUCACCAUUCACAACAAAAGUCAAAAAACAUACAGUACUCUGUCUAUUGCUUUGUAUUGUUUAAGAUUCCUUUUUCAGCUAUUUAAUGAGACCAACUCCUCAGUUGUAAGCACGGUGAAUUCUCUCAUUCUUCUCCUAUCUUAAGCUCUCUCUCUUCUUUUCUUUAUCUCUCAUCAUGUAAGCCUUCAAGCCCAAAGCAUUCUUCAAACUUUUCCUUGCCUUUUCCAUUGUAAGAUAUUCCACUUCUCUAUUUCUCCUUAUAAGUAUGGUUUUCAAGCUAUGUAAUUUUCAAGUUAAGUAAUAUAAAGUUUGUUGUUCAUUUUCUUUAAAUUUCUUUGUUAAAUAUCUUUGUUAAUUUCUUAUUUCUCUUAUUUGAUUUUGAGUUUUGGCAUAAUUCAUGUUUUUAUUGCAUAUUACCUCGUUUUGGGUAUAUAUAUAAUUUAUUUAUAUAUAUAGAUAAUAUUUAUAAUAUAAAUUCAUAAAUGAUAUUUAUUUAAUGAAUCUUAUAUAUAUAUAUAUAUAUAUAUAUAUAUAUAAUGCAUAGCUAAAUAUAUUAUUACUAGCAAUGUAGUUUGCUGGCACCACAUCCCAGUAAUCAAAUCCAAAACCAAUAUUUAAAACAAACGCGACUGCAAUAGCGAGAUGAAAUAGGAGACGGGAUAUCGACCUUCGAUAUUUUGAAGGGUAUUAUUGUAUCGAUACCCUCUGAUAGGUAUGCAUACCCUUCUAAAUCAUAUCCUAUUAGGUAUCAUUUCCAUGCAAUAUAUGUAUAUUUAGUUUGUAAAAUAAAAUGAAAUAUAUAUUAUUUUUUAAUAUUUGAUAUUUGUUUAAAAUAAAAAUUAUAUUAUAUUUCAAUAAAUUCUAUUAAAAAAUAUAAAAAUUUUCUUACAUUUAUUGUUAUUUAGAUAUUACUCAAUAAUUUAAACUUUAGUAAGUAAUUAUUUUUUAUUUAUUUAUUAACAAUAUUCAUGACUAAAAUAUUUAAUAUAUAUAUAUUAGUAUUAUCUUGCAAUAUAUUUUAUUAAUAUUUUUUUUAGUUCUAUUUUAUUAACAAAUUUAAUUUUUUAAUCAAACUUUUUUUUAAAAAAAAAGUAAGUAAUAAAAAAAAACUUGAUGAAAAAAUAAAUACAUAAUAUAUAGGAUAUAUUAUCCCCUCUUAUCCUAUCUAAAGUUUUAUUAGUUGCUAAGCCAUCAAGAUUUCUAGAUCUUUCGAAAUCUUUACUUUCAUUAGUUCAUGGGAAGCCAAGAAAAGAAGGCAGAUAUGUUUAAAAACCUAACAUAAUAUUCUUUACACCUAUAUACUAACAUAAACAUGUGAGUAUGUUUUUGAGUGGUAUGCAUUUCAUUGUUUUGGUCUUAAACAUCUUUUUCUUUUUUUUUUUUAAUCAUGGAUGUCCGAGCUUACACACAUCUCAACUAAUCCCACAAGACCUUAAAGUUAAUGAUCGAGUAAACCUCCAAUGGUCCUGAGGGGACUCAAACUUGUGACCAUUGGAGAACAAACCCAAUACCAAACCAACUGAACUACCCCUCAGGUUUUUUUGGUCUUAAACAUCUUUGAAAUCCACAAUCCAAUUGUAAAAAAAAAGGUCGUGAACAUCUUGCUUGUUGGAAAUCUACACCACCCACUUGCAAUUCAGAACAAACGACAAAAUGCCUUGGCAUAGGUUUUUGUUUUUUCUAGAUCAUAAAAAUCUCAGUGGUUGGAAACCCACCAUCCAAUUGAAGUUUGUUUUUUCUAGGUCACAAAUGUCUCAUUUUUAUAAGAACAAAGAUACUUUCAAGCAUUGGGAAAUGAAGUGAAUCCUCCCUCGCUGAGUGCAGUGUCUUCUUGUUGGAGACAUAUUUAACAUGUUUCAAGACUUCAUACAGGUUUUAUGAACAAAAUCCCUUUCCACGACGAUUCAAAUCCUCGGGUGAUUUUAAUAAAAUACACAGCCAAUUUGCAAGUUUACAAUAAAAAUUAGGGCUUCCUGGGAACGUGAACUCUACAGGUCAUUUCUGAAUAUACACGUUUAUCCAUCAUCACUGAUUUUAUUUUAUUUUCUUUCCCAGGCAUUACAACAGCCAUAUUUUUCAAAAAAUGAUGUAUGACUUCCAUGGAAUCACAAACAAUAAUUGCUUUGGUGAUCUACCCAAUGAUGAAUUAGCUUCAGACCUCUUUUUCCAUUUAUACAUUCUUAUGAUGAGUGGCCUCUUUUUCCAUUUAUACAUUCUUAUGAUGAGUGAGAGAGAGAGAGAGAGAGAGAGAGAGAGAGAGAGAGAGAGAGGGAGACAGAAUGCACAAGAUAAAGGACCCAAAUAAAGAGAAAGCAUGCCUCAUUGUCUCUUGGUCAAUGUCUUCUUCAAUCCUUUUAUGAUCUUGGCAAACCACAUCAAGUUCAUGACAGCAAGCACUGAUGGAACAACUACUACCAAGAAUAGCCCAAUGUUGUGCAUCUGCUUAACCUGUUUGGAUGAGAAAACAACAUUAUGGUUAGGCCAUCAUUAGUAGGUGACACAACUACUUCAUAGGCAUAUGUGAGAGCUUAGUAUCCUACUUGGAUACACUUCUUAUUUUUUUACUUUUAAAAUAAAAAAUUAUAUAAAAAUAGAGCAUCUAAUACAAAAAGUAUAAAUCUAACUUAUGCCUUUAAAAAGCACUUCAAAAAAUCUUUAAAUUGCAAGAAUUUUCGAUAUCUCAAAUUUUUAAAACAGGUUUUAAAACCAUUACUUUUUCAAUGUAAGCCUUUAAUACUUCUUGUAUCUUCUAUAAAAGUUACUACAACUUUUUUAUGUUCAUUUUUUAAAAAAAAAAAAAUUUUAAAAACAUAGAACAGGAAGUGUAUCCAUAAGCACAUUUAGCAAAACAAGCCCAAGCCAUACAACAAAACUGUAUCUCCUGAGAUCCUAGAAUGAAAAGAGGCACAAAAAAAAAAAAAAAAAAAAGCCAGCAACUCUCAUAGAAAGGAUAAAAUAAAAUAAAAUCAAGCAUCUGUGCUGCUUUUCUAUUGUAUGCAGGCACUUUCUGCUAUGCAGUGUACAAGGGUUCCAUGGGACAAUUCCUCCUAGGUUUGUAGGUAGUGAGUGUUAUUACCUGAUCAUAGUGCAAGUAGAUAUGGUAAAACAGGUAUAUGAAAAGGAGUAUUCUGGCAACCUGCAGAAAACAUUAUAUUUUAGUAAUUAGGUCAAGGAAUAAAGACUAAUAAUGUAAGCUACAUGUCUGAUUUGCGAAAAAUGGUUUCCAUAACUUGAUCAUACAAAGUAAACAACAAAAAUUAAAAGAGAAGAUAUUAAAUCAACAAAUAAUAGUAAAUUGAUUUUACUCACCAGCCAAGCAAAGAAAAUCACAACCCCAUUCAUGACAUAUGCUCCGGACCUCUUCAUUCCAGCAACAUCAAGAUACCUUACAAACCCAAGUUGCAAAUCAAAAAAGAGAGAGCAGAACUAAAACCUGUCAACUCAUUUUAUUAGUUGGGUGUUACCAUCUCAAAUUGAUCCCUGGGGUUGUUGUCUCAGAGAUAAGAACCAUGUAGGUGUAAAGUUGCCCUUCCCCAGUCAACAUUGCAUAUGCCACUGCAGCUAUAGAUAAAAGAUGAUGAACCACCUGAAAUGACAAUGUCAGUGCCUUGAUUUCCCAACCAAUUUCAAGUUUUUACUUCUACAAGUUAAAACAUCAACUUUCCUCCCACCCCCACCUCCACCACAACCCAGGCUUGCACCUUCUAUUUUUUGGUCACACACACAUCCACCAUCUUAUGGAAAUGUACAUUAGGCUUUUUUUCUUUAAAUCACAGAAUGGAAAAGGGGGGAAAACACUCAAAAGAGGGUACUUACAUACUCCAUUCCGCCUAGGGAUGGAUAAAACCAACAUAUCAUCCCAAGAUCAGCAAGGAAGUAACCAACAGAAACCUGUCAAAACACAUCAAAAUAUGAAACAUAUACUUGCUUCUCAGAUUGGAUAACAGGAGGUAAUGUAAACACUGCCACAAGGAGAAGGUUGUUAGCCAUUGUUGGUUCACAAAAGUUGCGUCUAGUGACAGGUGAGUUGGAUAGAGGAUCCCAAGAAAAAAAAUUCACUAUUUUAUUACAAUAAGUAAAUUAGAAUAUAUAUUUGUCUAUUUAUACAGAGAAGCUUUUCUUUUCAAUGCAUUCUAUGAUAAGGAAAACAACCUAAUUACAGUUUUAAAAUUUGAAUCAAUAGCUAAAAGGUUCAAGUGCAACCCCUAUAAAGAUAAUAAGCUUUUUUCCAAUUGUCAGAAUUGAAAAAUGCAAUAAUUUUAAUGAGGCCUAAACUAAUGAAGCCUUCAAAAAAAUUUCAUCGACAUUGGAUAUAUGAGACUGAGGUGUUUUUCGUUAGUACUUUGACUGUAACAUUAAAACAAUGAGAAAAUGCUAUGAAAAAAUUUAGUUCUCUUUGGUAUUAUAUAAGUUUUCAUUAGUAUGAAACAACACAUUAUCAUGAGACCUUUAGAUAAUAUGUUACAAAUUGAGAAAAAUCUAGAACAGGAACAAUGGGAAAAUUUGUCUUCUUUUUCUUUGUUUAAAUGGGUAAGGCAACCAUUUUAAUCAUCUUAAGGCAGAGUUGCCUCGGUCAUGUAUGGUCCUAAUCUCCAGAACUCUUGUAGGAAGUGAUAGCUCUCAAGACUUAAACCUGAAUAAUUGCAGUUGGCAGCUUGAGCUGUUAGCAGUUACACUAGAUGAUGGCAGAUAAAUGUGUAACCUUGUAGAAAGAGUUGUUUGAUGGAAAAGAAAUAAAAACACAAGAGAACAAUAGAGAAAAGGAAGAGGUGUGGGGGAUUUGGGUAGGGGUGACUCCAACACCCUAUAGCCUCUGUUUCUAAUGUGAAAAAAGAAGAAGAGAAAAUAUGAGAAAUUUAUGACUAUUACUAUUCACUUAUUAACCAACUACACUGUCAAAACUCCUAAGUUGGCGACUGUACGUUACAUGUGCCUGACUUGCCUAGCAUCACAUGGAACAAAACUAGUCAUAUCUAGAGUAAGAACAUCAGCCAUUUAAUCCCAAGUUUUCAUGAAUUGAGUACAAAUCUGUUGCUACUUGAAUCUUUCCUUAAUGAAGUGUUGAUCCACCUAAUCAUGCUUUUCUCCAAUAGAGGUGAACUAGAUACUAUUAAUUAUUAACUAGUUAGUAGCUUGGCCUCAAUCCAAUUCUUUAAGAAAAAUCUUCAACUGGAAAAGUUAGUCUUCUAGAUACAUCUUCAACUGGUAAGUAUUAACUAGUGCUCUAGCUUUCCACUUGAUCUUGCUGCCACAUAUUUUUCACAUUUUACCAAGCAACAUAAUUUCGGCUGAAAAGGGUACAAUAUAUAAAGGUGGAUAUCUGAUUGGCUAUAGAAUUGCCCUAAUUUACAUUUUUUAAGGCCUGAAUUUGUAUACAUUUUCGCCUGAAAUAACCUUACCAAAACAUGUUUUCAAGUGCCUUAAUACUAAAUAUGUAGGCUUUAAAUGGCAAAAACUCAGUGAAUGAAUUCAAUAGCCAACAAAAACCACUAUAUAAACAAUAUCUAAUACAAUGAGAGACAAAUAGCUCAAUCUUUCCACAAAAUUGACAUCAAUUGAGGUCUCUUUUCUUUUCACCUGGAAGAGAUAGCGCUAAAGGAAACUAUUCUGUUUCUUGUCAGUAACAAAUACAGUAGAAGAAUGCUGCUUAUUUUGUUGCUCUAGUUCUGACUAAAACAGUCCUUUUGCCCUCCCAAAGGUACAUUAUACAAAGCCAAGAAUGAAAGAUAUCCCAAAUCUAAAUAAAACAGAAAUAAGGACCUAAGACCAUCUUAAAAGGUUCAAAUAAAGAAAAAGAACCCAAAGAGGUGAGGGAAAAAAAGAAAUAAUCAUACCCCCAAAGAAAAUGUAGAUAGUGAUGAGCUCCGAAAUGUAACAAAGCCCGCAAGUAGUUCAUCAGAAUAAAGAUCAGACCAGAACACGAAGUAUAAUGACAUAACUGUAAUAAAAAUGGCAUGGAAAGUAGAUAUAGACCUGCAACAACAGUAAAGACAGAUAUAAAAAUUAUAGAAUAAUGUAAGAUAAAUAAAUUUGAACUAAAUGGAAAUAUUUACACACCGGUUAUUCCACUCAUUACGUUGGACUUUUGAAAGGCUGGAAAAGCUCUUAAAAUGAACUGCACUGAUCAACUGAGUAAGAUCAUAGACCUGGAAAAGAGAGAAUUCUAAGAGGAAACAAAGGAAUAGAAAAAUAAAAAUAAAAUGUAAAAAGAGCCUCAAAACUUGUUUUAAAAAGAAAAGAAAAAAAAUAAUAAAAGGAAAACCUAAAGAACUAAGAUUUGAUUUUAUAUGCAGCAAAAUGUAAAUAAUAGCUCUAAUUGGACUAAUUUAUGUGCACCUAUUAUACUGGAACCAUUAAAAGGAAUGAUGAGAACAUACCAUCUUGCAAGCAACAAGACCACCGAUAAUCGAAGCAUAGGGUAUAAAAGAAUCUGCUAGCACAUAUUCCUUAAGAAGAGCUUCAGCCUGAUUCUGGUAAGAUUUGAUCUCCAUAGCUGUUGUUUUAGAAGCCAGCAUUACAUCUUACUAGUAAGCCAACAUUGCAAACAAGAAGCCCUAGUUGUUGCCUAACUUUCUGUAUCCUCUUAUUAUCUCUGUCCUUCCUUUUCUCUUUGUGAAUGAAUAAGGAAGAAUAUACAAAAGGAAAUGGCAUAAGCAAUUAAGGUGAGAUAAAUCUCAAACUUGCUAUUUUUGAAAUGAUAGUACUCAACAGCCCAGUGCAGUAACCAAAAUCAAUAUUUUGUCAGAAACAAGAGGGUAUUAUUGUGAUUUUAUACAAUUUAAGGAAAAGGAUAGAACAUUACAUCAUUGCUUUUCACCCAAGAUCCAAAGAAAAAAAAGAGGAGAGAGAGAGAGAAAGAGAGAGAACAAAGACGAAAUGAGAUGCAGAACAAGCAACCCUUUUACAUCUCUGAAAAGGCUAUGCUAUUAAAAAGGCUAAAUAAUCUGAUAAGCAAACCCUAAAAAAGGAUAGUCAUUUUCAAUAAUUGACACAUUUCAAUCUCAAAAGACUGGUAAAGACCCAAAGAAUAUGGUCCAUCUACAACACCAAAACCAAGCUUGUAUAUAGGCAUUCCUUUUACAGGAGUAAGUAGAAUUUAAAUGCUCAGUGCUACAUCAGGGGCUGAACUAUCUGAGGAUCAGAAGGGGGCCAUGAGAUCCGUAAAAUUUUGAAAAAUUCUUAGACAAGGCUCCUCCAGUUGGUAUAACUGCAUUUAGAACUUUUUUUUUCCCAAACAAAUAUACAGGUGGAGCACUCUGUUAAGCAGAUUCAUCUUCUGGCAGGACCACCGCCAUCUCCAAGCCUCUGACAAUUCUCGCUUUUAGGAUACACAAUUUUUGUAUUUGUCAUGUUUCCUCCUCCUCCCUUUCCUGUAAAUGGUGGAAAAGAAGGUCCUUUCCUCUAUUUAUUUCCCAUUUUGCUCAAACUCAUUCAUAUACACAAUUCUCACUUCUUCUUUUUUUGUGAUGUGCCUAUUGUUUUGAGUGAAUUCACAGUCAUUUUCUGAUCAUACAAAUUUGAUCUAAAGGGUAAGCCUCAACAGCUCAAGGGCAGUGAAGCUAGGGGAACAAUAUAUUCUGUUUACAAUGAUUUUUAUUAUAUAUAUUCUUACUGUAAAAGGAGUUCCAAGCUAGGAUUAUGUUACACCAAAAGUAAUUUUCAACCCAAUUAAGUUCAUAUAAAAGUAUACCUACUGAGGGUUUCUUCGAUCACUAAAGUACUGGAAUUGUUUUCCAUAGGAGAAAAAAAUGAAAAAAUUUGAUAAAAAGAUUAUAUUCCACACAUAUCUAAUCAAGGAUUACACAAAUAAAAAAAAUGAAAAAAGAAUAUAUCAUGAACCUUAAGUUAUAGUCCUUUGAAUAAAAAAUCAUCUAUAAUUGAAUUAAGACAACAUUUGUCAGUAAUUUCUCUUUCAAUAGAAAUUUGGAUACCCAAGUAAUUUAUAAGAGAACCAUCCUCUAUAUCAUGAAAGUUUUGUUUUAAUCAUUGUCAUAUCUGAAAUUUUUAGUUAUGUUGUAGAGCAGGAGAGUCAACAUAGGAGGAACUGAAAGUAGGUAAAUCUUUCAUGUUUUGUUUUCACAAUUUUUCAACAUAGUUCACAAAUCAUAGACAUUUUUUUUUUCUGAAUUUAGAUGAUGAAGUACAUGGAGCACAUUAUGUUGCAACUAAAAUUUCAAAAGAACUACCUCUAGCUCCAUCAUAUCUUAGAACAAAACUUUAUACAAGGCUGCAAAAAUUGUUGAUUUAAAAUGGUUCAUAACCAUUGUUAAAGAUAAGAAGUUCCAUGGCUUGCUCAUUAAAUCAAUUAUUUAACUUCUGAAACUUAAAGUCCACAAAAUGGUGAAUGCAUUGGUCCAAUAACGAUACUCAACAAUUAUAAGUCUCAACUGAUGAAAUCAGCCUUAGCAUAUUAUAUAACAACCACCCAUGGCAUGCAUAUCAACUUCAUAAUAAUAGUAAAACUAUUUCAUGUUUAUAAUAAAUAGAGUACUCCCCCAUGUCUCCUUUUUUUCUCCUUCAGUUGAGAAAAGAUACUUGGAAUUUAAUAUGUCUUGAGAGUUUUGUAACAAUUAUUGACAAAAGGUACUGGAGCUUUCCAUAGUUUCUUUCAGCCAAUGCAUGAUAGAACAAAUUUAAAGUAUGUAAUCACAUCAUAAGCAACAUCAUCCCUAUAUCUAUAGUAAAGCAUCAUUCAGUAGAGCUCAACAAGUUCAUCAAACACCCUGAUCAUUGUGAGUCACUGUAUGCUUACAAGAAGUGUCAAUAAUAUGAUUGACAAUGGAAAUCAAGUUUAAAAAGAAUAGCCAAACAUACAUUUCUAAGAGACUGUGACAAUGCUAAAUGUAGUUGGUGCAUAAGGGUAACUAUUAAGAUAUAAAUCCUAUCAUUUCAAUCUCUGCAUAUAUAGCUAAUCAUUCACCCAAACACAGAAUAUUGAGAUUUUAUUUUGAUUUCCAUACUAUGUUGUGUUAUAAGACAGUACCAAGAUAUAUUUUUCACCAAUAAGAAUGCAUUUCCAGACCCCGGAAAACAUUUUGAUUGGUCACAAUUGAUUCAUGUCAGAGAAGCAUUACCAAGAAAAAGCAAAAGCAUUCACCACAGACAAUAAUCAAAUUGUGUGCGAGAGAGCUGCUGAAUUGGUAUGAUUUUGUUAAGAUGUUAAUUUUUCUUGUUACUUUUCUUUCCCUAUCACUAAUAAUUUCAAGGCAGCAUAAUCCCCAAAAGAAUUAGAAAUUUUCGUAUCAGUAUCUUGUAAGGAAACAUAAUUAUCAUUAUCAAACCCCUUUAUAAUUAGUAUACUUCGCAGAAAUUAUUAUCAUCACUUCGCUUUAAAGUGCCAAAACAUACUAUCAAUUCCAAGCACCACAAACCCGUCAUUCAACAAGAAGAAGAACCUUAAGCUAAUCAACAAAUAUUCAUGCAAAAGCUUCAUUUCAAGAUGAUCAGAAAACAUCACAAGUCCUGUUGGAUCGCCGAGAAACACAGAGAACUAAAAGAAAAGAAAAAAAACCACCGUUUUUCCCCAUCUUAGGGCCAGACCAAACACAGGAAUCAAAUAUUCCUUCCAUUUUACUGUGCCUCUGUUUUCUCGGGAACCAUACAGAGGCUUAGCAAAGCAUGGUAAGAUUAAAGGAAAGAAGGACGCAGAGGGUCACCUGAAAGGAAGAAUAAUGAGGGUUUGACCGGAAAAAGAGGAAAUCUAGCCGGAAAACGCCGGAAAAGGAGAGAGAGAGAGAGCGAGAGCAGGGGGUAACGGUGGUGAUAAACUGAUAAUAAAUUUAGAUAUAAUUUAUUUAUAGGGAGUGAGUCACUAUAAAAACUUGAAAACUCACUGCUCCUUUUUACCACGUGCGAAAACUGUGGUCUGCUCCUUUUCUUCUCUUUUUUGUUUCCAUACCCUCCAUUUAUUAAAAAUUUAUACAAAGGGGCCUAAGGCUGCAACCCUGCAACCUUCCCCAUUUAAUGUACACUUCUCCCAUGAAUUUGAAUUCUUAUAUUAUGAUAGUGACUGUUCGAGCUUUUUUGGUCUCAAAAUCAAAACAAAAUUAGUUUUCAGCUGCUAUCAAAGCAUAAUUUUGAGAAUUGUUAUAUAUUUUCUUUAAAUGUAUUUAAAAUUGUUAUCAUUAUAUUGUCUAGGUUAUUUUAAUUAAUAAUUACAUAGUAUAAAUAAUUAUGAAUGACAACGGGAUAAGUUUGAUACGAGUUGUCUAAUAUAGGAAAAAAAACAGGUUUGAACUUAAAAUCUUUUAUAGAGAUAGAUAUCAGUUUCCUAGAGAGACAAAUAAGAUAUUCCAGCACAUCGACAUCUUGAUACCACCAGGAACGAGAAAAAAAAUCCAAGGAAGAGAAAAAAUUGAAAAUUUAGGAUCUAUAUCCAGGGAUCACACCUAUCAAGAAAAAGUAUUUUGUUUUGGUUCGACCCAUAGUCACAUAUGAAAUAGCACACGGUAUUUGCAAGAAAGGGAUAAUAUGCACCUUCAAGUUGUUAAUUAUAUCCUUUAUGGCAAACCGAUAUAUGGAAUUUCUAAUACAACUAUUCAAUUAGCUCGGACUUGUUUAGUAUUGAGUUGGUACCAAAAAAAAAAAAAAAAAUCUCCUACCGUAAAGACCCAUGCUUCCUUUAUGGAAGUAAGAACAAAUGGUAAUGGUUGUGUUUCAUUAUGUUUAACUCUUUUCUAAGGAAUUUUUAAUUUUACUAAAAAAAAUUAUUUUUUAAAAAAAGUUAAUCACAUUAAAAUAAAUAUAUUUUAUAAAUAAUUAAAAUAUUAUGAUUUUGAUAACUUAUUUUAUUGAAAAGUUUUUUAUUAUUAUAUAUAUAUUAAAAUAGAAAAUUAAAAAUUAAAUUAAAUUGAUUUUUAAAAUUAAUAUUAUACAUAAUUAUGAUGGAAUAAGACAAUAAUAGAACCUUUUUCGUAUUUAAAAAAAAAUCUUAAAUUCACUCCUAAUUUAUUUAUUUAAAUUUUAAAUUUGUCGGUGGAAUGAGUGCUAAAAAAAUUAGUCUCAUUAUCAUGUUAUAUGAAUAAAAAUUAUUUUCAAAAAUAUAAAAUACUAAUAUCUUAAGUUUAUAAAUAAAUUUUUUAUUUCAAAAAACUGUUUUCUAAAACAUCAUCAAGAACGCCCUCGACUUUCCAAAACUUUAUUCCUCUUUCUUGUGGAAGGUGUUUGUUUGUUUGUUGAGAAUCCAGAGAUAAUCAUUAUCCGUUUCUUGUGUGCAGUAUUUUGUGUUAUUUUAACUCCAAGUGGCAUAUUUUGUUUUUUCUGCUUCGAAACAUAUUGUUGCAACUUUCAUUGAUAUUUUUAGCAUCAUAAAAAGUAUUUCUACUCAAAAUCUUGAACACCGUUUUGGAAGUGCUUUCAAUAGAGGUAUUUUUAUUAAAAAUAUCUUCUUUAAAUGUAUUUUUAUGAAAAUUAUUUUUUAAUAUUUAAAAAGUAUUUUUAUAAAAACUGCUGAUCAAAUAUUUUUUUUUAAAUAUUAAUUUUUUAUAUUUUUAAAAGUGUUUCUUAAAUUUUAUUAAACAUCUAAUUUUUUUAAAAUAUUUUUUAAGUUAAAAAUAUUUUGUAAAAUCAUUGUCAAAUGUAACUCUAAGAGCCCGUUUGACAAUGAUUUUAAAAUUUUUUAUUAUUCAAGUGUUAGAGUUCUUUUGGGAGUAAUUUUAGAAAAUAUUUCUAGUAUUUCUAACACUUAAAUAAUAAAAAAUUUCAAGUACUAAAAAUAUUAAAAUCGCUUUAUAGCAUCAAUACCAAAUAGAUUCUUAAAAAUAUUAUAAAUGUUUUCUAAAAUCACUAUCAAACGCACUCUAAAAAUGCAUUUGAUACUAAUUUUAAAAAAUGUUUUUAAUAUUUUUAACACUUUAAAUUUUUUAUUUUAAAAAUAUUAAAAAAAUUAAAACGUUUUCUAAAAUCACCACCAAAUUCACUAAGUUAAUUUAUUUAACCGAGAAAAAGUUAAAAACAAAAAUUCUACAGUUCUCGUAACAGGACUCAAACCCAGGGUGUUAUUGCCUCUUAACAGUGACAACUUUGGACCAUUGGAAGGGUUGUAUUUGUUUCAAAGGUUCCCUAAACUAAAACUGGUCAUUUGGGUAUAUCAUAUCAUAUAUUUACACCAAUAAUAUAUUCAAGAUAAAAUAAAAAUUAAAAGAUGGAUAAAAAAAUAAAUCAAAGUUUAAAUAGAUUUGAAUCACAUAUAUCUUGAAAAUAUAAAAACUUUACCGAUCUUUUAUAAUUGACUAAUUAUUAUUUUAAAGAGAAUUUUUAUAUAAUUUUAUAACUUGAUAAAUAGUGAGAUAAAAGUUAUUUAAAUAUAUUUUAUUUAAAUAAAUAUUUUUUUACUUAACAUUUAUCAAAAUUAUAGUAAACACGUAUAAAAAGAGAAUGAAAAGUUAAAAAAAAUUAUGUGACUUAAUACGACAUAGAUGAAUUUUAUUUUUGUGAUAAAAGAAAAUAUAAGUUGAUGUAAUAUUUAUCUAUUUAUGAAAAUAGGAAUAUGUCUAGAAAAUGUUUAUGAUAAAUGAUAAUAAAUUAUUUAUUAAUUUAUACAUAUUUUUUGUAUAUUUAUACUCAAUUAUAUUUUAGUAUUUUUUUUAUAUUUUCUACACUUAGAUCACAAAUUUCAUACACCUCUAUAACAUUAUUGUAAUUUUCAUACCUAAGAUACAUUUGUUUUAUACCUUUAUCACUUUGUUUUUGUACUUUGAUUAUAUUCUUUUAUACAUAAGUUACAUUUUUCGGACGUAAAUUGAUUAUAUUUUGUAUCUUAGUAUCUUGAUCAUGUUUUUAUAUCUUAUUAUCUUAAUCACUUUUUUUAUAUAUUGAUCAUAUAUUUAUGUGUCUUAAUUAUAUUUUUUUUACACUUAAAUUAAUUUUCUAAGUACCUUAGUAUUUUAUUUAUAUUUUUCAUACCCUAAUCAUAUUUUUUUGUACCCAUUUUCUCAUUGAGUGAAGGGUACAAAAUAAAUCAAAUUGAUUUUUUGAUCGGAAGUACUAUAUGAAACCUUCAAUUUUUCUCUUUUCCUCCAUCCCUAUCCCAUAAGUACAACAUUUGAAUCAAUAGAAAAACUUUUAUUUUAUAUCCGUAUAAAUCGAUAUUAUUACAUUCCAAUUCCUUCCCAUACCUCUCAAGGAAAAUCUCGAAGUGGAUCCCAAAUUGACAUAUUGUGAACUUAUCCAUAUGAUUAUGCACUCUUCAAAAAGGAAUCCAUUUUCUAAGAGAUUCUGACUUUCGUGCUUUGGUGGGUCGAUGUGCAUUCUUUAUAUCUAGAUCAUAUUUUUUAUUUCCUUAUGCCUUGAUAAUAUUUUCCAUAUCUUUGUCGUAUGUUUCAUAGCUAGAUUACCUUUUUCACAUGACAUAUUCUUAUUUUUAUUCUUUAAUACAUUAAUAACUUUUUUCAUGGUCAUAUUUUUCAUAUCCAAAUUACCUUUUCAUACCUUAAUACCAAAUUCAUUUUCUUUAUAUAACUAUAAUAUAUUCUACUCGUUAUCUCUAAUUAUAAUGAAAUUAAUGAUAUUCAUUAUUAUUAAAAAAAUUAAGUAAUUUUAAAUGUUAGUUAUGAAAAUAUAUCAAAUUAAACAACCAAACUAAUGACAUUAAAAAAAUUAAAAUUUUAAUGACUUUGUAGCAAAUAUUCUUUAAAAUUUUAAUGAAUUUAAUCAUUUCUUAAUAUAUUUUAAGAAUUUUCAAAUAACUAUGGGAGUUUUUAGUAAAACUUAAUACUUAUUAUUUAAUAAUUUAAGUUAAAUUCUGUUUAAGUUAUUGACUAAAAACUUAUUACUUAAUUCUUAUUUUAAGUAUUAAGACUGUUUAAUGAAAUUAACUUAAAACAUAUUUUAAAUCAUUAAAUUAACAUAUUUAUUAUGAUAAAUUAUAAUUAGGGCAAAUGAGGUUGAGAAACAUUGAAGGUGGUGGAGUAGUAAAGGAAAUCAUAAAGGUAAUUAAGAGAAAUGAAGGUAAAAAAAAUAUAAUAAAGAUGUGGAUUUUAGAAUAAGUUAAUCGGUUUUAUUUAUUAAGUUGUUUUUUAUUUUAAAUCAAGUUACUUUAUUAAACAUCUUAAUUUACUUAAUGACUUAGAUUAAGUUUUUAAGUUACUUUAAGUUAUUAAAUUGGUUUAUCAAAGACUUACUAAACAUAAGACAAAUGAAAUUAAAACCAUUUAUUUAAACAUUAUUUAUCAUAUUAUACAUCAUGGAACCAUUUGUUACUAUUAUUCAAGUAUAAUAUUAAUGAUAAUAUAUCAUCUAUAAUUCAAAAUAAUCUAUUAAACCAUAUUAAUUCUUGAAUAUGAACAAAUAAAUAGGACUAAAUUGUUAAAAUAAAGCUUGAAUAAAUAGACUAAAAAUGAAAUAAAUAAGUAUGAAUAUUAAAUAAUAUUUUAUGAGAUUUUUGAAAUUUUAGAUAAAUGGUAAAAUAUUAGUAGUACUUGGUAACUGAUAUUUUUUUUUUACAAUAAUACCUAGUUACCAUAAUUUUUUUGUCUUUUAAUAUUUGAAAAUUAAAGUUAUAUUUUUUAGUCGUAAAAUUUCUAUUUUGGUUUUUUAUUCAUGUGUAUAAUCUUAAUUAUAAAAAAUGAUUUUUUUUUUCCAAAAUAGGGUAAGAUGGGUACCCUUCAAACUUAGGAUGUGUUUAAUAAUGUUUCUAUUUGAAGUGUUUUUAAUAGAAAUAUUUUCUCCAAAAGUAAAAUUUUUGUGUGUAAAAUAUUAUACUUUUCUAGGCUAUGUUUGGUUCUUGCAAAGUUCUAGGGAAAGAAAAAAAAUAGUAAAGAAAAUUAUUUUAUCAUGUUUGGUUUUGUUAUAGAAAAUAUGAAAGAAAGUAAAAUAUAAUUAAAAUUAUUAAGAAAUUUGUAUAUUUUUAAAUUAUUUAAUCUUUAUAUAGAAUAAUUAAAUAAAUGAAAAAAAAAGGUUGAAGUAAUAUAUCAAAAUAAUUUAAAAACUUUAAAUAUAUUUUUUCCUUUUUCUUUAUUUUUACUUUUUCAUUCUAUUAUUUUUCUCUUACAUUUUGCUUCAAACUUUUCAAACCAAAAUAUGACCUAAAAGUUUCUUAUUAUAAAAAAGAAAAAUAGAAAAUAUAUCUAGACAGACACUAUAAAUUUAUAUUUCUAUUUAUGUAUGAAAUAUUUAAAUAGGGAAAUUUUUUGAUUUAUUUUCUCCAAUGAUAAUAUGUUGGUGAUGAAAUAAAUGUUUAAUAUUCUAAUUUUUUAAAAGCAUAUUUGAUAGUAAUUCUAAGAAGUGUUUUUAUUUAUUCUAAGACUUGAAAAAUAAAAAUUUUCUAGUACUAAAAAAAUUAUAAUCGUUUAUUAAAAUUACUACCAAACGAGCUCUAAAAAAAAGAGCUAAGAUUUAAUUUCUUUUUAGGAUUUGUUUUUGCAAUGAAUUUGCUCUAAUUAACUUGCUUUCCAUGACAACAUUGAUACAUGUGAUUCUUGUAUUGGAAGUAAUCUUAACAUCAAGGGAUGUUGACACAAAUAUCAUUUUUUGUUUUCAAAUAUUUAUUAAAAUAUUUUUGAAUUAUUAUAUUUUGUAAAAUUUGUAUAUAUAUAUAUAUAUAUAUAUAUAUAUAUAUAUAUAUAUAUAUAUAUAUAUAUAUAUAUAUAUAUAUAUAUAUCUUUUCAAAAUCCUCCAAUAUGAAAUAUUUUAGGUGAAAUUGUGUCUUGCACGUCUUCAAUUACUUUCCCUACACACAUCUUCUAUGACAAUAUGGUAUGACUUCAUAGGUUGCACUGCGUUACCGAUGUGGGAUGAAUAGGAUUGAGGGUUACCCCAAACUCGCAAGGCUCAGUUCAACUGUCACCUCAAAUUGAAAUUCCUGUUUGUCUGUUAGCCUCAAGUUUAAUGUGAGUUUUUAUACUUAUUUGACUAAUAUUUUUCAAAGAAUUUAUGACUGGAAAAAUAAUUCACUAUGAGGAAUUGUUGUUUCCUGUAGAAACUCUAUUUUGAUUCAUACAAAAAGUUUUCUUAUUAUUUUAUUUUCAUAUCAAUAUUUUUAUUUAAAAAUUGUAUAUUCAUUUUCCUAAAAUAAAAAACAUAAACUAUCCCAAACAAGGCCUUAAAUUGAAGUUGUUUAUUCAAAAGACAAUUUCUUAUUAAUAUUACAAUAUUUUUAAAGCGCUUUUAGUGUAAAAAAGUGUUUUUGAAGAAAAAUCACAUUAAAAAAAAUUGAAAAAUCACUUAUAGUAUUUCUUAUAGAAACACUUAAUAGCGAUUCUUCUAGAAAAUUAUAUUUACCUUAUAUAUUUACAAAUCACAUUCCAAAUUUUUAAAAUUUAAGAUAGUUUAAAUUUUCAAAUAGUUUUUUUUUAAUCAUUAUUUUUUUUUAUUAAUAUAUUUAAGAGCUCUUAUAUCUUGUAUAAAAGUUAUUGCUAUUUUUUAAUUUUAAAAAUAAAAAAUAAAAACUACUCUAAAAAUGAACCGUGAUUUUAGGAAAUAUUUCUAAUUUUUUUAAUAUUUUAAAAAUAAAAAUUUUCAAGUAUUAGAUAUGAUAAAAACACUUCCUAGAAUCAUUGUUAAAUGCACUCUUAAAGUCUAUUUGACAAUGUUUUAAGAAGUGCUUUUAUCCUAAAAUGUGUUUUUGAAAAAAAAAAUUUAAUUAUGAAGUUGAUUCAAAAUUUCAUCAUAGAAAAUCAAUUGCACUCUAAUAUCUUAUGAAAGUAAAGCGAGAUGUAAAUUGAUUAAAUCCAAUUUAAUUAAUUUCUUGGUUUUGUGACCUACUAAGCACUCCAUGCAAGCUUCCCAUGAAAAGGUGUUUGUAAUCUAAUGAGGUAAAAACUAUCAACCUCUCAAGACCAUCUCUACCAUUCUUAAGUCUCAAAUCUUUCUAUUAUGUGAACAACUAACAAGCUCUAACUCUAUAAAAGCAUAUAUAAAAUUUCACUAGAUGAAUUAUUAUGACCAUAAUAUUUCAUGAUCACAAGUCCUUAUGAUCACCUAAGAGGAAGCAUUAUCUCAAACUCAAGAGAUAUCAUGGGACCUAUCUUAAGAGUACUAAUUGUCAUCUGCCUUAAUUAACAAUGACCUUAAGGUCUCACUUGUAGGUCAAAACCACUGAUAACCUUAACACUAAGUCAAUAUUCUCUUAAGGUUGAACGUUCAUGUGGUAUAAUAACUUAGUGAGGUCAUGAUUUCCCGAUAGCUAACGUCAUGACUUAUUAUAAGUCUUAUUCAAUGUAUAAUCAUACUCACUAGUGCACUCACAAUAAGAAACUUAACCCAAUAACAAAGACAAGUCAUCUUUCCAAUCAAGUGGUCACUAUAGCCUUAGAUAGGUGACUUAAGUCCAUGAACCAGUUGUGAACAAUUCAUCAUCUUACAAGGAAUUCAUGACUUGGAUCUUCCAUGUAACUCCUAAUUCACCCUAGCAUAUACAAUGCAUGUGAUGCAUGUUGGAAUACCCCUUGAUCAUAAGUGCAUGCUUCUAUCUACCUAAGGACACUAGAUCUAUAUGCAACAAAAGACAAAAAAGCAAAAACUUUAGGUGUAAGGCUUAAAAAAUUUAUCUUUUAUUUAGAUGCUCCUAGAUAAAAUUCCAUUGGUAAAAGAUAGUAUCAAUCACUUGGAGAUUUUCCACUUAGUCACCUGUUUUCUAAGAUUUGGCAUUUAUAAAGAGUGACUACACAAUCUUUUUUAGGCGUUAGGGCUUCAAUUGCCAUUCUCUUCCUUUAGUCCAUAGAGAGAAUCCUAGCCUCUAACUUGGAGACCUCCACCAUCUUAAUGCCUAGACUCAAUGAGGAGUCAUCGGGUGGAACAUGAUUGAAUUUAUGAAAUCAUGUAUUGUUUUAGAGUAUUCUACAUCGACAAGAAUCAAUUUGGGAACAUCCAAAUCACGAAGAUGACAUUUUUUCUAGAUCUAUGAUAUCUAUUAUGGUUUUUGAAUGCCUAAUUUCUUAUGUGCUUAGAUAUAGGAAAGCCUAAGAUAAGAUUGCAUGCACUCUAAUGAUCCAAGGUUUGGGAAUGAAGCAAUCUAAGGUUCGCAUUAGUAGAGAGUGGGAUACUCAAGAGGUUGACCAUCAUGAAUCGACAAUGUAUGAUCAUAAGUCAUCAGAAUUGGUAAUAGCUUAAAAUGUAUCAUUGAAACUUUGACUGAAAGAUCUUAUAUGUACUUAGCUAAAAUGGAAAGUAUGAGUUGUUUUUUGUGUUUCACACCAAGAAAGAAUGGAUAUUUCCAAGGUCUUUGAAUGGAAACUGAGUUAAGGGUCGAAACCACAUUAUCUAUUAGUUUGGAAUCAUUUCAUAUGCCAUUUUUUUUUUAAGAAAAUACAAUUGAAAAAAUCAUCUAGAAACCAAGGUGAAGAAGGAUUUUCUCAUAAACCAAACAUGUCUAGUUUGGAUCUAUUGGUGUUUCCCAUUCCUAAACCGGAAACAUUUAGGUUAAAAAUGAAAUGAACUCUUGAUCCAAUGGCUAAAAAAUCAUCUAAUAGAAAAUGGAUCAAUUUUAUUUAAAUUUGGAUUGAUCUUAUAACAGGGCAUAAACACUUAGUCAAAAAAUUUGUUGUCGUAACCUUCUUAACUCUUUUUUUUUUAAAAAAAAAGAAAAAGUUUAAGAAACAAAUAGCAAUUUAAAAACUUGGUUAAUUUACAUUCACUUACACCCUUAACUACGUACUUAAACAUCUCAACAUUUUCAAUGUCUUAAUCUUUAUUAGAUAAGGAUUCGAAAGUGAAGAGGCACUUAAAAGUUUUUUGUUCAGAAUUGUCAACCUAACUAAAUACUUAUCUAUCCUAUAAGUAAUCUUCAUUAAUUAAUACAUUAUUAGUUCUAAGUGGGUGUAGAAAUGCACCUAAUAAAGACAAUUUUCUUGUCGUAGAGGGGUGGGAGAAAUAUCGUAGCAUUAAUUAGAUUGAUUUCAAAACAAGAUAGGGAAUGGCAUUGGCGUCAAUAGGAAUGGAGCACAUGAGACUUAUUAGAUACGGCCUAGGUUGUCCUUCAAAUUUAAGUCCAUGACCCCACAAGUAUUUAUAUGGGCCUACACUACUACUAUAAAUAAGAAAAUACCAAUUCUUCAUUCCAAAGCUUUCGCUCGUUGUCCCAACUACAGCAGGUUGUAGUUUCCACUGGCCGUUGCAACCAUGAUUAACUAUGAGAAUCUUGGUUUAACACAAGUCUGGUUAAAGGUUAGAAUACAGGUCUCACUUGAGUUAAGGACCAACGGAAACGCCCCUACACCAUAUUUCGGCCUCAAUAUUUGGGCUUCUCUCUGGGCCUCAUUGGCCCAAUGCUUUGAGCACGAGACCUUAGAAAAGGUAUUAUUGUAUAAUCUUUAAUAAUGCCAUUUUAAUCCAUAAUUAAUUUUUAAGAUUAAGAUAUAAGUUCAUAUUUUAAAAUAAUAGUAUUUUCUUCAUAACAACUAAAGUUUAAAAUAUCCAGAUAUAUCACCAAUUUUGGAUGGAUCCAAAUAAUUUUGAAAGAAUAUCUAUUAAUCAAUAUUUUCAUAUAUUUUUUCGAUUUUUCGAUUUUUAUUUUAUUUUUUUAUUAUUAAACUAAUUAAUUAUAAUUUUUUAUUUUUAGAUUUAAUUUAAUUUAUUAUUAAAAAUAUAAACAUAAUUUUCUUAGGUCGUUUUAUAUCAUCUAUAUAUUUAUUAAAUAUAAAAAAUAUAAAAAUUAAAAAUUAUACAUAUAUUAUUAUUUAUUUGAUAUAAAUUUAAAUUAAAAUUGAUCAUAAUUUUAAUAUUAAAUAUAUUUUAAAAUUAUAUAACUUAUAUAUAUAUAUAAUUUAUAUUUUUUAUUAACAUAUGAUAUACUUAAUAUCUCCAUAAAAUUAUAAGUAUUGAUAUAUCCCUUAUCGAUAUUUUUAGGUUAAUAAUACCAACAUGUAUUUACAAAAUAUACAAUAUAUUGUUUGAAAUUAAAGAAAAAGAAAACCAUCUGGACUUUUAAGAAUUACAUCCAAUAUACAUACGUGUCGACACCUCAUUGGACACCUUGUGAGAAUGCCCGCCACCAGCAUGAGCUGCAAUGAACUCCACCACAGCGGCCACCAUCUCCCCCAGUCCCACCGGCGCCGUCGUAUCCACCACCAUCCUCGGAACAUCGCCGAAUUCGUAGUUCGUGCACCCGUCGUACUCCUCCAGGAGCCUCUCCAGGUCCUGCCACGUGGAGGGCUUGUGCCAGCUGGAUCCGUCGCUUUCGCCGAGGCCCCUGCGCUCGAGGCGGCGGCGCCACUCGGAGUGGUCCCUGGGGCGGCACUCGACAACGAGGAGGGACGCGGCAGAGGAGGCGGCGAGGCGGCGGAGGCUGUCGAGGUGGGAGCGGCGAGAGAGAGGGGAGUCGAGGACGACGCUGAGGCCGAGGCGAAGCUGAGUGGAGGCUAUCUGCCAGAUGACGUCGUAUGAGAGAGCGUUGAGGAGUCGAUCAGGAGUGGAAGGUUCCAAAGGUGAAGUAGAGUCGCGGACAUCGUCCUUGUCGAUGAGGGGACAUCGCAACACUCUGGCUAUGGACUGGGCCAGCGUGCUCUUGCCGGAGCCAGGGUGACCUUUCAUAGCUAUGAUUACUGGACCUUGGCCAAUGGUAAACUGUUCUUGAUUCAUUUCUCUACUCUCUAGUAUCUGAGAUUGAAUUCUUGAGGUAGGAGUGGAAGAAGAAGCAGCGGAGGGGAAAGUUUUUGCAUUAUCCACUACAGAGUUGUUAGGAUAAACUUGAAUGGUCGUUUCAAGGUUUUUAGUUGACUUUUUUUUCAUUUUUUAUUAAUUAAAUUUUGGAUAAGAACGAAAUCUUGCCUCUUUGUAAACCUAAUCCUUUCACUUUUUUUUUU
rnacentral:lncRNA from 1 species